rnacentral:lncRNA from 1 species
GUGAACUGAGUAGGGACGACAGUUAUGAUGUAUGUUUGGGUAUUGACUUAAAGUUUAAUGUUUGCUGUGUUUGACUGGGAGAAAUUAAUAUAUAUAUGUGCAUGGGUUGAUGUGGACUGUGGUUGAGUAUAUGUUGUGACUGUCUGGUUAUGUAUAUGUACAAAGAUAAGGAUGUGGAAACGACUGAAUCUCGUAGAUGUUGCUUAUAUAAAGUGUGGAUUUGAUUAGUAGAUUGAUUGUUGUCUAGACUGAAUGUAUAAUCUACUGUUAUGUUGUGUGCUUGUGAACGGAGGAAACGUCAUGGUUGUGCCCUUGGUGGCUGAGGAGGAGAUUAUGAUUGUUUAGCUUGUUAACUGAUGUAAUGAUAUACUUUUUAUUGACCUUGGGCUAAAUUAGAGUAAGACGACUGUUUGGGGUUAAAUAAGGAGUUUAUAUGAUGAGAAUGUUUAACUGAUCUGUGAAUGACUGUUAAGAUGUUUAGAAUGGACUGAGGGGAAAAAUUGUUAGCUUUUAUUGGGAUGUGUGCCUUGUAGGUGUCCCACGGGAUCACCAAUUAUUCUGCACCUUCGGGAGCAUUAGACUGAUAUGUGUUUCUGCAGAACACUAGACUGAAAUGUACGUCCCUCGGGGUUAGACUGAAAUAUGCAUCCUACGGGAUCACAAGACUGCGACUGUACAGGGUGUCCCAAUAGAAUGUUAACAAUUUAUUUUCCCCUGAUGGGACCAGUAGAGGGUUUCUUACUGGGUAUUUUAUACUCACCCUCCUUAUGUUUAAUUUUUUCAGGCAAAGGUAAUAAAGGCGACAAACCGGCGAGGGGCAGGAAGGAAGCGUGAUUGCCAUAGGGGAUAUUUUAAUUUGCUUCCGCUUAAUGUUUUGUUUCUCAUGUUUUGUUUUAGUACUUGAGAUUGUUUAGAAAAUUUUAUAGUUGAACUGUAUUCACGAAUUAGUAAACUUUUCUUGAAAGUGUUGGCUAUUUUAAACAGGGCCCAAAUAUAAAUUUUUGUUUUCUUUGAGACUUUGAAAUUAUUUGAGAUUGAGAUUUUGCGUAAACUCAGGUCUUUAUUUGAAAUUAAUGACUUCGACUUAUUUGGAAAAGUUGGGUCGUUACACCUUGUAUUGGUGUUUCCUUCCCAAUUAAAAUUGAUUUUCACUUGUUGGACCUUUUAGAUAUUUUGAACCCAUAAGUGGGGGAUUGUUAGUGAUAUAUAAUUAAAUUUACUUUUAAUCACUAGCUUAAGAUUUUGGGUGGUGGUUUAAUUAAUAGCAUCAGCUUUCUAAAAAAUUUCUUCAAGGCGGGUUUCCAAGAAGCGAAUUGAGUUAGGAACUUUCAUUAGGUAGAGCAUUUGCUCUUCAACCUUUACCAGUCGGUCCACAUGGGCCUCGCCCGACUAUUUUGUUAUGGACAUGUUUACAUUUUAACCGUUAAUAAGCCAACUUAGGCUAUCACACCCCACCACGAGAACCUACUUGCGUGGCUCGAGAUAUGGCGUGAAGCCAAUCGAUAGCACCCACGUCAAGAACGACACCAUUUAACCCUUAGCCUGAACCUUUAAACUCUAAACAACAGCGGAAACAUAACACAUAAAUUUUACUAAAACCAAUUGGGCUAAACCUUUUUCAUUUAACAACCUUAGACAAGUUUUACAUAGAAAAAACGUAAUCUUAUUUAUCUAGAACAAAACCUUAUUAAACCUUCCCAAAAGCCUAAGUCUGAUAGCACAAAAGACUAAUUUAUCAUUAGUACAAAAUAACAGGACACAUAUGAUAACAAAAUGAAAUCCUUUAGUAGACAGGUAGUAGCAAGUUAGGCUUAGAGGACACGAUCUCUACCUAGAAAGUGGGAAAACAUUUUGAAUAUUAUGCAUUUUGAAGAGUAAACAAUAUGCUUGAAUAAAUACCUUUAAACAAUAACACCCUUGAAAGACUUUUCAUAACAUAACUUAAACAUUUUAUCAUAAAUCCGUCAUAAAUCAUGACUUAAGAACAUGCUUGAAAUCACUUUAAAUAAAACAUUUUCCACUCAUAGAUACAAGCUCAAAUCCUUGGUUUAUAAAUUUGUAUGAUCUUCUCAUGUCCUGAAAUAAUGGUAAAAUAGUACAAUUAAUUAUCUUUUGCCAAUAAAAUAUCAAAAGUAUACUUAAAAAACACAAAAAAUUACCAAAAAUAGCUCAACACGCAAUAUGACACUGCCUGGCACGAAUGGGUGGGUAGUAGGGCCUUGGUUGGGCGCUGGCUACUGUGUGUGAAUCUCACAAGAGGCUUUUCACGCGUGUUGGGCAUGCCCGCGUGCUAACCUCACACACAAGCACAUUGUGAACCUCACAUGGUUGCGUGCUUGGCAUUUCGUGUAGCCCUCCUCGUGUGCAUUCUUGGCUAGUGCAUUUCUUGUGUCACAAUCGCGAGCUUUCAAACACGAGAGGAGCGAUUAUGUUGCACUUGUUUUACGUAGACAACAAGUUAGCUGAUCAAAAUCCAGAAACCACGGACAAACACAUGAUACGAUGUAGCCUCUCUUCACGUUCUUAAGAAAAUGUUUUAUAAAACGUGAGGAGAAAGAAAUUCAAUGAAAAUAUCGUUAAAGCAAGCAUUGAAGACUGUCAAUUGCAAAGAAAAACUUUGAUUGCGAAGAGUGCAACAAGGCUUGGGCAGGAAUUCAACUACUAUGUCCCAUCUAUAGUACAUUUUAGACUUUUUUAGUUCUGGUAGGCUUGCAUAAGAAAAAGCCAAGUCACACCCAAGGUUUAUGACAUAAAAAGGAAAGCAAAAAGUAAAACUAAAUACAAAACAUAAAAACAAUGUAAAUUGGGGGUGUUUGGGCAUGCGGCCAUAAGUAAACAGCGCCUUGGACAAGCAUGCUUGUUACAUUCUCCCCCACUUAAACAAUUGACGUCCCUGUCGACUGGAAGCUAGAAUUCCUCGAUCUUCUUCUUUCACGCUCCAAGGUCUUCAGCACAUUCCUAACGUGUUUCUUCCACAUGGAGGUUCUUUCACUUCAGUAGGAAUUCAUGUAUCUUCUUCAUGGGUAUACCCUUCCUCACUCUCUUAGGAAGGAUUUCUUCCAUUUCUUUAUCGUCUUUCUGCUUUAGGUCACUAGAUGACCAUACACCAUUGUUGCACUACUGGUCAUCUGGAUCUUGAUGGUAAGGUUUCAAGUUGCUCACAUGAGCUACUAGAUGAUUUUUUAUCCAUGCAGGCAACGAUACCCUAUAGGAUGCAUUUCCAAUUUUCUUCAGAACUUCAACAGGCCCUUCGUAUUUUCUGGUGAGAUGCUGAUGUUGAUGUCCUCUAAAUCAAAUUUGCUUUGCUUUAAACUCUAUGAAGAGUUGGUCUUCCGCUCAAAACUUGAGAGGAUGAUGCUUCUUAUCAUACGCUUCGAGACUUUCUCUUAGUAUGCUCGAGCGAUGUUCGUAGUCUUCUCCCACUUUUUCGUAAAGUUAUGAGCUUGAGGAUUUUUUCCGGCAUAAGGAUGAUCAACAAUAUGAGGCAGUAUAGGUUGUCUUCCACUCAAGAUUUCGAAAGGACUCGUUCUUGUGGAUAGACUAGUUUGUGCAUUAAAACAAAAUUGAGCCACAUCCAUCAACUAGGCCCAAUUCUUUUGUCCAGAAUCAACAAAAUGUCGUAGAUAUUCCUUAAGCAUACAAUUGAAUCCUUCAGUUUGGCCAUUCGUCUGAGGAUGGCAGCUUAAGGAUAUAUUUAGGCGUGUCCCCAAGAAGGCGAAUAGUUCGGUCCAGAGAGUACCAAUGAAUCUACCAUCCCUGUCACUCACAAUGCUUGAUGGAACUCUCCAUAACUUCAAGACGUUCUUAAAGAACAAGUGUGCUAUCAGCUCGACAGAACAUAGUUUUGUAGUGGGGAUGAAGGUGGCGUACUUCGAGAACCAAUUGAUUAUAACCAAGAUGCCUCAAAGUCGUUCACCUUUGGGAUGUGUAAUAAAAUCCAUGGAUUUCGCACAUUCAGGGAAUUUCAAUGUGUUCGACUAACUUUCCAAAGUUACUUUCUCUAUUAAAGCCUGAAGCCCCGUAUGCUGCAAGAAUCAGUGUUGCCAAUCGAGGUUGCAACGUUUCAAAUGCAACUGAUCAGCAUACCAUUCAAAAUUUGAAUUUUCAACAUGACGAGUUUGUAACUUUAGUGCCCCUUGGAGAAGAAAAUGAAAUUCAGGGUAUGUGUAAUUCAGGUUUUGUUCCACAAGAUAGUACAAUUUAAAUUAUUCUCCAUAUGUUGCUUAAUUAUCUCAUAACGGUUUAUUUAAACCAGGAUGCAGUGCAUGACAGCAACGGUCUGGUUUCUUUUGCAGAAAUAGAGAACAACACGACAGCUAGUAUUGCAAAAUUAUCCAAUACUCUUGGUAAUUUGGAUGAGACACAUUGUUCUUGCUCUAAACAUAGCGCAAAGAGAGUUUGGGAAGCAUCACUUUCUUCCCUGAAGUCAAAGAAAGUAAAAGGAGUCAAUCUGGACCAUUUCCAUUCCCACUCUAACAAAAAUCUUGAUCCUAAAAGUGAUGUAUACGAUACCUGCUCUCCAGGAUGCUCUUUAGCCAAUUCAAAGCAUGAGAUUUUAUCAAGUAUUUAUCCUAAAAAUCCAACCAAUCAGUGUACACAAAAUUUCUGUCAAGAAUUUGGAAGUGUAAAUGUGGCAUCAGAGGACCUCAAUUCUGAAGAGAACACAUUAGGAAAAUCAUUUAAAAUUAUGCUGAUGAACAUUGCAGACGAAACUAAGAAAACUCAGCUCAUGAAGGUACGGUACCAAUUUAUAGUCUUCUAAAAUAUUCAUCAUUCAUGUUUCUUUUAUGAGAUUUUCUAUUGAUGGUAUUGAAGUUUUAUAUCCUUGGCUUAGUAUUCUUUAAAGGGGUGUUUGGCACAAGGAGUGGUCCAAGAAGUUGUGAAAUCUAGAAAGUUUUGAACUCUUAGGGCCUAGGACAUACGAAGUCAAUAAGGCAUAAAAUUGAAAUUUUCUUGUCGGGAGUCCACAAACACUUUUGGCCAAACAAAGAGCGGAAAACUCCACACUUCCCUAAUCCUACUCUUCCAGCUCCUUGGCUCAUACAGCCUCUACGAUCUCUAAAUAUGAUAGGCCCAUGGUAGUGAAGGUGUACACCCGUAGGCACAAGAAAGGAUUCAGGAGAGGAGGAUGGGAAGCUGUAUUUGUUGGUCUGAAUGUUGCUAGUUAAGGGGGCCAUGAGUCUUUUAUGCUUUCAUAUAAAUGCUAUUAUGAUUGUUUGGGGAGGGUAUGUUUUGACAUACCUUGUAUUAGGUUUCUUAGAAUAAUUGGGAGAGCUAGAGAAGCUUUUGAUUCCUUCCCUCCAUUAUUGACAAAUAAAAUUGAGGUUAAGGCUUAUCAUAUACAUACCCAGUCAUUGAACUUCUCCAUAUUCCUUAAGAGGCUUGGCUUAUUUGGCUGGCUCUACUCAUGUAGGAUUUCGAAAGGCGAAUCUGACAUCCUGCCAAAAAUGAUUAAUCAGUUUCUUUAACUGUUGAACUUUUAGGUUGUAUACUAGCAAGCACAUGAAGUUUAGGGAUUCAAUCUUUAUAUUAUUUUUAAGAGUUAUUCAAUAUCCCUACCUAGAAUAGACAAAUGAAGCUUGAAACUACCCAUAAUAUUAAUGAUGUUGUUUAAUUAUGACAUUUUGUUAUCGGUCUUUCUAACUUACGAAUAUCCAUCUUCUGAUAUGUGUUCACAUGCAUAUUUUAUGGAUGUAGAUUUUAUAGUAUUUCUUUAUUUAUUUUAUAUGGCAUUAGCUGUAUACUUUUUUAUAAAAUAUUAAUAUAAAUAUUAAACCACCGAUUCACCAAAAAGUUUAAGCUGGUGGUUGAAAGAAAAUUCAAUUAUAGCCUUAAGCUUAAGCUACUUUGGUGGACUAGAAAGUAUAAUCUUAGAAACACUCAAUCUGAUCAAGUUCUCUGAAGCAAGAAUUAAAGUUUGGAAAAAUCUUUGCGGAUUUUUACCAGCAACUAUAGAAUUAAAGAGUGAGAACUGAGGAAAAUUUUCCCUUAAUUUUGGGGAUUUUGAACCCUUAGAAGCUCCUGUAAUAAUCCAAUCUGAUCUAUUUCAAAGUGAUUUUUCCAAUCCUAUUGAUUUAUGUAGAAUAAAUUCAGUGAUUUUAGAUGAAGGGCUCCAAAGUGAUGGUCUCCCAGAUACCUGAAUUUUCUCAAACAGAAUGCCCCAUCCAUCUCAAGAAAUCCUUUCGAAGCACUUAGGAAGUUGGAUGAUGAAGAAGAAAACCUUGUUCGACCGGAAAGAGUUUCAGACCUUGAAUCCUCGCCGGAAAAAAUAAUUUUCAGAAGGCAAAAUUCAAAUUUGGGUAUAGCUGGCAUCUCCACGUACUUAGAAGGGGAAAAGACUUCAACAGAAAAGAGAGAAAAACAGACCUUGAAAGUAGAAAAGGCAGCCAGCCGGUAUUUUAUUAUCUCAAAAAAUAGCUCACCUAGCCCUCCCCAACCAGAUUUUUUCAAACUUAAUGUAUCUGCAGACAUUUUAAAAUCUGACACACAGAUGGUAGGCCCCAAGAAUUUUAUUAAUCAGAAUACCAAUGGCUUUUGGUAUUCUGACGAAUUGGAGGAAGAAUCAGAGUCCUCUCCUCCAUCAAGGAACUUCACUUGCUGGCCAUCUCCUGUUUUCAGUUCUCAACCAAAAUUACCAGCCUCUCCCAAGACUAAAAUAUCCUCUGCAAUGAAAGCUAUUCCAAUACAUGCCAAAAAAUUUAUGAGCACCUCAAGACCUAUACCAAAGGGAGAACUUCUUUUCGCAACAUUUGGAUGAGCUUGGCUAAUUCUGAUUUAUUAGAGGAAAGUUGUGUGAAGAUACAAAUUCCAAAUUCAGUUGGCAAAAGGUCAGUACUGCCUUCCUCCUUAAGUAAUAAAUUUUCUCAAUCCUCCUCCAAACUUUUUGGUUCAUUCUUUAAUUUUGUGCAAGAUACUUCUUGUCUCAAAAAAGUUGAGAACCUAGAAGAUGAAUUCAUGGAAGUUGAAUCAGUCACCAGUUUAAGUAGUGCAGAAUUUGAACCAGUUGAGGAAGAAAUAAUUCAAUCAGAGACAGAGAAACAAGAGGACAUUGACUCUCUCGGUCCAGAUUUUAUUAAAUUGUUUUCCUCCCCAUAAAAAGAAAUUUUGUGCAGGUCAGCAAGUAUCCUUCCCCCUCAAGAGUUGGUUCCUUUCUUGGCAGCAUGUGAAAUUGAAUUGAUAUAAGGCAGAGGUAGCAAAGAUGGAGAUUAUAUCAUGGAACACUAGAGGAUUCAUGGGCCAUUCGAAACAAUUGGCUAUUAAAAAUCUUUUGAAGAAAGCUAAUCCAGAUAGAGCAUUGAUUCCGGAGACCAAAAGAGAAGAGAUUGCCAGUUGUAUUAUAAAGGCACUAUGGAGUUUAAAAGGAAUUGGCUGGGUCUUUGUUUGAAGCUAGUGGCAGAUUAAGAGUUUUGCUGAUUAUGUGGAUAAAUAUAAGUUGUCGAUUAUUGAAGUUCGGUCAAGAGAAGGAAUGUCAUUACAGUGUGGCUUAUAAGUUGUUUCAACAUUAAUUUAUAAGUUGUUUGGAAAGGUUCUCGCAGAAAGAUUAAAGAAAGUCAGGCCAGUAUUACUUUGUAAGACCUCCUAUUAUCUAUACCUAUAAAAGGAACGGUAGAAAGGGAAAUUCCUUAGCAACCAAUGAUGAGAGAAUAAUGGGAGAGGAUCGUGCAGGUGGGGCCCGCCAGGAGGGAUGAGAGAGAGAGGUAUAAAUAUGUAAUGUUGGGGUAGGGGAGGCUAGGUCUUUUUUGGUUAUUUCAAGGAGAGUAAAGGCUGUUGUAGCCUGAGGGUAUCCAGCCCCGUAUAAAGGAGCUGGGUAAGUUUUCUAUGUUGUUCAUCCUUUAUUUUUCAUAUCUACUACAGUUGAAUGUGUUUUGGCUUUUACAUAAAUAAAGAAUUACAGAGUGCUGCCUCUGUUUAGCCAUUUGGUUAGGAUAUUUUGUGUUUUAUUGUUAGAAUCCUAACAUACUUCUCCAUUACAAUGUGGCUUUCUGGAAGAGUGCCAAAUAUUGGAUCCUAUUUUAAUAGCAAAAGAAACUGUGGAGGUCUAUAGUAUCCGAAAAAAGAAAAGAUGGAUCAUUAAAUUAGACCUUGAAAAGGCCUUUAACAGAGUGGAUUGGAAAUUUUAGAAAAUGUAAUGCAAAAGAAGAUCUUCGACGUAGGAUAUUGUGAUGAUCAGAACUUUCGGAUCAACCCUCUGCUUCAAACAGUUUUUGCUCAACCAAUCAAGGCUUAUUCUUCUUUGUUCUCAGCAUGCUGCCUUGGAUUAUGAUUUUGCUUUGGAAAGAUUCUUUUUAUCAUUUUGUUUGUCUUUGUUUUUGUGGCUUUUUGUUUUGAUCUUGUGUUGUCGCUUUUUGGAUGUUUUGAGGGCACUAAGGGGGUCAACCUAGUUUGAGAUGCCCGGAUGCGCCUGUUGAUCUUCCCUCUCCCCUUUUGCUCUUUGUAUAAUCCUCAUGUACAUUGAGCUUUGUCUCUUUCUUAUAUUAAUAAUAGUGAGACUCGUAUCCUUUUUUAAAAAAAGAAAGAAAAUUCAAUUAUAUAUCACCAACACUCUCCUCACUUGUGGGCUUGAAAUAUUUGAAAGGCCCAACAACUGGAAACGGAUUUUAAUUGGGGAGGAAACGACAAUGCGAGGCUUGAACACAAGACCUUCUUGGACCACCUGCUCAGAUACCAUAUUGAAAGGGAGACAAAUAAACACAGAACUUUAUGUGGAAACCUGUGUACCAGGAGAAAAACCACUAUAUUUUUCUUCUUAUUAUUUUUGAUGAAAAAUACAAUAGGUACAAGGGAGAAUAAAUAGAAUAUACAGAGGAAUAAAAAAGGAAAAUAUUUAGGAAUUAAGAAAAAUAUUCCCAUAAACUUUUCAUAAAUAUUCUAAGAUUCUAACAAUAAAAAGUUCUAUUUAUUCCAAAUUGUGACUGCUCUAAUGUGCAGUUGUUUUCUGAUUCAGAUGAUUGAGGAGCUUGGUGGUUCUCUCACUGCUGAUGGGAGUACAAGCACUCAUGUCAUUACAGGAAAUUUGCGGAAAACUCUAAAUUUUUGUAUUGCUCUCUUUUCAGGGUUAGUCUUGCAACCUUAGACGAACACUCUUCUAUGUAUCCUUUUGGCCUUUGAAUACCGAUAAUCAUCUCAUUUGCACAAAAGUUAGCGAUUCCAUGCACACAAGGCCUUUGUCGUUAUUCUUCCAUUGCCUCGUAGUUGUGCUUAGGCUGGAAAUUGUUGUGAACCUUCUAGAUCUAAAAGGGCAUAGUUUCUUAUUCUACUGCCUGUUUACUUUUAAUUAAACAUCAAAAUCAAUUCUUAUGUUUGAGUUGGAUUGUAUCAUGCUCUUCCUUCUCAGUUGUUUCUAUCGUGAUGGUGGGUAGUGGUUGUUAAGACAACCAUUAGGCUAAUUUGGGUUUCAGGCUUACUUUUCCCAUUUUACGUGUAAAAUGGCUCAAGCUCACUAAUGAAAGAUAUUUGUUGGCUAGCUAGUGUUUUUAUCCUCGAUUUCCUUCUUCCCCUAAUACAUUAUGUUAUGGAAUUUGUUAGAUACCUAGAUUAGUAUAGGGUUGGGGUAUAAGGGUAAUUAGAUAUUUAGGAAGUUACUAGUAGUUAUUGUGUAAGUGUGGUUACUAGUAGUUAUUAUGUAAGUGUGGUAACUAGGGUGGUUACAUGUUAUUAUAAAUGGAGGGAGGGUAAGUUGGGAGAAUUUUGGGGAGUGAUAUAAGGCUUGGGUGAGAGUACUCAAGAGGGAGGGUUCCAAGUGCUUUAUACUUGGUUUUAUCUUGUAUUUUCUUAUAGUUACAUUAUAAUAAAUUNNNNNNNNNNNNNNNNNNNNNNNNNNNNNNNNNNNNNNNNNNNNNNNNNNNNNNNNNNNNNNNNNNNNNNNNNNNNNNNNNNNNNNNNNNNNNNNNNNNNNNNNNNNNNNNNNNNNNNNNNNNNNNNNNNNNNNNNNNNNNNNNNNNNNNNNNNNNNNNNNNNNNNNNNNNNNNNNNNNNNNNNNNNNNNNNNNNNNNNNNNNNNNNNNNNNNNNNNNNNNNNNNNNNNNNNNNNNNNNNNNNNNNNNNNNNNNNNNNNNNNNNNNNNNNNNNNNNNNNNNNNNNNNNNNNNNNNNNNNNNNNNNNNNNNNNNNNNNNNNNNNNNNNNNNNNNNNNNNNNNNNNNNNNNNNNNNNNNNNNNNNNNNNNNNNNNNNNNNNNNNNNNNNNNNNNNNNNNNNNNNNNNNNNNNNNNNNNNNNNNNNNNNNNNNNNNNNNNNNNNNNNNNNNNNNNNNNNNNNNNNNNNNNNNNNNNNNNNNNNNNNNNNNNNNNNNNNNNNNNGAUUGUGUGGAAUAAAUUAAUUAAAGUUGUUUCUACAAAGAAAACAAAAAUAAUAAAUAAAAUUAUAUGUUUUUCAGAUUUUAUUUUAUGUUUCUAAAAGUUGGAUGUAUUCUGAUCAUACCUUUUUGACAUAUUGUAAAAGGCAUUGAUAAAUUAAAUUAAAAAAAAAAAGCAUUUACAAAAAUUGUUGAAAUUCUUUUAAACAUUUAGGUGUAAAAAUGAAACAAAUAGAUUAAUGCGAUGGAAAAAUGGUUAAAAAUAGUAAAAUAGAAAGAAAAAAAGAAUGUCUCCUCAUGUUUGUAUAAACAUUAACUAUAUAUUUUCUAUAUAGAUUUGAACUUUUUUGUUUAAGAAUCUAUUUAGAUUCUUUCAACUCUAAAAAGUUUCAAUUAACUUUAUAAUAUGCUUAUUUAGUUGUUUAUCUUUAAUAUUUUUUAAAGUAAGGUUAAUAUGUUAUAACUAUUAGUCAAAAACUUUAAUUCAGUCAACAUUAUUUAUUUAAUAAAUCUAUAUAGUAAAUACCCUAUUAAUAUUGUUUAUGCCAUAAGCUACAUUAUUGGAAUUUUAUCCUAAGUUUGAGAAGAAGAAAAAUAAAAUCAAAAGUUAUAACAUAAUCUCUAUUUCUUCAUUCUUCUCUAAUUUGGAAUUUGUUAUAACUUCAACUAUUCUCAUUAGGAUGUAUUUGUGAGUAAUAGUGGGAGUAGUAAUUUUAGAAAAAAGAUUUUAAGUAAAAUUGAUUUCUGAAAAAUGAUUUUCAAAUGUUUAAAAUUAAUUUUGUUCCAAAAAUGAUUUUAGAAUUACCGAAUUAUAUUUAUGUAUCAUAUAAAAUCAAUAUUUCAGGAAUAUUUGAUCGGUAUGGAGGUGGCAAAUAUAUAAUUGUAUAUUUAAAGUAGAGAAAGAAAAUUAAAGAUUGAAGAGAACAUAGUCUCUUUCAAAAUAAUAAUAAUAAUACAAGGACCAAUAAAUAAUAUUGAAAAAUAAUUUUUUUAAAAAAAUUAUUAAAUUAUUAUAAAUAUUAUACUCGUAAGUAUGGUCAGUGUCCAUAGCCACAUGUCCACCCUUAACUAUGUAAUUCACCUCAUGCUUGUCAAAUUACCUAUAAAUAGUUGGAUUUUGUCAAUUUUAAUGGACACCGAGGAAUUCCAAUAACGUGGAGAAAGUGUGAAAUUUUGAGAUUUUUCAUCUUUAUCUUUGUUAUUUUCUUGUUGAAUAUUGUAUUUCUGAGAUAGGUGUUCCAAUUAGUUUUUACAACAAAAUCAAUAUCACAUUUUUUUUAGAGAUAUCCACACAUGAGUAGCAUAACAUAAAAUUAUAAAAUUAUGUUUCCAAAUAUAACAACUUAAAUAAAAACAAAAAAAGAUGAUAAUUAAAUUUAUGUUAUGUUUGUAAGGGAAUAAAGUACUAGCAUUUUGUUUUAAAUUAUAAAAUUACUAAAAUAAUUAUUUACAAUUACACCAAAAUAUUAUAUUUUUUCUUUAUCAGUGACAGACUAUGACAGAGUUAGCGAUCGUGUCACAGAAAGUAGUCUAUUGUUCAUCGACUGUUAUAUUUUGAUAUAUUUGUAAAAAAGUUGUUCAUUUUGUCAUAUUUGAAAACAACUCUUUUAGGAGAAAAAUUAAUGAAAUAAAACAUUGGAGCAUUUUCAAAGGUUCAAAAUGUAGGAAAGUUUUCAAACACAAAUAUUAAAAAUAAUUAUUUUUUUUUAAAUGAGAAAUUGUUUAUAUAACUAUAUUUAAAAUGUUAAUUUUUAUAAAUGUAACAAAAUACCAAAAUAUUUACGGUCCGUGUAACAAAAACAAAAAGUUCAUAAAGUCGGUAAAAUAUUUUCAUAAAUUUCAAGUUUGUCUUUGAUAUUACGGACAAUUUGUCAUUUUUCUUUCUUAUUCUUUGCAAUAUCCAUAUUUUCUUUUAGAUUUCUUCUCUUUUUCCAAAUUUUCUUCUACUUUAUUCAUAUUCUUUUCUUCUAUUUUUUUCAUCUUCUCUUUCUUCUAGAUCCUCUUCCAAAACAUCAAAGUCGUAUGAAUAUCAUUUUUAUAUGAUCUAAACAAUCUCUUACCUAGUCAACAAAAUCGUAUUUAGCAUGGUCAACACAAUCGUUUAGGUUUUAAAUCAUUUUUCCAUCGUUUAAAAAAAACUAUAAAAUCAUGUGGAUAUGAUCUAAAUGAUUGUUUACAUAGUCAACACGAUCAUAAAGUGUGGUCAACACAUUCGUUUAGAUUUGAAGCAUUUUUAUGUUCGUUAGAAAAAACUAUACGAUUGUAUAUCAUUUUCUACGUGAUUGCAUAUCAUGAUCGUAGAAGAAAAAUUACACGCGAGUAUGUGACUGACCAAUUAAUCACGUGUUUGACUGGGAUAUUUUUUGUAUUUUCUAUUGUGGGCUUGCAAGCUUUUUUCGUUUUCAAAAUUGUCCAAUACAGUGUAAUAUUUUGCUAGUUUAUUAGAUUUUUUAAAAAGAAAACCUAUUUAAAAUUUCAUAUGUGGAUGGUAAUUGAAAAAAAAAAAAAGUUAAGAAUUCACUAAAUUAGACUUUUAUCUAUGAUUGUUACUUGAAAAUUAGAAAAUGACGAGGUCAAUUAUAUAAUUUACUCUAAACCCUAUAAAAUCCUACAAAAACCGAUUAUUUUGGCAAGAAAAAUUUUCAAAUAAAAACAUGAUUUGAAAUCAUUUCAAAUUUUAAAAUCCUUCUCUUUUAUGUGAUAACAAACAACGAAAUUUAUUUGAAAUCUGUUAUAAAAUAAAAUCACUCAGAAUUUGAGGCUUCAAACAAAGCUUUAACGAGAUGUUGACUGUGCAUAGUUAAGUUAGGUUGGUAAUUAUUAUUUGGAAAGUUAGAAUGUCUGUGUUUGGAUCUUUGGAGUAGUGAGUUGAGCUAAGUUAAAAGUUUGUGUAAAGUUAUGUUGACGUAUAUGUGGUGCGUUUUUUCUAAAACAUAAUUGAGUUUGUAUUGAGUUUUUUUUUUUUUUCCUCCAAAUGUACACUACUUUUUCUAUAAAAAAAAAUUACUAAAAAAUGCUUUUUUUUCUUCUAUUCCUUCAAAUCUAACAAAACUUCUACCAAGUAAACAUAUAUCAUACUUUGACACCUUAUAUUUCAAUAAAAUGAACAUUUUUCUCUACUCCCUAACCUUCAAUUUUGAACUCUCAGUUAAUUUUAACUCCAUCAUAAAUGUUAGCUAAAAAGAGAACAAUUCCUAUCUUGUUUCGUUGUUUGUCCACUAGUUGGAGGAAAUGUGCAAACGUCUAUUUACGUGUUCACAAAAAAUAGAGUUAUCACUAACGGUCUCAUUAUAGGUGGCCUUCAUCGAAGUUGGUCUCUUGAUUAUAUGUUAGUGUUGGUUGCCAGAGAUGGUUGUCAUUGAAGUUGAUCAUCCAAAGUGAUAUUCAUCGAAGUUUGUGGUUAGAGGUGGUUAUUGGAGCCUAGAGUUGGUCACCUAAAGGUGGCUGCUCAAAAUAUGUCAAUGGAGUUGCUUGUGCAAAGGUAGUCAUUAGAGUUAGUCACUAGGAUUUUCGUCGGAGGUGGUUAGCGGAGCCCCAAGUUGGUUGAUGAAAUUGGCGACACGAAGGUAGAAGUCGAAGUAUGUCACUGAAAUUGCUUGUGUGAAGGUGAUCAUCAAAGUUGGUCAUAUAAGCUCAAAGUUGUCGGAGUAUGUCACCAAAGUGUGGUAGUGGUAAUUGUUAAUGGAGGCCAAUGGGGGAAACCAUUUAAAACAUUGAAUGGACGAAGAAUUGGAGAGAGUUGGAGUAAGUUGGUAAAAUAACCAACUCAAUUCCAUCAACAAAAUAAUUUGACAAAAUUAGCAAAUUUAAUUUUGUAAAUAUUUUAUCAAUUGCUAUUUUUAAAGGCAUCGAAAGCAAAAUAAUUGAUUUUGAAUAAUAUAAAUUAUUUUAAAUGAUAUAACACUAUAAAUAUUGUCAAAUGAAUAGAAGUAUUAAAUGAAAAUGUUCCUAAAUUUGUAAAAGUUUUGAAAUCCAACCUCUCACAAUUUUAUUGUUGUCUUAUGAUAAAUAACCUUAUAAAAUAUUUAUUCUAAAUGCAAAUAUAGCUAUAAAGUUUUACACCCUUAUUUGAAAUUUUUGCAUAUAUCACCUCAAAUAAAAUAUCUCAUACUUUUUUAAAACCAAUUAAAAACGUUAACGAUCGUAUCACUAUCUAAAAUUAUCACUUUUAACUUUAAAUGCUUUUUUUUUUCUUCUUUCUAUAUUUUUUUUCUUCUUUUUUGCUUUUUUUUUUUUUUCAAGUAUAGAGCAUCAAGUGAUAAACAUAUAUAUAACAUAAAUAAAACGUAGAACAUCAAGUAUUGAAGAGUGAGCAUUAAAGCAUCGAGUGAGUAUCUAGUAUCUAGUAUCUAAAAUAUAACAUAGAGAAUAUAAUAUAAAGCAUAGAACAUCAAGUAUCGAGCAUUAAGUACAAUAGAUCGUGCAUCAAUUAGCGUUUUUCAAUUAUAAGUGUACUGCAAAUUUAUAAGGAUGAAUUAGUAAAUUCACAAGAUGCUUCAGCAGUUCAUUUUUGAGUCACUUCUAAAACUCUAGUCAUUUUUAUUAGAUAGGCAUUCAAAUGAUGUUACAUCCAUAUGAAUCACUCCUCAUAUUCGUCUUCCAUGAAUUAUUUUAUAAAAAAAGAAAAAAAAAGCAUUAAGCAUUAACAACUACUCUAAAUUGAAAUGUUGAUACUUCUAUUUCUAUUAAAAGCAAUGAUUGCAACACUAAUAAAAAUGGGUUUAUGAGAGCUUAAAGAAGAAGUGUGUUAGAUGAUUAUAGAUAAAAGGUAAGAUUAAAGUUGGAUAGUUCAAAAAUGAAAUGGACAAAAAGUUAGGAGUGGAGGAGAUAUUAUAUAUUUGUUGUACCAACAUAUUAUUUGUCCUUUUGGCUCCCCAUUCUAAUAGCAAUGAUGCCAAAGCUAUACUUUCAAACUUGAGCUAUACUUUCAAACUUGAGCUAUACUUUCAAACUUGUACUAAAGUCAAUUUGUAUGGACUUGUGCAUUCAUGACUUCAUCAAUCACAACAAUUACUUCCCUUUUCUUUUCUUUUUCUUUUGUGUAAUAGAGAUGUUUAUAGGUGAGGAUAGUGAUUUCUUAUCCUUUAUCUCUCUUUUGUUAAAUUAUAAGUUUAACCAAAACCAUUACAUCCCAUAUCUAUAUAUGAUUAUAAAUAUCAUCUUUCACCUUUAUAUGAAAUAGGUUUUUUAACUUUUCAACAAUGUCUAACAUAGCAUUGACACAAUAUUGAACAUUGUUUUCAAAGUUAACAUAUAAUUGAACUUUGUGUUUUAUAUGUCAAUAUUAAGUAACUCUCUCUUUCUCUAAAUUUAGCCGCAUUUUUAAUUCAAUUAUUUAUUUAUUUACAUUGUUAUUAUUUCUACCUUUCUUUUAUGAAUUUUGUUAGUGUUGUAAAUUUAAUUGCAUUUAUUGUCAAAUAGUGAUGAGAAUGGUAACAGUAACAAGAAGCAAUGGUAAUUUAAUCUUCAUAUAUUGAAUUGGAUGAGCUUUGUGAGAUGAUGAUGAGAAAGGCACAUCAAUAAAGGCUGCCUUUUUCUUUGUGUAUUGCCCAUCACAUACUUCCCAUAAUUGGUCCCCUCAACCUCAACCUCAACCUCCCAACUUCCCAACUUCCCUUUUUUUUUUCUCUCUUUUUUCUAACAACUUGUACAAAUCCUUUUUCUCUACCUUUUAUCAUUUCAAUUCUUUUACCUUUUUCUUUUUUUCCCUUUUCCCAAAAAAAUUCUAUUUCCCUUUCUCUAAACCUUGCUUGGUUUAGGGUAACAUGAAGCACUAAUAUAAUAUAUCAAUAUAAAUAAGAAGAGGGAGAUGAAAGACGAAAGGGUAUUGACGUCGAGUCCAUAUCAGUUUCAAGAGUAGUUUGGCUUUUACCAUGAUAUACCUAAAUGAUAUAGAGGAAAUGUCACUUGUGAUUACACCAAAUAACACAUUAUAUCAGUGGAGAUAUGCACGAGGUGCAAAUCUUUAUUUGGGUUGUUCUUGCUUGCCCAUACGUUAGAGUCUUGCAAGCAUGUGACAACACGAUUUAGAAAUUGGUGGACAACAAAGCACAAGACAUAUUUUAAGGAUAAUAGACACCAUUUGGUGAGCACCCAAACUACUCAAGAAUUGAGGGAGUAACCUAGGUGGUAAACAUAUUCAUUUGGUUAAAGCAAUGGCUCCUACCCUCCAAAAGGAGGCCAAGGAGCUUAGAGAAAAAGUGAUGGUAGCAGAAGUGAUCGUCAUUGCAAGAGACCUUCGAAGAAAGCAAAGGCAUUAGGUGAUGAUUUCUAUGGAAAGGGUUUGAGUGCUCUGAAAAUUCCUAAAGUUUCGACACUACUAGUUCACAUAUUUUUCUUUUCUUGUAUUAUUGUUAUUAUUAUUAUUAUUAUUAUUUUAUUAUUAUUCUGUUAGUGGAUGAUUUAUUCAUUACUUAUUUCUAUAGUCACCUUUAGAUGAUCAUCUUCAAGAGCUUGAGCAAUGCAACGAUGAAUCUUUGACACGGCCUCAUGUUGUGGAUUUGGCCAUUAAAGAAGUUGGUACCUAAAAACUACUAGUUGCUGAACAAGCUGAACAAUCAUGUGCUCUCCUCGAGGAGAAUCGACGUGGUAAGAUGAAAGUGAAUGAAAAAAAUGUUAAAAAUUUGAAUCCUCCAUCUAAAGGAAAUGUCUGCCCCAAAGAAACUUCAGAGAAUGUCAUAUCCACACAUGCUCUUCUCCAGAUUUCUGAGUUGUCUUUAAACACUUCCAAGAAGCAGAUGGUAGGACACCCUGUGCCUUCUCAUGGGUUGGUGAAAAGAUAGUUUCAAACAUACUUCAGAAAACGGCUUUAUGCAUGUGAGAGGACAUUCAAGACAAGAUCAUGUGCACUCUUUUUAAAUAUAUCUCAAGAUUUAGACAAAAUAUAACGACGAUACUUUCGAGAAUUGCGAAGAUCUAUGCAGACAACCUAACUCCUUGUUGAAGAAUAUUUAAACAACUAUUUUAAGAGGGUAGACAAUUUCAAUGUUGUACAAUCUUCGUAUUUUGCGUAGUUGUCGUCGACAGACAAAGCUCAUCAAUUAGACAAGAAGCCUUAACUUUGAUAAACCAAUUACGAAAAGAUGCCAAAGUUAUUCAAGAGAGGGUUGCACAAUUGGCUUUGGAAAAGAUGGAACUAGAAAGCAGACUUCAAAGUAUAAAUACUGAGUCUAAACAGCUAUCUAUCUUAUCUUGUGAGAAGAACGAAGACAUAGACAAGAAAGAACUAGAAGUUGCAAAGAUCCAGAAUGAAGUCAACACUCCGGCUAUCAAAGAAGAAGCAUCGAGGCUCUAGCUACAGUUCAUAAGAGUAUGGAGGCUACACACGAGGAAUUUAAGAGCUUCAUGUGGAAGAUUUGACUUUGCUCCCCUUCCCUUUUUUUUAUUCGUUUUCUUUUUUUAAUUUCAGUAAAUACAAAACUUUGCUUUAAUGAUAAUGAAAAUUUCUUAUUUCAUGUUGCUUACAUACCAUUUACUAUGAGAUUAAGUCAUAAUGUCGAUUACUAAACUUUUUUCUUGCACAUAUAACUGAACUUAAAGUUAACAUUAAGCUGCCUACGUACCAUUUUUAUAACAUUGAGAUCAAAUAGUUUGAUUGGGUUUUUUUUUUUUUUUAUCACUCACCUUUUAAGCUCGUGUGGGUUUGGAGAUUAUGCAGUUUAAGCUCUUGCGAUAAAGAGCUUUUUACAUAAUGACGUUACACAUAAAAUGUCUUGAGAAUCCUAUCAUUGAUUGGGGCAACUUUUAAUCUAUCUCGAUCAACAAUCUUGUAUACUUCAUUUGUGUAAACUUCUUUGACAAUGUAGGGUCUAUUUCAUUUCAUUUAGGUGUGAACUUAUUCCCUAUAUACCUUAUCGUGAUUAUCGAUCUUCUUAUAGCAAGGGAUUCCUUGAUGACAAUCCCAACUUUAGGAAACUCCAUCAAUUGCUGGGAUUCCUUGAUGACAAUCCCAACUUUAGGAAACUCCAUCAAUUGCUUAAGAAUGCUCUACGCAAUGACAGAACCUUGAUUCUGCUCCUGGAUGAUUUCCCUUGAACACUGUGGGUACAGGUCCUAGUCCUGUGUAACCGUCGCUUGCAAUAGAAGAUGUGCAAGUGUCGCUUAUAGAAGAUUUGGAUUAAGCUUUCUUUAUUGUCAUUGGUUUGCUUGUAGAUUUAGAUGAUGAGAGAGAGAUAAGAGGUAGAGAUAUCCCAUCGAACGUGUCAAUUUGACCAAACAAUAUUUCUAAUAUUUGAUCCUUUAAUUUUCUCUCGAUUGAAUGUCUAUAUGUUUGAUUUGAGGAAGCUACAACACAUAAUGUUUUUCUUCAAUCUUGGAGGGUGGUCGACGAGAGUCUUCUUGUUCUUAGGAGAAUUCUCUUUAAACUCGAGAGUCUUCUUGUUCUAGGAGAAUUCUCUUUAAACCCUAUGGAUAAAAAUUCUAUCUCCACAGAUGAGGAGGACUCUUCUAUUUAUAGUCCUCUUAUGGGCUUGGACUUUGUUGAUCCAUGGAUCAGACUCAUGGAUCCAAUCACAUAUAUUUUUGUCAUAUUUAGCUCUCCAACAAGUUAACCUUAUUACAUAAAUUUUUGUCAUAUUUAGCUCUUAGGCUAAAAUUGUACAAAUAAAUAAUAUUUAAUUGAACCUAAAAUAGUUAACUUUAACUUGAACCAACGAUGAAAAUAUGUGAUCAUCUUAUGUCAACACAUGUCAACUUUUAAUUAGUCCUAAAUUCAAUUAUUUGUACUUGGUCCAAAAAUUCUUAAACCAAAUAUCAUAUCCAACAUCAUAUUUGAAAAGGCAACAAAAUCUAAAAUUACACACCUGUUUGUAGCUCACUUUUCAAAACCCUAUACUCAAAAGAUAAAUAUGAUUGAAUAAUUGAUAAUUUUCUAUCAGGAAGAAUAAAUUAGUAACAAAUAACAAUUAAAUGGUAAUUCUAUACCAAGGACAUUGAACUUAACAAAACUAUUUGCAAAUAAAUGUCUAUAAUCUAAGGUGUGAAACCAUUGUUAUCUUAGACAAGAUGGGGGUUUCAUAUGCUACAAAAAGAGGGAUACCACCAUAUGGGCGAGCCAUGGCUGAAGAAGUUUAACCCAGUUCUGACCACCAUGCCAGAGAGAUCUCCUCCAAGUUGUUGCCUAAGACUUCAAACUCUGUAUCCCGAUUCCAUGCUGCGAAAGAACUCCGUUUUCUCUACUGCUAAUCCUAUCUGACUAUUCGACUAUUCCUGCAACAGCAACAAACAUCAAGACUGAUCUUGUCCGGGAAGUUUGUUAGAUAGAGGGAGGUGUCCAUACAUGAAAAAACUUAACGAAACUCAUCGUGGAAAUCAUAAUCGUCCUCAUCAUCUUCGUUGAAAAUGGCACUGUAAAAUACGUAAGGAUGAUCGAUCAUUUCUGCCAAGGUGAGACGUCCAUCUUUAUCUGCAUCAGCCUGUAAAAUAAAGACAGAAUGAAGAUGUUAAUCAACAGAUGUAGUUGCUCCCUCUGGAAGAUGAAAAUAUUUUCCAGGCCUAGUCUAAUUCUAGAUCUUAUGCCUUAUGGUAAUGUUUUCUCAUUUAGAAAACAUUUGCAAGAAAGUUCUUCCAUGUAAAAUGAUAAGAUAAAUGACGUCAUACUAUAUCUUAUGUUCUGAGGCUGAUAGAGAACACUUGUCUAUCUUAUUAAAAUCAAUGAGGACCAUAAUAACAUUAACAAUUAUGCUACAGUUUAUUGAGUUAAAAGUCAGAUGCAAUAGAUUCAUAAUGAAAUCUGAUAAAGGAACUUCCAAGAGAAUAACCAUUCAGUCCACAAAGUGCAAACAGAAAACAAUUGGUGUAAUGACUGCGUUUUAAUAUGACCGAUUUUACUACUCGUAAAAUGAAUUUUACACAAUAUUACUUAUAUGUGAUGGGUGGUCGGUCAAGUAAAAAUUAAAAUAACUGUACAGAGUAUAAAACAAUCCAUGGACAACCCAGCAAGCUCUCACUGAUAGAGGAAAAGAAAGAGUAAAUUGUUUCUACAACCAUACAUAAGAAUCAUGAGAUGUUUGUUGAUGACAUUAAUAUGUGCCACAAUAUCCAAGCAAUAUCUCAAUCGUAAAAGUAAAGCUAAAAAAUUCAUCGACUUGCAUAUGGGUUUUAAGAUUCGUUAUGGAUGAGUACCUGCUGUAUGAUAUAUUCUGCCUGUUGUUUUGCAUAGUAAUGCUCUGAUGGGUGAAUUUUUCCAAUUAUAGGUAACAGCUCUUCAUUAGACAGGUGUCUAUGAAAAACAAAAUACAACACACAAAAUAAUCCUUAAAGUUGCCAAGGAACUCUGCAGUUAUAACAAAUGAGAGGUUGUCCACAUUAUAAAUAAAUUUUGGUUACCCGUCAUUAUCUUUGUCUAGCACCGCAAACAAGUUUCUAGCUGGGCCAUCCCUGGAAUCUUCAGAAUGAUGUGAAGAAUUGUGAUUCUCGUCAUAAUUUCUCACCAUGUCAAACAGUCCAUGGAAAAACUCGUUGAAGUUUAUCUUUCCAUCCUUGUCUGAAUCUCUCUCCCUAUAAGGCCACUCACCAAUUGACUAGUUAGCAAAACCGAUGAAAUGCCAACCCCCAAAAAUAAAAUAAUAAUAAUAAAGGUAGUGCCCUUCCAUAUACACUAAUUCUGGUUGAAAGAUAAGCACAACUAGAUGCUAUACAUAAAUGUAAAAGCUCCUUCAUUUCCUUUGAUUCACAGAUUAUUUUUAAGGAACAUUCCAUUGAAGCAAUUAAAUGAUGUAUAAAAGGCUAUAGAUUUGGGAGUGCAUACACCAUAAUAAAUAUUUCUUGAGAAUGGCAAUAGAUUUAUUUACAAUAACAAAAAUAUCUGUCACGUGUUAUAGGGCAAAAACAUUUGUUUAGAUGCAAUGUAAAUUUUUUUUUUUUACGUAGUGAAAUGUAUCGUUACCAUAUGUACAUGUAGUCUAAAAAAAUUUAACUAAAAGUGCUUUUUUCAUUGUGGACUCAAGAUUACCCAAACAUUUUCAUGGAACUGGUAGAGAGGAUAUCUGCGGUUCGUCACUUCUCAAAAUUGAAUAUAUUAGCCAGUCGCCCAGGCUUGGUUUCAAAAACAUUGUAUGCUUGAUACCCCAAACCUACUAAAGUUCAAGUUUGGGGAAGACUCAGUUACAAUGAAGUGGUUGAACAUGAUAUUCUCUCCGAGUGAUGAAGAUUUUAGAUCUAGUGAUAGACAGUUUACCAGACUCUCGUCUUGAAAUUUACAACAAAGGGAACUACAAAGUCAAUUCUGAACUUCCUGAGCUGACAGAUAUGCUUAGAAGAACUACCAAGUCAGUUCAAAGGAAAAAAGGGAAAAGAAGUACUCUUCAGUAAAUUUGUUCUUGUGGACUUUAAUAUAGAGCUCCUUUUAUAUGCCGCCUCCCAAUUGAUAUGCUUUUGAGCAUGGAAAUCUAGAAAGCAUGUUUCUUCACUCUGCUUUUUUUUAUUUUCUCUUAAGACGGGGGGAAAUAAAAAGUAAACAAAAAAUGAAUUUGAAAAACAAUCGAAGUAAUUGGUGUAAUCCAAUUCUUCAUCUCCUAGCUUCUCUCAUGUUGCCAUCCUCUUCUAGCGAAGCCCGUUUUGUCCUUGAUUGGCUGUAAGAGGGGACUGAUGCCAACAGGCCAUCACUAAGAAACAAUGGAAGGAAGCACAAUCUAUCUAUCCCCAGUGAAGUCGACAGAAUGUUUCUCUUUUUAUAAGGAACGACGACAGGGUUAACAUCAAGGACAAAUGGAACCUCUAACAAUCUCUACAAUGAUAUAAUAUUUUACGACUCCACUUUGAGCAUAAACCCUCAUACCUUUUCUUUUAAAAUCACCCAAAAGGUUUCAUACUAAUAGAGAUAAUGUCUUCACUUAUACACCAUGCAUCUCUCCUUUUUCUAGCUAACGUGAGACUACAUUUGCCAACGUGAGACUUCAUUUGCACCUAACAAUAGGUAUAUUCAGAACUUCAUAAAAGAAAAAAGGCAACAACCUAAGGGCCAGAAGCCUAACCUAAAAGCUCAAAAGGAGGAAAUAAAAGAACCUACAUGAAUAGAGCCUUCCAAUCAGAAAUGUCAAACGAUGAUAAGAGAGGCAAUCAUUCCUACGCCUUCAGAAGGAUUUUAAUUGAAAGAUGAUAACUUGAUAAGAUAGGGGAUCAAAUCAAGAGGGAAGAAUAGAUCCUUCGCAAUGAAAUAACCAAUUAGAAGGAAUGAACAGGAUGAAGACGCGCUACGUAAGAAAUAGGUCUGACUAAGAACAGUUUGAAGUAAAUGGUGCAAAUAGGUUUGGAAACAUAGGUUAGUUGUUUUGAGUAGAUGCUUCCACGACAACCAGCUGAAAGUUCUCAAGAAAUCCACAGAUCCAUAAGAAGAUUUGUAUUAGAACCUUUGGCACUGCUUAGAAGUGAAUGCUGGGUAUAUGUGAAAGGAUGGUUGAAGUUCCCUCACGUGAUCAACAGCUAAAAAUUAGAUGAAAUAACCAAAGUUCAGUUUUAUUGAAUGUACAAAAGAACAGCUAACUCAGCUAGGUGAAAUAGAAGCUUACAUUAGAGUAAAAGAGAAUGCUCUUAGAUUUGUACUAGUUGAAGUCAAAAUCCAAAGGAUCAAUGAAGAACUGUCCACAUUUCAAACACCGACCAAUAUGAAGAAUAAUAUUUAUGUAUAUAUAACCAGGCAUUCGUGGAAGUUAAAAGUCGCAAUAAUGGAAAAACGGACUUGUUUCUGGUGGACAAGAGUACUUACAUCCCAACUGUUUUCAUGUUUCCCUAGUAACCCAAGUACUCAACCUAGAAAACCAGCCAAAUGAUGAUUCUACUCCAGAUUUGGUUAAGACAAAUACAGUCUGAUGGAAAAAGAAAAACCAUCCUCAGUCCCAUCAGACAAUAUGCCCAAGCAAAUAAUGAGUUGUAUUGGUUCACAAAGAAAGAGAAGCACACUAGCAAGGCACGUGAAACUUUCCAGCCAAUAAAAAUUAGAGAACUACGCUUUGCAGCAAAAACUUCUUUAAACCUUCUCUUAGGAAAAUUAGAACAUGUGGCUAAAGGUAAAAAAAAACUAUCGCCAAAGAUCAUCAGAGCUUCAUCUCCAAUGUGGGAGUCCUGAUUUCGGAAGGCCUCUCUCUAAUAAGGAGAUGAAUAAUAUGAUUGCCCUCAUGCAAAUCACAAUUAACCACUAAGAUAAAUAUUUUUGGACUUUAGAGAAGAGCAGAAUUUUCACUUGUGACAUUGUAUUUUUUGGCAUUUAAGGAACAAAAAAAUCCUUCCUUAUUUGAAACUUCUCAAAUCUACUGGGCAAAGAGGCACCGCCAAUGCGAAGAGUUAACAUUUUUCAUGCAGAUUUUACUCUAGGACUGAGAGGGAAUCUGGCUUGGAUUUUCAAAGAAUGGAAAAUCAUUAUUGGGCUUUCUCUUAGGUGUGGUUUUAUGUGCUUGAGAAACAAAAACCUAAAAAUUGCUAUAUAGACCAAAUCUUUGGAACUUUAGUAGAUAGUUUUGGUGUCCAUUGGAGUUUCUGCUGUACCUUCAGGCAAUCUCCACACCAACUGCUUUUUGAUAACUUUAUGAGGAAAGCCAAGAUUCUUCGGAGAAAGAUUCAGAGCUUUUAUUUGUGAAGACAUGGCUUAAAAGAAACCAUAAUUUUUCUCAAAAGAUGCUUGGGAGACAGAAGAAUGUUCCAGAAUCCAUUCAAAAUAAAGCUUCCUUUUGAAGUGCAAGGCAAGUAUUUUGUAAUGGUGAUUCUUUUAUGUCAACAUUGGAGAAGCUUGCUGUAAUCCGGCUUGACUGGUGAAUGAAUUUCCUAUCACCCUAUUUGUACUUUUCCCCCUUAAUGGUAUCUUUUUUGUCUGUAAUAAAAGAAAAUGGCAAUAAAGUAAAUCUUUGUGGGGGUUGAGGGGAUAAUUAUCUCAAAGAGUUUCCCCAUAUUAUACCAAGCGGCUGGUUUGAAGAUGUACAAUCCUAGAGACAGUUGGAUGGAGAAGAUAUAGGCGCUCCUGAAUAUUUUAAGAGCCUUGAACCAAAGAAAAUUUGGAAAUCGACUGUUACUGAUUUAAUGCUUCGAAGAUUUCCACUGAUAUCCCUCUUCCUAUUCCUAACAAGCAACUCUCAAAUCAGCGAAGGAGAUUCAUCAAUCAACUUUUCACUGAUGACCAACCUCGUAGUCAUCCACUUCUAUAUUUAAAUGCAAUUCCCUUUAUUUAAAUCAGUCUUCCCUGUUCCCACAAUGGAUGAAAAGAAUUACAACAAACUGUCAUUCAUAUUCGAAAAACAACGUUCAAAAUAAAAGACAUCUCUUUCUUGAUUCAGUGUGCUGUGUUUUUUUCCCUCUCUAGGUGUUCUUGGAAGUGUAAAUUAUAUAUCAUCAUCAGAUACUGAUGCCAUUUGGAGCCCUUUGAUCUUACGACUGUGAAAUUGCCUUUAGGAAGUUGGAGCAUAAUAUUGUACAUUGGUUUAGCUUCAUUACAAAGUUUUUGUUUGACGUUCAUUGACAAAUGGUAAUGAGAAUUUAUUUUUGUACGUUUGCAACUUUUUGAUACAAUGUCACCAUGAAUCUCUAUCAUUACACCAUUCUGGAGUUGGAAUAGAGUUGUAAUAUUGGUUGAUUAAGUGUAAUUUGAUUUAGUUUCGCAGAUGAAUGAUUUUAAAAAAAUGCUCAAAGUAAAAGACUUCUACAACUAGAAGGAUCCCUAAACUGAAUAUUACAAUAAAGAAGAGAAGAACCCCACAAACUUUUCAUUCAUAUGUUGUUAAAACGAACAAUUCAAAUGUAGUCAUUAACAGCGGAAGCUUGGCAGCAUGAUAACACUAGUAGUAGUUUCAGCAGAGACGAAGAAUAAGUGAACAUGCUAGAAACAAAAGACAUGGAAACUAAUAGAAGCGAAUCUAUAGUAUCAAUAAAAGUUUUGUCAUAAAGUUUCAUUACCGUAUUUCUUCCUCACACAGCCAAUGAAUUAGCUUUGGGUUUUUGCUGUCAGCUGGGUGCAGAAAGCUAAAAGUCCAGAGAUGAAGAAAAAUUAUAAGCAUAUCAAUCAACAUAUCCAAUAAACUUUCCAUUCUCGCCACAGAAAUAACUCUUCAAAUAUUAAAACUUACUCAUUGAACUCGGUCAAAUUCAAAAGGCCAUCUCCAUCCACAUCUGACGCAUUAAAAUGCUCCAAUUUCCACCAACCCAUAUCGUAGCCAAAGGAACUAUUAUCUGGCGAGCAGUUUCAUAAUGAGUAACACACAAAAGAACUGCCUAAAAAGAAUCUACAAGUAGAAGAAAACAUAAGAGAAUUGGAAAAACUACUGUGAAUCUACAUCAUAUUUGCAGCAAUUACAUAUUUUUAGUGUCAAAAUACUUCUCGCUUAAGAAAUCGAUCUACACAUUUUCCAAACUCGAAGUCCUAGAGAUUGGACAAUACAAACCCCAAACAAUUGGCAAUGAGCAAGAUAUACAAGAAUUAAGACUCCAAUCCAAGAGCAUUUGAAGAAAAACAUACCUGAAUUGCGAACCCAACUAGGAGGCUCAUACUCGGAAAACGAAACAAACCCAUCAUGAUUCUUAUCAUGUGUCUCCAACUCCCUUUGAGUCCUAUGCAAAGUUUCCCUCUGAGCCUGAUGCAAAUUCCACUCAGUCAAUUCCUCAACAGUGACAAAUCAUCAUCAACUGGAUCAACAUCAAUCUUCGGAAACAGCAACAUGAGCCGGUCGGUCACAUUGAACCUAUUAUCAUCAUUAAUAUAGUCCUCAGCAUCCGCAAAAUCCUCCCACUCGGGUUGCGAUUCUUCACCGGGGGCCGAUUCCGUCAAAUGCGCCGCCAUCUUCGGAUAGUGUUGCUCUACAUAUUGCUUCUCCCAUUGGCGGUCUUCACGGCGGCGCUCAAUGUGAGCGACAAGAGGGUCAAAGGGGACAGGCUCGUGAUGGUGGUGAGAAGGGGUAAAAGUGAAGUUGGAGCGAAGCUUAAGACGGCGAUGGCGGUGAUUAGGGGUUUUCUUAGGGGAGUGGGAAAGGAGAAGGAGGAGAAGAAUGGCAAGUGUAAUGUAAAUGAUAAUGGAAAGUUUACUCAUUUUGGAAGGUUAAACAAUGGCCGACAAUGGCUGACAAUAAUGGAGAAUGUGGGGGGGAUUGAAUGAAGGAAGAAUUGAUGAAGAUGGAAUGAGAAGGAUUGAGAAAAGGAGAGAAAGACGUGCGGAAGGAGAUUCCUUGAGUGAAGAUGAAAAUCCGAUGAAGUUGUUGAGAGAAAAGGAGUUGACGAUUUGGACUAAAAGGAGUUCGUCAUUGGUGAUCAAUUGAUGACAUUUGUAGAUCUGAUGAAAUCCCCUGUUUUUCCUCAAAGCUAAAUCAAUGAAUUCACAUCAAAAUCUAUACUUCUUCAAUUAUGUGCUAAAUUAUUCACUUUCUUAACUUUCUUAACUAUUUUACCAAUUUUUCUCUCGAUCUAAGUUAUCAAAUUUUAUAAUAUAUUCUAUCAUUUUUUUUAUUUUUUUAAAUUUCGAAUCCAAUUGAAAAAAAUUUGUUUAUAAUUUGAUGUGAUAAGUUUUGAUCUCUACAAUUUGAUGAGUUAGAGAGUCCUUGAGCUAUGGGAGAAUUCUCUUGACCUUUUGGAGUUUAAAAUUUCAAACUCUUACAAUAACUUAUCUAUUUAAAGAGUUAUUUGAUAAAAUUUAUGGAUUUGAGCCUUCUUAGUCAAUGGACCACACUCAUGACUUCAAUCACAUGCAUUUUGGUCAUAUUUAGCAUUUUGCUCAAUUGAACUUAGACCAAGUAAACAAUAUUUAAUUGAACCAAAAUAAUUAACUUGAUACAACCGCUAUGAUGAAAACAUGUGACACUAUGAGAAUUGGCUCAUUUAUGUUUUCAAUUUUAAUUUAGGACACAUGUCAAUUUUUUAAUUAGUCUCAAAUUCAAUUAUUUAUACUUUUCAUCAUUAAUUUAAUAAAUAAUAAUGUGAUAAUUCGUGUUUGUCUAAAAAAUUUAUACUCAACGGUCCCAUUUAUUAGCUGAAGAGUAUAAAAUUCUAUUUGUAUAAUUGUGGUAGGUGUUGUUAAAGGUGGAAUAUAGGGAAUUAUAACAUAACACAUAUCACUCCAAUCUAUUAAAACAAAUCAUCAAUUUAUUAGACGUCCAUCAACUCCCUAACGAAUCAUCAACUUUUACAUUUUACAUUUUAAAAUGUAGGGGUGAGUGGAAAUAUAGCAAAUAUCUACCGAUUAAUUAAGGUUAUAGCAAAUCUUUAAAAGAAUUGCAAGUAUGGCAAAUUUUAAUUAAAUUUCAAGGUAAAAGACAAAAAUACCCCCAAAUACACUUUACGUAUUGUCUUCCAUUUUAAAACGUAUUUGGGAUGUUGCUCAUGGUCUAUCAAUGAUAUGUUCUUGUUAGUGAUUGAUAGAUUUGGAGGAUGUUGAACUUGUUUCUUAGCAUGCUAAACUUUGUGUUUUGUUGCUUAGGGAUAUGGUCUAUCAGUGAUAUGUUUAUAUCAGUGAUAGACUUGAGGGAUGUUUAGUUUGUUUGCAUUAAGACGUUAGUAGAUGCUUUAGUUCAAUGCACAUUUUUCUAUAUGUUGUUGCUUAUGGUCUAUCAGUGAUAUAUUUCUAUUAUUGAUAGACCUUGAGGAUGUUUGGUUUGUUUGGGGUAAGAUAUGUUGGUGGAUGUUUUAGUUUAAGUGUCAUUUUUUAAUCUAUCAAUGAUACGUUCUAUCAUUGAUAGAUUGUAAUAUGUUUAGUAAAUACUUUAGUUUAAUGUGAAAUCAUAUUUUGUGUGUUAUUGUUUAGAGUCUAUUAGCGAUAUGUUUCUGUCACUAAUAGACUUGGAAGAUGUUUAGAUUGUUUUCAUUAUAAUAUAUAUUUAUAAACUCUAAUUCGACAUUAUCAUUUCAGGUUGUUCAAAAAAAAAUGAAAAUGAUGGAAAUAGCAAAGGAUGUUAUAAAUGUUAGGCCGAGAGACAACUUAACCGAUCAAAGAAAAUGUUGGAUAAUGCAAAAACUAGAAUAUUAAGAGACCGAUUUAUUUGUCCCUAGUUUUCAUUUGCAACUCUCUCAUUGAGUAAAUGGAUAUUGUAUUAUUAGUUUUGCGAUAUUUCAUGAUAGAAAUAUUUUAUAUGAUUUUGUCAAUUGAUAUAGAAAUGUUGGACCACAGUUGAAUAUUGCAAAUUGACUGGUUUUCAAUGGAUGUUGAAGUUUUAUUAAUGAAUAUCAUAAUGAUGAAAAAAAGUUCACAAUGGCGUUACCUCUUCAUAUUUAGUUGAUUUUAUCAUAUUAAUAUAGAAAAAUGUUCGAUCACAGUUGAAUAAUCAUUGCAAUUAUAAGCUUUUGUGUUCCCACUAAGAAAUUAGUAUUAUACAUGUUGAACAAUUGCAAUUUAAUAUUAAUUGAUGCAUUUUAUUGAGAAAUUUUUUUGUUAAUAUACAUGUUGAAGUCUAUCAUUGAUAAACUAUCAACUAUAAAUCUUAGUAAAACUAUAAAUUAUACUUCAUUACAUUAUUUCAUAUUACUACUUUACAAUAAAGUAACUACUGCUAACAAAAAAAAUGUUCUCUAUCUUCAAGCAGAAUGAUUCUCAUCAACAACGUAAUGUCACAUCAUUUUGUGACCAAUAGGAUGACAAUUACUACACUUUGAUGAUUUUUCUUUUCAUUAAUCUUUUUUUUUGUUUCCGUGGUCCUUAUGCUUGCCGCUCGUAAAAUAGAGGUAGUAUUACACUCAUAACAUUGAUUAAUCAUCAUUCUGAAUCAUUGCAAUAUAUAUAUAAUAUACAGUUUAUCAUCAUAGUGUUACACUCAUAGCAUUAUAGAAGAUAGAGUCUAUCACUGAUUGACUAAUAUUAGUGAUGGCCUAGGAUACAAGUCUAUUAUUGAUAGACUACUAUUAGUGAUGGACUAGGAUACAUAUCUAUUAUUGAUAUACUACUAUCAGUGAUAACUUAGAGUAUUAGUGAUGGUCUAGGAUGAGGUUUAAUAUCGGUGAUGAUCUAGGAUACGAGUCUAUCAUUGAUAGACUACUAUUAGUGAUGGACUAAGAUAAGAGUCUAUCAUUAAUAGACUAAUAUCACUUAUGGACUAUGAUAAGAGUCUCUCAUUGAUAGACUACAAUUAGUGAUGGACUAGGAUACGAGUCUAUCAUUGAUAGACUACUAUCAUGAUAACAUAGGAUAUUAGUGUUGCAUUAGGAUACAGUUCUAUCAUGGGAUAGUUGCAAAUUUAGCAAUUAAAUUCAAAUUAAUUAAGUAUAUAACACAAUUUAAAAAAAAUUGCAAAUAUAACAAAAUUUGUCAAAUUCUAUCAAUGAUAUAAGUCUAUCACUGAUAGGUCAUGUUGCAAAUAUUGGUCUAUCGCUGAUAUAUCAUAUAAAGUUUAUCAGUGAUACAAGUCUAUUAGUGAUAGUUUUGCUAUAUUUACAAUUUUUUUUAAAUGUUGUUAUAUCCUUAAUUAUUAUUGCUAAAAAAUUCAUUGCAAUUUUCUCUUCUAUCAAUGAUAGACUAACAUCACUAUGCUCAUAUUAACUAAUCCAACUAAUAAUCUAUCAGUGAUAACUUGUAUUCAUCAAUAUUUUUAGGAAAAAAAAUCUCAAUUUCUUUUAACCUAAAAUUUGUAAUAGAAAAAUUCUUAAUAUGCUCAAUUUCUAUGAAUCCUCAAACAAAUGAAAUACAAUACAAGUGAAAUUAAGCACAUUUUUAAAUAUAAAAUAUUGGUAAAAUCAAUUGAAUUGAACAAAAUCGAGUGAUGAAAUUAAAUCAAAUUGUAAAAAUUGGAUAAAGUAAAAUUUUAGGAAAAAAUCACAUCUAAAAAAAUAUCAAAGUGAGAUGGAAGAAAAUCGUGGAGAGAAGGAAUGAUCUUAAAAUAGGAGAAAAUCACAUCGAAGAUGGAGAAGAAACAAUAGUAAAGAUGGAUAAGAGAGAAAAAGACGGUGAAUAUGGAGAAUGGAGAAACAACGGUGAAAAUGAAAAAUGGAGAAAAUCGUGGAGAAUGAGAGAAAAUUGUGGAGAAAGAGAAAAUUGUGGAGAUUUCUUUUAAAACAAUGGUAAUUUCGAAAUAGUUUUUAAAAAAAUACAAAAACGGCUACAUUUACAAAUUAUUAUAUACUUAAUAUUUUAUGCCAAAAAGGUUAUUCAUUAUAAAAUCUCUAAAAAAUGUAUAAUAAACGUGUAAACUUUUCAAUUUAGAACUCUGAACUUUGAAGUCUGUAUCCAGGAGAUAGAUGAAUAUAUAUAAUGGACAUGGAGAAUUUACUAAACAUAAAAUUAAUUAAACAAUCAUAACCUAUUUUACAACCAACUGAAUUUCUUUUAAUGAAUAUGUCAAUUAUAAUAUUAGACACAAAAUUGAACGUUUGGAAAUCUAUUAUAUACAAAAUCAAGGCAUAUAUUAUUAAAGGGUCAACGGCUCCCGUGCCCCUCUCACAUUCUCAAUUUUUGUAUUUUAAUAUUAAUUUUGAAGUUUGAAAAUACAAUACAUAUUAAAUAAUGCUUCUUUAAGAGUAAAUUUAGUUUCUAGUAUAGUGGUUGUCGUCUCUCUACCUCUAACAACUUCUGUUUAAAUCAAAUUGACCAUUUUUUAAAAUAGCAAAAUAAAUUAAAAUAUUUACAACCAGCAAAAUUUUUGUAAAAUUUGCUAUUUUUGAGAAUUCUAAAAAAAAAUCUAUAUAAGACGUGUUAUUUAACAAACUUUCACUCUUUCAACAAUAUUUCACGAAAAAAUGUAUGCUUUUCUUUAUGCAAUUUUUAAAUUCACAUAUUUACGUUACUAAGGCAUAUAUUUGUUUUAUUUUAUUUCAUAACUAAACUAUGGAGGCAUCAUCUUUAAACAAGAGACAAAUACAUGAUGCUGAUAAAUCUUAUACAUAAAUCAAUUUAGGAGAACUACAUACAUAUCCUAGUCUAAGAACUGAAAUUUCUGAAUAUAAUUAUAAUAUUAAAAAAGGUCUUUGUCAACCUUGAAAUCAUACUUCUGCUAUGAAUAUUGUGAAGACUCAACUGCGUAAUCGAAUGAGAGACCAAUAGAUGAAUGAUUGUGCUUAUAUUGAGAAGGAUUUAUUAGAUAAGCUAACUAAUAAAUUUAUCAUGAAUCGAUUUUAAAACAUAAAAAUCGUAGAAGACAAUUGUAAUACGUACUAAAUUAAUUAGUUUUUCUUUACUUUAUUCCACACUUUUAAGAGUUUAAUAUCAAAUAUUCACGUCAAGAUUUAUGAUAAGACUAUUUUCCAAAAAAAAAGAAUUACUAAGCUUUUUGUUUGAAAUUCAAUUUUAAUAAUUUUUCAUUCGAAACAAAAAAAAAUAACCAAAACUUUUUUACGAAUAUAGAUAUAUAAAUAAGAGUAUAUUAGAGAUUAUAUAAUUGAAAAUAUUUCAAUAGUUUUCGUUUAAAAUAAAAGACGCACCUGUAAAAAAAACAAAUUAUGACAAUAAAAUUCAUGUCACUAUUUUUUCUAAAUUGCAAAAGUAAUAAAUUUAAAAGUCUAUAAUCCUCUGAUAGCAAAAUGCAAAAAAAAUUGUGAUGAACUAUUUUUUAAAAAUGUUUUUGUCAUUUGAUGCAGUUUUAACUUGUCAUUUGAUUUCUUUUAACUAGAAACUUGACAUGAUAUGUUUAGACUAGAAAAAAUAUUUUCCAAAAAGUUAUUCCUAUUUAAACACGUUUUAUAUUUCUUUGAAAAUAUGUGUAUGUGUAUUUUUUUAGUUCAUUUGAUAAAGUUUUUGUUUAUAACUUCUUAAGAAAUGGAUGUAAAGUUUUUGUUUAUAAGUUUGUAAGAAACGGAUGUGUUUGGUAAAAUUUUUGUUUAUAAGUUUGUAAGAAACGGAUGUGUUUGGUAAAAUUUUUGUUUAUAAAUUUGUAAGAAACGGAUGCGUUUGAUACUGUUUAUAUGUUUCUUAUUUUUUAAAUAAUCGGAAAGAAAAGAAAAAAAAAAAAACUCCUCGUUCCGUUUCUUUUUCUCUUCCUUCCGUUUCUCCUCUUCGUUCUUGGGCUUUCGUCUCCGAUUCUCCAUUCCUCUUCGUUUAGUUCCUCUCCGGAUUUCCUCUUCUCUCUUCGUUCUCUGGCUUUCUUCUCCGCUUCUCUUCUCAAGCUAUGGCUAUAGUUUUCUCAAACUUCCUCUUCAUCAAUUUCCAAAUUUGUGAUUCUCUUUGCUCCAUCAACAGGAACCACUUUUCUUCCUCCUCACUCCCAAAGCGGAACCUGGGCAACGAAUUCUAGGUAUUCACUUUCCCUUGACUUCCGCUCAUUUUCCUUUCCUUUCUGUUCUGGGUUCCUCAAAUUUUCAAUUCUGAGAUGAAUUUUGUUGAGAUUUAAACCUUUUUGUUUCAGCUGAAGUUUAGUGGAAAGGUGGAUGUUGUUUCUUGAAAUUGAAUCCAUGUAUUUGCUGCUUAUUGUCAUCAUUGUUCAUUGUCAAAUUAGAACUCCAAUCCUCUGUUUUUGCAUUCAAAACCCCUUUUAGAUUCCAGGCAUUGCUCGAUUUAUACUGAUUUUAUGUCCUAUUUGAUGAUAAUAGGCACUUCAUUGGAGGUGAAAACCCGAAAAUUUACUUAUUCUGAGGUGGUGAAAAUGACCAACAAUUUCAAAAAAGUUUUGGGUAGAGGAAGUUUUGGAGAGGUCUACUAUGGUGUCAUUCACGGAGUUGAAGUGGCAGUGAAGAUGUUUUUAUCAUCAUCACAAGGAUAUCGACAAUUUCAAGCAGGAGGCAUGCUAACUUAAAUCCAUAAUUUACUAAUUCAUUUACCACUUUAUAUCAAACAUAAACUGAUAACUUAAAAAAUGCAAGUUGCUUCUUAUGAGAGUUAACCAUAGAAACUUGAACAGUCUUGUUGGAUAUUUGAAUGAAGAAAACCAUAUUGGCCUCAUUUACGAGUACAUGGCAAAUGGAGAUUUGGCCGAACAUCUUUCAGGUAAACCCAAUGGUGAUAAGUUUCACAUUAUUACUUAGAAGAUUAGUCUAAAUUUGAAUGUAAUUGAUGAGUUUUAAGAGUUUAAUUCUUGUUUUAUGUAUUGAAAUCAUCUCUAGCAAUGGAAACUAUGAAUCCAGUGUUUACUUUUGUUGUUAAGAGUACCUCUUAUCUUUUGGUUUGAUUCAAGGAUAAGCUUCAGAUGUAUAGAAAUUAAUGAUGAUACAUGAUACAUGAUACAUGAUACAUGAUACAUGAUCUUGCUCUUACCUUCUUAUCUUUUGGUUUGAUUCAAGGCUGUUGUAGUCUAUAUUUUGUGAAAAACUGGCAUUUCUUUCAAACUUUCAUACAAAUAUUUGUUUUAAAUCACUUCUGUAGACUGGAGAAUAUGAAGAAACCAUAGGCACGUGUCUUACUCUGAAGUCAUGUUUUCUAAUGUAGAGGAAGUCCAUGUGGUUGAAGAAGAUCAACCAUCUGAAACAAAUCGUUGCUCAAGAGAAGCAGUUGAACCAAAAAGGAGUUGAAGCCCAUUGCCUGUGUACAUAAGAUCCUUAAAUUUAAGCUACUUAGAUUAUGUUGUUCCAAGCUCAAUAUCUUAGUUAUUUCAUAUUUGUAUAUAUUGAGCUGUAAGUUUUAUGUAUAUGUAGAUGCAAUGGGACCGAUAAGCAAGGAAUUUAGAUAAGUUGUCAGUACUCAUCGAAGUAAAGAACAAGUACAGGGAAAUGACUAUCCUCGUUUGUAAAACAAAACAACCUUGAAUGGUGAAUUAUCUAUGCCUCUUUCUACUAUCUAGUUUAUUGAUUUUCUUUCUUUUCUAAUUUUAGUACUACAUUUUAGAUAUCACAAAAAAAAUCCGAACAACGUUGUGUCACGAGGUUGUUGAAAUUGAUGAAUUAAGAGGUGAGGACUAUGGUCAGACAAGAAAACAUAGCCAAUGGAUUACAAAGAAUUUGAAAAAAUAUAAAUUUCAUCGAAUGUAUAAGGUAGGACAUUAUUAAGAAAGCAAAACAGUUAUCAAAUACAAGUUUCUGUUUCUGUUUUUCAAGAAACAAGUAUCAAAUAUAUUCCUUUUUUGUUCUAGAAAAGAAACAGAAAAUGAAAAACAGAAAUAUUACUAAACGGACUCUUAGUUAGUUAUAUAUCCAAAAUGUUAUCAUUGAUGACAAAGUAUGGGAAAGAGGUAAAGUUUGUACUUUAAACAUUUGGGUAAAGUUAGUUAUCAAAGGUAGGGUUUGAAAGGUAGGUGUCAUGGUUAAUGACAUUAGGUUAUAUUUGGUUUUGCAGUUGACGGUCAAAAUGAUUGUCCAAGUUGGUCACCAUAAGCAUGUCAUCAACAAUAAUCGUCAUUGGAGUUGAGCACAGGGCUUCAAAAAAUUGUUCUCACAGCAUAUAUAUAUUAUCAAAUUCCUUUAAUUUUGUAGGGUUUGGAAGAUUUACUCUUAACAAUUUUAUAAAAGUUUUAAAUUUGUUAAAUCAAAUUUAAGAUCACUUGUUUUUUUUUUUCCUAAAAAAAAGUGAGAGAAAAUUGGAUUAUUUUCAACCAUCUUGAUUAUCUCAAAUAUCAAACAAUGCUAAAUUGAUUGAGUGAGGAACAGAGUACGUACUUCAACAUGAAUCACGAUCUAGUUCAACCAAAAUCCGGAUUGUAUCUAUCCAAUCUGCGAAUCUCCAGUUUCUAAAUGCCACAAAAUCAGUGAAUCCAAUAAUGCACAAACAGAUAGCAGUUUCAAUCAACGCUCAUCCGCCCUUCUUUUUCCGACGCUCUUUUAUCCGAUCGUCGACAUCUUCAUCGGAACUAGUGAACUCCUCUUCUUCAUCGCCUUCCUCAGAUGGAGGCGAAGGAUCGAGUCGAGCGGCAUCCUUAGCCCACUGAAUCAGCUUCUCAACCUCAUCCUCUUCGUCCUCGCUAUCAGCAUCAUUAGGUAUCGAGGAUGAAAGCGGAGCAGCCGAGGAAGGCAAAGACGCCUUCAGAGCAGCGAAUCUAGCAGCAAGAUCGUCGCCGAGAAUCGACUGAGAUUCGCCAUCGACGACGAGAUUUUCAAUCGGCGGCGGCGGUUGGAACGAGGAAUCGGACUGAAUAUGCGGGUGAGAAGAGCGAGGAGGACGAGAUCUUAGGGCUUGGAAACGGCGAUCGAGAUCGGAAUCGAGAUAGUUAGGGGAAACACGAGACAUGUGAGAAUCGAGGCUCAAUUUGAGCAUCAGAUCGUCUUGAGCUGCUUGUAACAGUUGCUCGAUUUGUUCCUGUUCGUCGUCGUUGCCUCUUCCCGUCUUCUUUCUCGAAUCCAUUUUCUUUUUCGUCGAUUUUUUUUAGCAAUUUUGUUAAAUAAUACCUCUUUCUAGAGACAAAAGGGAUAAAAUUAAAAACUGAAUCUGAAAGUUUGAAAUGGUUAUUGGCCCACUUUUUCAAAAUUUUGAAUUCUACCCCAUCAUCUCACCUAAAUUUUCCAAAACUAACCCUAUUUAUCUCCAUUCUUAUAACAUUUUAUUUAGAAUAACGAAGGAAAAUAGUGUUGAGAAAGUGUUUUAUGUAAUGUGUUUUUAUGUUGGGAAUAUAAGAUUUGGAAAAUAAGAAGCAUUGAUUAUGGGAAGACCAUAAUUAGAACUUGCAUGUGGUGAACAAAAGUAUGUAACAAGUCAACAAACACACGUCGAAAAUAGCCAGGAAUGAAAACACAAAACGACAAGCGUCAAAUCAGCAAAUUAGUGGUCGACUUCGACCAAAGCAUACUAGAACCAUUAAAUCUGUGACGUGAUGUGGCUACACAACAUAGUAUGAAAUUUAUGCAAAUAUGCCGGACCAACAAAAGAGAGAUUUCUGAUCAAAGUCUUACUAAAGUUUUAUCACUCCACCAUUUCAUUGAAGUUCUAGUUGAGAACUUUGAGAUAGAGAUUCUACCAUAUUCUAUUCCUUUAGCAAUCACAAUAGAGUAGACAGUAAUAGAGCCAAAAACUACAAGAGAUUGCCAUUUGUGACUUUGACACACUUACAACUUAGUGAAAACACCAUCGUAUUUGAAGAAAAUUGACGAUCAAUAUUUAAUAUGAUCAAACCAAAGCACAAAUUCAAAAUAAUUCCUAAAGGCUAAAAAUAUAACUAUACUAUAGAUAAAUACAAUAUGUAUGAAGAAAUAAUCGUCAAGAAAAGUUAGGCAGAUUUUAACAUAAGUAUUUACGUUGUGGUGCAAGUUUUCAUAACGGGGAUACAAGAAAAAUCUAUGAAUCUUUUUCAGAUUGAUAAGAGAAAAAAUCAUGUUUUAAAAAAAUCAUUUUUAUUUAAAUUCUUUUUGUUAAGAACUAGUCAAAAUACAUUUUAAAAGGUACCUUUUAAGUAGUAAUUGUCAAACACUUUAAUUUUGUUUAAAACAACUUAGUUUCGUAAUUCAAUAAUACUUUAAAAGUUAAACCAAACAUAACUUAUGUCUUAUUCAUCAACUAGCCAAGAAACUCCAACAUUAUGUAUAUGAUUGGCCAACGGGUGAGUUACAUAUUCAUUAUAUGGUGGUGCUCAUAGAUUGGCUUGUUUCAUGAAGUUGGCGAUAAUGUGUGCAGUAAGUACGAUAUAUGGUGAUGCUAUUCAAAACAGUUGAAUCUUUAGUGUGUGACCUUGUUAUUAAAAGAGUUAAAUUUUUAUUGUUUUUAAAACUAAGAUUUUAAGGUUAUAAAAAUUUUAUUUUAGUUCUUAAACUUUGUAUUUUUUCUAUUUUGAUCUCUAAACUUUUAAAAAACGUAUGUUUUAGUCCUUGAACUUUUGAAAAAAAAAAAGCUUACUUUGACCUGCAAUGUUAGAAUUUCGUUAAACUAAUUAACGAUGUGACUUCUAUAUUUGGAUGAUUAGACUUAAAUUCAUCAUAUUAAUUAAAUUAAUAAAUAAUCAAUAAAUCUUAGUUAAUUUGUUCUAUAAACCUUUUAUGCCAAAUCAGAGAAACAUAAUCAACACGUUUGAAUUAAAUAAACCCAAAUUAAAAACUUAAUUUGAUUGUUUUUUUCUCCAACGCUUAAAUCCCUCACGUUCCCACUCCGACUACUCACCCUUUGUUUAUUUAUUUGUUGAAAUUAAAAUCUUGAAGCAAGUUAGAACCACAUUGAGCAUAAUAAAAAAAACAGAAUUAACAUAUUGGUUUUAACAUCCAUAACAAGAUAAAAUAAACUAGAAAAAUAAAAUAAAUACAACACAUGUAUAUAAACUCUAUGAAAUUGCAGAUAAAAUAUUAUAACAAUGUAUCUCAAAACCUCCAAAAGAAAGGAAGAAGAAAAUUUUGGGAUCGAGAAAGAGAAAAAAAGCACUUCAAUGGAUCACAAACUAUGCCAAACUCAAGACAUGUAGAUGAAAUGAAUAUUGCAUAUUCUUUGAUAAAAUUAAAUUAAAAUGACAAUGCACCAAAAUGGUGACAAUCAAAACCUCGAAAACAAUAACUUCUUAAGUUCUUCAAUAAAACAUUAAUUUACCACAUAGUCUUUACUUAAAACUUAAAACUUAAAACCCUAGAUUAUUAAGAGUGAUUGUCUUAUUUGACAUCCUAGUUAUUCAAUUACAGAAGCCUCUGUCUCGAAGAGUCUUAUAAAAUAAACUUGGUGUACAAUUUAUUGGCGCGAAGAGUCUAAAAAAUCUAAUGUAAAUGCUCCUCAUGCUCAAUUUGUGUCUUGGAGUAAACCAAGAUAUCGUCAAUAAAAACUAUCACAAAAAUGAAAUCCUAAAACAUCUUGUUCAUCAAAUUCAUAAAUACAACAGGAGCACUUGUCAAACCAAAAGACAUCACAAUGAAUUUGUAAUAUCUAUAUCUGGAACGAAAGGUAGUCUUGGGAGUGUCACUAUCCUUAAUCCUCAACUGGUGGUAGCCUAAUCGUAGAUUAAUCUUGGAGAUAACAAUGACUUAUUGCAACUAGUCAAACAAAUCACCAAUUCUGAACAGCGGAUACUUGUUCUUGAUUGUCACUUUGUUCAACUCUUUGUAGUCAAUGCACAGCCACAUCAACCCAUCCUUCUUCUCAACAAAAAAAUUAAAAUUGGUGCUCUCCAAGGUGACACCACUCAGUCAGAUGAAGCCUUUGUCCAACUAUUCUUGUAAUUGAACCUUCAGCUCUUUCAACUCGACUGAAGUCAUUCUUUACAAAGCUUCCGAUGUGGGAACGACGUCUGGCUCUAACUCAAUGGCAAAGUCAAUAUCUUUGUGAGACGACAAUUACAUCAAAAUCUAAACCCUAAACCCUAAACCCUAAAAUUACAUCAAAAUCUUGCAUGUCUAGAAUUAACAAGGUUACAUCUAAAGCACAAUAUGUUAUCUCUAUCUAACAUGCUUUUAUUGUAAACUUUGGAUCUUAGAGAAACUAAGUCUUUGUGAAGAACUUGGAAGAUUUGAUGUUGUUUGGAAUUAAGAUUAAAAGAGACUUGAUUGUGUCAUUAAAAGUAUGUCAUGAUAUUUGGAAAAGAGGAAGUUUGGCUAAGUGUCAAGGAAUUGAAGACUAAGCGAUCAGGUUCAAAGUAAGUAACCGAUUCAGAAGGUAAGCGAUCAUGUUAUCAGCUAAGUGAUUAGUUAAGAGCUAAGCGAUUGAGUUGGAAGCUAAAAGAUCAUGUAAGGGGGUAAAUGAUUGUAUAAAAAGUUAAAACUAUCGUGUAAGAGGUUGAACGAUCAUGUAGAAAGCUAAACGAUCAUGUAAGAGGGUAAACGAUUGUAUAGAAAGCUAAACUAUCUUGUAAGAAGUUGAAGAAUCAUGUAGAAAACUAAAUGAUUGUGUAGGAAGUUGUAGGUAGAAAAUGAAAUUUUAAAGAAGUCUUCAAGGUUAUGUCGGUUGAAAUCUUUUUACAAGUGUUCGUAACACCCGUUGGGUCAAAUUACCGUUUUACUCCCUAGGUUACUUAUAGUCCUUAAAUACCAGUGCUCCUCUAAUUAACAACCUAUUUAUGGUCAAACCAAUGAACAACCUGUUUAUGGUUCAACCAAUAAACAAAAAAAACCAUUUUGUGCCAUAGAGAGGGUAGAGCCUUUGUUCAAGUUCCGAAUGCACCAUUUAAGGGAACACUCAUAUACUUACCUAAAAGUCGGGAAUAAGUGAAUCUCAUAGUGUGUGUGAUUAUGUUUUUAGCUCCCCACUCGAUUUGUCCCCAAAAUUACAAGCAUAUUGAGUCGGUAAUCUGACCACUCUCUCAUGUACAAAUCUAAGGACAAUCCCUCGUGAACAAGAGUUCAUAAUACACUUAGGAUUAAGAUAAAUUAUCUAUGUCAUCAUAGUGAAAUAAAAAUCUAACUAGUUAACAGAAUUACAUCAAGUGGUUACUAUUUCGUGGUCCGAUUUUAUGCGAACUCAUUGUAUGUGAUACUCUCCCUCGUAUGUCACCUACACAAAAGCAUUGAUUCACUGCGUUGUAACAAAUAUAAAGUGAGUCGUAUCCAUAAUAUUACCAUGACAAGGUACCAUGCCUUAUCCCGAUACUAUAGACUCUUUAAAUUGUAUCUCGAACAUUGAUCCCUAUAUGUCGUCUCUACAUAUUGUUUAAUACUCAUCAAACAACUUAGGAUGUUAAUUAAUUAAUUUGAUUUAGGUUACUAAGUCAAAACUAAUAAUAUAAUCAAUAAUGUUUUAUUGAAAUUAUAACAAUACUUUAUUAUAAUAACGGGCAACAUAUUACAUUUACUAUCUACGAGUUUUAGGACAUAAAAUUCAACAAUGUCAAAUGGAUACAUAUAUAUCAAUAAUGAGGGGAGUGCAACUACGAGACUUUAGUGGCAUGAUUCGUUAAUUAACAAAUAAUGAUUAGCUCGGUCUAAAAGAGUUAAUUCAGUUAAUCACGAAUCGUUGAAGUCCCUGAUCUAUGGUCCAUUAGGUUCCCUUGCUAGGUUAUAUGGAAUUAACUUAGAACAAUAUGUUAAAUUAGUUCGAAUAAUUCGAAUAGGUAAGAAGAGGGAAACCAACAGUUAUAUAUGAUAUAAUGGUCGUCUUAAGUUUAGAGGUAAACCUUUAUAUUUAAAUACGAUUUAAAAAUAAUAAAAUGUGAAUGCACAUUCAUAUUCGAAAGUUCAUAAAGUAAAAAUAGUCAAAAUUAUAAAAAGUAAAGGGUUAACUUUUGACUUUAAAAAGUCAAACUUUGACCGACCUUAAAUUUAUAAAUUCAAAUGUGAUUUGAAUUUCGAAAAAAAUGAAAGCAGAUUCAUGUUCAAGAUUGAAGUUAGUGAAGACGAAUAAAAUGAUAAAAGUAAAAAAAGUUAACUUUUGACGUUAGAGGUAAAGUGUGAAAAGACAAUUUUACCAUUUUGACUAAAGUUAGUAGAAAAAUCCAACAUUUUUUCAAAUUGUGAAUGGAUGGUGAAGUGUCGAUUAAAAGACCUAUUCAUUUUGUUGUAAAUGGAAUAAUGUAUGUUGUUACUUUUAAAUGGAAAAAUAUUGUAAAUGGAAUAAAUGUAUGUUGGUUCAUUUUGUUGGAUUAAAAUGGAGUUUUAUAAAAUUGCUAUAUACUCAAAUUUCCCUAAAUAAAUAUUAUUUAAAGGUACGUUUUAAUUAAAGAAAGAGAGCUCAAUCCAUUUAUCAAAUUAAAUGAAAAUAGAUCAAAUAAAUUAAAGAAAGGCAAAACCUAAUUCUCAAUCCACGCCUUUCACAUACUCUUGCGUGCUCCAUCCCCCUCUCUCUUACUCUUCGCGCCAACGCCGUCGCCGACGCCGGCGCCGGUUCCCCUCCCUCGUUCUGCCAGUUACUCCUGCUCGCGCCACCACUAUCACCUUCCUCCUAUCUCUCUACUGGUAUUCUCUCAAUCUCAAUCUAUGCCUUUCUUCUCUCUUCCAACCCAAGUUAGGAUUUUCAAACGAAAAAAAAGAAAAGAGGACUUGCGUGAAAGAACAGCCUCAGCAUGUUUUUAGAUCAAGAUCAUGGUAGUGAAGAAACAAAACGAUGUAAAUCGAAUAAAUCUAUGUUGUUACUUUUUUUUUUUUAAUUUUUUUUGAAACGGAUACUGAACUUCUAAAUGCUUUUAAUUCUGAAUACAAUUCUCAUUUGAGACUUGCGAAAUUGAAGCCCCGACCUAAAGUUUAAUGACUCGACUCGUUGUUGACAUAAAGUUGAAAAAUUUUCCUCUUUGGUGUCCCAUCCAGAUUUAGUUUCUUGUUUGCCAUCGAAAUGGCAAAGGAGGAAUUUAGGGUUUACAAUUCGAUGACGCAGCAGAAGGAAGUCUUCACCACGAAGGAGCCUGGUAAGGUUGGCAUGUACGUCUGUGGCAUCACGGCCUAUGAUUUCAGCCAUAUUGGUCAUGCCCGUGCCGCCGUAAACUUUGAUGUGCUUUACAGGUUUACCAAUUUCUGCAUUCUUAUUUCUUUAUGCAAUUGAUCUCAUUUACUCUAAAUUUUUUGUUUUGGAUAAUGAGGAGUCAUAUAUGUAAUAUGUUCGGAUUCAAUACUCCUUGUUUAUAUUUUAGUGCAUGGAAUACCUAAAGUGAAUCUUUUCAACUGUUUUUCUUCUUCUUAAUAUUUAUAAUAAAUUAGAGAUUUUCAAAUUUUAGUAUCUUUCAACUGCCCUUGAAAGUGAAGCACGAAUUAAAAGGUGUUCCUAUAAUCUAAGUUGCUUAUUGAAUAGUGGAGUCUUUUUUUUAUGUGAGCCAAUGAUAUCCCUAGCAUCUAUCCAACCCUCUUGAGAUUUAUAUAUUUUUUUUUCGCAUUUGGAUAAUUUCUUGAUUCUUAGAUUUUUUUUCUGCAUGUCUAGUGAUUUGUUUGCAGUUUUGAAGCUUUAUUUUUCAUCAAAUGCUUCUUUUUAAAAAGGAAAAAAAAUCAAAAUGCUUUAAAGUUGUAACUAACUUGAUAAUUACGUCCCUGCAGAUACCUUAAGCACUUGGGAUAUGAAGUUACUUAUGUGCGGAAUUUUACUGAUGUUGAUGACAAGGUGAGAGUGUAGAAAUUAGAAUUACAUGUGGGUUUAUAAAUAUCUCUUACAUCAAGCAAGAAGUUGUUAUAAUGAUUUACAUUGGAUGAUUUCUAAGAGUUUCAUCUUUUUCUGAUAUCAGACAAACUGUCGUUUAAAAACAAAAAAGUAAUUUGUCACCUGAUAAAGCCUUGGGACAGCCAAUUUGAAGUGAGAUGCCUUCCAGUUGAUCUUCCCUAAUCUUAAUCUUUCCUUUGCUGUUGAUUUUAAGCCAUGCUAUUUAUCUCUCUGUUUAAUUUGUCACAUUUAAACCAUGAAAUUCUGUUGAACGGUUCUCAUUAAAAAGAUUAAAAUCGAGAGUGGAGUCUUGGUUAGCUUCUUGGCUGACACUUUGUAUGUAGGGUCCUCAAGAGUUAGGGAGUAUGGGCAAGGGGACUUUUGAGACUAUAGACUUAUUUAUUUUUCUAGUGAUCAGUGUUCACACGAUCAUUGCUAAAGUGCUGGAAGAGAGAUUGAAAAGAUUGUUAACAUCGAUGGUAUUAGAAUCUCAGGUGCCUUCUCUAGUGUUUAUAAGUUUGGCUUAGUGCAUCUUAUCCAUCAUUGGGGUUUUGUCAAACUUUGUCUGAUGGGGAAAUUGGAUAGUAUCGAUCUUUUAUUGAUGCUUGAGGAUUUCCAUUUUUGCUCGAAAAGAGAGAGAGAUUCAUAUUUGUAACCAUAGUUCUUCUAAAGGGUUUCAUAUAAGUCCUGUUUUAUUUGUAAUUAAUUCCUCAUGUUUGAGUAAAACUUUUGCUGAAAGUUAUGUUUUUUUUUCCUUUGGCAAAUUAUCUACAGAUGACUUAACUCCUUGGAUAGAUUUUUGAGCAGGGCUCCCAACUUGAUGGCCCCGAAAUGGCAAAUCUUGGGUAGGAAGCAAUGGAUGUUGGUCACAUUCUUUGGAGUGUAAUCUUUCUUAUUCAGUUUGGAGUCUGUUUUUGGAGGAGCUUAGUGUGAGUUUGGCUAGAUGUAGACGUUGUACAAAUAUGGUUGAGAGUUCUUGCUCCAUCAUCCUUUUGGUGAGAAAGGAAGAUUUUGUGGCAAGUUGGGGGUGUGCUAUCGUUUAGGGCCUUUGAUGAGAAAGAAACAAUAGAGUUUUGGGCUUGAGAGACAUCCUGGUGAGGCUUGGUCUUGUUUUUGGUUCAAUGUGUCUUUGUCAGUGUCCAUGGCUAAGUCUUUUUGCUUGGUAUUAUUUUAUUAGUUUGGACUCAUUGGAGGCUAUUUUUUUUAGUUUGCCCUCAUUUUGUGGGCUCUCUUUUCUGAUGCCCCUAAUCUUUUUUUCACUUUUCUCAGCAAAAGUUUGGUAUUCACUGAAAAGGAAAAAAAAUCUUAAUUUCUUUGUUUUUGAUAAUUUUCUAAUGGUAAAGAUAAUUUUCUGCACGGUGAAUUUCUCAGUACUUGAGGUUGCUAUUCUUACAAUCAACAGAUAAUUCGGCGGGCAAAUGAGAGUGGGGAGAAUCCUUUUGCCUUAAGUGAUCGCUUUUGCCAAGAAUAUCUGUCUGACAUGGCUGAUCUUCAGUGCCUUUCUCCAACACACCAACCUCGUGUGUCAGAUCACUUGGAGCAAAUCAAGGAUAUGAUAACUCAGGUAUGAAUCUGUACACCAACCGAAUGAUAAAUCAUAAAAGCAACAUGCACCAAUUUGUCUACAACAUACUUUGACUAUUGUUUCUCUAAAUUACUGAAUCUGAAUGCAUCCAUGUCUCAUGUGCACAAUUGUAUUUUAGAGCGCACACAAAAUUUUGCCCCAUACCUAGAGGAAUGUGAUUCAGAAAUUAGCGGUAAGGAUUCCUAAUGGUAGGUCUAUGAUCCAAAUAUUACUGGUGUAGUGUGCUUACCAACUGAAUAUACUCUCUAAAUGUUGUUUUCUUCUAGAUAAUUAUGACACUUUUAAUGACUAUUUUUAUAUUUGUUACAAUGGGAAAAACUAUAAAUAAAAUGGGCAUGAUAUUAUGUGCUGAAAUUUUAAUUAAUAUUGUGAGUUCAAAAUUAAUGGCACAUUGUUCAUGUGAAUAGAUCAAGUUGGUUCUGUAAGACUUCCAAGCUAGAAUUAUUAUUAAUCAAAUCUUGGUUGAUAAAGUUAUUUUCAAGUGUGUUGGGAUACACACAGAUAUUACUCCUUCUGGGAAAUGGUCUGUAUUUGACAAAAUGCAUUUAAAAGAUGAGUUUUGGUCUUACCCUAUCCAGUCUCAUCUGAAUGUUAUUCAAAGUUAUGGAGGACGGGUUAAUACAAAAAAAAGGCAAUUAAAAUAUUGGGAGGUUGGCUUUUUUAACCAUUAGUCAGAAUUUAAGAGGUUUAAGAAGUAUUUCUUCAACAAUACUCAAUGGUUUGGAUUGCUCGGCUGCUUUUAUUCAGAUUGAAAAAAAAUUGUGUGGUUUUCCUUCUGCUGAAAUUGUAUUCAAGGAUCCAAAGCAGGGGAAUUUUGCCUUAGAUAUGGUGAUAUUGAACGAUCUAAAGCUUCAAGUUUGAUUUCUACCAAUCGGGUUGAUUUAUUUGCUUUUCAAAUCCUCAAGAGAAGGUGAAGGGGUCUGGUUUGCUUAGCAAUAAUGUGCCUGAUUCAUAUUUUAUUAAUGAAGAAUUUAAUGCCAAGCAAGUUAUUGGAUCCUAUCCAUAUUAAUGAAGAAUUUAAUGCCAAGCAAGUUAUUGGAUCCUAUCCAUCUCGCAGAAAGUUUUUUUUAUCAGAAUUUGAAGUCAUUUAAAUAGGAAUGCUUUGGAUAUAUCAACUUCUUGUUGAAUUGGGAUUUGAAAUUACCACAGACAAAAUUGUGGUGUGAUAAUCAAGCAGCACUUCAUAUCGCAUUUAAUCUCGUGUUCCACAAGAGGACUAAACAUAUUGAAGUUGUUGUCAAUUUGUACCUGAGAAAAUUCAACAAGGCUUGGUAUCUAUAUGAUAUGUGAAGACUGGAGAACAAUUAAGAGAUCUUCACGAAAGCGUUGAAUGGAACAUGCCUGCAUUAUCUAUGUAACAACUAACAAGUUGGGCAUGAUUAACAUAUAUGCUCCAACUUGAAGGGGAGUGUUAUAGUUCUAAUAUUAGGGAUAUUCUAUUGUUGUAAAUAUCUUUGUUAUAUUUUCCUUUUAUGGCCUUUCCUACAUUUUCCUUUUUUGGUCACUCUUGUUCCCCUUAUAUAUAUUUCUUUAGAAUGGAAUAAUAAAAUCUGAUUCUAUCAAAUCUAAGUGUUUUUACCAAAAAUAUAAAACAAAAAAUUGUCCUCUCAGUUUUCAUAUGUAUUAUACCUGUAGAUCAAAGGAUGUUUUCCAAAAAAGAAAAAAAAAUGAUUAAUCUAUGGAGCGUUCUCUCCAGUAGUUGAAAACAUUGGAGUUUUACAUUUGUAAGUGUCUAGUCGUUUCUCCUUGUCGGAAGACUUCCUUAUUCCAGAUGUGAUUAAAGGGGAAUUUUUUCUCGUAAGUCAUGACCCAAUCUUGAUUUUUGGUUGAUAAAUUUUCAGAUUAUAAAGAAUGGAUAUGGCUAUGCAGUUGAUGGAGACGUGUUCUUUUCUGUGGACAAAUUUCCAAAUUAUGGACAACUGUCAGGGCAAAAGCUUGAAAAUCAUAGGGCAGGAGAACGGGUUGCUGUCGAUUCAAGGAAGAAUAAUCCUGCUGACUUUGCAUUGUGGAAGGUAAAAAUCAGAUAUGAAUUUGGCUAUGAAGUAAGUAGGAAUAUGAAUUAGUUGUAUAGUGUUUGUAAUAAAUAUAAGCUGCGCAGGCUGCAAAACCUGGUGAGCCAAGUUGGGAAAGUCCGUGGGGUCCUGGAAGACCUGGAUGGCAUAUAGAAUGCAGUGCCAUGAGUGCUCAUUAUCUCACGUUUAAGUUUGAUAUUCAUGGAGGUGGCAUUGAUUUGAUCUUUCCGCAUCAUGAAAAUGAGGUUGCACAAAGCUGUGCUGCCUGCCAAGAGAGUAAAAUCAGUUAUUGGAUGCACAAUGGGCAUGUUACCAAUAAUAACGAAAAGAUGUCCAAAUCAUUGGGUAAUUUUUUCACCAUUCGCCAGGUAGUAUGGUAUUAAAGAAGCUAUUGAAGCUGUUUAACCUUUUGUUUAGUUUUUGGUUUGUCUUACUAUAUUUUUCUUACACUGCAGAUUACGGAAAGAUAUCAUCCAUUAGUUUUGAGACACUUCUUAAUAAGUGCUCAUUAUCGUUCUCCUCUCAACUACACUGUCUCUCAGUUGGAUAGUGCAUCAGAUACAGUUUAUUAUAUAUACCAGGUUUGGGAUCUCUUCAGUCAUUCCAUGGCUAACCAUUUAACACUAUAUAUAUCUUUUCUUAACGAAACCUGUGGUCAGUCACUUAUACUUGGAGUGGUGGCAUAUUAAACUCGCGAUAAAUUAUCCCGAAACCAUCAGUCCUUGAUAUUUAUGGCCUGUUUUUGUUUAAUUGUUAGACUAUGCAAGAUUGCGAAGAUGCUUUAUCACAACAUCAAGGGAAAACCUGAGUGACGGUUUGGGAAAAACAGGCAAAAAAGAUCCUGUUAGCUCUGCUGCUGAAGAAUGCAUCAUUAAUCUACGGUCUGAAUUUCAAACUAGAAUGGCAGAUGACUUGAACACAGCACAUAUAUUAACUGGCGCCUUCCAGGAAGCUCUGAAGUUUAUAAAUAGUACCUUAACCUCACUCAAGGUACAAUUUCUUGCCUACCUCUUGUACAUCUCCGCGCUAAUGCUAUGGAAUUUGUUUUAUACCAUUACUUAAGAAGUUCUCAUUUUAUGAAAUCGAAAUUUGAAAACUUGAAUAAGCAGUGAAGUCAUUGCCUCCAUUAAAACAAAAAAAAAAUAUUCAAACUCAGAGAGUUGCUACUUAAUACAGUGGGAAUAUAUAUGUAUAUAUGUGUAUAUAUAUUUGAAUUCCCUUUUCAUUGUUUUUUUCGAUGUAGAAUAACAAUUCAUGUUUUCUAUUUUAUCAGAAGAAGCAACCAAAGAAACAACAACUUUCGAUGAUUCAGUCCCUUGUCAAUGUGAAGAAGGAAUUGAGAGAAGUUCUAGAUGUUCUUGAUUGCUCUCCACAUCUACUUACUCUGAAGUAAAUACGAUCUAUCUUAUAUUUUUAGUUCCAUAGAUUCAUAUCUUAUUUUGCGUCUUUAAUCUUUGCACUUCUACUGUUGGUCGUUCUCACUCUUCAAAAUACUUUGGUUUUUCGAACUUCACAUAAAUGUAGUUGUAGAUCUGCGUCUUACAUUUAACACAAAUCUUGUUUCCAAAUCUUAGCACAUAGCUUAAACAGAAGUGUGUGGAACAAGUUCCAAUAUAAAUGACUGAAAUGAAUCAUGUCUAUGCAACAUGAAAAGAUAAAAACAAAAUAUUUUGAAGCAUUAGGGAUUAGAAGAGACGAAGAUGAAAAUCCUUAUGUUGAACUAGAAUUUAAAGAGAAUUAAAGAUGCAUUCUUCCACUGUGCAGGUUUUGCAGCAGCUGAAAGAUAAAGCACUGAAGAGAGCAGGGAUGGUGGAAGAUGAUAUACUGCAUUUGAUUGAAGAAAGAACACAAGCAAGAAAAGACAAGAAUUUUGGGAAAAGUGACAAUAUCCGAGCCAAACUAUCUUCCUUAGGCAUAGCUCUCAUGGACGUUGGCAGAGAGACCAUUUGGAGGCCAUGUGUUCCUGUAGAACCGGCGGUGCUGGUUCCUCCAGCGAACAGAAGGCGACUCAAGCAGAGCAAAAGCCAAUGGAGCAGCAAGUUGCUCAGCCACCAGCAGGUGAACAGCAAACAGUUGACAAUGCUCAGACAAACGAGGCAGAAAAGAAGGCAACCGUGCCUGCCAUCUGAUGUUUGUAUCUUCUUCGUUUGUUGAGGUGAACCUAAACAUUUUGGAAGAGUGUGUAGCCUACAUACAUAUGUAGCUUUAUUUAUACGUAAUUUAACUUAUAGGUUUAGUCACUGAAAAUUAAUCCCAUCUAACUCCCUGUUAUUUGAGAAUUUUCAUUUGAAAUAAUUAUGAGCCAAGAAGAAAUUGAUAGUUCAAUUUUUGUCAGUCUUUUCCCCAAGUAUUAUGUCAAACACAUGAAAGAAUUUUAGUUUUCAUACAAAGAAGAUAGUGAAGGAUACUUUUAAGAAUGCAUUGGGGGAGGCCCUUCUUUCCCUUCCUUUAGGCAGGAUUCCUUUUUAUAAAAAAAACUAUUAUUUAUGUCCUUGUGUUCUUUCAUUAAGUCUGGUUUGAAAAGUAUAGCUCACUAUAAUAUGUAUAUAUAGAAAAACUAAUUAUGAUUACCAACAAUAUUUUGUUCCUAUUAUCAUUAAAAAAUAUAGCCCUUCUUUGAGUACUACAAAGUUUAGGAGUUUAUUAUAGCCAAAUGUUACAUAGUUUGUAUUUAGGUUGUAGGCUAUUUGGAAAGAGUGAUUCUAUAUCUGUCUAAACAAUAUGAAUAUUAAAAAGAAGAGAAGUAGGAGAAUUCUUGCAUUCUCUUUUCCCUCACAUAACUACUUUGUGCUUCCACCAUUUGGUAUUGAGCGACAUUAGAACAAUAGAAGCAACCUUAGGUUGACAAGACACAACUUAAUGGGUGCAAGUGGAUGUGACUAUUCAAGUUUAGAUGUUUAUUGGCAUUCUUCCAUCUUUAGGACACUGUCUCUUUAAUUUUAAGUGUUUAUUGAUUCUUUUUUUUAUUAGUGGUUAUUGGUUACAUCGAAUCCAAAAGUUUGAUGAGAGAUAUGAUUAUAGUUAAAGUUGUCCUUCAUUUUUCACUUUACAAAUAGAUUUAUUAUAUCUGAAAGUAACUUUGAAGUUGAAUAAAAAAUAAUAACAAACUAUAUAUAAAUUUCAUGAACGAGUGUACCACACACAAAUAAUUACUAAUAGUAUUUAAAAGGUACUUGUUACGAUCUUAAAUAAUUCUUGUCUCAAACACCCUAGUUUUUGACCUCUUAAGUCUAAACUUGUUGGAAAUAUAAUUUAUUUAUUAUUUAUAUAGUACUUUCAUUAUUUAGCCCGAACACAAUUGAUGUUUAUAUAUAGACAGUGGCAUUUUAAGAACAAAUUGCAUAAGUUGGAGAAGGGUAAAGCCAUAAAUAUAAUUAUAGGUUUCGUUUAGUAACCAUUUAGGACAUGUCAUGGAAUUUCAAACAUACAUUAAUUAUCUUGUUUGUUCCACAAAUUUUCAUAUUUUAAAAUUCAGGACAUUUUUAUCCAAGGAACGUUAAAAUCACAUGAUAUGAGUUUUUUAAUGGACUUCAAACUUGUAGGACUUUUAAAAUCCAACUAGAGCAUAUCCAAAAAUUUUAUAUAGAGGGGCACUAGCACGACUUGAAGCCACAAUCUGAUGGUUGUAACUAGGGGUGAAAUCGUGUUGGGUUGGGAGACAUUCUCAACUCAACCCAUAUUUUCGAGUUAUUUGGGUUGGCAACUCGAAUAACCCGAACUUAGUUUCUAACCCAACCCAACCAAAAUAUGGGUUGAAUUGUCGGGUUGUAUAGUUUUUUUUUUUCGUUUAUAGUUUCUGAUGAUUAUAAAAGUUCAAAAUUGUUACAUUUAAAUUUCAAAGAUACAUAUUCAAAAUUUCAUACAAUAAAUUUAAAGUUUAUAUAUCUAAUUUAUUUUUUUAUUAAAUUAUUAUAUUAAUUCAGGUUGGGUUGGGUUGAACCGAAUUUUUCAACCUUCCAACAAAAAAAAAAAAAUAAUUUUUUUAACCAAAUCCAAUUCAUAUUUUAAUCUAACGGAACCCAACUCUUAUAAUAUGGUUUGGGUAGUUAGGGCUAUUCGGGCUUAACCCAUAUUCUUACACUUAGUUGUAAGAGGUACAACCACGAACAAAUGUUUACAUUUAUGCAUUAAUAAUGUAAUUUAACACUUCAAAAUUAAUAAAAUACACAAACCGAUAACGUGAGAUCCAUGUGCUCCGCUGGUCCCUACAUAAAUUUGCGGGUGCAUGAAACAAUAUUUACGAUUCAAACGAUCUCUUAGUUUCUAAAAAAAAGAAAUUCUAUUUCCUCUCAAUUUCUACCGUGAGUUCCGUCUUUUUUAAUUAAAGGAAUUGAAUUUUUAGUCAAAUUUGAAAAAACAAACCAAAACAAAAUCUUAAAAUCUAUUUAUUUAUUUUCAAUAGUUUUUAAACUUUUUGGUUGACUUUUUUUAUAACAUUGGUAAAAUAGUAGGAAACAAACAAACAAAUUUAGAGCUCUAAAAACAAAAAAUUUAGAGUUAGAAAAGGUUAUAGGCUUAGUUUCAAAAAAAAAAAAUUAAAACCAAAUAGUUUUUAAAUAAUGUGGUUUUAAUUAAUUGAAUUGCAUUUUUGUUAAUUUAUCAUCUAUAUAUAAUUAUAUAUAUUUGGUGAAAAAAAAAGCCUUUAAUCGCUAUUUGGGUCUUAAUUUUUAUUUUAAUCUUCAAGGUUUUUUUAAAGUUUACAUUUCUAAUCAUUUUGAAUGUCAUUUCCAUUUGAUAGUUAGAUUUAGAAAAUGUUAAAUUUGACGUUGAGUUUGAGUUUAGUUUUCAUUUAGUCUCCAAAGAAUGAUGUUUUUACACUUUUACUCGAGCUUUUGUUAAUGUUCACUUUGCUUUGUUGGUAAAAUGUACAUCUUAAAACUAGAUGUAAUAUGAAAUAAAACGUAAGACUCAAUAGCAUGCUUGAUAUUUCGAAUUUCAGUAUCACAUGAAAAUUGUAAUAUUCAAAUGUAGAUCCCUAGAUUUAACAUCCAUGGGCUAAAAAAUUAUUGUCAAGUUUAUAAAUAUUAUAUAUAUUAUUUUGAGCGAUUAGGGAAAGAUAUGAUCGAGGAGUUACAAAGCCCACCAAAUCGAAGGCGGUUGAUCGAAGAUAAGGAGAGUACGCGAUCAAUUCGGUUUGGAAAAAAUCCAAACUAACAAACAUUUUGAAAAAUUUUAAAUGCUUAAACGAUCUAAACCAAUAGAUUGCCUGACUUAAUGCCGAUUUGUACUCCUUUAUGAUUGAGGUCAGUUUGAACAUUACUAAUUAAUUAAAUCGAUCAUAGUUGGUUUAGUGUCAAUUUGAUUAGAAAAUCGACUUCAACUAACCGAUGCUCACUCCUAUGAACUAUAUUCCUACCUGGCAACAAAAUGAAUUGUCUAGACACAUCGGUCUUUUUGCUUUCAAAAAUUAGGUUAUAAACCCUUUCUUUUGAACGUUUUUUUUUUUUUUUGCUUCUAAUUCUUAGGAUCUUUUUAAAAUUCGCUCCAAAUUUUAAAAUCAAGAAUUGAAGUAUUUUUUUGGAAAGGGUAAAAAUGAUAGCAAGAAAUCAUGCACAAUCUUUGAAAACAAAUAUUAAAGCCCUAUAUUUAUAACAAUUUCGUUUUCAUGUUUAUGUUUUGAAAAAGUUUCCCUUCCAUUCUUAAUUUGGUAGAUAUCAAAGCUUUUGGUAUUUGUAGAUAGCACUUUAAGAAGUGAUUGAUGGAAGAGAACACAGUUUUAUGUAAUAUGAUGGACUUAAAAAUUGUGGACAUGGCUGAUGGUUGGACUUAAAAACUUGUCCAAGUGAGUUUUUGUUUUAAACCCACAUUAAGAAGGCCUUUAUAGGCUUCUUUUCACUUAAGAAACUAUGAAUGAAAUUGGGUAAAUGAAAGCAUGGAUGAAUGUCAAUUUCAUGCACUUAAAAAAUGGAGAUAUAAACAAUCAGUUUUGAGAAAAAAGAAAGAACAGAAGUUGUGAUGAAGGAAUGUUGUUGAAUCAAAUGUUAUUCUUUCAUAUAGUCUCCGUUUUGUAGCCCAGUUUGUUGUGUGAAUGAAUUACAUCUUUUAAGAAACUAGAAAGCAGCCAUGUGGACAAUUUUUAAGUCCAAUUUUGUGCACUCAAACACCAAAAAAGUAUAUAUCUUAUGAACUUAUAAGCAAACGGAAAUACAAUAAGUUUAUUCCUCCUUAUUCCUUUUUAAUCUUUUCUCUUCCCCUCUCAAAUUCUCUUUUUUUCAAAAUAUAAAUAUAUUCCCUUUUCACUUUUUCACAAAAAAUAUAUAUUUAAUUAAUUGUAAUUCCCAAAUAUUUCGUGAUUGUCUGUCUAUUUGAUUGCACGACCCGUUUUUGUUUUGGUUUCCAUUAUUUUUCUUAUUUUGCAUUAUGUUGAUGUAUGAUGUAAUUGACGUUUAACUACAUUUCAAUAAUUUUUUUAAUAUGUAUUUCAUUUCGUAAAAUUUGAGUAAAUUAAAAAAAUGGUAUACAAUUUGUUGUUUAUAUUAUAUAUAUAUAUAUUGAAACUGGAGGAGUAAAAUGAUAUAUAUAAAUUGGAGUUGAAUAUAAGUGAAAAGGGGAAAAUUUGAAAAGAAAAUGCAAAAGAAAGUAGAUGUCGUUUUGUAGGAACACUUUGAUAUCUUCGAAGGCGCCCGCCCUUUGUUGUUCGCUUUUUUUUAGUGUUAAAAUACACAAUAAACGCCGCCGUUAUUCACUUCAACAGAGAGCGAACUAGCCGGAAAAAAAUGUAUACCAACUCCGGCCACAUUAACGGCUUUCACGACGGCAGCUCCUCCUCUUCGAGAAGCGUCCUGGAACCGUUCAAAAGGUCGGCCUCGCCGGGGAAGAGGUAGCCGGCCAUCCAGUGGCGGCGGAAUGAGGGUUUCUGAAGACAAGCAGCCGACACAAGUGGAGGGACCUCCUUGUACUGACUUCGACAUGGCUACUUCCAGUCCUACUCCCACGUUGGUAUUCACGAAGAAAUGAUCAAGGUUUGUUUGGUUUUAUUGUUUCCUAUUUGUGAGAAUUGCUAAAUGAUGCCAAUUUCCUGCAUUAAUUUUUCUCUACUAGAACCGCUGAAACUUUAUCUGGCCCCUUCGGGAUAUCUUUCUAGACUUAGUAAUUGAUAUAGAAACUUUCAAGAAAGACUGACCCAUGGACACCAUACACUUACUGGGACUUUUAUAUAUAAGAAUUCUGAGAUGAUGUCCUCCCCAGCAAAUGACGACAAGAACACCCACUAAGGAGCUGAUGGUGAAGGAACUAUGGACUGAGCUCUAGUCUAGUGUUUUGGUUUAGGGAAAGAAUAUAAAUGCUGUCAAGAUUUGCCUAAAUGAAGAGGCUCUUCUCUGUUCAUCUGUCCUCAAUGGUCUCCUCGAUGAAAAUACUGUCAAGAAACUUUAUCUUAGAAAUUUAACACCUUUAAAGCCUUUGAAGACAUCACAUAAAGUCGGCUUCCUUGUCAGCCAUAUUCUUUAAAUUUAACCGAAACCCAGUUGCCGAAAUUGAAAGAAACAUGCUUGGAAAUAUUGGAGAGCUUGGACAUGCGAUGGUAUGAGCUUUUUCAUAUUAGAACCAGGCCAACACAAGAAAAAUCCUUACAGUAUCCACAUUAUUCUUAUGGUUGCAUCCAAGAGUAGCCUUUCUAAAUGUUUUGAGUUCUUUUUAAUUAAUUUGUGUUAAUUAUUUAGAAUGAAUGAACUAUAUUAGCUAAAAAUACACUUAAGUUUAGAAAUUCUACUGCAAUCGUGUUGUUCUUUCUUUACAUUGAUAUAUAUUCUGAUUGAAAUACCUAUUUUCAGGAUAGUGUACGGACGGAAACAUAUAGGGCGGCAAUCAUGCAACAUCAGAGUUCUAUUGCUGGCAAAGUAAUAAUUUGUCUUAAUGCUAUUAAAUUUGUUUCUUCGUCAUUUGUUUAAUGAAAUAGUUUUGCUAAAACAUGAUUUUGGUCCCAUUACAUUGGACUUGUUCUACUUUAGUCUGUAUAUUUUCAUAGUCCUUAUACUUUUGAUAGUCUUAAGAACAGUCCCUAUUAUUAGUUUGUUGUUGAUUUUUCUAUAAACAUCUAGUCUUUAUUAGCCUUCCCUCCAUGAAUUUUGGAAUCAUAUUCACAUGAUGUUUAUUCUUACCAAAAUUAUUAUUGUUAUUUAAUCAAUAUUGAUGUUUAUUAACUUUGAAGAAUCUAAUUUAGAAUUUAUUGAAAGUGCAUGGACUAAUAUGGAUUGAAGUCCAAAGUACAAAGAUCAAAAUGGUAUUCUAACAUGACAGUCUCUUGUCCAAUUUUCUUUUGUCUUUUUCCUUUUCUUUUCAGAUAAAAGAAAUAGAAAUUAUCAUCAAUAGUUAAAAUUUACAGAUGGAUAAUGAAAAGACAUCUUCCUUUAGGAGAAGACCAUCCUCCUAAACACAGGAAAUUACAAUUUCAUAUUAUGAGAAAAAAAAGCUCGACUUUUUUUAAGAACCAAAACAUCAUGAAAAUGCCCCCAUGUCCCCAACUGGGAAUAAUUACAUUAUGAGAUGAAUUACAAGGAAGAGCUUGGAACAGAACACCACAAAAAGGUUUGUCCCUUUGGCUAAAUCCACGUUUUCACCCCUACUUCAAAAAAAAAACAAAAAUAAAGUUUCGUUUCAGAUGUCCCAAAUAACAUUUUAUGGCAUUUAUCCAUCAAAGCACCGUGCCACAAAGUGGCUAAAAAAUAUUGUCAUUUGCUCUUUUUUCAAACACUCAUGUAACACAAAAAAUUCUUAAAAUCUAUUCUGAAACUUGCUACUGUAUAAACACUGAAAGCUUAGUGUCCUUGUUUUCUUUUGCUUCUUUUUCUUUGUGCUUUCUUUCUGUGCUGUUAUAUUUUCUUUUCUUCCCAUUUUUUUUAAUGAAGUUGGUUUUUAAAAAAAAAUAAAAUAUGAUCGCAGAAAAAAUAGAUGUAUUUGGUCACGAUCAGACCUCUGCUUUAAUAUAGAGUAGAGCAAACAGAUUAUCGAACUGAAUAACAUAUGCUGAUAUUUCUUUGAUACUAUGCCACCCAAAAAGGAAAACAGUCUAUAAAUAGUAAAUUUCAAUCUAAUCUAUGAUCUUUGGUCUUUCUCUGCUAUUCACGAAGUUUCUUGUCUUUGACUCUUGCACUCACUAUGCAUUAUUUUUUACUCUAUCAAAACAGGGUUAAGAUACCGGUUUUCAUUUGUAUAGUUCCUUAUACCCAUAUCUGGAUCUGUACUUGGUUUCCUGUUUAUUUACUAAAGUCAGUUGAAUACAGGUUGUAAUGGAUGUUGGCUGUGGCACUGGAAUUCUCUCCAUAUUUUGUGCUCAGGCUGGUGCAAGGCGUGAGCUAUGCUGUACCUAAAUGUGUUUUUUCAAAAUUUUUAUUGGAAAAACGCAGGUGAUCUAUUUUGAAAUUGUACUUGAACUCUUAGCUUUUCUAAUAGUGAGUAUUUUCAUUUUUUAAUAUUGGUUGCUGUAGGUCCUAGACAUCCCUCUCUUAAAUCCAAUUCCUUGAAAUUCACUCAUAAACAGCCUUUUUUAAUCGUACAUUUCUAUAAAAAAUUGCUUAGUUAUUACUAAACAAAAAGUUUAUGCAGUGAAACACAAGGGAGUGCCCAUUACUAUCAGAACUUGAUACAUGCUAUUAUCCAAAUUUUGAGCAGAAAAUAGGAAAAAUCAAGAGUAUUUUAAGAAGGGGUGGUGUUAGAUCAUUCUCCCAUUUGUUUUUUUUAUUUCUUUUAAUAAACAGAUUGGGUUGGAGUGGAAAGCCUGGUUUAGGGAUUUAGCUUGAUGUACCUUUUACUAGUACUAGGAAUUUAAUCCUGCUGUUUUAUUCUGUUUUUAAAACUUUAAAAAUUUUAGAAAUAAACUUAAUUUGUUAAUCUGAGAUUUGGAGUAAAAAUACUUAUCACUGUGCAACUUUCUUGAAUACACGUUGUUUCUCACUCUUGUCAGGUUUAUGCAGUUGAUGCAAGUGACAUAGCAGUGCAGGUAUUGUUCCAGUAUGAUAUUAGUAUCUUAGUUAUUAUUAUGGUUGUUAUUGAAAGUAAAGACAUAGAACAAACACAAAUUUACGUGUAAACUCUACUACAGGGAGAAAAACCACGAUACUUAUAUUUCUUAUUAUUUUCUUAUAUAAUAAAGGUACAAAGGGGGAAGUAUUUAUAGGCAAAAUGAGCCUUAUUAAAAUAAUAAAAAAUUAGGCAAAGUAAAUCUUAACUAACCUUGGGCUUUCAACAUGACCUAACCCACUAUUUCUAACACUAUUUCUAACAGUAGUAAAUAGUAUACUGUUGAGCUUUAAACACUUGUGUGUUUCUAGAUAUCACUUUCUUGAUUCUUGUUACCUGAAAAUUCUUUUUGUAAUAUACCUCACCCAUGUUUUGCUUUAUUCGUAAUCACCACUUCUUGCAUUACCUUACGCUAAGCCCUUUUAUCUUGGACAUUUUUUUGUAUGUUCUUUUAAUUUUCUCAAUGAAAGCUUGGUUUCUUACCCCCCCCCUCCAAAAAAAAAAAAAAAAGAAAAAGAAAAGAGGAAAAUUGUUCUUACCAAUUUUUCUUUUAGUGGUUUAGUAUCAAUUGCAAUCCUACUGGAUUAAACCAUAGCCUCAUCUCGUCAUUACUAUUAAAAAGAAUCUUACAUAUUGAUGCAUUUUGUUUCAUUCUUAGUUAUCAGUGUGUGCUCCACCUGCAAUUGUUAUAAAUAUUAAUUUAUAAACGUAUUUUCAUUAAAGAUCCUACUUAGACAUCUAUGAAUCAUGAUAAAAGCAGAAUUUGUGCUUUGGGUCUGAGUUGAUUUUGCUUUUCUUUGCAGGCCUCAGAAGUUGUUAAGGCUAACAAUUUAUCGACACAAUCAUUGUAUUGCACAGUAGAGUUGAGGUGAGCUCUUUUAGUUGCAAUGGUCUUUGUCUUAUUGAUCUGUUUAAAAUGUUUCCAUUAUUUGAAGAGUAUAUUAAUGAUUCGAGUCGUUUCUGGUGACCUUUUUUAAGGAUACAAAACUUUCCAUUAAGGAAAUUAAAGAGAUUAAUGCUUAAAAUACACAAUAUUAAGUAAACAAAUGAAGACAAAGAUCCUCAGGACAAAUAGAAGACAACAAAUCUAGUAAGGUAAAUGUACAAGACUAAUAAGACCCCUUUUUUCCCCAUGAGAAGAAUUAGAAGACUUUUAGAAAGUUCAAAUGAAGCAUUGACUCCUUGCUUUGGUUGCCAUUGCCUUUUUCAAUUUUCAAGUUGGUUAAAGAAAUGUCUCUAUUCUAAGUUAUUGGGAAUCCGUGUAAAUCAGCCAAUCUUCAUCUAAAUAGUUAAACUCUGAAAGUGAUCUCUCUAAAUUUACAAUUAUAGUUUCUGUUCCUAUUGGCAUCACAAGUACAUGAAGUUUUUCAUUUUUUCCCCCUUUUUCCUUUUAGUAAAAGGAAAGAGAGUUUUAAUAUUAGUUAAUACAACAUUAGGUUAUUAGUAUAGUACUUAGUUAUUGCCGAGUUGAGUACAUCUCAACUAGUUAAGACAUUUACUAACAAAACAUUAGAGGCUUAAAUCCCCACCUAUACAUUUUUUUAAUGCAAUUGGUAUCAAAUCCCCACUCCCUAAACCAUCAUGGGUUGACCUAGUGAAAAGGGAGACAUAGUCUCAAUAUCUAACUAAGAGGGCGUGGGUUCAAUCUAUGGUGACCACCUACCUGAGAAUUAAUUUCCUACGAGUUUCCUUGACGUUCAAAUAUUGUCAGGUGGGUUGUCCCGUGAGAUUAGUCAAGGUGCGCGUAAGCUUGUUCGGACACUCACGGAUAUAUAUAAAAAAACAAAAUCUCCACCCCCUAAACCCCAUGCAUGUUGAUAACACAUACAUCAUUUAGCUGUUUAUAAUUAAUUAUUUAAUAGUUUUGAUUAAUUUGUUAAUAAAUAUCAGUAGCAGUUGCAUUGUUGACUUUUUUCUCCUAAAAUCAUGCAGGAUGUUCAAAUUGAUGAGGGUGUGGAUGUUAUCAUUUCUGAGUGGAUGGGAUAUAUGCUUUUAUACGAGGUGAUUAUGUUUAGUGACUUGUAAAGCUGGAAAUAACUACCUUAUCAGCAUGUUUACACUGAUGCUUUUAAGGAAAGAACCAUUUUUACUUUAUGCUCUUUAUUGAAUAGUGGAGUUUUUGCUAUUGCAGAGCAUGCUUGGAAGUAUAAUUUACGCUAGAGAUCGGUGGUUAAAACGUGAAGGCCUGAUACUACCAUCAAAUGCAACAGUAUCUUGCUUUUCUUAUAUUUUCUUCAGUUUUUAUCUGUUGUGUAACACUGGUGGCAAAUUUUCUCCCUUUGUGGCUUUUACUUUCAUUGAGUUAUACUAUGUGUUAGAAAUAGUGAACUUGGGUAAUUGUUGAAAGCCUAAGGGUAGUUGAGAUUUACUUUGCUCUAAUUUUUUAUUAUUUUAAUUAGACUCGUGUUGCCUAUAAAUAUUUUCCCCUUUGUACCUUUAUUAUCAUAAGAAAAUAAUAAGAAAUAUCAACAUCGUGGUUUUUCUCCCUGUACUAGGGUUUCCACUUAAAUUUGUAUUUGUUCUACAUCUCUACUUUCAAUAUGGUAUUAGAGCGUGAUAUCGAAAAAACCCUAGACAAUCAAACACUUAAUGGAACCCUAGCAGAAGGGAUAGCCAUUGAAUCAGUGUAGCUGUCGCUGCCGCAGUUGAUGUUCGGAUUAGCGUCGCCGUGGAUGAGUGGUUUCGGCGUCUUUAGAACCCAUAGGCUAGCCUUCUUACCCAGUCGCAAGUGUUAGACAACCAGCAGCCUUUAGCUGCAUAGGUCUCUCACGCACCGUGAAUUCAGAUUCCCUCAUACUCGUUGCCUGGCCCUCACGCAUUGUCGUCUACACCUACACCUUCAUUAUUUGCGCUGCAAACCCUAGUGGCUGCUCCGAGAUUGGAAAUCCAGCCCACUCAACCUUUGAGGUAGGUGAGUCCUCAACGCAGUUAAUGGCCCAUGGGGAGGUUCAUCUCUCGGAAUUGCUCAACAUUAGCUGGACAUGCUACGACAACAUAUUGCAGCGAUUGAGGCAACGCCAGGGGCUCCGUCCAAUAACCAUUUGACCCCACUGGUGUAUUUUGAAAAUUUGGUAACCUCGCUCUAUGCUUUGUUCUCUUCUCAUGUGUCUAAUCCAGUGGCACAAUCUACAAGAUAUUUUCUAGGUGAGAAAUUGAAUGGUCAAAACUAUUUUUCGUGGUCCCAGUCUAUUAAAACGAUCUUGGAGGGCACCACAAGUUUGGUUUCUUGACCUGGGAGAUACCUAGUUCUAUAUCUAUAUUGGGAGACCCUCAGGAACGAUACUGGAAAUGGGAGGACUCUUAUUCGGUCCACAUUAAUCGAUAGUAUGGAACCAUGGAUUGGCAAGCCUUUAUUGUAUGCUGCAACUGUUAACGACAUUUGGGAUAUGGCUCAACAAUUGUACUCCAAACGUCAGAAUGACUCUCGUUUAUACCCUCUUCAAAAAUAAGUUCAUGAAUGCAAAUAGGGGACACUGGAUGUGACAUUCUUCUUCAACAAACUUUUUCUUGCUGGCAGAAAAUGGACCAAUGUAGAGAAAUUGUCUAGAAUUGUCCUAGCGAUGGCAUAUAGUACUCUAGGAUCGAGGAGGUUGACAGGAUAUAUGUUUUUCUUGCAGGUCUUUUCGAUAUUGUUCACGAACGUAUACUAAGCUAAGACCUAUACCCUCCUUGAUGGAGGUUUGUUGUGAGGUUUUCCUUGAGGAAGAUGGUAUCAGUGCUAUGAGUAGUCUGACAAACCCGAUAUUGAUUCCACUGCCUUCUGUGCGAGGUCCCUUAGUCAUGACAAUGAUAAGCACAGUGGAAAACCAAUCCCUGUCUGUGAACACUGCAAGAAAUAGUGGCAUACCAAGGAGCAAUGUUGGAACUACAUGAUCGUUUGUCCUCUAGGAGAUAAGAAACGCCCUUUCAACGACAAACAAAACAUGGGGCGAGCUUAGGUGAGUGACUCUGCUAGCCCUUCUCAGCUACCUGGGGAUCCUAGUCCGACUACACUAGGGAGCUAUUGCCUAGUCAAUUAUACCUCAGUCCUUCAGUCUUAUUAGUGUUGAUGGAAGAAUCCCUGGACUCUGAGCUCUGGCGCCACUGAUCAUGGAACUAGAUCCUUAGAACAUCUUGUGUCUUAUAUUCUAUGGGCUGGCAAUGUGAAGAUACAGAUAGUAGAUGGUUCCUUGGCUCCCAUUGUCGGGAAGGGGUUGGUUUUUCCUUUUGAAGGAUUGACUUUACAUAGUGUGUUGCAUGUGCCCCAAAUUUCCUAUAAUCUACUGUCUAUAAGUAAGCCUACUCGUGAAUUAAAUUGCAAAGCGAUAUUCUUACCUGAUUCUGUUUCGUUUCAGGACUUGAGUUCGGGAGGAUGAUUGGCACUGCUCGACACAGUAGGGGACUCUACCUGCUUAAUAACACCUUCUCUAGUAGCAUUUCUAGAACUAGUCUUUUAUCUUCAUAUUUUACUAUUUUAGAAAAAGAUUGUAUAUUGUGGUAGUUUCGUUUAGGCCACCCCAACUUUCAAUAUAUGAAAUAUUUAUUUCCUCAUCUUUUUUCUGAAGUUGAUAUUUCUACCCCGUCUUAUGAUGUGUGUAUUUGAGCUAAACAACAUCAAGUCUCCUUCCCUCACAACCAUAUAAGCCAACUCAACCUUUCAUUCUUGUCCAUAGUGAUGUUUGAAGACCGUCCAAGUUCACUACCUCCUCUGAUAAAUGGUGGUUUGUUACCUUCGUUGAUGACCGCACCCGCCUUACUUGGGUUUUCCUCAUCUUCGACUAAUCUGAAGUCAUAUCCACAUUCCAAAACUUCUAUCACACCGUAGAAACACAAUCCAAUGCAAAGAUUGCAAUCCUAAGCAGUAAUAAUGCUCACGAGUUUCAAAACCACACACUUAAUGAGUUCUUGUCCUCUAAGGGAAUUGUCCACCAGAGUUCUUGUGCUUACAUCCCCAACAAAAUGGGGUUGCUGAGAGAAAGAACCAUCACCUUUUGGAAGUUGCCGUUCACUUAUGUUGUUCCUUCCUACCUCUCUAUGAGGCGAUGUACUUCCUGUAGCUGAUCUCAUCAACCAAAUGCCUUCUCGUAUCCUACACCUCCAAACCCCCUUAGAGUGUCUCAAAGAAUUCUAUCCCUCAACUUGUCUCAUUUCUAAUGUUCCCCUUUCCUUCGGGUGUUCGGGUGCUCAACCUAUGUUUAUAGCCAUGGUCCUAACCAAUCUAACUCACUCCUCAGGCUCAGGCUUGUGUGUUUGUUAGAUACUUUCUGUCCAACGAGACUCUAAAUGCUUUUGCCUAUCCUCACGUAAAUACUUUGUCUCCAUGGAUGUCACCUUUCUUGAGGAUCGUCCCUUCUAUCUCGUUAGCCUACUUUAGGGGGAGAGUGUGAGUGAAGAGUCUAACUAUGUAGUUUCCUUGUAGUCUACUUAUCCCUCUCUCUGGUUACCUUACCUGCCCAAAUUCUCACAUUACAAUCCUACCUACAAACCAAGUUCCCUGGAAAAUCUACUAUAGGAGGAAUCUUAGAAAGGAAGUUGGGUCUUUUGCUGUUCAACUGACUCCGGUCCAAGAUUCUGAACCUUUAUGAGAUCAAGUUGUGACUAAUUCCAUUGACUCACAUAUAAAUAACAAAAUGAGUGAGAAUGACAAGCCUGAGACGAAUUCCACUAAUGCACAUACCGACAGUAAGGUGGGUGAGAAUGACGGGUCUGCAAAUAACGGGUUCGAAACAACUAUCCUUGAAGAUAUGGUUGAGAAGGGCAGUACUGAUGAGGUCAUUACAAAUAGAGAGGUCAGGGUGGAUGAGAAUGAGGUUGUUGCAUAAUCUACUGAAAAUGAAACCAAGUAGGACCAUUCAGGAAACAUAAGUAUGAUCCUCCUUUGGAUCUUCCUUUUGUAAUGAGGAAAGGUAUCGGGUUCUGUACAAAACACUCCAUUUCUAACUAUGUUUCGUACGAGAACCUCUCACCUCAGUUCAGAGACUUUACUGCUAGCCUUGACUCUACUAUGAUACCCAAGAAUAUCCACCUUGCCUUAGAUUGUCCUGAGUGGAAGAUUGCUGUCAUGGAAGAAAUGAGAACCUUGUAAAAGAACAAGACCUUGUAUCUUUGCAACUCCCAAGGGACACAAGACUGUGGGAUGUAAAUGGGUGUUUGCACUCAAGUACAGAGCAUAUGGUAUCCUUGACAGACAUAAGGUCAGGUUAGUUGCAAAAGGGUUCAUUGAGACUCAUGGGAUUGACUAUUCUGAGACAUUUUCACCUAUUGCAAAGUUGAACACUGUUAGAGUUUUGUUGUCAGUUCCUAUAAAUAAAGACUAGCCCCUAUAUCAACUUGAUGUUAAGAAGGCAUUCUUGAAUGUAAAUUUAGAGGAGGAACUGUAUAUAAUUCCUCCUCCAAGAUUAGAAGCUCAGUUUGAUAAUCAUGUUUACAAGCUUCGAAAGUCUUUGUAUGGGUUGAAACAGUCACCGAGAGCUUGGUUUCAUAGACUUACUACUUUUGUCAAGUCUCAAGGAUACUACUUUCAUAAAUUAUAGUGUUGAUUGUCUAUGUUGAUGACAUUUUGCUAUUUGGGGAUGACACCUUUGAGAUCAUCCAACCAAAAAAGAAGAUGGGAGAUGAGUUUGAAAUUAAAGACUUGGGGAAUCUGAGGUGCUUCCUUGGGAUGGAGGUUGCUAAGUCCAGAUAAAGAAUCUCUGUGUCCCAGAUAAAGUACUCCAUUGAUUUAUUAGCUGAAACAGGUAUGGUGGGAUGCUAUCCUACUGAUAUGCUUGUUGAGUUUAAUGCCAAACUUGGAAAUUCGGGUGAUAGGAUUCCUGUUGACAAAGAGUAAUAUCAGUGCCUUGUGGGAAAACUUAUUUACUUGUCUCACUCUGGGCCUGCCAUUCCUUAUGGUAUGAGUACUAUCAGUCAGUUCAUUUAGAUGGAGACAGUUAACAGAAUUCUGAGAUAUUUAAAAGCAACUCCCAAUAAAGGGUUGAGGUCUUUUCAACAUUUAUGUCCCAACUUGAGGAGGAGUAUUAGGAAGUGGGCUUGGAUCAUGUUGAAGGCCCAAGGGUAGUUGAAAUUUAUUUUGUCCUAAUUUUUUAUUAUUUUAAUUAGGCUUGUGUUGCCUAUAAAUAUUUUCCCCUUUGUAUCUUUAUUAUCAUAAGAAAAAAAAGAAAUAUCAGCAUUGUGGUUUUUCUCGCUGUACUAAGAUUUCCACGUAAAUUUAUGUGUGUUUUACAUUUCUACUUUCAAUACCAUGAGACAUGUCUUAUAGUAUCACUCUAUCAGCAUCUAUAUUACCUAUUUUUCUGUAGAAUCUCGUAGUGGUUUGGGUGCUUCAUUUUGUAAUGAGAAAUGGAACAUUCAUCUAGAAAGAUGCAAGCUGUGAAAAGAAAAGCUAGAGCUAUUGAAGUGGCAAAACUUCAAAUGAUCAGCACAGCACACCUGUGCAAAAUGAAAAAAACUAUGCGAAAGGAUUCCUCCUGCAUGUAUAACUUGUCUAUCAGCAUAUAUAUAUAUAUAUAUAUAUAUAUAUAUAUAUAUAUAUAUUCCUGUAAAAAAAGGGGAAAAUGAGAAAUGGAACUUUAAUAGAAAAAGAUGAAAGCAAUUGAUACGACAGCAAGAGCUAUCAAAGUGAGAAAAUUUAAAUAAUCAGCGUAAUGUGCAAAAUGAAGGAAUAGUGCUAAAACUUUGGGUAACUGGAUGUUGAGAAUCAAAGCUUGUUUUAUGUUGUGCUUGUGUGUGUGUGUGCAUGUGCUUUCUUUAAAAGGCUUGAGUUGCUUGGCAGAUACAGUUCUGAUUAUAUCUAUCUUGCUUGCAGUUGUACAUGGCACCUGUUACUCACAGUGAUAGAUACAGUGCGAGCAUUGAUUUCUGGCGCAGUGUAUAUGGAAUUGAUAGUAAGGAUCUGUUUAUUUUUUAUUUAUUUUAAUUUUUUUUAGAAAGGAAGUAGGUACAUGUUGAACUUGAAAACAAAAAUAAUCUAAAAAUCCAUAAUAUUCCAAUAAACUAAACUCAAAAGAAAUCUAAACUGCUAACCUAUUUCCUACUGAACGAUUCAAUCGAUUCAAUAGACUUAUCAGCACCUCAUUCUUCUAUUUUUUUUCAAUUACUUAUCUAUUUUUCGUUAGAAACCAAACUCUCUGUUGAAAAAGUUAUAGAAAACAAGAGGUAGACGUUUAUUUAUUUAUUUUUGUACUGAAGCUCAUUUUUGUUCAGUUGGUUUGGGUUUUGUAUUGGUUCAGUUAAAAUAUGUAUCAUAUAGUCGGAUCAAGUGAUGAGGAGAAUCUAAUUUUGAUCAAGGUUGGGUUUUUUGUGGCUUAAGUUUUUUGUAUGCCUUUUUUUUUUUUUUUUUUUUUCAUUUUUUUCUCAGUAAAAGUUGUUUCUAAAAAAACACUUUUUCUUUGUAGUGAGUGGUACAUAUGUGCCAUUAUUUUGUAAGAUGUAAUAAUAUAUACACGGAUUCACAAAUUUUCAUUUUAGACAAGCUUGAGAAAGUAAGAAUGUCGCAGAAUUCAUGUGGCUUUUGUUGACAGAAAAAGGAUGGGUCUUGUAGUUCUAUAAAUUCUAGAUCCAAGGUUGAGGAAGAAUCAUAUGUAAAUCUUUUAUAAUAAUGAUUGUUUCCUUUUCUUAAAGUUCUCUUCUUUUGUUUAGUUUUUUUCCCCUUCAUCUUCUUUCACGAGAAUGUUUAAGCAAAACUACCACGUGUUUGUUCUCUUCCUGAAUAAACAUCCUACACAUUUUCAACAUCUAUUUAAUUUGAUCUCUAGUUCAUCAUGGGAAAUAGUAAAUCCGUUGUUCUCUUUGGGCUUCAAAUUCAAAAUGUUAUUUACCAUGCACAGUAAUAUUUUUGUAUAUUCUUUUAUAUGAGCUCCAAAUUUUUGUUUUGUUCUUUGGGAGAUCUCGUUUUAUUUUUCAUACUAAAAGAGCACGGGAGACCUGUUUGUUUAUAACUAUUUCAGUUACAAUCCAUAUAGAACUUGUGCAUUUAUAAAUUACCCAUUUCUUUGGCAUGUAGUAGAUCUAAAGGGAGGAAGUUGUUUCUGCUAUUUGUUCCGUGUGUUGUGUUGAUAAUGUUAUUUGUUGCUUGAUAAUCAGUAUAUAAACUUAACUCUCUUUCUUUCUCUUUUUAACUCCCUUUUCUUUCUCCCUCCGGUGCUGGGGGGAGUUGGGGUUUGCAGUGUCAGCAAUGUUGCCAUUAGCAAAACAGUGCGCUUUUGAAGAGCCAUCGAUUGAGACAAUAUCAGGAGAGAAUGUUUUGACAUGGCCGGAAAUGGUGAGGACUCCAAGUUUCCUUCUGUUUUAGGUUUGAUUAUGGUAGUGAUAUAUAAUUAAAUUUGCCCUCAACCACUGGUUUAAGCUUUUGGGUGAUUUGGUGGUUUAAUAGAUUAUAUCAAUGGUUAAUCACAGUUUCCAACCAUGAAAAGGCAAAUAGGGUGCUUGUGAUGGAUUAACCACCCAAUGGCAUAGAAGCAAUUUAGGAAAGAUUGCAUCUCCUCAGUUAAUAUUAUUUUCAAUAGUCCAGCUAAUGAUGGGAAAGAGCAUGGAUCAACUUGACUAAAACCUUACUAUGAGAACUUUAGUGUAAAAGCAAAGCGAUAGAACAACUUUUGAUAGUGAAAGAACUACUAGUUGAUUCCUUACUGGCAGACUUAGAGUAAUUAAAAAUGUUCACCUUUACAGGUAAAACAUAUUGACUGCUAUACAGUUUCAAUCAGCGAGCUUGAGUCUGUCACAAAAAGUUACAAGUUCAAGUCAAUGAUGCGAGGUAAUGUCUCUCUGACCAUUCUUUGCUCGUCUUGUGGUGUUCACGUACAUUCACACAUGAACUUCUUAGUUGGUUGUCAUAUGAUAUGAAGUCACUGUAGAGAAUCCUUAUAGCCUCUUGCUUUCUAGCUUGUGUUGUUUACGUAGAAUGUGGAGUGUGGAUUUGAUGGGCGUUGCAUUAAGUUGGACCAUAUGGAUAUGUUUUAAUCAUCUUCACUAUUUAUCGUUUGUGCCUUCUUAGGGUCCAAAUAAUCCUUUUAUCAUGUCAUGGAUCCAUUUUUAUGCUUGUUAUGGGUAGUUUUCCUGUUGAUAUAUUGUUCUUCGAUUUUCAAUUUUGUGCCUGUGCCAUUAAGAACUCUUCUUAAUUUCCAGCUCCCUUGCAUGGUUUUGCAUUCUGGUUUGACGUGGAGUUUUAUGGGCCUGGUACUGCCAUGCAUGGUCUAAUUCCAUCAAAUCCUGAUGAUAAUCAAGUGAAUGAUGGCAGCCAGAGGAAGAAGCGUGCAAAUCCCAAUGACGCACUCGUACUGUCCACUGCACCUGAGGACCCUCCAACCCAUUGGCAACAGGUCCAUUAUAACGAAUAAUAACAAUUUUUUUAAAACAAAGUUAAUUAUAACAAUACUAUUAUAACACAAUAUUUGAGGGAGAAUUAUUGUAAGUGUCAAGCUUGUUAAAAAUAUUUACAAAUAUAGCAAAAUUUUAGAUUUUAUCAAUGAUAGACGUGUAUACUUCUAUUGGUGCCAUUGAGAUAGAAGUCUUCGUUUUGUUAUAUUUGAAAAUGACUCAUAUUUUAAAUUCUUCUGUAAUCUUCAGUGCAAGACUGAAGUUGUUUCUCCCAUUUAUGAUUCUUUUUUUCUGAAUAGAAAACAAGAUAAAUUAAAAUAAAGAAUAUUAAGAAAAGUAGGGUCGAAAAAUCUUUAGCCAUACAAAUAUAAAAUUAAAUAUUGAAAUUAAUUUUUCCAUCUUGUGUACGUAGAUACAAAAGUAAAACCAAGAUCUAGAAAUCAAACAUAUUUUUGUACUAGAAUUGUUUGUCUGUGUCUGUCCGCGUCUGUAUGUGUUGACACUGCUUGACUAUUUUUUCUUGACUAAAGUCCACUUUUCACAUCCUUAAAACUAUAUGGUAUUAACAUGAUAAAUGAGUGCUUGGGGAAAGCGGUGAAGUGUGUGGAGAUCCUUGUUUGCUCAAAGCUUACACAGAUAGUCAUUAUUUAGCUCGAAUCAUGUUGUCUUAAUCUUAUAGUUUAAUUCCCCUUUGGUCAGCAGAAUAUCUGAUUUCUUUUGCAGACCAUAGUCUAUUUCUAUGACCCAUUAGAGGUUGAACAAGACCAACUAAUUGAAGGUUCUGUUACUCUAUCACAAAGCAGAGAAAACCGUCGGUUCAUGAAUAUUCGCCUCGAAUACGUGUGAGUUAUAUUUUGUACAUUUUCUCAGUCACUGCUUUGAUUUAGGCAUCUCAUUUGGUUUUCAUAUUUGAUCUUGUAGUUCUGGUGGCGGUCCUUUGUGAAAGAGUCGGUGAUGAGGUGAUUUCUAUUCUUUGCUUUAUUUCAUGAUGUGAAGUCCCCAUUAACUCUUCUCAAGGCUUAACCUUCCUGAAACGGUAACAUUCCGAAAACUGUAGGAACUAUUAUUAAACUAACAUUUAUAGAAAUUGAAGCGUCUUGAAGCCGGCUGGUUUGGUUGAUUGCAUACCAAAAGCCUAAAAGACAGUUGACUCUUGAUCGUGUUUGUGCUUUGCGAUUGCUUGAUUGGCCUUCUUCACAUUGUCAUCUCUCCUUUGGGAAAGAUAUGUAGGCUGAGAUUGAUUGAUACAACUCCAUGAAGAAUUCUUUUAUUGUAAUGUUACUCUACUUUGAGAUUACAACUAAUAGGACUUAGCCUUUUGAUUAUUAUGAUUCAAUUUUUCCGUUGUGUAAAAGUAGAACACCCAAACUAGAAGUGUGAUGGCUUCCCUCUCAUCUCUUCAUGACUCUCAAUACCUUCAUCCUUCUUGUACUAACAUUUUAAUGCCUUAAUUAUGAACUGUUAUAUGAUAGUUGAAACCAAUGAAGUAUUAAUUUGUGAACUUUUUUUUCGUAUUCAUUUCUUCCAUAUCCAAUCUUACACGUCCUCUUGUUCUAGGAGCUCGAGAUGUUUCAUUUCAAUAGGAAAAGGAAAGAAUUAUCUUUUUGUUUGACUUUAACAUGUGCAGAGGAUUCGAACGGCUUAACUGAUUGAGUCAUGCACACUCAAAUGUUAUAAGAGGGUGUCUCAUAUGUGAUUACUCCAAGUACAAAUACAAGACAGUCACAAAUAUUAAAAAAAAAUGUAAAGCUAAUAUUUACUCUCUUAUCUUCUAGCUUGUUUCUCUUGCUUAUUAUAUGUGCAGUUGCAUACGUAGUUAAAUUAGUUUGGAUUUUAUUAUAUGUUGUUGGGUUGGUACUGGUGGUGUUAAAAAGCAUCCAUACCAUCUUUUCAGUCUAUGAUUGAGUUUAUUUUCAACUGCUAAAAGUACAAAUGGACAUAAAUGUGUGGGAUAUGAUUGGUUUGUAUAUUGAAUUUGGGGGACAAAAAGUGGAUUGAUAGAAUGGUCGUAUGCGAUACCAAAAAUUUGCCUUUUCUUCUUCACCUAUUUUAUCUUUUGAACCAUCUUUCAAAGUUAUUUCAGCAUCACAAAAUCACUUAUUUAUUUUAUUUUGUUAAACAUCGCUUUUCUUUUUGAAGGAUUUGGUAGCAAAGUGAUUUGGUUGAAAUGAUUGAAUGAGAAUUAGUUUAAAAAAUAUCUAUGCGGUUCAUUUUUAAACCAAUAAUAAUGAACUAUUAUUACAGUAAAAGAUAAAAUUUAUUACACUUCAUUUUCUUUAUGAAAUAAAAAUAUUUUGUUAAAUGUUCUAUUCUUUAUCCUUUUUCGUAAUAAUAAUAAUAAUGUAUACUUUUAUUUUAAUUUGAAUUUAAAUAAUUUAAAAAACAGAACUCACAAGUUUUUGUUCUAAACUCUUUGAGGAUUUAAUUGUUGUUGAGUUCAGUAUGGUUAAUGAAAUUAUAGCCUCAUGUCAUCUUUUAGUUGCUAAACAAAAAUGAAUACUCUGCGUUAAACUCGAUGUUUUCUCUAUUAAGACUCAAGUAUAUACCAAAAUAGAGUCUUGCUGAGUUUAGGAUUGAACGUAGAGACAAGUAAUUGACUAAAUGUGUGAUGAUAAAAAUAUGAGUGAGCUAGGUUUAAGUGCAAGCAUAUAUUGCCCAUGAAGUAAAUAAUCUCAAAGUAUUAUGAGUAAAAGUAUUUUAAAUUGUUUAUGGAUGUGACUUAAUGAAAUUGAAAGUAACCAAAGUAAAGAAUGAAAUACAAUUUAAACAGUAAACAAUGAUGAUCAAACAUGGACUAACAAAAGUGAUGUUGUGGCAACACACCAAAAUAGUGAUGUAUGCAUGAGCACAAAUAUUAAAUUAUACAUAUUCGGUCUUGUAUCAAGUUUCUUUAGAUGUUCUAUACAUCCACUACUUAAUAUUUUCAUCGGCAACCAAAUCGUAGAUUAAUUAAAGCUUAGUUAAUUUCUCGACUCCAUGGAGUCUCUUAUUCCUAAGAUGAAAUAAAAUUUUCUAUUUCUAAACUUUAGGUUCCAUGUCCCUUCCUAGUCUUCUCAGUACUAGAGUUCCACUUAAUUGUCAAAGAUAUGUCAAUCGUGACAGUUUUUGUAAAAUUAAAUGUCAUUGUUUCAAAAUUGAUAAUAGUUACAAAAUGUCACGAAUUUGUCUUAUUAUAACAUUUUUUUUCUGUCAAGAAUAUGUCAACCGUGACAGUUUUUAUAAAAUUAAAUGUCAUUGUUUCGAUAUUGACGACAAUUACAAAAUUUCACGAAUUCGUAUAUUAUGAAAAAAAAUUCUGCCGUACAUUUCUCAAUUACAUUUUUUUUUCAAUAGAAUACAUUUGUUGUUCUUCUUGCCGCUUUGUCAUUACACUAAUCAGUUCAAUCACAAAGUGGUUAUACUAAAUCACACCAAUAUGAAAACAAAUAAUAUACACUUUAAUAUAUAUAUUUAUGAUACACUUUGUAAUAUUCGUACACUAGGAUUGACUAAUAAUCAUCGUUUGUUAAAGAUAGUUUACAUACAAAAAGAAUAAACAUUGACAUUUUUAGCUACCAACAAGCCUAUAAGUACAUUGGAACCAAGAUUUGGUACCAAUCAUACAAAAAAUCAUAUAUCAAUCAAUUGCUCUAAGUUGGCUUCACUGCUCCAAUGAAUUCUUUCAAACCUAGUAAGAAAACAAAAUCUUAUUUAGAGUAUUACGACUAAAGAACAUUACCUAAAAGAAGAUUCUAAUUAAGUUAAUUAUAUGUACAUAAAUAUAAUAUUUAUACUUUAGUGUAAUAACACAAACAUCACAAACAUAAAUAGUAAGGAAAAUUGGAAAAGGUUUGUAUGUUGGAGACAUGUGGCAUUCAAAUAUAAACCUGAGGUGGAAUCACCCUGAUUAUCUCACUGUGAUUCCAAGUAAAGGAAUGAAGAAUUUGAAAAUGAAGGAGCAAGAGAUGGGUUUAAGUAGAACAUAUUUAAUUACCACGAAAAUAGGAUAGGAGCAAUGUAAUAGUGUCCUUGAAGAUUAUAUUAUUUAGAUACAAUGUGAGUAGAAAUGUAAUAGUCUCCUUGAAGAUCCUCCUAGAAAUCACAAAAAAAAAAAAAAAACAACCAGAUUUGAGCCAACUAUCAAAUUUACACAUCGGUCAAAAACAAUAUCAUCAACCUCAAUUGUUUUACCACUACAAAAUAAAUCAUAAAACAAAAAAUGUACAACUCAUUAAAUGAAACUAAAAUGGGGAAUCAUUAACUCUCUAUUACACUAACUGUACCAGACCAACCAAAUAUAAGUUAAAAUAUUUGAAUGAGUUCAAAAUAAUAUUCAUAUUAAAAUUAUUGGUUACGAGAGAAAUUUAUAUUUGAAUAUGAUUUAAAUUUAAUUUAAGUUAAAUAUAAGAUACUUAAUUUAUAAUAUUAAUUAAUUAAAGAAUUAGUUAGUAGUUUAGUACUAAAUCAAAUUAAAAUUAUAAGAUAUAUUAGAGAGAUAUGAUUUAAAUAUGAUUUAAAUGAAAUAUUAAUUAAAUAUGAUUUAAUUAAUUAUUAAUUGAUUGAUUUAAAAUCUCUACUAGUUUAAUAUUUUUAAAUUAAUAAAAUCUCAUUAUUCUCUCCUCCUCCCUAAAGAAAGGGAGUUAUAAAUAUGCAUUAGCAAAACUGUUUUUCUUAAUCAAUUAAGUCAAUGUUUUUGCUCUUUACAAAAAAAAAAAAAGGUUUUUCUUUAAAUUUUUUCCAUUCCAAUUGGUUCCACAAACCAAUCUCAUUCCAGAGGUUAGGAAGGUCUUCAAUGGGUAGUGUCACAAUUUAAAGUUUUAUUAGAUUCAACGGCGUCAAACUAAGUAAGUUUUUCUUUCUUUAAUCUAUAAUUAGAAAGCGUGCUUAGUAUUUAAGUUAUAAUAAUUAAUUUUGUUUCUGUAUUAUUUUAUCAAUUUAUUGGUAUUUUGGGAUUACCAAAUUAAAUUGAGAAAUAGUUUUGUAAAAACUUUCGCUGCCUAGGGCUUUUAUCCCUUCACAUAAGACCCAUUAGAUCCAAAUGAAUAAGAUCCAACACAUGAUGUAUAUAACAUUUACCACCAGACUUGUGAGAGGCCUUCACUUGUUUCCAAGCAGGACCUUCAGAACAUCAAAUAUCAAUAGAUUGUUUUAAUAAGGGUACCCUUGUUCAACAACUUCUCCUUUCAGUCCAUCUCCAAAGGUAAUCUACCCAACGCUGCAUUCUUUUAAAAAAACAGAGAAUUAUCGGUCAUAUGUCUAGAGCAGCCACUAUCAAAAUACUAGUCUUCAAAAUUAGAAACAUGAACAAAUUUAAAUGCAACAUUACAUUUACUGUGAUCCUUCUUUACUUUAACUUGCCAUUCAAUCUUAACGGGAGAAAAUUUAUUUGAGGUAUUUUUCUCAUUAUGGCCAUAAUUCAUUCUUGUAUGUCCAGACUUGUUAUACCCAUACAACUUAUAACAAAAUGGCCUAAGAUGACCAGAUUUCUCAUAGAAGUGGCAUAUCCGACCACUGUUGGAAUUUAUGUCAUUAAACUCGUAGAUUGUAAAUAUAAUUAAUUGACCGUUAUUAAUAAAGUGUUAUUAUUGUAAUAAUUGCUAUUGAAUAAAUUAUUAGUUUUGUCUUAAUAACCCAAAUUCAAUAAACAAUAUGUAGAGACAUAUAGAGAUCGAUGUUCAAAAUCAGCUUAAAGGGUCUAUAGUAUAGGGAUAAGGCUGGGUACCUUAUUCUGGUAACACUAUUGAUACGGCUAAUUUUGUAUUUGAUACAAACGCAAUGAUCCAACGCGUUCGUGUAGUUGACAUGCGAGUGAGGGUAUCCUAUACAAUGGGUUUGCAUAAGACCGGACCGCGAAUUAGUAACCACUAGAUGUAACUCCGUUAACUAGUUACGUUUCUAUUUCACUAGGAUGACCUAGGUAACUUAGUCUUAAUCCUGAGUUUGUUAUGAACUCUUGUUUACGAGGGAUUGUCCAUUGAUUUGUACGGGUGAGAGUGGUCAGAUCGCCGACUCAAUAAGCUUAUCAUUUUGGGGACAAGAUCGAGUGGGGAGCUAGGAACAUAAUUACACAAGAUGGAAUUCACUCCUUCCCUACUUUAGGGUAAGUAGAUGAGUGCUCCCUUAAGUGGUGUCUCCAGAUCUUGAACAAAGGGUCAUACCCUCUCCAUGGCACGAGAGGGGUUUCUGUUUAUUGGUACGACCAUAAACAAGUUGUUCAUUGGAGGAGCACUGAUAUUUAAGGAUUAGAGGUAACCCAAGGGUAAAACAGUAAAUUGACCUAGCUGGUGUUACAAACACUCAGUGAAGGACUAACUUACUGUUAUUGGUCUAUAUCCGUGGACACAGAAAUAUAUCUACAGUGAGAAGAGUUCAGCUGUGAGUCUUUUAUGGAGUGUACACACAGUUAACGAAUGUUGAUUAAUGUGGUUAAUGAGUUUAGCCAAUUAAUCUCAAAUCGUUGUAGCUUCUGAUCUGUAGAUUCAUUAGGUCCCCUUUCUAGCUCGUAAAGGGUAAUGAGAUUUAUUUAUAUUGGUUGUAAUUUGAAAUGUUCAAAUAUACUUAGGGAAUUAGUUUAAUGUAUAGUGAUACAUUAUAAUAUAAAGUUUGUGAAACUUUAUUAUAAAUUUAAUUUUGGAUAUAAUUCAAAAUUAGUUUAUGAGAGAUAAGAUAUUUGAAUAAGUUCAAAUAUUAAUGUGAAUUGGAUUCAUAUUAAAAUUAUUGGUUAUGAGAGAAAAUUAUAUUUGAAUAUGAUUCAAAUUUAAUUUAAGUUAAAUAUCUUAUAUUUAACUUAGCUAUUAAUUAAUUGUAGAAUUAAUUAAUAAUUUAAUUUAAUUUGAUUUAGUUAAAUUUAUAAAAUGAUAUUGCAGAUAUAUUAAUUAAAUAUAAUUUAAUUAAUUGUAUUAAUAUAAAUGUAUAAGAUAUCAGAGAGAUAUUUAUUCAAAUAAGAUUUGAAUGAAAUAUUAAUUAAAUAAAAUUUAAUUAAUUAUUAACUAAUUGAUUAAUUGUUAAUUAAUUAGUAGAUUUGAUAUUAAGAAUCUCAUGAUUCUCUUCUACUUCUUUUCCUAAUCCAAGAAGAAAAGAGAGCUAUAAAUAUCUAGAAGAAAUCAGUUUUCUUCAACAAAAUUUAUUAAAAAAAAAAACAAAAGCUUUUUCUCUAUGCAAAAAGAGUUUCUUACAAAAUCUGUAAGUCUUUUCUCAUCCCAAUUGGUUCCCACAAACCAAUCCCAGAGGAUAGGAAGGUCUCUGACGGUGGUGUCUCAAUUUGGAGAUUGAUUUGUAAUUCAGAGACGUCAUUGAAAGUAAGUUCUUGUACAUUAUCCUUUAAAAGCGUACUUAGAAUUUAUUUAGAAUUUUGAUUCUAAAUUUUUGCCAAUGUACCGGUAUUUUAAGAUUUCCAAAAUUAAUUUGAGAAAUGGUUCUUUAAAUUAUUUGGCUGUUAUAGAGCUUUUAUCCGUUGAGCCACUUCCUUAAAAGAUCUUGAAUUUGCUUUAGAAUACAUGCUUUUAUUCUUCUUAACUUCACUUCAGAAACACUAGCUUGAAUCUUGCUAUCACAAGCUUAAACAAAGAUUGUAUACGCAUUACUAGUAUGCAUUACUUCUUAAGAAUCCAAGACCCUUUUAUCAUUAAUUAUUUUCUCCCCACUCAUAAUAUCACCUAGGCUAUUAGUUCUUGGAGAAAGAAGUUCUAGCUUUAAAGUAGCAAUCAUUGUCAUUAGGCGGUUGAGAAAACACACACUUAGUUAGUAUUGUACCGUUUGUUGUACCGUGAGUUAAUAACAUAAAGAAUAACUACGGAAGCACAAAAAGCACAUCAAACUUUGGUAACCCAGUUCGAUCACACAACAUUUAUAUCGGGGGGUCUUAGACCCAUGAUAAGAGAUUAUAUUGCUCGUGUAGUAAUUGAUCAUUACAAUAUUAUGAUUGAGAGUACAUCACUCUAAACAUAGAUCAAUGUGCUAGCCAUGGACUAAGUCACAAACAUCAUAAUUAAUAAUUGUACAAUAACAAUUGUCAUAACAUUAAUAAGGACAACUCCUCCUUAAUCAAUGACCACUUGCAAUAUCUUCGUCAAACCAUCUUGAAUUGUUUUUAUUUUUUUUAUCUUUAGUGUGUAGUUUUGUAACUAUAGGUUUUUAAGAAGUACACCGAAACUUACCACCAGUCUAGAUAUAUUGUCAAUCACACAAAAUAAAGAAAAAAUUUCUUCUCUCACCACCCAUAACAACCAUUCAUCCAAUGAUAUGAAAUAACCAUGAACUAAGCAAUCCAAUCCAAACCACCCAAGAAUGAUGGGAUAUUAUAACAAGCAACCAAACAAUCUCAACUGAAUUAAAUUAAUUUAAAAAUAAAGAAAGUGAGACCAAAAUCUCAACAAUGAUAUAAUAUUGUCCACAAACCCCCCAAGUAUCUCCACAACGAUAUAAUAUUGUCCACAAACCCCCCAAAUAUCUCCACAACCAUAUAAUAUUGUCCACUUUGGGUAUAACAACCCUAAAAGACUUCAAACCAAUGAAAAUAGUUGUCCUCACUUAUGUACCCAAGAUCAUCCUCUUAUCUGUCGUAUUAACAAUGUAGAAAAAGAAAAUGAAUUUUAGUUGAGAGGGGAUAAUUGUAUAGUGUCCUUUUCUAGAGGUCCAAUUGAAAAUAGACCCAAGUUAAAAAUACAAGUUUUAGCUUUAUUUGACACUUCUUCCUUCUUCCUUCUUCCUAUCGCAACUUUUUCUUUCUUUUUUCAUUUUUUUCUAUGUUUUAUUUUUCUUUCUUCCUUUUCUUCUUUUGUUUAUCAUUUUUUUUUGCUUUUCAAGUGUCAUCAUUUUUUUCCAUUUUUUGUGUCAUUUUUUUCUCCUCAUGCACUUUUCUUCUUCUUUGCGCUACAAUUUUCUCUUGGUUAUUGUUUCUGUUUUAAAGAAAAUUUGUAGUUGUGUUUGGUGAAGACAAGAGGAUGAAGUGAAAAGGUAAGCUAAGUGAGAGGAAGAAUUUGAACAAAGAAAAAAAAUAUAGUUGUGUCUGAUCUGAAGAACAAGAUAGAAGUUAAAACGAGAAAAGAAAAAUCAAAGAAAUUAUAUUUGUCUGGCAAGGAAAAAAAAGCUAGAAGUUAUAACUAGAAGUUAGAACGAGAAACAAGAAUUCGUUUCAACUCCAAAUCCUCAUGUAUGAUUUGAGAACAAAAUGGUACUUUUACAUGCAACUAAUGUAAGUUAGAGGCAACUUUCGAUAAGAUUUAAAUCAUAAGGUCAAAUUUCAUUUGACCCAAAAAAAAGAGCUAUCCAUACAAAAAAAAAGAAAAGCCCUCAAGUGGUUUGAUAAUUAUAGUAUCAUGAAGGGUUAUGCCUCAACAAUAUUUUGUUGAUAACUCCAUUUUGUGACUUUCUUCUCUAUGUUUGAAGCUUGUGCAUUGUUAAGGCAACCAGAAGAUAAAAUUAACAUACAGGUUCUUGUUAUGUUAGGUAAAAUCUAUCAUUGAUAAAUUUUACUAUUAGUGAUAGAAGCCUUAACUCAUAUGAAUCUAUUCAUAUCAUUUGACAUAUAGGUCUACCAGUAAUAACAAAUUUAUCAAUAAUGAUUUUCUAUCACUAUUAAACGUUAUCAAAACGUCAAUCUAGAUUUUUCCAUCUUUACAAAAAAAGAAAAAGAAUUGCAUGGUACUAUAUUUUCUAAUAUUUUCGUUUUUAAAAAUAAUGUAAAAUUUGAAACAUAUGUCAAAAAUAGGUUGGGUGUAAAACUAUUUUUAAAAAUAGAUGACUUGAGAUGAAGUCGUGUAUCAAGUACACGAUUUCCAUACAGUGGACUCCACAUAUUCUAUUUUUUCUUACUUUUAUAUAUACUACACUAGACCCCAAAUUUUUUUUUAUUAUUUAUAUACAUGGUCCCACACAUUUUACUUUUUCUAUUUAUUUAUAUAUACAUACCCACAUAUAAUAUAAUAUAUAUAUUAAACAUUCAAAUUCUAAAAAUAUAUUUCUUUAUUAAAUUAAUUUACUUUUUUAUUUUUUUCUUUAUAUAUUUAAAUAUCACAAUCUUACAUCUUCAAUUUUUCUUUUAAAAUUCAUUUUCUAAUUGAAUUUAAUUCUUUCUUAAUCAAAAUUAUACAUAUAAUUUUUUCCAACUUUCAAUUCUUUUAAAAAAACUCAUAUAUUAACAAAGUAUGUUAUUAAAAAUAUAUUAAACAAAUAAAAAUAGCAAUAAUAAUAAUAAAGAGAAGUUGAAAUUACUGAGAUAUUUAAUAUAUAUAUAUAUUUUGAAAUAUUUUAUAUAUAUAUAUAUAUAUAUUAAAUUUUGAGUAACUUCAACUCCAUUUAAUUAUUACUAUUUUCAUUUGUUUAAUAUAUAGAUUUUUUUAAAAAAAUAUUGAAAAUUGGAAAAAAAAAAUAUAUGUACAAUUUUGAAAGAAUUAAAUUAAAUUAAAAAAAUGAAUUUAAUAAGAAAAAUUGAAGAUGGAGAUUGAGAUAUUUAAAUAUAUAUAAAGAAAAAAGAAAAAAUUAAUUUAAUAAAAAAAAGAUAUUUGAAGUCUAUCCAUAUGAUCUAUUUAUAUUUAUGAAUAACAAACUGGAGAAGUGAAAUGUAGAUUUUGGAAGAUUUAUAUUUAUUUUAUCGUUAUUCUAUAUCUACUAAUAGUCGCAAAUACUUGCAAGUAAGGGUUGAAAUAAAAUAAGAAUAGAAAUUACAUAUUUAGGUGUCCUUAAUUAAAUAGGAUGGUUGCUCUACUUUUGACACAUUACUGAUUUGAAAGAUGAACAUUCCUUCUGUUUGCCCCUCCUCUUUCUUUACACACAUUUUCAUAUUAAAUUGUUUCAUGAAAAGCAAACUAUAUUUGCUUUCAUAAGUGCUUCAUUGUUUUGCAUUUAAAUGGAAAGUAUAUGGUGUAACAACUAACUACAACUUUUAAAUGUUAUUAAAUAAGUCUAUAAUGCAAACUUUUCUAAUGGUCUCUUUACUCAAAAGCCUAACACUAUUUCUUUUUUCUAAUGCAUUCAUGCAUGUAUAUACCACCAAUAAAAUAUUUUCCCUUUCUUCUUCUUCUUUAAACAAAAAAUAAAACAUUUUCUUUUUCUAUUUUCACAACUCCACUCAACUCCAAGAGUUGUAUUUAUGUAAAUGGACAAACAAACACAUGGCCUAUCUUCCCAAAUUUUAUUGGCUUUUAAUAAAAAGCCAUUGAAAGUAUUGGUACACACCACAAAACACAAUUAUUUUGGAGUUCAUAUUUUCAGAAAAAACUUGUAGUUGAUUUGGUGUAUGAAGUUAAGAAAAAACUAUACAUUAUUUAAACAAAGCAUCUCUUUCUAAUGGGCACACUUGAAAUCUUAUACACUUUUUUAAGUUCUUAAGUUUUUUUAUUUAUUAUUAUUUGUUUAAUUUCUAUUUAUAAUUUAGGUUUCCGAAUGUAUUUAAUGUUUAAGUUUUGAUUUUAGUUUCAAUUUAAUUUCUAAAUAUCAAAAUGUUACGAUUAUACUUCUCAAUUUGAGUUUUGUUUCAAUUUAGUUUGUAUGUUUCAACACUUUACAUUUUUAACUUCAAUCUUCAUUAAAUACUUAGUUACAAACAAACAUCCAUGCCAAUGUUUUCUUAAUUAAUUUAAAGUAAUUAUUAAGUAAAAAUUUAAAUUUAAUUCUAAAAUUGAUGAAAAAUAGUAAAAUUUAAUUAAUUAUAGGAGAAUGGUAAAAAAUGAAAAAUUUGACAAAAUAUAACAAAAUUUCAGAUUUUAUCAAUAAUAGACGCUGAUGUGUUUCUAUCAAUCAUAUUGAUAGAUAGUGAUAAAAAUCUAUUUGUGUAUAUCAUUGAUAGAAUCCAAAAUUUUGAUAUAUUGUAUAUAUUUUAUUUCAUUUUGUUAUUUUGAAAAAUGUCUCUUAAUUAUAAUUCAUUUAAAUCUUUUAAAGAUGAAUUUUUAAAAUAGUAAAUUUUACAAAUUAUUUACUAUCUAUAGCAAAUUCUAUCACAUAGGCAUUGAUAUGCUAUAGUGAUAAAAGACUAUCAAUGAUAGAAUCCAAAAUUUUGCUAUAGCUUGUAAAUAUUUUAAUUUUUUUGUUAUUUUUAAAAAUGUUCCUAUUUUAAAUACAUUAACCAUAAAAACAAAAAAUAAUAAGUAUUUAGUGAAAUUGAGUUUAAGAAUGUAAAUAUUGAAAUUUAGAAACUAAAUUGAAACAAAAUUCAAAUGACAAGGAUAAAAUUGUAGAUUUUGAAACUUAAGAACUAAAUUGAAAUUAAACUCAAAACUCAACCAAAAAAAAAAACUGUAUCUUUUUUCUAAAUUAUAACAGUAAAGGAAGGACUUCAACAACAAAAAUAAGAUUUGUUACAAAAGGAUCUAAAAAUCUUACCAAGAUUUAUAUCAAAAAUACAUAAAAAAAAAUAAUGUUUUUUUUCAAAAAAAAUAAGGGAGAAGGACAAACUAUUGUAAAAAAAUAGAGAGAUUUUUGUGGGCAAGCAAGUGGCCUACUUUCUUUAACCGAGUCAAAGCUUAUGUGGUUAAAGACAAGUGACUUAAUUAAAGAAAGUCAUGUACCACGUAUAUAACUUCCUUUAAUCCCGUCAAAGUCUACGUGCCUAAAAACUGGGGAUUAGAUUAAAAGAAGUUGUAAAAGUUAUAACAAAACAUUUCAUGAAACUUGCAAGGUGUUUUCAUGAAAUUUCAUAGUUAUUUUUAGUCUAAUAUACAUGUUGUUUGAAAACUCAUACUCAUUUGAAAUCUCAUAUAUAUAUAUAACUUGCAUGGUGAUUGGAUUAAAAAAAUUACAAAUUCCCAAAUUAACCUAUUAUUUGAAGUAUGAUUUUGGUGCAAAUAAGAAUGCAAAUUCGUAUAAUUCUACAUUUAAAAUUGAAGUUCAUAUGAAUUAAAAUUUACAUUUACGAACUAAAGCAAGAUCCUAAUCUCGCUUUCCAACAACUUCGCCAUGUCGUCGUCGUCUCUGUUGAACACGUCUUCGAUUUGUAUUUACAUCAUUGAGUCGUCUUGUCUACUGAAUAAUAUGUUCUACAUUUACCAAGGUAUGAUCACACAUUGAACUCAAAUCGUGCAAAUUGUUUUCCAUCAAGUAAUUGUGUACAUGUUGAACAAAAUUAUUGUGAAUGAUUGCAAAUAAUGUAAUUAAAUAAUGUGCAUGUUAUACAAUUUGAAAACAAAUCAUAUUAAAAUUCAUACCAUGCAAUAAUAGUAAACGUCAUCGAGUGUAAGAAAUGUCGUAUAAUUGACUUGUACCAAGAAAAAUAGUCAUCUGAUACUGAUACAGUUGACUCAUGUGUUGCUUCUCCAUGUGCGCAAUGAUCAUGACGUGUAUGUCAACUCAUGAUAUACUCAUCAUGAAUCUUACCAUAAUUUUGAUCGUGUUUACCUCUUAAAUCAAUUUAAUGCAAUGUUAGGUAUGUAAAGCACAAUGAUGGUUGGAUUUGCAACAUAUCAAACUGUCACAACGCAGGAUCUGGUAAAUGCCACUCAACAAUAUAGAAGCAUAUCAUAAGCCUCGCGCAAGUCCAAACCUCAAUCUUCACCAUUAUAACAUCGAUCAGGUAGCAAUGUCAUAAUAUCAUAUGUGUAUGGUGUCCAAUUAAUCUGUUAAAAAAAAAAAAAACAAACAUAAGUAGACAACGUUCAUAUAAUACUUUACUACUUGAGUGUGCAUCAAUUGACCAAAUAUUUGUUGAUACAUCAACUGAAGGAAUGUAAUUCCCGUAGCGGAAGCGUGUGAACGCCGUGCAAAAGAAUUUCAAUUUGAAACAUAGAGAAAACCUAAACUUGCUCCUAUGGAGGAUAAGAAGAAAGAAAACUAACAUUUGUAGAACCUCCCAAUAAAUCUCGAACUUUCUAAUGAACACCACGAUCAACACCACAGAAUCUUCCUUGUUAUGCUCAAGAUAAAAAAAAAACACUGAGAGUUUGUGGGGCUUCUGUGUUUUUGUUUGAAAGGGAAAGUUAUUUGCACACCCUUUGUCUAUUUUUGGAGAGAGAGUUUUCUUUUUUUUUUUAAAUUUCACCUCCCUUUAUAUCUUAACCAAAAGAUAUGAAAAGAGAUGGAGAGGGAAGUUAUCAAAAUAAUUUUCUCCCUCUCCCAUUACCUAGAAUAACUCCGAGUUAUUCUUUUAUUUGAAUUAAUAUUAAUUUAAAUAUAAUAUAAAUUCAAAUUAUAUUAUAUCUCAUAUAAUAUUAAUUUAAUAUUAUAUCUCAUAUAAUAUUAAUUUUAUAUUGUAUCAUAUAUAAUAUAAUCAAUGGUUUAGAUCUUCUCAUAUGAUCUAUAUUUCUAAUAUAAAUCGAAUCCAUAUUAUUAUUAUUUGAAUCAUAUUCAAAUAUUAACUUCUCUCAUAAUAUUAUAAUGUAUCAAAUUCAUUAUAUUAAUUGUAUCAUAUACAAUUUAUUUCCUUUAACCAAUUUGAACGAUUCAAAUUAAACCAAAAUAAAUUUGAUUCUCAUUUAUCUUUAUUGAGCUAACAAGGGAACCUUAUGGACCUACAGAUUAAAGCUCCAUUGAUGUGAGAUUAAUUAAUUCUUUAAUUAAAUUAGUCACUAUUCAUUAACUAUCAGUCAUUCCACUAAAGACCAAUAGUUGCACUCUUCUUACUGUAGAUAUAUUUUUGUGUCCAUUAGAUAUAACCAAUCAACAGUGAAAUGACCCUUCACAAAUUGCUCAUAAGUACAGCUAGGCCAAAAAUUAUCGUUUUGUCCCUGUAGUUACAUCUAACUCCUUAAGUACCACCAAUUCCUCUAAUGAACAAUAGUUAUAGUCCCACUAUAACGAAACUCCUCUCGGCCCAAGAGAGGGUGUGGCGCCACAUUGUUCAAGCCUUGAAAUCAGCCCUUAAGAGAGCAAUUUCUCUACUUACUCUAUCUAUAGAGAAUGAGUGAAUUCUUUCUUGUGUAGUUGUGUUCCCAGCUCCCUAAUCAAACGAAUCCCCAAAAUGGUAGGCUUAUUGAGUCGGCGAUAUAGGUCACUCUCACCCAUGCAAAUCAAAGAACUGCCUUCAUAGGCAAGAGUUCACAACUCACUUAAGAUUCAGGUCAAGUCACCUAUGGUCAUCUUGGUGAAAUGUAGUCUUAACUAGUAACGGUGUUAAUAAGAGAGACUAUUCAUUUCGUGGUCUGAUCUUAUACAGACUUUUUGUAUAGAAUACCCCUGCUCUAAUGUCUCGACAUGAAUGAUUAGGAUCAAAUCAUUUGUCGCACUUUACAACAAUUUUAACAACUACAAAGCAGGUCGUAUUCGUAGUGUCACCAGAAUAAGGUAUUCAACCUUAUCCAUCUACUACUGACCAUUUAGGUUAUCAUUUAAACAUAAUCCACUUGUAUGUCUCCACAUAUAUGUUUAGGUUACAUAAGAUAACCUUGGAUGUUAGUUUAUUGAUUUUGUGGGUUAGUGCAACUAAAUGUCAAAUAAAAUAACACACUUUAUUUUAUUAGAUAAAUAAAAUGUUUGUAUAAUAUAUACAAUUACAAACUACAAAAUCACAAGAUUUAGGGCAUCAAUCCCAACAUCAACAACAUAUUUGCAUAUUAUUUCGAUGCAGGUAGAACACAACUUCAUCUAAUGUGUGAAAAAAUUAAUAAUAAGUUAUACAUAAUGCAAAUUUUAUAAAAAAAUAAUAUAUAGAUAAAAUAAUACAUGAAACUUAAAGGUCGAGCAAAUGAAGUCUGUAAUGCAACUUAAAGGUCGAGCAAAUGGAGUCUGAAAUGCAACUUGUGGUGUUUCAAUAGAAAAUCUACCUUAUGCUCAUACUUGCAAUAGCAUUAGUGGCCCAACUAUUUUUAAGGAUUAUGCAUUACUAGCUCGACACAAUUCCAUAUAAAGCCAUGCAAGGCAUACGGGGACCUUAGAGUACGUACCAACUUGAUCAAAAUUACUUAAAAGCAAAAGAAACAUAAAGUGUACCAAGGUAUUUAACUUAUCGGUAAACAAAAGGCCUUCAUGUCGGGCGGUAAUGUAUGCACGAGUAUAUCUUUAGAUGCUCACAAUGCCAGCAUCUGGUGGCAAUUAUGUGAAUUGUUCGACCAACCAUGGAAAACUCAACAUUUGACCUUUCAUGUCAGGCAGUAGAACUUUCAAGGAAACUUCACAUUAUACAUUAACGAUCCCACAAAAAGCUAUUGAUCCACCGAUAACACCAACUGGAUCGUAACGUGAUGGUACAUUCCCCAUAAGGCAUAUGAAAUGCCACCGAUAACACCAACUGGAUCGUAACGUGAUGGUACAUUCCCCAUAAGGCAUAUGAAAUGUGUAGGUAUCUGGUCUCCAAUGCUUUACUAAAGCAAUAAUAAGGUGCCAAUCAACUGCAUGAAUCAAGAAACCCUAAGAAAUCCAAUGGUCUCUAACUAUAACACAAUAUGCUGAUCAAAGGGGAUAGUGCGUUGGGAUGUUGUCUCUCUCCUUGGACAACUCAAAACUACAGUGGAGGAAGUAUCCAUGUCAAGCUCCACUCCACAGUCACUCCAUGUGUUCAUGUGGAGGUGUGACGGCGACUGUAAACCCUAGUUCUUGAACUCCCUAAAAUAUUAAGUGUGAAGUGUUUUGAGAAGCUUAGUGUUGUUUUCCUCUGUUAGGUGGGAAGAAGAAAGUAAAAUUUAGCUAAGUAAGAAAGGUUUUACUUGGCAACCCAAAAGGGAAAGAAGAAGAGAAACUUGUUGAUGUUAAAAUUUGACUAAGUGUUAGAGAGGUUAUAUUUGUACAUGGUGUUGAGUGUUUUGUGAUGAUUAGCCGUUUUGGUUGGCUUAGACGAGAUGGUUUGUUAAAAACCUCUAAAGAGGUUAUCUCGAGCAUUGUGCCAAGUUAGGAGGCAAUUGUGUGGAAGUUGCUAUGCGAGAUGGUCUACAAGAAUGUCCUAGGCGUUUAGUGCUAGGUGAGGAAGCUUGCUAGAUAUGUCUUGGCGUUUUGGCUAAGCAUUUGAAGAAGUUAUGAGGUUAUUUUGUGCUUUGCGAGCAAGCAAGCUUAGGCGAGAAGAGGUUUGCGUCCAAGGUGAUUAAAGGUUAGUUUGGUGAGGAGGCAUUACACUUGGCGAGGAAGAAGUGAAGGAUAGCCAUUUAAAAGUGCUUCUAGGCAUUUUGGACAGUCGGUUAAGUGGUUUCCAGGUGUCCUUAGCAUGCAAAAUGGUGGUUCAUGCAAGUAGAAGGUGGCUAAGUGUCACGUGGUUAUUUUAAUCACAAAACCAACGUGCGACACAAAGGUGUUGGGGUUGCACCAAUGUAAGCCUAAGAGUAAUUGGACUUGUUGGAACAAACUAAGGAAGAAGGAAAUCCGUAGGUAAGAAGUAGGCAAAGAGUUUUAGACAAGGUGUUUGAUAAAAUGCUUAAGAGAGCUUUGUUGAUGAAUUCCCAAGGAUUCUGUGUUGUUUGUACAAAUGGACCCCUUUGGGGUAUUUAUAGAAGUAUACAAUCUAUUUACAAGCCCUAAACCGCCUUACAAGGUCGGCAAAAGCAAUCUGGAACAUUCCCGAGCGCUCAUGACACUGUCCAGAAGCUUCUGGAAGCGUCUGGGGCCGUCUGGCGCGCGCGCGGGCCUUCUGGAGGCGUGUCGUGCGCGCGCGUCUGCGUGCGUCUGGAGUGCGCGCGCCUUCGCACGUGUUCGCGAGCCUUCUCGACCGCUCGCGAUUCUUCUGGAACCUUCGAGAGGUUCCCGGAUGCUUCUCCGCGCGCUCCGUGUGCUCCGUGUCCGCUUCCGUGCGCGUCCGCUUGUCUGCCUGCCGCCCUUGCGCGCGCGCGCGCCCAUGUCAUUACAGGGCCGCGCGCGCCAAUCUCCUGCACAUUGGCGUGUCAUAGGCUUGGCGUGAACUUGCUCCUCUUCCUUGGGUCUUUGGACUGCUUGGGACUUGGUUGGCUCCUCUUGGGCAAUGCUAAGGAGCCUUAAUUUGCGAAAAAUCUGUUGGGUCAUUUUUGGGGCGUGACACCCUCCCCCACUCGAUUUCGCAACGUCCCCGUUGUGCUUUCUUGAAAUCUUCUGAUUUCAUCUUGAAAUUGCCAUAGGGUGUCUUCCUUUUCCCAACUUGCUUCGCUUUCGGGUAGUCCUUCCCAAGCAAUUAAAUAUUCGUUAUAACUGGGGACUCCUCUCCCUUGUGUCUUCCAUUCUGCUAAGAUCUCCUUGAUUCUUUUGUUGGAUUCUGAGAUCAUGGCAGUAGGAACAACAGCAAGCUCUGCCUUUCGACUUAAGGCGUCAGCAACUACAUUAGCUUUGCCCGGCUUGUAUUGUAGUUGAAAAUCGAACUCGGCAAGAAAGUCUUGCCAUCGAGCUUGCUUUGGUGUGAGUUUCUUCUGUGUCUGAAAGUAGCUGGUUGCCACAUUGUCUGUCAUCACCGUGAAUUUACUGCCUAAUAGGUAGUGUCUCCACGUUCGUAGGCAGUGGACGAUAGCAGUCAUCUCCUUUUCUUGCACGGUGUAUCGUCGCUCCGUAUCAUUGAGUUUGCGACUUUCAUAGGCUAUAGGAUGGCCUUCCUGCAUCAAGACGCCCCCUAUUGCAAAGUCUGAUGCAUCGGUGUGCACCUCAAAUGGUUUGGUGUGAUUAGCCAAGGUCAUCACGGGCUCUUUCGAGACGGCUUCCUUCAAUCUGUCAAAGGCUUGCUGACAUUCCCCACUCCAAUGCCAGGUUUGGCUUUUCUUUAGUAAGUUGGUGAGGGGUGCAGCAACAUUUGAGUACCCCUUUAUGAAUCUACGAUAGUAGUUCACGAACCCUAAAAAUGAUCGCAACUCCGGGAUUUUAGUAGGGGGUUUCCAAUCAAGUAUGGCACGUACCUUUGAUGGAUCCAUCAUUAACCUGCCUUCUCUAAUCCAAUGUCCCAAAAACUCCACUUCUGGUUUAGCAAAUGAGCAUUUUUCCAGCUUUAUAUAUAACUCGUUGUCGCGGAGUACCUGGAAUACUUGUCUGAGAUGUUGAACAUGUUCUUCCAUGGUCCGACUGUAUACUACAAUGUCAUCCAGAUACACAACAACAAACUGAUCUAGGAAUGGCUGGAAGAGUUUGUUCAUGAGAGUGCAGAAAGUGGCCGGGGCAUUAGUUAACCCGAAGGGCAUUACUAAGAAUUCGUAAGCACCGUACCUGGUUACGCAUGUUGUUUUUGGCUCGUCCCCUUCCUUGAUUCUUACUUGGUAGUACCCUAAUCUCAGAUCGAUCUUACUGAACCAUCGGGCGUUACCAAGUUGAUCAAAUAAAUCGGCGAUCAGCGGUAUAGGGUACCUGUUUUCGAUGGUCACCUUAUUGAGGGCUCGAUAAUCGAUACAUAGUCUCAGUGACCCAUCUUUCUUUUUCUGAAAGAGCACAGGUGCACCGUAUGGGGCCUUCGAAGGUUGAAUGUAGCCAGCUUCGAGGAGCUCUUUCAAUUGCCUUUUUAACUCCUCGAGUUCUGGAGGGGCCAUUCUAUAGGGAGCCAUAGCGGGUGGUUUGGCUCCUGGUUCCAGCUCAAUUUCGUGAUCUACUUCCCUUCUCGGAGGAAGUUUCUUCGGUAACUUGGCGGGCAUGACGUCCUUGUAUUCUUCAAGGACUUUAUGUACUUCUUUGGGGACGGUAGUUUGGGUAGGACCAGUCUCUUCUGGUUGUGCCUCCUUUAGAGUAACUGCAUAGCACUCGUGUUUGGUAACCCCUCUCUUGAAUUGCAUGGCUGAGAGCAUGGUCACUGGCCUUCCCUUCUUCAAUGGGAUGGUUGUUAUUUGACCAUCCACUAUAGUGAGGGUACUUCCGGAAGAAUUGAUGAUGGCAAUUACCUUAUUGAAGAACCCUAAGCCAAGCACAAUGUCAAAGUCAUCCAUAGGUAGCACGGUGAAGUCGAGCUUACCUUGCCACUCACCGAUCUUGACUGUUACACCUCUUGCUACACCUUUGAUGGCUUGUGCUUCUGAGUUUACCGCCUUGACAGUCCCCUCUUCGUUUGUGAACUUGAGGCCUAUUCUCUUAGCCUCAUUCACGUUCAUGAAGUUAUGACUCGCACCGGUGUCAAACAUGGCAAUAGCCUCUCUCCCGUUUAUCUUUACAUUUCCAUGGAGUAGGCCUCCUUUAGUUGUUUGAUUGGCCUGUUUCAGCGACUCCUUCCUUCAAAUGUCACGUGGUUAGAAUCUGAAGCUAACCAUACGUGCGGCACUUGGCUAACUACGAUGCCCACAUAGCCAAGUAAGCCUUUCCCGGAAGGGGUAGUGCGCCAAGCACUACGCCAAUGGGUUGCAGCGGAAGUACUUAGGUUGGUUGCAAGACACGAGAGAGGUUGGAAGGAUGAGGGAGUUUGGAUGGACACGUCUUGGAAAUGAUACAUUGCAUUCCAAGAAUAGAUGAAUACAUAUUUGGGUACAAAUAUGCUGUCUUCUUGUCAUGGGGAUACCAUGGGCAAGGAGACUUUGGGUGGCAAGGUGACCUUGCUUGGCUAAGACAUGCCAAGAUACAAGGUUGCAAGGCUUACUUGGCUAUGUGGGCAUCGUAGUUAGCCAAGUGCCGCACGUAUGGUUAGCUUCAGAUUCUAACCACGUGACAUUUGGUAUCAGAGCUCCAAUGUGUUGCAAGGAACCAAUCUGUGGUGUAUCAUCUCCUUGCUUGGACUCGAGCAAUUUGGCAACAAGUGCAUUCAUUGCUUUUCUAUUCGGACAGUCUCUUGUCCGAUGAGGGCCAUUACAAACAAAACAGGGAGAAGGUUUGGACGACUCACCUUGUUGAGUUUUGUGAUACUUGCCAUGUCUUUGGAAUGCCUUCUUUCCCUUUUCCUUUUGCUCGGAGUCUCUAUGCUUGUAGUGAUUGCCUUCACGUUUACUUGGACUAGGUUUUCUCUCCUUUGAUUGGGUUGUAUAAUCGAUAAGCAUCUCAGCUGCGGCUAUAGCAUCGUCCAAUGUUUGGACAUUGCGACGGUCUAGCUCAACCUUGGCCCAAUCUUUCAAUCCAUCUCUAAAUUGGAAUAGGGCUUCCUUCUCGGGCAGAUCACUAAUUUCAAGCAUAAUAGUGGUAAAUUCCUUCACAUAGUCGAGAAUGUUACCUGUGUGUCGUAGCCUUCGAAGUUUGUCUCUUGACUCCAUUUCAGCAUUGUGGGGAACAAAGUGCUUUCUUAGCUCGGCCUUGAAUUGUUCCCACGUCUGGAUGGCAUUUCCAUUUUGGUCAGCGUAUCUUCGACGCCACCAAAGUUGUGCGGCAUCCCUUAGGAAUGUCGGGGCAUUGUUUAUCUUGGCCUCAUCAUCUCGAACACCGACAGCUACAUAGUAUCGGUCAAGGCCAAAGAGGAAGUUUUCCACAACCGUGGCAUUCCUCACCCCAUUGUAUGUGUCAGGUUUCGGCACUUUUAUGUGAGUAGUGCCUUACACAGCAGUGUGUGUACUGGUGGAUGGACCGUCUCCACCAAAGUGCUUGGAACGACAUUCCAUGCAAAGAGUAUCUACCUUUGCAUCUAGGGAAAUAUACUUAGAAUAGAGUUCGCGUAACUCACCUUCAACAAAUGUCUUCAAAGUGGUUACGGUUGAUGACAACUCCUUCAAAUCCUUUUGGAAUGUUUUUCCAAGGUCGGCCACGAGCUCCUUGGUUGCUGCGGAGAUUUCCACAUUCUCCUGAAUAAGCUCUUCGUAGUUAUCACCCAACUCUUCUACCGUGUGCUGGACAUCCUCGAGACUUUGCUCAAGGUUGGCAAGGCGAGUUUCGACAUGCUCCCUUGCAUCCGGACCCUUAGAUUUCGAUCGUCGGGUCGGGGAUCGUCGGUCCUUCCUACCUCGUGUGAUAGGUCCUUCAAGAACCUGCUCAGCUUGGGCUGAAAUGUGGCCUUCUUCGCUGGACAUCUUGUUCACAAGUCAACUGGGAUUAAGUGGGUGUAGAAACUGUGUUCCGUUACUUUGACAACGUUUCAAGAACUAGAGUCUUGAAUCUUGGUCUCUCGAUAUCGUGCACUUGAUAGCAACGAUCAAGAGUAUGUCCCUUUGAACGAACACGCUCUGAUACCACCUGUCACGUGGUUAUUUUAAUCACAAAACCAACGUGCGGCACAAAGGUGUUGGGGUUGCACCAAUGUAAGCCUAAGAGUAAUUGGACUUGUUGGAACAAACUAAGGAAGAAGGAAAUUCGUAGGUAAGAAGUAGGCAAAGAGUUGUAGACAAGGUGUUUGAUAAAAUGCUUAAGAGAGCUUUGUUGAUGAAUUCCCAAGGAUUUUGUGUUGUUUGUACAAAUGGACCCCUUUGGGGUAUUUAUAGAAGUAUACAACCUAUUUACAAGCCCUAAACCGCCUUACAAGGUCGGCAAAAGCAAUCUGGAACAUUCCCGAGCGCUCAUGACACUGUCCAGAAGCUUCUGGAAGCGUCUGGGGCCGUCUGGCGCGCGCGCGGGCCUUCUAGAGGCUUCCGUGCGCGCGCGCGCCUUCGCGCGUGUUCGCGAGCCUUCUUGGCCGCUCGCGAUUCUUCUGGAACCUUCGAGAGGUUCCCGGAUGCUUCUCCGCGCGCUCCGUGUGCUCCGUGUCCGCUUCCCGCGCGCGCGUCCGACUGGCCUUGCGCGCGCGUCCAUGCCGCGCGCGCCCAUCUGCCGUGCGCGUCCGCUUGUCUGCCUGCCGCCCUUGCGCGCGCGCGCGCCCAUGUCAUUACAGGGCCGCGUGCGCCAAUCUCCUGCACAUUGGCGUGUCAUAGGCUUGGCGUGAACUUGCUCCUCUUCCUUGGGUCUUUGGACUGCUUGGGACUUGGUUGGCUCCUCUUGGGCAAUGCUAAGGAGCCUUAAUUUGCGAAAAAUCUGUUGGGUCAUUUUUGGGGCGUGACAUAAGUCCACUUUCCAGAUAAAUUUAUAAAUAGGCUCACUUCAUAAUUAAAUUUCUCUCAUUUCUCUCGUGCAAAUUGUGUGAUUCAAGUUGAAGAAUCUUUCUUUGUGAGUCUAUUUUCAAGUGUGAGACUGCCGAGCAAAUUUGAUUAAGGGAAGGUUGAGUUGGAAGAUAAAAAACACUUGAAGGUUAGAUAUCAAAGGAUUCUGAGCAGUGUUGGUUUUCUAAAGGCUAUAGAACUCAAUUCUUUGAAUUUGAAGCUGAGAUUUUGAGGUAAGAUAGUUAACUCCGUUCUAAACAAGUUUGAAGAAGGAAGUUUAAUAUUUUAAAUUCUGGAUAAAAUAUAUGAAUUUUUUAAAUUUAUCGUAGUUUUUUGAAAAAUUUCAAUGUUUUGGGUAGUUGUGGAAGAUGGUCGAGCAUCAGAGUAAAAGGGGUUGUUCAUCGCGCAAGGUAAGCAAAAGAGGUUAUUUUGGGUGAUUGGAGUGUCACGCAAGAUGGCCAAAUACCUAGGUGGCAAGGGACGUGCACGCCAGGCUAUGAAUUAGACUAUAUGUGUGAGGUGUACAUGUGCCUGCUCAUUGUGCGGUCAGGCAGUGAGCGUUGCUCGACGCCCUAGCACGCGGCAAGGCCAGACGGGUAUGACAAGCAUGUGGCCAGACCUUCUGAUGGUUUGCAUGCGCACAUGCAUGCUUGUUGCCUAGGCCAUGCGGCCAACAGUGCCAUGACACUAAAUUUUGACAAGUUUUGGUGUUUUUGAAAUUUUUGGAGUUUUUUUGGAUAAUUUCUUAUUCUGGAAGAGUAAUUUAGGUUUACAUUCUCAAUUUUUCAGAAGAAAAAGUAUUUGACAAAUCUAUAUGUCGAGACGGUAAUCGAGUAUUAUGAGUGACAUUAAAAUGUUUUAGAAAUAUAUGUUCUAUCUUAUUUAAGUUAAUUGUUUUAUAACAUGCUUUUCAAAAGUAAAAGUGUUUGCUUGAGCUUGAGGAAAAAGGUAUGUUUCAAUAUAUAGGUUUGAGAAAAUAUUUCUUAGUAUGCAAGUGAUGUUAAAGCUUAAGUUGUUAUCAAAAGUAUGUUUUAUAUACAAACAUAUUGAAGUUAAAUAUGUUUUACAAGCAAAGUUGUUUGAGUAUGGAAGUUUUAGCAUGAAUUGGAGGCUUAUGGCGAGAUUUCUAUAAGUAUGUGGUUUAUGUAUUUAAGUCUAUAUCAAGAUGAUUAUGAGACACAUAUAGCAACCCUACGGGGGAUAAUAGUUCAUAUGCACAGAGGUCCUAUGGUGAGGGUAUUCAAUAGAUACCUAGCUCUUCCACCAUUUAUGACUAGGUUUGAGAUGAGGGCCUUUUUGGACACCUAGCUUUUCCAUCUCCUAGCUAUCUACAGGAUAGGGCACUAUUGAUGUUUAGGUUAUUUAUCCUGCAAGUAUCGUAUCAUGAGAUAGGACUUCCUUGCCUAGUUUUUCUGUCUCGAUUGAUAUUUAAAGAUUUAUGGUAUAGCGAGACAGAGAAAGAGAUUAAAGUUCUAUGUUUUCGAAAGAUGUUUUAUAUGAGCUUUGCAUUUCUUUAAAGUUUGUUUAAUUGUUUUACUCAAGCAUAUGUUUAAAGUAUGUUUCAUUAAAAUUAGUCACUCAUUAGACUAUCCAGUUCAUGCUUUCCAUUUAUUUUCAAACUUUUCAAGUCGAGAUCUUGGAACUGGUACCUGACUCCAUUUACUAAUUUGCUAGUGGCAUUGUUUUGAGUCCCCUUCAAUAUGUGUUAUUUUGAAUUAGUCUUUUGGGUUGUACAUAAGCUUGGAGUUUUGAUUAUGGGUCUUUCGAGUCUGUUAGGUUUUGUUAGUUAUAUGUAUAUAUGUUUAUAUCAAACUCAUGAUGUUCGGUAUUAUGUAACGUUGAGUUUCACCUCAGUAAUGUUAUGUUAUUUGGUGGUUGUUGUCGUUUAUGUUCUCUCUAUGUUAUCCAUUUUAAGUAUAACCAAGUUUAGGGUCGAUAGUUGUCGAGGUAAGAUGCGAUAUCUAUUGGACAGUUGCACCAUCUCUUGAGCUAAUAAUAGGUGGCUUGGGAGGGGGUGUGACAUUUAUCACAUAUCUCUCCACAAGAUAAUACGUUGAAUGCUUAGUAAGUGGAAUAAACAUAACAAUAAUUCUAAACGUGAAAUAAAAAAAAUUAUUUGAGAUAAUAAACACUUCAUUGAACUUAACAAGAUUACAUUUUUGGAUAAGUACGUAUAAGGAGAUUUCCACAAAAUAAAAAUAUACAAGUUUUCCAAAACAACAUUUCUUCUCCUUGCCUAACUUUAUAUGACAGAUGAUUAGACUAAGGAUUACUAACAAGAUGAUGCGACACAAUUAUGGCACAAUAGGCAAUCAGGACGGCAAGUCAAACGUUAGAUGUCCUUUGCCACCUGGGGCGGGAGAGGAGAGGCAAUAAAACAAAAUAUUUGAAAAUUAGACCAAAAGGGUUUAGUGACGGGGUUUUUCACCAAUACAUUUAAUAAAUAUAUUCUCUCCAUAACGCGUUGCAAAGUUCUUUUCACAAUACCAUGCGAUAUAAAUAAGUAUGCAUUUUGAUAUAAAUGAGUUCAAAUCAAAAGAUCAUUUCGCUACGUUAGGCGAUUUACACAUUCAAAUGUCAUUGAUAAUUAUUUAUAAAUCUCAUAGAAAUCAUUUCCUCGUAAAAUCAUUUCAUCAUAAUUCAUAUUGCAUAAUAAGAAUAUUUUUGCAUUACGCGUUUUAAAUAACAUAACGCAAAAUCACCUUGCAUAUUAAAUUUCAUCUUUUGAACCCUCCUCAGCUUAAGUGUCAACACACUCUCAUCGUCGAAUCACGAUUGUGCAGAGUAAUUCAACGCAUAUAGUAGAUUUUCGUCAAUUCCAUUAUGCAUAACACACCUUCUAGUGUCAAAUCACAAAGACAACAAAGACAUCUCCUACCAAAUCAUAAAGAAAUAUGAAACAUUAUAUUCUAAAUCACACAACAAGAACAGGGCAUCUCAUACUAGAUCACAAAGCAAGUGUAAGGUAUGUCAUUACAUAUGUUACAAAAAAAUCAUUUCAUAACAAAACCAUUCAAAUUCAUUUUCAAAUCUAAUUCAUUUGUAAGCAAAAUCUAUUUUAAGAAUUCGAGAAACAUAAUAGAAAUCAUUAAAGUCAAGAAUUCAAAAGAGAAAUAUAAGGAUUCAAUAUGAAAAUUCAUUUAUUUCACAAACAUUUUAAGGAAAACCACUCACAAAAACUAGGUUUCUUUUCUCUGAAUGCUUAAAUAUCCUUAUCUUCUCGUCUAGUGAUUCCUCGGUAUGUCAACUUAAGUAAUUCUCUAAGCAAUUUUAAAAUAUUUCUUUCUUUAGACCCUUAAGUCCUUUAUAUACUAAUCCUAAAUCGGAUUAGUCACUCUUAAGCUUCUCUUAACUUGCCAACUUCUACUUUGUACUGUAUAUGUGUAAGUUUAAUAUUUUCUCGAACCAUACUUUAGCUAUAAAUCCAACAUGUAAUCUGCCAACUAGAUUAGGAAAAUUCGAGUCUCACAGUCUCAUACUGAUUGUGAGCAAUGAGACAUUUGUUGAUACAGCUGAAUAGAAUUAACAGAAUUAGGUUCCAUUGUGCAAGUUCUCUAAAAAUAAUAAUAAAGAACAGUCAGAGCAUAGAUUUUAAGCUUUCAUUCCAAAAUAUGCACAUUUUAAGUUCAAAAUUUACGUAUCAAUACAUACUCAAUGAAACAAUAUAACGUCCAAUUUAUGAAACAAAAAUGCAAAAUCAUAAAUCAAAUAAUUACACAAUUUACAUAGUAAUAUCAAUAAUACUAUGAAUUUAAGCCUUAAAAUUUACAUAUCAAUACACUAAAUUUUAAGUCAUAAAAUAUACAUCAAGCCAUAAAAUCAAACAAUUACAUUUCCGUAAUAUAUACAAAAUCAUACACUUAAUCUAGUCGUGGAUCAGAUACAUGAUUUCACUAUAUUAUUUUUUACAAUGUUUUACAAAAUAACAUUAUUAAAACAAAUAUUUAUAAAUAAAAGAAUAUAUGCUAAAAGGUAGAAAAUAAUUAUUCCUUGGCACUUCUAAACGAGACAGUGACAACCACGAAGAGGAGACAAGAGAGGUCGUGGCGAAAGAAGAGAAGGCAAUUGUAGAAGAGAGGAGCAUAAAAAGAAAAGAGACAAUACUUCUGCGAGAGCUUUUUAAGUGAUGAAGUUAUGGACUAGGUACACAACAAGGCAUUAAAGUCAUGAACUCGAUCCACGACUCCGUACAUGUCAGACACAUGGCAAUGUUGGUUGCCAGUAACUACGAACAACUCACCGGUGUCGUGAACCGGGUCCAGACAAAUCACUAAAGUCGUAGACUAAGUUCACAACUUCAAUGCUUUGUUACGUAGCCAUUCUAUGACUAUUAUUCUAUUUUUUAGGGUAGUUUUCCUCCCACCCUAUUUUUUACAUCAUGUUUUAAAAAAAGAAAAGCUUGUAUCGGUAACCCGAGUUUGUGCCUCUUCUACCUGCAAUGAAAAAACAUGGUGAGAUAAAGAUUUGAUGAAUCAUGAAAUACACUUUUGAGGUUUGAAGAGAUUUCCUACAAAUGGAAGAAAUAGAAGAAUGGUGAAAUUGAAGUAUGACAACGGGAGAUGGGGUUUUGCGUUUAAUUCCAACAAAAGUGAAAAAAAAACAAAGUCAAUAUUAAUCAUUCUCCACAAGAAUCGACACACCACUCAUCAUUUUAAAGCAAAUGCAUGAGAUUCAUAUCUUUUCUCUAUUUCUUUCUAGCAUAUUCCAAUUAUUAUUAACACUUGACUUUGUAUACAGGAGAAAUAACCUCACCAAAAUCAAAACUUUUACUCAACUUCAACUUCAACUUCAACAUAGUUUUAAGUUUAUUUCUUGGGAUCCAAAAGUAGUUUCUCUUUCACUCUAUACUAUACUAUUCAUUGCAAAGUAAAACAUUAUAAAUGUUUAAGAAUACUUUUAAAACUAGCAUUUUUCUCAAUGUAAAUACCUUCUCUGUAGACUCCACUACUACUUCCAAGAUAUAUAUAUAUAUAUAUAUAAUCAUUGAAAAGAAAACAUGGGAAAAGGUAGGAAUUUUGUUGGUGAGAACACUGAUGGAACCCAAUAAAAUAUGCAAAAUAGAAAUCCCAGAAUGGCUACUUAUUUACAUAAAGUAUCUUUUUCUUAUGCAAUAAGAUUAUAAGAUAAGAAGAUAGCAACCAACAUUAAGCACAAUGGGAUUUGUUUAUGCUUUUGAUGUAGAUAGAGAGAUAGAGAUAGAGAGAGCUGUAUUCCAGCAUCCCCAUGCACCCCGUAGUCCCUCAACUUAACAUAAUACAUAACUUUCAAAAACAGGCUAAAACAAAAGACAGUACAAACAAAGUCCAUCAAUCACUUGCAGUAAAAAGAGCACACAUUUCUACAUUAUUAUUUUUUAAAAAUAUCCAUCUCUGUAUUCACCAAUUAAUGCACACCUCAACUAAUGUUAUAAAACAACCCGUUUGAUCCUACAAUAUUUAAGUAUCACCACCGUAGAUUGAACUCAGCAUUUCUACUCGUGGCUUCUACUUACUGCCUACAUGGAUAAAUAGAGGUCUACCCAUGAUUGGUGUACACAUCUAUACAUCCAUAUAUAUCUUUUACCAACUUCACCUUCAGUUUCUUAUCUAUUUCUUUCUACAGAAAACACUCACAAACCAGUAACUCAAUCAUAAUCCAACCCCACAAAUUUUCUUUUUCCCUCUCAUAUUUCUUCUCACACUUAAAUCCCCCAUUUCUCAUUUCCAUUCUCAAGCUCCCCUACAACACUCACUUCACAGUUCAACUACUAAACCAUGCUACCUUUCCUUCUUCUUUCUCUUUUAGCCACCGCAGUCGCUUCGGUUGCCACUGGUCCUGCCGCUACUUACCCGGCCACCCAACUCCUAAAUGUCAAAGACACAAUCAAAGAAGCAGAAACCGCACCCUCUAGACUACCACAAGAUCUUGAACUCCAUGAAAACUACCCUAUUUUUGAGUUAGACAACAACAGCAGCCAAAGUCAAUGGAAGCUCAAGCUUUUCCAUAGAGAUAAGCUACCCCUCAACUUCGACCCCGACCAUCCCCGUCGUUUCAAGGAGCGUAUCAGCAGAGAUUCCAAAAGGGUCUCCUCUCUGCUCCGCCUACUCUCCAGUGGCAGCGAUGAGCAGGUGAUCAGGAGUGAAGCUAAGAAGGAAGAAGGGAGCCAAUUCCCCUCCUUUGAGUUCAUAUAAAUAUACUCAAUAUUGUUUCAAAGAUUAUAGAUAAAAAAAAUGUUGGAAUAUAGAAUUUUUGUUUCUUUCUGAUUUUGCUUCUAUUUUCAUUUUUUGGCUGUGGCCGUGCAGGUGACGGACUUCGGAUCGGAUGUGGUCUCCGGCACGGAGCAGGGUAGCGGAGAGUACUUCGUAAGGAUAGGCGUUGGCAGCCCGCCGAGGAGCCAAUACGUAGUGAUUGAUUCCGGCAGCGACAUUGUAUGGGUGCAAUGCCAGCCCUGCAGCGAAUGCUACCAACAAUCCGACCCGGUGUUUGACCCGGCCGGUUCCGCCACCUACGCCGGAAUCUCCUGUGACUCAUCAGUGUGUGACCGCCUCGACAACGCAGGCUGCAACGAUGGCCGGUGCCGGUACGAGGUGUCAUACGGCGACGGAUCCUACACCCGCGGCACCCUCGCGCUCGAAACCUUAACUUUCGGCCGGGUCCUAAUCCGAAACAUCGCGAUUGGGUGCGGCCAUAUGAACCGAGGAAUGUUCAUCGGAGCCGCAGGGUUGCUCGGUCUCGGCGGCGGCGCCAUGUCAUUCGUCGGCCAACUCGGCGGCCAGACUGGCGGCGCGUUCAGCUACUGUUUAGUCAGUCGAGGCACAGAGUCCACAGGAACACUGGAAUUCGGCCGCGGCGCUAUGCCAGUCGGCGCCGCGUGGGUUCCCCUAAUCCGAAAUCCACGCGCUCCAAGUUUCUACUACGUCGGGCUUUCAGGUCUCGGAGUCGGAGGGAUCCGAGUACCAAUACCCGAACAAAUCUUCGAACUCACCGAUUUAGGGUACGGUGGUGUAGUAAUGGACACCGGAACCGCCGUGACGAGGCUACCGGCGCCGGCGUACGAAGCAUUCCGAGACACGUUCAUCGGACAAACGGCAAACCUACCUCGAUCGGACAGAGUAUCGAUCUUCGACACAUGCUAUAACCUAAACGGGUUCGUAUCGGUAAGGGUACCGACGGUGUCUUUCUACUUCUCCGGUGGGCCAAUACUGACGUUGCCGGCGAGGAAUUUUCUAAUCCCGGUGGACGGAGAAGGGACAUUUUGCUUUGCAUUUGCAGCAUCGGCGUCAGGAUUGUCGAUCAUAGGGAACAUUCAACAAGAAGGGAUUCAAAUCUCCAUUGAUGGAUCAAAUGGGUUUGUGGGAUUUGGGCCAACUAUUUGUUAAUUAUUCCCUUCAUCAAAUAUCAAACGAAGACCCAAUCUCAAAUUAUGUCUUAAAUACGUUUUUUCCCCUCAAACUUAAAAUCUUUUUUUUUUCUUAUUUUGUAAGUUAUAGAUUUCUUUUUAACUUUUAUUUUUAUUUUAUUUUUUUUUUGUAGAAUUUGAGUUUAGAAAGAAUAUGUUAGUGAUUGAGAAGUUCAUUGUUUGGUAGAUUUUUCGUUUCUUUUGUGUUAAUACAUUCAUCAAAUAUCUAACAUUUUUUUUAAGAUUAGUUAAUCAUAAUUUGAGAAUUUAUUUCCAAUAAUAAAAUUUUAAAAAUAUUUACGAAUAUAAUAAAAUAUCAUAACUAAGAUAUAGACGAUAGCUAUAUAUAAUAGUUUAUACUAAUGUGAAUAAUUGAUAUACUAUAUUUUAUAAAUAUAAAAUAUUAACCAAAUUUUUUUAAAAUAUAUUCGACACAAAAUUGAAAUAAAUUAAUCAUAAAUAAAUAAAAGUUAAGAAUUUAUUAAACAUCUUGUACUAGAAAAGUAGGUGAAAUUAGUAAAAAUCAAUACCUACUCUUAAACUUUAAUAACAUACUCCCAAUGUAUAUGUUACGAAACUAAACUUAUAAUUUAACUCAAAUUGUUUACCUCACGUAAAAAGGUAAUUGUGUUUAGUAAAUUCAUGAAAUAUGUAGUUUAUAUCGAAUUAUUAAUAUUUUUCAUUAUGAUCUUAAAUUUUUAAUAUACAAAUAUUAUAUUUAAGAACCGAUUAGAUCUUUUUAAGUAAUUAAUUUUACUGACAUAAUCUUCAGAAGUUUAAAAGUCAAAUUGGCUUAAUUGGCACAGUGUUUAUAUUAUCAACUUUGAUAUUAAAGGUUUGAUCCUCCCACAUGUGCAUUAAUACUUCUUGAAAAAGAAAAAGCCUAUAAUUUAGCCUAAAUACAACUUUAGUAACCAUAUAUUUGAUCUCUUAAUCAGUUUGAACCAUCACUUUUGGAUUUUUAUGUAUUAUAUUAUGGAAUGCUAAAGAGUGGCCCAAUUGAGAUUAGUUCUUAAGAUUGGCUUUCUGCUUUUUUUAAUUAAAGUCUUGCUUUUUCAAUAAGAGAACUUGUUUGGAUCUUUUUGCUAAUGAUAGUAACUAGAAAUUUGAACGGUUUUCAUAAGUUUUCAUUAUUUUCACCUCUUUUUCCUUACAAUAUAAGGCAAAUGAUCAAAUCUUGAGAUUGAUAUAUCGAUAUUACAAGUUUAUGUUAGUUGAGUUAUGCUCAUAGGAACUUUUAAAUGUUUGUUGUAAGUUUUUUUUUUUUAAGAAAAGCCAAAGAUAAAACAAGGUACACUACUCGUCAACAACGAAGAAUUAUUUUACUAAGAACACAUAUGGACAACAACUCUUAAAAGUAAUUUGAAGUUAAAAUGAAUAGUUUGAAAUAAGUUAAAAACAUUUUUUUUCUCGAGUUCAACAACUGUAGAAGGUAGAAUUAAAAAUACGGCGUUUGAAACGGUUACUAAUGUUUUAUCUACUAACUCGUGGUUAGAUGGAAGAGAAAAGGGUCAAAUAUUGGCAAAUGGAAAAGGAAAGAAAAAUGGAAGAAAAUGUAAAGGUGGGUCAAAAAGAAUGGGCAAAAGGGAGAUGUGAAUAAAAGAAAAAAUGGGGAGUAGUAGAAUAGUAGUUUAGGGUAAGGUGAUAGGAUCCAAGGGAUCCCUUUAAGCCUUUAGUUUAUUGUGUAAUGUAAUGUAGAAAAAAAGAAGAAAAAAACUCAAUUCACAUUCUCUUAUAGAUAGAUAGAUAUAUAUUGUUUCUCACCCUCUUGUGUUUGAAAUGAUGAAAAUGGGAACCACCACUAAGGCAAACAUGUGAAGGCAUCACUAGGAGUUUUGGUCUGCCUUUGAAGUUCAUUCAAGUAAUCACUUUUACAAAGCCAUUCACUUUUUCCUCUUUUUAUGACAUUGUGAGAUCAAGAUUGAUUACUUUUGUCCCCUCUUUCUUUUCUAAAUCUUACUUUUUUUUCUUUUUUUUUCAAAUUAGGUUAAAAAAUUUAAAUUAAUAAUAAAAAUGUUAACAUCUCACGCGUCUCGUGAAAACUAACAUAAGUUAUGAACUUAUAUUCAAAUAAAGAAGUUUAGAUUCUAGACUUGGUUUGUGUUAUUGAUUUUUAAGUUCAUUUGAGUAAUAUUGUGCUUAACAUAUUCUUAAUAUUUUGUGAAUACUUUUCUCGUGAACUUUAGAUGUAUUUGAAAAUAUUGAGGUAACUAAAUAUUAUUUUGGUCCUUACACUUUUAUACUAAUUUCAACUUGGGUUUAUUUUGGCUUUUGCACGAUCAAACUGUUCGUUUUAGUCCUUCAUUUUCAUUUUUACUUCAUUUUUAGGGUUAAAAUUGGUAGUUUUUCGAAAGUUUAUUGAUCAAAUGAACUAAAGUCGGAAGUAGAAGUAAACUGAAUAACAACAUUUUAAAAGAAGGAAGCAAAAAAUAUUAUUUAAACGAAAAGUAUAUUGAUUAGAAAAUAAACAAAUUGAGAUGCACUUAAUUGUAUAAAGUUAAAUAAAAAGAGCAUGUUUGUAUGUUUAAAGAAGAAGUUAAUGAGCAAUAGUGGCCACUUAAAUCCUCAUAUUCACUUUAGAUGUCCCAAAAAGUUAAAAUUUGCCAAUGAAAUUUGUGAAAGGAGAAGGAAUCAAAUAAAGGAAGUGUUGUAAGCUUUAGUCAGAAUCAAAGGAUCAUUUUGGAUAUACAAAUACUUUCAUCUUCUACCAAUCUUUUUCCUUCAAAAUAAUAGUUAAUGAAAUGUGAUGUCACUUUUACAUCUAAAUUCCAUGGAAUUAACUUUUCUUUUCUUUUUUAAGAAAACUAACUUUUCUAGCAGUGAAACUUUAUUUACUUACUGUUUUAAUUCACUAAUCAUCCUUUGGUAGUGUGAUUCAAAUUGACAACCAAACAAACCACAAAUCCAAUUUUUUCUAAACUCUCAAUUUAAUUUGAUUUUAAAUUAUAAAGAAAGUUUUAGAUUUAAAAAUGAACAUAAAAUUUCAGGGUUAGUUGAUUUUGUUACUCCUCCUUAAAUUCUUUUACAUUAUUUAUUUGUAAUGUUUGGAAAAGGGUGAAUGAUCGAUCAAUCUAUUAUUAAAUGAAGUAGAAGAAGAAUUAAUUUUGUUGGCAAACUCCAAAAUGGGGGAAAAUCUAUUUACAUAAAAUUGAAAGAUAAGGGAAAUAUGAAAGAAGCUCUACCAAUAUGGGCUGUUGACAUGUUUGAAAAGAACAAAAUGAUUGAUGAUUUGAUGUGCAUUUGAUAAUAUGAUUAGCUACUAAAAUCCAAACCACACAUUGACUAAAUGCCUAAAACACUACCACUCUAUAUUUGCUUUCCAGCUACUCUAUUCCAAAAUGACACAAUCCCAUUCUUUUACCAUCCUUACCUAUCCAUUCUAAACAAAACUUACUCCUCCCACCUAUCAACCAAAAGAUUUAUAAUUCAAAUCGACUACAUACUAAAACAAAAACUAAGUUUAUGCCAUGUAAGUUGAAAGAAAACAUCGGUGAAUGUUUAGAUGCAACUUGUAGACAUUUUGACUAUUUUCACAAGAUUAUCUUGUGUGUUUUUUUAUAUUAUUGAGUGUCUAAAUCAAAUAUUAGUAGUAUGUAUUCACCAAAAUAAUAAAACAAUGGAGCAAUAAAGAUGUUGCCUAAUAAACCACAUUUGUAUACUAAACUCAAGAGAUGAAUUUUUUUCGAAUAAAAGUUGGAAGUAUCUUGGACAGUAACAAAUAUUGAGAAGAUAGUAGACAAACAAGAGACUUUUUUUAGUACAACAAUUUGGAUUAAAUUAGAACCCAAGAUUUAAUAGUUACUAAUAGACUCAAAAAAACACUUUAGUUAAAGCUCUCUCAUUCGAGACAAACAAAAUUUGAAGGAUUGUGAUAUUGGGUUGUAAAAGAUAAAUUGGAGUAAGGGGGGUCCUCGUCCUCCAUGAUUUGGGUUAUUACCAAAAAGUUUGUGAAAGGGUAUGGCAUGAUUGGCAGGUCCCUCAUGGAAAAAUUAAAUGAUCAAUUUGACUAGUCCAUUCAAGUUGGAGGUACCUUUUAAACAACUCGAAAACCCCAUAGAAGAUCAUUUGUUAUUAAGGAUGAUGUGCUAAAGGAUGAAUGAUAGAGAUCAAUACUGCUCAAAAAGAUAGACACCCUAAUGCAUAGUAGAUCAUUUGUUAUUAAGGAUGAUGCGCUAAAGGAUGAAUGAUAGAGAUCAAUACUUCUCAAAAAGAUCGACACCCUAAUGCAUAGUAGAUCAUUUGUUAUUAAGGAUGAUGCGCUAAAGGAUGAAUGAUAGAGAUCAAUACUGCUCAAAAAGAUCGACACCCUAAUGCAUAGUAGAUCAUUUGUUAUUAAGGAUGAUGCGCUAAAGGAUGAAUGAUAGAGAUCAAUACUGCUCAAAAGAUCGACACCCUAAUGCAUAGUAGAUCAUUUGAUAUUAAGGAUGAUGCGCUAAAGGAUGAAUGAUAGAGAUCAAUACUGCUCAAAAAGAUCGACACCCUAAUGCAUAGUUUCCAGGAAGACUCCACAAGGGUACCAUUGAUUCUGGUUAAUGUCAAUGGUGAUAACUGUUUCUGAUGAAAAAAGAAACUUGGAUGUAAUUUGUUGUUACAACCAAUCAUAUGCUCAAAGCUCCGAGACAUUGCUCAUUGUUGAGAAAGGCAGUCGAAUGAUAAAGUUCACAUUUAUUGAAAUAUAAAAGAUAUCCGAACUACAAGAUAAACCCGAAGUGUUGAAGGUAUUGAAUCUUCCUAAUCCAGGCUCCAAAAUUUUGUCAACAUUGCUCACCAUCAAUAUCCUUCACCAAGCACUGAUAUAUUUUGAGUAACAUUCCUUGUCCCCAACCACAUGCUUGAAGCUUUCCUAGACACUGCUAAUUGUCAAGUAAGGCACUUAGAUAAUGAAUUUUCUUAAUUACAAGUUCAAUAUACAAUAUAAAUCAUGGAUGGACAAAGGGCAGUCCACAAUAAUAAAAACUUGUCCCGAAUUCUGGAUCAAUUCUAACUUAUGAACAAUGUUAAGAUUGUCAAAAGAAGUUACUGGCAUGGCAUGUUAAUACCUCUUGAAGCUUACCACCAUAGGCACUGCCUAUUGUCGAUAAAGAUGUAUAUGACAUAAAUCAAUGAUUGACAUAAGGACCGCCAAUAUCAUAUCUUGAGUGCUUGUCUCUUCCUUGUGUGCAACUCAAUUGUUAACUCCCUAGAUUAUGGUCAAUCUGGACAUAGUUCAAUAAAUAAAAGGUGAAUCUCACACCACACCAUGAUCAAACUAUUUUCUUUUUGAAAAAAAGCGAAUGGGGACAGACGUGAAUUUAGUGCUUUUGGAUAUCACUAGAGCCUCAUUGCACAUCUGGUUACAUGUUCUGUUCGAUAAUGAAAUCAAAAUGGUAUGUCAACUAACAACACAAACCCAGUUUAGACAAAGUUCCAAAACGCCUAUUACAUAAUGACCCUCUUUCAAACCAUAUUCUAAUCAAAUCAAGAACACCUAUAGAACAAGAGUAAGCAAGUGGUACAAAUCAAGCAUACAUGUAGGUCAAACCAUGAUGACCGCAGAGUUUUACAGCCAGGAAUAAAUUGCCCUACUAUGUGGGAUAAAGGUAGCAGUAGUACAGUGAUAUGUAAGCUUCACAUGUCUCGCCUCUAGUAGUCAAAUUGUGCAGAUGAAUCUUGAGAUGUUCAUGCUAGUUGCUAUCUCAAAAUGAUACCCAACUUCAAGCCCUAAAAUUUGGUAGAAAGAAAGCCCGAAGCUUCUAGGAAAAAAAACUCAAGGCAUUCUCGCACCAUGUAGAAAGGGGAAAAAAACUCAGUAACAUUUCAUUCAUACAUAGAAAGCCUUGAACUAGUAGAAAGAAAAAUUACAGUAAGUCUCUAGUGAGUUCGAAACAGCUAAAUAUACAACAUAUGUAAAUAAAAAUAAUAUACAUACAAAUCCUCAGUUCGAGCCUGAGGUUCCCAAUACAUCACAGAUAAGUUGCCAUAGAUUUUUCCAGAAUCAGAGUUCGAUCAAAGCAACUAGAUUGGGUCACAAGUCUGAAACAACUUAUCCAUAAACAAGCAUAACACGUUUUCUUGAGCCCACUGAACUGCAGUUAAUGUGAAUCCAUGACAUCUUUAAAGAAGAACAAGAUAAGCUGCGGUAACAUGUACCUUGAUUGACAGACACGAUUUGAAAUCCUUAAUGUGCUAUCUUUACUCCAUCCUCUUCUUCAAUCCUCAGCAUUCAAUAGUCAUAUUUUCUAAGCAACACAAUGAAACCUGCAAUAUUCUAUACAGCACACGUCUUGAAUAUAUACCUGGUCUUUUGAGAGAUGAUCAUUACCGAAUUUAGACGUGAUGUCAAAAUAAAUUAAAGAGGAAAAAGAAACCCAACUAAAACUAAACAUUUUCUAUACAAUAGAAAUCAACUUGGAUAUUUACAGGCAGGCCUAUCAAGAUAUCUUGGCACUUCACUGAAAUCCCAAAGGAAGAAAGAAAAAGAAAAUGCUGUUACUAGGGCCACAAAAACUCAUUUAUAUUACCGUAAGUAUAUGCUGACCCAGUCCAUCCCAUGGGCCACUCCUGGUGUGCAAAAUAUGUGCAACCAGUGUCACUCACCCUUAAAUUACCAGAACCAGAAGUUAUUCUGAUCCCUACAAAAUUUUCCAGAAGUGUAAGCUAACUAAAACUUCCAGACGAAGAAGCUGAGCUGCUUGACAAUUCAAACCAUAAAGAGAUAUCUGAGAUCUUCAACUGUCAAGCGGGAAGCAGAACCUCCACUUUGAUCUUCACCAAAUGCUGAUGCAACCAUUUUUCUCUUCUCUUCCUGCAUAACAUGGUCAGAAAGAAAAAUAAAAUCUUCACAUCAAUAAUACGUAUACUUGCAUAUCAACUUCAUCUUGAAAAGCACCAAGCCAACCCUCUUAACAGAUGUUCAAUAUGACUAACCAAUUCAAAAGUACUUGGGGAUCAAUCAAUUUUCUAACACGUAGCACUAUUUAAUGGUUGAAUAAAGAAUCAAAGUUAUUCAGAACAUUCAACUCCAUUUACAAUUAGAAUUAACAACCUUCAUCAAGGGACUACUGCUCCCUUCUUAGUGUUCCCUUGAAAGUCAUAAAGAACUUGGAGAAGUUGAUGGAAUGGAAGGGCUUACAACCUGCAGAAAGAUCCACUCUAAUUUACUCCUUCGGUAUAUUAGAGUGGGUCUUCCCUUCCCAUAUUCCCUUGGUGUGGGUGGAUUCUCUAGAGCACAGAAGCAAUGCCCUCCCAGUUCCCUCCUACUCAAGUGGCUUUGAAGGCACCAAAAAGGAGUCAGCUCUUGGAGGCAGAGUCAUGGCUCGUAUGUAUGGGCUGGACGACCAAAAUUAUUAAGAAAAAAAGAUGCAGGCAUUAGCCAAAAUAGGCACAGCAAAUCAGAAUCGAGUGUCAUCAGGAUUACUCAAUUGCUUGCUACAAAAAGUUAAUUCAGCUGUAUCUUUCUCUAGAUCCAUAUCCUCCAUAAUUGUCAGAAAUGCAUCCUUUCUAAGUCUUAUAAGCCUCCUCAUUCCAAUUAGCAAAAGGAAUUUAGCACCUUUUUAGUUUUAUCGAUACCAAUAACCAGGCCUACCUGAACCAAAAACAGGCCAACCCAAGAGGAAGACCCUGCCACCAGCUAUGAAUACAAUACAAAAUCCGGAAUUUCUACAAAACAGAAUCCAAUCUCUUUCAAACUUCAACAUUUUACAAUACAUAAAGACAACCAAUCCUAACUACAGAAUUAUUAUAUCUACUUGAGACUUCUAAAAUUUCUAAGACAUUCAUUCCUCCCUCCCAGUUCCACGAUUAAUGUGCAUAUCCCCUAAACCCUAUAACAAGAACUUGUACUAUGGGGUGGGGGGGAUUGGUAAACACUAGAAGAUCAUAUGGUUGAAAUUUGGUGUUUAUAUUUUAACCAUGAAGAUUAAUGUUCUCAACAUAUAUUUCUAAAAACUGAGUUUUCAACAGAUAUUGAACAGAUAAUGGAAAAACAAACAUAAAGCAACAGAGACAGGGAUAAUACCUGCAGUGCUAGUAUCCUAUCUUCUACGGUGUCUUUUACAGUAAUCCUUGACACCGUAACAGGACGAGUCUGUCCAAUUCUAUGUGCUCGGUCUACAGCCUGAUCCUCAGUAGUUGGAUUCCACCAAAGAUCCAAUAAGAUAACAUGGCAUGCUGCAACCAUGUUCAAACCUAAAUUUCCUGCCUUCAAUGACAUCAACAUAACAGAGAUCUGCAGAAUAAAACCACCAAUUCAAGUAUUGAAUUAAACCACCACGCUAAAUAUGAUAUUGUUAAUCAUUUCAAUACCUAUAUCAUUGCAAAUCAUUUAAAGUAACUGUAACAUAUAAACUUCCACAGUAUAUAAUGUCUCCAACAUCUAGAGGCAUCUUAAAUCCACCAGAAAUCGUCGUAGUAGUAUUCAGAGUAAGGGCCAAACCUCAGGGUCGGAGUUGAAAUCUUUCACAGCACGGUCUCUUGAAACCAGAGACAUUGUGCCAUCAAGUCUCCUAUAUUGAAUGCAAGCUUCGUUUAGUGACAAUUCUACUAAAUCUAACAUGCUGGUCCACUGGGAGAAAACAAUUGUCUUUACAGGUUCUUCAGUUGGAGGACAUGGAGAUGCGUGCUUUGUAUUAUUAACAUCAGAAUCACAGAUCUCAAUGCAUUCAUCUUCAGACUGUAGAGAACUUCCAUUGCAUCCAACGGAGACCCCUUGUUCAGAAGUUGAAAUGGAUGCUUUGCAAUUAUUCUGCAGAAUCUCAAGAACAGCCCUAAUUUUGGACGAACUGUACUCACUAUGAACAACUUGGGAUUUCUCAGGAAUUCCCAAACUUGUGGAACCACCAUCAAGAUCCUCAGAGAAACAUUUACGAAGGGUAGUUUUUGAGAAAACAACGUCAGCAGCAACUUGUUCCUUGCAUCCAAGUGCCGGGCACAUAUUGUCAUCACCAGUCAUGGAUUCAGACACGCAUUGGAAGCAGAAAACAUGACCACACAUGGUAACAACAGGAUUCUCGGGCGGAUCCUAUUAGGAGGGAGGAAAAACCAUUAAACAAUAAAUACAACAAGUCAUUGUUUUUGCAGAUUAUAAAAGUCUUACAUAUCAUAUUCAGAUUAUUUAAAUGUAUGCCACUUAGUAUUGCAAUUUGAUAUGCGUGAACACAUUAUAGACGUAGUUGCACAAAAAAUGACAAGAUGGCUAAUUUUUUACCAUUGUAAAAAAAUAAUAUCAUUUUAAUCUUUUAAGACAAAAAAUAAUCUAAGGAUAGUGGUGUAAGGAAUUAAAAGAGAUAACUCUCUGAGAAUCAAACCAAAGUUCUUAGUAUCAACCAAAAAUUAUGGAAUACAUGAAGGUAAUUCCCUUUGUGAAAUUAUCAUUUUACCAUCUUCUAAAGUUAGUAACUUUAAUCUAUUAAGGCAAAAAUAAUUAAAGGACGGUGGUGUAGCUUAAGGGAUUAAAAGAGAGAAUUCCCCAAGAAUCAAAUCAAAGUUAUUAUUAUCAAUCAAUUAGUGACAACAUGAGGACAAUUCUUCAUUGAUAUAAAAUUGGAAACAAACUAAAAAAUACAAUAGAAAUUAAUAAAAAAAAAGAAAACUGAACUUUGAAUAGGAAACUAAAAGGAUUAUUCGAGGAUUGAACCCAGAUUAAUAUGAAUUUGCCCCAACUUAACCUAACCAUACUAUAACAUAUUCAAUCCCUCCCCCCAAAGAAAAAAAAAAUCACAAGUUCUAGAAAGAAAAUAAAACGUUCUCAAGUUUGGUUGGAUUUUGUGGAAGCUUUGGGAAAACUGGGUGGUAUUCUUAUCAUGUGGGUUAUCUUGGUGGUAGUAGCAAAUAAAACAAACUCUUAUCGUGUGGGUUAAAUUUUUGGUGAUCCACUUGGAUUUCUUAAAGGUUGCCACACUUUUUCAGUCAAAUUAAUUCUAGCAAGUAUUGUGGAAGUUUUUGGAUUUGCUUGUUGUUAGGAACUUACUAAAUUGCAUUUUGGGGUUAGGAGGAGGAGAAAGAAGAAGAGGAGGAAAUCUCCAGACUCAAGAAAUUUUGCACUUAGACUUCGUAAAUUUGAUUCUAUUUUUGUUAAUAAAGGAAAACCCUAAUUAUUACUAUUUUCUAAGAAAAUGAAAAAACCUCAAGGUGCAGGGCUUUGAGCUAUGGGGCUUCACAAAAGGUGUGGCCUGAGGCGUGCCUUAUUUUGUAAGGCAAGGCACAAAAUCAGGGCCUCGAGCCUAGGCACACACACUCAAGAGGGCUUUUUGAAACAUUGGGAAAAAUUAUGGCUUUGAAAUGCCCAGUAAGAUUUGCACCAAAAAACUGCAUUGAAGAUAGAGGAAUCAAGAACUUCUCAAAUAGAUUUGGUUUUGUCAUGAAAAUUCAAGCGUUUCUUUCAGCCAUGUCUUCCAUAAAACAGCAACUGCAAUGCUUGUCCACAAAAUUUCUUUGGAAUUUUUGAAAGGUGAUCAAUAACGAGUAUAUUGAUCCAACUCCUAUAGUCAUUUGAAAGGACAAGGUCCCAAUUGAAAGCUUCUAAAACUUUAGCCCAUCGAUCAACCACAAAGGAACCUGUAAACAAGUGACUGAGUUUCGCUCUCUAUGGCAUACAGCAGUAAGAUGGAGAUAAACAAAUCCAUGGAUAGCACUUUUGGAGUCUAUCCGAGGUGUUAAGACAUGAAUGAGCUAUCUCCUCGAAUGAGGAAUUCAAUUCCCUUGGGGCACAACAGAUCUUUUUGUUUGAACAUUUAAUGGAUGUGAAGAGAUAAUUUGUGUGUAGAGAGACUUGAAAGAAAGAAAGAAAAGCCACUGUUUUCAAGCUUCCAGACCGAUGAUACUUCAUGCCGUAAAUGAGUAACGUUAAGAAUAAGAUGGUUGAGGGAGGCCCAUUCUGAGAUCUCCUCGUCUUUGAGAUUCCUUCUAAAAUUCAGUGACCAUGCAGAAUUUUCAACAAAUGCAUAUUUGGAAUCCCCAGUAACAAAGAGCUUUGGGUAGAUCCUGUUAGGAGGGCUGUCUCCGAACCAAAUAUCAGACUGAGUUGAAUCACCCUGAAGCUUGUAAUGUACAUUAUUGAGAACAAGGUCUUGAUGAUUUAAAAUGUGUUUCCAUGGGCUCCUCAAGGAAACCCUGUUGUCUUCAGCAGGCCUUAAGUCAUAACAUCGGGAGCCAAACAUGGCUUUGAUGAAUUUAUUUAUGUUGUCAUAUUGCCACAUCCAUUUAGCAGGAAGAGCUCUACUCUGUUGUUUGAUGUUGACAAUAUCCAGUCCUCCCUCAACAGUGGGUUUUUUCAAACUAUUUUGUGAAGAUGACUAGUGUUACUGCCUUUUUUCCCGACCAAAUAAAAUUUCCAUUUGAGAAAAUGCUAGUCUCUUUUCAUUAAACGAAAAGUUUUCUUUCUUGUUCAAAAAAAUCAUAUGUCAAUACGAAGAGCAAAACUCACCUCGCAGACACGGCAUAUGGCCAAAGAAGCCUCCAAGCAUUUUAUCAGAUUCAUCAGCAUAUCCUUAGGAAGCUUACUUGCCAUUUCUAUAGAAUCCUUCCCCACAGAAUCGGUAUUGUACCCUUUUACAAGAAGUGGGUGGUCACAAGCCUGGCGGAGGCGUAGAAGCAUUAACAGAAUAUUUGCAUAGUUUUGCUUUACUGUACCAGCUGCAGCAUAAGCCUGCAAAGUACAUGUCGUCCUGUAAGAAUCCACAUUUAAGAAGGGAAACUCCUUCAAGGGGUGUAUAUAAAGUAUAAACCAAUAGGGUGGACAAACAUACAAAGCCUAUCUCCCAUUCAGACAAAAAAAAAACAUAUAAUUAAAAAUUUUUAAACAUUAUAUUAAAAACUUGAGCAUAUAUAUUAAGAAAAACAUCCAUAUCUCCUCAAGGUCCGGUGCACUUGAAUUGAUCAGUUUUAACCUUGUAGUAUAAUCUCUUUUUUCCCUAAGGCCAAACCUAUAUAUAUAUAUAUAUAUAUAUAAAGGCAUAAAGGCAGUUGCACACCAACUUUAUUGAAUAUUAUUGAAUUAACUUGCUCUCUGACCUCACCAGUCCCUAAAAUGAUUAUACUAUAGUAUGGUGUUCAUAUUGGAAAACCAAUGGGAGGAGAAAUUUAUUUUUAAACAAUAAAGAGGGAAAAAAAAUGGACGAUUCCACUCAAUCAGGCUUCAAAAGAACCAAUCUCCACAGGAGGAGGGGGGAAGAGAGAGAACUAAAAGCACCUUGAAUUGCUUGCGAGAAUCAGCUUCUAAUUGGGUAUAAAAGUCACGCUCCUCUGUAGAAAAAUCCACUUUCGUUAACCGUAUGGUUUUGGGGGGCAAUUUGACAAUCGGCUGCCCAUCAAUCAAUGUGCCUAAACAGCAAAUAAGUUUAUUAUUCGAGCUGAAGGGAGAAGUGAUCAAAAGGAUAUAAAGUCUUGUCAAUUAAAGAAGUUGUGACGUUUUACUUUCAAAUACAAGUUUAAUACUAAUUGGUGUGCUUGAGAUGAGCAAGCAUAAAGCAUAUAGAGAAUCAGAUGAUGAGAUCAUCUGGAUGGAUAGACCAUGAGAAGCAGACUGACAUUACAGCAUGUUGACCCUUCAGUUUUAACAUCAAUUGAGAUAUAUCCAGUUAUAUUUAUACAUAUGAAAAGUAUCCCUAGAUUUCUGAACUCAUCUACAAGUAUGUGCCAAGCAAAAAAUGCCUGACAGUAUGCUUCUGAUAUUAUUUUUUAAUAAAUAAUUAAAGGUAUCAUAUUAAAAAGAGAAAAAGUCCUCAAUGAAGAGUCCAACAAAAUUAAUUGUUUAUUAGUUACUACGAAUUAAUAGUUGAAGAAAAAAUAUUAUAGAAAAUAACACCAUCCACUUUAGAACGAAGAAAGUGAAAUUUCCAGUGUAACAUUCUUCAACUAACGAGAUAAGAAAAUCAACUUUUUUCAGAACAGAAUUUUAUCCUGCAAGCUUAUUUUCAAAAAUUAUUCUUUGAAUUCAAGGCAUACUGGAACUUUCAUAUUUGUGAUAACAGCAGAAACAAUAAAACCUAAAUGGCAAAGCCAAAGGUAACCCUCCAUCUAGAUUGAUUGUAAAGGUAGAAUAGCUAGAAAAGGUUCAUCUUGAGCACCCCAAUUAAAUGUUGUAAAUUGUACAAACUAAGUCACCGAAAUAAUUUAAAAGAAUUAGAGUUUUUACAAUAUCCCAGCACUCUAAUCCUUCCAAACAAGUUACAACCGAGCCUUGGAGGUGUUAGACUACAGCACUGUGGUUUUAUCCUUUAAUAUACCAACCCCAAAAGAACCUCAAAGAGCCAACCUCCUGUAUACUUUGAGCAACACCACUCGGAAAAAAACUGAUUGCAAAUGAAAUUCCACACAUGUUUUUUUUAUAGGAAACAAAAAUUUCAUUGAUGUGAUGCAAUUACAAAAGGAGUCCUAUCCGAUGGAUUUCAAAAAAAAUUCUCCAGUCAUAAGAUUGGUAAGCUAAAUUACAAAAAUGGGAGACCGAUUUACACCAACUUAUAGAAUGGAGUGCACAAAAUAUGUACAUAUAUAUAAAAAGGAAAGUAGUUGAAGUGUGUGAUGCAUUUUAGUAUUGUUCCUUAUCAGUAACAUGGCCUAAAAUCUUUGACAAAAACAUCAGCCUCUUUCUUCUAAAUUAAACUGUUGGAAUUCUUUCCUUUUUUUCUAGGUUUUUCCUUGUUAGAAUCCUAGAAUAAUUAUGGAAAGAUUAUGGGAAUGUAUUCCUUAUUUUCCUAAAUCUUUUCCUUUUUUAUUCCAUUGUGUACUCUAUUUAUUCUCCCUUGUACCUAUUGCUUUAUUCAUUAGAAAAUAAUAACAACACAAACAAUCGUGGUUUUUCUCCCGGUAUUCGGGUUUCCACGUAAAUUGGUGUGAACUCUUUGUCUCUCUUUUCAAUAUAAACAAAUAAAAUUUUCUUCCGUCCAAGCAUUUAAACGACCAUUAAAGUGAUAUACAUCAAAAAGCCUCUGAAAAUCUUCUCAGAAAAGGUCCUAAUAUUCAAGAAGUUCAAAGUAUACCAAUCAGGAGCCGGUGCCUUAUUCUAACCAUGAGAUCUCAUUGUCUCCCCGAUUUCCUCAAAAGUAAAGGGAAUUGAAAGUGCAAACUUUUGAGCUAUAGAAACUCGAGACCAUCUAAGAUUUACUAGAAUUAUACCAGAAGUCAGAAUAUUCUGAUAUAAAGAAGAGGAGCCCAAGUUUUCAUGUUUAAUUUCUUUAAAAGAAAGAAUCCCCAUUGCUGGAAAGUCUUUCAGUAAUCAAGUUUUUCAAGUUUUUUCCUGAUGAACAUUAAGAGAGAAUUUUAUUAAUGAUCAGAAGUUAUCAAAACAAGAAGACAAUCUCCCUAUCUAUAGAGUACAAGAAAGCAAACUAAUCCUAAUCCUAAUCCUAAUUAAUAAAAGAAACACAUCCCUUCCAAUAACAAUCCUAAUUAUUUAUAUAGAAUUGAUCCCUUGUCCAUUUUCAUCUUUCUCUUUAAGACUUUGAUUUCAAAGGCCUUUUUUAGUUAUUCUAUAGCAAUGAAGCAUAGUUGGAGCCCCUUCUUGUAAUGGGCAUCCCUCCUUUUUGUGGGUUUAGUUUUCUGCAUACCCAUAUAUUCUUUCAUUUUUUUCUCAAGUGAAAGUGAUUACUUUUGUCAACAUAUCUAUCUUGUGUGUGUGCGCGUGCGCGUGCACAUAUAUCAAACUUCUAAAGGAUCUAGUAAAAGAACUGACCCCUAAACUACCUCUACCUUGUACUAUUUGGGAAGAUUUAUGUGGUCUUUGUUUUCCUAAAACUCAAUGAGAUAAUACUCAUUCUUAGUUGUGGUUGAUCAAUUCAUUAAAAUGGCACAUAGCUUGUAAAAAAUCCUGCAAGAUUUAAGUGUUGUUAACCUUUUCUUUUGCAAAAUGGUUCCUCUCUAUGAUAUUCCAUCUACAGUUUCUGACGGCCAUGUUAAGUUGAGUUUCUUUUGGAAGUCUUUGUAGAAAAGGUCAGGAAUAGGUAAAAAAAUUUAGCACUAAUAGCCACCCUCAAACUGAUAGCCAAACUAAGGUCAUUAGUUGUAUGCUUGAAGGUCUCAUUCAUUGUCUUCCUGGGGAUAAACUUAAGCAAUGAAAUCAACCAUCAACUCCAGCAAAAUUCACUUUCAACCAUAUGCAAAAUUAUUUCAUAGAGAAGUCACCACUUAAAGUUCUUCAUACUCCAUUUUCCAUGAUGCCUUUCUUGGCAAAGCUGAUUUCACAUCAAAUAGCCUUAGAUCCGCAGCAUAUUGGCAUCAUCGGCAAGCUUCUUGUCUAGAAAGGGUGAAGGUGUCCUUGUGGAUCUUCUCUUUUGAGAGAUCACAUACUUGUUGUCGAACCAAAGGAUCUUUGAAAGAUAACUCUUUCCCUGUAUUGGUAAAUUGGUGUGUUCUUUGUAAAUGAAGCGAAGAAAACGUGGUGCAUAUGUUCUUCAAACUUUGGUGGCAUUGCCCUAUCAAAGCAUCUAAGGCCCUAUUUGAACUCACUGGUGGUGCGCCUUUUAAAGGGCAAGAAAAGAUUAUUUGGCCUAAUGGGUGUUUGCCCUCCCUUUUAUGGCCUUGGUUUGAAAGAAAUUUAAACUAUUUACAAUUGUGAGUUUGCCCGGGAGGUGUAUAGGGAAGUAGUCACUCAUUUUGAUUCUACUUUUGGCUUAUUUUGUAAUUAUCAUUUUUUUUUAUAGAAACAACAGCUUUCUUGAGAAAAAAAUGAAAGAAUACAAGGAUAAACAAAAAAACAAGCCCACCAAAAAAACCCUAGCUAAAGGAAGGGGUUCCAAUUAAGGAAAAGAAAAACCCUAGCUAAAGGGGAGGGGUUUCAACUAAGGAAAAUGUUUCCUAGCGAAUAGUUACAAAAAUGUUUCAAAACCGAAACCCAAAGAUGCAUGAAAUCUCACCAAAGACCAAAACUCACAAGGUUCCUUUCUCACCCUCUAAAAACUCUACCAUUUCUCUCCCCCCAAAUAUCCCAAAUCACCACACACAACUCAGCAAGCCACAAAAAAUGACCUCUCUCUUAAAGGUGGAUACAGAAAGAACUCCACGAUCAUUGCAUGAACAUCUCUCUGCCCAACAAUGCUAACAUCAAACUCCUGCAAGAAGAAACUCCACACCAUCCUCACGUACCGGCAACCACAAAAGAGAUGAUCCAUGUCUUCCUCCACCUUCCAACAAAGAAAACAACGAAAAGGCCCCACAAGUGAGUUCUUCUCCUAACUAACAAGCCUAUCAAGAGUGUUCAAACGACCAUGAACGAAUUGCUAGAUAAAAAACCUAAUUUUCUUAGGAAUCUUAAUCCUCCAAAUGAUAUUGAACACGAACUCCCCAAUUGGAGAGGGAACCAAUAACAAUCUAAAGAAGGAUUUACAAGAAAACCCCUCCCUAGGAUUCGGACUCCAAAUGCCAAUAUCCCUUCUACCCUCCCUAAAAGUGUACGUCUCCGACAAAGAAAGAAGAGAGGCAACCUCAAUUGUUUCCUUAUUGGUUUAAUUGCAACGGAACCCAAAGGAAAAAGACAGAGCUCUCAGACCAAAUCAAGAAGUCAGAUCGGGCAAUUUUUAGGGGAAGAAAGAUGAUAAAGAUGAGGAAAGACAGAAGAAAGAGCACCAUCCCCCACCCACUGAUCCUCAAAAAAAAAUUGUGCCACCAGCAAUUUUGUAAUUAUAGUUUUCUCAAAUUGCCACCAGACAUUUUUUUGUAAUCCUUUGGUGUGUGGUGAUACAUAAUCUCUCUUUCCUUUUGUAAUCAUCUUUAAAUAAGGAAAAGGUUGUUUCUUAUCAAAAAGAAAAGGUAGUUUAUACAUCUACCUCGGCUAACUAUUGAUUUAAUAAUCCCUCUAAUGUUGGUCUUGGUAAUGAAAUGGAAAGCAUGACACCAUGAAUUGAUUAUCUUCAUAGCGAGGUUAAGGAACAACUCAAACAAGUGAAGCUAUUCUAAAAAACUACAGUUGAUUCAUGUGGCCGUGCUCAAAACUGCCAGGUCGACAACAUGGUGACAAUGUAUUUGCAGAAGUCUUGUUCACCCGCUAAAGUCUGUAACAAGCUUACCAACGGAAAGUUGGGUCCUUUUCCGUGGUUGAGAACUUGAGAAGAUUGACAGCAAUGCAUAUCGCCUAGAUCUCCCUCCUGCCAUGGGCAUCAUUAGUCUGACAUUCAAUUUUUCUAACAUCUACCCUUAUCAUGCUCCAAAAAAGUUUCCCUUGGCUGAUUAACUGAAGAACAAGUUUUUUCUUGGGAGAAGGGUAUCAGGUAAGACAUCCUCAGCUAUUCUUGGAUGAUUUCAUGAUUCUACUCAUAUAUACUGUUGUGGUAGUUUCUUUUCCCCAUUAGAAUUUUUCUUGCAUGUUCAUCAGCAGGCUAACUUGUAGUUUACCGUGAUUGAUAAGUUUUGGUUGAGGUUUCAGCCUUCUUAAGUUCUAUAAAUAGGGGACUGCUGUCCAUUAGUAUCACUUUCGUCUUCUUGAAGAAGCAUGUGUUUGGGUUGACUUCCUAUUUAUACGUGCUUAUGUUUAAAAGACGGGUUUAUAAACACUAAGUAAGUCAAUUCAAACAGACUCUAAAUCUCCCUCACUUGGUUGCAACUAUAAAUACCAAUACUUAUUUUGAAAUCCGUAUCCUCAUUAUCAUAUUCUUACACAUAAUUACAAUGGAACUUUUAGUAAAUGAAAUUUUAUAUAUAUAUAUAUAUAUAUAUAAGAGAGAGAGAGAGAGAGAGCAAGUGCCGACCUUUAGUUCGUCGCAACAUUAUUGCCCUUAGAACAGCCUGAAGCUUCUUAUACCCAGUAACUGAAUUUCUGGAAAUUGGAACCUUGAUUGUAUGGUAGAAAGAUUUAUAGACAGCAUAAGGAUCGUACCUCAGAAAUCUGAAAUAGCUAUAUAAAUCAUCAAUUGCAUUUUGUAUAGGUGUUCCAGAUAAGCACCACCUUCUUUUGGCUCGAAGGCUACAGCAGGCUCUAGCCACUUGAGUUCUGUGAUUCUUUAUUGUCUGAGCUUCAUCCAGAAUAACCCUGAACCAACCCACUCUUGCAAGUGGGCCAGAAUCACACUCAAAGGAAAUACCAGUUCCUUUCCUGCCCUUCUUACCCUUCUUACUACUGGUAGAAGUCUUUUUCCUCUUUUUGUUGACAGAAAAAUCAGAAGAUAAUCCAUAUCUAUCUCCAUUUUUUUCCUCACCAUCAUCCUCAUCAACUAAAGGCUGUUUUGGAACUUCAUUGGUGACAAUGGCAUAUGUUGUGAGAACCACAUCAUACUUUGCAAGCUCAUCAGGAUCCCUAGUCCUACUUCCCCCAUGAUAGAUUAAAACUGAAAGUUUUUUUUCUUCAGGGACUUUGUCAUCUAGUUCUCUGGCCCACUGCCGGAGAAUACUUGCAGGACACACAACCAAUGUACCAGCUGCUGGUCUCCGCUUACUGAUUGCUCUAGUUGUUUUCACUUCUUGAAUUGUUUUGACGUCAUCAGACUCUCCAGUCUGCUGCAUUUUAUCUGAAUCAGCAGUGCCAGUGCCAGUGCCAGUGCCAUUAUCAUCGUCGUCAUCCAAAUUCAAAGCUUCAGCUUUUGUUUUGCUUCCAUCUUCUAAUUUUGCCUUUGAUUGAUUGGACUUCUGCAAUUGUAUGAGUGAAAUCAUAGAAACUGUCUUUCCAAGGCCCUGAAGAAAAAAGGGAAUAAGUUUAGAACCUUAUUAAAAACAAACUUCAGACAGAAAUUUAAUCCAGACCCAGUAGCUUGCUUACCUGAUCAUCCGCUAAAAUUCCUCCCAAACAAUGCAGACUUUUAUUUUCCUUCUGUAGCAUCCAUGAUAAUGCAAUUUUCUAGAAGACAAAUUUAUAGCAAAAAGUUUUAAAAAAAUGUCUGGCAGUAAAAGAAAGACACUACAUUUUGAUAUAAAAACCUGGUGUCUUAAAAGAGGAACAGACAGAAGACCAUCAGGAAGAGUAGCCUCUUGUUUUGGUUGAUUUAGAUCCUGCAGAAAGGAGCUGGAACAUAUUAAUACUUUAUUUGUUAAUUCAGAAGAACAAAAGCAAUUAUAAUAUGAAUAAAAACUUUCCACCAACUAAAAGGAACCAAUUUUUUUUUUUUUAUAUCCGUGAGUGUCCAGACCAGCUUACACUCUUUUUGCCCACAAGGAUUUCCUCUUUUCUUUUAUCAUUAGUUCAGCCUCUUUUGAUUUAAAUAAACCAAUCUCACUGAUCUCUAUGAAAUAAAAAAGCAACAAGCAUACAAAAUUAAAAUUAAAGGAAUUACAAAAUACUUCCAAAGAACUAUCACGGUUAGAAAAUAGAUUUAUCUAACAAAAACUGAAUAAGAGAAUAAAAAAUAGCAUGCUUCAAUAAAAUUAAGACCCCCCUCCAACAUCCUGAAAGAUGCUCUAACUUUAUUACCAAUCAAUUGUACAAAAGAACGUCUCAGCAUAUUGAGCCCAAUGACUUUCCUUUGAACAAACGACUAGGUUAGCCCAUCAAGCAUCAAGUUAAACCUAUACAAAGGAAGAAAUAUUCUUUCCUUUUCAUAUUAUUUUUGGAACGCCAUCAUUAAUGCAAACGUUGACUAGGUUUGUAUUAGUCUUAUACCCAGAAGUUUGAUGCCAUCUCAGCGAGCGAUAAGAGAUAACUGAUCGGCCUUACCACUUGCUUAUACAAGAGUAUUGUGAGAGUUAUGUUUGAACGACUUAAGAAAGUAUCACCUCUGGCUACUACAAUAUCGUGCCAAUCCACUUUCGUGGCUGAUAGACAAAUCAGCUGUGCAUCAGAAGUCUUGGAAACGGUUUGUCAGCUCGCGUAGUCUUUGAAUCUUUUACAUAUAAAAUGUUCUUUGGUUGAAUUGAAGAUAGUUUAGCUCUUUCGUUUCGCCCUCUUAAGAUGCAUCUUCUUCAAGCUUUUCAAAGAUUACUUCUUUAAUGUUUAUGGUUUUCUGCCACACUUUUGUUUCCCUUCCCACCAUUUCAUUUGUAUUGAUUUUUUUCAUCUGCUGUUUUUGCUGCUUUUCUGCCUUGUUUGGAGUUUGUUAAGCUCUUGGGCCUCAUUUUGUUUGUCCAUGUAUUUGGAUUCCGGUUUCUUUCUCUUAGAGAUUCUAGCUCUUUGUACAUUUCUCUUGUACUUUGAGCAUUAGUCUCAUUUCACUAUAUUAAAAAAGAAGGUUUCUAUGGUUUUCGCUUGUUUAGACUUCUUUAUUUAUUUCGCUCUUUGUAUAAUUCUCUUGUACAUUGAGUUAUUAUUAAUAAAGAAGUUUGUCUCUGUUUCAAAAAACAAAAAAACUAUAUUAAAGAAGAGGCUAGUUUCCAAUUCAAAAAAAGAGCGAGAGAGACAAAUCAUUGAUCCCUCACCAAUUGUAAACAAGCUUAUAAAUGAAAGUCUUCAUAGAACCGGGAGUCAAAUUAGAUAUUGAAAAGGUAUUUGACAAGAUUGAUCGGACAUUCUAAGAUCUCGUCCUUGAAGUUGAGGGAUUUAGACUUAUUUGGAGAAGAUGAAUCAGAGGGUGCAUUUAUUCUCCAAACUUCUCUAUCAUCAUUAAUGGAAAGCCACAUGGUAAGAUCUUUACCACUAGAUGUCUCCGUCAAGGUGAUCCACUUUCACCUUUCUCAUUUAGUCUUGUUAUGGAUGUUUUGUGUAGAAUGCUUAAGCAUGUCGAAUAACCUUUCAUGUUGAUGUUAUCUAAAUUAAUACAUAAAAAUUUAAAGGUUUUAAACAAGUUAACAUGUUUAUUGUUUUUUUUUUUUUCCUUGAAAAGGAGAAAGCCUCAUUUAAUAAUAAACAAUGAGACAAAAGCUCAUGGUACAAGAGGAUUAUACAAUGAGCAAACAAAACAAAAAGGAUCAGGAGGUGUGUACCUAGGAAUCUCAACUAGGUUGAAACCCCCUUAGUACCCAUAUCAUAGCCAAACAAAGGAGGGGACCAAACAAUAAUUACCAUCCAAGUGAAUGCUAACACAGCCAACACAUCUCAAGAGGAAACUGAUGGAAACCAGGAACUUUAUUGAAUAGUAAGUAUUAUUGAUAUUAGAUUAAAUGAUGAAUCUAGGUUACAAUCUCUAAUCCGAACUCAAGGAUGUAAGAACUCCCUUCUGCUAACCUAUCUCUCAAGGUAGAACAGAAACUCUUCUCUGACCAAAAGCUUAACUAACUUUCCCGCCCUCUCCUUUCCAAUAUUAAUACUUCCUAACUACUUUACUCUCACGUACACCUUCUCCCUCAUUCGCACGUGUCAAUUCUUUUUCCUUCUCCUACUAUAUUGGUGUAUGAUAGGGGUCGGGUCUAUCAGAAACAUAGAAGCAGAUUCUAACAGGCUAGGAAUAAAGAUGCUGUCAAGCAAGAAGAAGCUGUAAAUGGAAGAAGUAUAAGAGGACAUAGCCGAGACUGAAUCAAUAAUCAAGGCGGAAAGAUGAAGACCUGCCAAAUAGUAGGAUAUCUUGCAAAGAGAAGUAAGACUGUUUACUUAGAGAGCACCACGAAGAGGCAUUCAGCCAAGCGACCUCGUAUCUAUCAUACCAAAAGGAGACUUUACUGAGUUGACAUGUUUACUAUUGAUAUAUUCAUCAAACAUUUUAUCGUUUAUUGUUGAGAUGUCCCGAUGCGCCUGCUGAUUCUAGAAAGGAAAGGACUCUCUUCUUCAGUCUGAGUUGAUUAACAGUAUGGAACCUCAAAUUGGAGACCUGUGUUGUAUGUUGCUAUUGCUCGGGGUAUAUGGGAUACAAUUCAGAAAUUAUACUCAAAGAAGCAGAAUGCAUCUCAACUUUACACUCUACGCAAGCAAGUUCAUGAGUGCAAGCAGAGGACAAUGGAUGUUACUUCAUAUUUUAACAAGUUGUGCCUGAUUUGGCAAGAGAUGGACAUGUGUCGAGAGAUUGUUUAGAACUACCCUUGUGGAGGUGUUCAAUACUCCAAAAUUAGGAAGUUGAUAGUGUACAUGAUUUCCUUGUGAGCUUGAAUUCCAAGUUUGACUUAGUUCGUAGUCACAUACCGGGUCAAAGACUUAUUCCUUCACUCAUGGAGGUAUGUUUUGAGGUUCGAUUAGAGGAAGAUCACACAAAUCCAAUGAACAUCGUGACUAUUUUGGUGCUAACUCUGCAACCUUUAGUGCAAAAUCCUCAUGUUCUAAAAGUGAAGCAAAAUGAAAAGCCUGUCUAGAUGUGUGAACAUUAUAAGAAACCUUGGCAUACGAAAGUCAGUUGUUGGAAGUUACAUGGUUGACCACCAAAUUGAAAGAAACAUCUAGCAAAUGAAAAGCAUAAAUUUGGUAGGGCUUUUAUGAGUGAAUUAGCCAAAUUUUCACAAUCCCCAACCCUUCAGAGAAUCGAGGUGAUCAUGGUACUCCUCUCAUAGCCAUUGCACAUCACAUACAUCUCAAUCCUUUAGUCUUAUCAGCAUCAAUUAGGGGUGAGCAUGAUAAACCAAAAAACUAAGUCGAAAGACCAAACCGAAGUCAAUCAGUCAGAAAACGAUCGGGGUCGGUUUUGGAAAGUUUCAAAUCGAGAAUUUCCAAAAAAGUAUUUCUAAGUCUUAAACCGACCGACCCUUACUCAUUGAUGCCAAGGUCGGUUUGAACAUUUACUAAACCGACUAUGGUCGGUUCGGGAUCGAUUUUGUCAAAAAACCGACUCCGACCGACCGAUGAUCAACCCUAGCAUUGAUGGGAAGAAACCCUGGAUACUAGAUUCAGGUGCUACAGACCAUUUAACUGGAUCCUUUGAACAUUUUAUAUCAUAUCUCCCAUGUGCGGGCAAUGAAAGAAUUAGGAUUGCAGAUGGGCCCUAUGCUCCUAUUGUGGGCAAGGGUUUCCCCUUCUAUUGGUCUCCUUUUACAAAAUGUGUUACAUGUGCCUAAGAUAUCUUACAAUUUACUAUCUAGUAGUAAGAUAACCAAAGAUUUACAUUGUCAAGCUAUCUUCUCACCUGAUAUUGUUUCUUUCCAAAACCUCGGCACAGUAGGGAACUAUUUCCUUGAUGAUAAUGCUUCCUCUAGGGAUUGUUAUAGAACUAGUCUAUUGUCAUCUUAUUUUUCUACUUUUGAAAAAGAUUAUAUGUUGUGGCAUUUUAGUCUUAGCCACCCAAAAUUUCCUCAUUUAUUUUCUAAAGUGGAUAUCUCUUCUUUGUUUUGUGAUGUGUGUAUUAGUGCAAAACAGCACAAGGUGUCGUUUCCCUUUCGACCCUACAAGCCCACCCAACCAUUUACCCUCAUUCAUAAUGAUGUUUGAGGACCCUCAUGGGUCACUACCACUUGGGGAAAACGUUGGUUUGUCACCUUGAUUGAUGAUCAUACCCGUCUCAUCUAGGUCUUUCUCCUCACUGAUAAAUCUGAGGUCUGAUCAAUAUUUCAACAAUUUUACACAACCAUUGAGACACAGUUUAACGCCAAAAUUGCUAUUUUGCGUACCAAUAAUGGUCGUGAGUUCUUGAGUAGUACUCUUCAAGACUCUAUCCUCUAAAGGAACUGUCCACCAAAGUUUUUAUGCUUAUACCCUACAACAGCAUGGUGUGGCUGGAAAAACCGCCACCUCCUUGGGGUUACUCGCUCUCUCAUGUUGCCUACUUCUCUUCCUUCUUACUCAUGGGUGGAUGCAAUCCUGACAACGGCACAUCUUAUCAAUAUAAUGUCAUCUUGAGUCCUCCACCUCUAAACACCUCUUGAAUGUCUCAAGAAGUUCUAGCGUACCACACGACUUAUUCCUGAUGUUUCUCUUUGUGUGUUUGAGUGCACUGCGUUGGUUCGUAGCCAUGAGCCUAGCCACACGAAGUUUGCUCCUCGUGCUUAGUCAUGUGUUUUCGUGGGGUAUCCUUCGCACCAGCAGGGCUACAAGUGUUAUCAUCUUCCUUCUUGAAAGUAUUUUGUGUCCAUAGAUGUCACCUUCCUUGAGGAUAAACAUUUCUUUCCUAUUAGCCGGAAAAGGCUAAUUGACUCGUUCCCUUCAUUCCUAUAGCCAGUACCGAGCCUCUUGAACCCAACCUGACAUGUUCUACCCACCACCCAAGUUACUUGGAUAACUUAAUACAGGAAGAGUAUUAGAAAGAAAACGGUGCCCACUACUGCUCUACCGACUCCAGUCCACGAAUCUGAACCAACAUAAGCUCAAGGUACUACUAAAAUUAGUAGUAAAAACUUGUGUUGAGGAUGAUAUUGUUGAUGUGAUUGAGGAGGACAGGACUAAUACGAUAGUUCUAGAAGAGAACAGAACUAUCAUGGAAGAAAUUGGAGCACUUGAGAAGAAUAAGACAUGGGAUCUUUGCACACUUCCUAAAGGGCACAAGACAGUGGGAUGCAAAUGGUACGAUGGAUUGGCUAGUAAGGAAGUUACCUUCACUUGUUGGGUUGUUCUGUUGUCUCCUUUUACGGAUUACGGAAGGCGAAGGAAGACUUGGAUCCUAUCCUUUGACAAUGUGAGUACUUUUGCUAUGUUUGGGAGCCCAUUUUUCCAGACAUUCUAUCUCUCGUUAGCCUGUCAACACCAAAAGUAUGAUCGAGGAGUUCCUUCUCAAUCAGCCACAAGGAGAAGAAACGAUUUUUAGGGUUGGCUGAGGUGUGUGCUAUUGUUUGGUCUUCGUGGGGUGAGAGGAAUAGUAGAACUUUUAGAGGGGAAAGGGACACUAGUGCGACUCGGUCCCUUGAUCGCUAUUAUGUUUCUUUUUGGGCUUCAAUAUCAAAGACCUUUUGUAACUACUUCAUCGACACUCUUUUGCUUAGUUGAAACCCCUUUAUGUAAGAGGGUUUUUUUUUUGUGGGAUUGGUUUUUUGUAUGUCUGUGCUUGUAUUCUUUCGUUUUUUUUUUUUUUUUUUUUUUUUUGUUAAUGAAAGUGGUUAAGUUUAUCAAAAAAUUAAAAUAAAAUAACCAAACAAGGCACUUGUAACGGAGCAUUUUGUCCUAAUUACCUUUCAGACAACCCUCCUCUCUUUUUCUUUAUUGUGGGUAGUAAGGAGAUCCUAAACUAAACGGAAAGAAGAAAUAGACUAAUAUCUGUUUCUCAAAAUAGAUGUCUCCAAAAUCUACUUCUGAAAAUGUGGAACCUUUGAAAAUAAAAUAGCCAGGAUAAUGUUAUACCAAAAUACCUCCAAUACUUUUAUCAAAUAAAUAAAUACCUCCAAUGCUGCUUGAUAAAUCAAUCUCUCAUCACCUCCAGCCACCAUUUCUUCACCAUAACCAGGACGAUGGGGAUGUUCACCUGGAUACUGUGAAGGAAUAGGUUUCCCUGGUGCCCAACUCGCAGGGAGGAUUCUAUAAUCCCUGUUCUCAGAACUAAUGGUAUCGUCACCAUUGCCUCUGAAAAAAAUUUCUCUCCCAUAAAACCUGCCAGUAGUUGAACUUGGCCUUCCUGAAUCAUAACUGAUGGGGGCAUCACGACUUUGACUGCUGCCCACAUUGUCGACUAAGUUAUUUGAUUUUGUGAGGGGUGCAUAUGACUGAGAGGUAUAAGGCAGGGUCCUCUUAAAAGCCUGUUGAGAAGAUAAUCUUUCAUAAUCUGCACCGGCUGUGGUUGCAAUUCGAGAAUUCACAGUUCGAGGAAGACCAGUAUUCCCAUUUUCAGUAAGAUAAUUGGUAUCGUCUGUGAGGACAAUAUGAUGAUUUGAGGCUCUAGUGUCACCAUUAGAACCAGAAUGCAGACUGUUAUUAACAUUACCUGUAAAUUUGAUUCAGUUUUUUCCACUUUAUAAGAUUUCUUUAGAGAAAGCAUAAAAAAUAAUUUAAUAGUCUUGUGCAAAACUCACUUUGACCUGGACUAUAAUCUGUGGAUGCCCAAUAAGGGAGCUUUCUACUGCCACUAGAUUCCCCAAUAUUUAGUGCAACAUCGUCGUCACUGUCACUAAUAUAUUCUAGAUCUACAUCACUGUCUGAUGAACUAAUUUCUAUAAGGUUAGUCACAGACAUGCUGGUUCAACUGUGAGAUCUCUCUUCUUUGACAAACUAGGACGAAGGUACAACAAGAUUAGCCAAACUGCAAGAGAAAAUCAUAGAAAUUGCCUUAGUACAAGAAAACUAGAUAAGAUAAGCAUAACCGGGCUACUGAAUAACCUCCGGCUACCAACAGAUACAUAGUCCAAGCAAUCUAAGAAUUUAAAGUUACAAAUCCGUCUACUUACAAAUGUGAAGUGCCUAUAAGCUAUAUCAAUGAAUUUUCAAAGAUAGUCUGAAUAAUCGAACACAUAGCCAUGCUGCAUUGUAAAUCUUUUCAGAUGCAGCAGAACCAUUAGCAGGGAUAUCUUUGUUAAUAACAUCUCUGCAAAUACCCAAAAAAAAAAAAAAAUUGAAAGUCAAACGUAUUAUUAUGAGUUGAAUACAAAGGGAUGAAUUGUAAAGGCAUCAAGGAUACAGCAAAUAGGAGCUUAUGAAUCAAAACUGAUCUACUGGCAGGGAGUACAAAGAUGCUACAUCAGUAAAACGAAGCUAUGUUAUACAUCAGUCACAUAAGUCAUCAAUUGGUAACACAGCAUGAUGUAUGCUUAAUUUGCAAACAAAGCCCAGUUCACUAAAAAAAUACGAGAUGGGAUGGGAUUAUAACCAAUCUAAAAAAUUAAGUAGCAAGCCACAUCUAUAAAAUAAAAUAAAAUUAUUAAAAAAAAAAAAAAAAAAAAAAAAAAAACCCACAGUCUUCACAAACAUGCAGUCAAGCAACUGAGAGGGAAGAGUAUAGAUUAAUUCCAUAAACUACAUCUCAUAUAGAUUUAGUUCUCCUACCUCAGACACUUUAGUGUCAACAAUUCAAUUCCAAUAGUGACGCAGCAUGUUUGUCGACUCUUAUCCUAAGCUGAUAUCCCCGUAGUCCAAGAAAAGAAGUUCAAAUCCAAAUAUCAAAACAAAUUAGAAGUUCUCCACCACCUAAAAGGAAAACCAAUUAGAACAUCAAUUUCAAAAGUUGCACUUAUAAAUUUACCUUUCUAAAUAGAAAUUAAAAACUUAAAUUAUUUUCUUGACCAAAAUGCUUUCCGUGCCAACCCCAUUAAACCUCCCACUCAAAAAUCAAAAUUUAACCCCAAAAAAACUUUAAACAAGAACUUCAAUUACCCAACCCAUAAACCCAAAACCAUCAAAUUGAAAGCCACAACAUGCAUGAAGCGAAGAGCGAUUAAUUAGAGUAAAAAACAGAAAGAUCCCAUUACAAAAACAUGAGUGCUAUAAGAUUCACACACACAUUCAAACAAAGCUUCGAAAAUUGGAUUGAAAUGAAGAAAAGAAAGGAAGAAUAAGAUGAUUGGUUAAAAGGGCGAUGAAUGUGGCGACAAAAAUGGAAAAAAUGAGAAGGAAUCCAUACGAGACGUUGAAGAUUGUAGUUGGAGAAGAAGUAAUCUCACUCUCCCUCCGUACUAGGUAGGGUUUGAGGUUUGAAGUUUCCGUUCAACGCCAGAACUCAAAGAGGUCUUUUUGUUUUCUUUUUCUUUUUCUUUUCCUUUGCGGAAUUUGAGAUCGACGAUGAGUUAACGGCCGUUGUGUUGUAGUUUUGUAGUUUAUAGACUCUACCGAUGCAGUGCGUAUUUUCUUCCUCCAAAUUUGUUGGAUGCAAAAUUAAUUUAGAACUCUUCAACUUCUCAAUUUUACCCUUAACAUUUUUUUAAAAAAAAAUUUAUCAAUUCAUGCUUUUUUUUUUUUAUUCUUUUUGGUCAAGAGAGUUUAAACCAAGGAGUUUUUUAUUUAUUACGAUGAUUUAUACCUAAUUUUAAAAUCAUGUUAGGAUAAUUUGUAACAUGAUCUUUUCUAUAAAUAAGUAAAACCGAAUAUGAUUGGAUGAAUUAUUUUUAAAAAAGUUGAUACUCUCUAAUUUUUAUAUUUUAUAUAUAGAGAUGGUUUUAAAACAAAAUACAAAUACUAUGGUGUGAUUUUAUUAGAAUAAUUUGUUUGUGUUAUAGCGUGAUUUUAACUUUUAGUUUUUAAUUUUGAGUUUUAAACAUACAAUAAUCUAGAUGUCUAUUUACGGGAAAGGAAAUGACUAAUAGAAUGGGGAUUUAAUCCUUCCUUUUUUUCAUUCUCAUGCACUUUCUCAUUUCUUCCUCUUUCCCUCUAAACCCCAUUUCUUUUGUUUAUUUAUUUUUAUUAUUUUGUUUGUUAAAAUAUAUUCUGUUAUUUUUCUCUAACCUCCCUUCCCUUCUUAUUUUGUUCGUUAAAAAUAUAAUAAGUUGAUUCAUUUACUCUUAUUAUUUUGUUUGUUAAGAUAUCAUUUUUAACUUUUUUAGAUUUUAAGUUUAGUUAUUAUCCAAUAAAAUUCUAAUUUAGCAUUUCCUAAAUUUAAGAUUUAAUCAAAUUAUAGGAUUCCAAACAAAUUGAUAUGUAAUUGUAUUAUUAAUUUGAUAUGCAUAUAUAUAUAUAUACAUACACAUACAUACAUAUAUGUAUACAUACACACAUACAUAUACAUAUAUAUACAUACAUAUAUAUGUAUAUAUAUGUAUGUAUUAUUUAGUAUAAUAAAUUUUAGUUGGCUGAUAUAAGAUUUCACAUCAAUUUUGUUUGGUUUAGUUUAGUUGGGUGAAUUUAGGGACGUUUGCUUUGGCUAUUUAUAGUCAUUGGCCAACUUUUAGUUCAUAAAAAUAUGGUAAUUUUAUUUGGAAAAUCUAGUCUGGAAAAUAUUUGUGUUAUAUUCAAAAUGGAUAAUUAGUUUAAAAUAAAUAUAAAUUAAUGGAAUGUAAAUCAUAUCAUAUCGAUUAAGUUAAGAUCUGACAUUAAAUUAAUUAAAAUUGCUAAAUAUAUAAUCAUAAUGGAGUUUUAAGAUAUUUAUUUGUUGUUUAGAUUGGAAAUUCCAUUAUUAUUAUGUUUGUUGUGCUAAAAAUAAUCAAUAAUUGUAGAUUUGUCACACUCAAACCGUACUGCGACGAUAACGUCAAAGUAGUAGAAAUAGAAUGCGAGUUUGUUACAACCUUAAAAUUUUCUUAUCAUAAAAUCUUAUUAUCAACUCCUUUUAAACUAUUAAAACUCAAAACACAACGAAUGACAAAUAAACACCAAGUAAAGUAAAUACAAACCAAAACGUAAACUUUAUUAAUAACAAACUUUUUAUACAUUAUUAGAAUACUUUCAUCAAAUAACCAAGACUUAACUAUUCCCAAAACGUCUUGAAUCACCUUGCCGCAAAUCUUUCAAUCUUCUUCUCUAUUUGGCAUAAACGCCCAAUCCUAGAAUAUAGAUUUUUAAAACGUAGUCUAAAAGACUUAGUGAAGUUUUAUGAAAACCUGUCGCAAUACCUUUUUAUAAUCAUUUCACAAAAAUAAUAUCAAAUUAUUUAAACAUACCAAAAAAAUAUUUCAUUUCACAUAAAUCUUUUUUAUGCUUAACAAAUCAUUUCAUUUUGUCAAGGAUCACGAAUCGUUCUCUAUGUUUGGUCUCAUUACCUCGUGUUUAAACUAUUGUAUCACCAGCAUCCGAGAACAUAUAGAUUCGUCUUUGUUGCUUAAGUCACUAAGCUUUAUACACUCCUUUCAACGCAUAGGCUAGCUUCUUAUCACCAUGUAGCCCUUACACUCCAUGGUGGCAUUGACUCUUUAUGUGCACAUAAAAGUUAGCAUCAUCUCAAAUAAACAUAAUAUUAAAAUCAUAGUCAUCAAAUCAUGCUUGAAAUCCUAACUUUUUAUAGAAAUCUCUUUGAAACUUUAUAGUUUGAAUUCUUCUUUCAAAUUAGUGAAGAAAAGUCAUAAUACAAUUCUUUUUAACAUUUCAUUUGAGAGAAAAACACUCACCAAUUACUAAAUAAGUUCUUCUUCUUCUCGCAAGCAUCUUCUCACGUGGCUAAACCAAUAACACUUCAACAUUUCAACAAAACUCUCAUCAUCUCCUCCUUAGUUACCCAAAAUCCACUUAUUUAUAAAGCCCUUAAACUAACUUAGUCAUGCAUAAACUCUUCUCAGUUUGUCAGCUCAUGCUUAAAACUUCACACGUGUAAAUUUAAUAUUCAACCUAGUCAUGCUUAAAUCCAUAAUCUUACACGUUAACCCUGUCAAAUCACAUUUGACAUUUUUAUCGCUAGAUCUUGCUUCCCGCCUAACCCAAACUGCAAAUAACUUCAACCACUUAACAUUUUUCGCGAAUAACCUUAUUCUGUGGUUAUAUUUUUACUAUAAGAAACCUUUCACGUGAACUAACCAACUUUUAUUUGCAUAGAACUCCUAUCGCGAACUUAAACUCCAAAGCUUCUUCGUAGACUUUUUCUCCACAAAACACUUUGUUCUUCUCGCGAAGACCAGCCAAAAUAGAUUUUUAAGUGUAUUUUAAACAUUUUUUUAGGAAAAUGAGUUUAAACAAAAAUGGGUUUCUUGAAAAACAUUUUUUUUCUUAAUUCAAUCCAAACGAACCUUGAAUACGAAUUUUAAAAAAAAAUACAAGGAUACAAAUUUUAAAAAUAGCUUUCAUAAUCCUUCCCCAAACAAGAAUUAUCACAAUCCUUACUUUUUCAUAACCCUCUUUUUCCCCGCAAUUCUUUCCUUCCCCCAAACGACCACUAAGGUUUAAGAAUUUUGUUAUUUUAAUCGUUUUAGUCUAAUUUAAAGGCGUGGUUGUUAUCGCUUUGAAAAAACUUUAAUUAUUGGAGUUGUUGGUUAGUUUUUUGUUUUCCUUUUUUUAUGAUUGCAUCAUUGUCAAUGAGUAUAACCUAUGUUGUACAGUUGAGGUUCUUGAAAGUUAUAGGAUCCUUGAAUUUUAAGGAGUGAAAAAGAGACUUGACCACUUUUGUUUUGCUAAGGGAUGUCAUACUAAAGCUUAUAAAACACUUCUUUGUUUUGCUAAUGGAUGUCAUACUAAAGCUUAUAAAACACUUCUUAAACUAAUGUGGCUAGUAAUGCAACAAGUAGAUGUUUCUUUAAGUUGAUUGUGAUCAUGUUAGAGGAUUUUAGUAUUUUGAAGUGACAUUUUAAAAUAUGCAUGUAUUUCUUAAAAGGAUAAAAAUGGGGUUGUAUUUUUAGAAGAGUACAAGAAAACUAAGAGAACAAAAAUGUAUGUUUUGAGCAAGAAAUUUUGAUCAAUUCAAUUAUACACGUCAUCACAAAAAAAAUUGUGAUAUUUAUAAGGAAAAUUGCAAUGAAUGACUAUUUUAGCAAUAAUAAUUAAGGAUAUAGCAAUAUUUUAAAAAAAUUGCAAAUAUAGCAAAAUUAUCACUGAUAGACUUGUAUCGUUGAUAGACUUCAUAUGGUAUAUCAUUGAUAGACCAAUAUUUGUAACAUGAUCUAUCAUUGAUAUACUUAUAUCAUUGAUAGAAUUUGACAAAUUUUGCUAUAUUUGCAAAUUUUUUAAAAUUGUGUUACAUACUUAAUUAAUAUGAAUUUAAUUGCUAAAUUUGCAACUAUUCCUAUUUAUAAUUUGAUUGGGUUUUGGUAAUUAAAAUUUCUUAUAUCUAAGUCAAUUCAAGCCCUGAUGGAAAAUUUGGGCCAAAUAAAUAAUUGGUCCAAACUCAAGCCCCACGUAAAGCCCAUGAAAUUUCUCUAUAAAUAAAGAUCUUUUCAUUCAUUUUAGGGAUCUUUUGUGGAAGGAAUAAUUAAAGCUACGAAAAAUUAAAGUUUCAAACUCCUAAAAGCUCUCAAGAUGUGCAAGUUCUUAUAACUCCCAAAUCAUCAUCUUAUGAAAGGUUGAAGACUUGGAAGAUUAAAAUUUCCUUGAAUUCCAAAAGAUUGAGGCUCAAAUUGACUUGCAAUGACUACAACUUCCUGAAGAUCGAAAACCAAUAAGUUCUACGAAGUUUUAUUUGUAUUUGAGAGAAAGUAUCAAAUGAGUAAAUAUUAAAGAUUGUAUCCACUAUAUAAAUCAAUAUACAAAGUUGAAUUCUACGAAUUACAUUUCUCUAGAAAUCUUUUGUGAAUAGUUUGGUACAAUCAUUGGGACAGUCUCUACCUUUCAUCUCUUUCUCUUUUUUGCAAAGAACAUAUGAAGAAAUCAUGACGUCAAAAUGCAACACUUUCAAAGCUCUAAGUGAUAUCAGCAAAAGGUCAAAUACUCGUAGCCGCUCCAUGAAAACACAAUCAUAUGAGGAUAUGCCACCCUUUAAGGUCACAAAAAAUAUUUGGAAACAAUUGUCAAAGUCAUCAAAAGGUGGACUUGUAAUCAAAGAAAAUCUUGUGAUUAACGAACACAAUUCAUCCUCAGAUCGCUCAAGUAAGGAGAUGCCUCACCUAAAUAUAAUGUCAUUCAUGGUAACUGAAGUGGAUACAAGUGAAGAUAGAAUGACAAACUAAAUUAACAUUUACCAAAUAACACGACAACUUGAUCAAAAGUGGCAAGAAAGAUUAAGAGAAAGAGAGUUUGAAAGAGGUUAGAGAGAAGUUAAAAGAAGAAGAUAACAUGUGAGAGAAGAGAGUGAGUUUGUUGUGAUUUCGGUGAAAGAGAAUGGGAAAUUUCAUUCAAGGGUAAAUUGGACUAUUCACUCAUAUUUUAUCCUAAAAGUCUGUUUUCUCCCCAUCAAUCCUAAAACCCCACAACCCCUUAAAAAUGCUUAGAAAUCACUUUAGAAAUCUAAUUUGUCACUCACAAGCAAUAGCUUAAGCAACUUGAAAUCAUGCUUGAAUAAAUAACUUUUAAAACAAUGUAUCACUCACAAUACUUGGUCCAACCCUUGGCUUAAAAUUUUCUUCAAAUCCUCCUUAACCUAAGAAAAAUCCAUAUUCUAGUUUUAAUUAAUUCAUUGACCAUGAAAAAUACCCAAAUUUUGCUCAAAAUUGCAAAAACAACAAUACAACCCUAAAACCAUGCCAUGACACUAUUGGCCACAUGGCAUGGGUGCAGGCAGCACGAGCGCGCACAUAGGCCAAUGGAAUGCGCACGACCUUUACGUGAGUGUGCACAUCUCUGUGCGACGUCUUGCCCUGCACGCAGUUGUGCAUGACCUAGCACAUCCAGGUCACUCGACUAUGCCUUGGCCAUGUCGUGCACUCCAUAACGCCCAUAAAUAACCUCUUUUUAUCUUGUUGUUGCGCGCUUGGCAAGCUCAUAACGCUGUGAUGCUUGGCCACCUUAGGCUUGCCCAGAAAAUGUAAAAUUUUCAAAAACACAAUUCAACUUUCAACACUUACAACUUUUAUUCUAAACCUCAAAACGGAAACAUUCCUUCUACGAACUUGCUUAGAAUUAUCCUAGCUUGCUCACCUUAAAAUUUCAACCACAAACUCUAAGAAUUGCAUCGUGUAGCCCUUUGUAACUGAAGAUUGCCAAAAUCUCUCAGAAAAUGACAUUUUCUUCUUUCUUGAACUUAAACCUAUGUCACCUCGCCUCAUUUUUGUGUGAUAGUCCUCCUCAAAAAAAUAAAUUUAUAAAGAAGGCAUUUUCAAGUGAUUUGAGGUAAAACACAAGAGUAGUUUGCUCCCUCUCAAUGUCUGAAGUUGCUUAUUUAUAGAGAUCCUUUCUUGUCAACUUGAUGGCACACUAUGACACCUCUUGCUUGUGCAAAAAUGCAUGGUGCGAGCCGAGGACACUUGAAUUCCACCACAUCGACCACCCUUGAAGUUCACAACCUUCAUCAACUCGCCCAACCAAUGAUUCCAUCCCUAACUUCACCUUGCUCGCAUGCUAACCUCACAACAAGGUCGUAAGGCCCUUCCUUUCAUAGCCUGCCAACUAAUCAUCAUGCUUAGCAAGCCUUCUCGCCUAGCAAUGCUAAGUCACCUUGCCUAGCACUAAUGUUCGCCCAUGACAUGCCCAUCUCGCCUUGCAUGCCAUACCUUUAUGUUUGGCACCUUGUCAAGUCCUUAGAGGCUUUCCUAUAUUUGGCUGCCUAGCAACCAACAAAUCAAAACGCUAGAUGUCUUGGAGGUUCUCAACCAUGCUUUGGCCGCCUAGAUGACUUGUAAGAGAUUCUUUACCUUUCUUAGUCGCCUACCAAGCAUUUCUCACUUAAUCUUCCUUGUGCUUAGAGGUUCUUGGAAACCUUCUUGGCCACUUUCCACUUAACUUUGCCCGUCCAUCACCCUCUUUUAGAAGUUCUCAUGGCUCAACUUGGCCAUCUAGCCCUCCUUCCGCACCUAACUCACAAUUAGUCUUUCUUAACUUAUUUUUUCACCUUAACUUUUAAUGAUGCACGAACCUUGUCACUUAUCCUUUAAGAAAUCUUUCCAAGAAAUUUCCUUUCAUUUUCCCAUCAACUCAUUUUCUCUUUCUUUUACCAAGUCUUUAAGGUCCUUAAAUAUUUAGAGUUUUACAAGUCGAUUAUCCCCGAAAUGUGUUGAGGGACAACGGUUGAUUGGACAUUCAGGGGUAAAGCAUUGUUUUGGUGCAUGGUGGUGAGAGCAGUACCAAAUCGAGGCAAACUUUGAAUAUUAGAUAUGUCUCAAAAUAACAGACGUCAAGAUUGGUUAAGGUCGGCUAGUGAGACGAUGGGCUCUCUAUUAACUUUGGAGGUCGUUUGGGUGUUAUUUCUACAAGGUUAAAAAAAAAUGGUUUAGAGGAUCUUAAGGAGUGUUUAAGGUUGAUUAACUCAUGUUGGUAUAAUGAAUCUAAAUCUAAAAAAUCAUUGGUAUUUGAUAUAAGAGUGCAUAGAAUUAAAAGAUCCACUAAGUUUGAAUUAAAAGACACGCAAUGAUUGUUCUUUGACUUAUAUGUGGGUGAAAGUGACCAUAUUUGCCAACCCGAUAUGCAUAUCAUCUUAGAAACAAUGUCAAGUGAAUAAUUGGUCGAAACACAAUAUCACAAUAAUGAAUUCACUACUUCCCAUCUAUAAAAAAAAAUAGAUAGGUUCUCGUAAGUGCUAAUUCUGGAACUUGAACAAUGAGACCUCACCCUCUUAAUGGCAAGGGGGAUUAUGUUUAUAGUAGGGUGAAAAAAAAAUUGUCCAUUUAAGGAUCAAUAGUAUUUGAGAAACAAAGAGUGCAAAUAUAGGUCUUUAGUGAAAUGUCCCAUAGUUAAUGAAUGUUUAUUAAUUUAUAAUUAAAGAAUUUAAUUAAUUAAUCUCAAAUCAUUGAACCUUACAACUAUAGGUCAUUUUACUAGCUCACAACGAACUAAACAGAAAAAAUUGGUGUUAAAGGAGUUUGAAGUGUUCAAAUUGUUUAAGGGAAUUAAAAUAAUGUAUAAAUUACUUUAUAACAUAAAGUUAAUUGGGAAAUUACCAAAAAUAUGACACAUUUUCGAGCGUUGGGGAUUUUUUGGAUUACAUUUUUUUUUUUUAAAAAAAAGAGUUUUAGGACAAAUUUGAUGUGAAAUAUCAUAACUACCCUCGUAAAAAAAACCAUAAUUUCAUGUUUUUCAUUAUUUCCCUCUCCACUAGUUUUUCCUUGGCAGAUGGCAACGUCGACUCUUGUUCGCUCCCUACUUCUAUGUGAUCUUCUUCCCUUCUCCAUUCUUGCCCUCAUUCUUCCCCUCCCUACUUCAAUAGGAUCUUCUCUCUAUCUCCCUUGUUUUGCCACACAACAUCUUCAAAUGAAAGGUGAAGGAAAUCAGACAAAGACAACACAAUGUGGCGAGAGAGUUCGAACACCGUGGCAAGGCGACUUUCGUUUGGUUACUGCGCAUUUUAGUAGGUGAUAAAUUUUAGUUGGUGUGAAACUCUUGUUUAUUGAUUUUUGCUCCAUUCUUGUCUAGAUCUAGAUUUUGUAUGAAAAUUUGUGAGAAACAAUUAUUUCCAUUUGAGUCAUUCCAUUGUGACCUAUAUUUAGAUUUUUUUCUUUAAAAAAAAAAUAUUCUUUUAAGAGUUAGAUUGUCUCAUUUAGAUGUUUCUCUCAUUUACUCACUUGUUGAGUGACAAGUUAUGCACACUUAGCAUAAAAUAAAUAUUGGUUGCUUACGAUAGUAAAUUACAAUUUUAAUGGUGGUUUUCAUUUGAUUUGCAAUAUUUGCUUCCAUUAAAAACCUCAAUUCUUGUGUUUAAUUGAUCAUUUGAUGACUUAUGUUCGAAUCAAAGAGAAUAAAUAAUAUGAAUAGAAAUGACAAACCUGAAAUAUUUUAAAAAAAGUUGUUAGUUUUAUGAACUUUUUUAUUUUGUUACAUAGGCCGUAAAUAUUUUGGUGUUUUGUUAUAUUUAUGAAAAUACAUACACUUGUAUUAAUACAAAACUAGCAUAACAUCAAGCAAUAAUCCAAUGCAUAUAUGCCAAAGGGUGAACUCAUGCCAAAAUUAUAAAGUGUCCAAAAGAAAAAUUAUUAAAAUCUCGCCAAAGGAAAAUUUUCAAAUGUUAUUUUUCCAAGAGUUUUUAGACUAAUUAAAAUACAUAACAACCCACGAAAACUUAAGAAUCACUUGAAACAAUUAUUUAUUAGUACAAAUAUAUACCCAUUACAAACCUCAACCCGCUAAUUAAAGUACAAAUAUUAGUGGAAUGAAAACUGGCAAUAAUUUUCAUGAUUUACGCAUACAAUACCUUUGUAGAACAAUAUACAUAUGUAUAUGAAAUUGUAAAAAAAAUUCAACAUGAUACAAAUAUAUAUACACACAUAUAUAUACAUAUACACACAUACAUACAUAUAUAUAUAUAUAUAUAUAUGAAUACUUCCUCAAGUUCUCAAUUUAAAUAAUUCUAAAACAUAAUUUAUAGAAAUUUGCACCAGUUCUUUUUGAAGUAAAAAAAACACAUAACCAACUGAAUAGAAUAAUGAAAAUUUUGGUUAAAAAUAAAAUAUAUAUUAUUAAGAGAGGAAAAUAAAUCACUCUUUAACUUAUCCUGAAAAUAAAUAAACAGGAAAAUAAAAUAUAUACCCAUUAAAAAUCAAUUCUACAUGUACUAAAAUGGAUUCUAAACAAUUAUGGAUAAAUUGGGUGCAAUUAUAUUAAAUCGAAACCAAGUAAAAUAUCAUGAAAGAAACCAAAUGCAUGGACAACAAACACAUACAACACAUAUAUAAAGAUCUAAAUCCAAUGAAUUCACAUUGUUUUUAAAGAUAAUUUUAUUCACUCUAGUACUCGAGUUUGAGAGUAAUUAUCUUUCAGAAUAGAACAUAUUAUGUAAAGCCCAAAGGUAAAAAAAAAGAAAAUGUAUAUUUUACAUUUUUUUAUAUAUUUUUAUAUAUUUUUUUUUAUUUUAUUAAUUUAAAUAAAAAGAAAAGAAAAAGAAAAUCCUUAUUUAUAUAUAUUUUUUUCUUUUCUUUUUCUUUUUUUUUCUCUCUUCUUCUUCCUCCGUGCGUCGCGUAACUUUCCGUCCAGAUCUGCGUCACCGUGCCCGGUCCUCGCCGCCGCUCGUGCUUCACCCUUGCAGUUCGCAGUAGCUCAGAUCCGUCGCUGCAACCGUCGGCCGGUUCGUGAAGCCCUGCCGCGCAACCUCUGUUUCCAGCCGCCGCCCAUUCCGUUCUCCUCUGUUUUCUGUACUGCUGCGCGACUCUCCGACCGCGUCUGUCUUCACCUCCGUGAAGUCGUCGACACAUACAUCUUGUGAAGCCCGGUCGCCGCGUCAGAUCGUCGAUCGAUUUUGAGGCAGCCGCCACGUUCCCUUUGGCCGACCGCUGACCGACCCACACUUAGGAUUUUGCUGCGAGUUCGACAGUCGUGCGUUGAGGUGUUGGGAGUAACGUUAGGCUCCCUUACAUUCACAACCAGUUUGUGAGUUGUUGAGGGUUCAGUUCGCCAAUAUAUCGGUGAGUUGGAACUUACGUUGAGGAAAGUAAGUGAGAUAUGUAUCGUGAAAGUAAUUGAAUUUUGUGUUUGUUGUGCUUAGGAUUGUUUCGAGGACGUUAGUUGAUUAAGGAGCUUCCCCAACUUUGAGGUAAGGGAUUUUCUACUGGACCCAAUUGUGAUUGUGAACUGUGAUUGUGAACUGUAUGUGUGUUGAAUGUAUACUGGGGUUGACUGAAAAUAUAUAUGAAUGUAUGUGAAUUGAAGUAGACUUGACGUCGAAUGUAUGUCGUGAUUGUCCUGGAAUCUAUAUAUAAAUGUGUGUAUGUGGACAGGACGGAAAUUGUAGAUUGUGCUUGUAUGAGAUGCAGAUGUGAACUUGUGAUUGUCGUUUAGAUUGGGUGUACGUUACGCUAAAGUAUGACUGUGAGCUGGUGAACUGAGGGGUGUAUUGACUGUAUAGUUGAUUGACUGACGUAUUAGUAUAUUAUUGACAGACAUAUGACUAAAGUGAGAUAAGUUGACUGUUAGGACGUUGAGAGAAAGAACUUUAUGUUUUGAAGUAACUGAAAGAUGGAUUGAAUGGAAUGAGGGGGUAAAUUGUUAGAUUGUAUUGGGAUGUUUACCUUGUAGGUGUCCCACGGGAUCACCAAUUUAUUGUGCACCUUCGGGAGCAUUUGACUGAUAUGUGUUUCUGCAGAACACUAGACUGAUAUGUACGUCCCUCGGGGCGUUAGACUGAUAUGUACGUCCCUCGGGGCGUUAGACUGAGAUGUGUAUCCUACGGGAUCACAAGACUGCGACUGUACAAGGUGUCCCAAUAGAACUUUAACAAUUUAUUUUCCCCUGACGAGACCAGUAGAGGGUCUCUUACUGGGUAUUGUUAUACUCACCCUUCUUAUGUUUAAUUUUCAGGCAAAGGAAAUAAAGGUGGCAAACCGGCGAGGGGCAGGAAGGAAGCGUGAUUGCCAUAGGAAAUGUGUCAUUUUGCUUCCGCUUAUGGUUUCUUUUGAGGUUUAAGAUGUACUAAAACUUAGUUUACAAACUUUUAUUUGUAAAUAUUGUUAUUUUUAAGUUUUCUGGAAUAUUUGAAAAUCAGGCAUGACUUAAAGUUGUUUUUCAAUUGGCUUACAUUUCAUUUUGUAUCAACCAAAGUCUUUUGUCAAAAAUUAACGACCUCGACUUACCUAGAAAAGUUGGGUCGUUACAUAUUACCUUUCUUCUAGAAGUAGCACCGUGUUCAGAAGAUCAACAAACAAAUUAAAACUUUGUGAAUGUAUCGAACUUUCUUCAAUGAUUUUGAAAAUAGAGAGAAAUAUUUUUUGGAGAAGGUAGAAGUAUAGAACACUAAAACCAAAUUUGCUUUUCAAAUUUAGAGAAAGAGCACUUAUUUAAAGACUUAUUCAUGGUUAUUGAAUAGUCUUGUCCUUUCUCUAGAUUAGUUAUUCUCAUGAAUGGAAGAAAGACACCGUUUAUUCCUACAGGUUAAUUGUGAUUUUUGAAAUGAUUAAAAUGCUAAUAUUCAUUUUGUUUUUCAUAUUCGUGAGUCUCAUAGUUUGAAUGGACCUUCCAAUGACACUGUGCAUUUAUAGAGACCAACUAAAUAAACGGUGGAUGGUUAGAAAGAAUUAUCUUAAUACUAUAUUAAAGAAAUUAUUUUUUACUUCAAAAUAUUUAUAUAUAAGGAUUCAAAAAAGUAUGUACUUUUUUAAUGAGUUAUUGGGAUAAAAGGAUUAGAUAGAGAUGGUUGAAUCAAAUUUUGACAUACGAAUAUAUUAAGAACUUGUAGAGUAAUCAACACAAAGAAUUAUAUGGUUCACUGACCGUAAAUUGGCUACGUCUAACCUAUUUGAGAUUAAAUAAACAUAUAAUAAUUUUAAAUAAUAAUUAGCAAUUUCUCACGUGUGUAUAUAUACGUUAGCAUCACAUAUAAUCAUAUUAAAUGUUUAAAACAAAAUGUUCACAACUUUUUUUAGUUGCAAGGUUAAAGCAUAUAUUCUUAAAAAAAGUAAUGGUAAAAUUCUACAAAAAAAAAAAAAAAAGUUUAUUCACUUAUUCGUAUUUUUAUGGAUUAUAGAUUUUUUUUACAUAAGUUGCACGUGGAUGUAUGUUAUCUUUAAAAAUUAAUUUAUAGUAGUAUUUGACUAAUAAUUAUAUUUUUGUAUUUUUAUAAAAUUUCUAUACAAUUUCAUAAUUGAUUAAGAGUGAGUUAGCUCUCAACCUAUUUUAUUUUAGAAUUAAUAAUAAUUAAUAGUAGAGAUGUUUUAAAAUUAAUUUCUAUAAAAUAGCAAAUACAACCUUUUAUGUUCAUAAAAUAGCAAAAACUCUUUCACUUUUAUUUAUUUAGUUAAUCUCUUUAUUUCAAGUUUAGUUAGGAAUGAAAAAUGUGAUAAUAUUUAAUUUACCUUUUCAAAAAAUUAAUAUUAUAUUUUUAAAUUAUAGAAUACUUUUGAAUUAUAUUAUAUUAUUGACGAUUGUUGAAAGAAAUAGAAGUUAUAAAGAAAAAGAGAGUCGAAUAGUAUACACAAACACGAUAUCAAUUACUAUUGAAGAAUUGAUGUAGAAAAUAUUCAUAUAUAUAAUGUUAGUUUUUUAGGAGAUUAAAUAGUUAAUUUAUUGUCUUUUACUAAUCGAGUUUGAAUGUUUGUACAAAUAUCUAUGAGACGUUCAUAGUAACUAUGGAAUAUAAAUGUCAUAUAAUAUUUUUAAACUAAAGAUUUGAAAAUAAGUAUCUAAAAUUAUUGAUUUGAAUUUAGUUUCAUCAUAUUUGAAUUUCCAAUUCUUUUGGGUUUGUGCUUAUUUUUAAAUGUUAAAUAUUUAUCAUUUAAAAUAAUAUUAAAUUUAAAUUUAAAAAAACAUUCUCCGAAUAAAAUGUUAGAAAUUUUAGAGUGUUGGUAUAGAAAAGCACGACAAAGAGAUAUACUAAUUUAAUAUAAAAAACAUAUUGAAAAAUAAUUUUUUAUGUCAUUUUUACUUUCUCAUUUCUGUUAGAAGAAAAAACAUAAAAGUAUAAUAAAAAAUAAUGUGCAGAAAAAAAAACUCGUAUAUAUAACUAAAAAAACAACUAAAGAAAUAUAAAAGAUAAUAUUUACAAAGAAAUGAAAGAAGAUAUUUGUAUAACGAGGUUGAAGAAAUAAUUUUUGUUUUCUUGCAUUUUUGUCUCCACCUAAUUGAUACGUAAUUUUUAAUAUUCACUAUUUAUCUUACACUUAUCUCUCAACUUAACAAUUGCACUUAUCUCUACUUGACAAUGACUCGUUGUUUCAAGGAAAUAGGAGAUAUCAUACAUUUAUAUUGAAUAAAUUGGUAAAAAAUGUGGAUUAGAGAAUUUUAAGAGGCUUUCUUGAACUUGUUAUUGUGCCCAAAAAAACUCUUCUACUACCCAUCGAGUUAAUUAGGGUGAUAAAUAUUUUUUUAAUUAAAUAUUGAAAUUGUUAGAAAAAUGGCAAGAAAUAGUUAAAAUUAACUCACUGUUCAUGCAGUAAAAACAUUUAUAGUCAAAAUGUUAAAUUGAACUAAAAAAAUUUCUCCACACAAUAGAGAUUUUAUGUAUACUAUAUAUAGAUUAAAAAUAGAUUCCAAUGUUUGAAUCCCCUAUAAGUGCAUUCAUCAAAUGUUAUAAUAUUUUUAUUAACUUAUUUAAUUGUAAAUUCUACGGACGAUAUACCAUUUAACUAGAAUAAAUUUACCAACGAUAGAUCAUGCAACACGUAUGAUGUAGAAAUCUACAAGUGAUAUAGUCUACCAUAUACUAAUUUUAUUAUAUUUACAAUUAUUUAUAAAUGUUGCUAACUUAAUUACUAUCCAAACUACGAAAUUAAUGUUUCGUCUAAAUACAUAAAACUAAUUGCAUAAAUGACAUUUAAGUAUAAAAUAGUAGUAUAGAUAGCACGAUGAUAAAAUAAUUAUAUAUAACCCAAAAUUAGUAAAAUACUAAAUAAUUCACGUGUAGGCACCAUUUUGGACACUUCUUUUCGAAUUUCUCAAAUUAAAAGCCUACAACUGAUAAUUGUUAUCAAUUACUAUUAUUGAUAGUUACUAUUAGUGUUAUCUUUUAUUUGUCAUUAUUAAUAGUGCUUCUUUUUUAUUUUCUCAAAUUGAAAGUCGUUAAUAAUAACAAUUGAUAAUUAUUAUAAGUUUUCUACCAUUGACGUUGAUUGUGAUAACUUCUAAACCCUAAACCCUAAACCCUAAACCCUAAACCCUAAACCCAAAGCCCUAUCAAUAAUAUCUAUGAAAAGACAUUGUUGACAUUUUAAAAAACUUCUACCAAUUGGUUGAUCAACAUUUACUAUUUUUGGCAUAAUAUUUUAUAUUUUAGAGUUUAUUUCUAAAUCCUUUUAUUUGCUCUAAUUUUAAAAAAAGAAAAAAGAAAAAUUAAAAGUUUAUUUUGGAUCAAUAACAAAAAUUAAUUUAAAUUGAUAAAAUAUCAAAAUCGAAAAAUAUGGGAAAAUUGUAUUUCAACGAACAUAAGCACAAUUUUUUUACUUAUACCCAAGCAAAUCCAAUAAUAACAGGUAAUACUUGUAAGAAUUAACGAUUUAAUAACAAAAUCCAGUACUUAAAAAUAAUUACUAAGAACUAAGGAAAAUGCUAAAAUGAGAACUUAAUGUUGUAUGUAAUACAAGAAUUACAAUUAUGACCACUUUGAUAACAUCUGCCGUAACAAAUAGUAUAAUUUUUUGUCUUAAAGGCACCCCAAGUGUUUUAACCUGAGGUGGAAUGAGUUCAUUGUUGCCACAUUGAUACAUAUUUAUAAUUUGGUAUACACUACCAAUGAGACGUGUUCCCUUCAUGUACAAGUUUAUCAAGUUUGAAACAUAGUAGAACUUAUCAGUGUACGUGUGCAAAUGAAGAUUCCUUGUAGACAAUGCAAUACAUGCAUGUGAACAAGAGAUCAUAUCAAAGUCUCAUUGAUGACACAAGCAUGUACGGUAUACAAUAUUGACAACAUAUUGUUCCUUACGAUGGUGAACUUCAAAUUCAUGUUGGUUUACAUAAUAUAUUUGCCAAAAUAUUAAAACAAAUUUCAUGUACAAAUAACUGUCUUAAUAGUUAUAAUAUUUACUAUUCAAAUAUCAAUCAACUUACAUUCAUUGAGAGAUUUUCCCCUGCAACUUCUCGAAUCAUAUCUUUUGCAUAUAUUGAGAGUUUUGUGCAUGCAUUGAAAAUUUCAUUUGGUAAGACGUUCGUAUAACCAUUUUUGAACCAAACUACAAAUUGAUUCUAGAAGUCCAAUAAAUAGUUUUCUUCAGUAUUGAUUUACUUUUAAAUAUUAAUCUCACUUGAAUAGGUAUUCCAACAUACGAAUAUUCAAAAAAAAUUAACGUAAAUAAUCUCCGUAUCACGAUGCAAAUCUUGAGAUUUGGGUACUUCAUUGAUCAAAUACGUUGUAGUUCCAGCAUCACAAGUUGAUACAUAGUCAAUAACCACUGGUAAAUCAUUACCAGAAAAUUUUGACAAAACUAACACAAUUAAGUCAAGACACAUCCUUAUCCUCAACAAUCCGAAUAAGGUUCAAAUUGUUGCAAUCAUCCCAAUAAACGGUCAACCGAUGCAUGAAAAAAUCUGUAGGUGGAAAAAAUCUACCUUGGAUACAUUCUACAAAUCCUUGAAACGAAGAUGAAAAUGGAACAUAUACCUCAACAACAUGAUAAUCGAGAUAUUGAAAAGGUUUGAUCCAUCUACCAUCCAAAAUCGUCUUUACUUACUGUAAAGUCAUAACAAAAACUUGUUUGUUAUUAUUCUACUAUUAUAAUCGAAAACGAAUGCUAAAUGAUGUAUUAUAAAUAUUGUAAUUAAUCGACAAAAAAUGUUAAACAAAUAAGAUAAAUUUUAAAAUACAACACUUAAAAUAAUAAAAUCAAGUGACGUGAAUAAUAGUAUUUCAAAAUAUUAUAAAAACAUACAUAUUUUCGAAAUAUUUUUUAAAUAGAUAUAAUGACCAUCAAAAUAUACAUUCUAAAAUAAAAAAAAGAUAUUAAUUAACAUGGUCUCCAUAAUAAAUCAUACUCUAAAUUUUCGAAAUCUAAACUAAAAUAUAUCUUAUGUAUUUCCUUAACAAUAUAAUUCCAAAUUAUUAUUCAAAAUAUAUAUUAUGUAUUAUUUAAUUAUAAAUUACUGAAAUUGUUAAUAAAUAAUUCAUGUUAUACAAACUAAGAAUUUGGAAGAUAUAUUAAGAAAAAAUUGCUUCAAUCUCGUCCAUAAACAAAAUCUCACAUUUAGUUAUAAUUUCAAGAUUAUUUGUAAAAUACAUCCUAUUUUUCAAAUGCGUGAUAGGAAAAGGGAAGAUUAGUAUAUGCCCAUUAGGUACUAAAUUUUCUAAUUUACCAUGAUUUUACAACAAAAACACAAAUUGAUCAAAUUUUACACAAAUGUACUAAAUGAGCCACAAUAUUAUACAAAAAUAUGUCCAAUUUACAUAUAUGCCCAUUAGGUAGUUUUUUCACACAAUAUAUAUUGUAUUAAUAUAGAAAAUGGGAGGAAAUCGUGCAACAUUAAAAUAGGAAAGUUUUUUCACUUUUCAUAUUCAACUAAAUCGUUGCCCUUUCGGCAGUCAAGGAAGUGAUUCGAGUUUUUGGUUUUCGGUCGUGAAGUUGAAAUAAGCAAUUUCGACGGUGAAGAUUUUCUAAAACGGUCGACCAGUUCAUCUGUUUUCCGAUGGCCGAAAGAUACAAUGUUAGGUUGUAUAUAUUCUAUACACAGUUUGCAUUUGGUAUCUUACAUAGAUUAAAAAUUUCAGUCUGAAUAGGCAACAGAAUCAAAAAUGUGAUUUUGUAUGUGUUAUAUCCUAUUGAGGUAUCGGAUCGAAGAGAAGUUUUUUAGGAACGUCGCAUGGGGGUUUUCAUAUGGAUAUUGGGUAUAUCAAAAAUUUUCUUUGGGUAUAUGUUGAAUGUUCUAGUUGUUGAGCAAAUGCAAAAAGGUAAUUAGAACAUUCAACAUAUACCCAAAGAAAAUAUAAAUAAUAUAUUGUAUAUAUCAUAUAAAACAUCAACUAAAAGUAUUAUAUCUCACGGGUAAUAUAUAAAACUAAUAUAAAUGUAAAUAAGAUGUGGUAUAUAUAUAAUAAAUCACAUAUACAAACUAUUACAUAAUGCGAUAAUAUUAUAAAACUAGUAUAAUAAUAAACAAUAUGUGGUAUAUAUUUAUAAAAUCAGAUCAGAAUAACAUUAAAAUGGGGGGUAUAUUGUUAAUAUAUACGCAGAUGAUAUACACAUAAUGAACUAAUCAUGUAGUUUUGUUGUUUAACUAUUUAAUUGUAAAACCCCGAACUUUAAGGUAUUUUACUUUUAAAUUAAAUUGUAUUUUGUUUGAAAUUUUUUUUUAAAGAAAAGAAAUUAGGGGAGAAAAGGAUUGGAAAUGUUAUAAUAAUAAUAUAUAUUUAUUGUUAUUAUUAUAAUAUUAUUAUAAAAGAAAAAGAAAAAGAAAAUUCUCUCUCUCUCUCUCGCGUCUUUGCUCGGGUGUUGAGGGACGUCACCGGCCGUCGAUUGCCAUUAUUCUCCACUGUCUUGUUUUGUUUGGUCUCCGUCAUGCUGCCGGUGGAAGAUCCAAAUUCAUAUCCUUUUGGUUCGCGUGCCAGAUUUGUUAAGCCGACAUUCCUCCAUUCGUUGUAAGUUGGAGCCUGAUCUAUCACCAAUUUUAAUUAUUUAUGGGUUAUGGAUUGUGUGGUGUAUUUUUCUCGGGAAUGCAAUGUUAAAUUAAUAAUCGAUUGGUUCUAUGUGGGUUCUUGAAGGUGUCAUUGUGGACAGUGUUCGAGUUCUUGGAGUUUCGACAGGUUGUUUAGAGCUUAAUUCUCCAAUUUUGUUUGGGUAAGUUCAUGAAAACAAUGGAAUGAUUUGGAUGAGGGAAUGGCUUGGUGAAAGUAUUGAGUUUUUGUCGUUACGUGUAGGUUGGUUUCAUGGGAGAAAUUUAUAUUUAUGUGCAUGGAUUGAUGUGGACUUGUGGUUGAGUGUAUGUUGUGAUUGUCUGGUUAUGUGUGUGUAUAGACAUAAGGAUGAGGAAGCAACUAAAUUUCGUAGAUGUUGCUUAUUUGAAGUGUGGAUUUAACUAUUAGAUUGAUAGUUGUCUGGACUGAAUGUAUGAUGUACUGUUAUAGUUGUGUGUUUGUGAACAGAGGAGACGUCUUAAAUGUGCCCUUGUAGACUUAGGAGGAGGUGUGACUAUUUAGUUUGUUAAAUGAUGUACUGGUAUGUUUCAGACUGACCUUGGCUAAAUUAGUGUAUGACAACUGUUAGGGGUUGAAUAAGGGGUCUAUGUGAGGGAAUUUUUAUAACUGAAUUGUGAACAAUUAUCAAAAUGUUUAGAAUGGCUGAGGGGAAAAUUGUUAGCUUUUAUUGAGAUAUGUGUGUCUUGUAGGUGUCCUACGGGAUCACCAAUUUUUAUGCAUCCUUUGAGAGCAUUAGACUACUAAGUGUUUCUGCAGAACACUAUACUGAAAUGUACGUCCUUCGAGGCGUUAAACUGAAAUGUGUAUCACCCCUACGGGAUCACACGACUGUGACUGUACAUGGUUUUCCAAUAGGACGUUAACAAUUUAUUUUCCCCUAACGGGACCAGCAGUGGGUCCCUUACUAAGUAUUAUUAUACUCACCCCUUUAUGUUUAAUUUUUCAGGUAAAGGUAAUAAAGGUGGCAAACCGGCGAGAGCCAGGAAGGAAGUGUGAUCGCCAUAUGGAACACUUUAAAUUCGCUUCCGCUUAGUGAUUUACCGUAUUGUUUUGUUUUCGUACUUGAGACUGUUUAGAAAAUUUGAGGUUUAACUGUAUUCAAAGACUAUAAAUCUAUUAGUUUUAUUUUCUUGAAAGUUUUGGUUAUUUUAAAUUGGACCCAAACAAAAAUAAACUUUGUUUUCUUGAGACUUUAAAUUUAAUUAAAUUUGGUACUUUGUGUAGACUCAAGUCUUUGUGUUAAUUUAACGAUUUUGGCUUAGUUAGAAAUGACGGGUCUUUACAUUAAUUUUAAAUGGGUAAAAGAACAAAUGACUUACUGUGGACUUUAUCGUAGCUUCAGGUGAUCGAGAAUUGUAUAUGUCGGCGACUUGUUAAGAUUAUGCAGCUUACGGUUAUGAGAAAUUUGAAUACAAAUUGAGAAAACAAUGUAAUAAGAAGUUCGAAUUUUAUGAUUGAAUAUCUAAAAGUUUCAAUUGGAUGAGAAUAGGUAAAAAUAACUGCCGACGAUGGAGAAAAAUAGGUAUAUAGUGGCUACCAGAUAGGGAGAAGAAUUAAGUAAAGAUAUAAUUUUGAAAAAAAAAAUAUAUAAAUAGUUUAUUACAAAUUAGAAAAAAAUUGCAAAUUUUAUAAUUCAUUUUGAUUUAUAAUUAAUUUAAGAAAUACUUAAAAUUUAUUACCAUAUUAAUUAAUCAAUUAUUUAAUAUGAUUAAUUUAAAAGAUACUUGAAAAUUAUUACCAUAUUAAUUAAUCAAUUAUGAAAUUUAUAUUAAAUUCAGAUAUUUUAAAAAAAUAUGAAUCUAAUAUCUAAUUAAUAUUUAUAUUAUAUAAUUAAAAAUUAAUGAAAUGUUAUAAUUAUCCGUAAAAUAUUAUCUUUCUUAUUUUAAAAAGUAAUUUUUAAAUUAAGACAUUUGUGAAAUUUCUUAUUAAAUUAAUGGUUUUUGGAUUUACUAUUUCUUAUUCAUGCCAAUUUUGGUAUCUGUAUAGUUAUCUCAUAGACUAAUCGGUUGCAAUUUGGAGACAUUUGUGUCUAGAAACUUUUAGACAAAAGACCUUAAUUUAUUAAGAAAUUUCACAAAUGUCAAACAUUGAAAAUUAUUUUAUUAAAUAGGAAAGAUAAUACUUUACGGACAAUUAUAACAUUUCAUUAAUUAUUAAUUAUAUAAUACGAUUAUUAAAUAUAUAUUAUAUUCUUAAGAUUAUUUAAAAAAUUACUUUAUUUUAAACUAUUUGUAUUUAAUAUUUAUUUGAGAAUUAAUAUUUUAAUAAAUUUCAAGUAUCUUUUAAAUUAAUUAUAAAUCAGAAUAUAUUAUAAUAAUUGUAAUUUUAUUUUAUUUUGUAAUAAACUAUUUAAUUAUUAUUUCUAAAAAAUAUAAUUUAACCUAAUUGUUCACUCUUUUCGGUAGCCAUUACAUUAUCUUUUCCAUCGCCGACAACUUUUUAAUGUUGCAGGAUUUCCUCUAAUUUUCUAUAUCAAUAUUAUUUCAAACAUAACAGAUUAUUUACCACAUAAUAUAUGAAUAUUUAAAUAAAAAACAUAAACAAAUUGAUAUAAGAACCUUUCACUAAUAAAAUAUACACUGAAUUCAUAUAUGUUAUUUAGUAUAUAUAUACCUCAUAUUAUAUACAACAAUACCUUAUACAUAAUUCCUACAGAAUUUGUGUUUAAAUUUUUUGUUUGUAGAAUAAAUAUUACUAAAAUAGUAAUAAAUGACAUGAUCAUACAUGCAUAUUUUUCCUUUAUAAAUGUAUUUGAUUACAUUAUACUUUAAUUUAUCCACAAUCUAUAAUAGUUAUGUUAUAUGUUUUAGUAUAUAUAUACCUCAUAUUGGAUAUUUGUUAUAAAUCAAUUAAAUUAUUUUGGGCCCCACUUAUUUCGUAUCCCACCAUUUUUCCAUUUAGAUAUUUGUUAUAAAUAAAUUAAAUUAAAUAAUAAAAAUUGAUAUUAAAUUAAUUUGGAUCCCACUUAUUUCUAAAACUAUAUUCCACGAUUUUUUUUAUUUAGAUAUUUGUUAUAAAUCAAUUAAAUAAUAGAAAUGAGUAUUAACUAAUUUGAGCCUAUAUUUAUGUAAUAUACUAGUCUAUUUAAAUUUUUUAUAAAAUUUAUUAGUAAUUUAGAUGGUUAAAGUAAUAUCAUAUAGCAAUUUAUGGUAUAUGAGUUAAAAAGAGAGUUAUACAACCCAAAAUCCCAAACACAAAGCUCAUCUAAGGCCCCUCGAGGCCCAUUAUUUGAAGGAGCGCUCUUGCAUAGACAAAAAAACAGUAUGAAUUUGAAACGUCCAUACAAAACGGUAUUAAAUUAACCGCAAUAGAUGGAGCCAAGUCAGCAAUCCUUGUGAAACGAAAACAAAAACGCGGGGAUUAAGGGCGCCAAAAUUUAGAAGAAAAAACUUUCCCUCUUUCUUACUUGGUUUGCUUUAAUAACAAUUGCCGCUUCACUUUUCAUCACCGAAGAAGGAAAUCCCAUUUCCCCUCAAUUCUUCUGCAUUUUCAAAUUUACCGGCUCACCCGAGGAGACGAAGAAAUGGCCGGCGGAGGAUCCUCCAAGUCCCGGAAGAGAGUGGAGGCUACUCCUGCUGACGUCGCCGCUACUGGUCCUUCGCUUGUGAGGGCCAAAGACGGCAGUGCUUUUGCUAGAUGGUGCGUUUUUCUUCUUCUUCUUCUUCUUCUUCCGCUCUCCAUAUUCUUUUUGCGUAUACUUGUUGAUUUACAUUGUCUGUCUGAGGGCUGAUGAGUAUGUAGUUGUAUUGCUGAAUCUCUGAAACUUUGUGUUUCCUUUCUGGUUCUGCUUAUAUGCGUUAUAAUCUGGUUUUUGGAGUUUAUGUCUCUGUCUUGGUCUUUAGGCAUCCGUAAUCUCUGAUUUUCAGUUCGUCUUUUAGUCUGAUUUAGUUGUAGAGUUGGAAGCAAUGCUCGUUUUCUUUAUGAAAGUUCAUGUUGAGUUACAUCAACUGGAUUUAAGGUUAAUAGGACAUAGUACCCUGCGUAUUUGUUCAUUUUCUUUCCUCUGAGAUCUAUUCGUAUGUUGAUGUUGUGGUUUUUUAAUACUUCAUUGCUUCAAUCAUUUCUUAAUUAGCUGCGGUUUCUAGAGUUGUGUUGUCUAUGGAUUGACAGUGUUUGGUUAUCAGUUUGCCUUUUGGUUGGAGUUAUUUUAGAGUUGAAUGAAACGUAACUAGAGAAGUUGUAGAAGCAGCAAAUUUGAGUUUCUUGACAACGGUAGAAACUGAUUUCUCUCGUUUGAAUGAUCGACUUUUGGCUUGCAGUGACGAGUGCGGUAAAAGUGUUCCGGUGGCCUUAAUCAGCAUGCACAGUUGCAGCCUCGACGCCAAAAUUAGAAUGAAUUUAGGCAUGCUUUUCGUGUAGAUUUCAUAGUACCUUUCUUCGCGUUCAUUCUUUACCGAUCUUUAAACUCCCUGUUUUCCUGCAGAGUCUCAGACUGUUGAAAAGCAAACACAAUCCAAAAAGCCAGCUGAAAAGUAUCAUACUCAUCUUCCCCUAUUCUUAUCUGGUUAAGAAGAUGCUUUGCUUCGAGCUUGAAUAACUUGUUUGUUUCACCGAACAGGAAAAGAUCAGCAUCAUCUGAACCUAAGACUAAGAAAUCCCGAACUGAGAAGAAAGGGAAGAAGGACAAAGAUCCAAAUGCCCCCAAACGCCCUCCUACAGCUUUCUUUAUCUUCAUGUAUGCAAGUUCCUCCCAUAUUUAUCCAAUUACUACAUUGGAAGUAUCUAUUUACUCGAGUCUUGAUUGAAUUUGCUUAUUGUGAUAUUUCAGGGAUGACUUCAGAAAGUCAUAUAAAGAAGCCAAUCCUGAUUCCAAGGGCGUUAAGGAGGUUAGCACAAAUCUAAAUACAUUCCCAAGUGCCCAGUGAAAUUGUAUUGAUUUGUCAAAGUUUUAUAAACCCUGUUGACCGACUGAGCAUUUGAUACAUUUCAGGUUGCAAAGGAGGGUGGUGAGAAAUGGAAGUCAAUGACUGAUGAAGUGAGUUAACAUUCGUUACCACUUGAAAACAUGCUUAUAUUUUGUGAAUUAUUCCAUCGCACAUGGAUCUCAACGAUUUCCUUUUAAUAGACUGAAAUACCUUUUUGAGCUUCUGGAGCUUAUCUUAUUAGACAACAUAUUAUUAAUUGGCAAUGCGAUAGCGAUCCAUCUUUGUUAAAUCAGUGUGUGACCUCCAACAUAUCUAAAUGUUUAAAUGAUGAACAGGAGAAGAAGCCUUACCAAGAUAAAGCUGCCGAGCUAAAAGCGGAAUAUGAGAAGGCAUUGGAAAGUCGAAAUGCUGAGAAUGAAGAUGUAAGAUUUAAGGUCUAAAAUGUUGGAUAUUUUGGUUCAAUUUUGGAAAUGCUUAUGUGGGGAUUUUCUUUUGGUCAGGAUGAAAAAGAGACAGAAGAGACGGAAGAGAUUGAAGAGGAGGUUGAAGGAAUAACGGAAGAAGAGUAAGAAGAACCCGUUGUUGGGGGGUUUUUUGUAAUGGCAAAUAGCUAGAAAACAGCUUCUUUCACUGCCUGUUUAGUGUUGUAAAUUCAGAAUUUAAUUUAGUGAAAAAAACUGCCUUCUGGAUUCAAAUUGGUUUCGUUUCGUUUUGUUUGAAGCAAUGUAUAAUACAAAAUGCUUGAAAAAGAAUUUUCUGUUUCAUUGAUCGCAAAAUCUAAAUUUGAAACCCAUGUUAGAUGUAUAUCUGUUUGUAAGUUUGUUUACUCAUAAUUAUGAAACUGUUACCUCAGCAAUGCUAAUGGUAUAACAUUCAAUAUCUCUGUAAUAGCCAGCGUAGAAUUGGAUUACAUGUUAAUCUUAAGAGUAUGAAACUAAGGUAUUGGAAUGGGGCAUCCAAUUUAUUAUGUUUUGUGACACUUGUAAAAAGUGAUUCUAUACAAAAGUUUGUUUGGUCUUUGUAUGCAAGAAGUCUUCUUUAUUGACCACUUUUUCAACACUUGUUUGAAAAUGUAGUCAAAUUAUAUUUUGCAAGUUUGAAAUUGGAUCAAUUUAAUGGUCAUCAAUUUUAUGUGUAUUUAAUUAGAUUUAAAUUAGGAAAAUUGUAUUGGGCGCACGAUACAAAUAGGAUUUUUUCAUUAUUCCAAAAAUCCUCUCUUAAAUCUACACUAUUUUCUCUUCCUCUUCUGUCACUUAUUUGUUUUCUUUUCAUUGUUCUUCCUCUUCGUGGUUUUCUGUCCUUCAAUCUCCACUGUUCUUGUUUUCUCCUAUUCGCUACAUCUCUUCACUUCAACUUUUUCUUCCUGUUUUCUGCCAUCUCUUCUUGUUCAGGUAUGUAUUUCUUCCCAUAUUCUUUUUUAAAGCCCUUCUUUUCUUUCUUUUUGAAUCGAUCAUCAUCUUUUCUUUCUUUUUGAGUCGAUCAUCAUCGUUUCUUUCUUUUUAUGUGAAUUGAUCAUUAUCUAUCAGAAAUUAAGGCUACAAUUUGUUCUUUCUCAUCUAUUUUAUUUGUUUCUCAUCUCUUUUAUCGAAUGGGGCUUUGCAGAGUUUGAUUUUUUUUUUUUUUAAAUUUUGUAUCAGUUUUUUACCGUGAUUUGAUGUACUUUUAUUAUAUGUAUUAGUUGACUAAUACACUUAUUACAUGUUUUUUAUUCUCUCAAAAUGAAUGCAGUUCAUUGUAGUUAUGGUUAAGCUUGCAGUCAUUGUAUUUCAUAGUGGUCAAUGGGAUGAGCAAUAGUGCUAUGUGAACUAGAAAACAAAUUGUAUUUUGGUUGAUGGAGUGAUAUCAUCAUUUGAUUCUUUUGUGAACUUGAUAGAAAUUCAGAUUGAGACAUGUAUUGAGCUUUCAGUUUUGUUGCCUAUAGGUAGUAAUGAUGUUCAACAUUUUCUUAAGAUUGUUGAAAAUAAAGAUGUGAAUUGGUUCUUGACAUUGGUUAAUGAUCAAUCUACCCAAUAUCUUUUAGUUGCUCAUUCUAUAGACACAAUAUUGGAUGUGUCAAUUGGUUCUUCUUCUUCCAUAGUUGAGGCUGAUUUAGGAUGUGAAUUAACAAUUUUUAGAGAUGUUGAUAUUACUAAUACUAACGAUGAGGUGGCUUUUAAGGAGAAUGAUUUGCUUUGUAGUAAAGAAUUUUUUUAAAGGCAUUCCGCUUUAUAGCUGUCAAGACUAAUUUUGAGUUUAAGACAUUGAGAUCUUAUUCAAGAUCUAUUGAGUUGGGAUGUAAUGAAGAUGGUGGUCUUUGGUUUGUUAGAGCAUCACGUUAUAAAAGAAGUGAAUUAUGGAUGAUUCGAAAAUAUGUUAGUGAUCAUAGUUGCUCAAUGAUUGUUCAUUCUUCUCAUAAGCAAGCAUCUUCAGAAUUUGUUAGUCAAUGUAUGAUUGAUUAUUUGAGGUAUAGUUAUUCUCAUUCAACACCAAAAGAUAUCAUUCACCAUAUGCGUAUGAAUUAUGGAGUUUCUGUUAGUUAUUAUAAGGCUUGAAGAGCAAAAGAAUAUGUUAUGAAGUUGUUGAAAGGAGAUGCCGAUAAUUCUUAUGCUUUGAUUCCAAAGUUCUUUUCAAAACUAAAAGAAAUAAAUCCAGGUUUGUUUUCUACCACUUAAUUUAGUAUCUUGUUCAAUUUAUUUCGUUUUUUUAUACUAUUGCCAAUUUUUGUAUAUCAUUUAUUGAUGCACCUAUUAUGAAGUAUACUUAUUGUAUGAUGUACACAAUACUAUUUAUAUGUUUUCAUUCACUAUUUUACUUGUAUAGUUGGUAUACUAGCUAGUUGUUGUAUAUCAUUUUACUGAAAUACCUAUGAUGAAGUAUACUUAUUGUAUGAUGUAUACUUAAUUUGAUUGUUCUAUUUUGUUCCUUUUUUGUAGGUUCAUUUCCUGCAUAUGAAAUAGAUGCAAAUGGCCAUUUCAAAUAUUGUUUCAUGGCUAUUGCAUCAUUAAUUGAAGGUUGGAGAUACUGUAGACCAAAUAUAGCAGUUGAUGGGACAUUUUUAAAGUGCAAGUAUGGUGGAACAUUGUUGACGACAACAACUAUUGAUAGUAAUAGUAAAAUUUUCCCUCUUGCAUUUAGUAUAGUAGAUUCAGAGAAUGAUGCUUCUUGGAAAUGGUUUUUUCAACAAUUAAAACUUUCUUUUGGAGAUCGAGAGGGAUUGGUUAUUAUUUCUGAUAGACAUAUAAGUAUUCCGAAAGGUGUUUUAGAUGUGUUUCCAUUGGUACAAUAGUGCGUUUGUGUAGAACAUCUUUUGAAGAGUGUCAAGUUGUCAUUUAAAGACUCUUUAAUUGAAAAGCUUUUUUGUCAAUGUGCGUACUCUUAUACAGUAGAUGAUUUUGAGUUGUAUAUGAGAUGAAUGGAGUCGAUAUACCCAUCUAUUAAAAGAUACCUUAUGAAAGUUGGUUUUGAGAGAUGGUCAAAUAAUGACAUUGUAAGUAUUUGUGAAAGCUUGAAUUCUAAGUUGAAAAUUGAUAGAGACUUACUGGUUGCAUCCUUGCUUGAGGCCAUUAGAGAGUUUCUUCAACCGUGCUUUUAUGAGAGAAGAAAAGCAGCCUCAUGUUCAAAGAGUGUUUUGAGUUUUUGGGCUGAAGGACUAAUAAGAAAGCUAGUUGAUGAAUCAUGAAGCUUUGAUAUACUGUAUUAAAGUGUAACGAUUAUUUAAUACACUGAUGAUAUACCAUAAUUUUUUUGUUCAGGUUAAUCCUGUGAGUGAAGUUGAAUUUCAAGUAGUUGAUGGAGGCAAGAAUUUUUUAGUAAAGUUGAAUUGUAAUAGCUGCAGUUGUCUUUUCUGGGAUCUAGAAGAAAUUCCAUGUGUUCAUGCUCUUAUUGUGAUUUGUAGCCUUAAUUUGGAUCCUUAUGCAUUUGUUUCACAGUAUUAUUAUGCUAGUGUAUUGUCUGCAACUUAUUGUGGAUUAGUUCGUCCGAUUGGCAAUCAUACUAAUUAGAGUGUUAUGGAGGUGAAUGACAAUGUAUUGCCUCCAGUAUAUAGAUGUUCAGCAGGAAGACCUCGAAAAAGAAGGAUUCCUUUUAUUGGUGAAAUUUCAAGAGCACAAAAUGCAGUUGUUGUAAGAGAGCCGAUCAUAAUAUUAGGACUUGUACAUUUGAACCCGUUUGAACAAUUUAAUUGUUUUGAAAUUUAGUAAUUAUCAAUGAUGUAGUAUUUGAACAAUUUACUUGUUUUGAAAUUUAGCAAUUAUAAAUAAUGUAUUAGCAAUUUUAUUUUAGAAUAUUUUCUUCUCUACUUCAUUUUUUUAUUAUUCUUUUUUGUUCUUAAUUGAGAUAUUUAUAUGAUUCAAGAUAGGUAUAUCACAUACGAAAGAUACUUAUAUGAUUCAAGAUAAAGUAUAUCACAUACAAAAGAUAUUUAUAUGAUUCAAGAUAAAGUAUCUCACAUACAGAAGAUACCUAUAUGAUUCAAGAUAAGGUAUAUCACAUAUGAAAACAAAUUUCAAAAGUGCAAACAGAUUCCAAAAGAAGAGUAAAAUAAAAGUUUAUCAAGGUAGCCAAUCAAAACUCGGUGGUUCAAAUGCAACAUGUGAUUAUUGUGCCUUCUUGGGAGAUUUAUUCUUUUUGGCCAAUUCCAAAUCAAUAGCUUUUGGUGUGAGUUUCAAUUUCCUUUUUGGCCGCUCACAUUGCACUUUGCACUUUUCAUCAUUGACACCAAGUUGUGAAGCUUUUCUUGUAAGUAUUUUGUUUUCAAUCACCUAAAAAAUACAAUUUUAUUUAUUAGUAUUCUACAAAAGAAAAUUAAAAUUCUAAAAUUAUUAUACUUAAAAAAUGAUUUUACCACUUGUUGGCCUUUAUCAUUAUUUUUCUUUGUCCUCCUUUCUUCAUUUUGUUUGUGUUUUUUUGUGUGUUAUCAUCCAAAAUUCAAUAUCAUAACAAUAAAUCAAUAUGUAUCAACAAGUUUAUGUACAUAGAACAAUAAGGUGUAUCAAUCAGUAAACUUAAGCUUAGAAACAUAUUGUUUAGUUAUAAUCUCUCUAAUUUUGAGGAUUUUUUCAACUACUUUGAGGUUUGUUUCCAAUAACUCCUUUCCAUGUAACUCUCUUUCAUUUGGCUGUUCUUCCGAUUCUCCCAUUUUUAAAUAAAAAAAUGAAUAUAGAUGAAUAAGUCCAAUGAUAUAUCUAAUAUUAUAUUUUAUCAAAGUGUAGAUAUACUAAAUUACUUAUAGUUGGGUCAUCGACUUCUUUUGAAACUUUAUUCAUUUGUUUUUUUUUCAUUGUCUUUUCCAUUCUUUAAAGAAUAAUAAGUAGAAAAUUUUAUUAAAACAAGCAUAACAAUAAAAUGAUAUACCUUAGUAUUAUAUGAAAGUAUAUUACAAGUUACUUACAUUUUUGUCUUCAUUUUUUGCAUUCAUUGGUUGACCUUUUGCAUUCACUUCUUUGAGUCUCUAUUUCUUCCUCAUUUUUUUUCAGCAUCCUCUUGAUUCUUUUAUGAUUUAUGAAAUUGUAUUAGCAUAAGUAAAUUGAAUAAUUAAUAUCCAUAAGAAAGAUGGAAUUAUUGUAAGUAAACUAAAUGUAUAUUACAUUGUUGAUGAACUUAUCAAUAUUCUUGAUUGUUUGUUCUAACUCUUCUGUAUUCUCUUCUUGUUCAAUUUCUUCUUCAUUAAUCUAUAAUAUCAAUAAUCAGUAUUACAAAAUUUAUUUCUUUAUGAUGUAUAUCAAUAUAUCAUUUAUAUAACUUUUAUGUUAUAUCGGUGAUGUUGAUAUACCUUAAACAACAAUAAAUUUAACUCAGUUCAAAAGAAAAACAAUACAUUUAGCUCUGUAUCAUCCAAGUUAUGAAUGUUCAUUCUUUUCCCAAGACGUUGCAAACUUAAAGUUUGUAAUGAUUUUCAUGGAAUGAUUCUUGUGAUUGUUUUUCUGUUGACAUUCUUUCAUUGAUUAUGGUGAUUAUGUUAUUUUAACAAUUUCAAUACCUCAUUUUUUCCAUUUUUCAUGGUAUUCUUCAAGCUUUCCAAGUUCUUCUUCACUUCUUGAAUUUCUUGUCUCAAUGAUUUUUUUGUCUCAUCAUUUACAAUUCCUUCUUCUUUAUCACCUUCGUCACUCUAAUCAUAUUCUGUAUUUUCACUUCUUUCUUUCUCAACUUCAUUUGGUGGGUCAUUUAGGAAGAAUUGAAAGUUUGGAGAGAUUAGCUCAUUGUUAGUUGGGGUGAAAGGGAUAACUGUAAAUUGCAUUUUAAAAACAAAAGUUAUAUGAGUUGAUACACUUCAUAUGAAGUUAACCAGGUACAUAAUCAAAGUGAUAUACCUGCAAUGUAGUAUAUAACUAAUUAGGACAUAGAAGAAAAAGAACUUAUAUCACUUGACUUGAAGUAAUUCGGUUGCAGAUAUGUCCAGACAGGUUGCUGUUCUAAUUUCCAAUUUAUGAUUCUUGGGCUUCGAUGUCCAAUUCUUGUGGCUAUCCCAUUUGGACUUUCAGAAAGCUUUGGGAUGAUUUCUAAUGCCCAACAAACCAAAAUGUGUGGAAAUCCUUGUAGUGAGAAAUUGACUGUCAAGUUUUCUAUAGCUUUUCUCAUAUACUCAACUGUUAAGUUAAAUGGCAACCUACCCCAUGGAAAAUUUAGCAAAGUUUCCUCUUCAUCUACCAUUUUAAGAUGUUUCCAAUCUACUACAUUAUGGAGUUAUUUACAAUUGAUGAAACAUUCUAAAAUAAGAAGCUUUGCUAGUUUAACCAUGAGUUGGUCACUAAGUUGAGCUAUACUAAAUGCUGAAAUGAUUUUGUUUCUAUCUAAUGUAUCAAUAAUACUGAAGCAGACAGUUCUUAAUUCACUAUUGAACUCCUCCUUGAUAUUUGAAGUUGUGGAUUGUGGGAAUGGUUGACAAUUUAGUCUACUAAUUAAAUGGAAUUCUCUCAAUCCAAAUUUUGCUAUAUUACCCUCUAGAUUGAAAAUCAAAGUGUCAUCAGUUGAUUGUUUAGACAUUCUUUUAAUCAAAUGAACUAACAAUUGUUCAGGACACUUUUUGAUUUGAAUAUCAAGAAGGUGCCCAAAUGGACCAUUCCUAAACAUUUUCAUUUGCUUUUCAGGCAACUUUUUGACAAUAGAAUCUAUUAUUGUCAACUUUGAAUAGUAAUCAACUUUGUUUGCAAGGUUCUCUUCAACAUUAACUUGAUUAAGUAAAUUGAAAAUGAAUCAUUCAAUCAAGUGUAUCAUCAAACCAUAGCAAGUAGUGUGUCUAGAGCACAUAAAGUGUAUCAUGCUUAGUGCAUCAAGUGUAUUUAACUAAUUGAGUGUAUCAACAGUUUAACAAGUGUAUCAACAUGAUACCAAGUGUUUCAGUACAUAAAGUGUAUCAUGCUCUUAGUGCAUCAAGUGUAUUUAACUGAUUGAGUGUAUCAACAAAAUAUCAAGUAUAUCAACAGUUUAACAAGUGUAUCUACAUCAUAUCAAGUGUUUCAAUACAUAAAGUGUAUUUACAUCAUAUCAAGUGUUUCAAUACAUAAAGUGUAUCAUGCUUAGUGCAUCAAGUGUAUCAACAGUUUAACAAGUGUAUCAACAUCAUAUCAAGUGUUUCAAACUAAUAAUAUGUGUAUGAGCAGUUUAUCAAUGAAACAAAUAGAGUGUAUCGAUUGUAUAUAAUGGUAUAUCAAUAAUUAUACCUCUUUCUUGGACGAUGACUUUAUUCUUCUUUUUUUGUCUUUUUCUAAUUUUUGAACUUUUACCCUUUUCAAACUUCAUUUUUCUUUUCGUCAUUUUAUCUUUUUCAAUAUUUCCCCUUUUUUGUUUGUAUUCAAAAAUAAAAAAAUAUCAAUUUCAAAAAGUUGUUUGUAUUCAACAACAAUAUAAAAUACUAGAAAAGUAAAUUAAAUAAUGUUUUGAGUUAAGUGAAUAAAAGUGUAUAGAAAUGUAUAAACUGUAAAGAAGUGUAUGAGUUAGAAAAAGAAAUCAAAUAAUGGUUGUAUAGAAGUGUAUAGAAGUCUCUCUGAAAUACCUUGCCAUUUGGUGUAUCAAGAAAAUGAUCUUUGUCAAGUUUUUCGUCCAAAAUGGUUUUUGGUGUGCCCUAAAUUUUGGGAAGAUGAAACAAUGCGAGAGAUAAAAAUGCGUGAGGGAAGAAAGGGUAGCUUUGUAAUUUCAUAUAUUUAAAAUGGGGGAUGAGCUUCCAAUUUGCUAUAUUUGCAAAUGUAUAAAUUAUGUGCUACAAGUCUAAUUUUUUAUAAUAAAUUUGUCGUAUCUGCAACUGUCCUUUUAAAUUAUUACAUCUAUAGGUACAAGGUGAUACACUUAUUAGAUUAAGAUUUAAAUUUAUAGAAAUUUAGAAGAUUGAUUUUUAUGAAUAUAACAAAUUGGUAAAAUAUUUAUAGUAUGUAACAAAACGAUUGAGCCCAUGAAAUUAGCCAAUUUUUCUAAAUAUCACACGUUUGCCUCUUUUUUUCAUUAUCUUUUUUCUCUUUUUCUUAUGUGAUUUUUUUCUUCCUUCCAUUACCUUUCUCUUCUUUUACAGUUGUUCUUUUAAUUUUUUUAAAUCUAUUAUUUGGUUUGGUAUUGUGGACCGAAAAUAAAAGAUUGUGAAAAAAAAUCGUUGGGAUAUAGAAUAAUAAAAUCUAAAUGAUUGUGUACUAAAAUAGUCAAAUUUAAACCAUCGUGUACUAUAAUAGUCAAAUAUUGUGUACAAAGAAUAUUUAAAAAAACCGUUUAACUUUUAAAUGAUUGUUUAAAAAUAGAGGAUCUCUCGACGUACAAAAUAUAGUGUCGGAAGAUCCUUGACAUCUUUCGACGACGUAUAUAAAGUGUCGAGAGAUGUCAAGCAUUUCUUGACGCUACAUUUUGUACACGAGAGAUCUUCUCUAGACUCAUUUUUUCCUAGUCUGAUCCCGACACAAAUUUAUGUGUCGAAAAAUCUUUUUACGAUGCCUUUUCAUACAUCUCCUCCUAUGCUUUUGUGCGUCGAGAGAUCUCCAUUUUCUUGUAGUGAAAUAUUUUACUGGUUUGUUAUAUUUUCGAAUAUAUAUAAAUUCUAAAUGACAAGAAUUAACAAUGAAGUAAAACGAAGAGAAAAGUUGAGAAGAGAGAAAGUAAAGAAUAACAAUUAAACUCAAUUUUGAUAUAUCUUAUAAAGGCACCACACACCUUUAUUUGUAGAACAUGCCAUAGUAUAAGUUACAAUAGAACGAAAAUAUUUAAGAUAUUUAAGAUUUAGCUCAUAUGGGUUAGAUAAAUAACGUUGCAUCUACACAGUCAACUAUGAGAAAACAUACACUUAGUUAUUGUUAUACUGUUUGUUGUAUCGUGAGUUAACAACAGAAAGAACAACUAUGAAAGCACAUAAAUGUACAGAGAACACAUCAAACUUUUAUAACCCGGUUCAAUGACAUAACAUCUACAUAUAUGGGAGACCUUAGAUCUAUGAUAAGAGAUUAUAUUGCUCGUGUAGUAAUUGACGAAUUAAAAUGUUAUGAAUUAAAGUACAAUACUCUAAACAUAGAUCGACGCGUUGUCCAUAAAAUGACUAAACUAUCAAAAUCUCAAUUGUACAUAACAUCAAUAGGGACACUUCCUGAAUCAAGAAAUCAUUUGCAAUCUUCUCAUAAAGUAUUCUUGAUUUUUCAAUAAUCCCUUGUCUUCGAUGUACAGUAUCAUAACUCAUAAGUCAAGAUCGAAAUAUCUCAGCAAUUUGAAACAUCUCACCGUCCCUUAGGGCACUCAUAAAAACACAGAUUCCAUUAGAAGAAGAGUAGAGUUAUAGAUUUAGUGUUAUGAAUAUGCUAAUUUGGGCUUCACUUUCCUUUCCUUUCUGUGUCUCUUAUUUCUUCCUCUUUGGGAGUGUUUUGAUGGGUGUAGCAACAAUAAUUAGUAGAAAAGAUGGUAACAAUAUUGCUCAUGAAGAUGAACAAUAUGCAUAUCCAUUAUCCUCAUAUUCAACUAAACCACCAUACAAAAUUCCGAGAGUGAUGAGUGUGUUGUUGCCAUUCAUUUUCUAAUUGCCCAACAGGACAAAAGGUGUUCAAUUUUAGAAAAUAAUUUCACUUCUUUUCAUAAUAUAUCACAAAUCUAACUAUCACAUUAUUUUAGAAAAUAAUUACAAACUCUUCCUCUCAAUUUUGUGCCUUUCAUUUUACUAAUUCUAACUAUAACACUAAUGAUAAUUAUGUGAUUUUAAAAUUUGUUAAAUAAAAAUUCAAAACAAAAUUGCAACUCACCUAACUUGUUAAAUUAAUUAACCAUUAAUAUCUAAAUAUUAAUUGCAUUUAAUUACCAUUACAUACAUUAAUUCUAAAAUCCUUUCUAGAUAUUAAUUACAUUUUAUAAUAACAGUUGUCUUUCCAAAAAAAAAUAAAUUAGCAAUUCGUCAAAAAAAAAAAAAAAAAACACAUACUUCCAAACAACUUUUUUUCAUUUUAAAAUUUAUUGUUCUAAUUAAUGUAUUUUAUUUUGUAUUUGUACUACGUAGCAAAUGUCGUAUUUGUACCCUGUAGAAAAUAGUUUAUGAAAAAAUAUACUUUAAUAAGAACUUAAUGAAAAAUAUAAUUAAAAAUAUCAUUAAAAACGUUUGAUUUAUUGUGUAUAUUAGAAUACUUAAUAUGUCUAUUAAACAAAUAAUUUAUUAGGAUAAUUUGUAUGAUAUUUAUAUAUUCUCUCAAGUUUGUUAAUAUUUAUUAAUAAAUACAUGAAGUUGGCUUUCAUCGUUUUUAUUUAAAAUAGAGAUUGUGAUAAGCUUUGUGAGUUGUAGUAUUUAUUUUCGUGGAAGAUAGAAUUGUGGGUGAGUGCGCAACGAAUUAUGUAUUAAGAAAGCCUUUUGAGGUACUUGUUUGAGAAGUUUGAAGGUUAUUUUGAUGGAGUCUUUGCCGUGAAGCCUAGAUUGAAUUCCUUAUUCACACAUCAAGUGGUUCAGGAGGAGUCUAAACGUUUAUCUUGUAAAAGUCAUAUAAUUCAAGAUAAGUUAUGUGUACUUAUGAUCCUCUUCAAUAUUUAUAAUUGAUCUUUUUCAAUCGGGUUAAAGAUUUUUUAAAUUUAGGUAGGAUUACACUUACUCUCGUAUGUCUUUUCAUACUAUUAUUCAUUUGAACAUUAAACUUAAGAGUGAUUUCUUUUUUAAAUCUUUUCUCAAAACUCAAAUAUUAGAAUAAGGUUGGUUUUGUAACUUAAAUUUAAAUACAAGGGUUAAGAAAUGUAUUUUUCCAUAUUAAUUAUCAUUUAAAAUAUAAAUAAUUUGUAAUUUUUUUCUAUUUAUAAACACUAAUUAAUAAACUUAAUAGAACUCCUUUUGUAAUUAAACAAAAUUAAAGUGCAGAGAAAAACAUAGAGCAGAGUAGAAUGGCAGUUUUUUCAACGCACUGUGUAUUAGUUUUUUGAAGUUUAAAGCUUAAUUAAGACUUUAACGGGCCUCCACAUUUAAUUCUCUUCAACGAAAAAUCACCAAACUUAAGUGUCUUAAAUGAAACUAUAAAAUUUUGAGUAUAACCCCCUCAACCCCCCUCCCUUUAAUACAAGUUUUCUUCAUAUUAAUGAGCAAAAAGUUCAUUAAGAGAAAGAAAAACUCAGUUUUAAAUUUAAUUUUGGACAUAUAAAUUAGAUCCCACACACCAAAACCAGAAAAGAAAAUUUCAAAAUGAUUUCAAACCACAUAGUUUGUAGAUCUCAAACGUUUUCAUUGAGCACCAACUUUCCUCUUCUCAACAACAUCAACUCAUCCUUUUCUUUUACAAAUCUUCUCCUCAAGCCUUUCAUUACUCGUGCGGUAUUUAUGAUGAAUCCACAAUUAUGAUUUUUUUUUCUUUUAAUUAUGAAAUUUAUUAGUAAAACAAACCACAAUUAUGAUUUUUUUUUUCUUCUUUUAAUUAUUUCUGGAACUAAUUUAUUUUUAAAAUUAAUACUUAGCAAUUGAAAAUUACAUCAUCUGAAUUAAAAUGGGAAAAGGAAGAGAAAGUUGAUAUAGAGAAAGACAGCAUCAACCAUAGCAUAGAGGUAAUUAACCUCUUGGAUUAUUAUUUAAAUUAAUUUGUAGUGAUAAUUAGUUCAAUUUUAUUCUUAAAUAUCCUAAACGCCGUCGUUUCUGCAGGAGUUUCUUCUAGGCUCUGAAGAAGAUGAAGCCAUGGUUCCAUCUCAAGAAUUUUGUGACAAAGCCCAUAUUCCCAACACUCAAAAGGUUCCUCCUAAUUACAAACAACUCACCAUUUUUUUCACUUUAAAACCUAUUUAAUAACGUUCAUUUUGUUUUGGGAAUUAUUAAGUACAUGGAUAUGUACAAAAGAUCCAUAGAAGAACCUUCAAAAUUUUGGUCUGAAAUUGCAUCAUCUGAGUUCUAUUGGAAAAAGGAGUGGAAUCACCAUCAUGCCUUCAAUGAAAAUCUUGAUAUUACCAAAGGCAAUAUUAAUAUUGAGGUAAUUAUGAUGUGUGUAAUUAUUCUCACAUUAUUAUUAUGAUUUAAUAACACUGGUUUGUUAUUGAUUAUUGAUUAAAUUUGGACAGUGGUUCAAGGGUGGGAUAACAAAUAUUUGCUACAAUUGCAUAGAUAGAAACAUUGAAGGUGGAUUGGGAGACAAAAUUGCAAUGUAUUGGGAAGGAAAUGAACCUGGUUUUCAUGCUUCUUUAACCUAUACCAAUCUCCUUCACCAAGUUUCCCAGGUAUUUUUUUUUUCUUUUUCUUUUUGUUCAUAUCUAAUGAAAAUGAUAUAUAAACAUAUAUUCAUUUAACUAAUGUUGAUUAGGUUGGUAAUUAUUUGAGAGACAUUGGAGUUAAAAAAGGAGAUACUGUUGUGAUUUACUUGCCUAUGAUUAUGGAACUUCCCAUUGCAAUGUUGGCUUGCGCUCGCAUUGGUGCCAUCCACUCUGUACGUAUAAUAUAUUUGCUGUAUUUUACGUUCAAAAACUACUUCCUACGUACACUUUCAAAACUUUAUAAUUUAAUCCUAGAUACAUCAUCGAUUUUACUUCAUAUUUUAUAUAUAUGUAUAGCAAAAUAUGUAACUAGUGGCUUGAUUAGCAAUCGAGGUCAUUCAAUUUCUACCUUCUAUUAAUGUAUAUUAUAUAAUAGUGUUGCCCUUGCUAAUAAGACUAAGAAUACAUAUGGUGUACGAUAUUAUUAUAAAGGUUGUAUUUGCUGGAUUUUCUUCUGAAUCACUUGCACAAAGAAUAAUUGAUUGCAAACCAAAAGUUUUGAUGACUUGCAAUGCUGCAAAGAGAGGUUCUAAAGCCAUCUUUCUUAAAGACAUUGUUGAUGCUGCUCUCAUUCAAUCAGCCAAUCAUGGCCAUUCUAUUGGUAUAUGUUUAUUUCAAUUUGAUCUACUUAUACAAACAAUUCUUUUCUUAAUACAUUAAAUUAAAAAAUAAUCAUAAGUUUUAAAUUUGAAAAUAGAGCACAAACAAAUGACCCAAUACAUAUAGGUUUAGAAAAUCUAAAAUAAUAUUUUGACAUUUGCUGGGCAGAUUCAUGUUUGGUUUAUGAAAAUAAAUCAACCUUGAAGAGAGAAAGCACUCCAUGGAAAGAAGGAAGAGAUAUAUGGUGGCAGGUUUGUGUAAAUUUUGAAAUUUAUUUCAAAUAAUUAGACUUUGUUUCAUACAGAUUUUAUUAAUUGUUUUUAGGAUGUUAUUCCCAAAUAUUCAAAGAGUUGUAAUGUGGAAUGGGUUGAUGCUGAGGAUCCUCUUUUUUUGCUUUACACAAGUGGGAGUGCUGGAAAACCUAAGGUUUUCUAUCUUUUUUACAUAUAUUUACUAUAUAACACCAAUUAUUACUUUAUAAUUUAAAGUGAAUUUGAAGUAAUAAAAUUAGGAAAUAUAUAUUUUGAUGGGGUGUUAAUUAUUUAAUUUUAUAUGUGAAAAUAGGGUGUAGUUCAUACUACAGGUGGAUAUAUGGUGUAUGUUGGAACCACUUUCAAAUAUGUCUUUGAUUAUAAACCUUCUGAUAUUUAUUGGUGAGUAACCUUAAUUUCUCUUAUUUUACUUUAUGUUUAAAUUUUACUUUCUUCAUUUAAAUUUUAUUUCAUUUUCUCUUAGUUUAUAGACUAAAUUAAGUAAUUUACAAGUUUAAUAAAUAUGAAAAAUUAAUUAUUAUUUUUUUUUUUUGAAGGUCCACGGCUGAUUGUGGUUGGGGUGCAGGACACGGCUACGUAACGUAUGGUCCACUGCUUAAUGCAGCCACGAUUGUUAUUCAUGAAGGGGUAUUUCUUUUACUUUUAGUUAAUAUAACAAUAACCAAAAUGAUCAUAGAAAAGUAUACGAAGAUAGUAUACAUACGUAUGUUUGUAUGUAUAGAGUUAAGAAGUUGGGUGUAAUAAUGAAGGAUGGAAUGGGGGUGUAGGUUGCAAAUUAUCCAAACUCAGGGAGGUGUUGGGAAAUAGUGGAUAAAUACAAAGUCUCCGUUUUCUUCACUGCUCCCACUUUGAUCCGCUCUCUCAUGCGUGAUGGCGAUCAGGUCAUUUUUUCCCUUUUUUUCUUUUCAUUCUAAAAUAGUAUUGCAAAAAGAUGAUGGUAGAAUUUAAAGAGCUUAAAUUUCUAAUAAUGUUAGAUAUAUACAAGUGUUAUUUUAAAGUAGUAAACAAUUUGCAUGGAAUUAAUAAUUAUGGAUGACAGCAGCAUGUUAGGCGUUACUCACGAGCAUCUCUACGGGUGCUUGGAAGUGCCGGCGAGCCCAUCAAUCCCGCAGCUUGGAGGUUUUAAAACAGUUCAACCAUUUCUUUUACUUUCUUUCUUUUUCCGGUUUAAAUCACAUUUUUCAUAAUUGAUAUGAUAUUUCGUACAUCAAUUCAUCCACUCUCAAUUUGUACUAAAUGUGACAUGUAUAUAACAGAUGGUUUUACAAGGUGGUUGGUGACUCUCGAUGUCCUAUUUCAGAUACGUGGUGGCAAACGGAGACCGGUGCUGCCAUGGUAACUUGUUAUGUUGUUGCUCUUGUAAUUGGGUUCCUACUUUAGAAAAGAUAUAUUGUUUGAUUAAUUGGAAUAUUAUUUGGAUUGUGAAUGUAGAUUACUCCAAUUCCAGGGGCAUGGCCACUCAAGCCUGGUUCUGCUACUUUCCCAUUUUUUGGAGUCAAGGUUCUUUCUCCUUAAACCACACCCCUUUUAUCAUUUCUAUUACUUUUGUAAGAUUUUGAAUAUUUUAGAAGAUAUACUCUUAUGAACUAAAACACAAAACAUACCUAAUUUGAAACUACAGCGAUACGGUAGCACUGUAUGUUUUUGGCACAUUUACAUCAAAGUUAAACAUGGAACCAAACCAACUUACGUUACAUGUGGAUGCAGGCAGUAAUAGUGGAUGAAGAGGGAAAGGAAAUAGAAGGAGAAGGCAAUGGGUAUUUAUGUAUAAAAGGGUCAUGGCCAGGAGCAUUGAGGACACUUUAUGGAGAUCGUGAAAGAUAUGAAACCACAUAUUUCAAGCCAUUUCCAGGAUAUUAUUUCACUGGCGAUGGUUGUAUCAGGUCACUUUUUAAUUCCAUGUUUUUCUUUUACCAUUUGAUUUCAUUUAGAUAGUAAUUAUGUAUGUUAAUCUUGGUGUUAUGUUUGAUGUUUAGGGAUAAAGACGGAUACUUCUGGAUUACUGGACGAGUCGACGAUGUUCUCAAUGUUAGGUAUAUAUAUACACAUUGAUGUUGGUUUGACAUUGAAAUAAGUUAGAUGGAUACUUCGAUUAAUUAAUUCCUUAAGUGUUAGAAUUGACUUUACAUGUGUUUUAAAUAUAUUUACACACUUAAAAUGUUAUUCCAAACACACUCGUUCUAAAGUAUUUAAUUUUAUGAUAUUUUGAUUUUAGACAGAAAUAUAGGAUACUUUGAAUUCACAACUUUUGUCUGAUUUUGCAUUUUUUACCUCAACCAAUGUGUUUAGUCCUGAAUUUAUCUUCGAUAUAUAUUCAUAUUUGUAUAUGGUAGAGUAGAUUCAAGUGUUACAUUUUGAAAUGAAUUCAAGCUUUCGUAAAAAUACUUAGAAGUUUUAAAACACAUAAAAUAUGGUCUAAAAACUUAAUAUUGUGCAGUGGACAUCGAAUUGGAACAGCAGAAGUGGAAUCUGCGUUAGUUUCACACCCUCAUUGUGCAGAAGCUGCAGUAAUUGGCAUUGAUCAUGAGGUCACAAAACCAUUUCUAUUUUGUUUCGAAUGUUGACCUAUGCCAUUUUUUUUUAUCUAUUUACUUUGUUGUAACGAAUUAACCAGCAAUGGUUCACUAGACACUCUUAAAAACAGGAACCUUUCUCUUGUGUUCAGGUUAAAGGGCAGAGUAUACGUGCAUUUGUCACGUUAGUCGAGGGAGUUCCUCAAAGUGAAGAGCUCCGAGAAAGCCUAAAACAAACAAUUCGAACACAGGUUAGAGAUCAGUUUCAGGAAUAUGGACUUCAAGAGGAUUGAAAAAGAGUAAUUUAAGAGUGAAAUAUUUUGUUUUUGCAUUUCCAGAUUGGAGCAUUUGCAGCACCUGAUAAAAUACAUUGGGCAAAUGAGUUGCCAAAAACAAGAAGUGGAAAGAUAUUGAGAAGAGUUUUGAGAAAAAUUGCAUCCAAACAGUUGGAUGAGAUUGGAGAUACCUCAACACUUGCAGAUCCUACAGUCCUAGAUCAACUUAUUGCACAAAUUAAUUCUUGAAACCUCAAAGAAUUAAAAAAAAAACUAACAAAAAAGCAAAAACAAAAAGAAUGAAGAAGUAACCUACAAAUAAAAAGCCUUCAAUGCAGUGGCCAACUCCGUUUAUGAAUCAACUUUUUGUUCUUUUGAAAAUUAGUUUGAUCUUGUACUUGGUCAAGGGCUUGCUUGGGAGGGAGAAAGAUAUAUAUCCAAUUGUCACCUACAUGUAAAAUUUUUUUGGCAGAGAAUUUUAUUGGAAUGGCAAGAUGUUUCUACAGUACAGAUCAUUUUAUCACAUUUUCCCUCAACGAAACACCCACUUGAAGUUUUGACCCACAACAAAAAUUAUAGAAUCACAAAAACAAAGAUCAAGAUAGACAAUAGUAUCCAAUGCAGUCAAAAUCUUUCUGAGAUUCAAGAAAGAAAUUUCUGGCUAAGAUUAAAACGACAUCCCUAUGCCUUAGAGAAGUUCAGACAUGUCUCAUAAUCCAAAAAAAUUUACGUGCCUUCAAUUUUUUUAACUAUGAGUGUCUUUGUAAUCCAAUCAUCUAUCUAUCCAUCUAUCUAUAUAUUGUUCUUGAGUUACUCUCUCUCUCUCUCUCUAUCUAUCUAUCUAUAUAUGGUUCUCAAGUUACUUUUCCACAGCCAUAGCAUCUCAAAAAAGCAUGUUUGAUAAAUUCAUAUUUAAUUAAUAGUUUAAACAAGACUUGAUUUAAAAAUGUUCUACUAAGUGAAGAAAUUGAACAAUCAGGAUAUUUGCUACAAUUUAAUUAAUAGGUUCUCAAACUUAUUCAUUAUAAGAAUGUAAAUAAAGAUACAUCCCUAAUAAAAUAAUCAUAACAAUCAUACCAGGAUAGACAAAAUGGAAGCUGAUGGUUUGAGCUAAAGCUUGGACUUGGGAAUUUGAGGUUCUCUAGACCAUGAAGGAGGGACGACUCUGUAAUCUUGAGUUGGCUCUUCAGUCUUUACUUUUUCCUUUUCCAUUUCCUUUUCUUCUUCAUCUUCGUCUAAGACAUCUUUCGAGAAUGCAUUUGGGUUUGCUUUUAUGCAGCUCUGCAAAGCCACAAAAGGAUGCACACAGUCUGAUCCCUUUGGAAAACAUCACAAUUCAACUGUUAGUAUGUACCACAGGUUUUGCAAAGAUUAUUUUCUCAAAAAAAAAAUAAAGAACCUCAUAAGUCAUAAAUUAACAGUUGUUUCAAAUUUACAAAUUUUGCUUAUUUUUUUUCUUUUGAGUUCACCACAACAUGUAGAGAUGUGAGGAUUCAAACAUUAUCGAGGAUCUGUGCUUUAAACCAAUUGGGCUAUACUCAAACUUCAUUCUUCUAGUAAAAAACCAAAAAAAUCAGAUGCUAUAAAUGUUAGUAAUUGAAUUUUUCAGUAAAAUAUGUAAUGGGAAAUCUAACAGGUAUAAUUAGUUGCAGUGUUAAACAAGAUUAGUUAUAGCCCUUAAUUAUACUUUUCAACCAAAAAAGCCUAAAUAUGUUGCACUGUUUCAUGUUUUCAACUGAUGCAUCUAUUAAAUUUCUAUAUUACAGAACUUAUAUACCAUGCCACUCACAAAUAAUUAGCUAUGUUGAGUUCCUGUUCUCUCACUGAUGUCAAAGACAUUUGGUAAGUUCCAACAAAUCAUAAUGAAAUUAAUAACUAUACAGAGACCAAUUGACUACAAUUACAGGGUAAGGAUUGAAAAAUAUAAUUUAACCAAAAAGCUUUCCCAUAAAUUCUUAUUUUUCCUUCAAAAGCUACAUAAAAUGUGGUGGUUCCUUCUUUUUCCUUACCUUUUCCUCUGCAGUACUCUUGAAGAAGCAGAGAAAAGCAUCAGAAAACUGGAUCCCGCAUGAACCUUUACGCAAGUCAGCUAUGCAGGGGCACUCCAACGCUCUGUUAGCUUUGGCAUCAAGAGACUGAAAGAAGCAUGGGUCAACUUCUUUGUUUCUACCCAAUUUCAAAAGGAAGCUUAUAUCUUUAAAGUGGACAAACCUCAUUUGUUUCAUUACCAUAAGCUUCAGCUUCUGCAAGAAUGAAAAUAUUGGUUAUAUUUAUGUCCUCAAAUCUAACACUAAAGAGAACUAGAACAACAAGUGCAAAUAAUAUUUCAAUUUAUGUGUGCAAAGAAUUGUUAAAGCACGCUAGAAAAAUAAUACCGUUCUGUUCUCUGAUUAAAUGGCUGCAUUAUUCAGUGUUUUCUAUUAUCUUUUGUGUUGCCAUCUUAGUAUUUCAUACGUGUGGUAGUUUGUUGCUUUUCUGUUCAGAGGUAUUUACAGUUUCACAUCAUAUGUAAUCUGUGAUAUACUCCUUAACUGAAGAAGAUCUCAAGACCUCAAUGGUUAGUCUGUAGAAAACCUCAGUUUUAUGUUGGUAUGCAGCCAACAAUGGCUAGUGUUCGCUCAAAUAAAUUCCCUGUCCAUGAAGAACUAUAGAAUAACUACAGUCAGAAGCAUGGUGCAGCGUGAAACAAGUAAUGUCUGGUGGUCUGGUGGUCUUCAUAAUAAAGUAAUGUCUGGAUGCCCUCCUAUAAGUAGUCUGGUGGUCUUCAUAAUAAAGUAAUGUCUCCAAAAUCAGAUCAAUACAUCCCAUAAUGGCAAAAGUUGCCUCCAAUUCUAAGACACUACAGACUUGAAACCUGAAGGACACCUCUGAGGAGCAAGAAAAUGACAGAUGAUCAUUGUGUUUAUCCCCCUCACACACUAAUGGCAACCAACAGACAGACCCACAAAAUUAACUAAUUCAAAAUAUACAAUACUGACUCCUAAAAAGAACAGCAUCCAAUUAACUUCUUCAGGGGGUGGUUUUACAAUUAAGUGACAGCUGAAAUUGUUUUCCAAGCCAUAGGAUAUGAAACAUAAGGCGCCAGAUGCAUAGAGUCCUCUUGGCAUCCAAUUAAAUAACAGCUGAUAUUGUUUUUCAAGUCAUAGGAUGCAAAAAUAAGGCGCCAGAUGCAUGAACUCCUUGCUUGGCAUCCUAUCUCAAGUGCUGAAGAAGACAAAUGCUUCAAUAAAGACCAUGGAGUUUUCAAGUCAAGGCGACUAAAAGAUGGUUGAUUAUCCUUACUCAGUUAAGACUAAAUUAAUGGAACCUGUCCGUGGCUAAAAAUCUAGUUCCAAUGAGGAUUUUCUAUUGCCAAGUCUGUGUUGGUCAGAUGACAAAUACACACUUGUAGCCAUAUUCAGAAUAAGCUUGCAAAAACAGGCUAAAAUUUCUCUUCUUGUACUCACAAACUUUUGGUAGCUUUAUGUUUUGUAUCAUCUUUUGUAAUUUGGACAUUAGUCUCAUUUCCUUAUUUCAAUGAAAAAUCAUGUUUUUGUUGGGCCUUUAUCCUUUUUUUAGGUUCAUUAGGGUUUUUAUUGGUUGGAACUUCCAGUUAUCUUGGUAGGGAUUUGAUAUCUUUAUUUCCGUCUCAGCAAAUAAUUUUUUUUCCACAGGGGAUCGUAAUGUCUUUCUAUGGGAUUGCCGGUCUUUUUUCCAAAAAACCCGAAGAUUGACCAGCUGCACUUAUUGGAGGUAGCAUGAUUAUUGGUCAUAUUCAUAACAAUAUUGCGGAAGGAGGAUUACAAAAUCAAACCUUCAAACCAAAUACUCUUUUCUUUCUCAUCUGGUCAGAAUAGACAUAACAAGCAAGGUUAACUUAGAGGAAACAAAAGCAAGAAGUAUGGUUGAGAGGGAGGAAACCAAGAUCAAGAAACCAUGAGCGUACACUGCAUGAGGCACACAUUUGCUCGACGAUAACAGCUCCUUUGCUCCAAUUGCCCCAUCUUACAGUGAAAGAUCCAAUAUUGUAUCAUUUUGUAAAGCUUGCCAAUUUGAUAUUUUCAUCAAUUUCUCUUCCCCAAUUCAAUUUCUAAUCAGAUAAACCAUUUGGUAUUUUACAUUGAGAUCUAUUGAAGCUUUCACUUGUUCAUUGUAACUGCAGCUCUUUUUAUUUAUUUAUUUUCAUUUGUCCUUGAAAGAGAACUAAGAGGCUACACUUCCCUACAAACAAUUCAAACCUCUUACUGAAACCAAACUUGAAACAAGAAUCCUAGCCCUUCAACUUGGUGGUAGACAAGAGUUGCCACUGCUUUAAUUUGCUGAACAGUGGAAGAAUAAGAAAUCCAAAAAGUUUAUCUCAUCUCUUCUAUCCCACUUUUAAAAGGAGAGCUGGGAUAAAGCAUCACCAUCUUGUUGAAACUGGAUCGAUUCUCCUAGCUCAAGCCCAUGUGCAACAUUAAUUGGCAGAGAAUUUCACAAUUUAUUUGAUAAAUAGGCUCCUCACACCAGUUAUUAAGGCCAAACUCCUUUUUAACUUUUGCACAACUCUCUUCCCAAUUCUUAUUUUCUGAAAACCUUUGCUAAAGUAACCUUUACCUCAAACACAAUCAAUCAACCAAGUUCCAAUAUCGAACUUCCGGGUAUGUCUUUGUAGAAACUUACCAAAACCCGUUCUUCUAAUUCUAUCCUUUCGCUGCUCCCCUUUCCAAUUCGAAUGACAAUAACUAACCCACUUCCAAGAACCCUUCUUCUUCUUCAGCAACGAUCCUUACUCCAUAGUCACCCAUGCAGUCAAUUGCUUAUAACCUUGCAAAGUAUCAUAGGUCCUAGAACCUCAAUAAACAAUGCCGUAAAUGAUGAAUAUAAUCCCUUCACCGAAGCAGGCCAUACUGCAGACUAAUUUCUAUCGUUGCCCAAACAUGUAAUGAAGAAUAAAAACAGAUACUACAAACAGAAAUUAAAUUUAACAAAAUUCACAAUAGUCCUUUAACUCUCUUAGCACCCGAACUUUCAUUUUCUUGAGCAUGAAUCAUUCUUAUAUGAAGAGGAGCGCUUCAUUCAGUAUCAGAAACAUUUUUAGAGACACGAAGAAAUAAGACAGAAUGCGACAAACCUGCAAUUAGAGACUCCAUGGAUGGAGGACCGGAGACGGGACUUGCAGAUUGAUUCAGGCUUGGUGGUAGAUCGUUCGGAGGCGAAACGGCGGCGACGCUUUCAGCUUGACCCAUCCUUCAAAGAACUCAAAUUGGAAUCGGUAUAAAAGUCGGCGGUUGUUGAGAUUGAAGGUUUGAACUUUGCAGAGUGGACUCAACAAAAGGGAUCUUUUUAUCUCUUUUAUUUUAUUUUUAUUGUGUUUAAUUAGUAAAUAUUUACUAUCAAAUUUAGUAGUUAAUAAAUAUGUACUAAAAAUAAAUUUAUUACUUGAUUUAUAUUGUAAAUGAAAUGUGAUGAAUAUUCUGUAUACAACAAAGUUUAAAUACAUAACUUUACUGCUAUAACAAUUGUGAAUUCUAAUUUUUUAUUUAGUGCAAGAGAAGUGAGCUCUUUUCACAUUUUGAAAAUGAAAUUUAGGCCAAAAAAGAAUGAAAUGGUUUGUAUUUUACUUAUCCAAUGAAAUGUUACGUAUCAUACGUAUCAUUUUGUAAUUUUGUAAUGGUGAUGUUAUGAUAUAGGUAAGAGGUAAGGAGUUUGCUUAUGUUCUCAUUUCGUGGAUAUUUCAUUAUGGCUCUAAGUGUAUGACUCAUUUUGGUGAUGAACUAUCUUAUUACAUGUUGAAAACUUGUUGUAUUGAUAGUUCACUUAUGCGCUUUAAAACAAUAACAAUAAUGAUGUAUAAUGUGCAUACACGUUUUUCUCUUUAACAACCAAGUGCAAGCUUUAAGAAAUGUUUCAUGGGUAAACUAGGCUCGAACGCAGAGACUUAGUGACUUAUCAAAUUGAAUGUCUAGUUCUAUCUACCAUAUUGUCAACUAUUGACUAUUAUGUGUCAUGUCACCAACAAUUUAGUACCAUUAAUCACCAUAUCCGUUGUUAAUGAUAUUCUAUGAUACAUUCUUGGUAAAAACUUCAACGAGCACAACUGCAAAAUUGGAGAAGGACGAGAAAGGUAAAAACAUAGAUAUUAAAGUUUAUAAAGGUAUGGUUGAAUCUUUGCUUUACUUAACUGCAAGUAGACCUGAUAUCAUGUUUAGUGUGUGUGCAUGUGUGCUCAAUUUCAAGCACGUCAUAAAGAAUCACACUUACAUGUGAAAAGAAUUUUUAAAUAUUUGCUUGAGAUUGCCAACUUAGGUUUACGGUAUCCUAAGAAUGCAUCUCUAAAAUCUUAUUGCUUAUUAUGAUACUGAUUUUGCUGGUAGUUUAACUUAUAGAAAGAGCACUAGUGGAACUUAUCAUUUCUCUAGGAAGCUCACUAGUAUGAUGGUAUAAUAAAAGAACAAAAUUAUGUUCCUUUAUUUACUACUGGGAUCAAUUAAUACAUUGUUGCCGCAAGCUAUUGUUCUCAAGUUUCAUAGAUACAACAAACACAUAACGAGAUUUUGGUUUAAAUUUUGAACAAGUGUGCCUAUCUUUUGUGAUAACAUCAGUUCAAUAAAUUUAACCAAAAAUCCUAUUCAACACUCUAAGACAAAAGUACAUAUAUAUAUAUUAGACAAAUUUCUAAUUAAUUAUAUUCCUACAGAAAAUCAAGUAGCAGGUAUUCUCACCAGAAGCAUUUUGUAAGAAGAGACUUGCACUUGGGAUCAUUUGCAUUUGAUUGCUUAACUGUGGUUGAUAGGAGAAACAUUUUUGCAUUUUAAAGUAUUAUUCAAUUAAGGGAGAGCAUUGAAAUUUAUUUACUAAAUUUUUGUGUGUGCAUGCAUGAGUUUAGAAAUUAACGGGAGCUAAAACUUACUUAUUACACGUUUUACAUUAUAACAAAAAGGGAAAAAUAUGUUUGAGGUUAUAGAUGUGAGAUCUUGAUCGCGUUCUGAACUACGUGAUAAGAUUGCACGACAAGAAUUAGUUGUGUGAUAAGACUGUGUGAGAUGAAAACUUACAAAAUUAUCUGCAGAGUGAAGGGUUAUUUUGAGGCUUGUAUAUUUUCAGUUUGAAGAAACUUUUUAUACUUUUCUUAAAUUUACUUUGUUAUCAAAUAUCAAUGAAGUAUUGUUAUUUCAAAAUGAAUUCUUUUUUUUUUUGCAUUAAGUUUGAUGUGUUUGUGUUUAUUCUACUUACUAGGCGUUCUGCAUGCUAUUCCUCAGAGAGAUUCGUGUUAAAUGUCUAGGCAGUCAUGCUUCCACAUGGUCGGAUGAAGAGAUCUUGAGACGAGGUGUGACAUAGGAGUUAUUGAAUAGUUUAUCAUCAUAAAAAAGGGGGAGAUUGUUAGCUUUAGAGCUUCAAUCAAACAAAAGUAUUUUGAUGAUAACAAACUCAAGUAGUGGCACUAAUGAUUUUUAUUGUUUGCAAGUACUUAUUUUGUAGAGUUCAAGAAAGCAAUUUCAAUGAGAUUGAAAAUUAAUUUUGAUGUGGUGGAUGACAUGACAAUGACGUGGCAAACAUGGAUCACUCAUAAGAUGACAUGUGGCAGACUUGGAAGAGAGAUGAUGGACAAUGGAUAAUGGACAAAUCGAACACUAUCACUAUUUAUCCAAAAUAGAAGACUUAUUGAUUCUAAUUUUCACAAUAAAACACUAUUUUCAUCUUUGAUAAACAACCCUAGACUAAUUCACACUUUCUCUACCUACAAAAUAAUCUAUCUCUCAUCCUUUGAUGAAGUAAAAAAGAUGUCUAUCUAGAUAGAAAAUGAUACAACACUAUACUAUUAUUGUCUAUUAUAAUAACAUACUAUUAUAAUAUUAGGACUAUUAUAAGUCACUCUUUGCUCCAAAAACGUACGCCUCCUAAAUAUUUGACUUAAGUUUUAAGUUUUCUCUCCCUAAAUGAUAAGCCGUUAAGGCCAACUAAGGAAAGAUGAGACUCGUUGUUGUGCGAGAAAGCUAAGUAAAACAUUUAAGUUUAAUUGUUAUAGUUUCGUAUGUAAAGUGAAAUUUAUAGAAGUGUUGAUUCAAAGAUAAUAAGAAAGGAUGUUUGAUUUUAUUUCCACUGUGUGGUGAUUUCUAAAGGUCAAGUUAAGAUGUGUCAAGUGCGGCAGAACAUGACAUCAAGCUUCCAAACGAAUAGUGAUCACUGGACAAUCUUGUAGCCCAAAAUAAAACAACAAGUUUGUAUCAAUUUAAUUUCAGCAAUCAAAUUGUACUAUCUUGUCACCGUUGUCCAUAUGAAUUAGUUUUUGUGUGAUAUCAUGUUGUAAUGACAUAAUAAAACAAUUUUAGAGUUCCAUUCUUUCUGAUUAUAUAUAUAUAACAAAGUUAAAGGAAAUUAUAAAAUUAUUGAAUAAUCAUAUCAUUUGAGGAAAUAUUUCGUAUCACAAAUUCAAUUUUUAAGCUAAAGUGCUUCAUAGUUGGAAAGAGAAUUGUGUUUCUGAAGUUGACUCAACAAUCAUAGAUAUAUAAAGAAAAAACUGUGCUUUUGUCAGUAAUAAUGACAUCAUGAUUUUUAUUGACUUUCAUAUUGAUUCAAUACAUUAAAAUUUUGUAAUUUAUAAAAGUAUCAUUAUCUUAAAGGUAACCCAAAAGUGAUCCAAAGAAAUUAAUGCAUGUAAUUAACAAUUAACCAUAAAUUUUUGUUAAUGAAUUGUAGUGAUUACAAUGAUAUCAGUGCAUACUAAUAAAAUAAAAUUGAAAAUAUUGGGUCCAAGUUUUUUCCUAUUCAAAAUGGCAUUUUAGUUGUAGAUCCAAGAAAAGUAUAUGCAUUUCCAACAAUAAAGAGAAAAUCUGGGAAAAUGUGAAAUAAUUCAAAGAAAUCAAUGGCCAAAUAUAUAUAUAUAUGUAUAUAUAUUUCCGUACUAAUCAAAAGUGUGAGACCGAAUUUUUUCAUUCGUUGAGGUUUUAGUUUUGUAGAAAUUUGAUGAAAAUCAAUUUAUUCUUUUAAAAAAUUAUAAAUAUAAAAAUAAAAAACAAUAAAUCUAUAUUAAUAAAUAAACAUGAAAUUGAUUGACAAGUUUUCUUGUGGUUUUUUCUCUAAAGAUUUUUUUUUUUUUUUUUUUUUUUAAUUUAGUCAAAAACUGGUUAAGUUAUUGUAUUUGUUAGGAGCAUUUUCUAAGAUAGCAAAAUAAAUUAAAAUAUUUACAAAUUAUAACAAAAUUUUGAAUUCUUUCACCAUAGCAUAUGAAUGAGUAUGAUAGAACUUAUUCUCAGUUGUAAAUAUUUUCUAAAAUCUACUAUUUUAAAAUUUUUUCUAUUUUUAUCCUGAAUUUUUGUUACUUAAAUACUUAUUUUAAUUUAUGUAAUUUAAAAAUUAACUAUUUUGGUCAUUUGGAAAAUAAAAUGUAAAUGAAAAUUAAAGGCAAAAUACUUUUGUUUUCUAGUUAAAAGUUGAUGACUAAAGGGAACAUUCCGUAAUUACAUAGUAAAAAUGAAUAGAGAACAAAAAAAUAAAAAAGUGUUUAGCCAUACAUUUUCAAAUAGAUAAAUUGUCUGAAGCAACUCCAUUGUCUAGAUUAAAUUAAAAUUUUCAAAUGAAUAGCAAACAAAUUGAAACAAAGUAUAUCAAACAUGAAACAAAACUUGCCUAUAUAACUGCACCAAAUUCAUACUUUGAUGGAAACAAAAUGUCUAAUCCUUGGUCGUAAAAUAGUGCAAUUUAUUGACAUAAAUUUGUAACAUCAAAUUUGUGAUAUAUUGUAAAAAUCAAUAAACACAUUAAUAAUAUUAAGAAGAAAAACAACUCUAUAAUUAUCAACAAGAAUUUAAAUAAACUAACAAUUUCGAGUAUACUCACCACCAAAUUUGUAGUUGGAAUUCUCUUAUUUCUAAUGAUGGUAGGAGAUAAAUUUCUAAUUAGUGUAAGAGAUAAAUGGUCUUUUUGAAUCGGACGUUUGUUUUACUUAAAAUAAAUAAAAAAAUUAAAUAAAAUUUAAAAAUGAAAAAUAAAAAUAAAAUUCUAUUCUUUGAUUGUACUCCGAGAAAUGGAGCAGAGGAUUCGAGGAGGAAGAAGAAGAAGAAUGUGAGGUUGAACUGCGGAGGAAUAUUGAAUGCGAACAGGUUACGAAUCAUCUCUCUCAAUCCAAUCCAUUUCUUGAAUUUGCGAUUCCUCCUUCUAUACAGUUGUUUCGAAUUACACAAAUUGGACCAAUAAUGUCUGGAAUACAAGAGAUGGUGGCCAAGAAAGUUAAGGUCACCAUGAUUGAGAGCUUGAUAAAGAACCAACCAAACACAUUCAGAUCCAUUUUUCAGCGUAAGAAAUCCAAGAAUGAAGAAGAUUCAUCCCCUUCCGGUUCUCCUAAAUCCAUCCCUCAACUCUCUCCCUUCGCUAAUUCUGUUGUCGCUCGCUGUUCCAAGUAUUUCUCCUCUCCUUUUCUCAUGAUCUUCAUUUUUCUUUUUUUUGUUUUCCUCGAAUGCUUUCUUCUUCUUUUAUCAUGUAUAUUUUUGGUUGCAUACGAAUUGCCAUUUCUUCUUCUUCUUCUUUUUUUUACUUCAAACUCUGAUGCGUAUUUGUGAUUUAAAGUGGGAUGAUUAGCUGUUGAUUCUGUGUAAAUCACUGAGUCUCUAGUACUGCAGAAGAACUUAUGUAUCCACAAUCAAUCACUUCACCUCAUGCUCCAUCUUCAUUUACUGUGGCAUUAUUGCACAGAAUCUAGUUUCUUUGCCUUUUGAAAUUUAUAUUGCAGUCGGUUAUAUGCUUUGUUUAUUUUGUUUGUUUUUUGUGUGGCUAAUGAUGAUUUAUGCCUUAAAUAAUUAGGUUAAUCUGCUUUGUUUUAGAGCAACAAAAAAGAGUUUAUCUUUCCUUCAUAAAUAGAGGAUUUCACAAAUUUUAGUGUCUGUAACGAUAUGUUGCAUAUGUCAUAUGGAAGACAUAAUUUUGAUUUGGCAUUUGUAAUGCAAUCCUUAGAACUGAACGUUUGCUUCGGUUUUUAUGUUAUUGUUAUUUCAUGCAUCUUAAGGUUAAGGCAGACACAUUUUUAUUAUGCAGGAUUCUUCAAAUGCCCACUGAAGAAAUGCAACAACUUUUUGAUUCAGAGUUACCUGGAAUUAAUAAGGAACCUGAAACUUAUUCUAGAAGUUUGUUGGAAUUUAUCUCAUACCAAACACUUUAUUCUAUGAGUAGACGUCCAGAUUAUUUAAGUGACAAGGAAUUUCGUCGAUUGGCUUAUGACAUGAUGCUUGCUUGGGAGUGCCCUGGUAGUGAAAGCGAACCACUACCGCAAGUGAGACAGUCUACCAUUAUACUCCAUUGAUAUUUAGUAAGAUAGAGUGAUAUUAUCACUUAAAUGCAUCUUUCUCUUUUCUCAUGAGGGUAGGGGUGGGGGUUGGGUUGGGUUGUGGAGGGGUGGAAUUCCGAUAUUAUAGGCCUCAUUUGAUAACCACUUUGUCUGUAGUUUUCUGUUUUUAAAAUUAAGCUUGCUUACUCACAAUUUUUGGUAAGCAUUUUCUCUUCCUUAAACACAUUUAAAUUCUAAGCCAAAGUUUGAAAACAAAAUCAAAUUUUAAAACAUUACAUGUUUUAUUUUUCAAAAUUUGGCAUGCUUUUCUAAAAGGUAGGCGUAAUAGAGCAAGAAAACUAUAGGUAGAAGUAGUGUUUACAAGCUUAACUUUUAAAAUCAGAAAAUUAAUAACUAGAUGGUUAUCAAUUAGGGUCUUAGCUUUUAGGUUUUUAUUGUUCAUUUACAAAGAUAGUAGGAAAAGAGGGCAAGAAGGAAUUGAUUGUGUUUCUAAAUCCUCUUUCCAACUGUAGGAAACUGCUUCUUGCAGUAAUGAGGAAGUAGAGGAUAAGGAAGAGUGGUCACUGUUUUAUUCAAAUUCUACAAACAUGGCUGUUCAGGUUAAUAAUUUUCUGGUUUUCAUAUCUGCAACUUGAUAGGCACAUUAUGUUAUCAUUAUGUCUAGGAUGGGUACUUCUAAAGCCUUUUUAUUUUUUAACCAGCAUUGACUAACCUUUUGAAGUACUGGUUUUUAAAGCUUUUAUAUUAUGGUGAUCAGUUUGAUGACAAGAAAACUGUUGGACCAGAAGCUUUUGCACGGAUAGCUCCUGCUUGCAUUGCUCUAGCAGAUAUCAUAACUGUUCACAAUCUUUUUGAUUCACUGACAAGUUCAUCAGGUCAUCGACUCCAUUUUCUUGUCUUCGACAAAUAUAUAAGAAGUCUUGAUAAGUAAGAACUUGCUUCAUUAGUGUUGACAAUUGUGUGAUAUUUAUUAAAUGUGAUUGAAAUUGUUCCUCCAACUUUUAUAUGUUUAAUAUGGAAGCUGUUACAUGUGUGCUUUACAGUUUUUGUUCUACUCAAACCAGAAAAUGAAAUGUUUAUCAAAAUGACACCUUAACUUUCUGGAUCAUGUAUUUUUCAAGUUUGUUCUUCCAAGAUUGGUCUUUUAAUUUUUAAUGAAAGUGGAUUUUGAUUUAGUUUUGGAUUCAUUUUUCUUAUUUAAUGUGGGAUGCCUUUGUCUCACAUUGGCUAGAACAAGACGCCAAUGUGUUACUUAGUGGCUUGGCUCUCCCACUCUAAUAGCUGGCUUUUGAGGUGUGGUUCUCCAAGGUGUUAAGUAUCUAAGAAUUUAUUUUAAAAAUCAGUGGAUAUCAAAUGGUCAAUGAAGAAGUCUAAAUAUGGGACCCAUCUGUUUUUGGAUCAUGGGCUUUUCUAUUCCAGAGUUGAUUCGUUUAUGGACUAGCAUCACUAUUGGAGAAAACUUAUUACGAUGUCUGUUUGCAGGGUUAUUAAGGCAACUAAAAAUGCAUUGCACCCCUCAACUGGAAAUCUUCAUCUUUCUGAAGGAGAAAUUGCCCUUGAAGUUGAUGGUACAGUACCUACUCAACCAGUUCUUCAGCAUAUUGGCAUUUCUGCAUGGCCUGGUGAGUCUUGUUCCUACAGAUGUAAUCCAAGAUUGAGUGAUUACCUCAGUUUAGAUUGUAAAGAUUGAAAUUUAAGGCCCAAGUUUUCUUCUUUCGAUUGUAGUUUUUCAACCAUUAAAAUUUAAGCUUCCUUCCUUUUCUGGUCAAAUAUAGAUGACUAAAACACAAUGAGUUAUAAAUGUUUUAUUGACUAAGAACGGGGAUAUUUUUCCCUCUUUGGAGAUUUCAAAUAGGUUGUAGAUUAUGAGCUUCUUUUAUGGAUUAUGGAUUUUAAAGUUGUGUAGGAAAUGUGUUCUUUCUUAUUUGGUUAGUAACAGAUAAAGUUGGUGUUUUCAUUGGAGGAGAAAAGUGAUAAGUCGUUGUUUUACUUCCAUAUUUUAUUAAUAAGAUUGCAGUGAAAACCAUGGAAUCAAGUGCAGUGGUUAGAACAAUCAUUGUUUGAUAUCCUCUAUUCUCCAUUCAACCUUAGUUGCAGAAAAAAGUGAAUGAGUUUGUUUUAAAAGUUGAAAUUUUCAUUUUGUCUAAUGAAUCUUUCAUUCGAAAAUGAAAGUUCAGUUUGAAUUAAAAUAGUCAGAAAUGAUAACAGUAAAGAGAGUACUUUCUCUAAAAGGAAUGAGAAGGUGCAUUCUGAUUCUGUUGGAGUAAAGAAGAGAGGUUGAUUUGUCUUUUAAGAUGGCUAGGGAGUUCCAAUAGAAUCUUGAAGGUGAACCGAUCAAAUAGUAGUGGAAGAUAUGAAGACCAAGGUGUCACAGUAAAGUGAAAGGUAUCAAUCUUUAUUGAAGAAGAAAAGGAUCGACAAGUACAAAUCCUAGAGUACAAUCAUAGACGAUUGUCUCUAACCUCCUAUCUCUCACUCUUGAGAAGAUAUCAAAGACUAACUCCCCCUUAACAAUGACUCAGAGUAUAUAUACUGCUCUUAACCGUGGUCCCCACUCUUUACCAUCUCUUUCCAAAUUACCCUUAUCCCUUCUCCUAUAUUGAUGCACAAUUGGUGGCCUAGCAUAAAGCUCUUCAAUUGGGCCAAAAACUUUGGCUGGUCCAUAACUCACACUAAAAUUUCUCCUAAAACUACUCGAAGUUAGGCUGAAAACAUCAGAAAACCAUCAAUGAGAGCCAUUGCUCAGUUGUAACUCCACUGACAUAACGAAAUCCCCCUGGGGAAAAAUCUGAUCUUUUGCCUGAGAAAGAUGCUUUUGGAUAUCUGUCUCUACAAUAGGAGUCUGAAAGGAUAAACUUAGAAGGGUUGUGUGAUGUAGUAUUCACUUGAUUGUUCUGAGGUGUAAUAUUGCUUACGUUUGAUUGAUCUGGUAUGCAGGGAGGUUGACACUGACCAGUCAUGCCUUGUACUUUGAGUCAUUGGGCGUUGGUUUGUAUGACAAGGCUGUUAGAUAUGAUCUGGCAGCCGAUACAAAGCAGAGAAUAAAACCUGAACUUACAGGACCGUUGGGUGCUCGUCUCUUCGAUAAAGCUGUUAUGUACAAGUCAACAUCUGUGUAUGUUAUCUCUUGAAUGAUAAUAAGUAUAUGUAUAUAUAUUUAUAAACUUUCAUCCCUGGAUUUUAUUAUUUGUUUUGCCUUCCUUUGAGGGUAUUUUUCUAUGAAUUUACUUUGUGGUGAAACUCUUUAAUGAUCCUUUACAGGAUAGAUCCUGUGUUUUUAGAGUUUCCUGAAUUCAAAGGCAGUUCUCGGCGGGAUUAUUGGCUAGAUAUCUGUCUUGAGGUCCUGCGAGCGCACAAGUUUAUCAGGAAACACAAUCUUAGUGAAAUUCAGAAAUCAGAAGUACUUGCAAGGGCAGUUUUUGGAAUUUUCAGAAUUCGUGCAAUUAGAGAAGCUUUUCAUGUUUUCUCAUCGCAUUACAGAACAUUACUCACUUUUAAUCUGGCAGAAAGUCUUCCUGGGGGAGAUUCAAUUUUGGAAACUCUCUUGGAUCGAUUGCUGUUAAUAAAUGGUAUGCAACGUGAUGCUUCUGGGAGCCCACCUGCCAAGCAACAACGACAAUCGUCUCCAAAUUUUCUUCUAGCACUAAGUCAACUUGGAUUCACCUUACAGAAAGAGAUAGGUUAUGAAGGUGAUGCAGUUUUAAUUGGAGAUGUUUGGGUGGGUGAGAGAAAUCCCUUGGAGAUUGUGGUGAGACAAUCCAUAUCAGAUUCAGGCAGGGCUGAAGCUGCACAAGCUACUGUUGACCAAGUGAAAGUGGAGGGUAUUGAUACAAAUCUUGCAGUAAUGAAGGUAAAAGAUUGAGUUUCUUGAGAAAGUACUCCUUUUAUGAGAUACUUGGAAGAUAUACAAGCAGCCUAGUCAAAACUUAGUACUAAUUAACUCACGGAUCUGUAUAUCUUCUUGACCAGUAACUGUUAUCAUGAAUGGCAUGCUUCACUGUCUUUUCUUCUAUCUUUUUACAACUUGAGGAAAUCUGAAAAAUUGAAUUCCCAUUUCUCUCUUAUCCAAAAAAACCCACAUUCUUGGUGAGUGAACCAAAUCGAUAAGUCUAAUACCGGAUAGAUAGUAAGUUUUUACUUGCUUGUUGUGGAUUUUUUGAGAGAGGAAGUCUUUUGGAGCUGAGCCUUUCUCUCUCUGUCCAGGAACUGUUGUUUCCGUUUCUGGAAUUGGCUAGACGUAUUCAGAUUUUGGCCUCAUGGGAAGACAAUUUCAAAUCUACAGUUUUUCUACUGCUGUUCUGCUUUGCUAUUAUAAGGUAAGUAGCUACUUAUUAUCUGGACUCUGGAGCUUGCAUGUUUGGAUCAAAAUUGAGCAUUUAUCCUGGUCCUUAUUAACUCACAAAAACUAUGUUCCAAAACAAAGUUUUUAAGUCGUAUAAAUAGUAUUUUAUGCUGAACUUACAGUUUUUACUUUUACCUAUUAUUUUAAGUCUGUGAGUUCAUAUUCUGUCAAAAAACUUUUACGUCGAUAUAAUUUCAGCACUUUCGAGCAUGAGUGAUAAUGGAAGUAUGAAUUAGUACGAUAAUAGUUUGUCGGGCACAUAAUUAUAAAUCUUUAUCAAUGCUGGUCUCUUAUCCACACAAAAGGGUAAUUGAAAAUUUCAAAUAACUUGGAUUUAAAACACCAAGAAGCAACAGCAAGCAAAACAAAAUCCCGAAGGUCGGAAGAGAAUCCUUGUUCGGAGUUCAAGAUUCUGCCAUUGUGGUAUUGAUUCUGAACCCCCUUUUCAUUUCAACUAUGAAAAGUUAUGUUCCAAUCCUGAAACUGCCUUUUUUUCCCUAACAUGUGACCUCCAGUGAAUUUAUGUGGGGAGAGGAUAUGCAGUUGAAAAAUGUCCUGGAGCUUCUUGUACCAAUGGCUGUCCAUAAAGUGACAAUAAAAAAAGGGAUAGUUUGCCGUUUGCAAACAUUUUUAGCUUUUGCAUAGAAUGCACCAAUUGGGGUUUAGUACAUUGUUGGGCUUCCUCUUCAGAGUAUUAUCAUUUUUGUUCAGGGCCCCCAAAUUCUUUUAAUAAGCAAAGCAAUGAAAAUUGCACUGUAUGUGAAGUUAACUUGUAAAGUGUAAUUAAUGGAAAUAUUACUUUUCUGAGAGUAGAUAAGAUGUUCAAAAUGGUUCAGCAACGUUACUUAUUUUAGUAUUUUGGCUAAAUGAUAAGCUUCUAUUGUAUGGCUAAUUAAUGUUUAUAAAAUUUAUUUCUUCGUUUAGCUAUGGCUGCGUUCUGGUUUAACUUAUGAUUAUACUCUAAACUACAUUCCAUUUGUCAAAAUUUUAAUGCCAAGUGAUAUUGGCUAGAGAUGACUUGAUUUUGUAUGGAAAUGCAGGAAUUGGAUAAGGUUUAUUUUGCCUUGCGUUCUAGUAUUCCUUGCGGUUGUUAUGCUCUUCCGCAGGAAGUUUGGCAAAAGCAAGCCAUUAGAACCUUUCAGGAUCACAUCACCCCCUAAUCGAAAUGCUGUGGAACAGCUGCUGACCUUGCAAGAAGUCAUCACUCAAGUUGAAGCAUUGAUUCAAGAUGGGAAUAUUUUUCUCCUAAAAAUAAGAGCUCUCUUAUUUGCAGUACUUCCACAGGUAUGUAUAUUAUAAAUAUUUUCUUGGGCACUCAUUAUCUGAUUAUGGUUGUUUCCUUCAUCUUCUUCUCCAGAAAGUACUUGAGAGGAGAUUGAAAACUUCUACAUAUUAAUCCCUUUCUUUUGGCUGUGCUUCUAAUUUGUUUGUUUGUCUCUUUCUCUAUUUGUUAUUUUUUUUCUGGCAAUGACUGGACUCGGGAGUCCUUUCUUGCGCUUAUCUUUUGUUGGCUUCUGUAUGUGGUGCCGAAUAUGUCAACCCCAGUUGUAGUGCUUUUUUUUUUUUAAAAAAAAAUUAUGAACUGACCCUUCGUUACAGAAUUGGCUUAUAAAAAACACAACUCAAAGAGGAACUAGAAAAAUUAUAAACUGGGAAGCUUCUUUUGGAAAGCUGGGGUGUAUGAUUUGAUGUGGGGUUUACAAGGAUAGAGAAAUAAUAGAAUUUUUAGAGGGAUUGAGAGAGAUUCUAUGGAUGUUUGGUCUCUAAUAUGUUUAAAUGGCCAUCUUUGAGGGUUAGCUACGAGUUCCUUUUGUAAUUAUUCGUUUGGUCGUAUUCUACUUGAUUGGAGACCCUUCCUUUAUGGCUAUAUCUUUAGUGUCAUUUAUUUAUUGAUAUUAUUAUUAUGUUUUUAAAUGUCCCUUUAGUCUUUUACUUUUUCUCCGUGAAAGUUGUAUUUUUUUCAAAAGAAGAAAAAAAGAUAACCAACAACUAAGGAUAACUACAAAGAGAGAUUAAACUGAGAUCGUGCCUCUUCCUAAUGGCUCUCCAACCCUCAGAAUCCUCUCAUAUUCCUCUCGAGACUUCACUCCAAGUUAAUAUAGGAACACAAAUUUUAUCAUAAAAAGUUGGAUGGAAUGUCAAUGAAAUUCUGGGUUAGGAAAAAAAGUAAAAAGAAACUCCACCUCGCAGGUCAAAGCAUCUACUCCUUCCUUUGAGCCCAGAUUCACAUUCCAACCCCACAUUCGUUGUGCUUGGAAAGAGUACUUCCAUCAUAAGACAUCAUUCGCUAUUUUUGAAGUGUUUUACUUUUUCUCUCCUUCCUGUAAGCUCAAGGAAUCUUAUGGCCUUAAGCAUUUUUGUAUUGUAAUGUACAUCGUUCCUUAUGAAUCCAUGACCCAUGUGCAGAAACUACAAUUAUAUUCCCACGUUCCUAUCCCUAAAAAAUGUUCAUCUUCGUUGCAGGCGACGGACAUGGUUGCUCUACUGCUUGUUUUUGCAGCAUUAGUAUUUGCAUUUCUGCCAUUUAAGUACAUAAUCAUGCUAGUAUUAGUCGAGGCGUAUACGAGAGAAAUGCCGUACAGGAAGGAAACAAGCAACAAAUGGAUUAGACGGGCAAGAGAAUGGUGGAUUAGAAUACCAGCUGCUCCUGUUCAGCUUGUCAAACCUGAUGAUAAGAAAAAGAAAUCAUAGAAUCAAGUCGAUUCCUAUCCUCCACCCUCUUUGCAUAUCUGUCCCCUCACCUUAAGGUACUCAUCUGUGUAUGUAUAUAUAAUAUAUAAUAUUAUACAAUAUGCUCUAAUGUCUCGAGAAAUCUACAUUUCCUUAAAGGUUACCGUUGCAAUUUAUAUAUUAUAUUUGUUUGGACACAUGCACAAUGCACAUACACGAAUGUGCUUUUUACUAAGUUCAACCAGGGAAAUGAUUUCAAUCUCUGAUCUUUUUGGUGAGGACGAGUUAAGCUCGUAUUACCAUUGAAAAAAACUUGGGUCUUGUGCUUUUCAUCCCCUAACUAGACAAAAAAUAAAAUUUAAUUUUUGUUGUGUGUGAUGAAGUUAUGAGAUCUAUCUCACCUAAUAAAUCAUUCUCUUUUACUACGAUUAUAUAAUAAUUAGAAGUUAGAAAUAAAUUUGUUGUUUCAUAUUUUUUAUUAUUGUAAAUCUUUUGUUGUACGUGUUUGUUUGUUUGUUUAAUUAGUUGGAGUGGUUGGAAUUGCUGUGGAAACAGCACACAUAUAUAAUUUUAAUAAAGAAAAAUGAUGACGUGAAAAAGCAUAUCUAAAAAGGUAUUUUAGUAAAUGACUCAAUUACAGUGUCGUUUUUUAAAUAUACCAAAAUGAAUUAGAGAGAAAACUAGUUUGCCUUGUGAAAAGUUGUUCAAAUAAUUAUUUCUAUCCAUUUUGAGUAAGAUCUAUAUCAAGAUUUAGUUACAAAAAUUGUUUGGAGUCUUUUAGCUACAUCUCGAUUUUCGUCAUACUGAUAUUUUGUGUAAUAUUUUAGAAUCUUAUGCCAAAUCUUUUCUUUCCAAACUUUCUUCAAAUUUUGUGAAUAUAAAUUUUCAAAUCUCUAGCAAAGUUUCUAUUUUCACAAAAUUACAUGAAAUUUCAAAUUUUCAAAUCGGAAAAUAUUUUCAAAUUUAGGAAAAGAUCAAAUUUUCCAAAAAAUUAAAUUAGAUUUGGUAUAUAUAUAGAAUUUCAGUCUUAAAUUUGUUCGAGAUUUUAUUGAAAAAAUUCAAACAUAUCAAAUUUUUAUGUUAAAUAGGUUUGAGAUUUCACACACAAAGUUCAAAUAUAUAAAAUCUUAGUGUUAUUUUGUUUGAGAUUAACACUGAGAUUUUCAUAGUUUUUUAAAUCAAGGAGAUUGCGGUGACCUGGAUGUUUGCACAUUAAUUUGAUCAAAUUUGGAUUCAUGAAAGUUCAAUUUGGGAUUUGAAAUUUAAAAACCUUUUAAAAGAGGAUAAAGUUUAAAAGAAAUUGUAAAAAAUUGAUUUAAGAUUUGAUAUGGAUAGUAAAAUUUUGAGAAGAUUUGGAACAAAUAUAUAAACUUUUGAAACAAUAUAUAAUCAUUUACCCAUAUUUCAAUGGAAAAAGCAGAUCAAUUGAUUAGCUCAAAAAAUUUAAAUCUCCUUGACGGUACCAAGAACAACUAUUUAGUUUUUUGAGAUAGAAUCUUAAAUGUGUUAUUUCUAAUAAUUUCUUGUAUUAUUUCUAUUCUUGCCUAUUUGUGAUAGAUAUAAGUAACAACAAACCGUUUAUUAUAUUUGUAAAUAUUUUUUUUCAUUUUAAACCAUUGUUUUUUUUUUUUUUCAAUUAGUAUUUUGAAAGGGCCUUUGAGCAUGGAUGUAUUUGAAAUGUUAUUUUCUUAAUAAAAAGUUUACAAUUUAAAAGAUGAUGCAAAAUUCAAAUUACCUAUUUAAUAAAGAUUUGUAAUCAUUUUGUUUUUGAAAUUAAAUAUUUUUUUAAUUUCUUAUAAUAAUUUUCAUCUGUUUAGAUUUUAAAAGUUAACUAUAUUUCUAAAUAUAUAUAUAUAUAUAUAUAUAUAUAAAUGGAAGUAGAAGGUAAGUGGUGUUUAUAUGUACAAAAUUACAUUUACAGUUUUCUUUCAUAAGAAAGACAAUCUCAGUUUAUCAUUGUCAAACUUAAAUAAAUAAACAAGAACUAAUUGAAUUGAAUUUUUAGCCAAAAUUUGCUAAAAGAAAUAUUUAGAAACAUAUAUAUAUAUAUAUAUAUAUAUAUAUAUAUAUAUAUAUAUAUAUAUAUAUAUAUAUAUAUAUAUAUAUAUAUAUAUUCAAAACUUAGAUUGAUAAAACAACAGUAUGUACAAACAUGAAAUCAAUAUAUAAAACUUGGUUUUAUUUUUCCCACUUCAAAUUGUGAAAAUAAAAAAUAAAAAAUAAAAACUUAUUAUAUAAAAGAUUAAUUUACAUAAAUGUUACAAAACUUAUAAAUAUUUACGGUUCGUAUAACAGAAAAAAAAAAAAAAAACUCAUGAAGCUCGAUUAUAUUUUCAUAAAUUUCAUAUAUGCUCUUGUGGGUUUUGAAUAUUGUGAGAUGAGUUGUGUACUUAUUCACCUGAUUUAUUUAUCUUGUUUGCGAUUUAUUGAUUUCCUCUUUCAUAUUUUCUUUCUAUGGCAUUUAGAGUAUAAGAUUCGAUCGUUUAAAUCUCCUAUUUCAUAGUCAUCAUAUCAUUGUUACUUUCUAAACGUUCGUGUACCAAAACUUAAAUGAUCGUGCAUAUUGUAUAAUGUGAUUGUUAGAUUUGAAAAUUUUUACAAUCAUUUACAUUGGACUACACGAUCGCUUAGGUCAACACGAUCGUUUACCAUGAUCAACAUGAUUGUUUAAAGUAUAUUAUUUCGUUACACGAUCAAUUUUCCUAACAUAAACGAUCAUGUAUGCGGGUUCAAUGAUCGUUUAGAUUAUAUUAUAUGAUCUUUUAUGUCUGAAGCUUUUUCACCAUCGUUUAGAGUUUAUUAUCUGAUCGUUUAAAUCUGAAGCAUUUUUUUCCAUUGUUUAAAAUAAACUACACGAUCGUGUAUCAUGAUCUAAAUCAUAGUCUAGACUAGUACACAAUCAUUUAGAAGAAAAGUACCCACAUGCAUGUAGCCGAUUAAUUGCGUGUUGAUUAGAACAUUUUGUGGUAUUUCAGAUUGUGAGCUUGUACACUUUUUUUCCAUUUUUUAAAAUUGUUCAAUACGAUGUAAAUAUUUUACCAAACUAUUUUAUCCAACCUAAACUUUUAAAUUGGUCUAAUUUAAUCGCUUUCUUAAAUUAGAAUAACUUUUACAAAGAAAGAUUAUAUUUUUAUAGACUAGGCUACCAAAUAAAUUAGCCACACUGCAAAAUAAUCUAAAGUUUAAAAUUUGAAUUAUAGAAUAAAUUAAUUUUGCAUAGGAUAACUCAAAAGUUACUUUUCUUUUUUUCAAGAAUUUGGUCAUUUACUAUUUUGGUCCCUUGGUUGUUCCCAUUCUACUUUCCUAACUUUGAAUGUUUUGGUUCUAUCAAGUUUUGGGUCUUUUAUUUGUUCUCUUUCUUUUUAGCUAACCAAUUGCAUAAUUGAUUGAGGCCAUGUGUUUGUUUACUUCUUCUAUUGUUUCAAUUAUUUGAUUUUACUCGAUUUUCAUUUAUUUGUCCCAACAUUCUAUUUUUUUUUGUUAUGGCAAUUUUGAAGUUUAGAAACUAAAAUAGAAUUAAAUUCAAUCUAGAUGAUGAAGUUAUGACUUAAACUCGAUAAUUAUAUAGAUCUAACAAAACCAAAAAUUAUUUAUGGUUUGUCUAACAAAAAAUAAAAGAAUAAAAGCUCGUGAAUCGACCAUUUUACUUUCAUAAAUUAUAGAUUCGUCCUUGAAUAUUGUUAGAGAAUUCUUCACUUUUUUUUUCUUUCUCCUUUGCAAUUUAUUAUCGUUUUUUUUGCUAUUUCUUCAUCUCCUCUUCUAUUUUUUUUUUUCUAUUUUAAAACAAUUUAGUAUUCUCUUUAAAUCUCUUAUUUCAAAACAUCAAUUUCAAAGGAUUCUUUGAAGCUAUUUCACAACUGUUUCAAUAUUCAUUCUUUAUCUUUCUCAUAUUUAAGAAUAUCAAGAUUGUUUAAAUAUCAUUUUGACAUCAUCUAAACAAUUGUUUACCAUGGUUUACAUGAUAUUAAAGUUCUUUUCUCAUCGUUUUAAAAAAACUACAUAAAUCGUGUUGGUAUGAUCUAAACGAUUGCUUACCAUAGUUGAAUACAAUCGUUUAGCAUAGUCAACACCAUCGUUAGAUUUGAAGUUUUUAACCAUCAUUUACAUUGGAUUACAAGCUCACUUACCAUAAUUAACAUGAUCAUCAUUUGACAUGACCAAUAGGAUAGUUUAAAUUUGAAGCAUUUAUUCAUUCGUUAAAAAAGAACUACACGAUCAUGUAUCACAAUGGUAGUACACAAUCGUUUAGAAGAAGGUUACUCGUGUGCAUGUGACCGAUUAAUCACAUGCUAAUUAGUGUAAUUUUCGUGUUUUGACUGUGAGCAUUUCUGUUUUUAGAAUGGUUAAUAUUUGGAAUAAUUACAAAUUUAGCACUUAGAUUCAAAAUAAUUAAGUAUAUAAUGACAUUUUAAAUUUUUUGCAAAUAAAGUAAAAUUUGUCGAAUUAUAUGGAAGUCGAUCACCAAUAAAGGAGGUUGUAUUUGUUGUUAAAUGUUGGUAUAUCUUUAUUUAUUAUUCGUAAAAGGGGCGUAAAUUAGAAUGAGUGUUAAUAUUUUUUUGAAAAAAGUGAUUAAAUUUAAAUAAUAAUGAAUAAUUGAUUUAUGAGGUGUGGAUGAAAUAAACGGAGUUGGAGCUUCGUGCGUUUUUUGUUCUAUAUAAAGAAUUAUGAGAAGGAGGUGUAAGGACAUAUCCAAAAUCAUUACGUUUCUUUCUACCUCUUCUUCCGGCGGCCGUCUCCCAUUCAUUUCCACUGGCAAUUUCUCUUUCACUCUCCACGCCACCAUGCCCUCGUCUUCCUCCCAUGCAUCCUCGCCGGAGACUCACCGUCUUGAACCUCUCUUAGGCUCUAUUCGUCCUUUCCUCCGUGGCGAGCUUGAAAAGGUAAACCCGAUUCUUCCAUCUCUUAUCUCCGUCCUCCGCUCCGUCGGCGCCGGCGAAUGCUGGCACAAGCACGGCACCUUCCUCGAUCACCUCGUUGAUAUCUACCGUAUUCUCAAAAUCUGGAAAGCGCAAGAACCGGUUUGUUUGUGCGGUCUAUUUCACUCCGCUUAUUCCAAUUCCUAUGUCAAUCUCGCCAUUUUUGAUCCUUCCACCGGUCGUGAUGUUGUCCGUGGUCAUGUCGGUGAGGCGGCGGAGAGAUUGAUUCAUUUGUUCUGUAUCGUCCCUCGGCAAUCGCUGAUUCAUGACGAUCUUCUUUUCCAUUACUCCGAUUCAGAACUCGUAGAUCACCUCAAAUUUUCCAACACAUCGCUCAAGAACGCCCUGGAAAACGGACAUUUCAACGAGGAUGAAACCUGGAGGAAGAAGCUACAGUCGAUUCUUCCUGCCAAUGGCGUAACCGUAAAACACAUCAAAACCGGAGAAGACGUGACGGUUUCAAGGCGAGUAGUUGCGAUUUUCCUCAUGAUGACAAUAGCCGAUUUCAGCGAUCAACUCUUCGGAUUUCAAGAUUCAUUGUUUGAAAACACCAAUGGCCGUCUCGAAUUCCCAGGUAACAAUUACAAAUCUCUUUGGCCUGGAAACGGAAAGCCUGGACUAUGGAUGAACUCCGCAUCAAGAAUGGGAGCAAUAUACACCCUAAUCGCAAGAGAGGAAUCCAUUCUAAUCGCACAAAGAAAAAGAAACAACGAAUUAGGGGUGAAAACAGAGAGAGACGAGGAUUUAGAGCUUGUAAUUCCUCCAAUUUUCGAGAACUGUACAAGAGUUCUUGAUGCAGAUGAUCAAAUUACAGCAAGAGAUUUGUACUGGGAAGGUGUUUGUGAAAAGUCGGAUAGAAGUGAGGAGUUGUUAUUGAAAUGUGUGAUGAAGAAUCCGUUUAUUGGGGAGGCGCAUGUGGCAUUGGGGCAGUUAUAUCUGGGUGAAGGGCGGUUUGAGGAGGCUGAAAAGGAGGCUGAGGAAGGGGUGAGGUUGAUGCUGACAUGGGGAAGUGCUUGGGACAAGAGGAUGCCAUGGGAGGGAUGGAUUGCUUGGGGGAGAGUUCUGUUGAUGAAGGCUAAAGAGAAGACAUGGCCCAACACAUCAUGGGGAAUCCUCAACUUGGGGCUAGUAAAGUAAGUCAAGUUCUCCUCUCUGUAUUUGUGCAGUGUCCAUUUGUUUGCAUUUCAUGUAACUUAGGUGUGUCAAUCAAUCCCUAAGCUUAGUUUCAACUGAUUAAAUCAUAUGUGGGAUUGAUUAGAAAGUGUUGGAGAAUUUUGUUACUCCAAGUGUAAUUGUAAAGAAGUUUUUGUGAACGUUCUAAACUUAUUUAAAGUAGGCUGUCUUGCUUCUGUCCCACCAAAACCAAAAUUGAAAUGAUAUCAAAGUUUUUUUUACAAGAAAUUAUGUAUAAUCCUUAAAUAAUAUAGGUAUCUUCUUAUAAAGAAAUUAUGUAGUUAAGUAUCCCAUUGUUUUAUUCAUAGUAGAGACACUAAGAUGUUUAGUUGCAGCUGUAAUUCUAGUGUCCGGGUGGAAUUGGAAAGUUAAAAAGAAAAAUUACACCAUAUACCACAAAAUUAGAGAAAAUAAAUAUGACCUAUAGCCUUAGGGAACAAUAUUCGCAUAAAUAGCAUUUUAAAAAAUAUACCAUAUCACUAUAUGGUACAUUUUUUUAAAAUGCCAAUUUUGUCUUUUAGUAUCUUUACUCUUAUACCAUUACUGAUGAACUUCUAUCAAUGACAUCAUGACUAAUAUGUCAAUGUGUUUUUCAUGACAUAGAAGAAUAUCAUUGAUAGUAGCUGUAAAAAAAAUCAAUUGAUAGCCUAGUUGGACUUUAUCAAUUCAAAAUUGAUAUGUUUACCAAGGGGAUAUCACUUAUAAAAAAUAUCUUCUAAUAAUAUCACUUAUAGUUGCUAUUAGUAAUAUUCUUCUAAUGCAAUCAUUGCUAGAUAAUGUUAGUGAUAUCAUUUUACGUUGAUAACAAUAUAGAAAAAUUACUUAUAGUAGUUAUUAGGAAUCUCAAUAGAUAGUAGAAUAUAUGAGAGAUGGCAACUAAUCUCACAUUUCUUAAAUGAAAAGCUAUUAUUGAUAGUAGUUAUCAUCAGUAACAACUAAGUAUGACAACUAAUACCAUAUUUUUCAAAUUAAAAGUUAUCCUACGCUUCAGUGGCCAUCAUUGAUAAAAGUUAUGAUGAUACUGUUAUCAAUUAUAUCAAUUAAUAACAUAUUUAUCAAAUUUAAAACUAUUAGUGAUAACAUCAAUGAUACUGUUAUCAAUUAUAUCAAUUGAUAACAUAUUUAUCAAAUUAAAAACUAUUAGUGAUAACAUCUAUUAGUGAUAGAAAUGUCUAACAACUAUCAAUUGCUAUCAACGACAGCUUUCAAUUUAAGAAAAACUAAAAAAAUAUUCGUAAUGAUGACAAAUUAUCAAUGAUAAUAGCUAUCGGUGAUAACAACCAAUCGUGAAAUAAUCGAGAAGAAGUGUGAAAUAAUCUUUUCUCAAAUCGAAAGCUAUCAAUAAUAACAUAUAUCACUGAUAGUGAUUAUUAGUGAUAGAUGUUAUUAGUGAUACCGACCAAGUCGUAAUUUGCCAUACUAGAAAGGUAUAAUUCAUAUUCAUCAAAAUCUACGUUUAUAAUUAUAACCAAAAUAUUCAAAUUCGUAACAUACAAAAAAAAAAAAAAAAAAGCAUUGUAUUCAUUCAAGGUUUGAAAUAAUCAUGAAUGCUUAUAAGUUCCAACAAAGUCUUUAACUAUUCGAACAAGUAAAUUCUUAAUUCAAAUAAAAUGACUUCAUAUAUAUAAUCCUAAAACUUUGAUAGCCUAAAAAAAAAUGUCCAAAUUGUAGCAAUACCAAAAUAAUCCCACAUAUACGUGUUGUUCCAAUGUUUUCUCCACACAUCAAUCACCUAACAAAAAAAUAAAAAGUUAUAUUAUUAUCUAACUCUAACAACAAAUUAGUGAAAGAACUAAAUAAAUACCUAAUUUUCAAAGUAAAUAAAAUUUCUUAUAUAGUUUGACUUUAUUCAUUGACCAUGCUAUUGUAGUACCCACAACAUCGUCAACAACAAUAAUGUCAAAAAUAGGCUUCCAUAAGAAGGAAUUUGGUAUUUUCACUGUAUCAACCUACACACGAACUGCGUUGGAGCCAAGAGGUACAUGGUGGACAAGAAUUAAUGGAUCAUUGGAGGAUCAUCUACCUUCGGCAAUGACUUCUUCUGAAUCAAUCCAAUCUAGUAGCAAACACUUAUGGGGAGUGUUGGUAGUAACACUCUUUUUCAACAAUAAUAUGGUUAGAAAAAUCUCAAACAGUAAUAAUUUAAAACAAUAAAGGAACAAAAAAGUUACAAAUGAAUUUAUUGGUGAAGAACUUAAGAUUGGAGUAGGAGUAAAAGUAGGAAUAUCGGUCGAUGAUGGUACUCUAACAGGAUUAUUCGAAUUUUGUUCAAUUGUUUUUUCCUAUAUAAACAACAAUGUCAAAAUGUGCUAUAAAACAUAGUUUAAGAACCUUUAAGAGUGUUAUGACAAAUUUACCUUGUCCUUUAGUAAGGAAGCUACCACACCUUUAAGCUCAUCAACAUUUGACAUUAAGUUGUUACAUUUUCUUUCAAGAGAUGCAAUGAUUUUAUCUUUUCGAAUUGAUGUAGCCACCUUUGAUCGAGUCACACCAAAUACUAACCCUCUUGAAACAAGUAAGUUUAAACAAGCAAGUAAUUUAGAAUUAGAGAAAGUCAUAACAUUUAAAAACUAUUUCAACUAAAUUUCACUACUCAAAAGGCAACAACUUAAAAAGAGAUUGAAACAAGCGGCGUCUAAGAAUAGUUCAUCAAACAAGCCAUUUAGUUCAAGAAAUCAAUACUCAGUUGGAAAUAAUCCAACUACAAAUAAAUACUCAACAGUGGGGGAAGGGGAAGGGGAAGGGGAAGGGGGAGAAGGCAUUAGAGAAAGUCACAACAUUUAAAAACUACUUCAACCAAAUCUCACUACUCAAAAGAAAAAACCAAACAAGAGAUCAAAACAAGUGGCGUAAAGCAUAGUUCAUCAAACAAGUUAUCUAGUUAAAGAAAUGAAUACUCAAAUAGCAAUUAUCCAACUACAAAUUAAUACUCAACAGUAAACAACGCAUGGAACAUAAGAAAGAUCAUUGGAGGGGGAGCAUAGUUCAUCAAACAAGCCCAGUUAGUUGAAGAAAUCAAUAUUCUUUGGCAACAACUCUACAAAAUAAAAACAUAAAUAAAAAAUAUAAAAGAUAAAACAACCAGAGUCUUUCUUCACAUGUGCCUCUGUCCAAACAUCUAGUCGGGUAAUCAGAGUUGAAGAAGAAAAGUUUUUCUGCAUUGAAACACAAUAGUUAGUUAUAUAUUAGCUAUAUGUGCUAAAUAUAAUAAUUUUAUUAACUACAUAAAAUUAUACCAAAUUUUUAGCUAGUCGAGCAUAGCCUCUAUGACUACAUGUGUGAUGAAGGUGUUAUUUUUUUCUUCAUAUCUUUAAACUUCUUGCUUUUCUUUUUUUUUUCCUAAACUUCAUACUCAACGAGAUAUCGAUAAAGGUUAAGUCUAAACUUGUUUCCAUACCUUGAACCAAAUAAAUAAAUGCCAUCAAGUUUCAUACCACAAACAUACCUUGAAUGUUGCAACGGUUUUAUGCUUGACAAAGUCAUUCCAAUCAUGCAUUGAAGAAAUGUUAUCUUGCUUGAGUUUAUUCAAUUAUCGUCAUUUGAAGCUUCCCCAAUCUUACUCACUAAGUGGGAUUUGCUUGCUCUCCACAAUCCACCCAUCUUUUAGAAUAAAUAUUUCUUUUCCAUUCAUCAACAUUAUAUCAUGCAUAAAGAAUAAAAUCAUUUAGGUAGUGAUCAUAUAUGAAAGCUCAAAUUGUACUCAUUAUACAAAUAUAUAAUUAUAAAUUACAUACUUGAAUAGAAUGCCACAAUAACUAUUUUUGUCGGGUUGAAAGUUUCUUUCAAGUUUCAACAUUCAAUGGCACUACUUCUUUGACCAGUGAACCCAAAAAUAAAAAAUAGGGUUAUUAAUAUUUAGAAGAAAAUAAUUUUCUUCAAUAAAUUAACCAAGAAAAAAAGUCAAUGCUUUUGCUCUUUGCAAAAGGAAAAUAGUUUCUCUCUAAACAUUUUUUCCAUAUCAAUUGGUUCCCACAAACCAAUCUCAUCUCAAAGGAUGAGAAGGUCUUCGACGGGUGGUAUCCAAUUUGGAGAUUUACUUUGUAGAUUUAGAGACAUAAACAAGUAAGUUUUUAUUUCUCUAAUCUAUAAUUAGAAAACAUGCUCAGCCUUUGAGUCUUAGUAAGAAGACUAGUUUCUUAAUUAUUUUUGUCAAUGUACUGGUAUUUUGGGAUUUCCAAAUUAAAUUGAGAAAUAGUUCUGUAAAAUCUUUCGCUGCCAUGAGCUUUUAUCCCUUCACUCUCUCAACCAAAUAGGAAAGUGUUCCGAGUGAACCUUCAUUAGGAGAUUGUCAUCAUUUGCAAGUCUUUUAUUUGAUAGGAUCGAUUUGUUUCUAUGCAUUCUAAAAUAUUUGAUCUAUCACUAAUUAAAAUUCUAAUAUAAUCUUCAAAAGAUGAUAAACAAUGCACAAAUUAUGCAUCACUCACUCUAUGUAUGGUUCAACUACUUGUGUGUUAAACAAGACAUAUUGACGUGCAAGGUUGAGUACUUUAUCAGAUAAUGUAAUUUCCUUUCCAAUAGAUAUAAGACAACCUUCGAGAAUGAUAUCAUUAUUAAAUUCUUCGUUCCUACGUUGUUUAUCAUCAAGUCUUGUUGAACCUUGAACACAAUUCUUAUAAAAAUAGGAUGCAUUCUUUAGCUAAAUAACGCUAUGCAAUGCACCCUUUUGGACGUGACUGAUUCCUAACAAACCCUUUUAGAGUCUUUAUGUACCUAAGGUUAAUAUCAUAACUAUUAUAAGUUAGCUAAGAUAUUUAGUUGUAUGCUACCCAUAAUGUAUGAUAUGAAAAUCAUAUACAUUUCGAAUGGAUACAUCCAACGAAAUUGAACGAGUCCACACAAACGAACUUCACGACCCAUGUGAAAAAUGACCAAAUGAGUCAUGAUGCCAAAGAAUGAAGGAGGAAAAACCUCUAAAAAAGGCACAGUGUUUCAAUUACCUCUUCAAUAUUGAACAUACUUUCUCGAUCAAUUACACGUGGAAAGAAUCCACAUAUUCGUGUUAUUGAAUGUCUUGGGCCCUUUGGAAGCAUUCCCCUAAUGACAACUGGUAGCAGUUGUUGCAUUAACACAUGAUAGUCAUGAGAUUUUAAUCCCAUUACAUUGCUUUUCCAUUGAAACACAGCUCGAAAUGUUUGAACUAUAACCAUGAGGUACUUUCAACUCGUACAACCUCUUGUAAAACAAUUGUUUAUCUAAUUUAGACAAAGUGUGCAAAGUUGGAGGAAGGUAUACUCGACUCCCGCGUCCUUUUGGGUGUAAGUCGUGUCGUAUAUUCAUGUCUUGCAAAUCGUUACGAGCAUUGUAUCCAUCUUUUGAUUUUCCAUGAAUAUAUAGCAAUGUACCUAUUAUGCUCUCACAUACAUUUUUCUCAACAUGCAUGACAUCUAAGCUAAGUUGUGGUGUAAUACAAGUUCCUACAUUAGCGUAAAAGCAUAUCAGUGCAUUACCUAAUGUAAAUCGGAAGACUAGCCAAUUAAACGACAUUAGUAACAAAAUGUACGUACCUUUCAAUAUGGUAAGUCAAACAAGAUUGAUAAUUUUUUCACAUUUAUUUCAACUCUUUUUGUCUUUUUCAUUUUUUCUUAUCAACUUUUCCAAAUAAAUUUUGAGAAUCUUUAAGUUGGGUAUCAAUUGCAUUCCCAUUUGCAAUCCUAGGAGCUUGUCGGUCUUCAACUUUGCCAUCAAACCAUGACUUCUUUCUUCUACACGAAUGAGAUGAAGGCAAAAAAUGUCUAUGACCCAUAUACACUAAUUUCUUACUAUGGUACAACCACUGAGAAUGUGUGGGCUUCCCACAAAUUGAACAUGCCACCAUGCCCUUUGUUGUACACCCAACAAGAUUCCAUAAACAGGAAAGUCAUUGAUCGUCCACAUAAGCACAACUCUCAAAUUGAAGUUUGAUUUGCUAACUACAUUGUAAACUUCCACAUCGUCCCAUAACAAUUUCAAGUCAUCAAUUAAUGGUUGCAAAAAAAUGUCAAUGUCAUUGCCAAAAUGUUUAGGACUAGGAAUCAUUAAAGUUAGCAUCAUAUUUUCUUUUGACAUGCAUAACCAAGGAGGUAGAGACUGACCAACAACUAUACCUACUAAAGGUUAGAGAAUGGGUUGAAACCAUUGGUUGCAAGACCGAUUCUCAAGUUUAUGGAUCAUUCAAAAAGUCUGGCCACUUUGCAUCAAUUGAGUCCCAUGAAAUACAAUCGACCGGAUGACACAUCUUCUCAUCAGAACUUUUAUGGCUCAUAUGCCAUGUUAGAAAUUCAGCUACAUCCUACGUUUGGAACAUUCAUUUCAGUGAUGUAACCAAUGGAAAAUAUCUUAACAUUUUUGUUGAAACACCUUGUUUCAUUCUUUUUGUGCGCUUAUCCACCUUCCAUCGAGAAUGUCCACAAAUUGGACGCGUCUCUAAAUCUUUAUUAUCUUUCAUAAACAAGCAACAAUCAUUUUCACAAGCACGAAUCUUUUCAUAUCCUAAAUCAAAUACUUUUAAGAACUUCUUUACUUCAUAAGUAGAUUUUAGGAUAUGCAAUAACUUUAAAAGGCAUGUGAAACUUUUAUCGGUCCAAGCAUUAGUAGUAUUUAUCUUAUAUAAAGAUACCACAACUGACAUUCUUGUAUAUUUUGUACAACGAGGGUACAAAGAAGUAUUUUCAUCUACAACCUUUUGAUUAACAUCACUAUUUACUAAUGGUUCAUCAGCUUUUACGUCGCUCGUGAAAGAAGUACUACAAAAGGUUUGGCCAUCAAAUAUACACUCUACCGGUACUUCUUCACCAUGAUGGUACCAAAACCUAUAAGUAGGAUCCAUACCUUUCAUAAUCAAAUGUUCAUAUACAACAUCAAAGGUUUGAUUAUUCAUGUUCCUACAUGUCUUGCAUGAAUAUGAAAUUUUGUCUACUCCACCCGACAUGUUCUCUAUGCGUUUCACAAAGUUCCACGCUCCACUCAGAUAUUCGUUAGUUUCUCUAUUAAAAAGAUCAAAGUUUGCAAUUAAAAUAACUAACUAUAUUAAUCUAUUUUAGUUUCAUAAAAAUUUGACAUUCCCUUACCUGUUCAAAUGAACCCAAUCUUUUUGAAACAUUAUAUCUUCAAAUUAUUGCUACAAGAAUGUGAAAUGUAAUUGAGAACCAACUCUACCCAAAUUGAAGUCCAUAAUACUAGUAUACGGAGGUAACAACAACAAAGUACAAUUAUGAGAAGUAUAUUUCAGUGUUAGUCAUAAUAAAUCCAGACCAUCACACAUUUUAUGAAUACUAGGAGAAAAAAUGACAAUUAUAACAUAUUAUAAGAACUUAACAUAAUUCAAGCAAUGUGAGGAAAAAAAAAAAAAGAAACCAAGUACAAUUCAAGCCUGAACAAGGAAAAUUGAAAGGCGAUAAAAGAGAAAAGAGUGUUAAGGAUUUGACUAAGUAUUUACUUUGUAUGCAAGCGUGAGCUAUAAGAGUUUAUGCAUGGUAAGGAUGUGGCAAAAGAACAUCUACCCUUUAAACUCCACUCUUUUUGCUAGUUAACCUAAGAGAUUAGGUUUGAAAGGUUUUUAAAAAAACUGAAUAAAUCAUAUCUUAAGAAUGGGCCAAGAACAAGAGCAUUGAAGCUCAAACUGUUGGAAGAAAUUGGAAGUUAAAAGUAAAGGAUGUAAAAAUCCAUUAGAAAACUAAAAUUCUACAUCUUUAGUUUAAACUAAAUAAAAAUUCAAUACACUGUAUAUAAAAAAAAAUAUAGCAGAAAGGGAAACCUAUACAAAACCUAUACAAGAUGUACUCGUUAUAUCAAAGAGAGUUAUACUGUCUUUUUCUUUUGCUUUCUUUUCUCUUUUUUUUUUUUUUUUUUUGUUCUUUUCUAUUAAAUAAUUUAAAAUUCUGAUUGGUUAUAAAUUUUCAAAUGAUACAAGGCUACCAUUAAUGCCCCUUAUAAUAAGAUUCACAAAGAAAAUUAGAAACCAAUCAAACAUAAUUUUCAAUGACUCAAUUCCAUGCAUAAAAUGUUCAAACAAAAAAUAUAAGCAAUGAAGUACUGCAAGGAAUAAGAGUGUAAGACCCGUUUUUAAUUUGAGUAUAAGAAGUAAAAUUCGGCUAAGUAUUAAAGAAGUUGGCAUUUGAACAAAUCCGCUGAAAUGAUUAAGCGAUAAAAUCUUUUAUGGUUAAGUAUAAGUUUUGCGAUUGAGAAGUUAAUUAGUGGGGAUGUUUUGAGAAAAGAAGAGUUUGCAGUAGAAUUUAUAAGUCUAAAUGCCCUCAAAAGAAAAUCUUCGCGUAAGUUAAGAUGUGAAGUUUUGACUAAAACGACUAGGCAUUUGGAUAGUAUUUGCGAUAAGAACCGAGGGUUUCGCGAUGAAGCCUUGAAGUUUAAGUUCGCGAUAAGUGUUCUAAGCGAGUAAAAGUUGGUUAGUUCGGGAGGAAGAUUUUUUGUAGUAAAAGUAUAACUUCGUGAUAAGGUUAUUCGAGAGAAGUGUUAAGUGGUUAAAGUUAUUUGCGGUAUGGGGUUAGCCUAGAAGUAAGGUCUGACGAAGAAAAUGUCAAAUCUGAUUUGACAGAGAUUAACGUGUAAGAAUAAGGAGUUAAGCAUGACUGAGUUGAAUAUUAGAUUUACACGUGUAACGUUUUAAGCAGAAGCUGGAAAACUGAUAAGAGUUUAAGCAUGAUUAAGAUAGUUUAAGGAUCUAUAAAUAUAGGACUUGGACAUUAAGUAAGCACAAAAGAUUUCAUUUAAAAAAAAGAGCUAAAAUGUUGUUGUUUUGCUUUGACGAGAAGAAGAAAAAUAAAGUGUUAAGUACGACGAUUUGUUCCGCGAGAAGGCUCCACGAGAAGAGAAGGAAGAGGAGGAUUUUUGGUAAAAUGUGGUGAGUGGUUUUCUUUUUAAAAGUUUUGUGGUUCUGCUUUAUUAUUUUGAAAAAAGAAUUCAAAUGAAAAGUGUUUCAAAAGAGAUUUCUAUGUAAAGUCUAUAUGUUUUCAAUCAUGAUUUAUAAUGUUAAAGCUUUAUUUGAUGAUUAUGAUUUUCAAACCCUUAGUUGUUUCUUUGAGAUGAUGCUAACUUUUAUGUGCACAUAUAGAGUCAAGGCCACCAUGGGGUGUACAGGCUACAUGAUGAUAAGUAGCUGACUUAUGCGUUGAAAGAAGCGAAUAAAGCUUAGCGGCCUAAGCAUUAAGGACGAAUCUGUAUGUUCUCGGAUGUUGUUAAUAUAGUAGUCUAAACGUGAGGUAAUGAGACCAAAUGUAGAGGACGAUUCGGGGUCCUUGGUGAAAAGAAUAAUUAACUAAUAGACCUGGUGGGUGGUUAAUUAGUGGAAUAAGACUUGUGUUUGUUUGAGAUGAUUUAUGUUAUGCGAAAAAGACAAGUGAUGCAAAUUGAUGUUUAAGCGAAAUGUAUAUUGAUAUGAUUUGCAAAUGAUUUAAUUCUAAUGUGAAAAUGAUUACAUGCGUUUUGACAUGUUUUGCUAAAUAAAGUGUUUAAUCGAUAAACUGAUUUGUGUUGGUAUUUAUGAUUUGACAAAAAUGAUUUAUCAAAGGGCAUUGCAAAAAUGAUUUCAUAAAACCUCACUAAGUCAUUUAAACUUAUGUUUUAAAAAUCUCAUCUUUCAAAAUCAAACGUUUAGGCCAAGUAGAGAAAAAGGUUGAAUAACUUGCGGCGAGAUGACUCCAGACGUUUUGAAAAUAGUUAAACAUUAUUUUUUGGCCAAAGUGUUUAUGUAUCAAACGCCUAUUAUUAAUAAAGUAUAAGUUUUGGUUUGUAUUUAUUAUACUUGGCAUUUAGGUUGACCAUUGUUGCGUUUUGAGUUUUGUUGAUAGUUUAAAAGGAGUUGAGAAUAAGAUUUUGUGAUAAGAAAAUUUAAAUUUCAAAGUUGUAACAAACUCGCAUCCUAUUCCUACUAAUUCAGUGUUAGCGUCGCAGUACGGUUUGGGGUGUGACAAAGAGGGAGGGGGUGUUUAGAAACAAAGUUUGGAGCCUAAGAUUUUAUAUAUAUUUUAUUAACACAGGAGCUUUUCGUGUCCCAUAUUUUUUAAGUCCCCUCAAUCAUAUCCAAUUCAGAACCACUCUAAAUGUGAAGCGCCUUUGAUUUAAAUCUCAAAACAUAGCAUAAAGCAUAAACUACUACAUCACAUAUACUUCUAUAUAGAUUGGUAUGUAUAUAAACAAUCAAUACAAUAAUUGAAGACCUACUUAUGCUUCUUCCCAAAUGAAAAUGCAUAUAUACAUAACGUACCACCAAUUCAUAAUAUUAUAACAAACAUAAGGAAGUAACGUAAAAGUCCAUCAUAACUAGUGUAACGACCCAACUAUUUAUACUAAGGUGAAGUCAUUAUCACUAACAUAAAUAAAGACUUUUUAUUUAAAAUAAAAGAAAAUACCAAAUUUUUUAGGAAACUCUUCAAAUAUGCAUUUAUAAAAUAUAAGGAAAGUAUGUAAAAAAAAUAUAAUAACAAAUAAAAUACUAGUUCGAGUCUCGUUUGAAAUAGAUAGAAAAUAUCUAAAGUACUCAUGAUUUUUGAAAUAAAUUUCUGUAAAUCAAUACUGAAAACAUAAAUACGGAAGAAAACAUAAAUGGUUCCCUAUGGCGAACUACGAUCACUUCUUGGCAUUUGCCAACUUGCCUCUACCUCUACUUUUGCCUGAAAAAUUAAACAUAGAAAAGCGUUUGUAUAAAUUUAUACUUAGUAAGGGACUCACUAUUAGUCUCUGUUAACUUUCUCGUUAGAGUCCUGUAAGUAUUGUUUAUGUAUCAAAGUAUCACAUAACUAUUGUGCUCCCAAACGCACGCUAUUCAGUGAUCUUGUAGAGAUACAUCUGGGCUCUCAGUGAACUCGAAGGAAACACCCUAAAAGAGAGUCGAACAGUAAAUAUGAAAUAAAACAUCUGAAGAAAAAAAAUAGUUGGAGCAAUGUCUUAAAUGCCCAUAUCUAAGUUAAAAACUUGAAUCCUAAAUAUAAUUGUUCAAUAAACCUCAAAUAUCCUAUAAUUAAAUAAAACAUCCCACACACAAUUAAAAUCUAUGAAAAAUCUAAUUUUCCCAAAAAAACUAAAAAAUAACACAUAUCACCAUCGAAGCUCCACCUAAGCUCUGCAACUGUUUCACAUCUCCUUCAAAUCGUGCAAGCAUUGAAACCUUUCCAUUAAUUUCACGUUUUGAAACCCUAUAAAAUUUUGAAAGGUCUUCUGAUUGCAUCUUUAAUAUCUUUUGUUACCUAUCUUCCACGUUUGUUUCAUCGAAAAGAGUUCUUGCAUAAUGACUUCAAAAUCAGCUUCAAAACCUUCAAGUUCUUCAUACAUGCCCUAACUUCGUCCCUUAACUUCGUUCGCUUCAAAAUAUUCCAUCAUUUGCAGAAAAGGAUGCGUCCCAUUCAAAACCUUUGUCAUUUUUCAUACAUUCUACUCAAAUCUGUGAAUUUUUCAAGUUUUUCGUACAUUCGAGAUUCAUUUGAGCUCUUAAUCGACCAAAAUGUGAGCUUCUUCAAUGGAUUUUCGUCUGUGCACUUCUUCUUUUGUUCCUUUUAACUAUGAUUCUUAAGGAUUUUUUUUUUAAACACUAUUAUAAUUCUUCAUUUUGGCAUGUACAAUAAUUAUAACUUGAAAUCGUUUAAUUUUUGAAAAGUUGCCAUUGUUGUGAUCUUUGCUACUUUGGAAGGUUCGAAAGAGAAAUGUAAUUUGUAUAAUAAUUUUUUCUUCAUUAGGUGUAGAGAAACGUAAAUAUGUAUUAUGUAUUAUUUAAUAAAUUUUUUAUAAAUAUUUUGGAAUAUAAGUUUUUAAUUUUUAAAUUAUAACAAUUUGAAUUUUAAAUUUUAAAUACAAAUUAUUAUCGAGAAUUUAUUUUUGCCAUUCUUUUAGAGAUAUGAUCUAAGAUUUGAAUUCAAAUUGAUUUAAAUCCUAAAAAUCCAAAAUCUGGUAAAAAUUAAACAUAUGUAUUAUGAUUUAUAAAAAUAAACAUAUCUAUUAUGAAUUAUAGAAAUAAAUUGUUAACUAAUUGAUUUAAAUCCAAAGAAUCCAAAAAACUAAUAGAAAUUACAACCAUAUUUUUAGGGAAUGUUGGUCAAUUUUCUCGAGCAAUAAAAUAUCAUAUUUAGUUAAGAUUUACCAAAGCUUAGUGUUAUUUACAAAUAUAGUGUAUUUAUCUCUAUGACUGCAAAUACACUGUUUCUAUAAGAAGUGAAUUUUCGUAUAUAAAAGAGUAUAAUCAGGUACAAAAGAGUAAAAAAAGAUCGCAUCCGACAAUUUUUCUAUAAAUCUUAAUCUUGUCGAGAUUUACUAUUUUUCAGUUUGUUAUUUACUAUUUUGCUAUUUACAUGGUUAUAUCAUAUGGGACAACAGUAAGUGAAGAAUCUAGUUCAUGACGAAAGAGACAAGUGAACAAAAUGAAUGAUCAAUAAAUAAUAAAAAGAGAAAAAAAGAGUAAGAAAAAGGGAAAGGUAUAUAACAUUCGAUAAUUGUAUAACAUUUUUAUAGAUUUUCGCUAUCAAUUUUUCUUUUUAUAACAUAGGUCAAGACUACUAACAAAUAAGAAAAGACAAAAGAAGAUAGAAGAUAAAAGACAGAAAGGCAAAGCAUCGAUGAAACAAGAAAAUGCUAAGUUAUGUCUGAUAUGGUACUACCAUUUAGAUGAUAUAAGGGUAAUUACACUGUAUUUAUGAAUUCUGUUGCAUAUGAUGCAAUCCGUUUUGGAAUAGACUGAAACUCGUUUAUCAGAAUUACAGUGUAUUUGUAUUAUGGUUGGAGUGUUAUACAUUAUGGAGUAUGAUACUUUGAAGUUUGAUAACUUAGAGAUUUAGUCUAAAAUUAGGUUGUAUUUGUCAAUUUGGUUCUAUAUGAUGCAAUCAAUUCUGAAAAUAAACUGAAAUUCAUUUAUCAGAAUUAGUGAAUAACCGUAAAAAAUAAACUUUUAAUGAAAAUAAAUGCAAAUAUUAAUGUUACCAAAAAAACACAAUGCCUCAAAAUAACUAUUCUAUACAACAAUUGGCAUUAGAAAAUAAUUUUUUAAAAUAAAAAUAAACUAAAAUAAGUGGAUAAUCAUAAUUAGCACGAUUUUAGGGAUGAUCUUUUUUUAGAUUCAAAUUGUUAUUAAAAAUAUGUUUCAUGUAUUAUUUAAUAAAAAAUUUAUAAAUAUUUUGAAAUAUAAAGAAUCUGAAAUGUUUUAUAAAUAUUUUGAAAUAUAAAGAAUCUGAAAUGUUGAAUUUAUUUUUGUCAUUAUUUUAAGGAUAUGAGGUAAGAUUAGGAUAUGAGGUAAGAUUUGAAUUCAAAUUGAUGAUUUUAGUGAAUGAUAUAAAAUCUAAAUUCAAAUUGCUAUUAAAAAUAUGUAUUAUAUAUUAUUUAAUUUUUUUUAUAAAUUGUUUGAAACAUAAAAGAAUGCUAAAAUGUAGAAUUUAUCUUUGCCUACUAUUUUAAGGUUUGAUGUAAAAUUUGAAUUCAAAUCAUUAUUAAAUGUAUUUAUUAUGAAAUACAAAUAAAUUAUUAAUUAAUUAAUUUAAAUCUUAAGAAACCAAAAAUCUGGUAGAAACUACCAUAUUUUUAGAAGACGGUGACGCAAUCUUCCCAAAUAAAAAAAUAACAUAUUUAGUUAAGAUUUACCAAAGUUGAAUGUUGUUUCCAAAUACAUGUAUUCGUAAGUCUAUGAUAUCCUGUUUCAUUUUUCGAACUAUUCAAAUACUCGGUAAAAAAAAUGAAUUGUCCAAGGGGUAUAAUCGACUAUAGAAAGUAGCUUCUAAUCGAACAAAUUAAUUUGUCGAGAAAGUAAAUUCUAAUAUACAAUUUAAACAACCUAAUUUUUUGUGUAACUGAUUUUAUGAGUGAUUUCAUCUAGAAUUUUGUGAGAAAAUUCUAUUGAUCUUUAAAUUGAUUUUAUUUUUCUUAAAAAAUAACAUACCCUAAGAAUCUAAUCUUUUACUCAAAUAAUCUUAUUUUUGGUAAGGAAACAACUAAUUAAACAGUUUUAAUUAGUUGUUCUAUGGACUUUGAAAAAUGAAAACAUCACUGUCCUGAAAUCUUGAGAUGGAUUAAGGAUGUGAUUCAUUAUGUUUUAGAAUCCAUAAGAGCAUUUUUGAAAUUGAAUAGCAUCACAUCUCAUUCAUAUUAUCCAAGGUUAUUGUGUAUCUAAUUCAACCUUCUAUUUUAAAUGAUUGUUUGAUCAUACAUGUUAAGCAAAAAGUUAAAUUUUAAGGUCUAAUAUUAAUUAGAAUCCAUAUUUUAGAUUUGUGUUUAAAACUGAACCAUGUAACUCCCAUCUUCUUCAUCUUUUCCCCCCUUCAUUCCUUGAAUGUGUUCUUCCUCCAAACAAAGAAAUCUCCUUUUUGUUGCUUACCCUCUUUUACAAGUUGUUAGUACGUGGGCAAUAGAAGAAACCCUCACAAUCAACACCUCUCUAUCUUUCCUUCACAAUCCAUAAAGUUUUACUCUCCCUCUCCCCUCAAAAUAUGAAACAAAAAUAAAUAGAAGUUAAAAUAGUCACCCACUUUAAUGUACAAUCAUCAAUAUCAUAUUCAAAUCAAUUAAUAAAUAUAUUUUCAAAAAUAGCAAAAUAUUAUUAAAACUAGUUACUAUAUUUAAUAUUUUCUUUUACAUUUUGUAAAUACUUUUAAUGUUUUGCAAUUUCUUAUUAAAAAAAGACUACAGUAAUAAGAACCCAGGUUCGAAAUAUCAUGAAAAUAUCAUAGUUCCAAUUUUAUGAAAACAUUGACAUCCAUGAAAGAUUUAAAAAUUCUAUGAAAAUGGAUGAAAAUUGUUGUAAUUAAUUCAUGAAACAAUUUGAUUGUCGCUUAACUAGACUAUAUUUAACCAUUUUAAUCAUCAUUUUUAUAAAGGAAGACAACUUUUAGAUAUAUAGUACAAAAACCAUGCAAUAGGAAAUUGUUUUUCUUUCUCUUAACAAAAGAAAAAUAUUAACUGCAAAAUUGAAGGAAAUGACAUGUGUGUAUACAAAAUAUUUAUAAAUUACAUGUUAACACCAAUAAAAAUGACCUUGGAGGCAUCUAAUCUAAGUCUUCAUAAUUCUCAUAGAAACUACAACAUUACUUCCCUCUCAUCCUCUAUUGGUGGAUACAUCUCAUUGGUCGAUGAUCUUCUUCAAGAUGGAUAAUAACCAUUUGGUGUAAAGUUAGACAAAUUGUUAUGGUCAAAUUUUUAAAGACCAUCAAAAUCUAAGAAUAAUUAUCUUCAGCAUAGUUUUGUAGUGUAUGAUUAUUAAUUAUUGCUUAAGCUCAUCCUUUCCAUAAUUGAAAUUAAGAAAUUCUCAUAUCCAUUAUAGAGAAAGCAGCAGUCUAGAAAUAAAUGGAAGUGGAUAAAAUAAUAUAUAACCAUUUUCACUAUUUUCUUGCAAAAUGUUCAGAUGAUAACUCUCUGUCUGAUGGUUCCUACUUCAACCCUUACCAAAACUUUUUAGAGUUGCAAACUUAUAGUUUCUUUACAACAUACCCUCAUCUCAUGUAUAGAAAUUUUGCAAUAAAUUAGAGGUGAAAGUUAGGAUGAGAAUAAAACAGAACUGUGCUUCUAAUCCAACUACUUGAUACCAAGAUUUAAUGAAUAUUAUAUAUAGACACAAGGGUAAGGGGACAGAACAAAUUAUGACCUGAGUGAAGUCUUAGCCAUUCUCGGAGUAUCGAUAUCAUCAUAACACAUAUACACGAUCAGAUCCUGCACACUGGCAUAUAUUUUGGACAGAUAGCUACACAGCUUGUGUCCUGCAAUAAGAAAGUUCAUUGAAAGAAGUGGCUAGGUUAUUGGAAAAAACAAGGUGAGUUUUCAGUUUUCACUUGGCUUACCUUGAAACUAUUCUCUUGAGUGGCUUCCAUCAGCUUGUUCCUACUUACUAACAAAAUGUAUAUACCUUUUCUUGGUAUUGCAUAUCAUGAUUUGAGUUCUUCCAUGUCAAAAGCUUCUUGAUCAGAGACCGUUGAAAAUGAGCCUAUAUUUCAGGCUUUUAAAAUAACAAGCCUGAUGAAUGGAUGUUAUAUGCAUGUACCAACCAUGUGAAUAAGAAAAUCAUUGUAAAAUCUGCUGUAAAAAGAGCUAGUAUUUGAUUAGGGCUGGGAAGGAAGCAUGAAGUUCCACCAAACACUCAAAGAUCCAAUUUAGCAGUUGUUCUCUGGGUAGCUCUAAGAGAAGACCAGCCUGCCAAAGGUGAAAGGGAAGACAGAAACCACAUAGAAAAGGAAAAACUAUAAGAUACUAAUUUGAAUUUUAUGGGUUGGAAACAGAACUGAUCAAAUGUUUCAGUUUUGGGAGCAUUGAGAAGUUAGUGUGGCUCCUGAUACAAUGUAUCACAAGAAAAGAAGGUCUGCCUGAAACAAAGAUGCUUACAAAUUUACAUCACGAAAUUUAUGCAUAAGAAAUUUAAAUAUAUAUAUGUGAGUUAACUCAGUCUGUUGCCGCAUUUUUUUUUCCUUUUUUUUCUUUGAUAUUUCAUAACAAAAAAUGUUCAGACUAAAAGAAAUUCAUUUGGUUUUUUCCAUUUCACAUCUCCUGACAAGCAUUUCCCAGCUGGGGGAGUGAAGGCAAAAGAUGCAAGAUUAACUUCAAUAAGAUAGAGAUAGGUAGACAUUUAAUAAGCUCACCUUGAUCUGAUGCUCCUCAAAAGACAAACAAUUCCGAUGCACCUCUGAUGUCAUCGAAUCUGAUAUCAACUUGAAAACUUUCUUGUUCAUGUUAGUUUCCAUGCAAACAGUCUUUCCAGAAGCAUAUAUCCGAGAAAUUCCUAGAUCCGCUGCCAUUCUUCUCACAUAAAGCUUCUUCAGGAGAAUCUCCAUGGAAUACGGCUCUUUUCCAUGAUGACGGCGUAAAUUCUCAGUAAAUUGCAUUAAAGUCCAAAUGUCUGUCUCAGCUGCUCUCUCAGCUCCAUUAAGUAUUUUCAUGGGAUUCUCCAAAUAAUUAAUGUACUCAGAAGGCAAAUGAGGAUUAAUAUCGAUAUCAAUCUGUAAGAAAGUGAUAAAGAUCCGACAAUUUAAAAUACAGAACCAGAAAAUUAUAUGAAUAAUGAAUAAAAAAAUAUGGAAAGAACCCCCAAGUAUCUAGAAGAAUAAGAAACCCAAGUAGUUAGAGGAACUUGAACCUUCCUAUUGAGUAAAUGGCUUGUGUUCAUCUCUCACUCUCUCUACUUAUACAAGUCCUAAUAGAAAACCUGUUUGCUCGACUAUCAUACCUUUACUAUCCUAAUCUCCAACUGGUGGUAUUUCUGACAAUAUUUUUUCUCAAGUGGUAUUCCUAACACAAUACUUUUUCUUUCUUCCAUAUAAUAAGCAAACAAAAUCUUUAUACUCUAUAAGCUUCAACUUCAAAUUUUAUCUUCAAUCUUUAGAAGGCAAGUUGUAUUUCACAAAGCAAUCAAUGUUGAACUGAAUCAGUAGAAACAAAGUAGCAAGUCCGUAUUUUGCAUGUUAAAGACCCAACUCUUUCCAUCAACAAAAAAUAGGUGACGUAUAACCAGGAAGUAAUCAAAUUUAGAAGCUUAAACUCAUUAAUCAACUUCAUUUUCUUUUCCUUCCUUUUUCUUAUUUCUUUUCCUUUUUCCCCCUUCCACAACAAGAGAGUUUAAGAUCACUGAACAUCAGCAAACACAGAUCCAGAAAGUACCUUCACUGACUGGUAUGGGACAGAGACUACCCUGUGUUCGUCCACCUGCAAAUCAUGGGAAACAAUCCAUCCCGAAUUAUUGAAAUAAGCAAUCAACCCCAUGCUUCAAAAGUUACAUAAUUAAUCAAACAGUAGAUUGCACGCGUGCACACAUCAUGGUGUGCUGAAGAUAAAGGAAACAGGAAAAUGGAACAAUGACAACAAGAAGGAUGCAAAGAAAAACAAAACAUUAUGUUUUGGAAAUGGGGAUGGAAUCUCAGCAAAUUAACAAUUUAAGCAUUAUUUGUAGUUUUCAUUAUUAUUUUCUAUGCCAGAGUCAAGAAGUAAAUAAAAACUUCUAAUAGGAUGACUACAGAGUCAAAGCCAAUGUGAUAACUGAUUCAUAUAGACUUAUGAGCACAAACGCUGACCUCCCAAAAUAUAAAUUAGGAGAUGGUGAAUUAUUACAAACCUUGGAUAAGCUGUCGAAAAGCAUUUCAAAGAAUAGAUCAAUGCCCACAUUUCCAACAUCACCAGUUUGUUGCUCGCCAAAGAUGGUACCAAAUCCUCGUAUGCCCAUGUCUCUCUCAGCAAGUUGAAAACCUUGCCCAAGUUCACGGCACUCUUCAAGAGCAGCAAGCCUUUCCUAAAUUAUGGAAAAGAAGGGCAACAAACAUAUAAAGCAUUAGAAAGUUAUACGAUGGUAAAAUCCCCAAGCAAUUGUCCAAAAUAUAUUUUAUUAACGGCCCGAGCCUCCAUAUCGUUUCCAAUAGCAAAAACCAGAUGGCAAUAAAACUACAAACCAGUGCAUCGUCAGAUAGCAGAGACUUGUCUGGGUAAAAUAAGUAUGCAUAUGCUUCCUUGUCAGCCCGGCCCACUCGUCCACGCAGCUAUCAGAAAAAAACAUAAGGAAAAGAGUCAAAAAUAGUAAAAUAAUAGAACGUUGAAGAAAAGGGCAAAGUUCAUAAAGAUAAAAAGCAAUAAACAUAGGACAUGUUUGGAAUGAGUUUCUAAAUUCUAAGAGCUUUAAAACACAUAAUUUGUACUUAAAAUACUUUUUUAAGCACCAAGUCAUUCCAAACAAGCCCAUGUUACAUGACCAUUUCAAUUUUCUGUUCCAUCCCUGAAAGGUAACAUGUCCAAGGGGAAUAUAAAAGGAUCCACACAAGACAAAGACAUGAUUGCCAUGACAAAAAGAAAGAAUUUCCCUCUUUACAACAUUCAAUUGUAUCAUCUCUUAACCUUCAUUUACAAAUAGACAUUCCAAAUGCACAUUCCUAAUAAAGAUUCUGACUGGUACUUUUUGAACCACAUUGUUCUUAAAAAUUUGAACAAAACUAAAAUGAAAAAGAGAAGGCAAGACCUGAUAUAAUUGGGCUAACCCAAAUUGUUGAACAUCCUGAACAAUGAUGGUGUUUGCAUUUUGAAUAUCCAAACCACUUUCAACAAUAUUUGUGCAAAUAAGAAUCUUAAUAUCACCAAGUGCAAAAUUUUCCAUGGUUUCUUCAAGUUGCUUUGAAUAUUGCUGCAAACAAUAGAUAAGUGAAAUGAAAUAACAAUAAAUGUACAAUACGCAGCUAUGACUUAUUUAGGACUGAACGAUGAAGGUAGUCCAGUGGGGAACUAGGUUUCCUUGAUGAUAUUUCUAAUACAAUAGAUUUAGACUUUAAACUUGGUUUUUGAAGUCUGGUUGUCCUCCAAAAAGGAAAAUUUCCAUAACCAGUAAUGGGAAACCGAGAGUCUGCACAAAACAAUGUGGAGUGAUCUUGUUGAAUCUCUUAAUGAACCAGGAGUCAUUCCCAUGAAAAAGUAAUAUCCAACAGUAAGUGUGCCAGAAAGUAAUUUAUUCAAACGAAAUCUUUAUUUCCUUAAAGGGUGUUUCGGGCAUUGAAUUGGUUAUUAUAGUCAGUAAGUAUUAUAGCCGGCUAUAAUAAAAUUAUAUUGCAAACACAAACUAUUUUAGUCUGGUUUACAAUAUGUUGUGGUUGGAGCAUAGACUAUUUUAGUUUGGAUAAAAAAUAGUAAACAUUACAACAAAGAAGAGAGGAAGAGUAAAUAAUAGUAAACAUUAACAAAAAGGAAUUUGAAUUAGUAAUAUUGUACAUAAUUAUAGACUCUAAUAGUUGGAAAUACCAGCUAUUAGAAUUGGAGACCCAAUCCCGUACAUGGAGUGUAGCCCACACCACCCUCUUGAAGUUGGGGUCUCAAGCACCCCCUAAAUUUCAAUAAACUAAAGCACAGCAAGUUUUCAUUGUUGUUCCAUAUUCUAGCUUAUCAGACAAUGUAGAUUAUUCUAGAAAGAAUUGCUAAAGCUUAAGUUUUGUGAGACAGCAACUAGUUCAAGGGCCUCAUAAUUGACAAAAGGGCAAAUACCUUUCCAUGAGCAAGUGCUAUUUCAAUAUCUGGAAAGCUCGCCUCAAGAAAUUCCUUCACUUCUUCAAGUCCUGUGAUUCAAGUAUGAUAGAAAAUCGCCUGAAAUUCUUAUUAAUGGAUGUAACAAGGGAGAGAAGAAGUAUACCUAAUGCUAUCUCAACUAUAAUGUAUACCACAGCAAAGUAAAUCAAACUUCAGGAAUUACAUGUUGGUCAUUAUACUCAGGAAAAAUAAACCCAAAAUAUUUGGAUAUUAAUACUUCCCUGCCUUUUCCUCUAGGCUUAUACCAGUAGUCAAAAAAAGGGCAUGUGAUGACCCAAGAAUGUAUUUGGGAGAGAGUAGAUCCCAAAGAAUAUUGUUAGUUAGGGGGCUUGGUUUUGCUGAGUAAAUAUUACUGUUUUGGCUGGAGGGUGGGUAUCUUUUGGCUGUUAUUUGUAGAUGGGACUCUCUUAUGAGUUUUGGGAGAGGAAGUGAAGGUCUUGGAUUCUUCCCUACUGCUAUAAAUAAAAUUGAGGGCAAGGCCAAUCAAUCUUUUAGCCUCCUUUAUACCUUGUUUCCAAUUAAAAUUUUCUUUUUUCCUAUCAGAGACUAUAUAUACGAGUAAAUUAUUCCUAGGAAGGGCGGGCUGGGAACUGUAUUUCUGCAGAUUCAUCCAAAAGGGGAAAUUUAUUGAAUCACUUCACUCCUGUGUUCAUUCAAUGUGGUUCACUAACAUAUUAGCUGUAUUUGUCCUCCUUUUCUUACACUUCCUCCUUAAUUAGUGGGUCAGAUUAAAUACUAGUUAGAUAGUUAAUUUUAAAGGGUGCACCUCGUGAUCCUUAGUUCUUUACUUCUUUAUUUGAGUUGGUGCUAUUUGUAUAACUCUCUUUUCUUACAUUUCACUCCUUGUUCAUUCAAUGUGGUUCAUGUUAGACCACCCAUAAUCCAUCAGUACAGUAGGAGAAGGAAUAAUAAAGAAAAGAAGCGGAAGAAUGAGUUAGUUAGAAAUGUAACUGCAUAAGGGGGGACCACAAUGAGAAGGAAGGAAAUAUAAAUAGAAAGUGGAAGAGAGAGAGAGUUAGCUUUUUGGUGAGAAAGCGAAGAAGGAAACAAUGAUCGACACAAGUUCAAAGAAGUUGAUAUGCCAGUAUUCAAUGGUGACGAUCCAGAUUCAUGGCUUUCCGCGUGGACAGGUACUUUCAAAUACAUAGAUUAACUGAUUCCGAAAAGCUUAUUGUAGCCACAAUUAGUUUUGAAGGCCCGACUCUCAACUGGUAUCGAUCUCUAGAGGAGAGAUAUAAGUUUACCGAUUGGUUAAACUUGAAGGAACGGUUAUUGAUCCGAUUUCAGUCGAUUUCCAAAGGAUCUCUAUAAGGCCGAUUUUUGCGAAUUCAGCAGGAAUCAAGCAUAGACGAAUAUCGAAACCUUUUCGAUAAGUUGGUUGCACCCCUAGUGGAUAUUCAGGCGAAAAUCGUUGAAGAAACAUUUAUGGAACGGUUGUCACCAUGGAUUAAGGCAUAAGUGAAAUUUUGUCGCCCGGUGGGAUUAUCUCAGAUGAUGAAGUAUGCGCAAAUGGAGGAAAAUCGGAAAAUUCUACCCCUCCACUAAUGCCAAAACUAAUACAGUUAUAAACGGCAAUGAGAACAAAGGAAAUAUCAUUUUCCGAUGAGGACAAUUACAUUAAGAGGAUCACCGGCAGGAGAAAUUAAGAAAGAAGGCCCAUCCAAGCGAUUAUCUGAUGCUACGUUUCAGGCCAAGAGAGAGAGGACUUUGUUUCAAAUGUGAUGAAAAGUAUUAUUCGGGGCAUAAAUGUAAGGUGAAGGAAACAUGCGAGUUACGAAUGUUUGUGGUAAGGGUGGAUAAUGUGGAAGAAGAGAUUAUAGAGGAAGAUGAGUAUGAACAAAAGGAGUUGCGCGCUAUUGAAUUGAAGGGUGACAUUGAGGUAGUAGUGGAACUGUGUAUUAAUUCAGUGGUGGGGCAGACGAAUCCUGGUACGAUAAAAAUAAGGGGAAUGAUUCAAGGGAAGGAGGUUAUCAUGCUGGUAGACUGUGGAGCCACGCAUAACUUCAUAUCAGAAAAGUUAGUGACAAUGUUGAAACUACCUACAAGAGAUACUUCUAAUUAUGGAGUAAUCCUUGGGUCCAGAACCGCCAUUAAGGGAAAAGGAGUAUGUGAGAAUGUGGAAGUUAUUCUCAAUGGAUGGGCAGUAACUGAGAACUUUCUGCCAUUGGAGCUUGGAGGGGUAGAUGUAAUACUUGGCAUGCAAUGGUUAUACUCUUUCGGAGUAACUGAGAUGGAUUGGAAAAAUCUCAUUAUGUCCUUUUCUCAAGAAAACAGUAAAGUGAUAAUCAAGAGGGAUCCAAGCUUGACAAAGGCCUAAGUUAGUCUGAAGAGCUUAAAAAACCCUAGACUGAUUCUGACCAGGGUUAUUUAGUUGAAUGCAGACUUUGGAAGCAAGAGUCACAGAGGUUGACUUACAAGAAGAGGGAGGAACAAAUGCAGUACCUGAACUCACAGUGCUUAUACAGUAUAAGGAUGUGUUUGAGUGGCCUGAAGAAUUACCUCCAAAUAGGGCCAUUGAGCAUCAUAUACACCUAAAAGGAGGCACGGAUCCGGUGAAUGUCAGGCCCUAUAGGUACGCCUUUCAGCAGAAGGAAAAAAUGGGGAAACUAGUAGAUGAAAUGCUCUCCUCUGGAAUUAUCCACUCCAGCACAAGCCAUAUUCAAGUCCAGUACUUCGGGUGAAGAAGAAAGAUGGAAGCUGAAGGUUCUGUGUUGACUAUUGAGCACCCAACAACAUCACUAUUCCAGAUAAGUUUCCAAUUCCCGUUGUUGAAGAACUUUUUGAUGAGUUGAACGGAGCAAAUUUAUUUUCUAAAAUUGACUUAAAGGCUGGUUAUCAUCAAAUUAGGAUGUGUAACCAAGAUAUAGAAAAAACAACCUUUAGGACACAUGAAGGGCAUUAUGAAUUUCUAGUGAUGCCGUUUGGACUUACAAAUGCACCUGCUGUAUUUAUCCUCCUUUUCUUACACUUCCUCCCUAAUUAGUGGGUCAGAUUAAAUAUUAAUUAGAUAGUUAAUUUUAAAGGGUGCACCUCUUGAUCCUUAGUUUUUUACUUCUUUAUUUGAGUCGGUCCUCUUUGUACAACUCUCUCGUAUUUUGUGCAAUAGUCUUGUUUUAUUAUAAUUAAUAAUAUUUUGAAUGGUCUCCUUUUCAAAAAAAAGCUUUCAACCACACCAGACAAAAGUUAACUUUGGGAAUUUAUACUCUAAAAAAGGAAAUAUUGAAUGAAUUGAUCGUAAAUUAUAAGAUUUUGCGAUUUCUUCUUCUUCUAAGGAAGAUAUACUCCAUAUGUACUUGAUGCAUAUGGGGCAUUUGAUUAGGAGCCCAACAGCUCAAACUCAUUGAGAGACUCCCCCAACUUAUCAAUCUACUGCUUGAAACCAAAGUUGAAGAUGAAGGAGACAAUUUUGUGCCCUGAGAAAGAGGCCUCAUACAGCUCUUACCAUAGUGCUGUGCUGAUCUUAUGACGUGAUUCCACCUGAAAAUCAUUAAUCAUCCAACAUCUUUAGCAUUCCCACACUGGCUGCUACAACUAAAGCUUUUGCCUUUUAAUUCAUUUGUGAUCAGGAUGAUUAACAGAAAAUUAAGAUCUAGUCUCCAAAUUAGAAGGUGAAAGAAUAGUUAGCUCUGUGCACAGCAUACAACUCCAUUUCUUGCAUCAUACUACUGGGAUACAAAUUCUUUAAUUCAAAUCUCUAUUUUUCCAUGUGCACACAAUCCCAGAUUCAAGCCUCUAAACUUAGGGAGAAAUCAACAGAAUCUAUCACUUCGAAUACAAGGAACGAUUCCCUCUUGUGCAGUUGGUAGUGUCUGUAGUCUCCAAAUUAAUUAGCAUCUUCUUGGAGAAAAAUUCAUGCCAACUGCAUGGAGAUGUGAGCUCUUCAACUUCCUAAUAUCAAACUCCUCACCCCCGAUUCGCCAACUUAUCAAUUUGCAGUAAUAAUUUGAACAAUAAUGAUGCCACAAUAAUAGAACGCCUCUUACAUUCCGUCCUUUUUUGGUGGUUGUGAUUAACAAAGAUUCUAAAUAAGCUGAAUAGGGAGCUUUCUUACUAUUGAAGCAUUCUUUGUAUGUUACCAUCCUCUUGGAAGACCUUACCAGAAAUUUUGUGACUAUUCUCAAUCCAUGGUCAAUGCCAGUUCAAAAUUCUCCUCCAGGUUUAAGUAAGUAAGAGAAAAGAGAGAUGCAAUAAUAAAAUAGAAGAACUGCAAGAAGGUCAAGUAGACAAGAGGGCAGCCAAAGGAGCAAAAAGAUUCUCUAAUGGUUCAUCUGCAUCUUAUUUUCCCAUUCCUUCUCUCUUCGGUAUUAAUAAAGUUGAUUUUAUCAAAAUGCAUGCAUAUGUACAAGUAUGAUAAAAAGUAGAGCCAUGAAGGAAUGGAGAAAGUAAACCAAUUCUUGAGAGUACAGUACAACGAAAAUCUUAAAGAAAAAGUACAAUGAUUACCUUUAAUUCGAGGUAAAACAUAAAAAACUUGGCCUCCACGUUCCAGCUCAUAUUUAAUAGCUGAUUUCACUUUUUCUUUACUGAAUGAUGAGAGAUGGGUUUUUAUUGGGACUCUUUCUGGAGGUGGAGUUGUAAUCAAGCUAAAGCAUGGAAAGAAAGCAAAGGUUCAGUUUCGAUAACUCAUAAUAGAGGACCAUGGAGAUAAGUCUACUGAAAGGGAAAGUCAAAACAGAUAAAUCAGCAGGAACAAAAAGUUAAUGACAAGGAAUGAGAUAAUAUCAGAAGACAAUUAGAAAAUGAAACAAUUUGUUACUUCCACUAUCUAGUAUGCCUAUGACCAAAAUUAAUGAUCAACAGUCACAAAAGAUGAUUAAUAUUGUUCAAUCUAUCAUUGGCUUAAUUUCUAAGGAUGUCAAAUAUUGCUCAAUCUAUCAUUGAGUCAAAUGUAACAACAAUAUGGUUGAGCUUCCCUAACUUAUAUAACAAACAAAGUAGAAAGGGUUAACAGAAUUAUUACAAAAUCCAGUUAAUGCUUGAAUAUCUUCUUCUUCACCCAUGAAUUAAGUGUGUUGAGUUAAUUACCUAGCAUCACGAAAUCCAGUCAAUGCUAAAUAUAGGGUCCGGGGUAUUGGUGUUGCGGAGAGAGUGAGAACAUCAACUGAAGUUUUAAAGGAUGCAAUUUUCUCCUUCUGUUUGACACCAAACCUCUGGGAAGAAAAAAAGGAAUAUAAAGUUACUCUCAACUCAAAUCAGGAUGAUUAAUAGCAAAUUAAGAAGGGAUGCCAAAAGAAAUAGAACCUGUUCCUCAUCAACAACUAGAAGCCCUAAAUUACUAUAUACAACACGAUCUCCAAGGAGUGAAUGAGUCCCAACAAUAAUAUUCAAUUGACCUUCUUUGAUCAUUUCAAGAUGCUUUUCUUUCUCUGCUUUUGUCUGCAUGAUGUAAUAUCCAGUUAGCUUAGACAUUCAAUUGUCGUGCUCUUUCAGAGUGAGUUCAGAUUAACCAAAAAAAUUGCAAUAAGUGGCUGCAUUGAUGUUGAGUCUACUGAUUCUAAUGGUUGAAGAAAUUCAAAUUACUUCUUUAUAGUUGUUCAAGCCCGUGUGACUAACAACGUAUGCCUUGUUAUCUUACUAGACUUAUAUGUGUGUUUCUUCACAUAAUAAAUAUUUAUCAAACAAUACCUGGAACCUGCUCAACAAUCCAAUCUGGACAUCAGGAAAUGAAGAAAACCUUUGUGUGAUAACUUCAAAAUGUUGUUUGGCAAGGACUAUUGUUGGUGCUAGAACCAUAGCUUGCUUUCCUGCCGAGACCACACAGAAGAUUGCACGCAAUGCAACUUCAGUUUUACCAAAGCCAACAUCUCCACAAAUCAAUCUGUCCAUCGGAGUUUCCCUCCCAGUCAAAUCUUUCUCUACAUCUCUGAAAGCCUGCAUGACAAGAAAAAACAUCACAAGAUGAAGAUACAAGAAUAUUGUAACUCUUCAAAGCAAUAUUGUAAUAAUCUUUUAAGUACUUGAGCACCUUGAAGAACCACACCCCAAAAACUAACUAUUGGGAUGGAAGAACCAAACCACUUAAGUACCACAUUGGUCGUCCCAUUUUAACCAAUGUGGGACCGAAGUAUCUCAUGCUACCUAAGUUCCUACAAUACCCCCUUCCCAGAAAGUUGACAUCCUGGCGACUACUCCAAUGGUACUUCACUCGGCCAGAACCCUCCACCGGUUCCACUCCGGAACUUCGACGACCAGCUCUAAUACCAUUGUUUAAGCACAUUAGAGAACAACACCCAAAAGCCAGCUCUUGGGGUGGAAGAGCCAAGUCACUUAUGUACCACAAUGGUCAUCCCAUUUGAAAUAAUGUGGGACAAAGGCAUCCCAUACUACCUUGUGGUUCCUAAGGUAAUCUUGAAGUAUCUAAGGACUAAUUUGAGGUAGGAUAGGUAGAUGUGUAAAUAUAUAAAAGCAUGCUCACACAAACCUAUUAUGCUUAUUGUUAUAAACAUAAAUGUAACAGAGCAGCAAACCUAUUCUGCUUGUGGUUAUGUACUGGUACAGACAGUAAAAUAUAAGCAACUGAUUCAGACCCAUGUUAAAGCAUGCACAGUCAUUACUCCAAAAAUAAAUGGUAGGAUGAUUGAUUGUCAUGUAUAAAAAAAAAAAAAGGAUAAUCAUGACAUUGUGAUACUGGAUUUUGGCCAUUUACAUUGUUUGAUGAAAUUUCUAAAAUUUCCUAUACUUUCUACACAUUAUAAUAUGAAAUUCAUUUUGUGUAAAGUACAGGUGUCCUUGUUUAUAUGUAAACCAAACAUAAUGAGCAAUGUCACAUGACCAAUCAUUUGUCAAAACAACUCAAAGAUUAAGAUUAUGUUCUAUGCAAUGGGUAAUGUUGCGAACAUUAUUGAAACUAUUAGUUUUAAAUUCAACUAAAAUUAAGAUUACAAUUUAAGGACAAAAGAUUAGGCUGAUGAAAAUGUAAAUGCAUAUAGUAACAUCUCAAUUCAAAACCAUACAUGAAACUUUGGUUUCAUUCAGCUCCCUUACGGAAGAUGGAUAAAUUCCUAGAAAUUUCUGCCCUCCCUCACCAUCUAUCCAAGGAAUUGAAGGGCAGAAGCCUUUUUGAGUGAAAGUACCUCCUUUUGGUCCACUGUAGGCUCGUAAGGAAACUGGGCAGAAAAUUCUUCCAUAGCCGAACACUUCGGAUAGGGAGACCUUCUCUGUUUCAACCUAUGUAGAUACAAUUCCAUCAAGUCAACAACCAUUUUCUGAAUCGCAAUUUUUCCCUUAGUCUUUCUUUUUUCCCAUGUGGUAGUAUCAUUUAAUUUGCUCAAUGUGCGAGGUCUUUUGUUUUCAUUUGGCCUGAAAAGGUGAUAACAUGUUAAAUAAAUGGAACGUGGAUGCAUAAACAGAAAUACAGCAAAGCAUAUAAGAAUUGGGACGUAUAAUCCCCAACCCUAAGUAGACCCUAGUUGUAGAAAACUGCUGAGAAUAAUUUUUCUUCCCCUUUUCAUCUAUAUUCUAUACUCUGUAGGUUUCUAGCAUUCAUUACGUAAAAUAUAAAGCACCACCAGUGGACCAAUAAAUUCAGCUUAAGUAAUAGUAAUACCUUCAAAAUCUUGGUAAAUUUAGAUUCAUUCAUUCCUGGUCUAUAAUGGAGUAUCAGAAAGAUGUUAAAGAGAACAACUGCUUCCAAAUAUAUCUGGAUUGACACUGCUGAAGUAUGGAUCUAGAUAUCUUAGAAGUCAUUGAAAUAUCGGGCAUCCUAAAGGCAUGAAAGAGUGAACUACUUCGCUAAAAAAACUGCAUAUCGGCAAAUGUUCAUGUCAUACUUAUGUACAGCUCAAUUGAAAUGACCCUAUGAUAUAUUGUUGUCAAGAAACUAAAUUUUAAUAUUCUAUAUAAGUGAUCAAAUCAAGUUUGAACACAUUCUCCCAAAAAAACUACUGUCUUUCACAUAUCCCAAUGAUGGGUUGGUUUAAUUACAGUAAUUGUCAAGUCUAAAACAGCAAUAAGGAGCUAGACUUUUAAUAAUAGAUUUAUAAUAAUACAAUGUGUUUCUGAAAAACUGCAGUAAGCAAAAGCUACAGCAUUGAGAAACUAGAAAAACCCGAUAUCCCAGAUAUUACAUUAGUAAAAGAAAAAUCCCUAUUAAAAGAUACAUUAGUAAAAGAAAAACACAACUACAGUUUACUAAUUAUAGUGCCAACAUAUCAAUCGUAAACAGCAGCAAUUUACGAAAGACCACCAUGAACAGAAUGCAUAAGUGAGUAAAUAAAUAAACAAACAAACGUACAGACUAUAGCGAUACAGCAUUCGAGACGCCUGCUUAACAGGAAGCUUCGCCAUCCCAUCAGCGUACUCGAUGAAGACAUACUCAAUAGCCUCCGUAGAACCUUUCUGAACAUCAAACUUAAUCCCAACAAAUCGGCCAAUACCAACCUUCUUAUGCACAACAUAAUCCCCAGAACGAAGCGUAUAAGGAUCAACCUUAUAAUUAAACCCAUCGCUCUCUUUCCUUUGUCUAUCCCCUUUCAACUUCUGCAAACCCCUUUGCUGCUGCUCCUUCACCAUCUGAAUGUACCGGUCCGCCUCCUCGGAGUCCAUAGCGGUUCUCGAGGAAUCCCUCUUCCCGUGAAAUCGGAGAAUUCUCUCAUUGAGGAGCGAGAUAGAGUCUCGUUCAAGCUCAAUUUGGUCUCUCCUCCUCGAGGAUUUGGCGGUACCGGGAACUAUAACAUCUUCGGCAUAGACAACAUUAGUAAUGGAAACACAUCGGUUAGGAAAAUGGCGGAAGGUAGAGUUGCGAUUGAAGAGUCCCCAUCCCCGUAGGGUGGGAAAUGAGCAGAGUUUGAAGGGUAGUACAGGUGGGGAAGAGGAAACAUCUGGGGCAGGUGAAAGAAGGAAAGCCAUUGAAGAAUAAGGUAAGAGAGUAGAAGAAGAGGAGUGAGUAGUAAGGAGGUUAAGGAAGUGAAAACGAUGAUGGAGAUGGAAAUUCCGCCAUUGAAGAAGUGGAAGAGAGGUUUGAGGAUAAUAGUGGGGGAGGUUUUGGAGGGGUUUUUGGAUUUGUACGUGGAAGCAAGCCAGCCAAAUUUUGGUUUUAGAUAUUUAUAAAUCGGGUCGGGUCGGGUGAGUGUAGGGAUAUUUUUCAAUAUGUUAAUAAUUCACUGAGAAUUUGUACUCAAUCUAUUAAAUGAAGGAUGAAAAUUUUAAUAAAUGUUGUGAACCACCAUGGUUCGAAAUUUCGUUAUUUGAGUAUAAAAAUUUAUGUUAGUAAUUUCUUCUGUCUAUAUUAAUAUCAUUCUUCAGAAUAUUUAUUGUGCAAAUUUUUAAUAAUUGUUUAUAAUUGAAAAUUAAUCAAACUUGACCUAAAAUGUCUAUAUUAGUACAAUGUUAAAAAAAUCAAUGUGUGCCACACCAUGGACGUCGUCGUCGAUUUUUAAUUGGUUAUCGUCAUUGACUUUGCACUCUUUGUUGCUAUAGCUCCUUUGAUUCUCUUGUUAUUGUUGUUCAUCUGGAUUGCUCGGGUACUAUUGCAUGCUACUGUAAAUUUAGUCUUUUUUUACACAUGCAAAUUUUGAUUUCUUGAUGGUCAUGGCAAAUGAUCAUCUAGAAAACAUUUUUCUUGAUACAAUAUUUAUCUUGACGUUCAUGUACGUCAAGAAAAGUCCCUUUAUUUUGUUAAAAAAAUACAAAAAAUAAAAAUAAAAAUUAUGGAUUCUUGAUGUCUUGAUGUAAACAUGGAUAAUAUAUUAGUUGGUUGGCAAUGUUUAUUAAGUUAGCAAGGUUUUCUUGAUGGAUGAGGCCCAUCAAGAGAUUAUUUUUCUUGAUUUGUUCAAAUUAUAGGAUGAACUCCUAUGUUUUAGAUGAUAUUUUAACUCAAGCGUUGGAGAACAUUGAGGACGUGUAAGAGGUGUAGGCAGAUUGAUUACAUCUUCGUUCUAUUUUCAUAAACACAUUUAGUCAGGGACUAGAAAAACUCAUAUUACUUUUGUUGUAGAUACCAAUUGGAAAAAGGAGAAAUCACAAAUCAAAAUACAAUCAAAUGGCUAAAAAGACGCUUAAGUUCAAGUCUUUGAAAAGUUCUAGAUAAACAAGUUUAGAUGCACACUAUGAGUGCCAUUAGAACAUUAAUGAGAAACAUCUGAUCUCAAUGUUCAUUCAUCACACGCAAAAAAUCGAUCUGGUAAACAUUAUGUUUAAAUCAAUUUUUUAUAUUGUGUUCCAUGAUUUAUUCGAGAUUGAUGAUAAAUUGAGCAUGUGAACGUAACUUUUUAGGGGAGACCAUGUAGUCUUGUUGUUGAAAAGGUUGAUAGCAUUGUUGCAGCAAGAACUAUGUUCGAAAGAAAAAGUGCAAAUGAAGUAGUUUAUGGAGUACAACUUGGAGCGAAAGAUGUGUGGAUUCUCGUUGAACUUUCAAGUGAUAGUCGUUCUCUGCUGCCCAUACCCACUGUUGGAAGUAUUUAUUUUGUAUAUACGAUGCAAUUAGUUCACAUGUUCUAUAGCCAAAGCAUCUUAUAGUUAUAGAAAGAACAAGAAAAUGUAAAGUUUUAAUUUCGAAAUAUGAAUUUGUGCAUUAGCAUGUUUUCAUUUUAAUUUUUAACAUUCUUUUAGUAGACAUCUAAUAGAAAAUCUUAUGAGUUAGAAUCUUUGAAAGGAACAAAAUCGAAAAUGAAGGAAUUAAAACUGCCAACGACAAUAAGGUUUGUGUUGGGGCAUGUAGAGAAGGAAAUAAAAGAUGAAUAUCUUACUAUCUCAGUCGACACUUUGGAAAUUUUUUAGUAUAGAUUCAAUGUAAACGAAAUUUUUUUGGUAUAGAUUCAAUGUAAACGUGAUGAAAGACAUCAUUACACAACUUUAUCUGAUCGGAGAAUUCGUCCUUUUAGUGAUCUUGAGUUACAUGAUGUAAGUGCAACUUUAUAAAUUUAUUUUAAUUAUUUUUUUAGAUGUAUAUUUCUAAUCUUAGAAGUGUUCUUUUUUAUUUUUGUUAAUGUCACAAGUUUAUACAAAUAUGACCAAAGUAUUAUAGAGGAAUAUAUAUUCAUGAAUUCUAGACAAAUUUCGUUUAAUUGCAGGUAAGUUAGAAAACAAGUAUGGUUAUUUUUCUUAUGUUUUUUUAAUAAUAAAUAUUUUUAUUAACUUGAUUGAAAUAUAUAACUCUUAUAUAGUUUAUAUAGAUAUCAUUGGAUAUUAUUUAUUAUCCUAUUAUGGACAAAUAUGUUGUAUGCACUCGAUUCAUUAAGACAUGGUGUACCAGACGAAUUGAAAUUUAUGGUCAACACACAUAAGUAUAUUUUUUAUUAUGUAAAUUGCAUCUUGUUAUAUUUUUUUAUUUUUUUUAAUUGAGAGCCUUAAGAAUGCUUUAUAAUGAAACAAACACAAGAGCUCGACCUCUUGCUUGGGUUUCUGUUAAGGUAUGAGUACUUAAAUUCCAUUUUCCAAAUAAAUGAUAAUAUGUUGUUCGAUUUAAAUAUUUGUUUUUAUUUUAACACGUGUUUUGAAAUAUAUGUGUGCUUGUAGGCAGUACAAAAUGUGAGUCUAUGUUAUGAAGUUUAUGCAAGACAUAGUAAGGCAAAAGUGUGUCACAAUUAUUGGAUGUGGUAUGCAUUUUCUUGCAUUAUCUCUUAUAACUAUCAUUCUUACACUUAGGACAACUUAAUUAUUAAAUUACACUGAUUUUCGUUUGCAGCUAACGAGACAAGCACCUUACACUUAAUCUGAAUUGGAUGUAGUGAGAGAUGAUUAUUGUGACUUUCUACGACGCUACAUAUGAUACAUGUUCUUUUUAUUGCAAUGAACUAGUAGUUUUUACAUUUAUAAGUUCACUACUACUAAUUUUGAUUUCUUGAAUGUCAUGAAAAAAGACCAUUAAAAAAGUAUGCAAUAUUUAUCUUGACGUUCAUGUGUGUCAUUAAAAGGUGCCUUAUUUUGUUGAACAAUAGGCAAAAACGUCAAGAAGUAUGAGUUCUCAGGUUGUGGUUUCGUUCACAGGCAAACACUGUCAAGAAAACCCUUUCUCGAUGGGCAACAGAGAUCAAGAUUACCAUAUUUCUUGACAGUCUGAAAUCCUCGAGAAAACCCUUUCUCGAUGGACAAUACAUAUCAAGAAUAUCAUAUUACUUAACGGGCAUUGUCAAUCAAGUAAUCGUUAAUUUUAAAUUUUGGCACUAGUUUUCUUGAUGGGUAUAGCUUAUCAAGAAAUAUAUUUAAGAGCUUUAACUACCAAGGCCUAAAAUGGUAUACCAUAUUACAAGCUGGACCAUAAUAUCUCAAAUUUUUCACAAAUGUCCUUAAUGGGCUUAUAUAUUACACAAAUAUAGGGUUAAAUUUAUCAAUGUACCCAUUGUUAUUAGAAAUUAGAUCUUUUUUUAAAAAAUAAAAAUAAAACAUUUUUACACAAAGGUGGGAUACGGUUUUGGUAAUUUGAAAUAUUGGACGAAAACCUUCCUUAUUCGAAAACGUUAUUUACUUCAUUCCAAUUUCUUCACUAAAGAAGCAGGCUAUCAUAAUAUUUGUGAAAUUCUACGUAGUGAAGAAGAAGCUUUUCGACAGAUGACUGAAGCAGAGAAGUUAGAAAAUUUUUCGACAGAAAUUUUCGGUUAGUAUGAAUUUAUAUUUCUUAUACGAUUAGGGUAUAUUGAGUACGUAGAUUGUGACUUCAAAUAAAUUAGGGUUUCUUAUGUUUAAAAGUACUAAAAUUUUGGUUGCUUGAUGAUAUGCUUUAAUUAUUAACUGUUGUGUUAAUCAUUUUACAGUCAUUUGACAUGUUAAUUUAAUUAUUUGCAACUUUUUUUUUAUUGAGCAUUCUACUUUCCAUUCUGUAUUAAUUUCUUUUUUAUUAUUGGGCAUCCAUUCUGUGUUAAUUUCUUUUUUAUUAUUAGGCAUCCAUUCUGUGUUAAUUUUCUUUUUAGUAUGGGCAUCCAUUCUGUGUUAAUUUCUUUUUAAUUAAUUAGCAUCCUGUAUUUGUAUUUGAUAAUAUUCAUUCUUCAUUAGCACCCACUUUACCGUCUGUGUUGAUUAUUUAUAUCCAUAUGGCAUCCUAUGCAUAAUUAAUUAAUUAGCAUCCUGUAUUUAGUAAUACUCAUUCUUCAUUGGCAUCCAUUUUACAGUAUGUGUUAAUUACUUAUCCUUAUGGCAUCCUAUGCAUAAUUAAUUAAUUAGCAUCUUGUAUUUGGUAAUACUCAUUCUUCAUUGACACCUAUUUUACAGUAUUUGUAAAUUACUUUAUCCAUAUGGCAUACUGCGUUAAUAAUUACUGCUAUCCAUAUAGUAUCCAUGUUAAUAAUUAUCCAUGUUAAUAAUUAUCAAUGAUAUAUAAUUAACAUUCUGUAUUUGGCAACACCCAUUAUUCAUUUGGCCUAUUAAUUAAUUAGCAAUUUGUAUGUGGCGUUUUUCACUCACUCAUUCUAAUUAUUUGCAUGAUGUAUUAAUUAAUUAAUCAGUAUGCAUCUGGCUAUAAUUAUUUGAUAUUCAUUUUGGUGUGAUUAUUUAUUUGCAUAUUGUGUUAAACCUACUUUGGCAUUCAACUGUUAAUUAUUAUUUGAUAUCCAUUUGACAUACUCGUUUAAUUAUGCAUUAAUCAAUUAUUUUGCAUCAUUUUGAAUUAAUUAAUUAUUUUGUAUGUGUUGUAUUAAUUAAUUAUCUUGCAUCCUACAUUAAUAUCUUUUACAUUUUGUAUAUUGCUUAUAUUAUCAAUGUAUUUAUUUUAUCUCAACAUAUUACGCUUAAGUAUUUUUCAAAUUUCAUAAUGUUUUGUCAUUGUUAUUAUUCAUUUUUCAAUUUAAAUAUAAAAAUGUAAAUUAGAGAAAAAGUAUUAUUUUUUUAUGAAUUUUAUAAUUUAAAAUCCAUGAAUACAUGAAAUUUUUCCGUUUAAAAUUAAAUUAAUAGAUUAUUUUUAAAUAAACACAUUUCAUAUUUUAAAUAAAACGGAGUAGUGUUUUCUAUGAAUUUAUUAAUUCUAUAUACAUGAAAUUUCUUAUUAAACAUCUAUGAUAGAGAUUAAAAUAUCAAGUUUUGGUAUCUUAAUAUUCUUAAGGUGAAUAAAAAUCUUUUGAAACAAAAAUAAACUUCAUUUUUCUAAUGGCUCCUAUGCCACCCAUAAUAAUCAAUUCAUGCUUAGGUUUUUACUUUCUUCGAUAUGAAUUGAUAAACAUGAGACAUUUAAACAAAAUCUAAAUAAAAACUUUGUUUUGUGAACCCCUAUAUUUAAUUUAAAAGAUAAAAUUGGGUAACCAUUUUGUGGGUGUUGUAGGGUGCUAACAGUUUCCCUACAUAACUGACCCCUGAACUUAAAUAUCUAAAUUUACGUAAAUCAUUUUUUUUGUGACCAAUCACACCUUAAUAUGAUUGGUGGCGGCUCCAAAAUUAUUUAUUAAAAAAUUAAAUAAACGGGGAGGUCGGCCGCUCCGCGUCGCGAUCACGUCGCGACAGUUUUAUUUAAAUUAUAAAUAUGUGCGUUGCGACGUGAUCGCGACGCGGAGCGGCCGAUAUCCUCGUUAAUUUGAUUUUUAAAAAUAAAUAGGUUUUGAGUUGCCACCAACCAUGUUAAGGUGUGAUUAGUCAUCCAAAAAAUAAAAAGAUGGUCUACUUAAAUUCAUGAGAUUUAAGUUCGGAAGUUAGUUAUGUGUAGGAAAAGUGUUAGCACCCUACAACACCGAUAAAAUGGUUAUCCAAUUUUAUCUUUUAAACUAAAUUAAAAUAGUUCACAAAACAAAGUUUUUAUUUAGUUUUUUAAAAAUGUCUCAUGCUUAUCAAUUCACGUUCGAAGAAAAUAAAACCUAAUCAUGAGUUGAUAAUUAUGGGUAACAUAAGAGCCAUUAAAAAAAUAAAGUUUUUUUUAUUCAAAAGAUGAUAUUUUUUUUUAUUUAUUCACCUCAACAAUAUUAAAAUACCAAACUUUGAUAUUUUAAUCUUAAUCUCAGAUGUCUAAUGAAAAAUUUCAUGUAUAUAAGAAUUAAUAAAUUCAUAGAAAACAUUACUAGUCUCAUUUUAAAUAUGAAAUUGUUUAUAAUUUGAAAGACAAUUUAUUAAUUAAAUUUCAAAUGGAGAAAUUUCAUGUAUUUAUGAAAUUUAAAUUAUAAAACUCAAACAAACAAUAUUUCUUCUCCGUUUUAAAUUUUUAUAUUCAAAUUGAAAAAUAAAUAAUAAUAAUAAUAACGACAAAAUAGGGUGAAAUUUAAGAAAUACAGGUUGUGAAAUAAAUAAAGUAAUACGAUAAGAUAAAAUAAUACAGUAAGAUUAAAAUAAAAUAAUACAAAGAUAAAAUAAAUAUAAGCAAACAAAUAAAUAAAAGAGAAACAAAACAGGAUGCAAAAAAAGAAAUAACAUGUCAAGUAAAUAUUAACGCUCGUGAAGGGGAAGAUGGUGCACGUACUUCUUUUUUUCCUUUUCCAAAAUAACAAUUAAAUCAUAUUCUCUUUCUUCGUUAAUCAUCCAUCAAAUGAAACUUUUCAUUCCUCCUUUUUUUUUUUUAUCUUCUCUAAAAACCAUACUUUAAUUAAAUAUAUAAUUUCCUCAACCUUGGUAACCUUAAAUAUAAAAACAAACACAAACACGUAAUUAACCAUAAUCCUUAAAUAGUUAUAACAUCUUAAUAUAAUUACUUUCAUUCCACAGCACCAAAACCAAAAUCUAUCAUAACUUUAAUUCAAUUUAGAAUAAUUAAAUUUUAAAAAAAAAUCUUAAAUAUUGGGGUGUUACAUUUUAACUCAACGUCAUCCAUAUUGGUUAAAAGCAAAACUCUUUCUGAAAAAAACAUUUUUCACUACGAACGGACCUUUAUAAUUAGGAAUCCAUUUUCCUCGAUGAUUCUUUUGAAAUAGAAGUAUCCUUUUUAACACCAAAUCCCCUUCUUGAAAACUUUGAGGGUGCACUUUCUUAUUGUAUGCUUGCAUUAGUAUUCUUUGGCAAAGUUGUCCAUGACUUGAUUCUGCCAAUCGUUUUUCUUCAACGAAAUUCAACUGCUCAUGAUGACCUCGUAUCCAUUUACCUUCAUCUAACUUAUCUUCCAUGAGAACUCUCAACGAAUGUAUCUCAACUUCUAAAGGUAGGACAACUUUCAUACCAUAAACCAAAGAAAAUUGUGUUGCCCCCAUUGAAGUACGAACUAAUGUGUGAUAUCCAUGCAUCGCAAACGGUAAAAUUUCAUGUCAAUCUUUGUAUGUUGUUGUCAUCUUCUCAAUUAUUCUUUUAGUAAUUUUGUUGGCUGUCUUAACUGCCUCAUUCAUCAUGGGACGGUAUGGAGUUGAAUUUCUGAGAUUGAUCUUGAAUUGCUUACAAAGUUCGUUUAUCAUUUUGUUAUUAAGGUUCUUAGUAUUAUCCGUAAUAAUACCCUCUAGGAGACCAUAACGACAUAUCCAUUAUGUCUUAACCCAAGAUGACGAGACCGACCCAUAGCUUUCACCCAUCUCCGAUCUCAAUCUUCGCGUCUUAGAUCUGAGACAUCUGUUCCAUCCAUCUCCAAUCUCAAAUUUUGAUCCCUCCUCCGCCGAUACAUUAACUUUCAAUUAGUUACUUGAUAGUUUUUAAAUAAAUAUUGACCGUAGCAUAGUUCUAUUUCAAUAGUUUAUGUCAUCUAUGAAACAAGGUCAAGGCCAACCCAACGAUUCAAGAACCCAUAUGGUUAUAACCCAAAUGCAAUUGAUCCAUUUACAAGAUGUUCCUUAUGCUUUGUAUUUUUAAAUGGUAGAAUUCAAAAUCUAUGCAUUUUGUUUCUUUUUCUCUAUUUGGAUACAAGUCUUGAAUUUUUUAAUAAUUCAGAAUAUAUUUGUUAAUGUCGUUGUUUUUAAGUUUAUUAAAAAAAUGUUAAUAUUAUUCUUUAAAAAAUUAGAGAUAGGUUCAUUGAAAAUCAAUUACUCAAAUUAGCAAGCUUAAUAGUUAAGAUAGUGGCUACAAGAACAAAAUUCAAAAUUUCUCAAAGUACAGAAAAGUAGAAAGAACAUCUUUGAUUUUGUCUUGUUGCAGUGUUCUUGAUCUUGAAAGGACAAUUUAAUAUUAUACUAAAGAUGUUUCAUACCGAACAAAUAUGAGAAUUCUUUGAGUUGACCUAUCUCUUUGUUAUCUCUUUGUAUGGUACAGAAUUAUAUAUUGGUUUUGUUGAGAUAGUAGCAUGUUGGCAGUGGCAUAAAAUGUUGAAAUACCAUAAAUAUUGAGUUGAUAAUAGCAUAAUUCUAUUUUGAAUUUUUUGAGAUAGUAGCAUAAAUAUUGAAAUAUUGACAGUAUAAUUGACAAUAGCAUAAUUAUAUUGAGCUUGUGAGUUCAUUAUUGGUUGUCUUGUUGUGAUUUUGCUGAGUUUGUGAUUUCAUUGUUUAUUGUCUUGUCGUGAUUCUGUUGCGUUUGUGAUUUUAUUGUUGGUUGUGUUGUUGUGAUUUUGUUGUGGGUGAUUGGGUGAUCUGACCUUAGUUUUUUAUAUUGUUUAAAAAAUGGAGACAAGUAGUAGACAACAUAGGGAGACUAGCCCUAGUCAUAGUCCUAGUCCUAUCCCUUCCAACAAUAAUGUUGUGAGUUCAAGUAAACCACCACUACCAGAUAAGAAGAGAGCUAGAGUCAUUACGAAGACAACUUCCACUGUAUGUGUAACACCCCGAUCUUUAAGGUAUCUUAUAUAUUUUUAAAACAAAAUUUGCAUUUUAGUUUGAAGAUUGAUUUAUUUUUAAAGAAAAGAAGUUAAGGGAGGAAGGGAAUUUAAAUGUUAUGAUAAUAAUAAUAAUAAUAAUAAUAAUAUAUAUAUAUAUAUAUAUAUUAAUGUGAUUGACUCAAAGCUACAUUUAUUAAAAUGUUAUCAACGACCUUCGAACUUAAGUGAGAUAGGUUGACUGUUAGAAUGUUGAGUGAAAGAACUUUAUAUUUUGAAGUAACUGAAAAAUGUCAUAAAUUACCGUAAAGAUGGUUAGAAUGGAUUGAGGGGAAAAAUUGUUAGUUUUAUUGGGAGGUAUGCCUUGUAGGUGUCCUACGGGAUCACCAAUUUCUAUGCGACCUUCAGGAGCAUUAGACUGAUAUGUGUUUCUGCAGAACACUAGACUGAAAUGUACGUCCCUCGGGGCGUUAGACUGAAAUGUGCAUCCUACGGGAUCACAAGACUGCGACUGUACAGGGUGUCCCAAUAGAAUGUUAACAAUUUAUUUCCCCCUGACGGGACCAGUAGAGGGUCUCUUACUGGGUACUUUUAUACUCACCCUCCUUAUGUUUAAUUUUUCAGGCAAAGGUAAUAAAGGCGGUAAACCGGCGAGGGGCAGGAAGGAAGCGUGACCGCCACAGGGGACACUUUAAAAUUUUGCUUCCGCUUAGUGAUUUAUAGUAUUAUUUGUAUUCGAACGUGAGACUGUUUAGAAAAUUUUGAGGUUUUAAAGUAUUCAAAGAUUGAAACUUUUUUAGUUUUAAAUUUUCAUGUGAAUUUUAGUAAUCUAAAACUGGGGCCCAAACAAACAAAAUAAAUUUUGUUCUUUGAGGUUUUAAAUUUUAAUUAAACUCGGUCUUUUGUCAAAAUUAACGAUUUUGACAUAGUUAGAAAAGUCGGGUCGUUACAGUAUGGGAUCACUUCACAAAGUUGGAAGAUAAUAGUUCUAGGUGCACAUGCAAUUAUUGUCAUAAAGAGUAUUGUUGUGAUACUACCUCAUGUGGAACUAGCACAUUAUGGAAGCACUUAAAAAAUCAAUGUAAAAGGUACCCAUAUAAGGAAGUAGAAACGGGACAAUCUAUUUUGAUCCUUCAACCUUCCACUGGUGGAAAAAGUGGUAGUAAUUUUGUGACUACUACUUUUAGUCAACAAUUAUGUAGGGAAGCAUGUGCUAAGCUGAUAAUUGUUGAUGAGUUGUCAUUCAAGUUUAUCGAGAAUGAGGGAUUUAGACAUUUUUGUAAAGUGGUUUGUCCUAAGUUUGACCCUCCUUGAUGAAAAGAAGAGAUUGAAAUCAUUCUUAGUUAGCAAUUCUCAAAGGGUAUGUUUGACAACUGACACAUGGACUUCUUUGCAAAAUGUUAACUACAUCGUACUCACAGCACACUUCAUUGAUUCAGAUUGGAUUUUGCAUAAAAAGAUUUUGAAUUUUUGUCAAGUUGCUAACCACAAGGGUGAUACUAUUGGAAAGCUCAUUGAGAGUUGUUUAGUGGAAUAGGGGAUUGAUAAAGUCUUUUCUAUAAUUGUUGAUAAUGCAAGUUCGAAUGAAGGAGCAAUUUCGUACAUUAAGAAAAGACUUAGAAGUUGGAAAAUCUUAAUUUUAGAAGGAGAAUUGUUACACAUGAAAUGUUAUGCUCACAUAAUUAAUUUGAUUGCAUGUGUUUGUAAUGUUGUACGUUAUGUUAGAUCAUCCUCUAAAAGCUUAUUGACAAAGUUUAAAACUUGUGUGGAGCUAGAGAAAAUUGAUUGCAAAGCUCUUGUUUGUUUGGAUGUUCCAACAAGAAGGAAUUCUACAUAUCUUAUGCGUGAUCAUGCACUUAUAUUUGAAAAAGCUUUUCAAAUAUUAGAGGAAGAAGAGUUGGAUUAUCAAGACUAUUUUUCAAUGAACAUGGGAAGAAGAGGAAUGGGCCACCAAGUAAUUCUGAUUGGAAAAAUGUUGAAGAUUUUGUCAUGUCUUUUAAAGUGUUAUAUAAUGUCACUAUAUAAUAAGAUUAGUGGUUCUUUAUAUGUGACUGUCAAUUCUAUUUUUCAUGAGAUGUGGAGGAUUAAUGAUCUUUUAAUUGGUUGGAGCAAUGAACAUAAUUCUAUUUUACGUAAUAUGGUUAUAAAUAUGAAGUCAAAGCAUAACAAGUAUUGGGGUUCAGUUAAGAAGAUUAACAAGCUUGUAUUUCUAGUUGUGAUGCUUAACCCUCGAUAUAAAUUGGACUAUGUUGGCUUUUGUUUUGAAAGUAUAAACGAUGAUGUUAUGGUUAAAGUUCUUGUUGAUGAAAUUGAAGCUUACUUGAUGUGAUUGUACAAUUGUUAUAAAUCACAAGUUGAUGGCUCUGACUUUCGUAAUGAUUUGAGUGGUCAAGAUGUUGUUUGUGAAUAAGUGGAAUCAAGUGAUAGUUUGAGACUAUUGAGUUUGAGAACGAUGGUGGAAACUGACGCGGGUUUUAGAGUAUUAUCACGCUACAAGAGAAGAAGACAAGAACAAAAUACUUUAGAAUUGAGGAAUGAUGUUGAUCGUUAUUUAUCUGAUCCUUGUGAGGAGCUAAACGAUCAGUUUGAUCUAACUGGGUGGAAAUUGAACGGGGUUAAAUAUCAAAUUCUAUCAAAAUUGCUCAAGAUGUUUUUGUUGUUCUGGUGUCUACUGUGGCUUCUGAAUCUGCAUUCAGUGCUGGAGGAAGCAUUUUGGAUUCUUUUAGGAGUUCCUUAUCACCUAAAACAAUGGAAGCUUUGUUUUGUACACAAAAUUAGGUCCGUGGCAAAACAACCUUAUUGGAUCUUUGUCGAGAGUUUGAAGAAAUGGAAAUUUAUGAAAAAUUUGAGAACGGUAAGUCUUUAACUUUCUUUUAUUUUUAUUGAAAAUUGUUUUCUUAUAUAGUUGUAUGACACUUUAUAAUUUUAUUUUGUGUUUUUAGAUAGUAUCAAGUUUUCUGUCAAGUCACAAACAUGAUCUAUGGGUUGGCAAUUUUCAUGGUAAUUUACUAAGUUGAAUACUUGUAUUUUCAUCAUUUCGUUUAUUUUAUAUAUUUAAACUACUUACUUGAUUUUUUUUUUUAAUUUGGAGGACAAAUUUAAAUGAUUUGGAUGCUUGAAUGGACUUCAAAUUUAUAUUUAGUUGUAUCUUGAACUUUAUUAUUCAUUUAUUAUUAAAAAUGAACUUCAUGAACAUUUAUGGGUAAUGUUUGGAUUUAUGUAUUUUAAGAACUUUGAAUUUAUUUGUGUAUUUUAAAAACUUUGAAUUUAUUUGUGUUUGUAACUUUGAAUUUAUGAAUGUUUCAAACUUUGAGUUUAUUUUAUUGUAUGAAAUUUUAAAUUAUGUAUGUUUAAAAUUUAAAUAUAACAAUUUAUAACUUUUAUAAUCAUUAAAAACUAGAAACGAAAAAAGAAAAAAAAAACUAUACAACCCGACAAUCCAACCCAACCCAUAUUUUACGGGUUGGGUUGGGUUAAAAACUAAAGAGUCUUUAACUCAUAUAGCCUAAUUUACCAUAGGAUAUUACAAAAAAAAAAAAAAAACAAAUUGCUAAUAUUUUACAUAAAUGUAUCAAAUGGGCCACAAUAUUACACAAAAAUAGGCCCAAAUUGCCAACAUAAGCUUAGCUCAACGAACACUUGUGUGUUCCUGUGAAAUUACAAAUAUGCCCAUAUAGUAGUUUUUUCACACCAUAUGCAAAAUUAUUUUAAAAUAGGAAAUAGGAGAAGAUCGUGGGUCAUUAAAAUAGGAAAGUGGUGGCAAGGUUUCUCACUUUCCAUAUUCAAAAAAUCAGAUUCAUUUCGACAAUGAAGGGUUUCGAGGAUUCUGUUUUUGACGGUGAAGAAGAAGGGUUUCAUCGAUUUCGACAGUGAAUUGGGAUCCGUUUUCGGCCGACCAGUUUCUCUAUUUUUCGACGGACGAAAAAUACGAUGUUAGGUUGUGUAUGUUCAAUAAACAGUAUACAUUUGGUAUAUUAGGUAGAUUAAAGAUAUUAGUCUGAUAAGGCAAUGAAAAAAAAAAUGAAAUUUUGCAUGUGUUAUAUCCUAGGGUUUAUUGAGGUUUCGGAGUGAAGAAGAACGUCGCAGGAGGGUUUUUUCCUAUAGAUAUUGGGUAUAACUUAAAUGUUCAUUUGGUAUAUGUUGAAUGUUCUAAUUGUUGAGCAAAUGCAAAAAUGUAAUUUUUAUUGUGACAUACUCUCGUGUUUAUUGAGAUUAUGAGUUUUAGAGCUCAACUGAAAUGUAGUUUGAGUUCAUUUGGUACUCUGAGUUUCUUUAGCUUAUUUGACAAUGCAAUGUGUUUUACAUAUGUUAAAUGUUGGUAGUGUAGAAAAUGGUAAGACGAAGUGAAAGAUGUCUUGGGUCACAUAUGUUCAUUAGCUACUAUUUCAGAUACUCUGUAACUAACGUAAUUGUUAGUUUCGUUGAAAAAACCAUCGAAAUAGACUGCAAUGCUGGUCAUCCUGACACACAAAUAUUACAACUAUAGGUUAUUAUAAAGUAUAAUUGUAAAUAAUAUAUGAUAUAUAUUGUAUAAAACAUCAACUAAAAGUAUUAUAUCUCACGGGUAAUAUAUAAAACUAAUAUAAAUGUAAAUAAUAAAUCACAUAUACAAAGUAUUAUAUAUUACGAUAAUAUUAUAAAAUUAGGAUAAUUGUAAAUAAUAUAUGGUAUAUAUAUUAUAAAACAUUAACUAAAAAGUAUUAUAAAUUACGGGUAAUAUAUAAAACUAAUAUAAAUUACGGGUAAUUUAUAAAACUAAUAUAAAUGUAAAUAACAUGUGAUAUAUAUAUAUAAUAAAUCACAUAUACAAACUAUUAUAUAUUGCGAUAAUAUUAUAAAAGUAGUAUAAUUAUAAAUAAUAUGUGGUAUAUAUUUACUAAAUCACAUCAGGAAACCAAUAUAAUGAGGGGUAUAUCGUUAAAAUAUACGAUAUAUAUGCAUAUGAUAUACUCUCAAUGAUCUAAUCAUAUAGUUAUGGUGUUUAACUAUUUAACUUUAAACGGGUAAAAAAACAAAUGACUUUCUGUGGAUAUUAUCUUAGCUUCAGGUGAUGGAGAAUUGAAUAUGUCGGUGACUUGUAAAGAAGAUGCAGCUUAAGGUUAUUACAAAUAUGGCUAUCGAAAAAUUGAUAAAACAAUGUAAUAAGAAGUUAGAAAUUUAUGAUUGAAUUUCUAAAAGCUUCAAUGGUGGACAAUAAUGACUGCCGGCAAUGAAGAAUAUUAGAUAGAAAUAUAUUCUUGGAAAGAAGAUAUAAAUAGGUUAUUACAAAUUAGAAUAAAAUUACACAUAUUAUAAUAUAUUUUGAUUUAUAGUUAAUUGGAAAGAUACUUAAAAUUUAUAAACAUAUUAAUUAAUCACAUUAAAUUUAGGAAGAUGUGGAAUUCAUAUUAAAUUCAAAUCAUUUUCAAUAAGGAAAAUUUUCAAAUAAUAUUAUGAAUAAAAUAUCUAAUUAAUAUUCAUAAUAUCUAAUUAAUAAUUAUUGAAAGGUUAGAAAUGCCUAUAAAAUGUUAUCUUUCCUAUUUAAGAAAAUAAUUUUCAAAUUAGAACAUUUGUGAAAUUUCUUAUUCAAUUAAUGUCUUUUGUUUAAAUCCUUCAAAACUAAAUUCGAGUUAUUCGGGUUGUCAACCUAAAUAACACGAAAAUAUGGGUUGGGUUGAGAAUGUCUCCCAACCCAACCCGAUUUCACCCCUAGUUGCCUUAUAGCCCAUUCUUUCAUGAUAGCUAUUGUUAAAAGCAUAUGAAUAGUAAUUGGUUUCACAACAAGGCUAAAUGUUUUAUUAUAGUUAAUAUUAGGUGUUUGGUGAAAGCCUUUUGCAACUAAACGGGCUUUAUACCUAGCAAUUGAUCCAUAUGAGUUUCUUUUAGAAAUAACUGUGAGAAUAGCAAACUAAAAAAUAACAAAUCUGAAAAAUAUUAAAAUUUUUGGCAAAACUAGUGGUUACAGAAUUUUUUGGAUUUUUUUCUACCCGUUUAUACCCUUUAAGUACGAUAAUACGUGUUUUUAGAUACAAUGUAUUAGUCAAAUAACACACAAUCACAAUCACAAAUACAGUGUAUUUCAAACUACAAUUAGUUUUAAAAAAUAUUAACUAAUUUGGAUCAACAAGAUUUCCCCAAUAUCUUCUAAAUAUAUGUCUAUAAUUCAUAACAAAUUUUCGGAUUUUUAGUAUUUAAAUCAAAUUAAUUAAUAUUUAUUUAUUUAAUUCAUGUUUAAUAAAGAUUCUCCCUACAAAAUUGCUAAAAGAAUUUCAAUCGUUCCUCAUUCAUUAGAUUUCAUAAUAGUUCGAAUUCAAAUAUUAUGAAAUCUAAUCCCUAAAACAACGACAAUCAUUACUUCAUUAUUUUCAUAUGAUAAUACAUAAUACCUAUGGUUAAUAAAGAUUUGGUUAUGAGAAUUUCAACCAUUCCCAAAUCAUUAUAUUUCAUAAUAUUUUGAUUUCAAAUAUUACAUCAUAUCCUUAAUGACAAGCAUAAAUUAAGCAUUUCGUAUUAUUUAUAUUUCAAGUUAUUUAAAGAAAAUUAUCAGAUAAUACAUAAUACGUAUAGUUAAUAAUAACUUAAAAGCAAAGUUUUAUCAUCACUACAAUCGUGCUAAUUAUGAUUAUACACUUAUUUUGAUUGAUUUUUAUUAAAACAAAAUAAUUUAUUGUGCCUCUUGUAUCGGAUAAUUAUUUUUCACGUUGUGUUUUUUAAUUAUGUUAAUAUUCAUAUUUAUUUUAAUUAGACGUUUUAUUUUGUAAUGUGACGUUUUAUUUUCAAUCAUCCUUGUUAUGCAUAUGUAAUCAAGAAGUAUAAUACGUGUGUUAUAUCUCGAUACAAGUAAUGAAACCAAAUAUCAUACCAGUGUAUUUGCAAACUUUUGAAAAAUAUUAACUAAUUUAAGAUAUUUUCGAGAUUGACAAGAUUUUCUCAUAUCUCCUAAAUUUAUAACUCAUAACAAUUUUUCGGAUUUUUAAUAUUCAAAUCAAAUUAAUUAAUAUUUAUUUAUUUAAUUCAUAAAACUUAUGUUUAAUAAAUAUUUUCCCUAAAAAAUUGUUAAAAGAUUUUCAACUUUCAUUUUUCGUUAGAUUUCAAAUAUUAUGAAAUCUAAUCCCUAAAAUAACGACAAUCAAUCAUCCACUAUUUUUAUAGGAUUUAUAUUUUAAAUUAUUUUUUUAAAAAAAUAUUAGAUAAUACACAGUUAUUUUAAUUUAUAUUUCAAAUUGUACACUUAUUUGACUGUUUUUUAUUUUUAAAAAUAAUUUAUUGUGUCUCGUUUAUUAAAGAAGUGUAUUUUGCAAACAACAUUCAAAUCUCGUAAAUGUUAACUAAAUUUGCUAUUUUGUUACUAGAUUUAUGCUAAUGGCAAAUAUAUAUACAAUACUUUCAAAUUUGUUAUAUUUUAAACAAUUUAUUAAAUAACACAUAAUAUAUAAAUUUUAAUAAAAAAUUGAAUUUAAAUUUUAGGAUUUAACUAUGCCUUAAUGAUAUUUUUGUAAUUAUUUGAAUCUUCUUCUUUUAGGUUUUAUUAGAGAAAAGAAAAGAAAGAGGUUAAGAGAGGGGCAACCGACAAGAGAUAAACGCAAUAUGAAAGAGAAUUUUUUUAUUGCAAAUAAGAGAGAAGAGCUGAAAUGAGUCUCGAAUGUAUGAACAACUCACCGAUGCGUAUCUUGCUAAGAUGUAUAUAAGUUUUGAAUUCUAUGGUAUAAUUUCAUGAUUUCAUCUUUAUUCUAAUAUCAACAAUGCUCUCCUUUUCAACUUGAAGCUUUCGGUUAUGGCUGUUCGAAAGGUGUAGAGCCAAAGCCUUUGAUUGAAUGUGUCUUAAUUUUGCAAUUACCCAUUUCAAAUGAAUUGCAUCUUUUGGACAUUGAAAUAGAUUUUAAAUUUUGCAAGCAUGAGGUAAAGCUUCCAAUUAAUGGCAAAUUUUCUAAUCUUUAUGUUUUUGUGAGAAAUUUUUUAUGUAGCAUAUGUUAUUUCAAUCACAAUGUAUUUGAGGUUUAGGUAAAUAAUUGUACUUUUUAUAUUGGAUAGGGGCAUUUGAGAGAUUGUUUCAUUUAUUUAUUUUUCUAAUUUUUAUGUUUUGCUAUUAUAACAAUUUAAAAUUAUUUUUGCUAUUUUCCCAAAGUAAAACUCAUAAUUUUCUAUUCUUCUUGACAAACCUUUCUUUUAAUUUUAAAAACUCAUUUACAUGGAACAAUUUUCCGAUUAAACUGCCUUGAAGUAAGUCUCCAUGUAUCAUUUUGUUUUAGUGCCUGAAAUUCUUCUACCAUAGCUUUCCUCUAGUGAGGAUGCUUUAAUGUUUCUUUAGCAUCACUAGGUUCAUUCUCAAUAUAAUCAAUUAAGAGUACUUUAGGUUUGAAAAUACCAUGUUUACUCUGGUUUAUCAUUGGAUGAGUAUCGAGUCUUGAUGAUUGAUUGUUGUUGUCUGAUCCAUCUUUGUGUUAUGAUGAUGUUUGCCUCUCACAGCUUUCUUCACUUAUUGGUUCUUUUGAAGAGUUAUUCUGAGUAGUCUUUAAAGGAUACACAAUAAUAGAAUUCAGAUGAUCAAUGUUAUUGUAAUGCCCCAAACUUGAAGAUAAAUUAUUUUGAGAGAAUUAUUUCGAAUUGUUCAAGAUUUUUUUAAAAAUAUGUUGAAGGAGAGAAAGAAGAUAUGAAAUGUAUUAAUAUAAUUAAAUAUAUAUAUGUAUUUAAUUAUAUUUUAUUAAUAUAUUUAAUUUACGUUUUAUUAAAUAAAAGAAAAGAAAAUGAAAAUUUUAAAUAUAUAUAUAUAUUUAUUUUAUAUAUUUUUUAAUAUAUUUAUUUUAUAUAUUUUUUAAUAUAUUUAUUUUAUAUUUUUUUAAUAUAUUUAUUUUAUAUUUAUUUUUUUAUUUUUUUACAUUUUUAUUUAAAUAAAAGAAAAGAAAAAGAAAACUUUUUUUUUCCCUUUUCUUCUUCCUCUCGUGCGCCGCCGACCGUCCCUCUCUUCUCCCGUUCGCAGCAAGCAGCCGCCGACCAUCCCUUCUCCUCUUCUCCUCUCCGUUCCGCCGGAUCGAGCCGAACUCAACCGCAACGUCUGUUUCUUCCUCCGUUCACCAAAGCCGAACCCACUUUCUUUUCUUCUUCGAUCCAAAACUGUCGCUGUAACCGUCGGCCACCGCGUAACUUUCUGUCCAGAUCUGCGUCGCCGUGCCCAGUCCUAACCGCCGCUGCAACCGUCUCCGCGCCAUUGCUGUGUCUCCGUCGAAGCCAAGGCCGCCGCGUGAACCAUUAACCGCCACGCCCUCCGCUCACAACCGUUGUCCAGAUCUGCAUCGCCGAGCCGUCCAGGUCCUCGCCGCCGCUCGUGCUUCACCCUUGCAGUUCGCAGUAGCCCAAAUCCGUCGCUGCAACCGUCGGCGCGGUUCGUGAAGCCCUGCCGCGCAACCUCUGUUUCCAGCCGCCGCCCAUUCCGUUCUCCUCUUUUUUCUGCACUGCCGCGCCACUCUCCGACCGCGUCUGUCUUCACCUCCGUGAAGUCGUCGACGCAUACAUCUUGUGAAGCCCGGUCGCCGUGUCAGAUCGAAUUUUGUGAGAUAUGUGUCGUGAAAGUAAUCGAAUUUUGUAUUGUUAUGCUUAGGAUUGUUUCGAGAACGUUAGUUGAUUAAGGAGCUUCCCUAACUUUGAGGUAAGGGAUUUUCUACCGGACUCACUUAUGAUUGUGAAUUGUAUGUCUGUAUAUGUUGAGAUUAUAUAUAUACACGUAUGGAUGUAGAUUCGGUGUUGAAUGUAUACUGUGGAUGACUGAAAAUAUAUAUAUACAUAUUUGAAGUAGACUUGAUGUUGAAUGCAUAUUGUGAUUGUCUUGGAAUAUAUAUAUAUGUGUGUGGAUGUAGACAGGACGAAAAUUGUAGAUUGUGUUUGUAUGAGAUGCGGAUGUGAACUUGUGAUUGUCGUUUAGAUGGGUGUACGUUACUAAAGUAUGACUGUGUGCUGGUGAACUGAGGGGUUAUGACUAUAGUUUGAUUGACUGACGUAUUAGUAUGUUAUUGACAGACAUUGACUAAAGUGAGAUAAGUUGACUGUUAGAACGUUGAGUGAAAGAACUUUAUAUUUUGAAGUAACUGAAAGAUGGUAUUGAAUGGAUUGAGGGGAAAAUUGUUAGCUUUUAUUGGGAUGUGUGCCUUGUAGGUGUCCCACGGGAUCACCAAUUUAUUCUGCACCUUCGGGAGCAUUAGACUGAUAUGUGUUUCUGCAGAACACUAGACUGAAAUGUACGUCCCUCGGGUUAGACUGAAAUGUGCAUCCUACGGGAUCACAAGACUGCGACUGUACAGGGUGUCCCAAUAGAAUGUUAACAAUUUAUUUUCCCCUGACGGGACCAGUAGAGGGUCUCUUACUGGUAUUUUAUACUCACCCUUCUUAUGUUUAAUUUUCAGGCAAAGGUAAUAAAGGCGGCAAACCGGCGAGGGCAGGAAGGAAGCGUGAUUGCCAUAGGAAAUGUGUUAUUUUGCUUCCGCUUAUUGUUUUUUUGAGGUUUAAGAUGUAUUGAAACUUAGUUUACAAACUUUUAUUUGUAAAUAGUUUUUUUUAAGUUUUUUGAAUAUUUGAAAAUCAGGCCUGACUUAAAUUGUUUUUCAAUUGGCUUACAUUUCAUUUUGUAUCAACCAAAGUCUUUUGUCAAAAAUUAACGACCUCGACUUACCUAGAAAAGUUGGGUCGUUACAGUUGGUAUCAGAGCCUAAGUUUUAGGUUCUGUAGACUGACUUACGAUGUAAGUCUAUGUUUUUGUCCUAUGGCUAACGCGACCCUUCGUCUCUCGUCAGGUAUGCUUUAUGCUUAUAUGUAUGGUUUAUUUGCAUGACUUUGCCUAAAUUAAACUAGAUUGCAUGACGAUAAAGACUUGCUUAUGCUUAUGAUUAAGACUUUUUAAAGAGUGUUGUUGGUGGAUAAUAGGAAUUAUGCCGCCAAAGAGAGGUGUACGUAGAGGAGGUCGUAGAGGUUAAGGAGCAGGAGGCCGGGAGAAUCGCCUACUGAGGGUCAAGCUGAAACAGCGAAUUCCUGCUUGCACUGCACCGUGACUCACGUCGAGUUUGAUGCACUGUCUGCUCACAUGGAGCAGAGGUUUACGGAACUUAUGACGGCUAUAGCUCAGAACCAGCAGGCACCUGCAGUUCCACCUGCACCUGUGGUUCCCCUGUACCAGCAGCUCCACCUGCACCAGCAGCCCCUCCUGCACAAGGAUUGGCUGCACAACAGCCGCAGAUAUUACCGAACCAACUUUCUGCUGAGGCGAAACAUUUGAGGGACUUUAGGAAAUAUGACCCUCAGACGUUUGAUGGGUCACUGGAGGAUCCUACUAAAGCUGAGUUGUGGUUGUCCUCUGUGGAAACCAUAUUCAAUUACAUGAGAUGUCCCGAGGAGCACAGAGUUCAGUGUGCUGCUUUUCUACUGAGGGACAGAGGCAUUAUCUGGUGGAGGACUACAAUGCGCAUGCUAGGUGGAGAUGUGAGGCAGAUUACCUGGGAUCAGUUUAAAGACUGCUUCUAUACCAAGUUUUUCUCGGCUAACCUUAGAGACGCCAAAAGCCAGGAAUUCUUGGAGUUGAAGCAAGGACAUAUGACAGUCGAGGAGUACGACCAGGAGUUUGAUAUGCUGUCACGUUUUGCCCCUGAACUUGUUGGUAAUGAUCAGGCUAGAGCUGAUAGGUUCGUCAAGGGAUUGAGAGAUGAGAUUAGGGGCUUUGUGCGAGCACUAAAGCCCACUACCCAGGCUGAAGCGCUGCGUCUGGCAGUGGAUAUGAGCAUUGGGAAGGAUGAAAUACGGCCAAGGAGCUUUGAUAAGGGAUCGUCGUCUGGUCAAAAGAGGAAAGCAGAGUAGAGAACUGUGGGAGUUCCUCAGAGGAACUUGAGACCAGGGGAUCCUUUUCGCAGUUUCCAGCAGAGUUCUGGCGGGGCAGGAGACACUACUCGAGAGAAGCCAUUAUGCAAUACGUGUGGGAAACGCCACAUGGGUCGUUGUUUGAUGGGAACGAGAGUCUGUUAUAAGUGCAAGCAAGAGGGACACAUGGCUGAUAGGUGUCCCUUGAGAUCUACUGGGGCUGGACAGAGCAGUCAGGGAGAGAGACCUCCACAGCGGGGUACAAUCUUUGCCACUAAUAGAUCAGAGGCAGAGAAGGCCGGCACAGUGGUGACAGGUACAUUACCAAUGUUAGGGCAUUUUGCCUUGACCUUGUUUGACUCGGGAUCUUCUCAUUCAUUUAUUUCACCGCUUUUUGUGACGCAUGCAUGCUUAGAGGUGGAACCCUUAGAUUAUGUUUUGUCAGUGUCUACACCGUCUGGAGAAAUUAUGUUGUCUAAGGAAAAGAUUAAAGCAUGUGAAAUUGAGAUAGCUGGUCGUGUGCUGGACGUAACCUUGUUGGUACUAGAUAUGCGUGACUUUGAUGUAAUUUUAGGUAUGGAUUGACUAGCUACUAAUCAUGCUAGUAUUGAUUGUUCUCGUAAGGAAGUUGUGUUCAGUCCCCCUACUGCAUCUAGCUUUAAAUUCAAGGGGGUGGGAACAGUAGUACUGCCUAAAGUAAUCUCAGCUAUGAAAGCUAGUAAACUGCUCAACCAGGGUACUUGGAGUAUUUUGGCAAGUGUGGUGGAUACUAGGGAAGAUGAGACUUCUUUAACUUCAGAACCUGUGGUAAGAGAAUACCCAGAUGUGUUUCCAAAAGAUCUUCCAGGACUACCGCCACAUAGAGAGGUUGAUUUUGCCAUUGAGUUGGAGCCAGACACUACUCCUAUUUCUAGAGCCCCUUAUAGGAUGGCUCCUGCUGAGUUGAAAGAACUGAAGGUACAGUUACAGGAAUUGCUUGACAAAGGCUUUAUUCGACCUAGUGUGUCACCUUGGGGUGCACCAGUAUUGUUUGUGAAGAAGAAGGAUGGGUCGAUGCGUCUUUGCAUUGACUAUAGAGAGUUGAAUAAAGUAACAGUCAAGAACAGAUAUCCUUUACCAAGAAUCGAUGAUUUGUUCGAUCAGUUACAGGGAGCCACGGUGUUCUCUAAGAUUGACUUACGGUCAGGUUAUCACCAGUUGAGGAUUAGAGACCGUGAUAUUCCUAAGACUGCUUUUCGUUCGAGGUAUGGACAUUAUGAAUUCAUAGUAAUGUCUUUUGGUUUGACUAAUGCACCUGCUGUAUUUAUGGAUUUGAUGAACAGGGUGUUUAAGGAUUUCUUAGACACUUUUGUGAUAGUCUUCAUUGAUGAUAUUUUGGUUUAUUCCAAGACUGAGGCCGAACAUGAGGAACACUUACAUAAGGUGUUAGAGACUCUUCGAGUCAAUAAACUGUAUGCUAAAUUCUCUAAGUGCGAAUUUUGGUUGAAGUAGGUGGAACGAAGAUAAAAAUUUACUAAAUUUUCAUUUUAUUCAUGUUUGCAUUAGCAUUGUGGACACGCUUCAAAACAUUUGUUAUAACAUUUGGGUGGGGAUGACCUAAUUCUUGGGAUUUAUGUCCUAAAACUCAUAAAUUGUAAAUAUAAUUCAUUGACCAUUAUUUAUUAAUAAAAUGUUGUUAUUUCAAUAAGCGUUAUUGAUUAUAUUAUUCGUUUUGUCUUAAUAACCUAAAUUCAAUAACUAUCAUCCUAAUCUAUUUGAUGAGUCUUGAACAAUAUGUAGUAUAGGGAUAAGGCUGGGUACCUUAUCUUGGUAACACUAUGGAUACAGCUCACUUUGUAUUUGAUACAAAUGCAGUGAUAAAACGUGUUUGCGUAGGUGAAAUGCGAGUGAAGGGUAAUAUGCAAUGAGUUUGCAUAAGACCGAAUCAUGAAAUAGUAACCGCUAGAUGUAACUCCGUUAACUAGUUAGCUUUCCAUUUUAUUAGGAUGACAAAAGUAACUUAGUCUUAAUCCUGAGUGUAUUAUGAACUCUUGUUUGUGAGGGAUUAUCCUUUGAUCUGUACGGGUGAGAGUGGUUAGAUUGUCGACUCAAUAUGCUUAUCAUUUUGGGGACAAGACCAAAUAGGGAGCUGGAAACAUAAUCACACAAUAUGGAUUCACCCUUUCCUGACUUUAGGGUAAGUAUAUGAAUAUUCUCUUAAAUAGUGUCUCCGGGACUUGAACAAAGGAGCUUACCCUCUUUAUGGUAUGAGAGGGGUUUAUGUUUAUUGGUUGGACCAUAAAAAAAUUGUUCAUUAGAGGAGCACUGAUAUUUAAGGACUAGAAGUAACCUAGGGGCAAAACUGUAAUUUGAUCCAAUUGGUGUUACGAACACUCGUGAAUGACUAACUUACUGGUAUUGGUCUAUAUCCGUGGACAUAGAAAUAUAUCUACAGUAAGAAGAGUUCAACUGUGAGUCUUUAGUGAAGUGUACACACACAGUUAACAAAUUAAUUGGUUUAAAUGAAUUUUUUAUUAAAUAUGAUUUAAUUAAUUAGUUAAUUUCAUAUUUCUAUUAAUUUGAUAUUUUAAAUUAAUAGAAUCUCAUGAUUCUCUCCAACCUUCUGAAGGAGAGAGAGUUAUAAAUACGCAAAAGAAAACAAGUUUUUCAACCUAAGCUUUUGUCUCUCUGCAAAUCCUAUCAGAGAUUCUAUGAAAAACUUUUUCACAUUUCAAUUGGUUCUCACAAACCAAUCUCAUCCCAGAUGAUAGGAAAGUCUCUGAUGGUGACGUCAACGAGACUAUAUUACUCUAUUAUGUAAUUCUCUAAUCUAUAAUUUGUUUAAUUAUGUUUAACCUUAGUUUAAAUUAUAAGAAAAUUUGUUUCUGUACAUAAUUUUAAGUUCCUAAUUAAAUUUGAAAAUGUCUUUGCAAAAUCUUUUGCUGACAAUGACUUUAAUCUCUUCACUAAUCUCCUAUGCCAUAUAUCAAUAGGAUUCAUAUGAUAAUUGGACAAGACGUACAAUAGUUAAAAUAUUAGUGCUAGUGUUGGUUUCAGACUUCAAACCAUCAUUUAACUGUCCUUGGAGAAGUAUUUGUCCAGUUCCUUCAUCCUUCUCAUAACAUAGGUUAGGGCGAAAUUCAAAGAGACAUGAAGUAAAUUUUAAGUGCUAAAGAUUUAGAUAGAACAAAUAAUGAUGAAUUCAAUUGGAAUGAACCACAAUGAAGUAUUGGCAAACCUAAAUAUGAUUAACCAAAUUUUGAAUCAAGAACAAUAGAAAACAAACAUAUUCCAAUAAUUCAACAUGAAUUUCAUGCUCUGAUACCACUUGUUGGCAUAAAUACUUUAAAUCUAUAUAAUAGAUUAACCCAAGAUCAUUUAUGUCAAAUUGUUAAGAAUAAGUUAUAUACCAGGUUUCAUUGAUGAUGGCUAUAAAAUGGUGAUUGUCUGAUGGCUACAAAAUGACUAUUGUCUUCCUCAACUAAAACCCCUUAGUGAGAUCUUUCUCUUGAUGAGAUACAAGAAAGACUCGGUGCUUAUUGUUUUGAUAUAUUGGGAACCAUAGCCCUAAGUCGCUUUAUAUACUAAUUCAAUUAUGAUCCCCAUUAAACCUUAAUCAAUCCAGGAAUAGACUUCUACUAAUUUAAUUCAUACUCAAUUAGAAAUUUUAGAUCUUAAUUAAAUAUAACCCAAUAUGAUAAAUUAUUAAUUUGCAUACAUAGCCACACUUUAAUUAUACGUAACAUUUAAAUACGUCUAACAAAUAACAUACUCCUAACGACUUCAAUGAAGUAGGUUUAAGAUUAUUAACACAGUAGCCAACUAAGUUUUAGAGUUAUAUUAGGAUAUUGGGUAGGUAAAGUUCUACUAUGAACUCUUUUAAUUAACUGAUCUUAGUAAUUGUUGUAUAUUAGUCUGAGAAUCUUGGAAACUUUCUACUUAUAGUUCUAGAUUGAUGGAAGUGUUUGAAUAGCUAGAGAUUUAAGUUUGUUUUGUGAACCUAUCUCCUAAAUAAUCCUUUUUUUUAAAUAAGAAGAUUAACACAUUAUUAUUAUUAUUUAACAUACUUACUUUUUUCUCCUCAUGAGGUGACUAAGUUCAACAGCUCAUUCAUUUGAAAUAGAAUACUAAAGAAAAAGUGCCAAUAUUUUUGUAGUAAUAAAAGAAAAAUGCAACCAUAAAGUCAAACUAUUCUCAUGCAUUACAUUACAUAAUAUAUAAAUAUGAUAUUAAUCUCAAGUCUUUAAAUAUAUUAAUCAGUAAUCUGAAGACUGAGGCAAAUAGAAAUUACCCGCCGGGGACUCAAAAUCACCGGCGCCGACGUCGGAAACCGUCGGCAUCGAACCCAACAUCGGAUUAUAUAUAUAAUCACUGCUCGAAUCAAAUCCCAAACACGACCCGAUUCCAAUUGAUGAUUGAUCAAAGCAUUCAAAUCCAACGUUCUGCGAUUCCAUCACACCGUAAUUAUUAUAAUCACAAUCCACCGAUUCCGAGGAAAUCGCCGGGAGAAAUGGCGGAAGCUCAGCGCUGGCGUCGUAAUCGCCGGAGAUGAUUCCGGAAAGGGAGUCUCCGGCGGGGGGAAUUGGUGGAGAAGAGAGGGAGGAGUGGGUGGAAGCAGAGGAAGAAAACAGAGGAGGCUGAUUGGGGUGGUGAAUGGAGGCAGAGUAGAGUGGGGGAGGAGGGGGCGGAGAGUCGGAGUAGAGGAAGUUGGUGCGAGCGAGGGAGCCGCGGAGGGAGCGGGCAGCACGGUCGUAGGCAAUGGCGGCGUCCUCGGCGGUGUCGAAGGUGCCGAGCCAAUGACGCUCUUUGGUGGAAGGAUCUCUGAUCUCGGCGGCAUAUCGACCCCAGGGUCGUCGACGGACUCCGAGGAAACGGUGGGGCGUAGAUUCUGCGGGGGGCGGGGGUGGUGCUUUCUUUUGGGUUUGGAGGGCGAUGGACUCAUUUGUGUAAGAGAAGAAGAAGGUUUUAAUGUGUUUGGUUUGCUGAGAGUUGAAGUUGCAUGAAUGAUGUGGGGGUUUAUAUAUACACAAAGGUCAAUUAAGCAUCGCAUCUUGUGAGUUUUUCUUCUUUCCUUUUGUAUUUCUUAUAAUGUUGUAGUUUUAUCACAACUUACAACAAUUCUCUUUUCUUCAUUUUACUCAUAUAUAUAUAUAUAAAUCUUUAAUGUGGAAGCAUAAUCAACCGACUUCAAUCAAAUAAAUCUUUUUUUUCUCCAAAAUUUAAAUUUAAAUCUAUCCCAUCUUCCUAUACUUUAUUUAUUUAUUUCAAAUAAAAAUCUUGAAGUAAAUUAGAUGAACCACGUGGAGUAGACUAAAAAGAAUAUAAAACUAACAUAUUAAUGUUAACAUCCAUCACAAAGUAAUAUAAACUAGAAAAAUAAAGUCAGUACAAAACAUUUAUAAAAUAAACUCUACGAAACUACGUAUAAAUAUUCCAACGUAAUGAAUAACAAAGCCCUCAAAGAAGAAGAAAGAAAGAAAAAAGCAUUUAAAUGAAUCACAAAAUACUCCAAACUUGAUACACUAAAACAAAGUGACUUUUUUUUGUUUUUUAAUAAAAUAUCAAUUUAUCAUCUAGUCGUCACUUAAAAAUUAAAACUCUAGAUUAUUUAGAAUGGAAACUAAAAGACAUUUUGAAAGUUGAAGAACUAAGCACAUAAAAAAAAUUUAAGUUCAAAAAAAAAAAAAAAAAAACGAAGAUAAAAAUUUACUAUAUAUUUUGUAUGUUAUUAUAAAAUGUAAAUAUUUUAUUAAAAUUACCAUUUUUUACCGUAUAUAUAAACCCUUAACUUUAGUUUUUAAAAAAUAAAAUACUCCAAUCAAAUAUUGUAGAGGGUGAUAAAAUUGCAACUUUUAAAACAAUAUUGGUAUUUUUAGAUGAAGGUAAGUAUUUUUAUACUUUUUUUUUAGUACUCCUUGAUUUGAAACAAAAAUAGUCUCUAGAGUUCAAUAAGUAUUUAUUUUGGAUAUUUUUAAAAAUAAUAAAAUAUUUAAACUAUUUUUUCCAAAAAUCCAUCUCUCUUUUUUAGUUAUAUUUUGUAAAUAUUUUUUUGUGCUAUUUAUCGCCACAACGCUCCUAAUUAUUAUUUUAUAAGAAUUUAAAUGGAAAUUUGUCAAAAAUGAGAAAUUUGACAAAAUAUUUACAAAAUGUAGCAAAAUUUUAGGUUUUGUCCAUGAUAGACAUUGAUAGACAAUAAUAAAAAUUUAUCAGUAUCUAUUAAUAGAAUCUAAAAUUUUACUUUACAUUUUAUAAAUGUUUAAGUUUAUUUUACUAUAUUUAAAAAUGUUACUCUUUCAAAAUUUUAUUAACAUUUAGAUAAAGAAAAGUAAAUAUAUAUUGGAAGGAACUUAAUUACCUCCUUAGUAACUCUUUUCUUAGAAAAAUAUGGUUAAAUUUUCAGCUUACACUGUAUAUGUUAAAUAUACAAUUGUCCAAGACUAAUCAUUAUACUUUUAAUGGUUAACAAAAGUUGUCCAUAUUAUAGUUUAUUGCAUUAAAUAUAUAGUGAUCGUGACAAUUAUACCAUUAAAUAAAAAGAUUAAAUUUUCAAAUUUAUAUAAAUGUUAACCUUGAAUUCUCACACUUAAGUAAAAAAGAAUAAGAAACUAUAACUAUAAUAAUUAGUGUGCAUAAGUUUCAACAUUCAAUAUUUUUAUCAAUUCAAUGACUCAAAUUUAGCAUAUGUUAGAAAGUUGAGAAUCAUAUUUUUAUCCUUCAAAAUUUGAAGCAUUAUUAAUUUUGAUAUAAGAAAAUAAUUUUAAAAGGGACAUUUUUAAAUAUAUAAUUUAAUAGAGUAAAAUAUUAACAAAAAUUUAAGAUUUUAUCAAUAAUAGAUAGAAAUUUUAUCGUAAAAUUUUUUUGUUGUAUUUUAUGAAUAUUUUCAACCAUUUAACAUUUACUAUCAUAAAUUUUUUAUUUAAAAACAGAAAAUUAAAAUAAAAGAAACUCAAUUAUAAGACUAAAAUAUUAAUUGAACAUAUAAAAAAAACUUAUUAUUUUAGUAAUAAUAAUGAAUAGUAAAUUAAGAAAGAGAGCACAUUUUUGUUAGCCAUACGUGUCAUUAUCCACAAAAACUCAGAAUUCAAGUCUUCAGGGGAACCUAUACCAUUGAGCUAUGUAUAAAAUUGAGAAAUAUAUUUAUGUAUGUAUUAAAAUGUUGUAUUCUUUUUUUAAAAAUACACGUGUUAACUAAGUUUUAACAUGUUAAAAUAUAUGUAUAUAUAACUUUAAGAUUAAAUAAUAUAAAAUUGAAAACUAUAGGGUUAUAAUAAUAUAAUGAAAAGAAAUGGUAGGGGGUGCUUGAGUUAGGUAUAAAUGUUUUUUAAAAAAUAAGAAUAAUAUAUAUUAUAUAGUUUAGGUGUAGGCAUGCAUGCAUGUGCUUCCAUUUUGACUGAUGAGACAAAAGUGCAAAAUGAAUUCAGCAAUCAUAUGCUCCACGCACUCUUCUCUUACUUCCAUGCUUUCUUCUUCUUCUUCUUCUUUUUUUUCUUUUCAUUCUUUUUUGAAUUAUUAGUGUUUGUUUGUGUGUGUAUAUAUAUAUAUUAUUGGUUAUAUUUUAAACUAAAAGAAACAGUUUCUAUAUUUUCUAGAUUCUCCAAGUAAAAGAAAUAGUUAACUUCGAUGAUUUACUUCGUGGGUGUUGAAGGCAUAUACUAAAUCAUAAUAACUUACCUUCUUGAGUGUGAUUAAACCUAAACUUUAGUUUUCUAAGUGUUAUUUAACUUAAAUAAUAUAUGUGAUUUGUAUUGAGUAUUUGAGUGUGAUCUACAUCCAUGUUAGAAUUAAAUACAAAUAAAAUUUCUCUCUCUAUUCUUUUGUAAAGUCAAUCUAAAAAAGAUAAAAAUUUGUGUGUGUCUUAAUUCUAUGUAGAUGGGUUGCAUGUGAAUCAAUCAAAAAGACAUAUAUAGAGACAAAAGGGUUUCUUUUUAAGAAAACGAUGAGUAGCUAAUUGAUCAUAGCCAUAUUAUAAUAAUUCAAACUUCAAAUUUGCAUUACAUUCACACUUUGACCAAAUGUCCUUUAUAAUUACAUUAAGCCUUACUACACUGUGUCUAAUAUUAUGUAUUAAUAUUCUCCGAUUUACUCCUUCAUUUUUAGUGAAUAUUAAAAUUGAGUUAUCAUAUAUUUACUACCUAUAUCUUAGAUUUUAAAUAUUGAUAUCAAUAAAAAUAUCACGGUCCUAGUUAGGUUCUAUGAAAAUAUAAAUGAAAAUGUUGGUGUCAAAAUACUAUAAGAUUUUGUGGAAAUUGCUAUAACUAGAUAAAGUUAAAUAUAGACUAUAAACCAACUAUUUUUAAUCAUCAUUUUUAUGGAGGUAAAAUUUUGAUCAAAGGAAAAAGUUUUCGACCUCUACGUGAUAACAAUGGUAAAUUUAUAAUUUAGGAAAGAGAUGACUUUAUGCCUAAGUUUCAUAAGAGAACUAAAUAAUAGUGAAAAAGACAAAAGUUCUUAAGUACUUAAAUAUGAAGUCAUAAUCUCGUAUUUAUAGGAGAAUUGAUUAAUGUUUAUCUUAGUUCAACUAGCUAGAACUAGGAAUCAAAUAAAUUAGGUUAUCUUGCAAGCUAAAUGGAUUAGGAUAUGUCCACCGUUCAUCAAAUUUUGAGGCUUCAUCUCAACUUCAUUCUUGGUCGAAGUCGAUGUUUAGAAGGUUGGUUUGAGCUAUCUAAACCAUCCUUUUCUCAAGGUCCAAAGAAGUUAUAGGAAGCACCAUUCUACAAACAAAUUAAAAGGUCGGCCUUGACCUUAUCCUUGAUCGAGGCCAUGGUAGAUUGGGCUACAUUGGCUAAAAGCCUGGUCUAUUUACUAUUGUUUUUUGGCUCGAUAACUUCCUAAGUGAGUUUUUGGAGUGUAGGAAAAGGUCUGCAAUACUGCUUGAAAGACUGGGGAAGCAGAAGAUUGAUGUUCUAUAUUCUGGUUUGCUUAUUAGUAUUUUGUUGUUCGGAAUUUUGGAUUAGGAGGUUUUGUUUGUUUGAUGUUUGUGAAUUAUAUGUAACGUGACUCAUUUUCUGAGGUUCACGGUUUGCUUAUGUUGUAAGUUGUGUUUGAAUUAUCAAUAUAAUAGAAACACUACAUCAGUGUUCUAUCAGGAUGUCAUCCUUGGAAUGCAAUGGCUGCACACGUUGGGGUAACUGAAGUGGAUUGGCGGAAACUCACUUUAUCUUUCAUACAAAAUGAAAAGAAUGUUGUUAUAAGGGGUGACCCGAGUUUGACAAAGACUAGAGUGAGUCUAUAACACAUGAUGGAGACAUGGACACCAUCUGAUUAAGGUUUCUUGACAAAAUGUUGAGCUAUGGAGGGAGGAAUGACAUUUACCGAACUAUAUGGAAUUGAUGAUGUUCCUACAUUUCAAGAGUUACUACCAGCAGACAAUUUUGGCUAUCCUAAAAAUCCAGCAACAAAGAAGUGGGAAGUGCUUGUUAGUUGGAAAGGAAUACCACCUCAUGAGGCUACAUGGGAGAACUGUGAUGAUUUUACACAAAAGCUUCCUCAUUUCCCACCUUGAGAACAAUGUGUCUUUGGAGAGGGAGAGUAAUGAUAGACCACCAAUUGCAAUACAAUAUAGCAGAAGAAAGACAAGUGGAAUUGCACAUGCACAGGUGAUGGAAUUGGAGGAAGUGGAAACCACCUUAGUGGGGACAACAGUUAGUUAUAGGGGGAGGUUAAAAGGGAGAGAUGGAAGGAAAGAUGGGGGUUGGUUAAUCAGUUUCUGGAAGUGGAGGGGCUGUAUUUUCUGGAGAGCAGAAUUACAGAAGUUGUUCAGUUACUUUAAUCUUAGAAAGUGUUUUCCAUUAUCCUAAACUACUUUUGAUGUUUGAAUGUUUUAUUUUAUACUUGGUUAUUGUCUGUAAUAGUACUUGUUUGUUCGAUGUUUUAAAGACUAGUUUGAGUAUUGUAUUCUGUAAUAGUUUGGUUGCUUAAUGAACAAAUAAGAACCAUUACUUGGUGUUCCAUCAGCUUCUCAAUCAAGCAUACACAUCUCAAUAAGGUAUUAUACAUGCAAUCAAACAAUCACAACAUACAUACCAUUUACUCAAAACGACCUAAAACAUGCUCAAAACGACCUAAAACGUGCUCAAAACGUGUCUAACUUUCACUGCAACUUUCAAAACAACCUAAAAAAGCUUACGUGCAGGUUCGUAACUCAUAACCUACAAAAAAAGUUCAAAUAUCGUGAAAAAAGCACUACAAGACCCAAAAUGGCAACCAAGUGUGUAAGUGCAACAAACUUAGUUCAAACCAACCUAAAACGUGCUCAAAACGUGUCUAGGUAUUACUUGAGUUUUCAAAACGACCUAGCAAAUCCUAAGGGUAAGUUCGUAACUCAUAAUCUACCAAAAAGGUUGAAAAAAGCAUUUCAAGACCAAAAGUGACAACCAUGUGUGUAAGAGCAACAAACUCAAUCUAACCUAAAAUGUAUUCAAAACGUGUGUAAGUAUCACUUGAAUUUUCAAAACGACCCAGCAAUGCUUAACUGUAAGUUUGUAACUCACAACGUACCAAAAUUUCAAAAAGUGUGAAAAAAGUACUUCAAGACCCAACAUGUCAAUCAAAUGUGUUUAAAACUUAGUGUCAAACCAACCUAAAACGAGUUAAAAACGUGUCUAAGUAUCACUUGAACAUUUAAAAUGUCCUAAAACAGCUUACGUGUAGGUUCGUAACUCAUAACCUACGAAAAAAGUUCAAAUAUUGUGUAAAAAGCACUACAAGACCCAAAAUGGCAACCAAGUGUGUAAGUGCAACAAACUUAGUUCAAACCAACCUAAAAUGUGCUCAAAAACGUGUCUAGGUAUUACUUGAGUUUUCAAAACGACCUAGCAAAUCCUAAGUGUAAGUUUGAAACUCAUAAUCUACCAAAAAUGUUGAAAAAAGCAUUUCAAGACCAAAAAUGACAACCAAGUGUAACAAACUCAAUCUAACCUAAAAUGUAUUCAAAACGUGUGUAAGUAUCACUUGAAUUUUCAAAACGACCCAGCAAUGCUUAAGUGUAAGUUUGUAACUCACAACCUACCAAAAUUUCAAAAAGUGUGAAAAAAGUACUUCAAGACCCAACAUGUCAAUCAAACGUGUGUAAAACUUAGUUUCAAACCAACCUAAAACGAGUUCAAAAUGUGUCUAAGUAUCACUUGAACUUUCAAAACGACCUAACAAAUAUUCAAUACAAGUUCAUAAGUCAUAACCUAGCAAAAAGUUCAAAAUUUUUAAAAAGACACUCCAAAACCCAAAAUGUCAAUUGUGUAACUGCAACGAACUUAGUUCUAUACAAACCUAACAAGUAUUCAAAACACGUAUAAGUUUUCAAACAACCUAACAACGCUUAAGUGUAAGUUUAUAACUCAUAGCUUACCAAAAAUUUCAAAAAGUGUGAAAAAAAAUCUUUCAAGACUCAAAAUGGCAACCAUGGCUAUAUGUAAAACUAACUUAGUUUGUAACAACCUAAAAGGUGUUCAAAAAAUGUUUAAGUAUAACUAGAACUUUAAAAAACGACCUAAUAAUGCUUUAGUGUUACUUCAUAACUCAUAACCUACCAAAAAGUUCAAAAAAUGUAGAAAAAGCACUCCAAAAUCCAAAAUGGCAACCAAGUGUGUAAGUGCAACAAACUUAGUCUCAACUUUAAAAUUAGUGCGAGUUGGGAAAUGUAUUAACUCAAGCAUGAUGUACAAACUUGAAACGACUUAAAUAUUUAUUCACCAUCACAUAAAAACAGUAAUUAAAUAUAGAUAACAUGUGUAAAUAAAGGGAGAACCACCUUUCUAGCAGUAGCUUUAGAGUAAGACCAAACACCAUCCUCCUACUUGUAAAUCUGCUCGAUUGUCUACUUUGUUCUACACUCGUCAUUUCACCGUCUCAGGCCAUCCAUUGAAUUGGCCACCCAGCCUUGGCAUACAAGAGUAUGUCUCAACCUGUUAACAAAUACCACUAAAACUAAGCAAGACAAGAAAAAAGUUUUCAAAAAAUUACCUAACUUUUAGGUCUUCAUGUGACCUUUAAGUUUUUUUGUCUUCUCCUUCAACUCUUUGACAGAUUGCUGAAAUUAUGUGUUUCUGCAAUGUGUACCAGAACAUGAAAGAUUCAUUACGAAAAUAAAUAUCAUGAAUACAAACCAUGAAGAAAUACAAAAAGCCUCUUCAUUAAGCUGAAAAUGAGUAGACAACAAAAAAGAUAAUACAAAGAAGCCCUAGGAUCAGCUAGUGCACGUGGACAUCUCAUCUAGGUUGACACCCACUUAGCAUUCUCACCAUAUCGAGACUUAAACCAAAAGACUAAACCAACGACAAGAUUUAGAAUAGAUCAUACAAACUGCCCAAUAACUAUACAACAUAGAUUUAAGACCACUAGAAAUCCAAAAGAAAUAAAAUAAGAGUGCAGUAGUGGACUAAGAAUUAAAAAUGAAAGUCGGCCAAUUAUGACUUAUAUCUUGUAUGGAGAAAUCUUUGAAGUUUUUUGAAAGAGAGCAUCAAGUAGAAGCAUUGAUUCUAGCCAUUUCGACUCGAGUUGUCCAAGAGGAAGCUUUAUUUUGAAAUGUUAGUUGAUUAUGUUAAAACCAAAUUUCUGGUAAAAUGGCCUUUACUGCAUUUAACCAAAUCAAUCUUGGUUUCUUCUUGAGAAUGGGACAUGAAAUAAGCUGGACCACGUUCUCCUAAAUCUAUAGUCGAAAACCCAAUUCAAAUGAAGAUAGCCAAGUAAGCCAAACCAACACUUCUUUGCAUGUAAGCAGGAGAAGAAAAUAUGAUGUAAAUCUUCUAAAGCAUGCAAACACAAGGGACAAACAUGAGGAGAUAAACUGAGAAAGGGAGGUUUCAUUUGCAAAACUUCUGCACAGUUCAUAGUCCAUUUCGCAUUCUCCAAAGCGUGAUAUUCACUCUGUUGGUGAUAUAUAAUUAAAUUUGCCUUCAACCACAAGCUUAAGCUUUUGGAUGAAUUGGUGGUUUAAUAUGGUAUCAGAGCAGGUGCUCCAGGGAGGUCAUGUGUUCAAGCCCCUGCAUUGUCGUUUCCUCCCCAAUUAAAAUCAAUUUCCACUUGUUGGGCCUUUCAAAUAUUUCAAACCCAAAAGUGAGGUAAAAUUUAUUCCACUUGUUGGGCCUUUCAGAUAUUUCAAGCCCACAAGUGAGGGGGAGUGUUGGUGAUAUAUAAUUAAAUUUGCCUUCAACCACAAGCUUAAGCUUUUGGAUGAAUUGGUGGUUUAAUACACUCUUCUAGGGCUUUUUGUCUUCCAAAUUGUCGAGUACUUUGUUUUCAAGACUGUGUUAGAACCUGUUUUCUGUAAAUGUUUGGCUGAUUAAUAAAUUAGUAGAACACACUAUUUGGUGUUCUAUCAUUUUGGUAUCGGAGAAAUCGAAUCUGUGAAGUUCUAUUAUCAUGGCUCAAAAGCGAAUUGAGGAAAAGUUGGAAAUGGUAGAUCAAGAAAUAUCCGGCAUUCGAGCAGAAUUACAUGAUCUGCCAACAAUCAAGGAAAACAUGUCAUCUUUGGCGAAGAGUAUUGAGAGGUUAGGAGUACAGGCUGAGAAGCAACAACAGCAACCAGAAACACUGUUGAAAUAUAUUGAAGGAAUGAUCAAAGGGAAGACAACGAUGGAAGAAGUACUAGAAGGAUCAUCAAGUGAAGUUGACAGCAUGGUUGAUGUCAGUUAUUGGACGAUGAUGGGAGGAAAAUCUGAGGAAAAACAUACCAAGUUGGAGGGUGAAGAUUCUGCGGGUGACCGAAGCAAAUUUAAAAAUAUUGAAAUGCUAGUUUUUGUGGGAAAUGAUCCUGAUUCUUGGUUGUUUAGGGCUGAGAGAUACUUUCAGAUACACAAACUGAGUGAGUCAGAGAAAAUGACUGUGUCCAUUAUUAGUUUUGAUGGAGCAGCUUUGGAUUGGUAUAAAUCUCAUGAAGAUCGUGAACCGUUUGUUAAUUGGGACGAUUUAAAGAAGAGACUUAUUGUUUGAUUUCGAUCGAGUCGUGAGGGAUCAAUUCUGGGAAGAUUUUUAAAGAUCAAGCAAGAAAUUACAGUGGAAGAAUAUUGGAAUUUAUUUGAUAAAUCAGUAGCACCAUUGCCUUUUCUACAAAAGGCUGUCUUAGAAGAAACAUUUAUGAAUGGUUUGAAACCAUGGAUUAAGGCAGACAUGGAAUGUUGGGAACCUAUGGGCUUUGCUCAAAUGAUGAAGUUGGCCCAAAAGAUUGAGAACCGAGAAGUGAUAAGGGAGAAUCAAGUUUCAAACGUGCAGCGGAUGGAAAAUUCCAGGUUUCUGCUUCUUUUAAACCUCAAAUUCCUGUGAUUUCUAAUGAUAAUAAGUCAGGAGGGAUUGUUCCAAUGCGGAUGAUUACACUUCGAGGAGUGGCUGGUGAACCUAAUCGACGAGAAGGACCACUAAAACGACUUUCUGAUGCUGAAUUUCAGGCUAGACGUGAGAAAGGUCUCUGUUUUCGUUGUGAGGAAUGAUUUUUUGUGGGCCAUAAGUGUAAAGUGAAAGAUCAUAAGGAACUUAGAGUUUUAGUUGUUGGGGCAAAUGGGGAAGAACUAGAAGUAGUUGAAGAAGAGGAUUCAAAAGUGGAAACUGAAAUACAGGAGACUGAAGUUGUUAAACCAGAAGAACCCGUGAUCGAAUUAUCAAUAAAUUCGGUGGUGGGAUUAACAAACCCUGGAACUAUGAAAAUUAAAGGUAUGAUUAGAGAAAGGUCAGUAGUAGUAUCGAUAGAUUGCGGCGCGACCAAUAAUUUUAUAUCUGAAAAGUUAGUAACUCAAUUGUUGUUGCAGUUGCAGGAAACUUCUGAUUAUGGGGUUAUUUUGGGGUCUGAAUCUGCUGUAAAAGGGAAGGGAAUUUGUAAACAAGUGGAACUGCUAUUGGGUGAAUGGAAGGUUGUGGAUAAUUUUCUGCCAUUGGAAUUGGGGGGGAGUGGAUGUCAUUCUUGGUAUGCAAUGGCUACAUACAUUAGGAGUAACCGAAGUAGAUUGGUGAAAACUUACUUUGACAUUCAUACAAAAUGGGAAGAAGGUUGUAUUAAGGGGAGAUCCGAGUCAUACGAAGGCUAGGGUGAGUUUGAAGCACAUGAUGAAGACAUGGACAGAACUUGAUCAGGGAUUUCUGAUUGAGUGUAGAUCUUUGGAAGGUGGAAUGGCAUUUGCAGCGAUGUAUGGGGUUGAUGAAGUGCCUACCACUCAUGAGUCUAUUCCAGCCGUGUUAGCUAAGAAUGAAGAUGUUUUUGAUUGGCCUGGAGAGUUGCCACCACAAUGUACCAUUGAACAUCAUAUACAUCUUAAGAAGGGGACUAAUCCAGUCAAUGUUCGGCCUUAUAGAUAUGCAUACCAGCAAAAGGAGGAGAUGGAAAGAUUGGUUGAUGAAAUGAUGGCAUUUGGCAUAAAAACCUAGUACUAGUCCAUAUUCGAGCCCGGUCUUGUUGGUGAAAAAAAAUGGUAGUUGACGGUUUUGUGUAGAUUACCGUGCGUUGAAUAGUGUGACCGUUCCAGACAAGUUUCCUAUUCCAGUAGUAGAGGAAUUGUUUGAUGAACUUAAUGGGGCUAAUAUAUUUUCGAAGAUUGAUCUCAAGGCGGGAUAUCAUCAAAUUAGAAUGUGUAAAAAGGAUGUGAAGAAAACAGCUUUUAGAACUCACGAGGGGCAUUAUGAGUUUCUUGUCAUGCCUUUUGGGCUCACCAAUGCACCAUCAACGUUUCAAGCUUUGAUGAAUAGUAUCUUUAAACCUUACCUACGCAGGUUUUCUUAGUCUUUUUUGAUGAUAUAUUAAUUUACAGCAGAAGUUUGGAUGAAAAUCUUCAACAUUUAGAAUGGGUGUUAGAGGUGCUGCGAGAGAAUAAAUUAUAUGCUAAUAUGCAGCACAAGUGUGGGUUUGCCAAAAUGAAAGUGGAGUAUCUUGGCCAUAUAAUUUCGGGCAAGGGUGUAGAGGUUGAUCCCGAGAAAAUUAGAUCUAUCAAAGAAUGGCCCGUGCCCACUAAUGUCCGUGAAGUUCGUGGAUUUCUUGGGUUGACAGGAUAUUAUCGAAGAUUUGUAAUGAAUUAUGGAAGUGUGGCUGCUCCUUUGACUCAAUUAUUGAAGAAAGGAGCAUAUGAAUGGACUGUUGCAGCUGCUGAAGCUUUUGAGAAUUUAAAGAUGGCUACGAUGACUCUCCCAAUCUUAGCACUGCCAGAUUUUUCCUUACCAUUUGAAAUAGAGACCGAUGCUUCUGGAUACGGGGUAGGUGCUGUCUUAAUUCAAAAUCAUCGGCCAAUUGCUUAUUUUAGCCAGACAUUAGCUAUGAGGGAUCGUGCUAAACCAGUUUAUGAACGGGAAUUAAUGGCUGUAGUUUUGGCUGUGCAACGCUGUAGACCUUAUCUUUUGGGCAGGAGGUUUGUAGUGAAAACUGAUCAACGAUCAUUGAAACUUUUAUUGGAACAAAGGGUUAUCCAACCUCAACAUCAGAGGUGGAUUGCUAAGCUUCUUGGCUACAAUUUUGAUGUCGUGUAUAAACCGGGACUAGAAAACAAAGCAGCAGAUGCCUUGUCUCGUGUCCCUCCUACUGCCCAACUUAAUCAACUUACUGUUGAGAUCAGUUAAAUUGGCAGUCCCCAACACUGAAGUUGACCCUAAAUUAGUCCCAGAAAUUAAUGGGAUGGAUCUGAAUGUCUUGUUCAAUGAUGAAGAUAUUCUCCCUAUUAAAAUUCCCCUGGAUUUGCCUAAAGAUUUAGUGUCUAUAGUCGGUGAUUGUGGAAUCAUUCUGGCUUAAAUUAGAUGUGCAACUGCCUUUUCCUCCUCCCAGUCAUUAUUAAGGUUGUCUCCUGGAACACUAAGGGUUUGAACGACUCCUCUAAACGUGCAGCACUUAAAAAAUUCAUCAACAAUUGUAGUCAUGAUUCAAGAAUCUAAGAAGGAUACCUUGAACUCGGCUUUUAUAAAAUCAUUGUGGAGUUCUAAGGAUAUUGGCUGGGAUUAUGUGGCUUCUGUUGGAUCUUCUGGGGGAAUUCUUACCAUGUGGGACAGCAGUAAAAUAUCUGUAACAGAGGUCAUUAAAAGACGCUUCUCUUUGUCAAUCAAAUGCCUCACUUUGUGCAAAAAGGUUUGUUGGAUCACAAAUGUCUAUGGCCCUUGUGGUUGCAGAGAAAGGAAAUUGGUUUGGCCCGAAUUGUCUUCCUUGGCUGAUUGUUCGGCCGUGGCCUGGUGCAUAGGUGAGGAUCUUAAUAUCACUCGUUGGGCCCGGGAAAGAUUUCCUUUUGGCAGAAGUACUAGAGGAAUGUCAUUAUUCAAUAAGUUUAUUAACAUGGUUUCUCUCAUGGAAAUUCCAUUGCAAAAUGGAAGGUUCACUUGGUCUAGAGACGGUAAUUCUCCUUGAAGAUCAUUAUUAGACAGAUUCUUCAUAAAUCAGAUGUGGGAUGUUUGUUUUGAAAAUUCUCGGGUUUCUCGAAAAGCACGCAUCUUCUCGGAUCACUUUCCUUUAUUCUUGGAGGCUGGUUCUUUUCUUUGGGGUCCCUCUCCUUUUCGGUUUUGUAACAGCUGGUUGGUGUCCAGUGAUUCUAAUCAGAUUAUUGUUGAAACAGUGAGCAACUCUAACUUCCAGGGAUGGGCUGGUUUCAUUCUUCAUGAGCAGUUGAGAUCAGUUAAAUUGGCAGUAAAAGCUUGGAAUAUUGCUGCGCAAGCUAAGGUAAAAAAAAAAAACAGAGAAAUCCUUGAUGUCAAAAUUAGAAAAAUAUGAUUCUGUGGCUGAGUUGAUUGGAUUAAAUCAAGAAGAGUUGAAUUCUAGAGCUGCUUUGCAAGCGGAAUUACUUAGUAUUUAUCAAAAUGAAGAGCGUAAUUUUAUUCAGAAGAGUAAACUCAAUUGGCUUUCUUUGGGUGAUGAGAAUACGGGCUUCUUCCACCGCUUUCUAAAUGCGAAUAAAAGAAGGAACCUCAUAACUGAAUUAAAAGAUGAUGAUGAGGUUGUCUCGACUUCAUUCCGCGACAUUGAAAGGCUUGUGCUGGAAUUUUUUGAGUCAAUUUAUACCAGAAUUCCGGGGGACAGAUUCAUCCCUAUUAACAGUAAUUGGUCUUGUGUUUCCUCAAUUCAUAAUGAGGCUCUUGUUACCCAAUUUUCAGUGGAGGAGAUCUUUAAGGCAUUAAAGGCACUUGGCAACAAUAAAGCUCCGGGCCCGGAUGGCUUCACAGUGAAGUUCCUAAUCACCCAAUGGUCUAUUUUCAAGGAUAUCUUCAAAUCACUAAUGUCUGAUUUCCACAGAAAUGGAAGAUUAAAUGCUUGCAUCCAAGAAAACUUCAUUUGUUUAGUGCAGAAAAAAGAGAAUGUGACUCUAGUCAAGGAUUUCCGUCCAAUCAGCCUUACUACGUUAGCAUACAAGGUCGUUGCAAAGGUUUUAUCUGAACGUCUAAAACAAGUUAUGGAUGCAAUUAUAAGCCCCACUCAAAGCGCCUUUAUUGAAGGUAGGCAAAUUCUUGACCCAAUAUUAAUUGCUAACGAGGCCGUGGAAGAUUAUAGGGCAAAACGAAAAAGAAAAAAGAUGGAUUUUAAAACUUGACUUGGAAAAAGCCUUUGAUAGGGUGAAUUGGAACUUUUUAGAAAAAAAUUUAUCUUUGAAAAAGUUUAGUUCCAAAUGGAUAUCAUGGAUAAUGGGCUGCCUAAAAAAUCCAAAGUAUUCAGUCUUCAUCAAUGGUAAGCCUAGAGGCUGGAUAACAGCAUCUAGAGGUAUCCGCCAAGGGGACCCCCUCUCCCCCUUUUUAUUUCUCCUAGUAAGUGAGGUUUUAGGAGAAAUCAUAAACAAGCUUCAUAUUAACAGCCAGUUUGAAGGUUUCCUUGUUGGCAAAGACUUGAUCCACCUCCCUUUGCUUCAAUUUGUCGAUGAUACUCUUCUCUUUUGUAAGUAUGAUGUGAAGAUGCUCCUUAAACUUUAAAACGUCAUUAGAUUAUUCGAAUAGUGUUCGGGGCAGAAAGUAAACUGGGAAAAAUCAGCCCUUAGCGGCGUUAAUGUGGGAGAGGAAGAUUUGUUUCAAACAGCAAAUCUGAUAGGGUGCAAGGUAGAAAAGCUUUCGAUUAUAAGGUAUAUUAUACAUGCAAUCAAACAAUCACAACAUACAUACCAUUUACUCAAAACGACCUAAAACAUGCUCAAAACGACCUAAAACGUGCUCAAAACAUGUCUAACUUUCACUGCAACUUUCAAAACGACCUAAAACAGCUUACGUGCAGGUUCGUAACUCAUAACCUACGAAAAAAGUUCAAAUAUUGUGAAAAAAGCACUACAAGACCCAAAAUGGCAACCAAGUGUGUAAGUGCAACAAACUUAGUUCAAACCACCCUAAAACGUGCUCAAAACGUGUCUAGGUAUUACUUGAGUUUUUCAAAACGACCUAGCAAAUCCUAAGGGUAAGUUCGUAACUCAUAAUCUACCAAAAAGGUUGAAAAAAGCAUUUCAAGACCAAAAGUGACAACCAUGUGUGUAAGAGCAACAAACUCAAUCUAACCUAAAAUGUAUUCAAAACGUGUGUAAGUAUCACUUUAAUUUUCAAAACGACCAAGCAAUGCUUAAGUGUAAGUUUGUAACUCACAACCUACCAAAAUUUCAAAAAGUGUGAAAAAAGUACUUCAAGACCCAACAUGUCAAUCAAAUGUGUUUAAAACUUAGUGUCAAACCAACCUAAAACGAGUUUAAAACGUGUCUAAGUAUCACUUGAACUUUCAAAACGACCUAAAACAGCUUACGUGUAGUUUUGUAACUCAUAACCUACGAAAAAAGUAUAAAUAGAGUGAAAAAAGCACUACAAGACCCAAAAUAGCUACCAAGUGUGUAAGUGCAACAAACUUAGUUCAAACCAACCUAAAACAUGCUCAAAACGUGUCUAGGUAUUACUUGAGGUUUCAAAACGACCUAGCAAAUCCUAAGUGUAAGUUAGUAACUCAUAAUCUACCAAAAAGGUUGAAAAAAGCAUUUCAAGACCAAAAAUGACAACCAAGUGCAACAAGCUGAAUCUAACCUAAAAUGUAUUCAAAACGUGUGUAAGUAUCACUUGAAUUUUCAAAACGACCAAGCAAUGCUUCAGUGUAUGUUUGUAACUCACAACCUACCAAAAUUUCAAAAAGUAUGAAAAAAGUACUUCAAGACCCAACAUGUCAAUCAAAUGUGUGUAAAACUUAGUUUGAAACCAACAUAAAACGAGUUCAAAACGUGUCUAAGUUUCACUUGAACUUUCAAAACGACCUAACAAAUAUUCAAUACAAGUUCAUAAGUCAUAACCUAGCAAAAAGUUCAAAAUUUUUGAAAAUGACACUCCAAAACCCAAAAUGUCAAUUGUGUAAGUGCAACGAACUUAGUUCUAUACAAACCUAACAAUUAUUCAAAACACGUAUAAGUUUUCGAACAAACUAACAACGCUUAAGUGUAAGUUUAUAACUCAUAACUUACCAAAAAUUUCAAAAAGUGUGAAAAAAAAUCUUUCAAGACUCAAAAUGGCAACCAUGGCUGUAUGUAAAACUAACUUAGUUUGUAACAACCUAAAAGGUAUUCAAAAAAUGUUUUAAGUAUCACUCGAACUUUAAAAACGACCUAAUAAUGCUUUUAGUGUUACUUCAUUAACUCAUAACCUACCAAAAAGUUCAAAAAAUGUAGAAAAAGCACUCCAAAAUCCAAAAUGGCAACCAAGUGUGUAAGUGCAACAAACUUAGUCUCAACUUUAAAAUUAGUGCGAGUUGGGAAAUGUAUUAACUCAACCAUGAUGUACAAACUUGAAACGACUUAAAUAUUUAUUCACCAUCACAUAAAAACAGUAAUUAAAUAUAGAUAACAUGUGUAAAUAAAGGGAGAAUCACCUUUCUAGCAAUAGCUUUAGAGUAAGACCAAACACCAUCCUUCUACUUGUAAAUCUGCUCGAUUGUCUACUUUGUUCUACACUCGUCAUUUCACCGUCUCAGGCCAUCCAUUGAAUUGGCCACCCAGCCUUGGCAUACAAGAGUAUGUCUCAACCUGUUAACAAAUACCACUAAAACUAAGCAAGACAAAGAAAAAAGUUGUCAAAAAAUUACCUAACUUUUAGGUCUUCAUGUGACCUUUAAGUUCUUCUGUCUUCUCCUUCAACUCUUUAACAGAUUGCUGAAAUUAUGUGUUUCUGCAAUGUGUACCAGAACAUGAAAGAUUCAUUACGAAAAUAAAUACCAUGAAUACAAAGCAUGAAGAAAUAGUAAAACAGUCAAUACAAGAAGAAAAAAGUUCACUUGAAAACGACCUAAAACAGUAUCACUUGAACAAAAUGUGUCUAAGUAUCACUUGAACUUUCAAAAUGACCUAAAACAGCUUACAUGUAGGUUCGUAACUCAUAACCUACGAAAAAAGUUCAAAUAGAGUGAAAAAAGCACUACAAGACCCAAAAUGGCUACCAAGUGUGUAAGUGCAACAAACUUAGUUCAAACCAACCUAAAACGUGCUCAAAACGUGUCUAGGUAUUACUUGAGUUUUCAAAACGACCUAGCAAAUCCUAAAUGUAGGUUCGUAACUCAUAAUCUACCAAAAAGGUUGAAAAAAGCAUUUCAAGACCAAAAAUGACAACCAAGUGCAACAAACUCAAUCUAACCUAAAAUGUAUUCAAAACGUGUGUACGUAUCACUUAAACUUUCAAAACGACCAAACAAUGCUUAAGUGUAAGUUUGUAACUCACAACCUACCAAAAUUUCAAAAAGUGUAAAAAAAGCACUUCAAGACCCAAAACGACAACGAAGUAUGUAAGUGCAACUGACUUAGUUUGAAGCCAUCCUAAAAAGAGUGCAAAACGUGUCUAAGAUUUCAAUCCGACCAAACAAUACUCAAGCGUAAGUUCGUAACUCACAACCUAAAAAAAUUUCAAAAAGUGUGAAAAAAAGUACUUCAAGACCCAACAUGUCAAUCAAAUGUGUAAGUACAACAAACUUAGUUUCAAACCAACGCAAAAUGUGUUUAAAACGACCUAACAAUCCUUAUGUGUAAUUUCGUAACUCACAAACUAACAAAAAAAUCAAAAUGCGUGAAAAAUGCACUUUGAGACCUAAAAUGGCAACCAAGUAUGCAAGUGAAACAAACUUAGUCUUAAACAAAUCUAAAAAAAUUUCAAACCGUGUUUAAGUAUCACUUGAACUUUCAGAACGACCUAAGAAUGUUUAUUUGUAAGUUCGUCACUCAUAACCUACCAAAAAGUUCAAGAAGUAUGGAAAAAAAAGGAAACACUACACGACCCAAAAUGGCAACCAAGUGCGCAAGUGCAACAAACUUAGUUCUAAACCAACCUAAAAAGUGGUCAAGGCGUGUCUAAGUAUCACUUGGACUUUCAAAACAACCUAACAAAGUUGAAGUGUAAGUUGGUAACCCAUAGCCUACCAAAAAGUUCAAAAAGUGUGAAAAGGGCACUUCAAGACCGAAAAUGGCAACCAAUUGGAUAAGGUCAACAAACUUAGUUUCAAGCCAACCUAAACGAGUUAAAAACGUGUCUAAGUAUCACUUGAACUUUCAAAAUGUCCUAAAACAGCUUACAUGUAGGUUCGUAACUCAUAACCUACGAAAAAAAGUUCAAAUAUUGUGAAAAAAGUUCAAAUAUUGUGAAAAAAGCACUACAAGACCCAAAAUGGCAACCAAGUGUGUAAGUGCAACAAACUUAGUUCAAACCAACCUAAAACGUGCUCAAAACGUGUCUAGGUAUUACUUGAGUUUUCAAAACGACCUAGCAAAUCCUAAUUGUAAGUUUGAAGCUCAUAAUCUACCAAAAAGGUUGAAAAAAGCAUUUCAGGAGACUUCUAAAAGUUGAAGAAAUAGAUGAAUUGAAGUCUCCCAAAAUAAAAGAACCUAGAAAUCAGAAUCAAAUGGGAAGUUUUUGGUUCAUUCAUUAGUCAACCAUCUCUCCAUUGCCUCCCCAAUUGAAACACAUUUAUACUCGACAAUUUGGAAGACAGAAGCCCUAGAAGAGUGAAUAUCACGCUUUGGAGAAUGCGAAAUGGACUAUGAACUGUGCAGAAGUUUUGCAAAUGAAACCUCCCUUUCUCAGUUUAUCUUCUCAUGUUUGUCCCUUGUGUUUGCAUGCUUUAGAAGAUUUACAUCAUAUUUUCUUCUCCUACCUACAUGCAAAGAAGUGUUGGUUUUGGCUUACUUGGCUAUCUUCAUUUGAAUUGGGUUUUCGACUAUAGAUUUAGGAGAACGCGGUCCAGCUUAUUUCAUGUCCCAUUCUCAAGAAGAAACCAAGAUUGAUUUGGUUAAAUGCAGUAAAGGCCAUUUUACCAGAAAUUUGGUUUGAACAUAAUCAACUAACAUUUCAAAAUAAAGCUUUCUCUUGGACAACUCGAGUCGAAAUGGCUAGAAUCAAUGCUUCUACUUGAUGCUCUCUUUCAAAAGACAUCAAAGAUUUCUCCAUACAAGAUAUAAGUCAUAACUGGCUGACUUUCAUUUUUAAUUCUUAGUCCACUAUUGUACUCUUAUUUUAUUUCUUUUGGAUUUCUAGUGGUCUUAAAUCUAUGUUGUAUAGUUAUUGGGCAGUUUGUAUGAUCUAUUCUAAACCAUGUCGUUGGUUUAGUCUUUUGGUUUAAGUCUCGAUAUGGUGAGAACGCUAAGUGGGUGUCAACCUAGAUGAGAUGUCCGAGUGCACUAGUUGAUCCUAGGGCUUCUUUGUAUUAUCUUUUGUCUUGUCUACUCAUUUUCAGCUUAAUGAAGAGGCUCCUUUCCUAUUUCAAAAAAAAAAAAAAAAAAAAGGUAAAUGUGUGAUUCUUAUAAAGUAAAUUAUCCUACAGAUUAAAAGUUUGAACUUAUUCCAAGUGCUUCACCAAAUCUUAAAUAUUUGAACCAACAGCACUAACUUUGCACAACACAACAAUGUAAAACACAUUAACUACUUUCUCUUUUAUGCACAUUAUAUAUCAAAUAAAAACAUUAGAAGGGAAAAAAUGGAAAAAAAACAUACUAACAACGAUAAAAUAUAAUAAGCUUCAAUCGAAGAGAGAAGGUUUGAAGAACAUAAUUCAAAGGUUCCCAAAAUCAUAUCAUAAUUAGAAAGCCAAUACCAACACCAAUUCAAAGAGAACACCUAAUCUACCAUACAAAAGUCUAAAUAUAACUUUUUUUUUAAUCUUGUGUUUUAGUGUAUGAUGCAAGUGAAGCAAAACAACAUUACAAUAUAAGAUCUUUUUACCCUGAUAUUUAAUAAUCAACUAAGAAAAAUUCGCAUUCAAAGUUGACCAAGAAUCCAAGACCUUCAAUAGGCAAAGAUAAUAUUCUCAACAUGGUAAUUGGAUGUGUUCCCUUUAGCAUAGUAUCUUAAAUAAUCACUUUUUGUUAUUUGAGAAAAACUCCAUUUUCUCUUAUUAAUGAAAAAGGACUUGAUAAUAGGUAAGUAUAAUUUAAUAGAUAUUCUAACUAAAGAGAACUAAUUAUAAAAGGAAAUAACGUCUAAAAAGAAUAAUUAAAAAAAUAACUAAGGCAACUAUACAAUACAAAUCUACACUUUGUAAUCACAACUUUCGAUCUUCCUUGUAUGGAGUAACAUUUUAAAGAGGCCGAACUAAGAUAGAUCUAAGCAAAAACUUCAUUGAUGGCCUAAGAAAGAUGGAUGGAAACCUUAUAAUGAUACAGGUAACAAACCUUUUCAAUUGAGGUUUAGAUGCAAAACAUGUAAUAUAGUUCAACAUUAUUUCGCCAAAGUUAGUCAUUAAAAUCAAGUGAAUCAUAAAACAGAAAAAGAAUGUAGAUUUAAGAGGACUACGUAAUAUAUCAACUAGGAAUGAAAUAGGCGAAGAUAAAAGCAAGUAUUAAGAACAAAACAAAGCAUAACAAAAGAGGAAGGCCAGCUUACUAUUCAAAAAAGCAAAGGAGUUCCACAUCACUUGCAAGAUAGCCUGUGGAACAUUGCUAUAGAACUAUGUUGGGAACUUUGGCAGAGUUGUGUUUGGAAAUUACAAUGAUGUUUAGCAAAGAUGUUUACAAUAAUAAAACUGUAACAUAAAUGUUUCAUAGUGUUGGAAGAAAUUAUAGCAAUUCAUUGCAAAUAAGAUGCAGUACCUUGAUUUUAUGGUUAAAGGUUCCAAUUGUUUUUUCUUUUUAAGCUCUUAUUUAGAAGGGAUUCACCUGUUACAAGUUGAAAUGUGAGUUGGAAAAAUUGGACAAGAAGUUAUAACCUUACAAGAAAAUGAUCCUUAUAGAAAGAACUAACUUGAUUCAAGCAAAAUAUCUUCAAGAACAAAAUUGCAAUUACACGAACACUUGUUAACAACAAAUAAACAAAUGAGAAAACAAAUUCUUAUUAGUAAAACAAAUGUAACUAAUAAAAAAUGCAAAUCAGACUAUUGAGUACAAUGAAAUACAACAUAAUAACAAGACAAAGAUGCAACAUAUACAUAAACAUACAAAUCAGAAAAGAAGUUGAUUCUUGACAACAAAGUAAAAUAAAUACAAAGCAUAAUAAAUUUCUAUGACCAUUAGGACUCUGUAGAGAAAUGCCUACUUUCGACAUAAGCAUUUCAUCAAAUUCCAUCUAAAGCGGAGAGGUUGUCCAUGCAAGCUUUGAUACCAAGCAAUCUCGACGCGCAUUUUACUUGACCUAAGCGGCUGGCUUGACUCCCUCUUUUUUUUCUCCCUCCCUCUCUACCGGCUGCCAUGCUGGGUGAAGAACUCUAAGGACCUACUAGGCGAGGGUCGAGUUUUACUUAGGCAAGAAAAGCGGAGAGGAUCCCCACGAAAACUCUGAAACCGAGGGAUCUCGGUGCGCAUUUUACAUGACCUAAGCGGCUGGCUUGACUCCCUCUUUUUUUUCUCUCUCCCUCUCUACCGGCUGCCAUGCUGGGUGAAGAACUCUAAGGACCUACUAGGCGAGGGUCGAGUUUUGCUUAGGCAAGAAAAGUGGAGAGGAUCCCCACGAAAACUCUGAAACCGGGGGAUCUCGGCGCGCAUUUUACUUGACCUAAGCGGCUGGCUUGGCUCCCUCUUUUUUUUCUCGCUCCCUCUCUACAGGAGGGUCCUAUGUUCAAAAGUUUGCUGGUGUGUAUCUUUGUUGGCUCGACAUGUUUUUAAUUUAUGAUUGUUGUUGGUGGAGAGAGCGGAAGAUGCCGGGGACAGUUUGGAGAAGAUCAAGCGGCAGCUGGCCUCUGGGUCUGGUCAGAAUUUGUUGUAGGGUCCCCUUCUAAAGCGAUCUGAAAUAGUAAACUAACGCAUUGCAACUCUUUCUGUCUUUCCUUUUGUUUUGAAUUGAUGGUUACUGCUUAAUUGCGCUGCCUUUAGGAAUUUGGCGAGCAUGGAGGCUGUUUAUUUGAGUCGGAAGCCCACUGCAAAAUCUGUUGUGGAGUUUGUUCGAUCUGUUCAUGAUGAUACAAAUUUGUUAUGAUCAUAUUGCAUUUUGAAGUUUUGGGGUAUUUUUCUUCCAUUUCUUUUCUACUUCCAAUUUCUGCUUACGUUGUAUUCUUUCUUAUGUAUAUUAUUUUCUAAUGAUCUUGUUGUGCAAUGUCUUUCUUUUAAGUCAUUGGCUACUUUGUAAAGAGAAAAACAAAGUGAACUAUGUCAUCGUUCUACUCUUUCUACCUCAUUUUCGUAAAGAAGCAAGAAAACAGCUAACAGGCAGAUCAAUCUACUUAAACAUUCAAUUGGCCAUUUAGUGUUUUGGGAUUUAACAUUCUGCCAUUCUUGUCGUUGCCCUUAAAUCUCCUCACAAUCUCUUUGUUAUUCCAACAAUCCUUAAGAAAAAUCCAUGUAAACCGAACCCCAUAUGUUCCCUUUUCUCCACAUCGGUCAUAAUUUUGUCCACUCUUCAAACAAAAUCCUUUCAACCUUAUUUUUCUUCACUACCCAUUUCCAAAAUUUUCAUUUCCCUUAGAAAAUCUUUGUCGAUGUCGAAACUUGCGGCUGGGAACCGAUAGUUCUCAAUCAUGUCCAGUGCUGUACCUCCCAAUGGACGGCAUGGAUCAAGGGUUAAGGUGUAUUUUUUGUUAUCGUUGGUUAGAAUUCUUGUUCUGUUUUAGGACAUAAAUUCCAACACAAAGAAUGUUUAAGUGUUAGCUUUCUCUAUUCAUAACGUACUCAAAUAUUAGAAAAAAGGACUUACCGACACAAAUUACAUCCAAGUGUCCAGCUGCAACACUAUAGUGCCAAACAAACCUAACUAGUGUCCAAAAUAUGCCUAAGAUUUAAAGACAACCAAACGAUGCUUAACUGUGAGCUUUUCCAAUGCAUAAGCUACCAAAAAGUGAGAAAAAAAGGUCUGAACAACCUAAAAUCGCAACCAAGUGCCAAAUGCAACUACUAUAGUGCCAAAUAAACCUAAGUAGUUUCCAAAAGGUGCAAGCUUUAAAGAAAACCAAAGAAUGCUUAAAUGUGAGCUUUCUAGACUCAUAACCAACUAAAAAGUUAGAAAAAAGAAUUUAACAACCCGGAAUGACAACCAAAUGCCAAGGUACAACAACUAUAGUGCCAAACCAAGGUGCGUAAGCUGUAAAGGAAACAAAAGAAUGCUUAAGUGUUAGCUUUCCCGACUCAUAACCUAACAAAAGUUAGAAAAAAGGACUUAACAACCCGAAAUUGCAACCAAGUGCCAAAGUGCAACAACUAUGGUGCCAAAGAAACCUUAUUAAUGUCCAAAAGGUUCCUAAGGUUUAAAGACAGCAAAAAAAAUGCUUAAGUGUGAGAUUUUCCAAAUCAUAACUUUAAAAAAUGUGAGAAAAAGGACUUAACGACCUGAAGUGGAAAUCAAGUGUCCAAGUGCAACAGCUAUAAUGCCAAACCAACCUAGGUAGUGUCCAAAAGGUGCCUACGUUGUAAAUGCAAUCAAAGAAUGCUUCAGUGUGAACUUUCUCUACUUAUAACCUACCAGAAUGUUAGAAAAAGGACUUAACGACUCGAAUUGCAACCAAGUGCCCAAGUGCAACAAAUAUAGUGCCAAACUAACCUAACUAGUGUCCAAAAGGUGCAUAAGGCUUAAAAUCAACCAAACAAUGCUUAACUGUGAGCUUUUCCAACUCAUAAGCUACGAAAAAAUGAGGAAAAAAUGACUUAACAACCCGAAAUGGCAACCAAGUGCCCAAAUUCAAUAACUAUAGUGUCAAACCAACCUAACUACUAUCCAAACGGUGUUAAGUUGUAAAGGCAACCAUUGAAUGCUUAAGUGUGAGCUUUCUUAACUCAUAAGCUACCAAAAAAUCACAAGAAAGGACUUGAUGAACAAAAAUUUCAACCAAGUGCAUAAGUUAAACAAAUAUGCUGUUAAAACAACCUAAUUAGUGUCUAAAAGGUGACUAAGGUUUAAAGACAACCAAAGAAUGCUUAAGUGUGAGCUUUCCCGACUCAUAACCUACCGAUAAGUCAUAAAAAAUGAUUUAACGACUCGAAAUGGCAAGCAUGGGCCCAAGAGCAACAAAUAAAAUGUCAAACAUACCUAAGUAGUAUCCAAAAGUUGCGUAAGCUAUAAACGCAACCAAAUAAUAUUUAAGUGUGAGCUUUCUCGACUCAUAACAAACAAAAAUGUAAAAAAAAAAGACUUAACGACCCCAAUUGGCAACCAAGUGCCUAAGUGAAACAACUAUAGUGCGAAACAUACCUAAGUAGUGUCCAAAAAGUGCCUAAGCUGUAAAUGCAACCCAAGAACUCGUAAGUGUGAGCUUUGUCGACUCAUAUCCUACCAAAAUAUCUGAAAAAAUAACUUAACGACCCGAAAUGGCAACCAAGUGCGCAUGUGCAAUAAUUAUAGUGCCAAACAAACCUAAGUAGUUUAAAAAACGUGCCUAUUAUAUAAACACAACCAAAGAAUGCUUAAGUGUGAGCUUUCUCAACUCAAAAUCUACCAAAAUGUCAGAAAAAAGGACUUAACGACCCAAAAUGAAAAUAAGUGCACAAAAGCAACAACUAUAGUGCCAGACCAACCCAAGUAGUGUCUAAAAGGUGCCUAAGGUUUAAAGACAAACCAAGAAUGUUUAAUUGUGACCAUUCCUGAUAUGGAUCAAGAAAUCAUGAUUGAAUCAAAUGAAGAAGUUGAGUAGAUGCAAUGCUUGGAAGUUGAAGAGUUAUUUUGGGCAACUCAAAAGUCAUAAAUUUAAAUGUUUAAGAAAUAAUGUUUAUGUGUUUUUAGUUAUUAUGUUAGUUGAAAGGUUAUCAAAUUAAAUGUUUUGACCUUUCAUUUCAUAUUUUAAUUAGUAUAAAUAGGGUUGUAAUUUUUCCACAUUUAAAAGAAGAAUUUGGGAUGAAAGAAAUCUGAAAAAUUCUAGAAUGUAGAAUUUUGUUCUUGUCUGUUGUGAUAGAAUGCACAAACAUUUGAAGCAUUAAAGUGAGAAUUGAUCUACCUUACUUGUGGAGUGUUUUGAAGAUUAAGGAUUGAUGGGAGUUUCUAAUUUUGUUCGAUCCUUGGUUUCUUAGAUCAUCUAAGCAAUUUGUAUGUAGCCUAUCUUAGGGGUUGAAAUCAAAUUGGUUUUGCGGCUAGUGGGGUUGUGUUCUUUGAGUCUUGUUGUUUAACAUGAUUCUUAGAUCCAAUGCCUAGGGGUUUCUUAUCAAUUUCCAACACAUAACCUACCAAAAAGUGACCAAAAAGGACUUAAGGACCUUAAAUGGAAACCAAGUGUGCAAGUGCAUCAACUAUAGUGCCAACCAACCUAUGUAGUGUCCAAGAGGUGCUUAGGCUGUAAAGACUAUCAAACAAUGCUUAAGUGUGAGCUUUCUUAACUCAUAAACUACCAAAAAUUGAAAAACAAAGAAGGAAUUAACGACCAAAAAUGGUAAAUAAGACAAGAACUAUAGUGCUAAACCAACCUAAGUGGUGUGCAAGUUCUGAACCUAAAAGAACCCGACACAUUCUGACCUAACCGAUUUAACUCUCCUACUUUCUACGGGCUAUUGUGGGUUUAGUCGAGAGUGAAGAGUUGUUGAUGAAAGUACUGAUCUCGAGGGAACUAGAUGCAUUUUAACCUAUUCGGCUUAACUCUCCUACUUUCUAUGGUCUAUUAUGGCUUCAACCGAGGGUGAAAAGUUCCCAACACAAGUUCUGAUCUGGAAGGAACCCGACGCAUUUUAACCUAUUUUGCUUAGCUCUCAUACUUUUUAUGGGCUAUUGUGGCUUCAGCUAAGAGGGAAGAGUUCCUAACACAAGUUAUGAUACCAAAGGAACUCGAUGCAUUCUAACCUAACCAGCUUAACUCUAUUACUUUCUACGAGCUAUUAUUGCUUUGACCAUGUGUGAAGAUUUUCCUAUGCAAGUUCUGAUAUCGAAAGAACCAAAUGCAUUCUGACCCAACUGGCUUAACUUUUCUACUUCCAACGGGCUAUUGUUGCUUCGGCCAAUAGUAAAGAGUUCCCUACGAAAAUUUUGAUUUCAAAGGAACUCGAUGCAUUCUGACCUAACCGUCUUAAUUCUCUUACUUUCUAUAGGCUAUUUUUGCUUCCACCAAGAGUUAAGAGUUCCCUACGAAAGUAUUGGUUCCGAUGGAACCCAAUGAAUUAUGAUUUAACCACGUUAACUCUCCUACUUUCUAUAGUAUUGCUUCGGCCAAGAGGGAAGAGUUCCCUAUGCAAAUUCUGAUAUUGAAGGAACCUGACACAUUUUGACCUAACCAGCUUAACUCUCCUACUUUCUACAAGUUAUUGUUGCUUCGGCCAAGAAAGCAUUCCCUACGCAAAUUUUGAUUCUGAAGGAACCCGACGCAUUCCGACCUAACCGGCUUAACUCUCAACCUUUUUAUGGGCUAUUGUUGCUUCGACCAAGAGUUAAGAGUUUCCUAUGCAAGUUCUAAUAUCGAAGGAACCAAAUGCAUUUUGACCUAACUGGCUUAACUCUCCUACUUUCUACAGGCUAUUGUGGCUUUAGCCGAGAGUGAAGAGUUCCAUGAAAUUUCUGGUCAGGAAGGAACCCGAUGCAUUUUAACAUAUUCGGCUUAAAUCUCCUACUUUCUAUGGGCUAUUGUGGCUUCAACUGAGAGUGAAGAGUUCCUGACACAAGUUCUGAUCCCAAAGGAACUCGAUGCAGUCUGACCUAUCCGAGUUAAUUCUCCUACUUCCUACGGGCUAUUGUUGCUUCGACCAUAAGUGAAGAUUUCCCUACGCAAGUUCUUAUAUCGAAAGAUCUAAACGCAUUCUCACCUAACUGGCUUAACUCUUUUACUUCCAAUGGGUUAUUGAAGCUUCAGCCAAGAGUGAAGAGUUCCCUACGAAAAUUUUGAUCCUGAAGGAAAUCAACGCAUUUCUGACCUAAUUAGCUUAACUAUCCGACUUUGUACAGGCUCUUUUUGCUUCAGCCAAGAGUUAAGGGUUCCUUACGCAAGUAUGGAUCCCGAAGGAACCCACCACAUUCUGAUCUAACCGCUUUAACUCUCCUACUUUCUAUAUGAAAUUAUUUCUUUGGCCAGGAGGGAAGAGUUCCCUACGAAAAUUUUGAUACGAAGUGAACCCGACGCAUUCCGACCUAACCGGCUUAACUCCCCGACUUUCUAUGCGUUAUUGUUGCUUUGACUAGGAGUUAAGAGUUUCCUACACAAGUUCUGAUUCUCGAGGAACCCGAUGCAUUCUAACAUAAAUGGCUUAACUCCCAUACUUUCUACGGGCUAUUGUGGCUUCGACCGAGAGUGAAGAGUUGUCGAAGAAGUUAUGAUCCCAAAGAACCCGAUGCAUUUUAACCUAACCGGCUUAAUUCUCCUACUUUCUACGAGCUAUUGUGGCUUCAAUCGAGAGUGAAGAGUUCCCGACACAAGUUCUGAUCCCAAAGAAAGCCGACACAUUCUGACCUAACCAGCUUAACUCUCCUACUUUCUACAGGUUAUUGUUGCUUCGACCAUGAGUGAAGAUUUCCCUGUGCAAGUUCGGAUAUCUAAAGAACCAAACAUGCAUUCUGACCUAACUGGCUUAACUCUUCUACUUUCAACCGGCCAUUGUUGCUUCGACCAAGAGUGAAGAGUUCCCUACGAAAAUUUUGAACCCGAAGGAACUCGACACAUUCUAAACUAAUUGGCUUAAAUCUUCGACUUUCUACGGGCUAUUUUUGCUUCCACCAAGAGUUAAGAGUUCCCUACGCAAGUAUUGAUCCCGAAGGAACCCAUCGCAUUAUGAUCUAAUCGCUUCAACUCACCUUCUUUCUACAGGAAAUUGUUGCUUUCACCAAGAGUGAAGAGUUCCCUACGCAAAUACUAAUACGGAAGGAACCCGACGCAUUUUGACCUGACCAACUUAUCUUUCCUACUUUCUACAAGUUAUUGUGGCUUCGGUCGAGAGUGAAGAGUUUCCUACGAAAGUUUGAUCCUGAAAGAACCCAAUGCAUUAUGACUUAAUAGGCUUACCUCUCCUACUUUCUACCAGCUAUUGUAGCUUCGACCGUGAGUGAAGAGUUCUGAUGCAAGUUUUGAUCCCAAACGAACCCGACGCAUUCUAACCUAACAAGCUUAACUCUCCUACUUUCUACGGGCUAUUGUAGCUUCAGGCAAGAGUGAAAAGUUCUCUACACAAGUUCUCUACUUUCUAUGGGCUUUUUAUUAUAAGUGUAAAGAAAUAGGUGUAUGAAUUGGAUCGAUGAACAUUUUUUUGAAUUUUUUUUAAGCUUAAAAGGAUAUUUAUGGAACUUUCAAUAAUUCAUCAAUAUUUUUUAAACAGAACUUUUCAAUAGUUGAUGAUUAUUUUUUAAACAAAACUUUAGCGACUUUCAUCUAAAACCAAAGACAAUGGUAUUUUUGAACCGUUUUCGAAAGUUUAAGGGCAUCUUUCAACUUUUAAAAGGAGACUUUUUUUGACACAAACCACUAGGGGUAUUCUAACACUGACAACACUAACAACCCAGACUACCCAUCCCAAAUUUCGAGUAUUAUUACAAAAUAUGUUUUUUAACUUAUGGAUAUGUUGAAUUUUGAUAUUAUGAAAUUUUAGUAAUUGAUAUGUGUGGUAAAAAAAUUUAAGUGUUUAAGUUAAUCAAGAAUACACUCCAUUUACAAGGAGUACAAGGAGUCCAAGUAGAUAUUAGUUGUGUUUAAAAAAUUAUGAAAAAAAAGUCCUAUUUUAAAAAAAAGUACAAUCAAGUGAAAUGUUACAUAAACUUCACAACAUAGUUAAUAAGAUAACACAAUAUUACAAGAUUUUGUUUACACGUAUACAUACAUAUACUAGUGGUUAAAGUAAGAUUAGAUUUGAAUGUAUAUUUAAACGAAAGUUAUUGCCAUUCAACUAGAGUAAUAAAAUAACUAAAGAGCUCAAUAAAUUACAACAAAUGUGAUGGUACUUUGACACCAGAAGCUCAACCAUUUGAAGGAAAGUUCCAAACAAUGGAUAAAAGGAAGCAUACUAAAACACAAGUAAAACAAGAGGAUUAUUUUUAUUGUCUUCCAUUAUCUGAGAGUGGAAUGCAAACAAAGCAAUGCAAAAAGCACCAUUCAAGACAUCUGACUGAUUUAUACAAAGUGUAAAUAAGACACCAAUACAAUGUUGAACAUUCUCCAAAACAAGAUGCAACAUACACAUCAUUCAUUUGGCUAUUCAACGGGAAUAUGUCACGUUUUUUGCCAUAAUUAUUCUUGUUUCAUGUUUGCCCACGAUGGCAGGACAAGACUUUCAGGUAAAGCAAAUCCUGGUUUUCCAAUGUCAAAAGGCCUUGGCCGCUUGCAGGUAAUACUUAGUUUUCCAUUUUUAACCUUAAGGUUGCACUUUAUGUUUAAAUUGUCCAUCCGAACAUCUUUUUUUUUCUUUUUCUUCUUUCCUUCGGGUAAUAAAGAAUAGUGACCUUGAAGAAUUAAGAGAAUUGGGGUCCGGCACCUUUGGCACUUUUUACCAUGGAAAAUGGAGGGGACUGAUGUUGCUAUAUAAACGAAUCAAUGAGAGGUGUUUUGCUGGGAAACCUUCUAAACAAGAUCGCAAGGUUGUUCAUUUUAAGCAACUGGCUUUUCUUUUCUUUUGUUAUUCGUGUAUUUUUCUUUUUGUUCCUUGACUCAAGUCCUUUUUGUUGUUUUAUAUUUACCAGUGAGAAGAUUUUUAGAAUGAAGCAAUUAAGUUUGCUGAUUUGCACCACCCAAAUGUGGUACUUUUUAUGGUGUCGUGCUUGAUGGGCCUGGGAGAUCUGUGGCCACAGUAACAGAAUAUAUGGCCAAUGGUUCGCUCAAAAAUGCUUUGUUGAAGAAUGAAAAGUAACAAUUGUUCUCAUUUUUCAUACGUUUAAUUUAAUUUGUUAGAAGUUAGUUGCAGUAUAAUGUAUCUUCACCCUUAGAUUAAGCAUAAAUACAAUUGAUGCAGGAGUCUUGAAAAGUGGAAGCGCCUCUUGAUUGCUAUGGAUGCGGCUUUUAGAAUGGAACACCUGCACAGAAAGAAUAUUGUGCACUUUGAUUUUGAAAGUGAUAAUCUACUGGUCAAUCUUCGAGAUCCUCAUCACUCAAUAUGCAAGGUUUGUGUAUUACUGAUAAUAGCAGAAUCAUCAUUGUAGUGCAUUCCAUUUAGUUAAACUCUUGAUUUGAUUUUUAAACAAAACAGGAUGAUAACCAAUUUUUAUAGUUAUUGUUGUAAUUAACACAAUUAAUUGUCAAAUAAAAAAUGUAUUUGACUAUUAACAUUUUUUUGUUUGACUAAUUAUAGUAUGUUUUAAGAAGAAAAUAAGCUUGGCUUGUCUUAGAUAUACGGGAUAAAGUAAUGUUUUUAACUAACAAAUGCCUUAAACCAGCAAUGGUCUCAAUCUCCUCCCAAGACCUCUCAAAACCCUUACUCUCUAAUCAAAUGUUCCAUUAAAAAAAAAUCUAGUGAGAUAUUUCACAACCUUGAUCACAUAAGACAACAAUCUCUAUUUCAAACCAAACUAACUCUAAAGGGCUCGACAAAAGUUGAAAAUCAAGGUAGCAAACUGCGAUCUCUAAAGGAUACGAUGUGAUCUAAAGGAAUGCUCCUGUGCUAUAAAUGCAUGGGUGCAGUCCAAACACAAAGGAAGAUUGUCCCUAUAUAUAAUAACUUUUUAUAGGAAGCAUUUUUGAAGUGUUAACUCAUCUAUUUCCAACGGGCUAUUCCUACUUCGACCAAGAGUGAAGAGUUCCUUACGAAAAUUCUGAUUCCGAAGGAACUCGACGCAUUUUGACCUAACCGACUUAACUUUUUGAGUUUCUACAUGCUAUUUUUGCUUCCUCCAAGAGUUAAGAGUUUCCUACGCAAGUAUUGAUUCUGAAAGGAACCCGACGCAUUCUUAUCUAACUGGUUUAACUCUUCUACUUUCUAUUGGAAAUUGUUGCUUCAACCAAGAGGGAAGAGUUGCCUACGCAAAUUCUGAUACCGAAGGAACCCGAUGCAUUCUGAUCUAACCAGCUUUACUCUUCUACUUUCUACAUGCUAUUGUUGCUUCAGCCAAGAGUGAAGAUUUCCCUACGCAACUUUUGAUCCUGAACGAACCCGACGCAUUCGGAGGUAGGGAGCUGAUUCCUAAGAAGUUGGUUAGUGUUCUUGUUCUGAUUUUUUUACCUUCAGUUAACUACGUUGUUUCUGAAGAAAUUAAAGUUAUGGGAUGUGAUGCAUGUUGGUAGGGAGCUGAAUCCUUUCUUAGGAACGUUUUGGUGAGCAUGGAGGCUGUUUAUUUGAGUCGGAAGCCCACUGCAAAAUCUGUUUUGGAGUUUGGUCGAUCUGUUCAUGAUGAUACAAAUUUGUUAUGAUCAUAUUGCAUUUUGAAGUUUUGGGGUAUUUUUCUUCCAUUUCUUUUCUACUUCCAAUUUCAUUUUCAAUUUCUGCUUAUUUUUUAUUCUUUCUUAUGUAUAUUAUUUUCUAAUGGUCACAAGUUGUGCAAUGUCUUUCUUUUAAGUCAUUGGCUACUUUGUAAAGAGAAAAACAAAGUUAACUAUAUCAUCAUUCUACUCUUUCUACCCCAUUUCCAUAAAGAAGCAAGAAACCAGCUAACAGGCAGAUUGAACUUGCUUAAAGACUCAAUUGGCCAUUUAGUCUGUCGAGAUUUAACAUUCUGUCAUUGUUGUCGUUGCCCUUAAAUCUCCUCACAAUCUCUUUUUUCUUCCAACAAUCAUUAAGAAAAAUCUGUGUAAACUGAACCCCAUGUCUUCCCUUCUCUUCCCACCGACGAGAAUUUUUCCCACUCUCCACUGCAAAACCCAUUUUGGAGCUUAUUCGAUCAGUUCAUGUUGAUACAAAUUUUUCCGAAUCGUAAUGCAUUUGUAACUUUUGGAGUAUUUUUCUUCCUUCAGUUUGUUUUCUACUUUCACUUUCAAUUUCAAUUUCUGCGUAUUUUUUAUUCUUUUUUAUGUAUAUUGCUUUCUAAUGGUCAUUUGUGGUGCAAAUUCUUUCCUUUAAAUCAUUGGUUAUUUUGUAAAUAGAAAAACAAAGUGAACCAUGUCAUCGUUCUACUCUUUCUAUAACAUUUCCAUAAGGUUUAUUUUGCAGUUAUCGUUGGUUAGAGUUGUUCUGUUUUUUUCUGCUCUGAUUUCAUUGCAUUGUUUUGAAGAAUUUAAAGUUAUGGGUUGUGAUGAUCCUUUCUUAGAAACGGUUUGGCAUUCCUAGAGACUGCUUAUGUGAGUUGGAAUCGCACUGUUAAAUCCAUUUUGGAGCUUGUUCGAUCUUUUCAUGGUGAUACAAAUUGGUUAUGAUCAUAUUGCACUUGGAACUUUUGGGGUAUUUUUCUUCCUUCCAUUUUUUUUUUCUACUUCCAAUUUCAUUUUCAAUUUCUGCAUAUUUUUUAUACUUUCUAUUGUAUAUUGUUUUCUAAUGGUCAUUUGUGGUGCAAUGUCUUUGAUUUAAGUCAAUGGUUAUUUUGUACGUAGAGAAACAAAGUGAACUAUGUCAUCGUUCUACUCUUUCAACAACAUUUCCAUAAAGUAGCAAGAAAACAGCUAAAGAUCAAACUGCCUAAAUGAACUUCUAACAUGUUGAUACAGAAAGUUAAAUGAACGAGAGGGAGAUGGGAAAGGGCAGGCAGUUUUUAGUAAAAGGAAGGGCCUGCAAUACUCCAUGAGAGAUAGGGGAAGCAGAAGGCUCAUGAUCCUUUUCUGGUUUUAAUUGUAGUAUUUUUAAUUUUGUUUAUUUGUGUUUUGGAGUAGGAGGGUUUCUUUGUUUGUUGUUUGUAAUUUCUAUGUAAUUUUCUUUUUAUUGUAACAUUGAGUUUCAAAUAUCAAUAUAAUAGAAACACCACAUCUGUGUUCUAUCAAGGUUGUAUGUUCAAAAGUGAGUAGAUAGUUGAGGAGGUCCUUAUGUUCAAAAGUGAAGUGAAUUCUAGGUGAUACAAUAUAAAAUUUAUCUUAACCCAUCAGCUUAAGCUUUUGGGUGAUUAAAUGGUUUAACAAUAAUAUGAUUUCAAAGUAAAAAUCAAGUGGAGAGGACACAAAGGCUAGUAUUUUAGGUAAAGGUGAACAAAGGUUCUUUAUUCAAUUUAUAAUGCUGGGCUGUAGAACAUAAUUAUGGUUGAAGUUGGAAUCGUACUCUACUUCAUUUGUACAAUGUACUCUACUCCAUUUGUACAAUGUACUCUACUUCAUUUGUACAAUGUAUUAUACUUCAUUUGUACAAUGCAUUCUACUUCUAUUGUACAAUGCAUACUAAUUAAGUUGAGUCAACAUUGUUAAAUAAAAAAAGCUGCUUGAUGUUGGUUGAGUCAACAAUCAAUUCUUUACUGUAACUAAUGUUGAAGUUGUGUUUGUAUUCUGUGAUGAACUAGAUGGAUGGGCGUGGGAUUGACUCAUUAGCAAGAUUUUACCUGUAUUUUGGAUAUACUCAAAAAGAAGAAUUAUCAUUCCCAGCCAAAAAGUUGAAAGCAUUUUGGUUUUCACCUCCCUCCAUUUCUAAUGCUGCUGAUGAUGGUGAUGGAGUCAAUGGACCUCUGCCAAGAGUGUUCAUAUCACAAAUUCUCGUGGAUUAGUUGAGUAAAUAAACUCAAGGUGCGUUUCACCAAAUUCUCGAUAUGCAAAAAUCUGAAUAUAUUUUUUUCCUGAAAUUUGGCUACAACCUGUAUCUUGGUGCUGCAGUAAGUGUAUUGUUUUUUUUUAAACACAAACUACUAGCAUUUUUAUUAUUGAACUGAUGAACAAAAAUUCAGACAAACUAAUCAUUUACCUCAUUUUUCCCUCCUCUCAAAAUACAUCAUGGAAAGAAUAAAACAAACACAAAAUCAAUAACAUGAGGCAAACCACAGUUUGAACCAUGCACAAUGCUCUCUCUUUCUAGACUUUUAAUGCACGGUCAUUCUGUUUUCCGGCACUGGUUGUAAAGCAGUUCUCACUUUCACGCCACCUCCAACAACUUUUGUGUUGAUGUUAUUAUUUUCCAUCUUCUUAUGGUUAAGUUGGAGUUUUUCCUUGAACAACUUCCUCAGCUGCCUUAGGCUAGUAUUAUCAUUCUUCACCACUAACUGAAUGAACUUUGCUUUGUUCUGUUCUUUUUCAGCUUCUUCUUCCUCAGCAUCUGGGUUGUCCAUUAGCAAACUAAUGGUUUGUUCUUCAACGGGAGAUUUGGCUUCUAUUGUUGGCCUAGGGAAUUGGUUUGCCAAUGAUUGAACUGCAUUGUUGUUGGAGGAUGUGAUAGUGAUUUCCACCAAAGCUUCCUCACAUUGAACAAUGGCAUUUGGGAUUUCUGGUUGUGAGUCGAUAGCUUCGACAAUUAUGUCUUUCGGAAGAGUUUCUUCUUCCAUUUUCCAUUGGAUCUUGACAUCAACCAAAUCAUCAGAAACAUUCUCGGGGAACUCCUCCGUGGACUUAUUGAUAAUUGUAUCAUCUUCUUCAGCUUGAACGGAACUUUUCUCCAUUUUUGUUUCCUUCUUGUCUCCUUCAAUGUCAGCAUUUGAUGCUACAUUUCCAGUUGAGGGAUCUGAUCAUUUUCAUCUUGAUCGUCUUUCACUUCCAAAGAUUCUUCAUCACUGCUCAAGGCAUCAUCUCCAUCAACUUCAGUUUCUUCUUCCACAUUUUCAUGGGGAAGAGACAGUUCUUCAGCAGAGUUAUUCACGUGUGUUUUCUUCUUCAACAUCUUCUUCAAUUUUAUGUUCCAAUUCACAGGUAGACUCAUUUUGUUGAGAUUCAAAUCCCAUACCAAAUUCUUCUGCAAUGCUCGAUUUGUGAACUUCAGUAACAUCCAAGUCUUUAGUAGGCAGAGAAGAUUUGUCAGAUUCAUUGAUUUCCUCAGCAGAAAUCUCCACAAAAUCAUCAUCUUUCGAAACUUCAUUUACUUUUUCAUCUUCAGAGAAGCAUUGCACAUCCGAGUUAGCAUGAGGUGCCUCUGUUUUAGAAUCAUCAACGCUCUUUGCACUAAUUACAUUUUCAUCAAAAGAUUUUAACAAAUCAUCAAGAACCAUUUUUGGUUCCUUCUCUGAGAGUGCAGUAAGUGUAUUGUUAGCAAUGUAGUAGGCAUAAGGUAGGAACAGGAUGCAUUUUGUGUUUUAUCCAUCUAAGUUUUUGGUUUAUGCAACAAAACCUUAGCUUGAAUUACAACUUCAUAUCAUUUUUCCUACUGCAUUCAGGACAUAAUCAGAAGAUACACUGAAUGUUCUUGCAUUGGGAAGAAGCAUGCUGCUUUGGCUGGUUCUUUGGGUUCCUUCACAUGGGAAAAGCCUUCACAUUCAGAGUUUGAGCAAUUAGCAAGGCUAUUAUUCUCCCAUGACUCUGAAACUUAUGUUAUUUAGUUCACCAUAUUAUCGUCGAUAAUUAACCAAAUUUCAUUUCUGAAUUGCGAUUUGACCAAGAAUUUGAAAACAAAAAUGCAUAUUGUUUUCUUUUUUAUUCUUUUCUAUUGCGUUUCAUUUUCUAUUGGUCAUUUGUUGUGCAAUGUUUUCUUCUUAAGUCAUUGGUUACUUUGUAAAGAGAAAAACAAAGUGAUUUAUUUCAUCGUUCUACUCUUUCUACAACAUUUCCGUACAAAAACAAGAACACUGCUAACAGGUAGAUCAAACUUUGCUAAAAUUCGUUUCCCUUCUUGGAAGAUAUUCGUCCAUGCCUAAACCUGCAGCUGGAAACUGAUUGUUCUCGAUCAUGUCCAGUGCUGAACCCCCAAAUGGAUUGGAAGGAUCAAGGGUGAAGGUUUAUUUUCUUCUUAUCGAUGGUUAGAGUUUUUCUUUCGUUUUGUUCUGCUUUGAGUCAAUUCCAUUGUUUUUUAAGAAUUUAAAGUUAUGGGUGUGAUGAUCCUUUGUUAGGAACGUUUUGGCAAGACUGGAGACUGCUUAUCUGAGUCGGAAUCCCACUGCAAAAUCAUUUUGGAGCUUAUUCGAUCAGUUCAUGUUGAUACAAAUUUCUCUUGAUCGUAAUGCAUUUGGAACUUUUGGAGUAUUUUUCUUCCUUCCAUUUAUUUUCAACUUUCAAUUUCAUUUUCAAUUUCUGCGUAUUUUUUAUUCUUUCUUAUGUAUAUUGUUUUCUAAUGGUCAUUUGUGGUGCAAAUUCUUUCCUUUUAAGUCAAUGGUUAUUUUGUAAAUAGAAAAACAAAGUGAACCAUGUCAUCGUUCUACUCUUUCUACAACAUUUCCAUAAAGAAGCAAGAAAACAAUAGUCUUUUGUGAUUUAACAUUCUGCCAUUCGUGACGAUACCCUUAAAUCUCCUCACAAUCUCUUUGUUCUUCCAACAAUCGUUAAGAAAAAUCCCUAGAAAUCGAACUCCAUGUCUUCCCUUUUCUCCCAACCGGCCAUAAUUUUUCUCACUCUCCAAACAAAAUCGUUUCAACCUUAUUCUACUUCACUACCCAUUUCCAAAAUUUUCAUUUCCCUCGGAAAUUCUUUGUCGAUGUUGAAACCUGCAGCUGGGAAUCGAUUGUUCUCGAUCUUGUCGAGUGCCGGUUCUAAUGGAUUGCAAGGAUCAAGGGUUAAGGUUUAUUUUUUAGUUGUUGUUGUUUAGAGUUGUUGUUCUGUUUUUUUCUGCUCUAAUUUCAUUGCAUUGUUUUUGAAGAAUUUAAAAGAUAUGGGUUGUGAUAAUCGUUGAUAGGGAGCUGAAUCCUUUGUUAGGAAUGUUUUAGUGAGCAUGGAGGCAGUUUAUCUGAGUGGGAAUCCCACUGCCCAUCUUUUUUGGGGCUUGUUCGUUCGGUUCAUAAUGAUACAAAGAACUUUUUGGGUAUUUUUCUUCCUUCCAUUUUUUUUCUACUUCCAAUUUCAUUUUCAAUUUCUUGAUUGAGCAUUCAAUUUCAGGAAAUGCACUGUAUACUGUCAAAAGCAAAUUUCAGUUGGCAAGUGGUUUGGAAUAUCAGAAAAAAGUAAUUGUAUAGUUUAUAAGGUAAUUUUGAGGUGAUUUAAGAAAAAUUGGUUGUUCGGCAAUCAAUUUUUCUACACUACCUUGACUCUACCUUAAUAGAGGACAUGUGUGUCUUCUAGUUUCACAUUAGUUGGGUCUUUCUUUUCUAUUGCAUAUUAUUUUAUGUUGGUGAUUCGUUGUGGAAUGUGUUUGUUUUAAGUCAUUGGUUACUUUGUAAAGAGAAAUACAAAGUGAAUUAUUUCAUCGUGUACUCUUUCUACAACAUUUCUGUAAAUAAGCAAGAAAACUGCAAACAGGGAGGUGAAACUUUCUUUAAAAUUCAAUUGGCCAUUUCUUCAUUUUUGAUUUAAUAUUUGUGUCAUGACCCUUAAAUCUCCUCACAAUCUCUUUGUUCUUCCAACAAUCAUUAAGAAAAAUCCCUCGAAUCUGAACCCCAUGUCUUUUCUUUUCUCCUCACCAGCUAGAAUUUUGCCCACUCUCCAAACAAAAUCUUUUCAACCUUAUUUUUCUUUACUACCCAUUUCCAAAAAUUUGAUUUCCCUCCUCGAAAAAUCUUCGUCCAUGCAGAAACCUGCGACUGGGAGCUGAUUGUUCUCAAUCAAGUCCAGUGCUGAACCCCCAAAUGGAUUGCAAGGAUCAAAGGUUAAGGUUUAUUUUUUUGUUAUCGUUGGUUAGAGUUUUUGUCUUUUUUUUUCUGCUUUGAGUUAAUUCCAUUGUUUUUGAAGAAUUUAAAGUUGUGGGUUGUGCUGAUUCUUUCUUAGGAACGUUUUGGAAAACCUGGAGACUGCAAAUCUGAGACGGAAUUCUACUCAAAAUCCGUUUUGGAGCUUGUUCUAUCUGUUCAUGGUGAAUCAAGUCCGUUUUAUUCUGCUUGCAUUUCAUUUUGAAUUUUUGCAUAUUUUUUGUUCUUUUCAAUGUAUAUUGUUUUCUAAUGGGCAUUUAGUGUGCAAUGUCUUUCUUUUAAGUCAUUGGUUACUUUGUAAAGAGGAAAAAAAUUGAACUAUGUCCUCGUUCUACUCUUUCUACAUCAGUUCCAUAAAGAAGCAAGAAAACUGCUAAAAUAGGCUGAUCAAACUUCCCUAAACAUUGAAUUGGCCAUUUAGUCUUUUGGUAUUUAACAUUUUUCCAUUCUUUUUGUUUCCCUUAAAUCUCUUCAUAAUCUUUUUGUUCUUCCAACAAUCAUUAAGAAAAAUCCCUGUAAGUCGAACCCCAUGUGUUCCCUUUUCUCCUCACCGGCCAGAAUUUUGCCCACUCUACAAACAAAAUCAUUUCAACCUUAUUUUUCUUCACUACCCACUUCCAAAAUUUUCAUUUCCCUAUGAAAAUAUUUUUCGAUGCCGAAACUUGCGGUUGGGAACCGAUUAUUCUCUAUCAUGUUCAAUGUUGAACCUCCCAAUGGAUGGCAAGGAUCAAGAGUUAAGGUUGAUCUUUUUGUGAUUGUUGGUUAGAGUUCUUGUUCUGUUUUUCUGUCUUGAUUUAAUUUCGUUGUUUUUGAAGAAUUUAAAGUUAUGGGUUGUGAUGAUCGUUUGUGCGUGUGCGAACAUGUUGAUAUUUUUUAGUGAUGAGAUUCUUCCAAUUUUAAAAUAAUAAUUUCGUUAUCCUGAUGUUUAAGCCAUUAAUGUUAUUUUGAGAUAAAAAUAGCGAACAAGUUGAUAUUGUUUAAGCCAUUAUGUUGAGAUUCUUAAAUUCUGAAAAAUAAUAAUUUUGUUAUUUUGAAAUUCAAAUUCAAUUGGGUUAUUUUAAAAUUAGUAAGAUUGAAUAAAGUUAUUAAAAUAUUGAAUCAAUUAGUUGAGUCCCAAGAUAUUAAAAAAAAGUUGCAAUAUGGAUUGAUGUAUAUUUUUCAAGUAAAAAUUAAUUAAAAGCUAAUAAAUGACAUAAAUUAAUUACAACGUAGAAACUAAAUAAUUACAGUUGGAGAAGGUGGAUAUUUUGUAAAAUACCAUGCACGUGCAAAAAAUGUUAUUUGCUAAAAUUCAAAAGAAAAAAUAGUUUUUCCAUUUUUUAAAAUAACCUAAGAAAAGUUGUUAUAUCUCUUAGGACAAAGAGUGUGGAUCUACAGGUCCAUAUUCGACUUAUUUUUUGUUGGUAAAAUUGCAUAAAACCGCAUUAUAUUGAAAUAAUGACACUCUUAAACCAAUAUUAAUAGAAAUUAUAAUUUAAUUAAUGUUUUUAAGUCAAAUGAACAUGAUUUUUACUCCUAAACAUAAUUAUUGUAAUUGUUUUUUAAUCUUAAUUCAUUUACACAUCUUUGUGCAUAUGUGUGCGUGCGCGUGUGCGUGUGGGUGAGUGUGCGUGUACGCUAGCGUGUGCAUGUGUAUGCGCAUGUGUUUGUGUGUGUGUUUGUGUGUGUGUUUGUGCGUGUGUCCGUGUGUGCGCAUGUGCACGUGUGUGUGUGUCUGUGUGUGCUCGUGUGCGCGUGUGCUUGUAUACGAACAAGUUGAUAUUUCUUAAUGUUGAGUUUCUUUCAAUUUUAAAAUAAUAAUUUAAUUAUUUUGAUAUUCAAGUCAUUAAUAUUAUUUUGAGAUAAAGAUAGUGAACAAGUUGAUAUAUUUUAAUUUUGAAAUUCAAUAACAUAAUUGAGAUUAUGAAAUUCUGAAAAAAUAAUAAUUUUGUUAUUUUGAAAUUCAAUUUGGCUAUUUUGAAAUUCAAAUUCCAUUAUAUUAUUUUAAAAUUCAAAUUCAACAUGCGUGCGUUCGUGCGUUUGUCCAUGUGUGUGUGUGCGGGUGUGUGUGAGUGUGCGUGCGUGUGUGCGUUCCUACAUGUGGGUGUGUGUUCGUGUGUGCGAACAAGUUGAUAUUUUUUAAUGUUGAGAUUCUCUCAAUUUUAAAAUAAUAAUUUAGUUUUCUUGAUAUUCAAGCCAUUAAUAUUAUUUUGAGAUAAAGAUAUCGAACAAGUUGAUAUUUUUUAAUUUUAAAAUUCAAUUAAGGUUAUUUUAAUACAAAAUCUAUCGUUGAGAUUCUCAAAUACUAUUAAAUUAUAAUUUUGUUAUUUUGAAAUUCAAAUUCAAUUUGGUUAUUUUGAAGUUAGUAAGAUUGAAUAAAAUUAUUAAAAUGUUGAUUCCCAAAUUAUAUAAAUUUGGUUACACUAGAAGAAAUUUGCCAUUCAAUAUCGGUUUAAAAUCGACAUUAAUGAUCUUUGGUGUCAGUUCGGAACUGACAUCUAUGCUAGCGUUAUUAAAGGCCUUUAAUGUCGUUUUUGCUUUGAUGUCGGUUUAAAAACGAUAUCAAAUGCAUCAGUAAUGUCGGUAUGGUCAUUGAUGUUGGUUUAAAACCGACAUUUUUUAUGGUGCUAUUGUUGACCUUUAGUGUCGGUUUGCCUUUGUUAUCGUUUUUAAACCGACAUUAAAGUCUUGUUUUUGGAUCUAUUUUUACAAAAAAAAUAUAUAAUUAUUGCAUUAUUGUUCAUUUUUUAUAAACUGACAUUAGAUACGUGUAAAUAAAUAUUUUUUUCUCACACCAACAAAUCAAUAAAAUUAAUAUUAUUUUAGGAACUACAAUAUUUUUCUUUUACAUUUGUAUAUAGAAAAUGAAAUCUUAAUAUUGCGUUUGUAUAUACAUUCUAUAAUAAUACAUGAAACUAGAUCCUAAUACAAGACUUAAAUAAGAAAUCUUAAACGCUUUCACAAUCUUCAACUUCAACAAUUGCUUCCAUCUACUUAGCUUAGCUUGGCUGGCUAUCUAAGACCAAAAUAUACUUUACAACCUGGGGAAGAAUAAAUCUAGAAUUUGCAAAAUUAGUACAUAUUAUUUAAAAUCAAACUAAACAGACUGCAAUGUAAAUGUGGAAAAUUAAAAAUUACCACAAAGUUUCAGUAGAGUAAAUAAUGUAGCAGCAACAAAGAAGACAAUUGAAAUGGCAACCCAAAAGUGCUGCAAAAAUAAAGAAGAAAAUAAGCUUUGAUCAAACAACUCAUUAAGAAGAAGAAAAUAACCUAAUUUGGUUCUUCAAAGAUCUAUAAGAAAAAGAGGAAUACAACUAAAGAAUAAUUAUACCUUCCUCGACUCUUACUUCAAAGCAAAUUUUGAAUGUUCAAUUUAGCAAUGCUAGUCUAUAGGCUUCUUACUCUUAAUUGUAUAAAUUUACCCAUCAAUAGCAAGAUUGUUUUUAUAGAUAAAGUUAAACAAUGGAGAUGAUAAAUAAUCUUACAAACUCCUAUUGGAUCGUUUUUCUUUUCAAAUGAAAAUAGUUAAUUUAUUUCAUUUAUGGAAGGUGAAAAUCUCAAAUAUAUAGUAAAAGAACAUGGAAUAUAAGGAAGCCCAUAAAAAGAAGAGACUCCACUAGCUAGGUAUUGAUCAAAGAUAAAUAUAUGGAUAAAUAGAUGCAACCUACAAAUAUAUCAAAACAGACUAAUACUCAAACUAAACUAAAGAAAACAAAAACAUUUACUACUAAAAGAUAAAAUAAAACACAAUUCAAAACAAUUAAUUACCAAGAUUGAUCUCAAUCGAAAACCAAAACGCAUCACAUUAUGAAGAUAUUGUGCUUCACAUAACACUCCAAAUAGCUAUACCAAAAUUACUUACUCUACAUUUUCCAUUUUGGCAAAUCCACCCACAAGAAUGCUAGUUACCAAGCUCAUUUCUAUGCCUUCUCUUCUUUCAUUUUGCUAACAAAAGAUAGUAUGAAUAAGGCUGCACAUUUGAAAAAAUAAAGACAAUUAAUAAUCAAUAAUGCUACCUAGCAGUCACAAGUUAACAAUCAAAUGAAGAAACCCAAGGAUUUUUGCGGCGGAAGCACGAUGAAGAUUGGUUGCCGUUCGCGAUCUAGGGUCACAGAUUGAGAAGAGAAGAAAAUUAGAAACCAACUUAGAGAGAAAGAAAAGAAAAAUUGAUAGGGAAAGAGUAGAGUAAGAAAGAGAGGAAAAAUUUAGUUUUUAAAACCUAACAAUUUUUUAAAAAGAAAUUAAAAAUAGGGGGUCAUUAAUGUCAGUUUUUACAAAAUACAAAAAAUUAAAAAAAAAUAAAACUGGCUGAUCAUUAAUGUCGAUUUAAAAACGACAUUAAACCCUUAUCAUUAAUGUCGGUUUGAUCCACCUUUUCAAAAACGACAAUAAAGACAAUUUUUCAUUUUUUUCACCUGACACUACAACCCAGAUUUGUUGUAGUGUUAUUAUGGGUUGAUGUAUCUUUUUCAGAUAAAAAAUGGUAUUUGCUAAAAUUCAAAAGAAAAAGUUGUUUUGUCAUUUUUUAAAAUGACCUAUAAAAACGUUAUUAUAUCUCUUAUGACAAAGAGUGUGGAUUUACUAGUCCAUAUUUGACUUGUUUUUUGUUGGUAAAAUUGGAUAAAAUCGCAUUAUAUUGAUAUAAUUACACUAAUGACACUCUUAAAUCAAUAUUAAUAGAAAUUAUAAUUUAAUUAAUGUUAUUAAGUUAAAUGAAUAUAGUUUAAAAGUCAUUCUAAACACAAUUAAUGUAAUUGUUUUUUAAAUUUAAUUCAUUUUCACAUCUUUGUGCAUAUGUACGUGUGUGCGUGUGUGUGUGCAUAUGUGCGAGUGCGCGUUUGCCCGUGUGGAUUGAUGUGCGUGUGUAUGUGCGUGUGCGUGUGUGCAUGUGUGCAUGUGUGUGUAGAUGUGUGUGUGCAUGUGUGAAUGUGUGCGUGCGUUCAUGCGUGUGUUCGUGUGUGUGCAUGUGCAUGUGCUUGUGUGUGUGUGCGUAUGCUUGUGUGUGCGUGUGAGAGUGUGCGUGUGCCCAUGUGGGUGUGUGGGUGUGCGUGUCUGUGACUGCACAUGUGCCCGUGUGGGUGGAUGUGCGUGUGCGCGUGCGUGCAUGUGUGUGUGGAUGUGUGCAAAUGUGCAUGUGUCCGUGUGGGUGGGUGUGCGUGUGUGUGUGCAAGUGUGUGUGUGUGUGUGUGCACGUGCGUUCAUGCGUGUGUUCAUGUGCGUGCAUGCGCAUGUGCCCGUGUAGGUGGGUGUGGGUGUGUGUGAGUGUGCAUGUGCCCGUAUGGGUGGAGGUGCGUUCAUGCGUGUGUUCGUGUGUGUGCAUGCGCAUGUGCGCAUGUAUGUGGGUGUAUACGUAUGCGUGUGCGCGUGCAUGUGCUUGUGUGUGCGUGUGUCUGUGUGGGUGUAUGUGUGCUCGUGUGUGUGAGUGCGUAUGUGUCUGUGUGGGUGAGUGUGCAUGUGCGCGUGCGUGCAUGUGUGUGGGUGUGUGGGUGUGUGUGUGUGCAUGUGUGCAAGUGCGCAUAUGUUUGUGUGGGUGGGUGUGCGUAUGUUCGUACAUGUGUGUGUGUGUGUGCGCGCGUGCGUGUCUGGAUGUGUGCGUGCGUUCAUGCAUGUGUUCGUGUGCGUGCAUGCGCAUGGGCGUGUGUGUGUGUGGGUGUAUGCAUGUGCGUGUGCGAGUGCACGUGUGCCAAUGUGGGUGGGUGUACGUGUGCUUGUGUGUGUAUGAGUGCACAUACGCCCGUGUGGGUGCGCGUGCGUGUGUGCCCGUGUGGGUGAGUGUGCGUGUGCGAGUGCAUGUGUGUGCACGUAUGUGUGCGUGCGUAUGUGUUCGUGUGUGUGCAUGUGUAUGUACGUGCGAGUGUGUGCAUGCGCAUUUGUGCGUGUGCGUGUGCUUGUACGCGCAUGUGCGAGUGCGCGUGUGCCCGUGUAGGUGGGUGUGCGUGUGUGUGAGUGCGCAUGUGCCCGUAUGGGUGGACGUGCGUGUUUGCGUGCAUGUGUAUGUGGAUGUGUGCAUGCGUUCAUGCGUGUGUUCGUGUGUGGGUGUGUGCGUGUGCGUGUGCGAGUGCGUGUGUACCCGUGUGGGUGGGUGUGCGUGUGUGAGUGCGCAGUGUGAGUGUGCACAUGUGUGUGUGUUUGUGUAUGCGUGUGCAUAUGUGUGUGUACACUGCCUUCACAUGGAUGUCAAAGAAGCAACCCAUUGUUACUCUCUCUACGUGUGAAGCAUAAUAUGUGGUUGCUACCUCAUGUGUUUGUCAUGUAACUUGGUUGAGAAAUCUAUUAAAGGACUUAUGAUAUUGCCAAAAGAAGAGCCAACCAGAAGUUUUCAUAGAUAACAAAUCAACAAUUGCUUUGGCCAAAAACUAGUUUUCCACAACCAGAAUAAAGCACAUUGAUACACAUUAUUAUUAUAUUAGAGAGUGCAUCAGAAGAAAGGAAGUAUAGUUAGAGUGCGUGAAGACUCGUGAUCCGGUAGCCAACAUUUUCACUAAGCCUCUUAAAAAAGAAGAAUUCACAAAAUUGAGAGACCUGCUUGGAGUAACAAAAUCAAGUUUAAGAGAGGAUGUUGAAAUAUAAACUUGAUUUUGGGUUUAACAAUAUUUAGGCAUAGCCCAAAUAAAAGCCAAAUUUCUAUAAAGUAUUAAUUACUACAAUAUUCUAGAUAAAUCAAUUGUAGGAGAUAUUUAGAGAAGAUUGAAGAUACAUUUAGAAAAUAUAAGAAAUGAGUGUAAUUGUAAAGAAUAUUCUAGAGAGUCAUUUGUAACCGUUAAAUAAAGAAUGUGUUGGCAAAAUCCUAGCCAUUCAUUUAGGAGUGACAACUAGGAUAAAUAAGAGGGAUGUCCUACGACUUGUAUUAAGUCAAAAAAAUAGAAGUGUCUAAUAACACAAGUAGCCUCUUAUCUCAAUUCUCUCUUCCAAAUUUCCUCCAACCUCCAAAAAUCCUUUCCAACAGUGUAUCAUUGUAUGAGUUAGUAGUAGUAGAAAGAGGAGGGCGAUAUUUGUUGGCUUCAUCCCGUCUUUUAGGCUUAUAGAAGGUAGUUUGGGAGGGGUGUCAACUAAAGUUGAUGCCAAAUCUUUGUUUUUGGAGGCAUAAAAAAAUGAUGAAAUUGUUAAGCAACUCUUAGAAAACAAUACAAUUUGACAUUUUAUAGUUGAGGAAUUGAUCUGAAGAUUGAUAAGCUUAUUUGCUUGGACUAAAAAAGUUCGUUUAAUUUUUAAAAAAAAUGAAAAUGGCUACAAUUAGGUUUUUCUCCCAGCGUUACUAAAGUUUGAUUGAAAUGCCUUUAGAUUUAAAUUUCUAAAUGGUUUGUUGAAUUAGUGUUCAAUUAUCUCAUAGGUUAACUUUCGCUCUUACUAUUGAUGCGUGACUACAAUUGGUAUAUGUGUGAAAGUGAAACUUAAACCUUUCCUUCACUAGAAGAAAUAUGGGCUUUAGUGUCAGGUGAAAAAAAUGAAAAUCUGGCUUUAAUGUCAUUUCUUAAAAGACGGAUCAUUAAAGUCGGUUUUAAAUCGACAUUAAUAAUAUUUCCAUUUUUAAUUUUUAAAUUUUUUUAUUAUUAUGUGAAAACUGACAUUAAAGACCCUUCCCCUUUUUAAUUUCUUUUUAAAUUUUUUUAAGUUGUAAAAAUUAAAUUUCCCUCUCUCUCUUACUUUACCCAUUCCUAUCAAAAUUUUCUCUCUUGAUUUCGAAUUUCCUUCUCCCUUCUCUUCUCAUUCUAUGACUUAAAACUCAUCGUCGUCUUUGUGCCCAUAAUUCAUCCCAAUCGUCGUCGUGGCUAAAAAUCUUCCUUCAAGUCUUUCCCAGUUGCCAUCGUGCUUCGGCUAUCGAGAAACGCCUCUAUUGUGCUCAAUCAUCUUCGACCAUUCGCAGUCGCCCAUAACUCUUCCUUCAAGUCUUUCCCAGUCACAGUCGUCGUCGUGCUUCCACCGCAAGAGUCCCUCGUGUCCAAUCAUCUUCGAAUCCACCACCAUAGCCACCACCGUGCCCAACCAUUGCAACCAUCGCGUGCCCAGCCGUCAUCUUUGGCUAGCACAGGGCAGACCAAGACAGAGGGCAACUCAACCCGUGAAUACCAAUCUGGUAUUACUUCAUCAGACAUUGGACGAAAGGGAGUGGACUACAGAGGCCCUUUCGAGCCUUCUUCUGGAGGUUCAAAGAAUUUUCAUACGCUUUUUUUUUAGGCAUCAAAAUAGAUCAUUGAAUCAAUCUUUAGUAGGUUCUAAUUUCUGUUGUCUGCUUUUUGUUAUUAACAUAUUGGUAUGUGGAUUUAGUUGGUAAGAAAAUGUAAUGGUAAAUAGAGAGUUGAUUUGGAAGAUAUGAAGAGGAAGUGGGCAGUGGGUUAAUGGAGAUUGGGGUUUAAAGGUAAAGAAGGAAAGUACCAAAGAGAGUGAAGAAAUGAAAUAGUGAAUGAUAAAUAUAAAAGGUAACUACAAAUAAGAGAAAGGGAGAGAUUUAGUUUAGCAUUGUUUGGAAAUUGGAAUGUAAUAUUCGCUUCUCAAUUUUCCUCAAUUUAAUUUAGGAUUAACUUUUGAGACAUUUUUCACUGACUUCGUGUUAUUAACAUAUUGGUAUCUGGAUUAGUUUGGUAAGAAAAUGUAAUGGUAAAUAGAGAGUGUUGAUUUGGAACUUAUGGAGAUGUAGUGAGAAGUGUGUUAAUGGAGAUUGGGGUUAAUAGGGUGAAGACUAGAUUUAUAUUAAUUGUUCGACUAUGCUUCUUCUUUAAUGCUAUAUGUAAGAAGACAGUUGGUUUAUCACAAUUAAAAGGAAUGCAAGAAGAUGUUGUUGUCACUCUAUGCCUAUUAGAGAAGUAUGUUCCACCAUCAUUUUUUACCAUUAAUGGUACACCUUGUUGUGCAUCUCAUAAGAGAAAUUGAGUUAUGUGGACCUGUUCAUCUAAGGUGGAUGUAUCCUUUUGAACGAUACAUGAAAGUUUUGAAAAAUUAUGUGUGAAACAGAAAUCGACCAGAAGGAUGUAUGGUAGAAAAUUAUAUUGUUGAAGAGGCUAUAGAGUUCUGUUCAAAAUUUAUGGUGGGUGCUAGCACUAUUGGACUAAACUCAUCUGUAAUAAAAGCAGAUUCAAACGUGGAUAGAUCAUUAUCAGCUUCUUCUUUUAUCAGACCAAUUAAGGAGCAGUUAGAUCAAGCUCAUCUUUACGUUAUUCAAAAUGUAAACGAAGUUCUACCAUACAUUGAGUACAUUCUAAAUCCUAUCUAUUCUCAUUUUACAUAAGUUGGUUAUGUAAUUACCUAAUAAUUUUGUUAUUUCUGACAGAAAAAAUAUGGAGAGUUUGUGUAAGCUUAACUCUGGUAAAUAUAGAAGUAAAAAAUGGAUUCAAGAAGAGCAUAAUCGAACAUUCAGUCGGUGCUUGUCCACACGGGUAAUUACUAGAACCAUACACUUCCAUGUUUAUUUUAGAUCUAAACUAAUCAGAUCCAAUAUAUUUUGUAGGUUGCCCUCGCUCUCGAAGUUCCUAAAAAUUCCAUCAUGCCUUCCUUAAGAUGGAUAGCUCAUGGACCUUCUCCACAUGUGGCUACAUAUUCUAAUUACAUGAUCAAUGGUUAUUACUACCACACAAAAAGACGUCGAUGAUAUUAGGAGAGUUCAAAAUAGUGGAGUUAGUAUAACAACCACUACAAUGCAAGUGUCUAGUUCUAAAGACAAAAACCCAGUCAUAUCAGAUAUGACAUUUUUAUGGCAUAAUACAAGAGAUAUGGGAGAUUGAUUACCAUCAAUUAUCCUUUGUUUUAUUUAAGUGUGAUUGGGUUGAUAAUAGAAGUGGAGUCAAAGUGGACGAGCUUGAGUUUACCAUUGUGGAUCUCAAACGUAUUGGACAUAAAUCAGACCCAUUUGUUUUAGCCUCCCAAGCAAAACACAUAUUCUAUGUGAAAGAUUCUGCAAAUCCUAAAUGGUCAGUGGUUUUAACAUCUCCACGUAGAACUAUUGAAGAAGAUUUCUUUGAAGAUGAAAUAGGAGAUAUGCUACUAGAGUGUGGUUAUGGAGUUGUUCAAAAGAUGCCCAAUGUUGAUACACCUCACGAGAUUGAUGAUACAACUUCAUCAUAUAUUAGACAUGAUUGUGAGGGUAGAUGGGUUGAUAAGUAAUAAUUGUAUAAAUGUUUUAUUAAGGUAUGCCAUUUACUUUUCUUUAUAAUAGAUUUAUGUCCAGAGAUUGUAAUUACUAAGCUUAUUUUAUGUCCUUACUUUGCUCACUAACGUGCUUACUAAUACAUAUAUGUUUUUUUUGCAGAUUCAUAGAUUGAGGAGUCACAUACUUAAGUGAGGAUGAAAGAAAAAUGAUUCCCAAAGCAAGAAACAAAUCAUUUGUGCCAUUUGGCCCAACGACUACGCCAGAGUUAGCAUGUAAGAAAUUCUGGGCAACGGUUGCCCGUUCAGUUUAAUGAACAUGGGCAACUUGUAAGAGCUAUAUCUAAGAAAAUUCAAAGUUACAUGUGUGUGUGUGUUCGACAGCAAAUUCCUAUCACAUACAAAUCUUGGAAAACAAGUUUCGAAUGAGUUGAAAGAUAAAAUCUACGAUUGUAUAUCGGUAUGAAUUCUAUAAUUACGUUUUUCUUACAAUGUAGUUUGAUUUCCCUAAGUCUAAAUACUUUUUUCUUUUUUCUUGUGUAGAUGUCGUUUGAGUUACAUCCCAAUGUUAGACAUUCUAUCCUAAUGUCUGCAUCAAGAAAGUAUCGAACUUUCAAAACUACGUUAACUCUUCUGUAUAUACUUCCGUUUAAGGAUCAACCAUCAUGUUUGUAGUUUCCUCCUAAGAUCUAUUCUCAUAUUAAUCAAGAAGAUUGGAAAUCCUUUGUGGACGCUAGACUAACUGAAGAAUGUGAGGUAAAUAAAUUUAAUUACAUGUUAACUUUAAUGUUGGUUUGGUAUGUAACUACAAACUAAUUUUUUGUAUAGGAUUAUAGUCGUAUUCAAAGGGAAAGAAGAUCAAAAUGCAUAUACAAUCAUCACAUUGCUAGUAAGGGAUAUGAAAAUCCUGUCGAAGAAUUAGUAAGUAUUUCUAAUUGAAUGAAAUAAUUUAUCUUAAUAUGUUUAUCCUAAUUAAAUAUAUAUCUUUGGUUGUAUAAUAUAACGUGUGAUCUUUCCUAUCGUUCAACACUUUGGAAAGAAGCAAGAAAAGGAAAAAACAAUGAUUAUUUUGAUGAUGCUACUCGAGAUUGUGUCUCUCGAAUCGUAAGUUUGCUUGCGAUUUACUUAUAUACAAUAUUUAAUCUUUUGUUAACUUAGUUAAUGAUGAAUACUUGUGUUGUUCUAUAGGAUGCAUUAGCUGAAAACACAUAGAGAUGAGGACAUAUUGACUGAAUCAUUGCGGCUCUAAGGAGCAUGGUGGACGUGUACGUGGCAUGGGUGGUUUUGUCUCUCAAUCACUAUAUUUCAAGACAGUGAAAGGGAAAGAGAAAAUUGCAAGUUCUCAAGUUGUAGAAGAUGACUCAAAAAAGCAAAAGUUACAAAAAGGGUCAUAAUCACUUGAGAAUCGUCCAUCAGAAGUGUUAACAUAGAUCUCUAUGCCGAUGAGGAUUUGGGCAACACACCUAUGAACGAAGAAGUGAAGGUAAUUAACUUUGUUGUCACUUUUAAAAUUUUAAUGUUUAUAGGAUAAAUUGUUCUUAAUGAUGCUUUUAAUACUUGUAAAGUAAACACCGUGCAAAUUGGCUAUAAGAACGAUUAAUAAUAUUGUUGCAAUAGCAACCGUACUUGAUGAUAGCAAUGGUGGUCCCAAUGUUAAAAUCUUGGUGGACUUGCUCACAGGAGGAGAUUGUAGUUUACCUAUUCCAGUGAAGGGCAAGAUAUAGACUUUAAAUCAAGCAUUAGGUAAUAUUGUUGAAUGACCUCGUUGACUUGUUUAUGUGCUAUUGAAGCUUUGAUAUUUAUUUGUGAUUGUAUUUUAGGUUUUGAUAUUAUUUUGUUUGUGCUUGGAGCAUUCAACCCCAAAGGAUGUUCUGUAUUCUUCAAAUUACAUAAAUGUUAAUGGAACCAUUAAGCUCUUAUAUGGACAUGUCGUGAACAAUAUGAAGGAUGUAGAUAUGGUUCGCAUCCUAAUGAACGAGCUAAUAUUCGGUAAAAACAAAUUCAUUUAUUUAGCUCGUUAGGACUUGCUCCAUUAUUGCAGCAUGGUAGAAAUAGGCUAUAUGUGCAUCCUAGCAUACAUUACGUAAGUAAACAUCUUUUACUCAUCUUUAUGUCCAAUACUAUAGCUAUAGUUAUUUUUGUUCCUUUUUAACUAAGGUUGCUUUUACUUAGAUAUCUUUGGGAUGAAUGUGAUUGUGGAAGCAAGUUUUUUGUUAUGACCAAGCAAAAAUAACAUCACAUAUCAAGGAUCGUGAUCUCCGAUCCAGAAAUUUUGCCAACCAGUUAGAAGCGGCUACCUUGCGAACAAAUAGUUCUAAUUCCGUAUAAUACUGGGUAAAUAAAUAAGAUUAACACAUUAUUAUGUUUUUCAUUGAGGUUAAAUGUAUACUCACAUUGAAGAUGUUUAUUGUAGUUUCAUUGGAUGUUGCAUGUCAUCGAUCUUCGAGAGAACUGUGUUUAUUGUAGUUUCAUUGGAUGUUGCAUGUCAUUGAAGAUGGUGAUACUAAUUGGUUAUGAUCAUAUUGCACUUGCAACUUUUAGGGUAUUUUUCUUCCAUUUCUUUUCUACUUCCAAUUUCAUUUUCAAUUUCUGCAAAUUUUUUUUAGUUUUUCAUAUUUAUAUUGUUUUCCAAUGGUCAUUUGUUGUGUGGUGUCUUUCUUGUAAGUCAUUGGUUACUUUGUAAAGAGAAACACAUUAUGCACUAUGUCAUCGUUCUACUCUUUCUGCAACAUUUCCAUAAAGAAGCAAGAAAACAGCUAGCAGGCAGAUCAAACUUCCUUAAAUAUUCAAUUGGCCAUUUCGCCUUUUUGGAUUUAACAUUCUGCAUUUGUAUCGUUACCCUUAAAUCUCCUCACAAUCUCUUUGUUCUUCCAACAAUCAUUAAGAAAAAUCCCUGUAAACCGAACCCCAUGUAUUCCCUUUUCUCCUCACUUGCCAGAAUUUUGCCCACUCUCCAAACAAAAUCAUUUCAGCCUUACUUUUGUUCACUACCCAUUUCCAAAAAUUUCAUUUCCCUCUGAAAAUCUUUGUCGAUGGCCAAACCUGUGGCUGGGAACCGAAUGUUCUCGAUCAUGUCCAGUGCUGAACCUCUCAAUGGACUGCAAGGAUCAAGGGUUAAGGUUGGUUUUUCUAUUUUUGUUGGUUAGAGUUCGUGUUCUGUUUUUUUUUUUUACUUUGAGUUAAAUCCUUUGUAUUUGAAGAAAUUAAAGUUAUGGGAUGUGAUGCAUGUUGGCAGGGAGCCGAUUCCUUAGAAGUUGGUUAGUGUUCUUGUUCUGUUUUUUUUUCUUACCUUGAGUUAGUUACAUUGUUUAUGAAGAAAUGAAAGUUAUGGGAUGUGAUGCAUGUUGGUUGGUAGGGAGAUGAAUCCUUUCUUAGGAACGUUUUGGGGAGCAUGGAGGCUGUUUAUUUGAGUCGGAAGCCCACUGCAAAAUCUGUUUUGGAGUUUGUUCGAUCUGUCCAUGAUGAUACAAAUUUGUUAUGAUCAUAUUGCAUUUUGAAGUUUUGGGUAUUUUUCUUCCAUUUCUUUUCUACUUCCAAUUUCUGCUUAUUUUUUAUUCUUUCGUAUGUAUAUAUUUUUUAAUGGUCACUUGUUGUGCAGUGCCUUUCUUUUAAGUCAUUGGCUACUUUGUACAGAGAAGAACAAAGUGAACUAUGUUAUCGUUCUACUCUUUCUACCCCAUUUCUGUAAAGAAGCAAGAAAACACCUAACAGGCAUAUCAAUUUGCUUAAACAUUCAAUUGGCCAUUUAGCCUUUUGGGAUUUAACAUUGUGCCAUUCUUGUUGUUGCCCUUAAAUCUCCUCACAAACUCUUUGUUCUUCCAACAAUCAUUGAGAAAGAUCCCUAGAAUCGGAGCCCCAUGUCUUUCCUUUUUCUCCACGCCGUCCAGAAUUUUGCCCACUCUCGAAACAAAAUCUUUCCAACCUUAUUUUUCUUUACAACCCAUUUCCAAAAAAUUCAUUUCGCUUUUUGGAAAAUCAUCGUCUAUGCCGAAACCUGCAUCUUGGAACUGAUUGUUCUCGAUCAAGUCCAGUGUUGAACCACCGAAUGGACUGCAAGGAUCACGGGUGAAGGUUUAUUUCUUUCUUAUCGUUGGUUAGAGUUUUUAUCUUGUAUUGUACUGCCUUGACUUAAUUCCAUUAUUUUUGAAGAAUUUAAAGUUAUGGGUUUUGAUGAUCCUUUCUUAGGAACGUUUUGGCAAGACUGUACACUGCCUAUCUGAGUCGGAAUCCCACUGCAAUAUCCAUUUUGGAGCUUAUUCGAUCAGUUCAUGUUGAUACAAAUUUUUUAUGAUCAUAAUGCAUUUGGAAAUUUUGGGGUAUUGUUCUUCGUUCCAUUUUUUUUUCUACUUCCAAUUUCAUUUUUAAUUUCUGCAUAUUUUUUAUUCUUUCUUAUGUAUAUUGUUUUCUAAUGCUCAUAUGUGGUGCAAUGUCUUUCUUUUAAGUCAUUGGUUAUUUGGUGAAUAGAAAAACAAAGGGAACUAUGUCAUCGUUCUACUGUUUCUACGACAUUUCCAUAAAGAAGCAAGCCAGAUCAAACAUUCUGCCAUUCUUUUGGUUGCCCUUAAAUCUCCUCACAACCUCUUUGUUCUUCCAACAAUCAUUAAGAAAAAUCCCUGUAAACCGAACCCCAUGUCUUCCCUUUUCUCCCCACCGGCCGGAAUUUUUCCCACUCUCCACACAAAAUCCUCUCAACCUUAUUUUUCUUGACUACCCAUUUCCAAAAUUUUCAUUUCCUUGGAAAUUCUUUGUCGAUACCGAAACCUGCAGCUGGGAAUCGAUUGUUGUCGAUCAUGUCCCCGGUGCUGAACCUCCCAAUGGACUGCAAGGAUCAACGGUUAAGGUUUAUUCUUUUGUUAUCGUUGGUUUGACUUCUUGUUCUGCUUUUUUCUGCUUUGAUUUAAUUGCAUUGGUUUUGAAGAAUUUAACGUUAUGGGUUGUGAUGCAUGUUGAUAGCAAGCUGAAUCCUUUAUUAGGAAUGUUUUGGUGAGCAUGGAGUCAGUUUAUCCGAGUCGGAAUCCCACUGCAAAAUCUGUUUUGGGGCUUGUUCGAUCUGUUCAUCAUGAUACAAUUUGUUGAGAUCAUAUCGCUUUUAGAACUUUUGGGGUAUUUUUCUUCCUCCCAUUUCUUCUACUUCCAACUUCAUUUUUAUUUUAUGGAUUGAUCAUUCAAUUUCAGCAAACCCACUGGUUAUGGUCAAAAGCAUAUUUAAGUUGAAGAUAUAAUAUUACAUUUACCUCGUAAGUUUUUGGAUGAAUUGGUGAUUUAACAUGGUCUAGAGUGGAUAGUUUAGGAGGCUGUUAGGCCACCAUUGUUGCAGGGUCCCCUUCUAAAGCGAUCUGAAACAGUAAACUAACGCACUGCAACUCUUUCUGUCUUUCCUUUUGUUUUGAAUUGAUGGUUACUGCUUAAUUGCGCAGCCUUUAGGUUUUCCAUUUAAAUCGUUCUGACUUUUUUAGUGAUAUUUGAAGACUUUAAUUAAAUCACCUAGAAGUACUUAUUAAGAUUAGGACGUCGGUAAGAUUAGGACGUCGGGAUUUGUGAUUUCAAGGAGAUUAGAAAUGUGAGAAAUGUCCAUGUUCGUGAUCUAACUGUCGGCAUAUUUGUGUUUAUGAAUAUGGCCGUCGAUGUGAUAGUAUUCUCAGACUGUUUUGUAGUGCGCAUAUGCAGAAUUGUGGUCACAUUUGAUCAGCCUUCUAUUUUCUGCGUUUCUGUUCUUAGACAGCAUUUUUUAUGGCAAUGAGCCUUCAUUGUAGCAAAUCUGAUUUUCUCUAUUACAAUGUUUGCAGUUGAGGAAAUGGAAUGAGCGAUGGGUAGUUUUGGACCCAACAACAGGGAAAAUGGAGUAACCAUACGUCCCAUUUACACUGUUUUUGGUCCUUCCUUGCUUGGUUCAAUGUAGUAAUAUGUUGGUGGAAACAGCUCAUUUCUAAUGCUGCUGCCGAUGGUGAUGGGGUCAAUGGACCUCUGCCAAGAGUGUUCAUAUCACAAAUUGUUGUGGAUUAGUUGAGUAAAUAAACUCAGGUGCGUUUCACCGAAUUCUCGAUAUGCAGAAAUCUGAAUAUAUUUUUUCCUUCUGAAAUUUGGCUACAAGCUGUAUCUUGGUGCUGCAGUAAGUGUAUUGUUAGCGAUGUAGUAGGCAUAAGGUGGGAAUAGGAUGCAUUUUGUGUUUUAUCCAUUUAAGUUUUUGGUUUAUGCAACAAAACCUUAGCUUGAAUUACAACUUCAUAUCAUUUUUCCUACUGCAUUCAGUACAUAAUCAGAAGAUACACUGAAUGUUCUUGCAUUGGGAAGAAGCAUGCUGCUUUGGCUGGUUCUCUGGGUUCCUUCACAUGGGAAAAGCCUUUGCAUUCAGAGUUUGAGCAAUUAGCAAGGCUUUUAAUCUCCCAUGACUCUGAAACUUAUGUUAUUUAGGUCACCAUAUUAUCGUGGAGAAUGAACCAAAUUUCAUUUCUGAAUUGUGAUUUCACCAAGAAUUUGAAAACAAAAAUGCAUAUUGUUUUCUUUCUGAUUCUUUUUUAUUGCGUAUUAUUUUUUAUUGGUCAUUUACCUCCCACAUAUGACAUGAAUAGCGCCAAACAACUACAAAGAGAACUGCCACACUCCUAUAAUUGUUGCUAACCUACCUAACUAAGAAUAUACGACAAUCUCGAAAAUGUGCCAAUGAGAGACAUCAUCAGAUCCAGAGAUCAAGUUUGCCAAGAACUACUCAUAGUAGAAUUUGCAAAUAUGUGGUGCAAACUGAGCCAAGAAUAGACAACUCCAACCUUUUUGGAAUAGACGUGGUUAUCAACCUUUUGACUCUCUUCUUCUUUUCUUUCCUGACUUGGAUUCACUGCUCUGAUCAUUGGAUGAAUUUAGUGACUUUCCCUUUGGGUUCUCCAUUGUUUUCCCAGAAGUUGAUGAAUGCUUCACAUCUCCACUUUCUUUUUCUUUUGCUUUUGAAGAUGUGAACUUAACCUUGGUGGAGAGAUUGGUAUUAUUAGACUUAUCGCCUGUUUUGGUAGACUUGCCUUUUGAAACAGGAGUUUUUGGGGUUUCUUGUUUGGACUUCCCCGUCUUCGAUACAUCUUGCUUGUUGGACUUUGCAACAGCGGCAGGUGUGGAUGUCUCAUCGUCCUUAGAUUUGCUAGUCUUGUUGGAUUCGGCAUCAUCAUUCUUCGACUUGCCAGCGAUUUUUGGACCUGUGCUACCAAGUUUACUUCCAAUUUCAAGAGUGCCUUGAUCCUUUGAUUUACUUCCAAUUUUUGGAGGCUGGUUUCAGCACAGGUGUGGUUUCCUUUUUAUCAUCAUCACCUGACAAUCUUUUCACGUUUUUUCCAGAAAUAGAUUUAGCUGAUCCCUUCUUUCUCUUGACCUCUGAUUGUUUUAAAGAACUCCCCCCACUCUUGCUGGUUCCAUCACCCUUCCUAACAGACUGCUUCAAUGUCUUAGUUUCAAAAUCACUUGUAGUGUCAUUAGUUUACAUUUACAUUUACGUUGAAGAUAUAAUAUUACAUUUACGUCAUUAGUUUUUGGAUGAAUUGGUGAUUUAACAUGCUCUAGAGUGGAUAGUUUAGGAGGUCUGUUAGACCACCAUUGUUAUUUUACUUAUAAUAGAAGAAAGGAAAGUAAGGCACGUUAGUAAUCAACACAGUUACUUAUUCAAAAGGAUGACAGUUAUCUAAAACAGGAAGUUAAAUGGAUGAGAGGGCAGGCAGUUUUUAGUAAAAGGAAGGGCCUGCCAGAAUUGUUCUGGUUUUAAUUGUAGUAUUUUGAAUUGUGUUUAUUUCUGUUUUGGAUUAGGAGGGUUUCUUUGCUUGUUGUUUGUAAUUUCUCUGUAAUUUUCUUUCUAUUGCAACUUUAAGUCUCAAAUAUCAAUAUAAUAGAAACAGUACAUAAGUGUUCUAUCAAGGUUGUAUGUUCAGAAGUGAGUAGAUAGUUGAGGAAGUCCUAUGUUCAAAAGUGAGUAGUUUAGGAGGGUCCUAUGUUCAAAAGUUUGCUGGUGUGUAUCUUUGUUGGCUCAACAUGUUUUGAAUACAUUUUAGGUUAGAUUGAGUUUGUUGCACUUGGUUGUCAUUUUUGGUCUUGAAAUGCUUUUUUCAACCUUUUUGGUAGAUUAUGAGUUACGAACCUACAUUUAGGAUUUGCUAGGUCGUUUUGAAAACUCAAGUAAUACCUAGACACGUUUUGAGCACGUUUUAGGUUGGUUUGAACUAAGUUUGUUACACUUACACACUUGGUAGCCAUUUUGGGUCUUGUAGUGCUUUUUUCACACUAUUGGAACUUUUUUCGUAGGUUAUGAGUUACGAACCUACACGUAAGCUGUUUUAGGUCGUUUUGAAAGUUCAAGUGAUACUUAGACACAUUUUGUUCAAGUGAUACUGUUUUAGGUCGUUUUCAAGUGAACUUUUUUCUUCUUGUAUUGACUGUUUUACUAUUUCUUCAUGGUUUGUAUUCAUGGUAUUUAUUUUCGUAAUGAAUCUUUCAUGUUCUGGUAAACAUUGCAGAAACACAUAAUUUCAGCAAUCUGUCAAAGAGUUGAAGGAGAAGACAGAAGUACUUAAAGGUCACAUGAAGACCUAAAAGUUAGGUAAUUUUUUGAAAACUUUUUUCUUCGUCUUGCUUAGUUUUAGUGGUAUUUGUUAACAGGCUGAGACAUACUCUUGUAUGCCAAGGCUGGGUGGCCAAUUCAAUGGAUGGCCUGAGACGGUGAAAUGACGAGUGUAGAACAAAGUAGACAAUCGAGCAGAUUUACAAGUAGGAGGAUGGUGUUUGGUCUUACUCUAAAGCUACUGCUAGAAAGGUGAUUCUCCCUUUAUUUACACAUGUUAUCUAUAUUUAAUUACUGUUUUUAUGUGAUGGUGAAUAAAUAUUUAAGUCGUUUCAAGUUUUUACAUCAUGCUUGAGUUAAUACAUUUCCCAACUCGCACUAAUUUUAAAGUUGAGACUAAGUUUGUUGCACUUACACACUUGGUUGCCAUUUUGGAUUUUGGAGUGCUUUUUCUACAUUUUUUGAACUUUUUGGUAGGUUAUGAGUUAUGAAGUAACACUAAAGCAUUAUUAGGUCGUUUUUAAAGUUCGAGUGAUACUUAAACAUUUUUUGAACACCUUUUAGGUUGUUACAAACUAAGUUAGUUUUACAUACAGCCAUGGUUGCCAUUUUGAGUCUUGAAAGAUUUUUUUUCACACUUUUUGAAAUUUUUGGUAAGUUAUGAGUUAUAAACUUACACUUAAGCGGUGUUAGGGUGUUUGGAAACUUAUACGUGUUUUCAAUACUUGUUAGGUUUGUAUAGAACUAAGUUCGUUGCACUUACACACUUGACAUUUUGGGUUUUGUAGUGUAUUUUUCAAAAAAUUUGAACUUUUUGCUAGGUUAUGACUUAUGAACUUGUAUUGAAUAUUUGUUAGGUCGUUUUGAAAGUUCAAGUGAAACUUAGACACGUUUUGAACUCGUUUUAGGUUGGUUUGAAACUAAGUUUUACACACAUUUGAUUGACAUGUUGGGUCUUGAAGUACUUUUUUCAUACUUUUUGAAAUUUUGGUAGGUUGUGAGUUACAAACUUACACUUAAGCAUUGCUUGGUCGUUUUGAAAAUUCAAGUGAUACUUACACACGUUUUGAAUACAUUUUAGGUUAGAUUGAGUUUGUUGCACUUGGUUGUCAUUUUUGGUCUUGAAAUGCUUUUUUCAACCUUUUUGGUAGAUUAUGAGUUACGAACUUACACUUAGGAUUUGCUAGGUCGUUUUGAAAACUCAAGUAAUACCUAGACACGUUUUGAGCACGUUUUAGGUUGGUUUGAAACUAAGUUUGUUGCACUUACACACUUGGUUGCCAUUUAGGGUCUUGUAGUGCUUUUUCACACUAUUUGAACUUUUUUCGUAAGUUAUGAGUUAUGAAUCUACAAGUAAGCUGUUUUAGGUAGUUUUGAAAGUUCAAGUGAAACUUAGACACGUUUUGAACUCGUUUUAGGUUGGUUUGAAACUAAGUUUAAAACACAUUUGAUUGACAUGUUGGGUCUUGAAGUACUUUUUUUCACACAUUUUGAAAUUUUGGUAGGUUGUGAGUUACAAACUUACACUUAAGCAUUGCUUGGUCGUUUUGAAAAUUCAAGUGAUACUUACACACGUUUUGAAUUCAUUUUAGGUUAGAUUGAGUUUGUUGCACUUACACACAUGGUUGUCAUUUUUGGUCUUGAAAUGCUUUUUUCAACCUUUUUGGUAGAUUAUGAGUUACGAACUUACACUUAGGAUUUGCUAGGUCGUUUUGAAAAGUCAAGUAAUACCUAGACACGUUUUGAGCACGUUUUAGGUUGGUUUGAAUUAAGUUUGUUGCACUUACACACUUGGUUGCUAUUUUGGGUCUUGUAGUGCUUUUUUCACAAUGUUUGAACUUUUUUCAUAGGUUAUGAGUUACGAACCUACACGUAAGCUGUUUUAGGUCGUUUUGAAAGUUCAAGUGAAACUUAGACACGUUUUGAGCAUGUUUUAGGUCGUUUUAAGUAAAUGGUAUGUAUGUUGUGAUUGUUUGAUUGCAUGUAUGAUACCUAAUUGAGAUGUGAAUGCUUGAUUGAGAAGCUGAUAGAACACCAAGUAAUGGUUCUUAUUUGUUCAUUAAGCAACCAAACUAUUACAGAAUACAAUACUCAAACCAGUCUUGAAAACACAGAACAAAUAAGUACUAUUACAGACAAUAACCAAGUACAAAAUAAAACAUUCAAACAUCAAAAGUAGUUUACGAUAAUGGAAAACACUUUCUAAGAUUAAAGUAACUGAACAACUUCUGUAAUUCUGCUCUCCAGAAAAUACAUCCUCUCCACUUCCAGAAACUGAUUAACCAACCCCCAUCUUUCCUUCCAUCUCUCCCUUUUAACCUCCCCCCUGUAACUAAUUGUUGUCCCCACUAAGGUGGUUUCCACUUCCUCCAAUUCCAUCACCUGUGCACGUGCAAUUCCACUUGUCUUUCUUCUGCUAUAUUGUAUUGCAAUUGGUGGUCUAUCAUUACUCUCCCUCUCCAAAGACACCUUGUUCUCAAGGUGGGAAAUGAGGAAGCUUUUGUGUAAAAUCAUCACAAUUCUCCCAUGUAGCCUCAUGAGGUGGUAUUCCUUUCCAACUAACAAGCACUUCCCACUUCUUUGUUGCUGGAUUUUUAGGAUAGCCAAAAUUGUCUGCUGGUAGUAACUCUUGAAAUGUAGGAACAUCAUCAAUUCCAUAUAGUUCGGUAAAUGUCAUUCCUCCCUCCAUAGCUCGACAUUUUGUCAAGAAACCGUAAUCAGAUGGUGUCCAUGUCUCCAUCAUGUGUUACAGACUCACUCUAGUCUUUGUCAAACUCGGGUCACCCCUUAUAACAACAUUCUUUUCAUUUUGUAUGAAAGUUAAAGUGAGUUUCCGCCAAUCCACUUCAAUUACCCCAACGUGUGCAGCCAUUGCAUUCCAAGGAUGACAUCAUGAUAGAACGCUGAUGUAGUGUUUCUAUUAUAUUGACAAUUCAAACACAACUUACAACAUAAGCAAACCGUGAACCUCAGAAAAUGAGUCACGUUACAUAUAAUUCACAAACAUCAAACAAAGAAAACCUCCUAAUCCAAAAUUACGAACAACAAAAUACUAAUAAGCAAACAAGAAUAUAGAACACCAAUCUUCUGCUUCCCCUGUCUUUCAAGGAGUAUUGCAGACCUUUUCCUUCACUCCGAAAACUCACUUUAACAAAUCCUAAACUAUAUAACUAACUCAAGAUACAAAAUUGUUAAUUCAAAUAACUAAUCCUAAACUAUAAAAAAUGGUAAUUCAAACACCUCCUCUAGGAUAAAACUCAAGAAACAUAAAGAAGGGGGAUGUUCUACAUUAGCUUUUGUCAAGGCUUUAGCCAAAAUUUUAUUUAUCAACUGUGGGGGAGGAUUUGAGAGCUCCCCAAUCUCUACACACUUCUCUAAUGAGAGUCUAUACCAAAAUCAUAUGUCCAAAAAGAUACCCAUACCCUCCCACUCAAGAAACUUAAGUAAUUGCUUAGAGAAAUAACAAAAUACUUGGCCCCACUCUAACAAACACAUUCCUAAGGGCCCACACAAAUAGAAAAAUACCAACUAACUCUCAAUCAUUCUUUCUUCUUCCUAUUCUUGUCUCUACGGGAAUACACCUUUACUAUGGGAGGUCUAUCAUUACCCCCCCCCCAAAUAGCCACCUUGUCCUCAAGGUGGAAUUCAGGAAACUGUUUCUUGAAUAAGAGCAGCUUGUUCCCACGUUGCACUUUCAAGUGUCCCCUCACUCCAACGGAUCAAAACUUCUAAGUUGUCCUCCUUUUCUAUUGUUUUGCGAACUCCCAAUACUUCUACCGGAGACACUUGCAUAGACAAAUCAGCAGCCAAAUCUUUUGAAAUUGGGAAUAAUGGCCUGUUUGAACCCACGACCUUGCGAAGAACAGAAACAUGAAAGACCGGGUGUAUAAGCGAUUCCUUGGGAAGGGCCAAACGGUAUGCAACGAAACGAAUUCGUGCCACGAUCAUAAAUGAACCAAUGAAUCUUGGGGCCAAUUUGGAGUGCUUAAAACGGCUGAGAGAGGACUGUCGGUAAGGGCGUAACUUCACAUAAACCCAAUCAUGAACCUCAAACUGCACCUCCCGUCUUUUAGCAUUAGCAUAUUUGACCAUUCGCUGCUGUGCUUUCAGUAAAUUGGCCUUCAAAACGCCCAAAAUUUCAUCUCUUUCUUUCAUCAAAUGGUCUACUUCAUCAUUCACCCGGCUCGAGCCCUUCACAUAUGGUAAUAUAGAGGGGGGUGGUCGCCCAUAGAGGGCCUCGAAGGGGGUCAUCAAUGUGGCUGUACGGACUGUUGUAUUAUAGCUUAAUUCAGCCCAAGCUAGCCAUUUAACCCAUUGUUUAGGUGUGUUCAUAGAAAAACACCCUAGAUACGUCUCCACCCCUCGAUUGACAACUUCCGUUUGACCAUCUGUUUGGGGGUGGUAAGUGGUGCUUCAUCUCAACUGAGUUUCCAACAACCUCCACAACUCUUCCCAUAAUAGACUUGUGAAAAUACGAUCACGAUCCGACACUAUACUUCAGGGGCAUCCAUGCAAACGAAUAAUCUCUCGCAUAAAAACAGCAGCAACCACUUUUGCACCAAAUGGAUGUUUCAAGGGGAUGAAAUGUGCAUACUUGGAAAGAAGAUCCGCAACUACCAAUAUAACAUCAUAACCCUCGGAUUUGGGGAGGCCCUCAAUAAAAUCCAUACUAAUAUCUUCCCACACACGGUCCGGAAUGGGUAAUGCUUGAAGGAAACCAGCCGGAGUUAAAGACAAGUAUUUGGCUUGCUGACACACGGAACAUUCAGCAACAUAGGUGCGGAUAUGGGCUUUCAUACCUCGCCAAUAUACCUCCCUUGCUAGCCUUUGAUAUGUUUUCAAUGCACCAUGAUGUCCCCCUAUUUGGCUGUUAUGGAACUCAGCUAAUAAUAAAGUAAUAUCAGGUGAAUCCUCCUCCUUGUAGCAAAUAUCCAUCUGGAGCUUAUUGUCCAUUUAUCAAGGAUAGUCGAAUAUUGUUAAGAGAUUCAUUUCCAGCCACUUGAUCGAUGAAAACGAAGGGUUUAGCCCGCCCACAAUACUUACGAGGCCCAAUUCAAAUACCGGUGGUAAUCUCUAUAAGGCAUCGGCCGCUUUGUUUUCCAAUCCUUUCUUGUACUCAAUCACAAAAUCAUACCCCAAUAGUUUAGCGAUCCAUCUCUGAUAUUCUCCCCCGAUAGCCCGUUGUUCAAGAAGAAACUUCAAACUUUUCUGAUCUGUACGCACCACAAAAGGCUUACCCAAUAGAUAUGGUCGCCAUUUUUGAACAGCCAGCACUAUUGCCAUAAGCUCCCGUUCAUAAACAGCCUUAAACCUAUGGGUAAUAGGUAAAGCUUGACUGAAAAAGGCCACUGGUCGUUGAUUUUGCAUUAGGACAGCCCCAAUACCCACACCCGAAGCAUCAGUUUCCAGCACAAAACUUUGUGAAAAAUCAGGAAUACCUAGCAUCGGGACAGACAUCAUUGCUGACUUUUAACUGCUGAAAUGCGUUCUCGGUCGUCUCAUUCCACUUAAAGUUACCUUUUUUUAACAGUUGUGUCAAGGGGGGCAGCACAAUAGAACCGUAGUUUGCAACGAAUUUCCGAUAAUACCCCGUUAGCCUCAAAAAACCCACCUAGCUCCUUCACGUUCUUCUUGGGUGCUGGCCAUUUAACCAUCGCUUCUAUUUUUGUUGGAUCCGCUGCCACCCCCUCUGAAGAAAUAACAUGGCCCAAGUAUUCAAUUUUGUCAACCGCAAAUUGGCAUUUUUUAAAGUUGGCUACCAGUUGAUGAGCUACUAGAGUUUCCAAAACCAUUGCCAAUUGGUGCAAAUGCUCGUCCAAGGACUUGCUGUAAAUUAAGAUGUCAUCAAAGAAAACCAAAACAAACUUGCGUAAAUAUGGGCGAAGAACAUCACUCAUGAUUGAUUGGAAUGUUGCCGGAGCGUUUCAACCCAAACAGCAUCACAAGGAAUUCAUAGGGCCCCUCGUGGGUUCGAAACGCUGUUUUGUGAACAUCGGCUGCCCGCACAAAUAGAAAAAUAUCAGAAUGCUUGUUUUUCUUUAUUUAUUUUGUAAUGUCAAUUAAUUGGCUAAUUAUUUAUAUGCUUGUUGAUAUCGCUGCAUGUUUUAUUUUGUAAUGUUUGUACUUUUUAGUUGUGAUUUGUGAAUAUGCUAGGAUUGAUUUGAUUUGCUCUUCUGACUGUUAAGAUCGGAAUGAUGUUGCUCAUCUGAAAGUAGGCAGCAUCAUGUGCUUGAAGACUUGUAGAGUAUGGAGAGUGAAUGGUCAAAUUUGAGGAAUCAUAUCUGCUGGCUUUGUAGUCCAAACAGGUUGUCUGGCUAACUUUCUUUUUCUCAUUUUCAACCAAUUAGGAUAGCUGUCAUGUUUUUUGAAUUCCUUGCCAUUCUUGAGUAGUAACUUCGCAUUUAUUUAUUAAAAGGUUUUAAUUAAGAUUAUGGUGUUCAUAACUUUGUAGUCACACUAAAUAACUUAAAAGAGUUAGUUUGACAGUUGACAAACAUGAUAGUAAUGUGAUAGUGAGUGCAAGGGUAAAAAGAGUUGCUUCUGUUGGGUUAAAGUGAUGUUUGUGUUUUUUAGUGUGAUGUGUUUUGUUUUCAAGUUCGUUAGUAGACGUAUUACUUAAUUGAAAAUUUUGAUACCAUAGCCAGUGCAGGGGAAGAUGAAUGGAGGGUGCUAUUAGACUAGUUAAGACUUAUAUGUAUCCUAAUUUUAGUAAUAUAUAAAAUUGAGAGAAUUUCCUUUGAUUUUCAGGAACAAGGAUGAAUAAUCAAUGAAAAAGGAAUGAAAAGGUUUAUCCAUGCAAGCUUCAAACAAAAGUCAAGGAUGUCGAUCCUUCCAGGGGAGUCCAAAGUUCCCCCUUAUUUUUCUCCAUUUACUUUGAUUUUCAAAAGCUUUUAGGACAGAAAAAGCAAUUUUUUGAGUGGGUGUGGGUAAUAGCUUGCUUAGCUUGCAUGUUUAGUGUAAACUUGGGGGUUCAAAUUUUGCCCAAAUUUCAAAAUUUUUCAGAAUUCUUUCCUUACAAUAAUGAGCAUUAUACCUUCUUAGCUUAAUUAGAUCUUGCAUAAAAAGCAUGAUUGGCAACCCUUGAGCAUUGAGCUCGGGUUUAUGAUGUGAAAUUCUGAAUUUUGAUGAGUAUAUGUGCUGAAAUUUGAGCAUAAGCUGCUGUCUUUUUUGUUUUAAGCUCUUUUUAGCUAUUUCUUAUUGAGAUGUGAAUGCAUGAUUGAGAAAAUGGUAUGUGUGUUGUGAAUGCUUGAUUGCAUGUAUAAUAAAUAAGUGCAUGGAUACUUUUCUAGCUUUGUCUUCCUUUGUUGCUUUGUCGUGACUUACCUAUGAUGCACUUAGUCCAAACCUAGCCUAGAUAGAGUAAAAAAGGAUAGGAGGCACUCUUUAGAAUCUGGGAUGGUUUUAACAAAUUUGUCUUAUCAAACAUGAGUUAGAAGCCUCUUGUCUAGCCACAAUGAACUAAAUCCCUUUAGAAAAGGGUCGACAUUAACAAAACUUAUUGUCACUUCGAAGGGAGCAAUCAAACUUAAUUAGUAACUAAAUGUAGAACCAUAGAAAGGUUAGCCCACCGGUCUCGCAAGGCCUAGUUACCACAUUGCAUACCAAAGAAAGAAAAGAGAGACUUGACAAUGCAAAACAUAAAACAGUAAGACAAUCAAGAGCUAUAAAAAAAAUCAAACAACAUAUCCAAUAUACAUUAGAAAAACCCCAUAAAAAAUGGGGGAAAACUUCACUUUUGGCCUAACCAAAACCAAACCACCUACUCUUAGCGUUCUAAACUUAGCAUCGAGUUUGAUGAGGGCUUUGAAAAGAGGAGGAAUCCUCCCCGAUCCACAUUAGGGGAAAAACAAGGCUUGUUGUCACUCCGAAGGGAGCAGUCAAACCUAGCAUUGAGUUUGACGAGGGCUUUGAAAAGAGGAGGAAUCCUCCCCGUUCCAUAGUAGGGGGAAAACGAGGCUUGUUGUCACUCUGAAGGGAGCAGUCAAACUUAGAACCUAAGUUUAGAACCAUAGAAAGGUUAGCCCACCGGUUCUAGCAAGACCUUGUUACCACAUUGCAUACCAAAGAAACAAAAGAGAGACUUGCAAAUGCAAAACGUAAAAAGGUUAGACAAUCAAGAGCUAUAAAAAAACAAACAACACAUGCAAUAUACAUUAGAAAAAUCCCAUAAAAAAGCAAAGAGCCAACUUGGUUCGGUCGAGUAGAAUGUGUUGAGUUCCCUAACUAUCAGAGCUUUUAGUAGAAAACUUUACUUUUGGCCUAACCAAAACCAAACCACCUACUCUUAGCGUUCUGAACUUAGCAUCGAGUUUGAUGAGGGCUUUGGAAAGAGGAGGAAUCCUCCCCGAUCCACAUUAGGGGGAAAACAAGGCUUGUUGUCACUCCGAAGGGAGCAGUCAAACUUAGCAUUGAGUUUGACGAGGGCUUUGAAAAGAGGAGGAAUCCUCCCCGUUCCAUAGUAGGGGGAAAACGAGGCUUGUUUAUGAGGAUUUUCCCUUGGGAAAUUAUUAUAAAAGUGACAAAUGAAAAUAUUGAUUGGUUUCUGAACCACUGUGGUGCCCUUGUUUGUUAUUUUCCCUUAUGUUGCUUUAUGCUUGGUUUUCUAAUUGAUAAUAUCAUCUUAAAGUGUUCUAAUUGAUAGCACAUAUCUCUUAGUGUUAGUACUUUCUUUCCUUUCUCUCUCUUACAUAUAUAGGGGAUAUGUUGAGCAUUUUUGCUAGCAAGGAUUAUGUACUUAACAAGGCCUUAGUGGAUUAGAGAGUUAAGAAAUUUGCAUAUGCUUGCAUCCAGACUGUACACCAUAAUAGGUAAUUAGUUUUUUCCAUUUUAACAUUCCUUAUUAAAAACUUAUCCUUUUUAACGUUUUGAAUGGAAGAACAGAUGUUUGAUCUAUCAUUGUUGAUUUUGUUGGCUUUCUAUGCUAUGAUCCUUUAAUUGUAUAUGAUAUAUUUCUUUUGUUGAAAAGUGAUAUAUUUCUUAGAUUUUGUUCAGAUAUAUAUAAUUGACAUAAAGGUUUUUUUACCUUCAGCUAACGAAUUCAGACUAAUCUUAUUUAUAUAUAUGUCAGUUGUCUUUAUUUUUCCUCUGAAUUAUUCUUACUUGAUGUUGUUCUUGAUAGAAACCAAUUGAGGAAUCAACUUUUGGCUGCACCUCUGAACUCUAACACACCUGCAACUCUAUUGUUAGACACAAUUAUUUUCUUAUUACAACCUGAACUCCCAUGGGUUUGUAAAAUUGUUGGUUACUUCCUGGAAAGAAAUGCAUAUGCGUUGAUUAGGGAUAUCACUUUGACAGGGAAGGUAUAACUGUACUUCCUUUUUCUUCUACUUGCAAGUGGUUUUUUUUAUAGAUAUUUUGUUUUGCCGUGGAUUAUCCUCUGCAGGUGUUUUUCAGAGAACUAAUUCACACUCAAACUAUUGCAGGAAAGUGCAGAUUCACAUUCCAAGAGUUCAUUGGCUUCUCUAGAACAUCUGCUGUCUCUUUUGAGUUCUCAUGUUGGUAAGAAGCCAUGUUGUUGCCCACGUGUUAAUCCCAAUUGGAGUUUCUCCUCUAAAAUUCUUACUCUUCCUUUAUUGUGGCGGACAUUCACAUUUCACACCUCUCUCUACCCAAUGGACAAAGUUGCAUGUGUCAUCCUCUACUAGGUUUGUGUACCUUGCUGUUUGGAUAUAAUGGCGUUAGUAAUGGUUUAAAGGUCAUGUUUUCUCAAUAACGAGAAACAUAACAUGCAUGUACUUCAUUUUAAAAAAGAAAAAAAAACUCUAUAGAUUUUUUUUGAAAAGAUCUUUUUAAGUACAACUUGGUGUGGGACAUAAAAAAUUAUGACUAUUCUAGCAUACAGAAUGGAGUUAGCUCCAGUACUCUGGAGUUUUAUUAAAAAGUGCCACGAGAAUAAAAAAUGGUCAUCCUUUUCAGAGAAAUUGGCAUAUUUAUCAGGAGAUGCACCUGGUUGGCUAUUACCUUUGGCUGUUUUUUGUCCUGUGUACAAGUAAGAUUAUCUUCUUUAUUCCUGUUCCUCUACUUUUGAAUUUCGCUUUAAUUCCUCAUCUGAUGUUAUAUAAUUAUAUGGUAUGUUAUAAGAUUCGGCAUGUCCUGAUCACUUCUUUCCUUAUCAAUCAGGCACAUGCUCAUAAUAAUUGACAAUGAGGAGUUUUAUGAGCAGGAGAAGCCACUAUCGUUAAAGGACAUCAGAUGCCUGAUCGUUAUUUUAAGACAGGUGAGCUCUUUAAUUCCAUCAUAUGUCCAAAAAGAUACCCAUACCCUCUCACUCAAGACACUUAAGUAAUUGCUCAGAGAAAUAACAAAAUACUUGCGCCCCACUCUAACAAACACAUUCCUAAGGGCCCACACAAAUAGAAAAAUACCAACUAACUCUCAAUCAUUCUUUCUUCUUCCUAUUCUUGUCUCUACGGGAAUACACGUUUACUAUGGGAGGUCUAUCAUUAUCCGCCCCCCAAAGAGCCUCCUUGUCCUCAAGGUGGAAUUCAGGAAAUUGUUCUUGAAUAAGAGCAGCUUGUUCCAAUGUUGCACUUUCAAGUGUCCCCUCACUCCAACGGAUCAAAACUUCUAAGUUGUCCUCCUUUUCUAUUGUUUUGCGAACUCCCAAUACUUCUACUGGAGACACUUGCAUAGACAAAUCAGCAGCCAAAUCUUUUGGAAUUGGAAAUAAUGGCCUGUUUGAACUCACGACCUUGCGAAGAACAGAAACAUGAAAGAUGGGUGUAUAAGCAAUUCCUUGGGAAAGGCCAAAACGGUAUGCAACGAAACCAAUUCGUGCCACAAUCAUAAAUGGACCAAUGAAUCUUGGGGCCAAUUUGGGGUGCUUAAAACGGCUGAGAGAGGACUGUUGGUAAGGGCGUAACUUCACAUAAACCCAAUCAUGAACCUUAAAUAGAACCUCCUGUCUUUUAGCAUUAGCAUAUUUGACCAUUCGCUGCUGUGCUUCCAGUAAAUUAGCCUUCAAAACACCCAAAAUUUCAUCUCUUUCUUUCAUCAAAUGGUCUACUUCAUUCACCCGACUCGAUCCCUUCACAUACAGUAAUAUAGAGGGGGUGGUCACCCAUAGAGGGCCUCGAAGGGGGUCAUCAAUAUGGCUGUACGGACUGUUGUAUUAUAGCUCAAUUCAACCCAAGCUAGCCAUUUAACCCACUGUUUAGGUGUGUUCAUAGCAAAACACCGUAGAUACGUCUCCACCCCUCGAUUGACAACUUCUGUUUGACCAUCCGUUUGGGGGUGGUAAGUGGUGCUUCGUCUCAACUGAGUUUCCAACAACCUCCACAACUCUUCCCAGAAUAGACUUGUGAAAAUACGAUCACGAUCCGACACUAUACUUUGGGGGCAUCCAUGCAAACGAAUAAUCUCUCGCAUAAAAACAGCAGCAACCACUUUUGCACCAAAUGGAUGUUUUAUUUUGUAAUGUUUGUACUUUUUAGAUGUCUUUGAGAUGUUUGCACCAAACAGGAGCAUUAUGUCAUUGAGAUGUUUUAUUUGGAUUGAAAAACCAAAACAUCUCAAUGACAUAAUCGCUGCAUGUUUUAUUUUGUAAUGUUUGUACUUUUUAGUUGUGAUUUGUGAAUAUGCUGCGAUUGAUUUGAUUUGCUCUUCUGACUGUUAAGAUCGGAAUGAUGUUGCUCAUCUGAAAGAAGGCAACAUCAUGUGCUUGAAGACUUGUAGAGUAUGGAGAGUGAAUGGUCAAAUUUGAGGAAUCCUAUCUGCUGGCUUUGUAGUCGAAAUAGGUUGUCUGGCUAACUUUCUUUUUCUCAUUUUCAACCAAUUAGGAUAGUUGUCAUGUUUUUUGAAUUCCUUGCCUUUGUUGAGUAGUAACUUGGCAUUUGUUUAUUAAAAGGUUUUAAUUAAGAUUAUGGUGUUCAUAACUUUGUAGUGUCACACUAAAUAACUUAAAAGAGUUAGUUUGACAGUUGACAAACAUGAUAGUAAUGUUAUUGAAUAAUGACAUUCCUCUAGUACUUCUGCCAAAAGAAAAUCUUUCCCGGGCCCAACGAGUGAUAUUAAAAUCCCCACCUAUGCACCAGGCCAUGGCCGAACAAUCAGCGCCAAUUCGGGCCAAACCAAUUUCCUUUCUCUGCAACCACAAGGGCCAUAGACAUUUGUGAUCCAACAAACCUUUUUUGCACAAAGUGAGGCAUUUGAUUGACAAAGAGAAGCGUCUUUUAAUGACCUCUGUUACAGAUAUUUUACUGCUGUCCCACAUGGUAAGAAUUCCCCCAGAAGAUCCAACAGAAGCCACAUAAUCCCAGCCAAUAUCCUUUGAACUCCACAAUGAUUUUAUAAAAGCCAAGUUCAAGGUGUCCUUCUUAGAUUCUUGAAUCAUGACUACAAUUGUUGAUGAAUUUUUUAAGUGCUGCAUGUUUAGAGGAGUCGUUCAAACCCUUAGUGUUCCAGGAGACAACCUUAAUAAUGACUGGGAGGAGGAAAAGGCAGUUGCACAUCUAAUUUAAGCCAUAAUGAUUCCACAAUCACCGACUAUAGACACUAAAUCUUUAGGCAAAUCCAGGGGAAUUUUAAUAGGGAGAAUAUCUUCAUCAUUGAACAAGACAUUCAGACCCAUCCCAUUAAUUUCUGGGACUAUUUUAGGGUCAACUUCAGUGUUGGGGACUGCCAAUUUAACUGAUCUCAACAGUAAGUUGAUUAAGUUGGGCAGUAGGAGGGACACGAGACAAGGCAUCUGCUGCUUUGUUUUCUAGUCCCAGUUUAUACACGACAUCAAAAUUGUAGCCAAGAAGCUUAGCAAUCCACCUUUGAUGUUGAGGUUGGAUAACCCUUUGUUCCAAUAAAAGUUUCAAUGAUCGUUGAUCAGUUUUCACUACAAACCUCUUGCCCAAAAGAUAAGGUCUACAGUGUUGCACAGCCAAAACUACAGCCAUUAAUUCCCGUUCAUAAACUGGUUUAGCACGAUCCCUCAUAGUUAAUGUUUGGCUCAAAAUAAGCAAUUGGUCGAUGAUUUUGAAUUAAGACAGCACCUACCCCGUAUCCAGAAGCAUCGGUCUCUAUUUUCAAAUGGUAAGGAAAAAUCAUUCAGUGCUAAGAUUGGGAGAGUCAUCGUAGCCAUCUUUAAAUUCUCAAAAGCUUCAGCAGCUGCAACAGUCCAUUCAUAUGCUCCUUUCUUCAAUAAUUGAGUCAAAGGAGCAGCCACACUUCCAUAAUUCAUUACAAAUCUUCGAUAAUAUCCUGUCAACCCAAGAAAUCCACGAACUUCACAGACAUUAGUGGGCACGGGCCAUUCUUUGAUAGAUCUAAUUUUCUCGGGAUCAACCUCUACACCCUUGCGCCGAAAUUAUAUGGCCAAGAUACUCCACUUUCAUUUUGGCAAACCCACACUUGUGCAUAUUAGCAUAUAAUUUAUUCUCUCGCAGCACCUCUAGCACCCAUUCUAAAUGUUGAAGAUUUUCAUCCAAACUUCUAUUGUAAAUUAAUAUAUCAUCAAAAAAGACUAAGAAAACCUGUGUAGGUAAGGUUUAAAGAUACUAUUCAUCAAAGCUUGAAACGUUGAUGGUGCAUUGGUGAGCCCAAAAGGCAUGACAAGAAACUCAUAAUGCCCCUCGUGAGUUCUAAAAGCUGUUUUCUUCACAUCCUUUUUACACAUUCUAAUUUGAUGAUAUCCCGCCUUGAGAUCAAUCUUCGAAAAUAUAUUAGCCCCAUUAAGUUCAUCAAACAAUUCCUCUACUACUGGAAUAGGAAACUUGUCUGGAACAGUCACACUAUUCAACGCACAGUAAUCUACACAAAACCGUCAACUACCAUUUUUUUUUCACCAACAAGACUGGGCUCGAAUAUGGACUAGUACUAGGUUUUUAUGCCAAAUGCCAUCAUUUCAUCAACCAAUCUUUCCAUCUCCUCCUUUUGCUGGUAUGCAUAUCUAUAAGGCCGAACAUUGCCUGGAUUAGUCCCCUUCUUAAGAUGUAUAUGAUGUUCAAUGGUACAUUGUGGUGGCAACUCUCCAGGCCAAUAAAAAACAUCUUCAUUCUUAGCUAACACGGCUGGAAUAGACUCAUGAGCGGUAGGCACGUCAUCAACCCCAUACAUCGCUGCAAAUGCCAUUCCACCUUCCAAAGAUCUACACUCAAUCAGAAAUCCCUGAUCAAGUUCUGUCCAUGUCUUCAUCAUGUGCUUCAAACUCACCCUAGCCUUCGUACGACUCGGAUCUCCCCUCAAUACAACCUUCUUCCCAUUUUGUAUGAAUGUCAAAGUAAGUUUUCACCAAUCUACUUCGGUUACUCCUAAUGUAUGUAGCCAUUGCAUACCAAGAAUGACAUCCACUCCCCCCCAAUUCCAAUGGAAGAAAAUUAUCCACAACCUUCCAUUCACCCAAUAGCAGUUCCACUUGUUUACAAAUUCCCUUCCCUUUUACAGCAGAUUCAGACCCCAAAAUAACCCCAUAAUCAGAAGUUUCCUGCAAUUGCAACAACAAUUGAGUUACUAACUUUUCAGAUAUAAAAUUAUUGGUCUCGCCGCAAUCUAUCGAUACUACUACUGACCUUUCUCUAAUCAUUCCUUCAAUUUUCAUAGUUCCAGGGUUUGUUAAUCCCACCACCGAAUUUAUUGAUAAUUCGAUCACGGGUUCUUCUGGUUUAACAACUUCAGUCUCCUGUAUUUCAGUUUCCACUUUUGAAUCCUCUUCUUCAACUACUCUAGUUCUUCCCCGUUUGCCCCAACAACUAAAACUCUAAGUUCCUUAUGAUCUUUCACUUUACACUUAUGGCCCACAAAAAAUCAUUCCUCACAACGAAAACAGAGACCUUUCUCACGUCUAGCCUGAAACUCAGCAUCAGAAAGUCGUUUUAAUGGUCCUUCUCGUCGAUUAGGUUCACCAGCCACUCCUCGAAGUGUAAUCAUCCACAUUCGAACAAUCCCUCGUGACUUAUUAUCAUUAGAAAUCACAGGAAUUUGAGGUUUAAAAGAAGCAGAAACCUGGAAUCUUCCAUCCGCUGCACGUUUGAAACUUGAUUCUCCCAUUAUCACUUCUCGGUUCUCAAUCUUUUGGGCCAACUUCAUCAUUUGAACAAGCCCCAUAGGUUCCCAACAUUCCAUGUCUGCCUUAAUCCAUGGUUUCAAACCAUUCAUAAAUGUUUCUUCUAAGACAGCCUUUUGUAGAAAAGGCAAUGGUGCUACUCAUUUAUCAAAUAAAUUCCAAUAUUCUUCCACUGUAAUUUCUUGCUUGAUCUUUAAACAUCUUCCCAGAAUUGAUCCCUCACGACUCGAUCGAAAUCAAACAAUAAGUCUCUUCUUUAAAUCGUCCCAAUUAACAAACGGUUCACAAUCUUCAUGAGAUCUAUACCAAUUCAAAGCUGCUCCAUCAAAACUAAUAAUGGACACAAUCAUUUUCUCUGAAUCACUCAGUUUGUGUAUCUGAAAGUAUCUCUCAGCCCUAAACAACCAAGAAUCAGGAUCAUUUCCUACAAAAACUGGCAUUUCAAUUUUUUUAAAUUUGCUUCGGUCGCCCGCAGAAUCUUUACCCUCCAACUUGGUAUGUUUUUCCUCAUAUUUUCUUCCCAUCAUCGUCCAAUCACUGACAUCAACCAUGCUGUCAACUCACUUGAUGAUCCUUCUAGUACUUCUUCCAUCGUUGUCUUCCCUUUGAUCAUUCCUUCAAUAUAUUUCAACAGUGUUUCUGGUUGUUGUUGUUGCUUCUCAGCCUGUACUCCUAACCUCUCAAUACUCUUCGCCAAAGAUGACAUGUUUUCCUUGAUUGUUGGCAGAUCAUGUAAUUCUGCUCGAAUGCCAGAUAUUUCUUGAUCUACCAUUUCCAACUUUUCCUCAAUUCGCUUUUGAGCCAUGAUAUAGAACUUCACAGAUUCGAUUUCUCUGAUACCAAGAUGAUAGAACACCAAAUAGUGUGUUCUAUUAAUUUAUUAAUCAGCCAAACAUUUACAGAAAACAGGUUCUAACACAGUCUUGAAAACAAAGUACUCGACAAUUUGGAAGACAGAAGCCCUAGAAGAGUGAAUAUCACGCUUUGGAGAAUGCGAAAUGGACUAUGAACUGUGCAGAAGUUUUGCAAAUGAAACCUCCCUUUCUCAGUUUAUCUUCUCAUGUUUGUCCCUUGUGUUUGCAUGCUUUAGAAGAUUUACAUCAUAUUUUCUUCUCCUACCUACAUGCAAAGAAGUGUUGGUUUUGGCUUACUUGGCUAUCUUCAUUUGAAUUGGGUUUUCGACUAUAGAUUUAGGAGAACGCGGUCCAACUUAUUUCAUGUCCCAUUCUCAAGAAGAAACCAAGAUUGAUUUGGUUAAAUGCAGUAAAGGCCAUUUUACCAGAAAUUUGGUUUGAACAUAAUCAACUAACAUUUCAAAAUAAAGCUUUCUCUUGGACAACUCGAGUCGAAAUGGCUAGAAUCAAUGCUUCUACUUGAUGCUCUCUUUCAAAAGACAUCAAAGAUUUCUCCAUACAAGAUAUAAGUCAUAACUGGCUGACUUUCAUUUUUAAUUCUUAGUCCACUAUUGUACUCUUAUUUUAUUUCUUUUGGAUUUCUAGUGGUCUUAAAUCUAUGUUGUAUAGUUAUUGGGCAGUUUGUAUGAUCUAUUCUAAACCAUGUCGUUGGUUUAGUCUUUUGGUUUAAGUCUCGAUAUGGUGAGAACGCUAAGUGGGUGUCAACCUAGAUGAGAUGUCCGAGUGCACUAGUUGAUCCUAGGGCUUCUUUGUAUUAUCUUUUGUCUUGUCUACUCAUUUUCAGCUUAAUGAAGAGGCUCCUUUCCUAUUUCAAAAAAAAAAAAAAAAAAAAGGUAAAUGUGUGAUUCUUAUAAAGUAAAUUAUCCUACAGAUUAAAAGUUUGAACUUAGACUAUUCCAAGUGCUUCACCAAAUCUUAAAUAUUUGAACCAAGUGCACCAACUUUGCACAACACAACAAUGUAAAACACAUUAACUACUUUCUCUUUUAUGCACAUUAUAUAUCAAAUAAAAAUAGUAGAAGGGAAAAAAUGGAGAGAAAAAAACAUACUAACAACGAUAAAAUAUAAUAAGCUUCAAUCGAAGAGAGAAGGUUUGAAGAACAUAAUUCAAAGGUUCCCAAAAUCAUAUCAUAAUUAGAAAGCCAAUACCAACCACCAAUUCAAAGAGAACACCUAAUCUACCAUACAAAAGUCUAAAUAUAAUAUAUUUUUUUUAAUCUUGUGUUUUAGUGUAUGAUGCAAGUGAAGAAAAACAAUAUUACAAUAUAAGUUCUUUUUACCCUGAUAUUUAUUAAUCAACUAAGAAAAAUUUGCGUUCAAAGUUGACCAAGAAUCCAAGACUUUCAAUCGGCAAAGGUAAUAUUAUGAACAUGGUAGUUGGAUGUGUUCCCUUUAGCAUACUAUCUUAAAUAAUCACUUUUUGUUAUUUGAGAAAAACUCCAUUUUCUCUUAUUACGGAAAAAGGAUUUGAUAAUAGGUAAGUAUAAUUUAAUAGAAAUUCUAACUAAAGAGAACUAAUUAUAAAAGAAAAUAACGUCUAGAAAGAAUAAUUAAAAAAAUAACUAAGGCAACUAUAUAAUACAAAUCUACACUUGGUAAUCACAACUUUCGAUCUUCCUUGUAUGGAGUAACAUUUUAAAGAGGCCGAACUAAGAUAAAGAUCUAAGCGAAAACUUCAUCGAUGGCAUAAGAAAGAUGGAUGGAAACCUUAUACAUAUUCUUACAAAUCCAGAUGUACGGGUGCUCGUGUGUGUUCAAUAAAGUAAAUAAUAGAAAAAAUUUCAAGCAAAAACCAAGCAUAAUAAAUUUCUAUGACCAUUAAGACAUCCAUAUUCUUAUCGCUUCUCUCCCACGUUUCACGAAGGCCCUCAGCCAUCUGCCAAUUCCAUUUGAAUUAUUUUUGAUAAAGCCCAUUAAAAAAAAAAAGUUCAAAAUGCGUGAAAAAUGCACUUUGAGACCUAAAAUGACAACCAAGUAUGCAAGUGAAACAAACUUAGUCUUAAACAAGUCCCAAAAUGGCAAUCAAGUGGGUAAGGUCAACAAACUUAGUAUCUCUUGAUUUGAAAUUUGAAAAAUAUUUGUAAGGUGUGAUAAAUUCAAAAUCAAAUCAUUUUAUGUUUAUGUUGUUGAAUUUAAAGAAAUCAAAUGAUUAUAAAUCAACUUUUAAAAAAUUAAAAAUUUGUUUCUAGACAUCCAUAUUCUUACUGAUUAAAAUUCAACUUACAUAUUUUUUUUUUUACUUAAUAUCUAAAAUUUACAUAUACUUUAAAAUUUAUUUCUUCUCUUUUCAUUUUUUUUCUCAUAUUUCAUUUUUCAAGAUUUAAAUAGUUUUUUUGUUUUAUUUGUACUUUUUUUGAUAGGUUAUGAGUUAUGAGCUUAUAGUUUAGCAUUGUUAGGUCGUUUUGAAAAUUCAAGUGAUACUCCAAGGUUAUUCUUGGAAUAUUCUUUUACAUUAUAUUUGUUAAAUCACUAUUUAAUUUAUUAAGAGCUUGAUAAAUAACCACUAAACUAAAACCAUAGAGGAUAAUUGAUAGACCACUAGUACAUGUUCUAUCACUAACUAACAGACGGUAAAACUUUGUUAUAUUUGUGAAUAUCUUCAGCAAUUUUAUCAUUUAAGACAAUUUUUCGUAUAAUAUCGACAUGAACAUCGUAAGAAAACUCAAAAUAAGUAAGUUAAAUUUAAAAAAAAAAUUGUAUGAAUGUUUUCGAGAACCAUUAAUUAUAAAUUCAACAUUUUUGAAUGAAAAAUUGGAUUGGUUUGUGGUGACGGCUAACAUGCAUGUCUAACAAUUAUUUUCAAUUUCUAAUACUUUCAUCCAUUGCCAAAGUUGGAAACUAAUGUUCACAAUUUUUUUUAUCUUAUUAAAUGAAAUUUCACAUUUCUUGAAAAUUUUGGAUUAUAAUUAUUUGAAAAACAAAAUAUAUAUUUUUUGCUUUAUCGUUACUGAAAAUUUUAUCUCGUAAAAUUUGAUUUUUUAGUCUAAAUUUUAAAAACAAAAUAUUUGUUUUAGUUAUAAAGAAAUUGUUUUGGGUUUUAAAUGGGUUUUAUCACAAAUAAUUCAAAUAUAUUUUAAUCCCUCAUCUCCCCUUCUCUCUCACUCACGUUUCAAAUUUCUUCCCCUACUUCUUCUCUAACGGCUCUCUCUCUCUCUCUACUUUCUCGUCCUCUCCCCUUCUCUUAUCUUCUUCGUCUUCCUCAAAAUCGCCCUAACAGCGCCGGAUUUCUCAACUGUCGAUCGAGUGACAAUCAUGUAUGCCUGCUUGACAAAGCCUUUUCGGUCUACCAAUAAAGGAAAAAACGAUUUCUGGUGACACGAAAGUUGUGCUCAACGCUCUUUUUCCUAUUCCACUGCGCGUCGUGGCCUUUCCCUUGCUGGUUGGAUGACUACUAUGGACGAAGAGCACAACUACUUCUAGUCUCUGGUCGAUAAGUACCCAAGGAAGGUAAAUUCCAGCGGAGAAAGUCGAGAGCUCCUUAGUUGAUCACAAAUCCUUUGAAAUUCUUUGUUCGUAGACUAAUUUGAAAUCCUUCCAAAUUCUUUGUUCGUAGACUAAUUUGAAAUCCUUCCAAUAUGGAUCCAUGCUGUCUUUUAUAUCCAUAAGAUACCAAUUAGAUUGUGUUAAUUAUUGUUUAUAAGAAAAUAUUUGUGUGCAGAGUUGCAGUGGGUAAAUCUUAAUGGCUGGCAGAAAAUUGGUUCGGGAUAUAUUACUCUCAACACAAAGUAUUUUUUAUCAGUUUACUUUCCAUCGGGUAUUUGCUCUUCCUAUGCUUUAUCCUUAUCCCAUCUUUCUCCGCUCUAGUCUUCAUAGGAUGGAUUUCUGUGGUGUAAAUUUAUUCAUCUAAUUUGUUUGAUUUAUGGUUGCAUUUAGGGAGAAGGUAAAUUACAUAAGCCAAAGUAGUUAUGGAAAACAUCUCCAAUUUACAGCAAGUUAAAGAAAAAAAAAAGAAGAGAAAAACAGCAGUUCAAAAAAAACUGGGCAUCUUGCUUCUUUCUUAUUGAAAGUUCUGCCGUUUCUUUCAAGUCAAAUUGACCACAAAAUGCUCAAAUGAGAUUCUUCAAUAGGAAUAUGUAACAAAAAAUAUAAUAUGUAAAAGAAUUUUUGUGAAACGUGGGAGAGAAGCGAUAACAUUAUCCUUCAAAAAAUUCAGAAGUAAAUAUUUAUGUGAAAGGACAUAUUAUUUGGCCAUUUGACCUUAUUUGUUAUUGAAUUAUUUGGUUGGAAAUGAUAAACUACACAUUAUCGUUUGCUUCAGUUGUGAUCUUGAUUAUGGGCUAUUUGGUAUUUUGCCUACAAACUGUAUAGUUAAUUAUCUGUUAGCUUUUGUUUUCCUGUCACAACUUUAUGUUUAUGUGGCUAAUUGUAGCUGAAAGUUUUAUUUACCAAUCUUAUUUUUCACAGCAUAAAUGAAACCGUGUUUCAAGAACAAGGUGGCGCUACAUCAUUCAAGGAAAUUCGUCGUAGAGGUCAUCGUUGAAUGACCUUGGAUUAUUCCUGAGUAUAGCUGUCAAUUAUGAGAUGUUUGAUAUUAAUAUGAAAGAAUACUGGAUGAUCUUGUAAGUUUUUUCCUUUGGAGAUGUGAUACUAACCUGUUUGAAUUAUCUAUUUAACAUUAUGGAUUAGGUCUUUCUCUUUACCAGAUUUCGUAGCUGAAGUUUAUGAAGUAAUCAAACCGGUGUUAACUUCUUAUAUAAAGGUUAGUGCUAACUGCUAAGCUUAUUUCUAAGAUGAAAGAUGCUUUUAUCCCCUCCCCAAAGAAUAUCAUUACUAUUUAUGUUGUGUUUCUGCUAACUAAUUCUUGCAUAGCAUCUGGUUUGAUAAUUAAAGUAAAAUUUCUGACAUGGAGGUUUUCAAGUUGUAAUAUAUAUUUUUAUGUUUUAGGUAGAUUCCCAAACUUUGAAGAAACACUACAGUACUAAGGUAAUUGAAUGUUGUAAGGCAGAGCAUCGGGCUUUCCAGAGCCAAGGUAUCUUCUUCGAUAACAAGGUAAGGAUAGUCCUGAUACUACCUUUCAUUUGUUAUUGAAGUUUAUUGUUCCUUUUGUUGGGGGCUUGGUGGUUGUGCACCUAUAUUGAUUUGUACUUCUGUUAAUUAAUUAUAGUCAUUCCUCUCUUGUCUGAGUAAUUAUUGUCAACCAUUUUGUUAGCAAAGGCUUCCCAUGGAUAUUGAGUUUGUUGUGCUGCAUGUCCACGAUGAUUUUCGUGAUUUUAGUUCUAGAUACAUAAAAAGGGCCUUUGCAUCACGACAUGAAUGACUAUUUUUUAAUAUGAACCUACAAUGCCCCAAAUGAAUGCUGGAUUAAAUUAGAUACAGGGCAGAUAUAGAGUGAGAUGGAGAGUGUUUGUGUGCUUUAGAGCCAUCUGUCCCUAAAACAUAGUUUCUUCCCCCCCUUAUAAGAAGUAAGUUUAUUGAUGUAUGUAAUUUACAAAAGGUUUGGUGGAACACCUACAACAAUCUUUUUGAAAUUUUUGGUAGGUUAUGAAUUAUGAACUUGUAUUGAAUAUUUGUUAGGUCGUUUUAAUAAUUCAAGUGAUGCUUAGAAAAUGCAACCGAGCUUAAACAAUUCUGCACAUUUUUAUAAAAUUUUUAGUUUAACCUUUUUAAUAAAAUUCGAUGGAAAUUCUUGUUUUCUUUUUGUAGGAAUAAAGGAAAAUGAAAUAUAACCAAACUUGGGAUCUUUGCAAGCAAGCUUCCAUGAAGAAACUAGGUUACAAGGGGAGGUCUUCUGUUCUCCUUUUUCUUUUUUUUUUCCAUCCGUAGAAUCUUGCUUAAAAUGCUUUGAGGACAAUGCAUAUUUUUAAGUGGGGGGUGGGGUUGUAGCCUUGCACAUUCCAGGUCCUUUGGGAAAUUUUCAUUUUGCAAAUUUUGCUAAAAAUGUCAAAAUUUAGAAAGUUUUGCAAUGCUCUAUGCUUAGAAUAAGUACCAUGUCUACUUCGCUUUUUAGCAUAAAAAAGCAUGUAUGCCUAACGCAUGAGAACGGAGCUCGGAUUUGUGAUUGUAUUUGUUCUUUGAAUAUGUUACAUAUGUUGAAAAUGCAUAUAUUGAUAGCUUAGAAAUGCGUAGAACACUUGGUUCAUUUUCUGAAUAUUGUGAAUUAUGUACAUAAUAAUAUGUGCGGUUCUCUUUUUUAUCUCAAUUUUAAUCCCCUUUUUGCCAUAUUCUAAUGCCUUUUUUAUAUUAAUUUUAAAUCCCUCUUUUGGCCAUACACAUUUGUAUAAGAUUGUUUGAAAGCAAAAUAUGAUUCUUAGGUCAGGUAGAAAGCAAAGUCGGCAAGUUCUUAGAGUUCUUCACCCAACAUAACAGUCGAUAAAAACAAAACAAUAUGACCAAGCUGCUAAGGGUUGCAAAACCCGACCCCCGCCUAGUGGGUCACUAGAGUUCCCCAGCAUGGCAGCCGGUAGAGAGGAGAGAGAAAAAAAAGAGGGAGCCAAGCCAGCCGCUUAGGUCAAGUAAAAUGCCCAAAUCCCCCGUUUCAGAGUUUUCGUGGGGAUCCUCUCCGCUUUUCUUGCCUAAGCAAAACCCGAUCCCGCCUAGUAGGUCCUUAGAUUUCUUCACCAAGCAUGGCAGGCGGUAGAGAGGGAGAGAGAAAAAAAAAAAGAGGGAGCCAAGCCAGCCGCUUAGAUCAAGUAAAAUGCGCGUCGAGAUCCCCCAGUUUCAAAGUUUUCGUGGGGAUCCUCUCCGCUUUUCUUGCCUAUGCAAAACCCGACCCUGCCUAGUAGGUCCUUAGAGUUCUUCACCCAGCAUGGCAGCCUGUAGAGAGGAAGAGAGAAAAAAAAAGGGAGCCAAGCGAGCCACUUAGGUCAAGUAAAAUGCACGUCGAGAUCCCCCGGUUUCAGAGUUUUUGUGGGGAUCCUCUCCGCUUUUCUUGCCUGAGCAAAACCCGAUCCUGCCUAGUAUCCUUAGAUUUCUUCACCAAGCAUGGCACCGGUAGAGAGGGAGAGAGAUAAAAAAGAGGGAGCCAAGCCAGCCGCUUAGAUCAAGUAAAAUGCGCGCCGAGAUCCCCCGGUUUCAGAGUUUUCGUGGGGAUCUUCUCCGCUUUUCUUGCCUAAGCAAAAUCCGACCCCCGCCUAGUAGGAACUUAGAGUUCUUCACCCAGCAUGGCAGCCUGUGAGAGGAGCGAGAAAAAAAAGAGGGAGCCAAGCCAGCCGCUUAGGUCAAGUAAAAUGCGCGCCAUGAUCCCCCGGUUUCAGAGUUUUCGUGGGGAUCCUCUCCGCUUUUCUUGCCGAAGCAAAACACGAUCUUGCCUAGUAGGUGCUUAGAGUUCUUCACCCAGCAUGGCAGCCUAUAGAAGGGAGCGAGAAAAAAAGAGGGAGCCAAGCAGCCGCUUAGGUCAAGUAAAAAUGCGCGCCGAGAUCCACCAGUUUCAGAGUUUUCGUGGGGAUCCUCUCCGCUUUUCUUGCCUAAGCAAAACCCGACCCUGCCUAGUAGGUCCUUAGAGUUCUUCACCCAGCAUGGCAGCCUGUAAAGAGGAAGAGAGAAAAAAAAAGGGAGCCAAGCGAGACACUUAGGUCAAGUAAAAUGCGCGUCGAGAUCCCCCGGUUUCACAGUUUUUGUGGGGAUCCUCUCCGCUUUUCUUGCCUGAGCAAAAACCGAUCCUGCCUAGUAGGUCCUUAGAUUUCUUCACCAAGCAUGGCAGCCGGUAGAGAGAGAGAGAGAUAAAAAAGAGGGAGCCAAGCCAGCCGCUUAGAUCAAGUAAAAUGCGCGCCGAGAUCCCCAGUUUCAGAGUUUUUGUGGGGAUCCUCUCCGCUUUUCUUGCCUCAGCAAAAUCUGACCCCCGCCUAGUAGGUACUUAGUGUUCUUCACCCAGCAUGGAAACCUGUGAGAGGGAGCGAGAAAAAAAAGAGGGAGCCAAGCAAGCCGCUUGGGUCAAGUAAAAUGCGCGCCGAGAUCUCCCGGUUUCAGAGUUUUCGUGGGGAUCCUCUCCGCUUUUCUUGCUUAAGCAAAACCCGACCCUACCUAGUAAGUCCUUAGAGUUCUUCACCAAGCAUGGCAACCUGUAGAGAGGGAGAGAGAAAAAAAGAGGGAGCCAAGCCAGCCACUUAGGUCAAGUAAAAUGCGCGUCGAGAUCCCCCGAUUUCAGAGUUUUUGUGGGGAUCCUCUCCACUUUUCUUGCCUGAGCAAAACCCGAUCCUGCCUAGUAGGUCCUUAGAUUUCUUCACCAAGCAUGGCAGCCGGUAGAGAGGAGAGAGAUAAAAAAGAGGGAGCCAAGCCAGCCGCUUAGAUCAAGUAAAAUGCGCGCCAAGAUCCCCUGGUUUUAGAGUUUUCGUGGGGAUCCUCUCCGCUUUUCUUGCCUAAGCAAAAUCCGACCCCCGCCUAGUAGGAACUUAGAGUUCUUCACCCAGCAUGGCAGCCUGUGAGAGGGAGCGAGAAAAAAAAGAGGGAGCCAAGCCAGCCGCUUAGGUCAAGUAAAAUGCGCGCCGAGAUCCCCCGGUUUUAGAGUUUUCGUGGGGAUCCUCUCCGCUUUUCUUGCCUAAGCAAAAUCCGACCCCCGCCUAGUAGGUGCUUAGAGUUCUUCACCCAGCAUGGCAGCCUGUAGAGAGGGAGCGAGAAAAAAAAGAGGGAGCCAAGGCAGCCGCUUAGGUCAAGUAAAAUGCGCGCCGAGAUCCACCGGUUUCAGAGUUUUCGUGGGGAUCCUCUCCGCUUUUCUUGCCUAAGCAAAACCCGACCCUGCCUAGUAGGUCCUUAGAGUUCUUCACCCAGCAUGGCAACCUGUAGAGAGGAAGAGAGAAAAAAAGAGGGAUUCAAGCGAGCCACUUAGGUCAAGUAAAAUGCGCGUCGAGAUCCCCCGGUUUCAGAGUUUUUGUGGGGAUCCUCUCCGCUUUUCUUGCCUGAGCAAAACCCGAUCCUGCCUAGUAGGUCCUUAGAUUUCUUCACCAAGCAUGGCAGCCGGUAGAGAGGGAGAGAGAUAAAAAAGAGGGAGCCAAGCCAGCCGCUUAGAUCAAGUAAAAUGCGCGCCAAGAUCCCCUGGUUUCAGAGUUUUCGUGGGGAUCCUCUCCGCUUUUCUUGCCAGAGAAAAUCCGACCCUCGCCUAGUAGGAACUUAGAGUUCUUCACCCAGCAUGGCAGCCUGUGAGAGGGAGCGAGAAAAAAAAGAGGGAGCCAAGCCAGCCGCUUAGGUCAAGUAAAAUGAGCGCCGAGAUCCCCCGGUUUUAGAGUUUUCGUAGGGAUCCUCUCCGCUUUUCUUGCCUAAGCAAAAUUCGACCCCCGCCUAGUAGGUGCUUAGAGUUCUUCACCCAGCAUGGCAGCCUGUAGAGAGGGAGCGAGAAAAAAAAGAGGGAGCCAAGGCAGCCGCUUAGGUCAAGUAAAAUGCGCGCCGAGAUCCACCGGUUUCAGAGUUUUCGUGGGGAUCCUCUCCGCUUUUCUUGCCUAAGCAAAACCCGACCCUGCCUAGUAGGUCCUUAGAGUUCUUCACCGAGCAUGGCAGCCUGUAGAGAGGAAGAGAGAAAAAAAGAGGGAUUCAAGCGAGCCACUUAGGUCAAGUAAAAUGCGCGUCGAGAUCCCCGGUUUCAGAGUUUUUGUGGGGAUCCUCUCCGCUUUUCUUGCCUGAGCAAAACCCGAUCCUGCCUAGUAGGUCCUUAGAUUUCUUCACCAAGCAUGGCAGCCGGUAGAGAGGGAGAGAGAUAAAAAAGAGGGAGCCAAGCCAGCCGCUUAGAUUAAGUAAAAUGCGCGCCGAGAUCCCCCAAUUUCAGAGUUUUUGUGGGGAUCCUCUCCGCUUUUCUUGCUUAAGCAAAAUCUGACCCCCGCCUAGUAGGUACUUAGUGUUCUUCACCCAGCAUGGCAACCUGUGAGAGGGAGCGAGAAAAAAAAGAGGGAGCCAAGCAAGUCGCUUGGGUCAAGUAAAAUGCGCUCCGAGAUCCCCCGGUUUCAGAGUUUUCGUGGGGAUCCUCUCCGCUUUUCUUGCCUAAGCAAAACUCGACCCUGCCUAGUAAGUCCUUAGAGUUCUUCACCAAGCAUGGCAACCUGUAGAGAGGGAGAGAGAAAAAAAGAGGGAGCCAAGCCAGCCACUUAGGUCAAGUAAAAUGCGCGUCGAGAUCCCCCGAUUUCAGAGUUUUCGUGGGGAUCCUCUCCACUUUUCUUGCCUAAGCAAAACCCGAUCCUGCCUAGUAGGUCCUUAGAUUUCUUCACCAAGCAUGGCAGCCGGUAGAGAGGGAGAGAGAUAAAAAAGAGGGAGCCAAGCCAGCCGCUUAGAUCAAGUAAAAUGCGCGCCGAGAUCCCCCGGUUUCAGAGUUGUCGUGGGGAUCCUCUCCGCUUUUCUUUCCUAAGCAAAACCCGAUCCUGCCUAGUAGGUCCUUAGAGUUCAUCACCCAGCAUUGCAGCCUGUAGAGAGGGAGAGAGAAAAAAAGAGGGAGCCAAGCCAGCCACUUAGGUCAAGUAAAAUGCGCGUCGAGAUCCCCCGAUUUUAGAGUUUUUGUGGGGAUCCUCUCCGCUUUUCGUGCCUGAGCAAAACUCGAUCCUGCCUAGUAGGUCCUUAGAUUUCUUCACCAAGCAUGGCAGCCGGUAGAGAGGGAGAGAGAUAAAAAAGAGGGAGCCAAGCCAGCCGCUUAGAUCAAGUAAAAUGCACGCUGAGAUCCCCCGGUUUCAGAGUUUUUGUGGGGAUCCUCUCCUCUUUUCUUGCCGAAGCAAAACCCGAUCUUGCCUAGUAGGUGCUUAGAGUUCUUCACCCAGCAUGGCAGCCGGUAGAGAGGGAGAGUGAAAAGAAAGAGGGAGCCAAGCCAGCCGCUUAGGUCAAGUAAAAUGCGUGUCGAGAUCCCCCGGUUUCAGAGUUUUCGUGGGGAUCCUCUCCGCUUUUCUUGCCUAAGCAAAACCCGAUCCCACCUAGUAGGUCCUUCGAUUUCUUCACCCAGCAUGGCAGCCUGUGAGAGGGAGCGAGAAAAAAAAGAGGGAGCCAAGCCAGCCGCUUAGGUCAAGUAAAAUACGCGCCGAGAUCCCCCGGUUUUAGAGUUUUCGUGGGAUUGAUCAUUCAAUUUCAGCAAACCCACUUGUUAUAGUCAAAACCAUAUUUAAGUUGACAAUGGUUAGAAAAUAUAAUAUUGCAUUUACCUCAUCACAUCUCUUUGUUCUUCCAACAACCAUUAAGAAGAAUCCCUGUAAACCGAACCCCAUGUAUUCCCUUUUCUCCUCACUCGCCAUAAUUUUGCCCUCUCCAAACAAAAUCAUUUCAGCCUUAUUUUUGUUCACUACCCAUUUCCAAAAAUUUCAUUUCCCUCUGAAAAUCUUUGUCGAUGGCCAAACCUGUGGCUGGGAACCGAAUGUUCUCGAUCAUGUCCAGUGCUGAACCUCCCGAUGGACUGCAAGGAUCAAGGGUUAAGGUUGGUUUUUCUUUUUUGUUGGUUAGAGUUCGUGUUCUAUUUUUUUUUUACUCGAGUUAAAUCCUUUGUAUUUGAAGAAAUUAAAGUUAUGGGAUGUGAUGCAUGUUGGCAGGGAGCUGAUUUCUUAGAAGUUGGUUAGUGUUCUUGUUCUGUUUUUUUUUUUAACUUUAGUUAGUUACAUUGUUUAUGAAGAAAUGAAAGUUAUCGGAUGUGAUGCAUGUUGGUUGGUAGGGAGCUGAAUCCUUUCUUAGGAACAUUUUGGGGAGCAUGGAGGCUGUUUAUUUGAGUCGGAAGCCCGCUGCAAAAUCUGUUUUGGAGUUUGUUCGAUCUGUCCAUGAUGAUAGAAAUUUGUUAUGAUCAUAUUGCAUUUUGAAGUUUUGGGGUAUUUUUCUUCCAUUUCUUUUCUUCUUCCAAUUUCUGCUUAUCUUUUUAUUCUUUCUUCUGUUUAUUAUUUUCUAAUGGUCACUUGUUGUGCAAUAUCUUUCUUUUAAGUCAUUGGCUACUUGUUGUGAAAUGGUGUCACUUCUUAGGAACGUUUUGGCGAGCAUGGAUGCUGUUUAUUUUAGUUGGACGCCCACUGCAAAAUCUGUUUUGGAGUUUGUUCGAUCUAUUCGUGAUGAUACCAAUCUGUUAUGAUCAUAUUGCAUUUUGAAGUUUUGGGUAUUUUUCUUUGGUUCUUUUCUACUUCCAAUUUCUGCUUAUUUUUUAUUCUUUCGUAUGUAUAUUAUUUUUCAAUGGUCACUUGUUGUGCAAUGUCUUUCUUUUAAGUCAUUGGCUACUUUAUAAAGAGAAGAACAAAGUGAACUAUGUUAUCUUUCUACUCUUCCUACCCCAUUUCCGUAAAGAAGCAAGAAAACAACUAACAGGCAGAUCAAUCUGCUUAAACAUUCAAUUGGCCAUUUAGUCUUUUGGGUUUUAACAUUCUGCCAUUCUUGUCGUUGCUCUUAAAUCUCCUCACAAUCUCUUUGUUAAAUCCCUGUAAACCGAACCCCAUGUCUUCCCUUUUCUCCCCAUCGGCCAUAAUUUUUCCCACUCCCCAGACAAAAUCGUUUCAACCUUAUUUUUCUUCACCACCCAUUUCCAAAAUUUUCAUUUCCCUCCGAAAUUCUUUGUCGAUGCCGAAACCUGCUGCUAGGAAUCGAUUGUUCUCGAUCUUGUCGAGUGCCGAACCUUCCAAUGGACUGCAAGGAUCAAGGGUUAAGGUUUAUUUUUAAGUUAUUGUUGUUCUGUUUUUUUCUGAUUUGAUUUCAUUGCAUUGUUUUUGAAGAAUUUAAAGUUAUGGGUUGUGAUGAUCCUUUCUUAGAAAUGGUUUUGCAGUCCUGGAGACUGCUUAUGUGAGUCAGAAUCACACUGUAAAAUCCACUUUGGAGCUUGUGCGAUCUUUUGAUGGUGAUACUAAUUGGUUAUGAUCAUAUUGCACUUGCAACUUUUAGGGUAUUUUUCUUCCAUUUCUUUUCUACUUUCAAUUUCAUUUUCAAUUUCUGCAAUUUUUUUAGUUUUUCAUAUGUAUAUUGUUUUCCAAUGGUCAUUUGUUGUGUGGUGUCUUUCUUGUAAGUCAUUGGUUACUUUGUAAAGAGAAACACAUUAUGCACUAUUUCAUCGUUCUACUCUUUCUGCAACAUUUCAAUAAAGAAGCAAGAAAACAGCUAGCACGCAGAUCAAACUUCCUUAAAUAUUCAAUUGGCCAUUUCGCCUUUUUGGAUUUAACAUUCUGCAUUUGUGUCGUUACCCUUAAAUCUCCUCACAAUCUCUUUGUUCUUCCAACAAUCAUUAAGAAAAAUCCCUGUAAACCGAACCCCAUGUAUUCCCUUUUCUCCUCACUUGCCAGAAUUUUGCCCACUCUCCAAACAAAAUCAUUUCAGCCUUACUUUUGUUCACUACCCAUUUCCAAAAAUUUCAUUUCCCUCUGAAAAUCUUUGUCGAUGGCCAAACCUGUGGCUGGGAACCGAAUGUUCUCGAUCAUGUCCAGUGCUGAACCUCUCGAUGGACUACAAGGAUCAAGGGUUAAGGUUGGUUUUUCUAUUUUUGUUGGUUAGAGUUCGUGUUCUGUUUUUUUUUUUUCUUACUUUGAGUUAAAUCCUUUGUAUUUGAAGAAAUUAAAGUUAUGGGAUGUGAUGCAUGUUGGUUGGUAGGGAGAUGAAUCCUUUCUUAGGAACGUUUUGGGGAGCAUGGAGGCUGUUUAUUUGAGUCGGAAGCCCACUGCAAAAUCUGUUUAAGGUUUAGGAGGGUCCUAUGUUCAAAAGUUUGAUGGUGUGUAUCUUUGUUGGCUCGACAUGUUUUUAAUUUAUGAUUGUUGUUGGUGGAGAGAGCGGAAGAUGUCGGGGACAGUUUGGAGAAGAUCAAGCGGCAGCUGGCCUCUGGGUCUGGUCGGAAUUUGUUGCAGGGUCCCCUUCUAAAGCGAUCUGAAACAGUAAACUAACGCAUUGCAACUCUUUCUGUCUUUCCUUUUGUUUUGAAUUGAUGGUUACUGCUUAAUUGCGCUGCCUUUAGGUCUUCCAUUUAAAUCGUUCUGACUGUUUUAGUGAUAUUUGACGACUUAAUUAAAUCACCUAGAAGUACUUAUUAAGAUUAGGACGUCGGGAUUUGUGAUUUCAAGGAGAUUAGAAAUGUGAGAAAUGCCCAUGUUCGUGAUCUAACUGUCGGCAUAUUUGUGUUUAUGAAUAUGGUCGUCGAUGUGAUAGUAUUCUCAGACUGUUUUGUAGUGCGCAUAUGUAGAAUUGUGGUCACAUUUGAUCAGCCUUCUAUUUUCUGCGUUUCUGUUCUUAGACAGCAUUUUUUAUGGCAAUGAGCCUUCAUUGUAGCAAAUCUGAUUUUCUCUAUUACAAUGUUUGCAGUUGAGGAAAUGGAAUGAGCGAUGGAUAGUUUUGGACCCAACAACAGGGAAAAUGGAGUAACCAUACGUCCCAUUUACACUGUUUUUGGUCCUUUCUUGCUUGGUUCAAUGUAGUAAUAUGUUGGUGGAAACAGCUCAUUUCUAAUGCUGCUGCCGAUGGUGAUGGGGUCAAUGGACCUCUGCCAAGAGUGUUCAUAUCACAAAUUGUUGUGGAUUAGUUGAGUAAAUAAACUCAGGUGCGUUUCACCGAAUUCUCGAUAUGCAGAAAUCUGAAUAUAUUUUUUCCUUCUGAAAUUUGGCUACAAGCUGUAUCUUGGUGCUGCAGUAAGUGUAUUGUUAGCGAUGUAGUAGGCAUAAGGUGGGAAUAGGAUGCAUUUUGUGUUUUAUCCAUUUAAGUUUUUGGUUUAUGCAACAAAACCUUAGCUUGAAUUACAACUUCAUAUCAUUUUUCCUACUGCAUUCAGUACGUAAUCAGAAGAUACACUGAAUGUUCUUGCAUUGGGAAGAAGCAUGCUGCUUUGGCUGGUUCUCUGGGUUCCUUCACAUGGGAAAAGCCUUUGCAUUCAGAGUUUGAGCAAUUAGCAAGGCUUUUAAUCUCCCAUGACUCUGAAACUUAUGUUAUUUAGGUCACCAUAUUAUCGUGGAGAAUGAACCAAAUUUCAUUUCUGAAUUGUGAUUUCACCAAGAAUUUGAAAACAAAAAUGCAUAUUGUUUUCUUUCUGAUUCUUUUUUAUUGCGUAUUAUUUUUUAUUGGUCAUUUACCUCCCACAGAUGACAUGAAUAGCGCCAAACAACUGCAAAGAGAACUGCCACACUCCUAUAAUUGCUGCUAACCUACCUAACUAAGAAUAUACGACAAUCUCGAAAAUGUGCCAAUGAGAGACAUCAUCAGAUCCAGAGAUCAAGUUUGCCAAGAACUACUCAUAGUAGAAUUUGCAAAUAUGUGGUGCAAACUGAGCCAAGAAUAGACAACUCCAACCUUUUGGAAUAGACGUGGUUAUCAACCUUUUGACUCUCUUCUUCUUUUCUUUCCUGACUUGGAUUCACUGCCCUGAUCAUUGGAUGAAUUUAGUGACUUUCCCUUUGAGUUCUCCAUUGUUUUCCCAGAAGUUGAUGAAUGCUUCACAUCUCCACUUUCUUUUUCUUUUGCUUUUGAAGAUGUGAACUUAACCUUGGUGGAGAGAUUGGUAUUAUUAGACUUAUCGCCUGUUUUGGUAGACUUGUCUUUUGAAACAGGAGUUUUUGGGGUUUCUUGUUUGGACUUCCCCGUCUUCGAUACAUCUUGCUUGUUGGACUUUGCAACAGCGGCAGGUGUGGAUGUCUCAUCGUCCUUAGAUUUGCUAGUCUUGUUGGAUUCGGCAUCAUCAUUCUUCGACUUGCCAGCGAUUUUUGGACCUGUGCUACCAAGUUUACUUCCAAUUUCAAGAGUGCCUUGAUCCUUUGAUUUACUUCCAAUUUUUGGAGGCUGGUUUCAGCACAGGUGUGGUUUCCUUUUUAUCAUCAUCACCUGACAAUCUUUUCAUGUUUUUUCCAGAAAUAGAUUUAGUUGAUCCCUUCUUUCUCUUGACCUCUGAUUGUUUUAACGAACUCCCCCCACUCUUGCUGGUUCCAUCACCCUUCCUAACAGACUGCUUCAAUGUCUUAGUUUCAAAAUCACUUGUAGUGUCAUUAGUUUACAUUUACAUUUACGUUGAAGAUAUAAUAUUACAUUUACGUCAUUAGUUUUUGGAUGAAUUGGUGAUUUAACAUGCUCUAGAGUGGAUAGUUUAGGAGGUCUGUUAGACCACCAUUGUUAUUUUACUUAUAAUAGAAGAAAGGAAAGUAAGGCACGUUAGUAAUCAACACAGUUACUUAUUCAAAAGGAUGACAGUUAUCUAAAACAGGAAGUUAAAUGGAUGAGAGGGAGAUGGGAAAGGGCAGGCAGUUUUUAGUAAAAGGAAGGGCCUGCCAGAAUUGUUCUGGUUUUAAUUGUAGUAUUUUGAAUUGUGUUUAUUUCUGUUUUGGAUUAGGAGGGUUUCUUUGCUUGUUGUUUGUAAUUUCUCUGUAAUUUUCUUUCUAUUGCAACUUUAAGUCUCAAAUAUCAAUAUAAUAGAAACAGUACAUAAGUGUUCUAUCAAGGUUGUAUGUUCAGAAGUGAGUAGAUAGUUGAGGAAGUCCUAUGUUCAAAAGUGAGUAGUUUAGGAGGGUCCUAUGUUCAAAAGUUUGCUGGUGUGUAUCUUUGUUGGCUCAACAUGUUUUUAAUUUAUGAUUGUUGUUGGUGGAGAGAGCGGAAGAUGCCGGGGACAGUUUGGAGAAGAUCAAGCGGCAGCUGGCCUCUAGGCGUCUGGUCGGAAUUUGUUGCAGGGUCCCCUUCUAAAGCGAUCUGAAACAGUAAACUAACGCAUUGCAACUCUUUCUGUCUUUCCUGUUGUUUUGAAUUGAUGGUUACUGCUUAAUUGCGCUGCCUUUAGGAAUUUGGCAAGCAUGGAGGCUGUUUAUUUGAGUCGGAAGCCCACUGCAAAAUCUGUUUUGGAGUUUGUUCGAUCUGUUCAUGAUGAUACAAAUUUGUUAUGAUCAUAUUGCAUUUUGAAGUUUUGGGGUAUUUUUCUUCCAUUUCUUUUCUACUUCCAAUUUCUGCUUACGUUGUAUUCUUUCUUAUGUAUAUUAUUUUCUAAUGGUCUUGUUGUGCAAUGUCUUUCUUUUAAGUCAUUGGCUACUUUGUAAAGAGAAAAACAAAGUGAACUAUGUCAUCGUUCUACUCUUUCUACCCCAUUUCCGUAAAGAAGCAAGAAAACAGCUAACAGGCAAAUCAAUCUACUUAAACAUUCAAUUGGCCAUUUAGUCUUUUGGGAUUUAACAUUCUGCCAUUCUUGUCGUUGCCCUUAAAUCUCCUCACAAUCUCUUUGUUAUUCCAACAAUCCUUAAGAAAAAUCCCUGUAAACCGAACCCCAUAUGUUCCCUUUUCUCCACAUCGGUCAUAAUUUUGUCCACUCUCCAAACAAAAUCCUUUCAAUCUUAUUUUUUUUCACUACCCAUUUCCAAAAUUUUCAUUUCCCUUGGAAAAUCUUUGUCGAUGUCGAAACUUGCGGCUGGGAACCGAUAGUUCUCAAUCAUGUCCAGUGUUGUACCUCCCAAUGGACGGCAUGGAUCAAGGGUUAAGGUGGAUUUUUUUGUUAUCGUUGGUUAGAAUUCUUGUUCUGUUUUAGGUUAAGGUGAAUGAUUGUUGUUGGUGGAGAGAGCGGAAGAAUGUUUAAGUGUUAGCUUUCUCUACUCAUAACCUACUCAAAUAUUAGAAAAAAGGACUUAACGACACAAAUUGCAUCCAAGUGUCCAGAUGCAACACUAUAGUGCCAAACAAACCUAACUAGUGUCCAAAAUGUGCCUAAGAUUUAAAGACAACCAAACGAUGCUUAACUGUGAGCUUUUCCAAUGCAUAAGCUACCAAAAAGUGAGAAAAAAAGGUCUGAACAACCUAAAAUCGCAACCAAGUGCCCAAAUGCAACUACUAUAGUGCCAAAUAAACCUAAGUAGUGUCCAAAAGGUGCCUAAGCUUUAAAGAAAACCAAAGAAUGCUUAAAUGUGAGCUUUCUAGACUCAUAACCAACUAAAAAGUUAGAAAAAAGAAUUUAACAACCCGGAAUGACAACCAAAUGCCAAGGUACAACAACUAUAGUGCCAAACCAAGGUGUGUAAGCUGUAAAGGAAACAAAAGAAUGCUUAAGUGUUAGCUUUCCCGACUCAUAACCUAACAAAAGUUAGAAAAAAGGACUUAACAACCCGAAAUUGCAACCAAGUGCCAAAGUGCAACAACUAUGGUGCCAAAGAAACCUUAUUAAUGUCCAAAAGGUUCCUAAGGUUUAAAGACAGCAAAAAAAAAUGCUUAAGUGUGAGAUUUUCCAAAUCAUAACUUUAAAAAAUGUGAGAAAAAGGACUUAACGACCUGAAGUGGAAAUCAAGUGUCCAAGUGCAACAGCUAUAAUGCCAAACCAACCUAGGUAGUGUCCAAAAGGUGCCUACGUUGUAAAUGCAAUCAAAGAAUGCUUCAGUGUGAACUUUCUCUACUUAUAACCUACCAAAAUGUUAGAAAAAAGGACUUAACGACUCGAAUUGCAACCAAGUGCCCAAGUGCAACAAAUAUAGUGCCAAACUAACCUAACUAGUGUCCAAAAGGUGCAUAAGGCUUAAAAUCAACCAAACAAUGCUUAACUGUGAGCUUUUCCAACUCAUAAGCUACGAAAAAAUGAGAAAAAAAUGACUUAACAACCCGAAAUGGCAACCAAGUGCCCAAAUUCAAUAACUAUAGUGUCAAACCAACCUAACUACUAUCCAAACGGUGUUAAGUUGUAAAGGCAACCAUUGAAUGCUUAAGUUUGAGCUUUCUUAAUUCAUAAGCUACCAAAAAAUCACAAAAAAGGACUUGAUGAACAAAAAUUUCAACCAAGUGCGUAAGUUAAACAAAUAUGCUGUUAAACAACCUAAUUAGUGUCUAAAAGGUGACUAAGGUUUAAAGACAACCAAAGAAUGCUGAAGUGUGAGCUUUCCCGACUCAUAACCUACCCAUAAGUCAGAAAAAAUGAUUUAACGACUCGAAAUGGCAAGCAUGUGCCCAAGAGCAACAAAUAAAAUGUCAAACGUACCUAAGUAGUAUCCAAAAGUUGCGUAAGCUAUAAACGCAACCAAAUAAUAUUUAAGUGUGAGCUUUCUCAACUCAUAACAAACAAAAAUGUAAAAAAAAAAAAAGACUUAACGACCCCAAUUGGCAACCAAGUGCCUAAGUGAAACAACUAUAGUGCGAAACAUACCUAAGUAGUGUCCAAAAAGUGCCUAAGCUGUAAAUGCAACCCAAGAACUCGUAAGUGUGAGCUUUGUCGACUCAUAUCCUACCAAAAUAUCUGAAAAAAUGACUUAACGACCUGAAAUGGCAACCAAGUGCAUAUGUGCAAUAAUUAUAGUGCCAAACAAACCUAAGUAGUUUAAAAAACGUGCCUAUUAUAUAAACACAACCAAAGAAUGCUUAAGUGUGAGCUUUCUCAACUCACAAUCUACCAAAAUGUCAGAAAAAAGGACUUAACGACCCAAAAUGAAAAUAAGUGCACAAAAAGCAACAACUAUAGUGCCAGACCAACCCAAGUAGUGUCCAAAAGGUGCCUAAGGUUUAAAGACAAACCAAGAAUGUUUAACUGUGAGCAUUCCUGAUAUGGAUCAAGAAAUCAUGAUUGAAUCAAAUGAAGAAGUUGGGGAGAUGCAAUGCUUGGAAGUUGAAGAGUUAUUUUGGGCAACUCAAAAGUCAUAAAUUUAAAUGUUUAAGAAAUAAUGUUUAUGUGUUUUUAGUUAUUAUGUUAGUUGAAAGGUUAUCAAAUUAAAUGUUUUGACCUUUCAUUUCAUAUUUUAAUUAGUAUAAAUAGGGUUGUAAUUUUUCCACAUUUAAAAAGAAGAAUUUGGGAUGAAAGAAAUCUGAAAAAUUCUAGAAUGUAGAAUUUUGUUCUUGUCUGUUGUGAUAGAAUGCCCAAACAUUUGAAGCAUUCAAGUGAGAAUUGAUCUACCUUACUUGUGGAGUGUUUUGAAGAUUAAGGAUUGAUGGGAGUUUCUAAUUUUGUUCGAUCCUUGGUUUCUUAGAUCAUCUAAGCAAUUUGUAUGUAGCCUAUUUUAGGGGUUGAAAUCAAAUUGGUUUUGCGGCUAGUGGGGUUGUGUUCUUUGAGUCUUGUUGUUUAACAUGAUUCUUAGAUCCAAUGGCUAGGGGUUUCUUAUCAAUUUCCAACACAUAACCUACCAAAAAGUUACCAAAAAGGACUUAAGGACCUUAAAUGGAAACCAAGUGUGCAAGUGCAUCAACUAUAGUGCCAACCAACCUAUGUAGUGUCCAAGAGGUGCUUAGGCUGUAAAGACUAUCAAACAAUGCUUAAGUGUGAGCUUUCUUAACUCAUAAACUACAAAAAAUUGAAAAACAAAGAAGGAAUUAACAACCAAAAAUUAGUAAAUAAGACAAGAACUAUAGUGCUAAACCAACCUAAGUGGUGUGCAAAAGGCGUCUAUAGUGCAAAUCAUGUCAUUUUAAUUGAUCAAUUCAUAAGUUAGUCCUAGAAGUUUUAUGGUAUAGUGCUUGAUUUGGCAAUGCAUAGGUAAAGAAACCAUAGUGACUAAAGUUCACAAAUCAAAUGUAUAGUAUUGUGUAUAAAAUGACUUUAUAAGUGAAUAAAAACACUAGGAAAAAGAAAUUGAGUCAUAUAAGGGAUCAUCUAGCAAACAGGUUUUUGUCAAGUUCCAAAUGUAGUAACACUACAACAAAAAUUAUCUACUACGACAGUUGUUUAUAUCACAAAAUGGAGGGAGGAAAAAAAAUUAUCACAAAAGGAAAAAAAACGCGCGGGAAAAGGCGAAACUUUUCGGAUAAUACUUUUCGCGACAGUUAUUUGAUGUCGUAGUAUUGUAAUUGAAACAAUAUUUAGAGGCCUAGAACCACAAAUGAAAGUCACGAAUGAACCAUCAUCAUUCUUCUUAAAUCGCCACUAAUCUUAAAAGUGCAAGCAUUGUAUAUAUGUUUAAUUUUUAAAAUAAAAAGAAAAUGGUUCUAAAAAAGAAAAUGGUUAUCAAUUCCUAUCUAAUGAGUUGUGGUAAAAAUUAUAUCAAUAAAAUGAACAAGAAAAAAAGAAGUGUAAGGAAGGAAAAGUUGAAUACCGUAGAACCCAACGAAUUUUGACCUAAUCGGCUUAACUCUCCUACAUUCUACAGGCUAUUGUUGCUUCGGCCGUGAGUGAAUAUUUUCCUACGCAAGUUCUGAUAUCGAAGGAACCCAACGAAUUCUGACCUAAUUGGCUUAACUCUUCUACUUUCAACUAGCUAUUGUUGCUUCGGCCAAGAGUGAAGAGUUACCUAUACAACUAUCGAUCCCGAAGGAACCCGACGCAUUCUGACCUAACCACUUUAACUCUCCUACUUUCUACAGAAAUUGAUGCUUUGGCCAAGAGUAAAAAGUUCCCUAUGUGAAUUCUGAUAUGUAAAGAACUUGAUGCAUUCCAACCUAACCAGCUUAACUCUCCUACUUUCUACCGGUUAUUGUUGCUUCAGCCAAGAGUGAAGAGUUCUCUACGCAAGCUUUGAUUCUGAAGGAACCUGACAUAUUCUGACCCAACUAGCUUAACUAUCCAACUUUCUACAGGCUAUUGUUGCUUCAACCAAGAGUGAAGAGUUCCUUAUGCAAUUUAGGAACCCGAUGCAUUCUGACCUAACCGGCUUGACUUUCCUACUUUCUACGGCCUAUUGUGGCUUCGGCGAAGUGAAAAGUUCUUUACGCAAGUUCUGAACUCAAAGGAACUCGAUGGAUUUUGACCUAACCCGCUUAACUCUCCUACUUUCUACCGGCUAUAGUUACUACAACCAAAAGUGAAAAGUUCCCUACGCAAGUUUUGAUCCCGUAGGAACCCGAUGCAUUGCGACCUAAUCGACUUAUCUCUCUAACUUUCCAUGGGUUGUUAUUGCUUCAUCCAAGAGUGAAGAGUACCUAAUGCACGUUCAUGUCUCGAAGGAACCCGAUGCACUCUGACCUAAUCGAUUUAACUCUCCUACUUUCUAUGGGUUAUUAUGGCUUCGACAAAGAUUGAAGAGUUCUCCACACAAGUUCUGAUCUCGAAGGAACCCAACACAUUCUGAACUAACCCAAGCAAAACACAUAUUCUAUGUGAAAGAUUCUGCAAAUCCUAAAUGGUCAGUGGUUUUAACAUCUCCACGUAGAACUAUUGAAGAAGAUUUCUUUGAAGAUGAAAUAGGAGAUAUGCUACUAGAGUGUGGUUAUGGAGUUGUUCAAAAGAUGCCCAAUGUUGAUACACCUCACGAGAUUGAUGAUACAACUUCAUCAUAUAUUAGACAUGAUUGUGAGGGUAGAUGGGUUGAUAAGUAAUAAUUGUAUAAAUGUUUUAUUAAGGUAUGCCAUUUACUUUCCUUUAUAAUAGAUUUAUGUUUAGAGAUUGUAAUUACUAAGCUUAUUUUAUGUCCUUACUUUGCUCACUAACGUGCUUACUAAUACAUAUAUGUUUUUUUUGCAGAUUCAUAGAUGGAGGAGUCACAUACUUAAGUGAGGAUGAAAGAAAAAUGAUUCCCAAAGCAAGAAACAAAUCAUUCGUGCCAUGUGGCCCAACGACUAUGCCAGAGUUAGCAUGUAAGAAAUUCUGGGCAACGGUUGCCCGUUCAAUUUAAUGAACAUGGGCAACUUGUAAGAGUUAUAUCUAAGAAAAUUCAAAGUUACAUUGGUGUGUGUGUUCGACAGCAGAUUCCUAUCACAUACAAAUCUUGGAAACAAGUUUCGAAUGAGUUGAAAGAUAAAAUCUACGAUUGUAUAUCGGUAUGAAUUCUAUAAUUAUGUUUUUCUUACAAUGUAGUUUGAUUUCCCUAAGUCUAAAUAUUUUUUUCUUUUUUCUUGUGUAGAUGUCGUUUGAGUUACAUCCCAAUGUUAGACAUUCUAUCCUAAUGUCUGCAUCAAGAAAGUAUCGAACUUUCAAAACUACGUUAACUCUUCUGUAUAUACUUCCGUUUAAGGAUCAACCAUCAUGUUUGUAGUUUCCUCCUAAGAUCUAUUCUCAUAUUAAUCAAGAAGAUUGGAAAUCCUUUGUGGACGCUAGACUGACUGAAGAAUGUGAGGUAAAUAAAUUUAAUUACAUGUUAACUUUAAUGUUGGUUUGGUAUGUAACUACAAACUAAUUUUUUGUAUAGGAUUAUAGUCGUAUUCAAAGGGAAAGAAGAUCAAAAUGCAUAUACAAUCAUCACAUUGCUAGUAAGGGAUAUGAAAAUCCUGUCGAAGAAUUAGUAAGUAUUUCUAAUUGAAUGAAAUAAUUUAUCUUAAUAUGUUUAUGCUAAUUAAAUAUAUAUCUUUGGUUGCAUAAUAUAACGUGUGAUCUUUCCUAUCGUUCAACUCUUUGGAAAGAAGCAAGAAAAGGAAAAAACAAUGAUUAUUUUCAUGAUGCUACUCGAGAUUGUGUCUCUCGAAUCGUAAGUUUGCUUGCGAUUUACUUAUAUACAAUAUUUAAUCUUUUGUUAACUUAGUUAAUGAUGAAUACUUGUGUUGUUCUAUAGGAUGCAUUAGCUGAAACACAUAGAGAUGAGGACAUAUUGACUGAAUCAUUGGGCUCUAAGGAGCAUGGUAGACGUGUACGUGGCAUGGGUGGUUUUGUCUCUCAAUCACUAUAUUUCAAGACAGUGAAAGGGAAAGAGAAAAUUGCAAGUUCUCAAGUUGUAGAAGAUGACUCAAAAAGCAAAAGUUACAAAAAGGGUCAUAAUCACUUGAGAUCGUCCAUCAGAAGUGUUAACAUAGAUCUCUAUGCCGAUGAGGAUUUGGGCAACACACCUAUGAACGAAGAAGUGAAGGUAAUUAACUUUGUUGUCACUUUUAAAAUUUUAAUGUUUAUAGGAUAAAUUGUUCUUAAUGAUGCUUUUAAUACUUGUAAAGUAAACAUCGUGCAAAUUGGCUAUAGGAACGAUUAAUAAUAUUGUUGCAAUAGCAACCGUACUUGAUGAUAGAAAUGGUGGUCCCAAUGUUAAAAUCUUGGUGGACUUGCUCACAGGAGGAGAUUGUAGUUUACCUAUUCCAGUGAAGGGCAAGAUAGAGACUUUAAAUCAAGCAUUAGGUAAUAUUGUCGAAUGACCUCGUUGACUUGUUUAUGUGCUAUUGAAGCUUUGAUAUUUAUUUGUGAUUGUAUUUUAGGUUUUGAUAUUAUUUUGUUUGUGCUUGGAGCAUUCAACCCCAAAGGAUGUUCUGUAUUCUUCAAAUUACAUAAAUGUUAAUGGAACCAUUAAGCUCUUAUAUGGCAUCCUAAUGAACGAGCUAAUAUUCGGUAAAAACAAAUUCAUUUAUUUAGCUCGUUAGGACUUGCUCCAUUAUUGCGGCAUGGUAGAAAUAGGCUAUAUGUGCAUCCUAGCAUACAUUACGUAAGUAAACAUCUUUUACUCAUCUUUAUGUCCAAUACUAUAGCUAUAGUUAUUUUGUUCCUUUUUAACUAAGGUUGCUUUUACUUAGAUAUCUUUGGGAUGAAUGUGAUUGUGGAAGCAAGUUUUUUGUUAUGACCAAGCAAAAAUAACAUCACAUAUCAAGGAUCGUGAUCUUCGAUCCAGAAAUUUUGCCAACCAGUUAGAAGCGGCUACCUUGGAACAAAUAGUUCUAAUUCCGUAUAAUACUGGGUAAAUAAAUAAGAUUAACACAUUAUUAUGUUUUUCAUUGAGGUUAAAUGUAUACUCACAUUGAAGAUGUUUAUUGUAGUUUUCAUUGGAUGUUGCAUGUCAUCGAUCUUCGAGAGAACUGUGUUUAUGUUUUGGACUCUCUUCAAAGUAAAGUUAACGAAGACAUCCAUGGAGUCAUAAAUGUGACUUAUGAUUUACUUCUUAUUUGACUUCAUUGUCUUCUAAUUCUAAUGUUUCCAAAUGUAUAGAGGAUUAAAAACAUGGCAAGCUAAGCAUGAUUUACAACAUUAUCGGUCAAAUCCGAAAUGGAAACCUAUAAAGGUAAUUUGCAUUGACACAUAAUUAUUUUCAAUGAAACAUAAGAAUAAUUUGUAUGUAAUUUAUAUACAUGCAGUGUCCUCGUCAAUUGGAUUCGGUUGGGUGUGGGUAUUAUGUCCAAAAGUAUAUACAUGAAAUCGUGCCUAAUUCUAGUACUCCCAUCACUAGCCUUGUAAGUUUCUACUUUCACUUUUUAUAUGUUACAAAUUACAUAAAUUAUCUAAACUUAUUCUUUCCAUACCUUUCUUUUUGCGUAGUUUAAUAGAAAAAAGUGCAUAUACGCAAGAGGAGUGACGAGAUUUGAACAAAAUAUGCAAGCCGAUUUGUGUAAGCUUUUACACUUUUUUUUGUAGUUUAUAAGUUACUAGUACUAAUACUAAUUGUUUUAAUAUAUAAGCUACGAGAAUCUAGUACUACUUGUUGUACAUACUUUAAUUUUCAGGUUUUCUGCUUGUAGUAGUUUAUGAAUAGGUGUUGUAUUGUAGUGUUUUAGGUGUUGACUUUAGAGUGUAUUUGUUGUAGUACUAUGUGGAAAAUGUGUAUUAGUGGAGGAAUUUGUUGUACACAUACUUUAAUACUUUACAUAUUAUUUACUUGAUUGAUAUGUGUAUUUUUGUAGUAUUAUGAAAGUGUGGAAAAGUGUAUUUUUGUAGUUUUCCAUGGAAGUGUGGAAGUGUAUGUGCUGGUUUUGUGGCCUCUUACCAUGUUGAAUUCUAUAGCUAGAAAUAGUAUUAGUUUGCCAUUGGAUGUGUGGAAGUGUAUGCUGGUUUUGUAGGGGUUGAUCUUCCUUGUAGGUGAAAUGGAAAUAUUGGUUUGCCAUGGAAGUGUGGAAAUGUAUGUGUUGGUUUUGUAGGUUUCUUACAUGUUGAAUUCUAUAGCUAGAAAUAUAUUAGUUUGUCAUUGGAUGUGUGGAAGUGUAUGCUGGUUUUGUAGGUGUUGAUCUUCUUCCUUGUAGGUGAAAUGGAAAUAUUGGUUUGCUAUGGAAGUGUGGAAAAAUGUAUAUAUGUUGGGUUUUUAGGUGUUGAAUUCUGUAGCUAGAAAUAUUAUUAGUUUGCAUCGAAGUGUGGAAGUGUAUGUGCUGGUUUUGUAGGUUUGAAUUCUAUAUAGCUAGAAAUAGUAUUAGUUUGCCAUUGGAUGUGUGGAAGUGUAUGCUUGUUUUGUAGGUGUUGAUCUUCUGCCUUGCAGGUGAAAUAUGGAAGUAAUAUAUAAGGUUUGCCAUGGAGUGGUAGACAGCUAGCAAUCAUGCAACAAUUAUUUUUUAUACUUUUUUAAUAUUCGAUGACGAACAUUUCAUGUCGUAAUUCGUAACAAAUAAUGUCGAUUUCGACACCAUGAAAAAUAAUUAAAAUAAAUAAAUUAAAAAAACAAACAAGGCUUUGAUGUCGGUUUAAAAACGACAUUAAAGGAAAACCAACAGUAAAGGUCAACAAUUACGCCAUAAAAAAUGUUGAUUUAAAACCGACAUCAGUGGCCAUCAAUGAUGCAUUUGAUGUCAUUUUUAAACUGACAUCAAAGCAAAAAUGACAUUAAAGGCCUUUAAUAACGCUAGCAUAGAUGUCAAUUCCGAACUGACACCAAAGGCCAUUAAUGUCGGUUCUAAACUGACAAUAAAGAGCAAAUUUCUUCUAGUGCUUGCUCCAUAUUAUAAGUAGAUUUUCAUUUAGCUAACUGCUAAAGUGAACUUAUGGACUUCCACUUAGGGUUCAGUCGUUAUAUUCUCGAUAGUCGAGCCCCAUAUUGUUUGCAAUGGAAUGAGUCCUCACAUUAUAACCCUUGAGCAGACGAACAUGAGAGCUUUUCCCUUCUCGUAACACGAAGAAGUGAAAGAUUAGCUCUAUUACUUGUCACCAGGGAGCAUUAUUUCAUGGGAGUAGAUGUAGAGACAAUAUUUGGAAAAGUUCUUUUCAACCUUUUAUGCUACUAGUGUGAGGAAGAAAAUCUAUGGCAUCACACAAGGAAAGGAUGAAUCACUUUACGAUUAUUGGGGGAGAUACUUGGCUCAGUGCCAAGUUUUUCAUCAUUAGGUACAGAACCAUAUGUUGAUUCAAUAUUUAUAUGGGUGAUUGUUGCAAUGAGAUAAAAUGAUUAUUGAUGUGGAGGCAUGAGGUGCUCUUAAGGAUAAUACGACAACUAAAGUAAAUAAAUUGAUUUCAACUAUGGUAGCUAGCUCCCAACACUUUGAAAUGUAAAUUUAUUAGGUCCCUUCCUAGUAUGUAAAGGGUAUUAAGGUUAUUACAUAUUGACUGUAAUUUGAAAUGUUCAUAUUUACUUUGAAAAUUAGUAUAAUGUAUGGUGAUAUAUUAUAAUAUAAAAUUUAUCUUUUAAUUGAACUUUAUUAUAUAAAUUUAAUUUUGUAUAUGAUUUAAAAUUAAUUUAUGAAAUAAUAAAUAUUUGAAUGAGUUCAAAUAUUAAUUUAAUAUGAAUUAAAUUUGUAAUAAAACUAUAGAUUAAAAUUUAAUACGUAUAUGAUACAAAUUCAAACAAUAGGUUAUGAGAGAAAUUCAUAUAUGAGUAUGAUUCAAAUCUAUAUUAAAUCAAAUAUAAAAUAUUUAAUUUAGAAAUUAAAUAAUUGAAGAAUUAAUUAAUAAUUUAGUUUAAUUCUAUUUAAUUAAAUUAAAACUAUUGGUUAUGUGAGAGAUAUUCAUUUAAAUGUGAUUUAAAUGAAAUAUUAAUUAAAUGUGAUUUAAAUAAUUAUUAUAUAUUAACUAAUUAUUUUAGUGUUAAUCAAAUUUAAGUGGAAUUUUCAAAUAUACUAAUUAAAUUGAAACUAAUUAGCAUAAUAAUUAAAUUCUCUAUAGCACAUUUGAGUCUUUUUGUAAAUAGUUUCAAUUUUUUGCUAUAUUUUGUAAAUAGUUUUAACUUUUUUGCUAUUUGUGAUCAUUAAUUUAAAUUAAGAUAAUAACUUCCAUAUGUGGGUGUUAUUUAGAGAAUGUGGGAUGCUCCCGUAUUCCUAUAUCCAAGUGGCGGUGAUUUCCAAUUAAAUAUUAAUUAGAUUAAUUUAAGAGUAAUUUACAUAAAUGUAGAAAAAUCCAAAAUAUUUAUGGUUCGUAUAACAAAAUAAGAAAAGUCCAUGAUGCGAGAUUAUUUUUUCACAAAUUCCAUAGACGUCCUUGCGAUUUAUAUCUUCUUUGUGAUUUAUUAAUAACGGGUCAUCUCGAUGCAAUUAAGGUCGAGAUCGAAUAACUAAAGGCAAAAAAAUUUCAUUUCGGAGCAUCUCAAUGUAAUGUAUGCCCAAGAUUAAAUAAAAUAAAGACAGAAUUCUUUCAUCCCGAGCCAUUUCAGUGCAAUUAAGGCCUGAGAUCGAAUAACUAAAGGCAGAAGUCUUUCAUAAUGUAGCAUCUUAGGACAAUGUAUGCUCGAGACUGAAUAAAAUAAAUGUAAAUUUGUUUCAUCCCAGGCCAUCUCUCGGUGCAAUUAAGGUUCAAGAUCGAAUAACUAAAGAUAGAAGUCGAUCGCUCCGGUUAUUGAGGUGUUGUUUCUCUUCAACAAUCAGGACUUAGUGUUAGUAAAUGGUGAAUGAAAAUUAUACUCAAUCUAGGCGAUAUAUCACUAAGCAUGUUAACUGCAUGUGAAUUGCUCACUAGACCUUCAUAUCGUGUGGCAACUAAGUCCUCUUGAGUACAAGUUUUCUUACUACUUGUCCAAGUGCAAGUGAAAUGGUAGGUUUACUUGGGUGAUCCCGGGUCGAACAUAAGGAAUUGAUUCAAGAUAUUAAUUUUAGGUAUUACUUAUUAUCUAGGCAGUAUAAAAGAAUUAAAGAAUAACGAAUGGUAUAAAAGAAAUACAAGAACAAACUACCACUAGAUAUCUACGCUUAGAGAUUCUAUAAAAGGGAAUAUGGAUGACAAAAUAGAAAUGGGAACUAACUUGUAUGCAAGAAAGAGCAAAGGAAUGUCUUUGCGUUAUAAUGCGAUUAAGUAACACGACAACUUUAAUAGGAUAUAUCUCGCUCAACUAACUUAUAAUUAAGAAGUGCUCCUCUCAGAGUCAUUAAACGUCACAUAUGGUCACCUCUCAGAAUCCAUAUGAUUAAGUGUGCUUAGGAGAGAUAUAUCUAGAAGAUUUCACUUAUAAAACGUAUAGAGCAUCGCAAUUAAGGACAACAACCUCUCGGUGCCUAAUGUUCACACUUGUUCAUCUCUCGGUAUACAAAUGAUGGAAGUUAUCUCACUAAGGUGGAGUUUGUCGCGAAACUCCCCCUUGCACGUAUUAGCCUUAUCCUUGCUACUUGCCCUCUCGAGUAGUUGGCGAUUGACGUUGGCUAAGCGAUGAGCAUAGCCUAACUAAUGCGACGAGAAUUAUAAACUAAACUUCUUAUCAAUAACUUAUCGCUAAAUUAAACUACUAAUAACACAUUGACAAGUGAAAAGUAUCUAGUAUUGAAUUGAAAAGGUACAAACAUGUAAUAUAUUAAAGAACCAAGCGCAUUUUGACCCAACUGGCUUAACUUUUCUGCUUCGGCCAAGAGUGAAGAGUUCCCUACGAAAAUUUUAAUCCUGAAGGAACUCGACGCAUUCUAACCUAAUUGGCUUAACUCUUCGACUUUCUACGGGCUAUUUUUGCUUCCGCCAAGAGUUAAAAGUUCCCUACGCAAGUAUUGAUCCCGAAGGAACCCAUCGCAUUCUGAUCUAAUCGCUUCAACUCACCUACUUUCUACAGAAAAUUGUUGUUUUCGCCAAGAGUGAAGAGUUCCCUACGCAAAUACUAAUAUGGAAGGAACCCGAUGCAUUCCGACCUAACCACCUUAUCUUUCCUACUUUUUACGUGUUAUUGUGGCUUCGGUCGAGAGUGAAGAGUUUCCUACCAAAGUUUGAUCCUGAAGGAACCCGAUGCAUUAUGACUUAAUAGGCUUAACUCUCCUACUUUCUACCAGCUAUUGUGGCUUCGACCGUGAGUGAAAAGUUCUGAUGCAAGUUUUGAUCCCAAGUGAACCCAACGCAUUCUAACCUAACAAGCUUAACUCUCCUACUUUCUGUGAGGAAGAAAUGGUCGGACAUGAGUGGACCCGAACCGGUUUACGUGAACCGUGAAACAUCUUAAAACUGAAAUACAGGAAAUGGACCGAGUGGAGAUGGUCCCAUGAAGAUUGCAAGCCCAAAGGCGUGUGGGCCGAUUAUUUUGAAUGAAAACUUGAUGAAGCCCAGUGAACCGAUAAAAGGGCUGAAGCCGAAUGGUGUGGACGCAUUUACGAAUGGAAUUUGCCAUGGAUCUCUGGUUGAUGGGCCAUCGUCGAAUGAUGGGCCGCCCAUCUCACACGAAACUUGGAUCUCACGGAAGGAGUGCUUACCUGUUGAUGCUUCAAGUGUUCAGCUUGUUAGGCAAAUUGCAGCGGCCGAAGGAUAUGGACCUGGGCUGGAUGCUAUUGCAAGUGCCCCAAAGAUUGGGCCCACUGAUGGGCAUUUGAAUGAUGGGCCAGCCAUUAGAGAACCGUUUGGUACUAAUUCAAAUGGUGGGUCGUCUGUUCCGAUUCGUGGGCAUGAGGUGCAGAAAUCUAAUAAUUCUGGAGGUGCAAGCAAAAAUUCAUAGGCUUCCUUAUUUGGCUCAACAAGAGGUUUCUCUAUGACCUAUACACCUUCGACUACCGUGGGAGAGAAAAUUGUGGUGACCCCGUCUGAAGAAGUUAUUAGUCAAGGAGUUAGAGUGUGGGAGAACUCCCUCGUCGGCCAAUUAAUUGAUUCAAAAUUGUCGUAUCCAGUCAUCUAUCAUCUUAUAGAGAAGAUUUGGGGUAGAACUGAAAUGCCAACAAUUACUAUGAUGGAGAAUAGGCUCAUCUACUUUCAAUUCAAACAUUCGAAGUCGAUAUAGUGGAUCUUAUCCCGUGGCCCAUGGCACCUUGGAGGCAAACCUAUGCUCCUCCGCAAAUGGACUCCAGGUAUAGUUCCUGAAUCCUUUGUCUUUGAUUCAGUUCCUGUUUGGAUAAAGUUAGGGACGAUUCCGUUGGAGCUAUGGACGGAUGCUGGUUUGGCUAUGGUAGUGAGUGCAAUAGGAAAACCUCUUUCAAUUGAUCUUGCUACUAAAGAGAGAUGUCGCCUUUCUUAUGCCCGUAUAUGUGUGGAAUUGCAUGUGGACAGUAUUAUGCCUGCCGAUGUAACAGUCAACCUUAGAGGAGAGGAAUUUAUUGUAACCGUCACUUACGAGUGGAAACCGAAAAAAUGUAACUUGUGUCGAUAUUUUGGACACUCGCAGAACACAUGCCCUAAGAAAAGAGGCAAUGAAGAUAGUAAAAAGAAAGCUGCAAGUAAAGAGGUUCCUGUUAAAGAGGUUGUUCCUACUAAAGAGUUGGUUCCAGAUUGUGGGGAGUAUGGAGAUGUUGUGUUGGAAUCCUUCCAACACAUGGAAGAAGGAUAAAUUAUUACCCAUAAACUGCCUGAAAAGGUGGAGGUAAAUCGGGAGGAAUUUACCCCAGUUGACAGGAAAAAUAGGGGAAUGAUCUCUAUUCGGGACAGAGGGAAAAGGGCGGAAGUGAGAAUCACUAACUCCUUUAACAGCCUCAUGGAGGUGGAUAAAGGAGAUAAAUAGGCUUUAUCUAUAGUGGAUGGCUCCCCUCCUCCCUUACGAGUAGAUGACUCUGCUAUGGUCCUUUUGAGUACUUCAGGUGAUGUAAUUCCUAUGGGAGAGGCGGCUCCCAUACGACCUCAUGGUUAGUUGGUGUACGUGGAACGUGCGGGGCCUUAAUAGCCCUGUAAAGUGUAGAGCGGUGAAGGACUUCUUAGCCGUGUCUACAAUGGGUUUCUGUUGCAUCCCUCAACACGUGUCUACGACCUCAUUUUUGUGAUGCCGUCUUACACUUAUUCCUGACCAAUUACUUCCCUCAAGGGGUGAAUACGACUGCUAUUACACUUAUUCCUAAAAGGAAUGGUGCUGAUCCAUUGAAGGAUUUCAGGCCUAUAUCUUGCUGCAACGUUAUUUAUAAGUGCAUUUCAAGAAUAUUGGCAGAUAGGCUUCGUGUGUGGCUUCCUUCUUUUGUUAGUGGAAAUCAGUCAACUUUCAUCCCUGGGAGGAGUAUUAUUGACAAUAUUCUUCUUUGUCAGGAGGAGCUUGUAGGGGGAUACCAUUUGCACAGAGGUAAACCUCGGUGCACCAUGAAGGUUGACCUCCAAAAAGCUUAUGAUUCUGCUAAUUUGGAUUUCCUCUUUGGCCUGCUGAUUGUCAUAGGUACGUCUUUAAGAUUUGUGAGUUGGGUUCGAGCAUGUGUAACCUCUUCGAUGUUCUCCAUUAUGAUUAAUGGAUCGUUGGAAGGUUUUUUCCAUGGAAGGAAAGGAACUUAGACAAGGUGAUCCUUUAUCCCCGUUCUUAUUUGUGAUGGUCAUGGAGGUGCUUUCUCGCAUGUUGAAUAGCCCGCCUCAAAAUUUUCAAUUCCACCAGUUUUGUGAGAAGGUCAGAUUAACUCAUCUUACUUUUGCAGAUGACCUGAUGAUCUUUUGUGCUGCUGAUAAUCAUUCUAUGAGUUUCAUAAAAGAGACUAUUAAGAGGUUUGGUGAGCUUUCGAGACUGUUUGCUAAUCUUGCUAAAAGCUCAAUUUUUCUUGUGGGGGUUAAUAGUUUGGAAGCUUCUCGGCUUGCUGCUAACAUGGAUUUUUCCAUUGGUCAUCUCCAUGUUCGUUAUCUUGGGCUUCCUCUCCUCUCUGGAAGAUUUCGGAGCUCCCCUUAUUCAGCGUAUUACCAGUCGUAUUCGGUCUUGGUCUGCUAGAGUGUUAUCUUUUGCAGGUAGACUUCAGCUUGUUCGCUCAGUCCUUAAGAGCCUUCAGGUUUAUUGGGCUAGUGUGUUCUUGCUUCCUAUGAAAGUCCACAGAGACGUUGAUAAGAUCUUGAGGGCUUAUCUGUGGAGAGGUAAGGAGGAGGGAAGAGGUGGUGCUAAAGUUGUCUGGGAUGAGGUUUGUCUUCCUUUUCAUGAAGGAGGUCUUGCUAUUCGCGAUGGAUCUUCUUGGAAUAUAGCAAGCACGUUGAAGAUAUUAUGGUUGCUACUUGUUAAAUCUUGUAGUUUGUGGGUUGCUUGGGUGGAAUCAUAUAUCCUUAAAGGGAGAUAGUUGUGGGAGAUCGAUGCUGGGGUGGGUCGAUCUUGGUACUUAAGGGCAAUCUUGCAUAAGUGGCAUAUCCUUAAAGCUCAUGUUAAGAUGGAGGUGGGCAAUGGAAGGAAGUGUAGAGUGUGGUUGGAUCCAUGGAUUCAGGGUGGGCCGAUUAUCCAGCAGUUUGGGGAGAGGGUGAUCUAUGAUGCGGGUAGUCGGCGGGAUGCGUGUUGGAAUUUUUUGUCCUAAAACUCGUAGUUUGUAAUCAUAUUCUGUUUCAAUAAAGUUGUUAUUGAGAAAUUAAAUAUUAUAAUCCUAAAUCCAAUAAAUCAAGUUCUAAAGCUAUUUUUUGAAUAAACUUGAACUUUAUGUGUAAACAUAAACAUGGAUCAAGUUCGAGUAUAUAUAGCCUAAAUAGUCUAUAGUAUAUGAAUAAAGGUUGGGCGCCUUAUUUAGAGAAACUAUGGAUACGGCCCACUUUGUAGUACAAACGAGGUGAUCCUGAAUCGUUCAUGUAGAGACAUGAAAGUGGGGGCAUCCUAUGUAAAAUGUUUACAUAAGACUGAACCAUGAAUUUGUCUUUUUUACGUUAUAACACCGUUUACUGUUUAAAACUGACUAUCUCAAUUAUUGAUGACCUAGGUAACUUAGUCUUAAUCCUGAGUUAACUAUGAACUCCUGUUCACACGAGAUUAUCCUCGGAUCUGCAUAGGUGAGGGCAACUCAUCAGCGUUGGCCCAGUAAGCCUCCCAUUUCAGGGGUAAGAUCGGGUGGAUAGUUGAGAGCAUAGGGUACAAGGUGGAAUUCACUCCUACUCGCUUUAGGGUUAGUAGAUAGGUUGUUCUCUUAAGCACUGAAUCCAAGUCUUGAAUAAGGGGCCCCACCCUCUCAUUGGCCCGAGAGGGAUUAAGUUUAUAGGUUGAACCUUAAACCAAUUGUUCAAUAGUGGAUUAGUGGGACUUAAGGAGCAAGAUGUAAUCUUGGGGGUAAAACGUUAUUUUGACCCAGCCAAGGUUACGAGCAACCUGUGAAGGAUUAACUUACUGAUUAUGGUUUUAUCAAAUUGACACAAAUAUAUCUAUAGUGAGGGGAGUGCAGCUAAGAGACUUUAGUGGAACGACCCGUUAGUUAACGAAUGUUGAUUAACUCGGUCUAAAAGAGUUUAGCUAGUUAAUCUUGAAUCGUUGGCGCCCAUGAUCUAUAGGUCCAUUAGGUUCCCCUGCUAGCUCAUAUGGAUUAAACUUAGAACAGUGUGAUGAAAUAAGUCGAAUUGUUCGAAUUGGGAGAAGAAAGAGAAAUCGACAAAUAUAGUGAUAUAGUCGUCGGUCUUCGAAUUAGAAAUAGAGUUUUAUGUUUUACAUACUAUAAGUAUGAAUGUGGAUUCAUACUAAGAAGCUCGGAAUUGAUGGAAUUGGUCAAAAAUAGUAAAAUGUCAAAAUGUUGACUUUUGACUUUGAAAAGUCAAACUUUGACCGGCCUUAUAUUCAAAUGUGAUUUGAAUUUUGGAAAAAUGAAUGCGAAUUCAUGCUCGGGAGGUUGGAAUUAGUCAAGAAGGACAAAAUGGUAAAAAGUCAAAAUAUUGACUUUUGACUAAGAAAAGUCAAAGUUUGACUUUUGACUUGAAAAUAUCUAAUGACCAUUUUACCCUUGGACUAAGUUAGUGGAAAAAUCCAACAUUUUGUUGGAUAAUCCCACUAACUCUUAGUGGGAUAUGUGGCUAUAUGAGAUGUAGACACCUAGCCCACUAAGUUCCACUAAUAGUUAGUGGAACAUUAGGUGUUGAGAUUUGGCAAAUUAAUUACAUGCAUUUUUGCAUGUAAUUAGGUUAUAAAUAGGGGAGUUUUCAAAUGGUUGAAGACUUUUGCCUUUUUUAUUAUCCUCCAACAUCUCGACAAAAGAAAAAAAUUUCUACCAUCCAAUCCCAUUUUAUCUCCAUUUCUUUCUACACCAAAUUGGGUCCCACAACCCAGUUCUUUGUCCAAGAGGAUAGUAGUUGAGUACUAGUGGUGGUCUCGGUUUGAAUUGACAAGAAGGUAUCAAAGUUUUUUGAAAGCUUCAAAGACAAUAUUUCCUAAAAUCCUAACUUGAUUAGUUUAGGGUUACAUGUUAAUUGUGGCAAUUAGGGUAGAAAUUCGAUUCCUUUUUCCGUUGUGCAUGUCUUAGUUCUAUCAAUGCGAGGCUAGUGGAUUUCAUGGGUCAGGAUGGUGAUUGGAGGUGGCCGCUUGUUUCUUUGGAUUUGAUGGACAUUUAGGAUAGGAUUCAGGGAGUGAGGCCGAGUCCGAGUGUUGAAGAUAGGUGGGUUUUGGGUGCUGGGGAGUCAUGAUAGUUUUUCGGUCGCCAGUGCGUGGGAGACUAUUCGUCCUCAUAGUAGUAGGGUUGGCUGGUCGGGUUUACUAUGGGGUGGGGAAAUAUUCCUAAGCACUCAUUUUGUGCUUGGUUGGCCAUCAGGGAUAGGUUGGGUACUAGAGAUAGGUUAAGUCGGUGGGAUAAGUCGAUUCCUUUAUCGUGUUUGCUUUGUGGAGGGAACUAUGAGUCUCGUGAUCAUUUGUUUUUUUCUUGUCAUUUUGGGUGGGAGAUUUGGUCGAGGAUCCUUUUGCUUAUGUCAUCUUCUCAUAGAAUUGGUUAUUGGAGGGUUGAGUUAUCUUGGAUUUGUAAUCAGGGUAUUGGGAAGAGUGUGAGGAGAAAACUGUGGCGCCUUCUCUGGUGUGCUACAAUUUAUUUCAUUUGGCAGGAGCGAAAUCAUCGUCUUCAUGGAGGUGCUGUUCGAGAGCCUAUGGUUGUAUUUCAGCUCAUUCGGUCGUGUAUUAAAGUGUGUGAUGCUUCUUGGUCCGAUGGUGUUCAUGGUCUUAUUUAAUGUUCUUUUCGUUUGCUUGUCCUCGGGCUGUGGGGUUUCUCAUCUCUUUAUUAUCUUUGUUGUCUUUCUCUCUUCUUCUUGUCCUUUUAAUGUUUGGAACACUAGUUGGUUUCUUUUGGUUUGAGUUCUUGUCCCCGAGAUGUGGGGUUGUUUUGGGUACUUAUGGGUUGUUUUGUCUAACUACUUGUUCUGUGAGCGUUGUUCGCUCUUGUGCCUUGACCUCAGGCUGUGAGGUCCACCUUGUUGUUGUAUAAUAUUAUCAUUACCUUUUCAAAAAAAAAAAUCAAACUCAAUGCUAAGUUUGACUGCUUCCUUCGAAGUGACAACAAGCCUCGUUUUCGCCCUACUGUGGAUCGAGGAGGAUUCCUCCUCUUUUCAAAGCCCUCAAUCAAACUUGACGUUAUGUUUAAAACACUAAAAAUAGAUGGUCGAGUUUUGGUUAGGCCAAAAGCGAUGUUUUCCCCCAAAAGCUUUAAUAGCUAGGGAACCCAACAUGUUCUACUUGACCUAACCGACUUGACUCUUUAUUUUUUAUGAGCUUUUUUUAAUGCAUAUUGCAUGUGUUUUUUUUUAUAAUUGUUGAUUGUAAAGUGGUCUGCAUUUACGAGCCUCUUUUCUUUCUUUGUUAUGAAAUGCGGUAACUAGGUGUUGCUAGAACCGAUGGGGUAACAUUUCUAUGGUUCUACACUUAGUUUCUAAGUGUGAUUGCUCACCUCUAAUUUUCAAAACACUUAAUUUCUAAGCACAUACAAUGUUCACCUAGAAAAAAAUGAAAAUUGUUGUAGUUAAGAUCAAAACUAAAUAGUUAUGAAAUAAGACAUAAGAGAUUUGAUUUUAACAACCUUCCCGUUGUACUUGGGAUCCACUCUGGCUUUGUGCUGGAAAAUUGGUUUAGAGCUGAUCGUAAGCUUUCAGUUGCUCUUCUGUAACCUUUAGAUACUCUUCAAAGCUAUAAGCUUUGCUUCUUGACAAAGAAUCUUCUACUAUUAAUACAUAAGAAAAUUCUAUUUCAUAAACCCUGUAUCAUAAUUGAGGCUGGUAGAAUGAUUAUUCUAUAACCCUACCGAUAGUUUCAUUCUUAACAUUCAUAGACACGAUGCAUGGCAGCUAUCCAAUUCUAUUUCAUGUUCUCGAGAAUGGCUCGGUUUAACAAUAAUGUUAAUUUUUGUUUUCUAUUUUAAAAUAAUAACGCUGCUUACUAAUCUUUUUUUUUUUCCAUUUGGCAUUCUACUUUUUCUACUCAGCUUUCUUUCCCUAGUGAUAACAAAUAAUACGGGUGAUAAAAAACUUAAUCACUUACUUGGUUCAGCCACCGAAAGCCCUUCUGCUUUAGAAAUAGAAGAUGGGUUUGAGUAGGUAGAUUUACUUGCAUUGUAUGUGCUGUUCAUUGAACUCUCAAUUUCAUCGAGACCAAUUUCUCAUUCAAACAUGGUCUUGCAUUCUCUAGAAACGUCCUACAAACAAAAAUGAAGAACAAAAAACUACAAUAAGGUCUAUAAAAAAGUUAUAAAGGAAAAUCUCAAAAACUGAUAUGUAAGUCAUAACAACCUUAAGUUCUCUUAUCGUGGGUUAAAAUGCACGUAAGGUUUUUCCAAGAGUCCGAGCAACCAGCAUGUAAAUAAGUUAAGUCAACUAAAUUUGCUAUAAAUUUACUCGUAUUAACAUUAUCAUUGUUAUAGACUUGACAACUUCAAAUUUAUCAAUAUAAAAUAUGCUUUAACAAAACGUACCUUGAGGUUCCUCCAACCUUAUUAAAAAAAGAAAAUAAUCUAACAAUUUAUCAAUAGUGCAUAUUAUGUAUAUCAAUUGAUCACAACAAAAUAAGAUCGAACAAAUACCCAUGAGUAAUAUUUAGCCACCAAAUGAAUAAUGAUGAAAACCUGAAAACAAAACCGAGAAAAAAAAAAGGAAACAAUUCAUCAACAAAACAAAUUUAGGGGACUAAAAAAUUGCUUACCUUAUUACACACUUCAAAAUAUUAAGAAAAGUGGAGGGAAAAAACCAACCAAUAAUCAAAAAAUAAACUUCAACACAAAUAGCCAUAAAUUUUUCUUCUUUAAAGGUAUCACAAAUAAGUCCAUCAGUAAUAACAAAAUAAAAAAGGGCAAUGUGCAAUUGAAUUCUGCAGUCGUAAAGCUAUGCUAAAGGCAGUAUGAAAUCAAACUUGAGCACUAACAAGAAAAUUUGCAAAACAAAAAUUACUAGACAUCAUUAACUAAAGUACCAGCACAACAAUGAAUGUGUAACCUCCGCAAGAGCAAACCCGAAUGGAGAAGAACAUGAAGAAAUAUAUAAAUAGAAGAAACAUAAAAGACAAACAUGAAACACAUGGAAACAUACAAAGGGGAUAAAUAAAAGUACAAUUAUAAAGUGAUGAAGCACAAAUACAGGUACCAACAAAACUAGAAUACAAGUCUUACCCUAUCUCGACUGUCGAGGAGUGUUAACCAACCGUCGGAAGGUUGGUUUUAUUUUUUAGAAAGAAUUAAUGUUUUCUGAAUUCUUUUUCAAGCCACUAACCAGCCCCUCCUUAUCUAUGAUCGGCGAUCAACUCCUCAGCCUCUAAUUACAUUUAAAAGAGUGAUGCGAACAUUGUGUGAAAUCCCAAACCUUUGAUGGAUCCCACCAUCACUCUCUUUCUAUCCCCUUCAAAACCUCAUUAUUUUCAAGAGAAGCCUCAAAGCUUCUUCCAAUUAACAUAAAGAAGAAUGAAAGAGAAGGAGAGAAAGGGAAAGUGGUUCAAAAGCUAUGGAAAAAAAAGUAAAAGAACAUGGUCUACUCAUUGGCACAUCUUACACAAAUGAUAAUGUUAGAGCAAGGCAAUGAGAGACAGAAUGCUUUCUUUAUUUUAACAAACUAAAAUAUGCAAAUGUUACAAGAAAGAUCUUUGGAGAUUUGAAAUAAUCCAAAAUAAAGAAAAAGGAAAACCCCAAUAUGUACAAAUUUCAGAAUCUAAAACUUGAAAAGUGAUUGAAUGAUGAGAUAUGUUUGUACAAUCAAUUAUAGAGACAGUGAAAUAUUAAAAAAAAAAUGAAACGUACCAAGAUAAAAAGAAUAGCAACUAGUAUUAUGACCUUUGUAUGUCUUCAAAAUACAAACAUCAAAAUGAAUCAAGAGAUCUACCACACAAAUAAUGGUAUCAACACAAAUAAAGCAAUUGUUUUAUUAACAAUAUUUGAGUACAAUUAAACUAAGCAUGCUACUGUCCUUGACAAAUUUACAUAGUUCAUUCAAUUAACUUUCUAUUAAAUAAUUGAAACAAAUGGAAAGAGGACAAUUGAAUAUUAAAUAAAGAUGGAAUUAAAUGGGAACUCACCGCUGGAGUAAUGCGAUUUGUUCGGUGGCUCACUGCUGGAGUUGGAAGAGAGACAAGGAUUAGAAAGGAAAGGAAGAGGAGCGUCUGAUAAUCCAACGGAUUCUUUGAUGAGUGGAGUAGUAGUAGUAGUAGUGGAGGUUCCAAGGACAUUGAAGUCAAUCCAGAGAGUGAGGGAAUCCAGAAGGUUGAGGUUGAAGAGAGUAGAAAUUGCAACCAAAAUCGGUGAGGAUGGUGGAAUCGAAAUUGCGAGGGAAGAAGAAAAGAGCAUCACAGGUCGAAGUAGAGGAGGAAUCAACACUGGUUAAACUGGUUUUGGUUGUACGAACAAAGAAGAAUUAGGGUUUGAGAAGAGAAAGGGAAAAUGGAGUGUACGAACAAAGAAGAAGAAGAUGGAGAUUGGAUGCGCGACUAAGAGAAGAAGAUGGAGAUUGGAUGCGCGACUAAGAGAAGAAGAUGGAGAUUGGAUUCGCGACUAAGAGAAGAAGAUGGAGAUUGGAUGCGCGACUAAGAGAAGAAGAUGGAGAUUGGAUCCGCGACUAAGAGAAGAAGAUGGAGAUUGGAUGCGCGACUAAGAGAAGAAGAUGGAGAUUGGAUCCGUGACUAAGAGAAGAAGAUGGAGAUGGAUCAGCAAAAUGGGUAUGAUAGGGUUUCUUCCUUACAGAAACGGAAAUUGAGAGAUAGGCCAAAGAAGACAAGAGAGCAAGAGAGAAGGGGGGAGGAGAGGGAGACUUGGCCGUUAGAGAAGAGGGGAAAGAAAUUUUAAAUGAGAGAGACUGUACAUGUAGGGUUUUUGUUAUAAUUUUUUUUUUUUUUUUGAAAUUUUGCUUAAUUGGAUCUAGAGAAUUUUGUGUAUCCGGUUCACCGACUCAUAUUAGCGGUCCAUUCGUCCAUUGUUUUGUCAUUUUUUUCAACAAACUAAAUGUUUUAAGCCAUUUGCAAAUUAGAUUUUGAUAAAUCGAUAAUCAUAUUUUUUUACAAUAUAGGACUAAAAAAUAUAACUAAUUUAUAUAUAUAUAUAUAUUAUACAUACAACAGUAUUUAGUUAAGUUACAAAAAAAAAAAAAAAAAUCUUUUGAAUUUUGUAGUUUGUGUAAAAAAUUAACCUUAAACUUUGAAAAGUUAAAAAAAAUUGUUUUGAACUUUUUAAAAUUAUUCAUAAAUACAUCUACAUACGUAAGAUGAAGGUAUUGGCAUGCUUCUCUAAAACAAAACUUUCCAAAAAGACGUCGUGUGACUUUUGAAAAGAAAAAUUACAGAUGCGGUCGUUUUUAAACAAACUAGAUAUAUCAAGUUAUAUUUUUUUUUUUUUUGAGGUGAGGGAAUCAACCUUUCUUCUUCUUUUUAAUCCCUUUUACUUUUAGUUUAUUUCUUUAUUUUUUUUCCUUUUUUCACAAUUUUGUCAUAUUCGUAAUAUGCACAAAUUAGUCUUUUUCUUUUAAUGUUUUAAUUUCUUUAUAUUAUUCGUACUUCUCAACCAAAUUUAUUUUAAUUUUAAAAAUCCUAAUUUUAGAACUAGAGUCGGUUUCGAAUACAUCAUUUAAAAAUGAGUCAUUUUGACAAAGUUAUACUAACUCAACUCCAAGUUAAACUAACUCAACCCCAAGUUAGUUUAACAACUCUUGUAAUCUCCAGCCUAUAAAAAAGCUUCUCAUUUUCAUUAAUAAGACAUAAAAAAAGAGAGGCAUUAUACAUAAAUAUUUCUAGCUUUGCAAUUACUUCAUCAAUUGGUAUCAGAGCGUGAUCCUAGCUCACUCUUCCCUAAAAAAACUUGGAUCCUACCACUCUUAUCCAUGGAUGCGGAAGCCUCCUUCAACCAACGCUUGCAGUUGGUAGAACAAGCUAUUGAAGAACUUCGAAAAGAGCAGUCGGAUAUACAGCAAUGGUUAGUAGAAUUAACAAACCUUUUUACCCGAUUUCAUGUCCAACCUUUAGAAGAAGAAAUUCAGCCCCCAAGAAACCCAAUUGCAGCAAACCAAGAAAGACAAGAAAGACCAAGAAACCUAAUUGCAGCAAACCAAGAAAGACAAGAAAGACCAAUAAACCCUGUUGUAAACCAAGAACUACUAAGAAAUCAACCUAUUCACAUCCACAAUAAUCGAUUGUAUGGAAACAAAGUACUUGGAAAUUUCUUAAACGAUUCUAACUCUUCCGAUGAAGACAACUUGCUGAACAUUCAUCAAGAACCUCAACAAAGGCUUGGACUUCGACCAUACUUUCAAGAAGAUCAAGAAAUACUUAUGCAAGUGACCUUCAAUGGUCGAAUGGACGUGGAGAAGUUUCUUGAUUGGAUCAAGAACGUAGAAAAUAUUUUCGACUAUGCUAAUACACCUGAACAAAAGAAGGUUAGAUUAGUUGCUCUCAAACUUCAAGGUGGCGCAAGCGCUUGGUGGGAUCAAUUACAAAAUAAUAGACGAUUAUUCGGUAAACAAUCUAAAGAUUAGCUGAAUAUCUUAUAAAAAGAUGUUGCCGUAGGCUUAGUGGUGACAGGUGAGAAAGUAAGUUGUGUCUUUUAUGACUCUUAAAAAGAUGUUGUCGUAGGCUUAGAGUUGAAUUUAACACAGUUAAUCAGCUUAAGCAUUUGACUCUGGUGUUCUUAAGAUAUAAAUUCAAAUCCCUAUAACUUUAUCAUGUUGAUCUUUUCAAUCUUCUCACAUACCGUCUUCAUUUCAUAAUCUUGCCUACUAGCUGCGUAUCAUCAAUGAAAUUACCAUAGGAGUCCACAUGUGGUAAUUAUGGAUCUAGCACGAUAUACUGCGUAUCAUGUUGUUGUAGAUCAUUUUAAAUGAUUAACUAGUCUAUUGGUGGUUUGAGUCUUUCCUUUUGAAUCUUUAGGUUGUUCAAUGGUCUAAUAUUAACUGUGUUUAGAUUUAUGGUAAUUUUCAUUCUUUUACAGCCUUAAUAACAAAGAAAAGAUGUGCUUUGAUAAUCUUUUCUUUCUCUUCGGCAGGUUGGUAAUGUAGAAAGGAUACAUGUAUACUAUGCCCAUGGACUAGAUUGCCCAACCUUUGUUCGCCGGUGUUAUUGGCUCCUAGAUAAGUAUGUUAUGGUUGAAAGAAAAUUGUUAAAUUGCUUGCUACCAGUUGUUUCAGUGGGGUCUAUCCCCAUCAUCCCACAAGCAAAGAAAAAUGAAAUUAGACAGUGGCAGUAUAUCGUGUUCUACUUAUAUAAUUUAUGACUUGCUUCUGCUUUUUGUUCAGGACCUUUGAACACAUUGUCCUUGUUCAUUACCGUGAAACACAAGAGGUAAGGUUCAGCACAAUGCAUCUGCAGUUACUGAAAUAUUAUCUUGAGACAAACUUUUAUCAUUUGGACUACUACAUCUAUUUAAGAUUUGCUGAUUUUUCCUCCAUGGUUGCAAUAUUAGAACUUCAUCCAAAAUAAUGUUGUCAUGUGUGUCUUUAAAUUUUUACUGGCAGUCUGGCACCAUAUAGAUCUAGUAGUUGUGCAUGCAUGUCUUCCUCUCUAUCCUCCAUUGGCAAUCUGGCACCAUAAUUAUCUGUUUGUGUUUUAGUUUGAUGAUUCAAUCCAACAUUUAUUAUGGAUAAAGUCAGCCAUAAAAUACAUAUGUUUACUACUGCUCUUUGUACAUUUUAAAUACUAGAUUUCUUGAUGAUUGUUGUCUUUAAGUUGCUCUUAAUGUUGUUGCAUAUCGAGAAAUGCACUGUAAUUUCUGUAUCGAUUUUAUCACCGCUUUUAACUAAAUCUUCAAAAAUCAAGGCACCACCUGGAUGUAGAGUGUUAUAUGGUGAUUCAAGUGUUGAGUGUUCUCUUUCUUCUGCUAUCCAUAAAUUUAUGGAAUGGAAAGGCAAUGAUCAUGACACUAUUUUUUGUCAGAUAAACACUGGUUUCAUAUGCUUCAACUCUGUGGUGCUUCACAGCACACGGAUAAAACUUCCAAACAUUCUGCACCCAAUAUUACCAUAAUGCAUUUGGACACUUCAUUAACAACUUCUUACAAUUAGCCUUUCUAUAUUGAAAAUAAUUCGUUGUCUUAACUUCCUGUUGCUGCUAGUUUCAGAAUUUUCCAUCCACAUCGUUGACCUCAAAUUCUGGUUCUGUCUCUAACCCAUCAACUCUGUGGCUUUUAUCGGAGGAACUUGAUUCCAAGGCUACUCAUGUUUAUUCUCUUGGUGAAAAUGAAUUGUCAGGUGAUACUGGUUGAACCUAUCAAAAAUAAAUGAGUCAUAGUUUGUUUGAUCAUUCAUUUUCUAAUCUUUCUUCUUUAUAUUUAAUUAGUUGUUUAAUUUCUUAAAAAAGAAUUCUGGUUUAUUUAUCGUAUAUUUGGUAGUAUGCAUGCCUCAGCUCCUUUAAUGCAUGUCUCUCACAGUAUAUUUGGUAGUCUUUUAUAAUGUUACACCCUUUUUUUUAAUUCCUAAAACCUUUUAACUUUCCAAAUUUUCAUUCAUUCUUUUAGAAAAUUAUUUUCAUUAUUUUUUUAUGGUUACAAAACCAUCCAUUAACUACAUUAAUUAGACAAUUCACUCCAAUAAUAAAUAAAUAACUUUUUUGGAUCUAAGGUAUUUUCUCAUUCUACAAAUUUAAUUUACUAUAUAAAGGUUAUUAUGCUAAUUGAAAAAUAUAUUUCUCUCAAGUAUGCAAUGACAGAAAAUUAGGUUAUAAAUAUAAAAAAAUAAUAUUUUUAGGUAUUAUAAUUUUUUUAAAAAAAAUUAUAUUUUAAAUUUUUAAUAAAACCUUGCAUUUGGGGAUUCACAUGUUGUUACUAGUCGAACCAAAAAAGAUAAAUUCGCGGUGAAAACUCUUUAAAACCCAAUUCGUGGAAGGAAAAAUUGAACUGUGGCGUUGAGUUAUUUUGUUGUUGAAGAAGAUCAGUAAAAAACCCACAACAUUAAAACUUCUUUUUGUUUCUUUAAGUAUAUUUUAGAUUGCAGCGUAUUUUCUAUUUGGGUUUAGUUAGGGUUUCUCUUGUUUAUUCCAAGAUAUGCAUGGAUAGUUCAUGUUCGACUAUUUGGAAAGAGGGCUUUAUGUAGCACGGGUAUUAUAUUCUGGUUUUGGAAGUGUCGAGAUAAAUUAAGGACUUUUUUAAUCUUCUUGAAACAAACCUAUACGAAGGUGAAGAAUAAUUUAUGCUUGUAUUUUAGUCGGAAUAAGAAGAAACAUGAAGAGAAUGCCCACGAGGAAAAUGACCACGAGAAAAAGUUGUGUAUUCCUCCAUCCUUAACUGAGCUCUCUAAUGUGUAUUCCUCCCUCCAUAACUGGCUUACUUUGGAUUGUUUGGUAGAAAGAAACAAUAGAAUUUUUAAGGAUAAAUCAAGGUUUAUUGUUAACUUAUGGGAAGACAUAUGUAACUUGAUCGGAGUUUGGUCUAGGCGUCAUUCAUCUUGUAACCAAUAUGAUGUUACUACCAACUCUUAACUUUAAGCUUUGUUAGAUUAGGUUGCUUCGGGCUUCCCUCUAGCCUUCAACCUUGUAACUUUAACUCUAUGUUAAUAGAUAAUGACUCUUAUCCUAGGUUUAUCCUAGUUUGAAGGAUUCGGUUUCUUCUUCUUAAAAAAAGUUGUAUUUCGACAACUAUUUGGGAGGAAAAUGUGCUUAACUAACUAAAAAUCUAAUGACACUUCCAAAACCAGUCAUUUCGAAAGAUGUUUCCUCAAUAAUAUAUUUAUAGUGCUCUUCCUUUAUAGAGUAAAACAGUAAAGCAACAAAACCACUUUGAUUCAUUAUAUAUAUAUAUUUACGUAUGUCAUUACUACAAAAAAGGCCUUUCUUGACGUUUGUUGUUUUUCUUUCUUGACAUUUUUUUCAAAAAAACGUCAAGAAAGGGGUAGUUCCAAAGAUAAAACGUCAAGAAUUUUUAUGAAAAGGCGGGGGUAGGUCAAUUUUCAGAUUUCUUGACGUUUAUUAAACAUCAACUAAUAUGUAUUUUUUCUUGACGUUUUAAAAAUGUCAAGAAAUAUCUAUAAAAAUUUUGACGUUUUUAAAACGUCAAGAAUGUUUAUAUAUUCAACAUUCUUCAAAAUUUUCAAACGUCAAGUAAUAUGUACUUUUACUUGACAUUUUCAAACCGUCAAGAAAUAUCUUAAAAAUUCUUUAUGUUUUAAAACGUCAAGAAUUUUUAUAAAAAGCCGGAGAAGAGUUAUACUUCAUUCCCCUAAAACUUCCAUUGGUUUCCAUAUUUCAAGAAUUUGAAAUUUUUAUAAGAUAUUGCUAGUGGAAAUUAAGUUAAUUCUGUUUGCUCCCAAACUACCUCCUGAUUAUGCUGUCUGGUUGGGAGAAAUAAAGUCUUUGUCAUAUUUCAAGGUAGUGUAUGUUAACCAACACUUAGUGCAUUUUCGUGUUCAUGAGCUUAUUUUAGUUAAUAUGUUUUUGUAGGAAAAAUAUGAUGUCAAUAUGGCAUAUUAUACGAUGAAAUUGUAGUCGUUUAACACAAAAUUUUGAGGUUCUUUUUCAACUAAUUAUGCUUUAUCUAAUAUAUUUUUCCAAAUCUUAAAGAAGAACUUUUGAUUUCAUUGGAGUUUAUCAUUAGAGGCAUUACUAUAUUGGCUGCCUCUCAGUGGGCUAUAGGUUUUCCAAUGGUCAUUUGAGACUGGUUGAUAAUAGCAAAAGUUAGAGCUUGAGAAGAAGGAGCGAAGAAAGUAGUGAAGACAAAAGAAGAAAGAAAGCUGAGUGAAAAACGAAAAUUGACAAGGUAGAGAUGUGACAUGAAAAUGAUGAUGAGAAGUGAAGGAGGCAUGACACAAUACUUGUACACAAUAACAAAGCCUUGAUAAUUAAAAAAAGGAUGGUGCCAAGAAAAUUUAAAUACAAAAAAAAUGAAGGUUCUUGCAAGUGUAUUGAUUGAAUGGGAGAAAGAAAGGAUAAAAAAGGUAGAAAGAGAGAAAGAGAAGUCAAGGGUAGAGAUACAUAGCUUUGUAUAUAGAAACUUUAUGUCUAUACUCCACUAUACGUUGUGGAGAAUAUAACAUCCUGAUAUGUUUGAUUCAAUUUGAAUGAUGCAAUUAUUUAUUUUUCUGCAAUAAUUCUACUUCUAGAACCUAAAUUUUGAAAGCCUACUAAUUUUUCAGAAUUAAUUCGAGACCCCACUUUUGCUCCCCUUCCUACCUACGGUUACUUUUUGCUUAAACUUUAAAAGUUGUUUGAAAAUAUUUGCUGAAACUUGUAAAACUUGUAAACUUGUAAAAUAAUUGCAAAAUUGUGCAAUUAGUUUAUUGUUACGGAGAUUUCAAUAGUAAAAAGCAAAGAGAGUAAAUGGUAACAAAAUCAUAUUGUUCACAUGAAAUGAUAAAAUAAUCAUUACACAUUUACAAGAACAGUAAAUAAAUUAUGUGAUUUUCGUGAGAAAAAUGAAGAAGAAAUAGCUUAUAACAAAAGUGAAUAUAAAUUAAAGGAGAAUAUAAAAUUGUUUAAAAUAUUUAUUUUCAAUAAUUCGGAAGUUCUUUGACUAUAUAUAAUGGAAGAGAGCCUUUCCAAGGUGUGAUGUCUGGCGUCAACAACGACGCGCUUAGCACAGAUACGGAACCGAACACCAUCUUCUUGGUGUUUGUCUAUGCAAAAGCCUCGAGUGGCUAUGGUCUUCUUCUUCUCUGUGAGGGAAAUAGAUGAAGUUUCUAGACUAUUUCAAUUACUAUGUGAGAGGUGGCUGAAUUUUAUUGGACCUCUCUUCUUGGGCUUACUUUUUACAAUUGUUUAACAAUCUCUCUCCGAAUAUACCUUCGUCCCCUUAGCUGCUUCCCACUUUGGUAAAAUCGCCAAAGCUUUAUGCGUAAAUUGCAAGAGACCUGAGCAAGGCAAAAUAAGGUUAUUGGAACAAGGCGAAAGUUAUCAUUGCUAGCUGCAACUUUCCUCAUUCUUCUCACCCUCCUUCAAACCAUAUUUUCUGCUAAUGUAUGCAUUUCCUAGCUAGCCUUCCCCGGCAUAUUCUAUUUUAGCUUUUUUCCUCUCCAGUUUCUGUUAUGUAUUUUUACUGAAUAUUGAUCUCCUUUUUGCUAUCAAGAUAGUAUACCAUACAUGCAUGUGUAGGACUUUUAUCCCUUAUAUUUUAUAAUUUUUCUUACUACUGUUAUUGACUGAUAUACCAAUAUACAUGUGUAAAGUAUUGAUCAUAUAAUUAAUAUUAAAUUUAUUACAUUCACUCAUCAAUUUAAGUUUUUUAGUCAUGUAUGUUCAUGAUUUAAAACAAAUAAUUCGAAGCUUUCAUCCCACUUGUGAACAACGACCGAAAAAAAACCUUACUUCAUCCCACAUCGUCGCUGUCUUUCUCUCGCAAAUGCUCUCUGGCGACGUUCCCCCCUCUCUAGCAAAUACCCUUCACGACUUUUCCUCUCUCUCAAAAUUAAGCUCUUCGCCCACCGUUUGAAGGAACUCACCAAAUUUGCAAGUAAUUGAAGAAUUUGUGGUCAAUGAGAUCGAUUAAGUCCAUUUAUGUGUUAGUUUGAUUAGAUUAUGUCACAUAUACAUGUAUUACAAUUAAGGGACACUUGCGAAAAUGGCAAAAUAAGUUAUAAUAAUUAAGUCCAUAGAACACAUACUUUAUUAUUUGAGAAAGUGACAAAAACAAAGACCAGCUCACACAUCAAGAGGUAAAAUGUCACAAAUGCCUUCGUUAUUGAUGUACAUUUGAUACACCUUAUACACGUCUGAUACACCUAAUACCCCUUGAUACACUUGAUACUUUUUACUCAUACACUUGAUACAUUUGAUAGAUACAAUUCAUGCACUCGGUACUCAUUGAUACACUCGAUACUUUUUGAUACACACCUGAAACAUCUUCAUACACAUAAUACUUCUCGUUCCACAUAAUACUUCUCGUUACACUUGAUUCUUCUUGAUACACUUGAUACCCCUGAGGCCUUGAUACACUUGAUUAGUUUGAUACACUUAAAGACUUCACUUAUAAGUUUGAUCCACUUGUUACACCACUAAUAAACUUGUUAUACUUCAUUGGUACACUUAACAAAUUUGAUAUGUUUGAUGUACAUGCACUACAAGAAAUUUACCAUUUGUCGAUGACAAAUAUCAUCAGUAAAUCUUCAAAAACUAAUCGACUUUUCUUUUGCCAACGAAAUUAAGCUGUCAACACACACAGUCACAUAGGUCUGUGGGAAGAUCCUCUAUUGAUGGCAAAAAAUAAACUGUCAGCAAAAAUAGGAACUAUUGAUGAAAUUGAACCAUCAGUGUGCGUGUGUGUGUGCGCUCGCGUGUGCGCAUGUCCACGUGUGCUUGGGUGUGUGUAUGCACACAUACAUGUGUACGUGAGUAGGUGUGUGCGUGUUUGCGUGUGCAUUUGUGUGCGUGUGGUUUGGUGUGUGUGUGCAUGUGUGCGUUUGUGUGUGUGUGCGUACGUUCGUGUGUGUGUGCUUGUGUGCACGCGUGUGUGUGUGCGUGUAUGGGUGCACGCGCGUGCAAGUGUAUGUAUGUGUGUGCACGUGUGAUUGUGUGUGAAUAAGUUGAUAUUUUUUAAUGUUGAGUUUCUCCCAAUUUUAAAACAAUAAUUUAAUUAUCUUGAUAUUCAAGCCAUUAAUAUUAUUGUGAGAUAAAGAUAGUGAAUAAGUUGAUAUUUUUUAAUUUUGAAAUUCAAUUAAAGUUAUUUUGAUACAAAAUCUAUUGCUUGAGAUUAUCAAAUUCUGAAAAAUAAUAAUUUUGUUAUUUUGAAAUUAAAUUUGGUUAUUUUGAAAUUCAAAUUUAAUUAGGUUAUUUUGAAAUUAGUAAGAUUAAAUAAAGUUAAAGUCUUGAAUCCAUUAGUUGAGUCCCAAGAUAUUAAGAAAAAAGUAUGAUAUGAGUUUAUGUAUCUUUUUCAGGUAAAAAAUAAUUAAAAGCUGAUAAAUGCAUAAUAUAAAUUAAUUACAACAUAGAAACAAAAUAAUUUUAGUUGGAGAGUGUGGAUAUUUUGGUAUUUUAUAAAAUAUUAUGCACGUGCAAAAAAUGUUAUUUGCUAAAAUUUUAAAAAAAUAGUUUUGCCAUUUUUCAAAAUGACCCAUAAAAAGGUUGCUAUAUCUCUUAUGAUAGAGUGUAUAUCUACUGGUUCAUAUUCGACCUGUUUGUUGCUAAUAGAAUUGGAUAAAAUCGCAUUAUAUUGAAAUAAUUACACAAAUGACACUUUUAAGCCAAUAUUGAUAGAAAUUAUAGUUUAAUUAAUGUUAUUAAGUCAAAUGAACAUGGUUUAAAAGUCCUUCUAAACACAAAUAAUGUAGUUGUUUUUUUAAUUUUAACUCAUUUAUACAUCUUUAUGCAUAUGUGCGUGUGUACGUGUGCGCGUGUAGGUAGGUGUGCGUAUGUGUAUGUGCCUGCGUUCGUGGCGAGUGUCCAUGUGCAUGUGUGUGUGGGUGUGUGCAUGUUUGUAUGUGUUUGUGCGUGUCGUGUGUGUGUGCGGGCUAUUGCGUGUGUGCUUGGGUGUGUGGGUGUGCUCGGCGUGCAUGUUUGUGCGCGUGUGCGUAUGUGUUUACGUGUGUGCGUUUGUGCAUGUGUGUGUGCUUGUGCGCGUUUGUGCGUGUGUGCGUUUGAAAUUAGUAUGAUUGAAUAAAGUUAUUAAUAUGUUGAAUUAAUUAGUUGAGUCUCGAGAUAUUAAGAAAAAUAUUAUGAUAUGAGUUGAUGUAUCUAUUUCAAGUAAAAGAUAAUUAAAAGCUGAUAAAUGCAUAACAUAAAUUAAUUACAAUGUAGAAACGAAAUAAUUACAGUUGAAGAAUGUUGAUAUUUUGGUAUUUUAUAAGAUACCAUGCACGUGCAAAAAAUGCUAGUUGCUAAAAUUCAAAGGAAAAAGUAGUUUUGUCAUUUUUCAAAAUGACCCCUAAAAACGUUGUUAUGUCUCUUAUGACAAAGAGUGUAGAUCUACUAAUCCAUAUUCGAUUUGUUUUUUGUUGGUAAAAUUGGAUAAGACCGCAUUAUAUUGAAAUAAUUACACGAAUGACACUUUUAAGCCAAUAUUGAUAGAAAUUAUAAUUUAAUCAUGUUAUUAAGUCCAAUGAACAUGGUUUAAAACUCUUUCUAAACACAAUUAUUGUAGUUAUUUUUUAAUUUUAAUUCAUUUAUACAUCUUUGUGCAUAUGUGCGUGUGUGCGUGCGUGUGCGCGUGUCCACGUGUGCAUGGGUGUGUGUGUCUACGUGUGCGUGGGAGUGAGUGUUCACGUGUGCGCGUUUGUGCGUGUGCGUGUGCGUGUGUGUGCGUAUACGCGUGUGUGCGUGUGUACCUGAGUGGGCGUGUGCGCUUUUCAUGCUUUUCUUCCAAUUUUAAAAUAAUAAUUUAAUUAUCUUGGUAUUCAAGUCAUUAAAAUUAUUUUGAGAUAAGGCUAUUUUAAUAUAAAAUUAUGGUUGAGAUUCUCAAAUUCUAAAAAAUAAUAAUUUUGAAAUUUUGAAAUUCAAUUUGGUUAUUUUCAAAUUCAAAUUCAAUUAGGUUAUUUUGAAAUUAGUAAGAUUGAAUAAUGUUAUUAAAAUGUUGAAUCAAUUAGUUGAGUCCCGAGAUUUUAAGAGAAAAGUUAUGAUAUGAGUUGAUGUAUCUAUUUCAAGUAAAAAUUAAUUAAAAGUUGAUAAAUACAUAACAUAAAUUAAUUAUAACGUAAAAACAAAAUAAUUAUAGUUGGAGAAGGUGAAUAUUUUGGUAUUUUAUAAAAUACCAUGCACGUGCAAAAAAUGUUUGCUAAAAUUGAAAAGAAAAAGUAGUUUUGCCAUUUUUCAAAUAUUUUGGUAUUUUGUGUCUGUAUUAUUUUAUAUUUUAUACAGGAGACUCCGUUUGAGUGUUGAGCUAGUAAUGGGAGGGAUUACCGUUGACCCCAAAAUUACAAGGUUUCAUGUUGCUUACUGGAUCAUUAAUGAUUCGUCUCUAUCUUGGGCUCAGCGAGUGGUGGAGUUGGAACCCCCUGAAAGUGUAGAUUUAGACUCUCUACCGUUGUCAAGAGCUGUUAAGUAUGCAAAAAUGGCCUUGAGAAAUCCUAUAAAUUCUCUGAACAGGAGACAUUCUAGUGUAAGAAGAAAUGCUCAAGUCCUUGAAGAAAUUGAGGACACAACUCCAAUUCCUAGCAUGCUUUCUCCUUGAGACUAUGCUGGUCCUAGUCGGGGAGUGGCAUUUACAUCCAAGAAAGACACACAUGUAUCACCUCGUGUUGGCACUUCCAUUGCAAUGCACAACUCUGACAUAUAUAGUGCCGACAUUUCCUUCCUUAAGCUUGAAAAAAGGUGAUUUGAUGUCCAUAAAAAAUUAACUGAGCAGUUAGAUAUUUUCUAAUACGUAUCUCACGUAAUUUGAUGCUCAUUGAUACUGCAUUACUGUGUCAGGAAUGUGUUGAUGUAAAAUCUUUCAGUUUUGAUGGAUCUUAUUACAAGCUUUCAACUCUUCUUAGCACGACUUCUGACAGAACAAAGGUUCGAUAUAUCUUUACACGAUCGCAUAUCACAUAUGAAAGAUCGCAUAUCCCAUCUGAAAUAUCGAUCACCCUUGGUAAAACAACCGUUUAGAUAUUCUACAUGAUUGUUUGCUUAAGGAUACACGAUCAUUUUGUAACUAUAUUUUUUAUUAUCCUUUUUUCUUUCUAUACUAGAAUCAGAAUCAAUUGUUUGAUGAUAUUAACAACAUGUAUGAUGAUCUUCAUGAUGAUUCUAGUCAUCACAAUCUGGACAAGAAUGAUGACCAUCAAAAUAACAAACAUGUGAUCAUCCAUGAGAAUUCAUCUGUUCAAGAGUCACAUCUUCAAGAAUCUACUGUAGAAACUCAACUGUUAGUGUUUAAUUCAUUAGCUACUACUUUAUAUUGUUUAAAAUUGCUUAGAUUAGAAAUAAACAACAAUAAUUUUUUUCUUUUAUGUGUAGGGAACAAAAAUGAACAACGCCUCAACAUCAAGAGCAGUCAGGCAGUGAUAUUAGCAUAUAUGGCAGAGAUGCACAUUUGAUAUUAGCUAUAAGUAAUAUAGCAGAAAAUAUGGAAGGCCAUACUCAAACAGAAAAGGGACUGCUAGAAAUGAUUGAAAAUCUUCCGUUGGUAAGCCAACCACUUCCACUUUGUGAGAUGCUACCAUUAACUACUGUCAAAGGUCUUGCAUUAGUUUUAAUUGGUAUGUGUGCCCUAAAGGGAUAAAAGCUCUUGGCAGUGAAAGACUUUACAAAACCAUUCAUCAAUUUUAAUUUGAAAAUUCCAAAAUACCAGUACAUUGACAAUAUUUAGAAUCAAAGUUCUAAAUAAAGAACUAAAUAUGCUUUUAAUUUAAAAAAUACAUAGAACUUACUCUUAUUGACGUCUCUGAAUCUAUAAUCUACCGAAUUGGGGACACCACUCGUUGGAGACAUUCCUAUCUUCGAAGAUGAGAUUGGUUUGUGGAAAACAAUUGGAAUGAAAAAAAAAAAAAUAGAGAGAAACUAUAUAACACCCCAAUAUCAAGGUAUUUCUCUCAAGCUAAUUUUUUUAAAUUUUAUUAAGAUUUUAAGGAAUUUGGUUGUGGUGUGGAUUUAGCAGGAAGUGAAGGGGGCUUUUAUGAAAAAAUAUACUAAUACUAAAGGUUAAAUAAUAAUAAUAUAUAAUAAUAAUAGAAUUAAUGUUAUUAUUAAUUUAAAAUAUCAAUUCUUUAUUGAUUCACGUGCAACCCCAUCUCUUUCUCCUUCACUCUUCCUCUUCCCCGUGCCCACUGUCGUCUGCCUCCCUUAGCCAUUUUAUAUUACUCUUGGACGUCAGCCGGCCACGCCGUCACCGAUCGCUUCGUCUCCGUUGAAGCCGAAGCACUGUUCGUCGUGAGUUCGAACUCUCAACAUCGUGUCUCACCUAUGUUUUCCAGCCAAGCUGUGAUUCAUUCGCGCGUAGCUCCUUCGACGUUCGCGCCACCACAUUCUGCUCCAGGUGAUGAGUAACAUCACCGAUUGACCUAUCAUCUCACUGGCGUUGUUACUUAGUUGAAGCAGUCGUCGACCAGACCUGAGCCCGUCGCGUCUGUUGAAGUGCCAUCGCGCGACUCUUCACCUUCCAGCCAUGGGUUGUAAGCUGAAGUUUGUUUUUCGUUUGUUGAUUUAGAUCUGAUCUAUUACACGCGUCGAUUCCAGUUAUUCGAAGUUGUUGCCCCCAUUUUACUCUAAUUUUUGGGAUUUUUGUGGUAAGUUGUAUUGGUGAGUGUGGUGGUUUUACAUUGUAAUUAUCCUUGGGUUGUAGUUUUGGAUAAUUAGUUCAAUUGUUAAUUGAUUCUUGAAGGUAGCAUUUGAGUUCUUUGGAUUCACAACUAAAUUGUAGAUUUGUUGGAGUUUGAUUCGCCAAUACUUUGGUAAGCUAGAAUUUACAUUGAGGAAAUUAAAUGAAAGAAAGUAUUGUGAAAGUAAUUGAGUUCCAUAUUCUUAUUAUUAGGUUUCCUUCGUUCGAGAAAUUUGAGUAACAUUAAAGUAAGGGGUUUCUAUUACUGGACUCUUUGAAAGUUUUGAAAUGUGUUGACUAUUUGGAUCUCUGGACUUAGUAUGGUUUACCAAUAUAUGUAGAAGUAGAUAUGAUGACAAAUGUAUAUUAUGCCAGACUGGUAUAGAAGUAGAUACGAUGGAUAAUGUAUUUGUAAACUGAGAAAGGUGUUAUAUAUAUAUAUAUAUCUUGACUGUCUGGUGUGUUGUUAUAGUAUCAGCUGAUUUUGUGAUAGAUUGAAUAGAUUGAACGUAAGUGUGUUAAGUUGGAUUGAUGAUAUGAUGGAGUAGUUUGACUAUACUAGGAAUGGAUUGAUUAAAUGUUUAGGUCUUGAGAAAUUGAAAAUAAAUUGAAAAGAAGAGAGAGAUAAGCCUGAGGGAGAAAUAUUCAUUUCCUUUUCAAAGUAAAUUGCAAAGAAAUUUUCUCAAAUUGAAAAGAAAGGAGAAAUAUACAAAGUCAGCCACCACUUCUUCUCCCUUCAGUUUGCAGUUUUCGUCUCCCUCUCUUCUAUCAUUAAAAUAAAUAAAUAAAAUAUCACAACCCGACUUAACACAAACUAUUUACUCCAACUUUUUAAACUACAAAUUUAAUUUCUCAACUUUUAAACUAUUUUAAACUUAAAACAUAAAAUUGAAAGGCCUAUUAAACAAUUGAAAGGUUUAAGAGGUAACUAGACAAACUUUAAAAGUUCUAAGGGAAAGAAUCUUUUGUUUAACUAUUACAGUAAUUAAUUUUGAAAAUAUGUUAUUUUAGAAAAACUACAAGUGUUUGAUAACUCUUUGAAAGAUAUUGAAAUACUCUCAAAUUGUAUUUUAAGCAAUUUUAAUAAAAAGAAAGUCUACAUAAAAAAAUUACCCUUUUUAAAGGAACGUUUUUUCUCUAAUCACUCCAAUGGAACUCAAACACGUACUUCAAGUUAAUUCUGGUAUCCAAGAAUCAGUCUCAUCUAACAUAAACAAGAACAUUCAACUUGAUAGAACUUCAUUACCUCAUUUUUACAAUUCCCAAAGUUACUAAAUGAAGGACCAUUCCUAAAACAUACUUACAUCCAACUUUCUCCAUGAAUAAACGUAUCGUCUUUUAUGUACUGAUGAAUAUAGAGAUGGAGCGAUCAAAGUUUGUUUAUGUACCAAAUUAGAGUGAGUUGAGAAAAGAGUGGAUUUACACAAGGACGAAAUGGCUGGCUGCUGCUUAUUCAAAACAGAAAGUUAGGGUGACCUUGUUUCUCAUAGGGACUCAGCAAAUUGAGGGGCCUCCAAGUCUACUUCUUGUCUCAUUAUACAUGCCAUUAGCCAUUCAACGUUGAAAGUCCAUAUCCCUUUUUCUACGGCCACCAAGGCUUCCUCCACGUCUUCCUCACAAGCCUCAAAGAUCGUCUUCCAUACGUUGUUUACUUUAUCUAGCUCAUGAAUCACCUAAAUUUUCAAGCAUAAUGAAUUUGCCAAAUGAGAGAAAAAAUUAUGUAUAUACUACAAGGAAAUUGCAAGAAUUCACCCUAUCAAAAAAUAUUAAACAAAUUCUUGUUCUAUUCCCUAAAAUUUUCCAUCUUUUCCCAACUUCCAAAAUUCUUCCUAUGAGAUAUAUUCCAAUCACAUAUAGCAGAAAUGACCGAUGAGUAUUGGAUAAAUGAAUAUUAAUUGAUAAAAUAAUUUACAAAAUACUAAAACCAUUAGUUGGCUACGUUUUGGAAGCUCGAUGACUAAAAUGGAUGUUUUGAAAGUUCUAAGGCUAAAAUGGAAUUUAAAUCAACAUAAUAGUAAGUUCAAGAUCAAAGACAAGCUAAACAAUAAAAUGUUGCGACCAGAAAACAAUCUAAUCAUAAUUAGAAACAUGGAUGUAUGUAUUUGUACACCAAAUCACAAAAAAUAACUCCAGAUUUCGAUCUAGAGACAAUUAAAAACUUGAACAAAUUUGAUAAUUAAAGAAACACGGAGAUGGCCAUAUGACCCCUUGUGCAUAGACUUUUUACAUUACAUGCUCAAUUCCUAGGAUCAAAACAAACAUAAAUAUUAAAGACUUAAGAAGCACAUACACUCAAGUUUGGCUAGUGUAUCAAUAAACAAUAUGUAUGGAACACUCGGAGAACACGUGUUGAACACUAGUUAGUACAGUAGAUGUGUUAGACAACAAGUAUUCCAAUGCAAUAAAGGUCAAGAUUGGUCACACACACAUAUUAAACUCUUGGCUUUGAAUAAGUUUUGAGUGAAGGACAAGCUUAUUUUUAAGCAUAUAAAUACAUAAACUUAUUGACUUUGAAUUUCUAUAUAAAUAUGAUACAUACUUUUUAAAUUAUAUAUAUUAAAACUGUGUUCUAGCACUAUCCUAUAUUUUUUAGAAAAAAAUGACACGUCACCAUGUCUAUGAUUUAUUGACCCAUGUCUAGAAUUCGUAUACGUGCUUGUUUGUUGAGAACUUCACGUCUUCAUUAGAUGGGAGGAUAGCCAUAUUAUAGUGGUUGUAUAUGUAAUAUAGAGAACCAAACCUAGUACUCGAGAUUUGUACAAUAACAGAGAACUUACAUUUCCACCGGCUGACUUGACUAUCAGGGAUAGAGUUUUAGGUGGUGGUUGAGCGUGAGCUGAUAUGCAAACAUCAUACCCUUCAAAUAAAGCUCAAGAACAUGCUUUUGCCCUGAGAACUGCAGCUUUUAGGCUGGCUCGAUACUUCGAUAUGUAGUCAUCAUCAUUUAGUAUGUAAGGCAACUCGUCUGCAGAUCAAUAAGGAAUUAAUCAAUCACAAAAAAUUAGGUAGGAUGAAAAACAUAAGUGGAAGAAAAUACAUUACGCUUUGAUACUAGCAAGCCAUUCGAACUUACCAACAAAUCUGCCUUCCCGGUAGCUUUCCUUUAACCAACUGGAGGAGACAAUCCAAGCUCUGAGUAAUUUGCAAUUAACUUGCAAUUUUAGUAACAAGAUAUAGUAAAAAUUAUGAGCAAGAGCACACUGAACACGCUUGAAGCCACAUGGUAAUGCAUAUGCUCGAUAAUCAUUGAGAACAUUAACAGAGAGAAAAUAAAGUUAAGAACAGUAGCUUGAAGAAUAAAAAACAUUCUACAACAUAAAAUCUUCAAAAACACAUUGCUUAAAAUCAAGUUUACUAAUAUAAAAGGUAAGAUAUUACGUUCCACUCUCCACACUACUGAAGUUCAACAUUUCACAUGAAAGAAAUGAAAUACUACUCUCAAAUAUAACUGAAAAAAGCAUAAAUGGGUAAAGAAAAAGCAUAGAGAAAUGCAAAAGAAUCCUUGGCUUUGAUAUAUUGAAAGGUAAAGAAUAUCAACCAUAGAUGUCCGGGAGAAGAACUCCUACAAAUACACACUUAACGCAGAUUAUCAUUCGCUAACAUGAGACCUUCUAGAGGAAUUCUGUUAGGAUACUUCCUAACAAGAACAAGAUCUUAAUUUAUUAUAAUGAACUAUAAGAAAAUACAAGAUAAAACCAAGUAUAAGGCACUUGGAACCUCCCUCUUGAGUACUCUCACCCAAGCCCUAGAUCACUCCCCAGAAUUCUCCCCUCACUUACCCUCCCUCCAUUUAUAAUAAGAUGUAACCACACUUACAUAAUAACUACUAGUAACUUUCUAAAUAUCUAAUUACCCUUAUACCCCUAACCUUAUACUAAUCUAGGUAUCUAACAUUACCCGAUCCUUCAAAACACCUUGUCCUCAAGGUGUGCUUACAAACAUGAUCAAGGCCCCUUUCUCUUUUUUUCUCUUUUUAAUUGCAAACAAUCCCCAGCAUUCUGCUCUUCAAUGUUGAAAAAGAAAUCCUCCCCUUCGGCUUUGAAAAACUCUCGAUUCCAAUAAGGUCCAUUGACUUCAGCCCACAAAGCAGCCCAAUGUACUUGAAUUUUCCUUUUCCAAAACACAUUGUCUUAGUUAACCCUUUGCAUAUCACCAACAAGUGUUUAAUUUUCAAACUCUUCAUCUCUAGUGGGCUAGUCCAUAAUCAAAGUGUUGCAUCAAGACCAAAAUCAUACUGCCGUCGGUUUCAUUCCUAGGACCCACCUACAUACACCUUUUUCUUCCCUCCUAUUUUUGGAACUCUCCACCCACUUCAUCUACAAAAUGAUGUGCCCCCAAUGUUUUAUUUAGAAUAAGUUGAAGCCCACUUGAAAUAGUAAAACCCAAGAUUGUUCCUUUUGUCCUAAUCCUCUUUCCUACCAAUUUCUACCCCAGUCCAUUUGGUCACGUGAUUCACCCCUAUUCCAGACCACCUUCUCGAGCCUCUGUAGACCGAUAACUGUCGGCUUCUUCUUUCUCCAUUGCAACCAGCCAUUUUGUGUUUCUUUGAGCAACAAAUUUUUCUUCACUCGAGUCUUCAUUUCGAGCCUCACAGGUAAUCCUCGUCGACCUUCCUCUAUAGUUUCUUCUUGGUCACUCUUUGCCAUCCUCUUCACCUUCGUUGUAUAACCGUUGCAAUCGCGUUUUCCUCGAUUCUUCUAUGGAUUCACAACCUUCUUGGAAUCCAUCGAUUUAUGGACCUGAAGAUUCCAAUCCGUUCUAAAUAAACACAAUCCAGAUCAGUGCCACUGAACACAGGCAUUUCAACCUUCUUGAAUUUGCUAUGAUCGUUCGAGUUUUCAUCCCUUUCAAACUUGUUUGUUUUACCUUCUACCUUGAUUUCCUUCAAUGUCUUACCUCCACCUUCGAUGAUACUCUCAAUCGUUGGUCCUUUGCUCGACGAUCCUUCCAUUCUUCCGGAGAUCGUCGAAUUAUCCUUCUGCUAUUCCUUCGAUGCAUUUAGCAACCGUUCUUGUUUUUCCAACUAGAUGACCAAUCUUUCGAUGCUUUUUGGCAAGGAUAACAAGUUUUCUUCAAUUGCCAGCAACUUGUGUAACUCCACUUGUAUCCCUGAGAUUUCCUUAUCAGAGGUCUCCAACUUCUCUUCGAUCUGUUUUUGUGCUGCUCUAUCGUUCUCCCAAGUAAAAACGCUCUGAUACCAAUUUGUUAAGAUACUGUAAAUAUACGGCAAGUGUAUCUUACUUUAUUGAAUUACCUCAACGAAUUACAGUAUAGAGAAUAAAAAAUCACUCACAUCUACUUCCUAAAGGCACACUCCAGUGAGGAUCACAACAAAGAACAAGAAAAACUAAGAACAAACCGCAACCAUGAAAAUGACCAAAACAAACAAUAAAAAGAACUUGACUUGGACCCUCUACUUCUCCCGAGCACGAAAGACGGCAGCCUCUACUUCUUUGGAAUAUUUUGUCCCCUUUCUCCCUCCUCUUUCCUCCCUUUUAUUUUGCUUUACUAACAAAACUAAUGGGAAAGAUCUCCUCCGAUAUUCUCUCCUCCUAUAAUCUUUCCUAUAUUCUCGUGUGGGUCAAUAUUACCCUUUUUAAUUCUUCUACUGUAUUUAAAUAAUAUUGGAGACAUAUACUUCCUAACAAGAACAAGAUCUGAAUUUAUUAUAAUGUAACUAUAAGAAAAUACAAGAUAAAACCAAGUAUAAAGCACUUGGAACCCUCCCUCUUGAGUACUCUCACCCAAACCUUAUAUCACUCCCCAGAAUUCUCCCCACUUACCCUCCCUCCAUUUAUAAUAACAUGUAACCACCCUAGUUACCACACUUACAUAAUAACUACUAGUAACCACACUUACACAAUAACUACUAGUAACUUCCUAAAUAUCUAAUUACCCUUAUACCCCAACCCUAUACUAAUCUAGGUAUCUAACAAAUUCCAUAACAUAAUGUAUUAGGGGAAGAAGGAAAUCGAGGAUAAAAACACUAGCUAGCCAACAAAUAUCUUUCAUUAGUGAGCUUGAGCCAUUUUACACGUAAAAUGGGAAAAGUAAGCCUGAAACCCAAAUUAGCCUAAUGGUUGUCUUAACAACCACUACCCACCAUCACGAUAGAAACAACUGAAAAGGAAGAGCAUGAUACAAUCCAACUCAAACAUAAGAAUUGAUUUUGAUGUUUAACUAAAAGUAAACAGGCAGUAGAAUAAGAAACUAUGCCCUUUUAGAUCUAGAAGGUUCACAACAAUUUCCAGCCUAAGCACAACUACGAGGCAAUGGAAGAAUAACGGCAAAGGCCUUGUGUGCAUGGAAUCGCUAACUUUGGUGCAAAUGAGAUGAUUAUCGGUAUUCAAAGGCCAAAAGGACACAUAGAAGAGUGUUCGUCUAAGGUUGCAAGACUAACCCUGAGAGCAAUACAAAAAUUUAGAGUUUUCCGCACUUUUCCUGUAAUGACAUGAGUGCUUGUACUCCCAUCAGCAGUGAGAGAACCACCAAGUUCCUCAAUCAUCUAAAUCAGAAAACAACUGCACAUUAGAGCAGUCACAAUUUGGAAUAAAAAGAACUUUUUAUUGUUAGAAUCUUAGAAUAUUUAUGAAAAGUUUAUGGGAAUAUUUUUCUUAAUUCCUAAAUAUUUUCCUUUUUUAUUCCUCUGUAUAUUCUAUUUAUUCUCCCUUGUACCUAUUGUAUUUUUCAUCAGAAAAUAAUAAGAAGAAAAAUAUAGUGGUUUUUCUCCUGGUACACAGGUUUCCACGUAAAGUUGUGUGUUUGUUUGUCUCCCUUUCAAUAUGGUAUCCGAGCAGGUGGUCCAAGAAGGUCUUGUGUUCAAGCCUCGCAUUUUCGUUUCCUCCCCAAUUAAAAUCCAUUUCCAGUUGUUGGGCCUUUCAAAUAUUUCAAGCCCACAAGUGAGGAGAGUGUUGGUGAUAUAUAAUUGAAUUUUCUUUCUUUUUUUAAAAAAGGAUACGAGUCUCACUAUUAUUAAUAUAAAGAAAGAGACAAAGCUCAAUGUACAUGAGGAUUAUACAAAGAGCAAAAGGGGAGAGGGAAGAUCAACAGGCGCAUCCGGGCAUCUCAAACUAGGUUGACACCCCCUUAGUGCCCUCAAAACAUCCAAAAAGCGACAACACAAGAUCAAAACAAAAAGCCACAAAAACAAAGACAAACAAAAUGAUAAAAAGAAUCUUUCCAAAGCAAAAUCAUAAUCAAAGGCAGCAUGCUGAGAACAAAGAAGAAUAAGCCUUGAUUGGUUGAGCAAAAACUGUUUGAAGCAGAGGGCUGAUCCGAAAGUCCUGAUCAUCAAAGACUUCAAAGUGGGGAUGCUGUAAAGGCUGGCCAAUAUAACACAAUAUCCUACGUCGAAGAUCUUCUUUUGCAUUACAUUUUCUAAAAUUUCCAAUCCACUCUGUUAAAGGCCUUUUCAAGGUCUAAUUUAAUGAUCCAUCUUUUCUUUUUUCGGAUAAUAUAUACCUCCAAAGUUUCUUUUGCUAUUAAAAUAGGAUCCAAGAUUUGGCACUCUUCCAGAAAGCCACAUUGUAAUGGAGAAAUAUCUUAGGAUUCUAACAAUAAAACACAAAAUAUCCUAACCAAAUGGCUAAACAGAGGCAGCACUCUGUAAUUCUUUAUUUAUGUAAAAGCCAAAACACAUUCAACAAUAGUAGAUAUGAAAAAUAAAGGAAGAACAACAUAGAAAACUUACCCAGCUCCUUUAUACAGGGCUGGAUACCCUCAGGCUACAGCAGCCUUUACUCUCCUUGAAAUAACCAAAAAAGACCUAGCCUCCCCUACCCCAACAUUACAUGUUUAUACCUCUCUCUCUCAUCCCUCCUAGUGGGCCCCACCUGCACGAUCCUCUCCCAUUAUUCUCUCAUCAUUGGUUGCUAAGGAAUUUCCCUUUCUACCCUUCCUUUUAUAGGUAUAGAUAAUAGGAGGUCUUACAAAGUAAUACCUGGCCUGGCUUUCUUUAAUCUUUCUGCGAGAACCUUUCCAAACAACUUAUAAAUUAAUGUUGAAACAACUUAUAAGCCACACUGUAAUGACCUUCCUUCUCUUGACCGAACUUCAAUAAUCGACAACUUAUAUUUAUCCACAUAAUCAGCAAAACUCUUAAUCUGCCACUAGCUUCAAACAAAGACCCAGCCAAUUCCUUUUGAACUCCAUAGUGCCUUUAUAAUACAACUGGCAAUCUCUUCUCUUUUGGUCUCCGGAAUCAAUGCUCUAUCUGGAUUAGCUUUCUUCAAAAGAUUUUUAAUAGCCAAUUGUUUCGAAUGGCCCAUGAAUCCUCUAGUGUUCCAUGAUAUAAUCUUCAUCUUUGCUACCUCUGCCUUAUAUCAAUUCAAUUUCACAUGCUGCCAAGAAAGGAACCAACUCUUGAGGGGGAAGGAUACUUGCUGACCUGCACAAAAUUUCUUUUUAUGGGGAGGAAAACAAUUUAAUAAAAUCUGGACCGAGAGAGUCACUGUCCUCUUGUUUCUCUGUCUCUGAUUGAAUUAUUUCUUCCUCAACUGGUUCAAAUUCUGCACUACUUACACUGGUGACUGAUUCAACUUCCAUGAAUUCAUCUUCUAGGUUCUCAACUUUUUUGAGACAAGAAGUAUCUUGCACAAAAUUAAAGAAUGAACCAGAAAGUUUGGAGGAGGAUUGAGAAAAUUUAUUACUUAAGGAGGAAGGCAGUACUGACCUUUUGCCAACUGAAUUUGGAAUUUGUAUCUUCACACAACUUUCCUCUAAUAAAUCAGAAUUAGCCAAGCUCAUCCAAAUGUUGCGAAAAGAAGUUCUCCCUUUGGUAUAGGUCUUGAGGUGCUUAGAAAAAUUUCUGGCAUGAAAUGGAAUAGCUUUCAUUGCAGAGAUAUUUUAGUCUUGGGAGAGGCUGGUAAUUUUGGUUGAGACUGAAAACAGGAGAUGGCCCGCAAGUGAAGUUCCUUGAUGGAGGAGAGGACUCUGAUUCUUCCUCCAAUUCGUCAGAAUACCAAAAGCCAUUGGAAUUCUGAUUAAUAAAAUUCUUGGGGCCUACCAUCUGUGUGUCAGCUUUUAAAAUGUCUGCAGAUACAUUAAGUUUGAAAAAAUCUGGUUGGGGAGGGCUAGGUGAGCUGUUUUUUGAGAUAAUAAAAUGUCGGUUGGCUGCCUUUUCUUCUUUGAGGUCUGUUUUUCUCUUUUUCUAUUGAAGUCUUUUCCCCUUCUAAGUACGUGGAGAUCCCAGCUAUACCCAAAUUUGAAUUUUUCCUUCUGAAAAUUAUUUUUUUCGGCGAGGAUUCAAGGGCUGAAACUCUUUCCGGUCGAACAAGGUUUUCUUCUUCAUCACCCAACUUCCUAAGUGCUUCGAAAGGAUUUCUUGAGAUGGAUGGGGCAUUCUGUUUGAGAAAAUUCAGGUAUCUGGGAGACCAUCACUUUGGAGCCCUUCAUCUAAAAUCACUGAAUUUAUUCUACAUAAAUCAAUAGGAUUGGAAAAAUCACUUUGAAAUAGAUCAGAUUGGAUUAUUACAGGAGCUUAUAAGGGUUCAAAAUCCCCAAAAUUAAGGGAAAAAUUUCCUCAGUUCUCACUCUUUAAUUCUAUAGUUGCUGGUAAGAAUCCGCAAAGAUUUUUCCGAACUUUAAUUCUUGCUUCAGAGAACUUGAUCAGAUUGAGUGUUUCUAAGAUUAUACUCUCUAGUCCACCAAAGUAGCUUAAGCUUAAGGCUAUAAUUGAAUUUUCUUUCAACCACCAGCUUAAACUUUUUGGUGAAUCGGUGGUUUAUAUUAUUUUAUAAAAAAAAUGUACACAGCUAAUGCCAUAUAAAAUAAAUAAAGAAAUACUAUAAAAUCUACAUCCAUAAAAUAUGCAUGUGAACACAUAUCAGAAGAUGGAUAUUUGUAAGUUAGAAAGACCGAUAACAAAAUGUCAUAAUUAAACAACAACAUUAAUAUUAUGGGUAGUUUCAAGCUUCAUUUGUCUAUUCUAGGUAGGGAUAUUGAAUAACUCUUAAAAAUAAUAUAAAGAUUGAAUCCCUAAACUUCAUGUGCUUGCUAGUAUACAACCUAAAAGUUCAACAGUUAAAGAAACUGAUUAAUCAUUUUUGGCAGGAUGUCAGAUUCGCCUUUCGAAAUCCUACAUGAGUAGAGCCAGCCAAAUAAGCCAAGCAAGAUAUGCCUCUUAAGGAAUAUGGAGAAGUUCAAUGACUGGGUAUGUAUAUGAUAAGCCUUAACCUCAAUUUUAUUUAUCAAUAAUGGAGGGAAGGAAUCAGAAGCUUCUCUAGCUCUCCCAAUUAUUCUAAGAAACCUGAUACAAGCUAUGCCAAAACAUACCCUCCCCAAACAAUCAUAAUAGCAUUUAUAUGAAAGCAUAAAAGACUCAUGGCUCCCUUAACUAGCAACAUUCAGACCAACAAAUACAGCUUCCCAUCCUCCUCUCCUGAAUCCUUUCUUGUGCCUACGGGUGUACACCUUCACUACCAUGGGCCUAUCAGUAUUUAGAGAUCGUAGAGGCUGUAUGAGCCAAGGAGUUGGAAGAGUAGGAUUAGGGAAGUGUGGAGUUUUCCGCUCUUUGUUUGGCCAAAAGUGUUUGUGGACUCCCGACAAGAAAAUUUCAAUUUUAUGCCUUAUUGACUUCGUAUGUCCUAGGCCCUAAGAGUUCAAAACUUUCUAGAUUUCACAACUUCUUGGACCACUCCUUCUGCCAAACACCCCUUUAAAGAAUACUAAGCCAAGGAUAUAAAACUUCAAUACCAUCAAUAGAAAAUCUCAUAAAAGAAACAUGAUUGAUGAAUAUUUUAGAAGACUAUAAAUUGGUACCGUACCUUCAUGAGCUGAGUUUUCUUAGUUUCGUUUGCAAUGUUCAUCAACAUAAUUUUAAAUGAUUUUCCUAAUGUGUUCUCUUCAGAAUUGAGGUCCUCUGAUGCCACAUUUACACUUCCAAAUUCUUGAUAGAAAUUUUGUGUACACUGAUUGGUUGGAUUUUUAGGAUAAAUACUUGAUAAAAUCUCAUGCUUUGAAUUGGCUAAAGAGCAUCCUUGAGAGCAGGUAUCGUAUACGUCACUUUUAGGAUCAAGAUUUUUGUUAGAAUGGGAAUGAAACUUGUCCAGAUUGACUCCUUUUACUUUCUUUGACUUUAGGGAAGAAAGUGAUGCUUCCCAAACUCUCUUUGCGCUAUGUUUAGAGCAAGAACAAUGUGUCUCAUCCAAAUUACCAAGAGUAUUGGAUAAUUCUGCAAUACUAGCUGUCGUGUUGUUCUCUAUUUCUGCAAAAGAAACCGGACCGUUGUUGUCAUGCACUGCAUCCUGGUUUAAAUAAACUGUUAUGAGAUAAUUAAGCAACAUAUGGAAAAUAAUUUAAAUUGUACUAUCUUGUGGAACAAAACCUGAAUUACACAUACCUUGAAUUUCAUUUUCUUCUCCAAGGGGCACUAAAGUUAUAAACUCGUCAUGUUGAAAAUUCAAAUUUUGAAUGGUAUGCUGAUCAGUUGCAUUUGAAACGUUGCAACCUCGAUUGGAAACACUGAUUCUUGCAGCAUACAGGGCUUCAGGCUUUAGUAGAGAAAGUAACUUUGGAAAGUCAGUUGAACACAUUGAAAUUCCCUGAAUGUGCGAAAUCCAUGGAUUUUAUUACACAUCCCAGAGGUGAACGACUUUGAGGCAUCUUGGUUAUAAUCAAUUGGUUCUCAAAGUACGCCACCUUCAUCCCCACUACAAAACUAUGUUCUGUCGAGUUGAUAGCACACUUGUUCUUUAAGAACGUCUUGAAGUUAUGGGGAGUUCCAUCAAGCAUUGUGAGUGACAGGGAUGGUAGAUUCAUUGGUACUCUCUUGAUCGAACUAUUCGCCUUCUUGGGGACACGCCUAAAUAUAUCCUUAAGCUGUCAUCCUACGACGAAUGGCCAAACUGAAGGAUUCAAUUGUAUGCUUAAGGAAUAUCUACGACAUUUUGUUGAUUCUGGACAAAAGAAUUGGGCCUAGUUGAUGGAUGUGGCUCAAUUUUGUUUUAAUGCACAAACUAGUCUAUCCACAAGAACGAGUCCUUUCGAAAUCUUGAGUGGAAGACAACCUAUACUGCCUCAUAUUUUUUAUCAUCCUUAUGCAGGAAAAAAUCCUCAAGCUCAUAACUUUACAAAAAAGUGGGAGAAGACUACGAACAUCGCUCGAGCAUACUAAGAGAAAGUCUCGAAGCGUAUGAUAAGAAGCAUCAUCCUCUCAAGUUUUGAGCGGAAGACCAACUCUUCACAGAGUCUAAAGCAAAGCAAAUUUGAUUUAGAGGACAUCAACAUCAGCAUCUCACCAGAAAAUACGAAGGGCCUGUUGAAGUUAUGAAGAAAAUUGGAAAUGCAUCCUAUAGGGUAUCAUUGCCUGCAUGGAUAAAAAAUCAUCUAGUAGCUCAUGUGAGCAACUUGAAACCUUACCACCAAGAUCCAGAUGACCAGUAGUGCAACAAUGGUGUAUGGUCAUCUAGUGACCUAAAGCAGAAAGACGAUAAAGAAAUGGAAGAAAGCUCGUAUCAUGUGUUUGUCCGUGGUUUUUUGGAUUUUAAUAAGCUAACUUGUUGUCUACGUAAAACAAGUGCAACAUAAUCGCUCCUCUCGUGUUUGAAAGCUCGCGAUUGGGACACAAGAAAUGCAAUAGCCAAGAAUGCACACGAGGAGGGCUACACGAAAUGCCAAGCACACAACCAAAGUGAGGUUCACAAUGUGCUUGUGUGUGAGGUUAGCAUGCAGGCAUGCCCAACGCACGUGAAAAGCCUCUUGUGAGAUUCACACACAGUAGCCAGCGCCCAACCAAGGCCCUGCCGCCCACCCAUUCGUGCCAGGCAGUGUCAUAUUGCAUGUUGAGCUAUUUUUGGUAAUUUUUGAGUUUUUUAAGUAUACUUUUGAUAUUUUCUUGGCAAAAGAUAAUUAAUUGUACUAUUUUACCAUUAUUUCAGGACAUGAGAAGAUCAUACAAAUUUAUAAACAAAGGAUUUGAGCUUGUAUCUGUGAGUGGAAAAUGUUUUAUUUAAAUUGAUUUCAAGCAUGUUCUUAAGUCAUGAUUUAUGACGGAUUUAUGAUAAAAUGUUUAAGUUAUGUUAUGAAAAGUCUUUCAAGCGUGUUAUUGUUUAAAGGUAUUUAUUCAAUCAUAUUGUUUGCUCUUCAAAAUGCAUAAUAUUCAAAAUGUUUUCCCACUUUCUAGGUAGAGAUCAUGUCCUCUAAGCCUAACUUGCUGCUACCUGUCUACUGAAGGAUUUCAUUUUGUUAUCAUAUGUGUCCUGUUAUUUUGUACUAAUGAUAAAUUAGUCUUCUGUGCUAUCCGACUUAGGCUUUUGGGAAGGUUUUAUAAGGUUUUGUUAUAGAUAAAUAAGAUUACGUUUUGUCUAUGUAAAACUUGUCUAAGGUUGUUAAAUGAAAAAGGCUUAGCCCAAUUGGUUUUAGUAAAAUUUAUGUGUUAUGUUUCCACUGUUGUUUAAAGUUUAAAGGUUCAGGCUAAGGGUCAGAUGGUGAAAAUGUUUUAUUUAAAGUGAUUUCAAGCAUGUUCUUAAGUCAUGAUUUAUGACGGAUUUAUGAUAAAAUGUUUAAGUUAUGUUAUGAAAAGUCUUUCAAGCGUGUUAUUGUUUAAAGGUAUUUAUUCAAUCAUAUUGUUUACUCUUCAAAAUGCAUAAUUUUUAGAAUGUUUUCCCACUUUCUAGGUAGAGAUCGUGUCCUCUAAGCCUAACUUGCUGCUACCUGUCUACUGAAGGAUUUCAUUUUGUUAUCGUAUGUCCUGUUAUUUUGUACUAAUGAUAAAUUAGUCUUUUGUGCUAUCAGACUUAGGCUUUUGGGAAGGUUUUAUAAGGUUUUGUUCUAGAUAAAUAAGAUUACGUUUUGUUUAUGUAAAACUUGUCUAAGGUUGUUAAAUGAAAAAGGUUUAGCUCAAUUGGUUUUAGUAAAAUUUAUGUGUUAUGUUUCCGCUGUUGUUUAAAGUUUAAAGGUUCAGGCUAAGGGUCAGAUGGUGUCGUUCUUGACGUGGGUGCUAUCAAUUGGCUUCACGCCAUAUCUCGAGCCACGCAAGUAGGUGCUCGUGGUGGGGUGUGAUAGCCUAAGUUGGCUUAUUAACGGUUAAAAUGUAAACAUGUCCAUAACAAAAUAGUCGGGCAAGGCCCAUGUGGACCGACUGGUAAAGGUUGAAGAGCAAAUGCUCUACCUAAUGAAAGUUCCUAACUCAAUUCGCUUCUUGGAAACCUGCCUUAAAGAAAUUUUUUAGAAAGCUGAUGCUAUUAAUUAAUCCACCACCUAAAAUCUUAAGCUAGUGAUUAAAAGUAAAUUUAAUUAUAUAUCACUAACAAUCCCCCACUUAUGGGUUCGAAAUAUCUAAAAGGUCCAACAAGUGAAAAUCAAUUUUAAUUGGGAAGGAAACACCAAUACAGGGACUUGAACAUAGGACCUUUUGGACCACCUACUCUAAUACCAUAUUAAACCCCAAAUUCACCCAAAAGCUUAAGCCGUCAUAAACCGUUAUAUACCAUAUGGACCACCUUUUGGUAAAUUUAAUUAUAUAUUACCAAAGUAUGAGGUUUCAUCACAAUACCAAUUGGCAAUGAGAGGAGUAGCUCAUCUAUUUUAUAAGGAAUCUAAGUUUCCUUGGUUUUUCAAUUGUGGGAACAUGCCCUUCAAGAUGGUGCCUCUUUGGUUUCACCUAUCUUGAACCAAAUAUCCGUUUAGGCUUAAUGAGCUCUAAUACCAUAUUGAAAACAAUAUAUACGAAACCAAAGCUUACGUGAAAACGCAAGAAUCGAAAGAAAAGCAUUGUGUUUGUAGUUUUAUUAUUUUUAUGAUAAUUACAGAGGUAUAAUUGGUGGUUUAAUAUAUAUCACUAACACUAAUGUUGCAAUGAUCGAUCAUCUCGAUGGAUUACCCAUUGAAGAGUUGUUGACAAGAGUUGACACUCUAGAAUCAAAAGUUGUAAGAACUAGAUGUUGUAAUUUAUGUCCUAAAACUCGUUGUAACCAUAAUCUAUUCAAUAAAGUCGUUAUUGAUACUAUAAUCUUAAAGCCAAUAAACUAAGGACCCGAGGUUAUUUUUUCAAGAACGGGAAGGAAGGUUAUAUCAUAUCGUGAGUUUGUUCGUGAUUUUCGGAUUUUACAUGACUGACUUAUUGACUGAGCAAAACAAGUGUUCUACAAUUGUCCGUUCCAUGUUUGAAAGAUUGCGAUUGUGGCAUGCAGAGUUUCACAAGUGUGCUUGUCCAAGGCAUUAUUUGCCUAUGGCCGCAUGCUCGAAUAUCCUCAAAGCACUUUAUCUUUAUGCUUUGUACUUAGUUUAGUCAACUGCUUUCUUUUUGUUGUCACCGACCUAAGGUGCGUCGUUUCACAAUAUUCAUAUGUAAGGUUGUCAAAGCUAAAAAAGUUUAAGAUGUAUUGUAGGGGAGGCAUGGUAGUUGAAUCCCCAACUAAGCCCUAUUGUGAUUUUUGCAAAUCUAAGCUUUCUUUGCAAUAGACAAUAUUCAAUUUUUUCUUUAAGGAUGUUGUCAAUGUUUUUCUUUAUCUCUCACAUUUUAUAAAACCAAUUUCUCUCAAAAGAUGAAGCGAGGCUACAUCGUACCACAAGUUUGUCCGCAACUUUCAAAUUUCACAAGGUUGCCUUCUUCAUCAAUUUAGAACAAGUGUUGCACAAUCGCCCGUCCCGUAUUUGAAAAGUUGCAUUUUGUGACAAGUGGUAUUAAAGCUUUGUUAGCUCCUUGGCUAAGCGAGAUGCAAUUAUGUCGACAAUGAAACAACUAUCAAAGUUGCAAUCUGAGCGACUGACUGAGAUUGAAAAGGAAUUCUUGGAUAUGAAAGAAUUGUCAAACGAAGUAAGAUUUCUCCAAACCCAACUUGAGAUGUUUAAAGAAAAAGUCAAAGAAAUAGACGCAUUGAAUGCCUAAAUAAACAAACUACCCAUAAAUGAAUUUGCGCUGAGGGUUGAUUCGUUAGAACAUAAAACCACCAAAGUAGGUAGUUUUGAACGUGGAAGUAGCUCUUCAAGUUCUAUCGCACAAAUGGAAGAGCGUGUCGAAGAGUUUGACUUUUGACAAGCUCCAACAUAAUCAGUUAUAUUUCAAAAAAGAGAAAAGUGUUUUUGCUAAAUAGCGUAUCAAUUUUCUGGGUCACAUCAUCGAAUGUAGAAAGAUUUGAAUGGACGAACAUAAGUUGUGAACUAUUAAGGAGUGGAGAGCCCCCACUUCCGUGAAAGAGUUACGUUUCAUCCUUCAAUAUAUACUAAAAUAGGGUUCACCUACUAUCCUCUAGACUCAGUACCGGGAGAAAGAAAUAGAUGGAAAAAGAAAUGGGCUUGGUGAUUUUUUUUUCUAUGUAAAUAAGAAAUAGAAAUCCAAUUUGGUACAAGAGCCCAAAUUCAAUAGCCAGCCCAUCAAAUGAGGUCAACGGCCCUAUUUAUAAGGAUUUUCCAUGCAAAAUUGCAUGUCCAUGGAAUACUAAAGCCCAAGAACUCAAAGCUCUAUUUAUAAUAUGAAAUUCGAUGGCUAUAACACAUAUACUUGUCAGUUUCUCUCUCUUCUCCCAAUUCGAACAAUUCGACUUAUUCCAUCACACUGUUUUAAGUUUAUUCCAUAUGAGCUAGCAAGGGAAACUAAUGGACCUAUAUAUCAUGGACUCCAAUGAUUCAAGAUUAAUUAACAAAAUUCGUAUAGACUGAGUUAAUCAUUAUUUGUUAACUAACGGGUCAUUCAUGUACUGGAACGAUUCAGAAUCACCUCGUUUGUACUAACUACAAAGCUGGCGGCAUCCAUAGUUUUUCUGAAAAAAUCUGGGUUACUACAACGUCACCACGAUAUACAAUUUUCCUGAUAAGAUGGUACUUACGUUCGAUAUGUUUUCCCCGUUUACGGCUUUUAGGUUCUCUUGAAUUUGCAUCUGCACCACUGUUGUGACAGUAUAAAGUGAUUGAUAGAUGAAUAUUUGGAACGACUUCAAGAUCUGUCAAGAAUUUUCUUAGCCAUAAUGGUUCUGUUGUUGCUUCAAAAGUUGCUACGUAUUCUACCUCCAUUGUGGAAUCAACUAUACAAGUUUGUUUUAUGCUUCUCCAAACUACUACUCUUCUAUUUAGAGUGAAUACUAAUCCUGAUGUAGACUUUCUAGCAUCUUUAUCAGUUUGAAAAUCAUAAUGAGUGUAUCCAGUAAGGAUCAAAUCUUUUGUACCAUACACGAGAAUGUAGUGUUUUGUUCUUCAAAGAUAUUUUAGAACAUUCUUAACGGUUGUCCAGUGAUCACGUCCAAGAUUGGACUGAUACCUACUGACCAUCCCUACUAAGUAGCAAAUGUCAGAUCUAGUACACAACAUUGCAUAUAUCAAACUUCCAACAGCGGAAGCAUAGGAAAAUUUUCUCAUAUCCUUAAUUCUUGAGGUGUCUUACGACAUUGUUCCUUUGACAAAUGAAUUCCGCAGAUGUAUAAUAGCAUACCGUUUUUGGAAUUCUACAUUUUAUAUCUAGACAACAUUUUGUCUAUAUAAGAUGCUUGAGACAUUGCUAGUGUUUUGUUCUUGCAGUUCUGUACAAUUUGGAUCUUAAGAACGUAUUGUGCAUUUCCCAGAACUUUCAUUUGAAAUUGCAUAGCUAGCCAUUUCUUGAUAUUAGUAUGAAAUCCUAUGUCCAUUUCCAAUAAGUAGAAUAUCAUCUACAUACAAGACUAAGAAUACUACAAUGGAAUUGACGACCUUUUUUGUAAACAUAAGGUUGGUCAACCUUUUGUAUCAAAGCCAUAAGAUUUGAUCAUAGUAUCAAAUCUUAUAUUCUAGGAUCUAGAUGUUUGUUUUAAUCUAUAAAUGGAUUUUUGAAUCUUACAAACCUUUUGUUCUUGAUCUUGAUCUAUAAACCCCUCUAAUUGAGUAAUAUAGAUACUCUCUUCAAGAUUGUCAUUCAAGAAAAGUUGUCUUGACAUCCAUCUGCCAAAUUUCAUAAUCAUAAAACGUGGCGAUGCAUAAGACUAUUCUAAUUGACUUUAGCAUGGCAACGAUAGAGAAAGUUUCUUCAUAGUCUAUGUUAGAAACAGACACACGCAGUGGAAAAAUGGAAUACAAAAUUACCCUAAUUGCACCUAUUUAACUUGCAACCUUAAAUUAAAAGAAUUAGGAUUUGGAAUUCGUAUCUCCAGCAUUCUCUGCAUCCCCUGCGACCUGGCAGCAUCAUCCUUACUAUUCUUAAAAACUUAUUAGAAUGAAAUUCCUCUUCACAAACCAACACGAAAUCUUUCAGCAUGAUUUUCCUCACUCACAUGCAUCCUAGGAAAAUUUCCAAGAGGUCACCCAACAUAGAAUUUCUUCAAGCUAAGCACGCUUAACUCUGAAGUCCCUAUAAUCGAGCCACAAAAAAAAAAAAAGGUUCACAUUGUUGGUAUAGGUAUUAAGUUUUAAUUAUUUUCAGUCUUUCUUAACAUGACUUUCAUGUCCUCAAGGUGCACCUUGUCGGUAUACUUGUCAAUUUCUCUCUCUUCUCUCAAUUCUCUCAAUUCGACUUAUUCCAUCAUAAUGUUCUAAGUUUAUUCCAUAUGAACUAGUAGGGAAACCUAAUGGACUUAUAUAUCAUGGGCUCCAACGAUUCAAGAUUAACUGGUUAAAUUCUUUUAGACCGAGUUAAUCAACAUUCGUAAACUAACGGGUCAUUCCACUAAAGUCUCGCAGUUGCACUCUCCCUCACUAUAGAUAUAUUCUUGUCCAUUUAAUAUAACCAUGAUCAAUAAGUUAAUCCUUCACAUGUUAUUCGUAACCUCGAAUGGAUCAAAUUAUUGUUUUAUCCUUGAGACUACAUCUUAUUUCUUAAGUCUCAUUGAUCCACUAUUGAACAAUUGGUUUAAGGUCCAACCUAUAAACUUAAUCCCUCUCAGGCUAAUGUGAGGGUGGGCCCCUUGUUCAAGACUUGGAUUCAGUGCUUAAGAGAACAACUUAUCUACUAACCCUAAAACAGGUAGAGAGUGAAUUUUGUCUUGCAUCCUAUGUUCCCAGCCAUUCAUCUAAUCUUACCCUUGAAAUAGGAGGCUUAUUGGGAGAAUGUUGAUGAGAUACCCUCACCUAUGCAGAUGUAACCCUAAAACAAGUAGAAGUGAAUUCAGUCUUAUGUAAGUACUUUACAGUGCUUAAGAGAACAACCUAUCUACUAACCCUAAAACAGGUAGAAGUGAAUUUUGUCUUGCAUCCUAUGUUCCCAACCAUUCAUCCGAUCUUACCUUUGAAAUGAGAGGCUUAUUGGGAGAACGUUGAUGAUAUACCCUCACCUAUGCAAAUGUAAGGAUAAUCUCAUGUGAACAGGAGUUCAUAGUUAGCUUAGGAUUAAGAUUAAGCUACCUAAGUCAUCAAUAAACGAAAUAGUCAGUUCUAAACAGUAAACGGUGUUAUAACGUAAAAGUGACUAUUUCAUGGAUCAGUUUUAUAUAAGUACUUUACAUAGGAUGCCCCAACUUUCAUGUCUCUACAUGAACAAUUUAGGAUCAGUUUCAACAUCCGUAGUUUCUGUAAAUUAGGCAUUAUAGACUAUUGAGGCUAUAUACUCGAACUUGAUCCACAUUUAUGUCUCGACAUAAAGUUCAAAUGUAUUAAAAAAUAGCAUUAAGACUUAGUUUAUUGGAUUUAAGAUUAUAAUUUUAAAAUUUUUAAUAACGAUUUUAUUGAACUGAAUAUGAUAACAAACUACGAGUUUUAGGACAAAAAAUCCCAACAUAUGUAUUUUUGCCUCUAAUAAUAAUGUUGAAAGAUGUUUGUUGUGGUUUCAUAUGGGUGAUAUCUCUUCUGGUUGGACAUAGUCAGGUUUUGUAAUGGGUGACUUUAACGCUAUCAAAAUGCAUUUUGAGGCUUUUGAUAGGUCUUCUAUUCCUAUGGAUAUGGAGGAGUUCGAUAUGGCUAUUUGCGAGGCUUAUUUAGUUGAACCUACAGUACAGGGUAACUGGUUAACCUGGACUAGAAAGGUUCAUGGGUCUGGUUUGAUAAAACGGUUUAAUCGUAUUCUGAUUAAUGGUGUUGGAUUACUGCAUGGCCUUCGGGUAUUUCUGAUCACUCCCGUCUUAUUUUAUCCCAACUUUUAGCAGAGACAGUGGGUAGUUUCUUUUUGUUUCUUCAACCAUUGGGUUGAGGAUUCUUUGUUUAUUGAUGUUGUCUCUUCGAUUUGGAGUCGCCAUGUAGGAGUUCCUCUGAUUGUGAGUUUCGUGAGAAAUUUACAUAACCACAAGCCUACCCUCCAUAGACAGUUUGGUAAGCACAUUCAGAGCCUAAGUGAGGAGGUUCGUAUUGCUAAAGAGUCCAUGGAUAAAGCUCAGAGAAAGGUUGGGCAAAAUCCUAUGUCUGAUGUUUUGAGUCGCCAAGCAGGUCUUGCCAUUGAGGCCUUUUGGACGACCGUUUAGAUUGGAGGAAGCCUUCAUGUGUUAGAAGUCCAAGAGGUUUGUGAGUUGCCUUAGAACUUGUGUUACCGUCCUCGAUGUUCUCCAUUAUGAUUAAUGGCUCUUUCAAGGGUUUUUUAAAUGGGAGGAAAGGUUUGCAGUAGGGUGAUCCUUUAUCUCCUUUCCUUUUUAUCAUGGUGAUGGAGGUCCUCUCUCGUAUGUUGAAUCGGCCUCGUCCGAGCUAUCAGUUUCACAGGCAUUGUGAGAAGGUUAGCUUAACUCAUCUGACCUUUGCUAAUGAUCUUAUAAUUUUUUGUGCUGCUGAUGAUUCCUCUCUGAGUUAUAUUAACGAGACUAUUCGAAAGUUUGGUGAUCUCUCGGGGCUAUUUACUAAUCUUAGUAAAAUUUCUAUGUUUGUUGUAGGGUUAAUAGUGAUGAUGUUUAUCGUUUGACUACCAGUUUGGGUUUUGUCCUCAGGCAUCUCCCUGUUCGUUAUCUUGGGCUUCCUUUACUUUUUGGAAGGUUACGACCUACUGAUUGUGCUCUCUUAUUCAACGUAUUACUAGUCAGAUUCAUUCUUGAUUUGCUAGAGUUUUAUCAUUUGUAGGUAGAUUGCAACUGGUUCAAUAUGUGUUCUAUAGUCUUCAGGUUUACUAGGCUAACGUGUUUGUGCUGCCUGUGAGUGUGCAUCAUGAGGUUGAUAAAAUCUUGAGGUCUUAAAAACCGAAAUACAUGAGUGGACCCGAACCGGUUUACGUGAACCGUGAAACAUAUAAAAACCGAAAUACAGGAAAUGGACCGAGCGGAGAUGGUCCCAUGAAAAUUGUUGGCCCAAAGGCGUGUGGGCCGAUUGUUUUGAAUGAAAACUUGAUGAAGCCCAGUGAGCCGGUAAAAGGGCUGAAGCUGAAUGGUGUGGACACAUUUACGAAUGGAAUUGGUCAUGGAUCUCUGGUUGAUGGGCCAUCGUUGAAUGAUGGGCCGCCCAUCUAACACGAAGGAGUGCUUACCUGCUGGUGCUUCAAGUGUUCAGCAUGUUGGGCAAAUUGCAGCGGCCGAAGGAUAUGGACCCGGGCUUGAUGCUAUUGCAAGUGCCCCAAAGAUUGGGUCGGUUGAUAACCGUUUGGUACUAAUUCAAAUGGUGGGCCGCUUGUUCCGUUUUGUGGGCAUGAGGUGCAGAAAUCUAAUAAUUCUGGAGGUGCAGGCAAAAAUUCAUGGGCUUCCUUAUUUGGCUCAACAAGAGGUUUCUCUAUGACCUAUACACCUCUGACUACCAUGGGAGAGAAAAUUGUGGUGACCCCGUUUGAAGAAGUUAUUAGUCAAGGAGUUAGAGUGUGGGAGAACUCCCUCAUCAGCCAAUUAAUUGAUGCAAAAUUGCCGUAUCUAGUCAUCUAUCGUCUUAUAGAGAAGAUUUCGGGUAGAAUUGAAAUGCCAACAACUACUUUGAUGGAGAAUGGGCUCAUCUGCUUUCAAUUCAAACAUCUGAAGUCGAUAAAGUGGAUCUUAUCCCGGGCCCAUGGCACCUUGGAGGCAAACCUAUGGUCCUCCGCAAAUGGACUCCAGGUAUAGUUCCUGAAUCCUUUGUCUUUGAUUCAGUUCCUGUUUGGAUAAAGUUAGGGAGGAUUCCGUUGGAGCUAUGGACGGAUGCUGGUUUGGCUGUUGUAGCGAGUGCAAUAGGAAAACCUCUUUCUUAUGCAACGUAUAUGCGUGGAAUUGAAUGUGGACAGUAUUAUGCUUGCCGAAGUAACAGUCAACCUUAGAGGAGAGGAAUUUAUUGUAACUGUCACUUAUGAGUGGAAACCAAAAAAAUGUAACUUAUGUCGAUCUUUUAGACACUCGCAGAACACCUGCCCUAAGAAAAGAAGCAAUGAAGGUAGUAAAAAGGAAGCUGCAAGUAAAGAGGUUCCUGUUAAAGAGGUUGUUCCUACUAAAGAGGUGGUUCCAGAUUGUGGGGAGUAUGGAGAUGUUGUGUUGGAAUCCUUCCAACACAUGGAAGAAGGAGAAAUUAUUACCCAUAAACUGGCUGAAAAGGUGGAGGUAAAUCAGGAGGAAUUUACCCUAGUUGACAGGAAAAAUAGGGGAAUGAUCUCUAUUCGGGACAGAGGGAAAAGGGCGGAAGUGAGUAUCCCUAACUCCUUUAACAACCUCAUGGAGGUGGAUAAAGGAGAUAAAUGGCCUUUAUCUAUAGUGGAUGGCUCCCCUCCUCCCUUACGAUUAGAUGACUCUUCUAUGGGCCUUUUGAGUACUACAAGUGAUGUAAUUCCUAUGGGAGAGGCGACUCCCAUACGACCUCAUAGUUAGUUAGUGUACGUGGAACGUGCUGGGCCUUAUAGACCUGUAAAGUGUAGAGCGGUGAACGACUUCUUAGCCGUGUCUACGGUGGGUUUCUGUUGCAUCCUGGAGACUAGAGUUCGAGAGGAGAACUUUGUCUCGAUAUCUAGAAGAUUUGGUGAUUCGUGGGGGUUCAUUAGUAACUACAAUAAUAGUGGAGUAGGUAGGAUAUGGGUUAUGUGGAAACGUAACAGAUUCAUGUUCACGACUAACGAUGUUAUUGACCAGUUUAUUUCCGAUGUAAUAACAGAUUUGAUCUCUAGGGAGAAGGUAGAGGUUCUGUGUGUGUAUGCCUCUAAUAGUAAUAUCGAGAGACGUGUUUUAUGGAGGCGAAUGGCUGAGAUCUCUACUGGUUGGAAAGGACUGGGUAUGGUCUUGGGUGAUUUUAACACCAUCAGACUCCACUCUGAAGCCUUCGGGGGUGCUCCGAACGUGGGGGAUAUGGAGGAGUUUGACAUGGCUAUUUGAGAGGCAGACCUUGUUGAACCCGCGGUCCAAGGGAACUGGUUUACUUGGACUAGUAAGAUACAUGGGUCGGGUUUGAUGAAGAGACUUGAUCGUAUCCUAGUGAAUGAUGAGGGGCUUAGUACAUGGCCUAACAUGAGGGUUAACGUCCUCCCGUGGGGUAUUUCUGAUCAUUCUCCCAUACUUGUCUAUCCCAGUAAUCAGCGAAGCCAACAAGUGGUCUCUUUUCGUUUCUUUAACCAUUGGGUUGAAGAAGCGUCCUUUAUGGAUGUUGUGUCCUCUACUUGGACCAAAGAUACUAGAGUUUCUCCAAUUAUGAAUAUUGUGAGGAACUUAAGAAAUCUCAAGUCGAUUCUUCGCAGACAUUUUGGUAGGCAUAUCCGAAUCAUCAGUGAGGAUGUUCGUCUUGCCAAUGAAACCAUGGACCGAGCUCAAAGAGAGAUGGAGAUGAACUCUCUGUCGAAGGAGGCGACUAAUCACGCGAGCUUAGCCAUGGUAAACUUUUGGAAAGCGAUUAGAGUGGAGGAAGCCGCUAUGCGCCAGAAGUUGCAAAUCAGUUGGUUGAAGCUAGAUAACCAGAAUACUGCCUUUUUUCAUCGAUCUGUUCGAUCAAGGCAGAGCAGCAAUGCUUUGAGAUCAGUUAUUGACCUAGAUGGAAAUCGGUUGACUAACCAUGAUCAGGUGACUCAGGUGGUAGUGAAUUAUUUCAAAGAUAGUCUGGGUUCUCAGAAUAUUAGCUACAGAGCUCUCUACUAGUAUUGAGGAGAUUGUUCAGUUUAGAUGGACUGAGGAGUGUUGCCAGGCCCUCCAGCGUCGCCUAUUGGCAGGGAGGAAGUGAGACGUGUUCUGUUCUCCAUGGAUGGUGGAAAGGCUCCAGGCCCUGAUGGGUAUUUAGUUGGCUUCUUCAAAGGAGCUUGGACGGUGGUUGGAGAGGGUUUCUGUGAUGUCGUCUUACACUUCUUUGAGACCAAUUACUUCCCUCAAGGGGUGAAUACGACUGCUAUUACACUUAUUCCUAAAAGGAAUGGUUGCUGAUCGAUUGGAGGAUUUCAGCCCUAUAUCUUGUUGCAGCGUUAUUUAUAAGUGCAUUUCAAGAAUAUUGGCAGAUAGGCUUCGUGUGUGGCUUCCUUCUUUUGUUAGUGGAAAUCAGCCAGCUUUCAUCCCUGGGAGGAGUAUUAUUGACAAUAUUCUUCUUUGUCAGGAGCUUGUAGGGGCAUACCAUUUGCACAGAGGUAAACCUCGGUGCACUAUGAAGGUUGACCUCCAAAAAGCUUAUGAUUCUGUUAAUUGGGAUUUCCUCUUUGGCCUGCUGAUUGCCAUAGGUACGCCUUUAAGAUUUGUGAGUUGGGUUCGAGCGUGUGUGACCUCUCCGAUGUUCUCCAUUAUGAUUAAUGGAUCGUUGGAAGGUUUUUUCCAUGGGAGGAAAGGACUUAGACAAGGUGACCCUUUAUCCCCGUUCUUAUUUGUGAUGGUCAUGGAGGUGCUUUCUCGCAUGUUGAACAGCCCACCUCAGAAUUUUCAAUUCCACCAGUUUUGUGAGAAGGUCAGAUUAACUCAUCUUACUUUUGUAGAUGACCUGAUGAUCUUUUGUACUGCUGAUAAUCAUUCUAUGAGUUUCAUAAAAGAGACUAUUAAGAGGUUUGGUGAGCUUUCGGGACUGUUUGCUAAUCUUGCUAAAAGCUCAAUUUUUCUUGUGGGGGUUAAUAGUUCGAAAGCUUCUCGGCUUGCUGCUAACAUGGGUUUUUCCAUUGGUCAUCUCCCUGUUCGUUAUCUUGGGCUUCCUCUCCUCUCUGGAAGAUUGCGGAGCUCUGAUUGUGAUCCCCUUAUUCAGCGUAUUACCAGUCGUAUUCGGUCUUGGUCUGCUAGAGUGUUAUCUUUUGCAGGUAGACUUCAGCUUGUUCGCUCAGUCCUUAGGAGCCUUCAGGUUUAUUGGGCUAGUGUGUUCAUGCUUCCUAUGAAAGUCCACAGAGACGUUGAUAAGAUCUUGAGGGCUUAUCUGUGGAGAGGUAAGGAGGAGGGAAGAGGUGGUGCUAAAGUUUCCUGGGAUGAGGUUUGUCUUCCUUUUGAUGAAGGAGGUCUUGAUAUUCGCGAUGGAUCUUCUUGGAAUAUAGCAAGCACAUUGAAGAUAUUAUGGUUGCUACUUGUUAAAUCUGGUAGUUUGUGGGUUGCUUGGGUGGAAUCUUAUAUCCUUAAAGGGAGAUCGUUGUGGUGCUUUAGGGAAAUCUUGCGUAAGCGGGAUAUCCUUAAAGCUCAUGUUAAGAUGGAGGUGGGCAAUGGAAGGAAAUGUAGAGUGUGGUUGGUUCCAUGGAUUCAGAGUGGGCCGAUUAUCCAGCAGUUUGGGUAGAGGGUGAUCUAUGAUGCGGGUAGUCCGUGGGAUGCGAGGCUGGUGGAUUUCAUGGGUCGGGAUGGUGAUUGGAGGUGGCCGCUUGUUUCUUUGGAUUUUGAUGGACAUUUGGGAUAGGGUUCAGGGAGUGAGGCCGAGUCCGAGUGUUGAGGAUAGGUGGGUCUGGGUGCCGGGGAGUCAUGAUAGUUUUUCGAUCACCAGUGCGUGGGAGACUAUUCGUCCUCAUAGUAGUAGGGUUGGUUGGUCGGGUUUACUAUGGGGUGGGGGAAAUAUUCCUAAGCACUCUCUUCUGUGCUUGGUUGGCCAUCAGGGAUAGGUUGGGUACUAGAGAUAGGUUAAGUCGGUGGGAUAGGUCGAUUCCUUUAUCGUGUUUGCUUUGUGGAGGGAACUAUGAGUCUCGUGAUCAUUUGUUUUUUUCUUGUCAUUUUGGGUGGGAGAUUUGGUCGAGGAUCCUUUUGCUUAUGUCAUCUUCUCAUAGAAUCGGUUAUUGGGGGUUGAGUUAUCUUGGAUUUAUAAUCAGGGUAUUGGGAAGAGUGUGAGGAGAAAACUGUGGCGCCUUCUCUGGUGUGCUACAAUUUAUUUCAUUUGGCAGGAGCGAAAUCAUCGUCUUCAUGGAGGUGCUUCGGGAGCCUAUGGUUGUAUUCCAGCUCAUUCGGUCGUGUAUUAAAGCGCGUGUGCUGCUUCUUGGUCGGAUGGUGUUCAUGGUCUUAUUUAAUGUUCUUUUCGUUUGCUUGUCCCGGGCUGUGGGGUUUCUCUUCUCUUUAUUAACUUUGUUGUCUUUCUCUCUUCUUCUUGUCCUUUUAAUGUUUGGAACACUAGUUGGUUUCUUUUGGUUUUAGUUCUUGUUCCCGAGAUGUGGGGUUGUUUUGGGUACUUAUGGGUUGUUUUGUCUAACUACUUGUUCUGUGAGUGUUGUUCGCUCUUUUGUCUUGACCUCAGGCUGUGAGGUCCACCUUGUUGUUGUAUAAUAUUAUCAUUACCUUUUCAAAAAAAAAAAUCAAACUCAAUGCUAAGUUUGACUGCUCCCUUCGAAGUGACAACAAGCCUCGUUUUCGCCCUACUGUGGAUCGAGGAGGAUUCCUCCUCUUUUCAAAGCCCUCAAUCAAACUUGACGUUAUGUUUAAAACACUAAAAAUAGAUGGUCUAGUUUUGGUUAGGCCAAAAGCGAUGUUUUCCCCCAAAAGCUCUAAUAGCUAGGGAACUCAACAUGUUCUACUUGACCUAACCGACUUGACUCUGUAUUUUUUAUGAGCUUUUUUUAAUGCAUAUUGCAUAUGUUUUUUUUUUUAUAAUUGUUGAUUGUCUCACUUUUUUAUGGUCUGCAUUUACGAGCCUCUUUUCUUUCUUUGUUAUGAACUGCGCGUAACUAGGCAUUGCUAGAACCGAUGGGGUAACAUUUCUAUGGUUCUACACUUAGUUUCUAAGUGUGAUUGCUCACCUCUAAUUUUCAAAACACUUAAUUUCUAAGCACAUACAAUGUUCACCUAGAAAAAAUGAAAAUUGUUGUAGUUAAGAUCAAAACUAAAUAGUUAUGAAAUAAGACAUAAGAGAUUUGAUUUUAACAACCUUCCCGUUGUACUUGGGAUCCACUCUGGCUUUGUGCUGGAAAAUUGGUUUGGAGCUGAUCGUAAGCUUUCGGUUGCUCUUCUGUAACCUUUAGAUACUCUUCAAAGCUAUAAGCUUUGCUUCCUGACGAAAGAAUCUUCUACUAUUACAAUACAUAAGAAAAUUCUAUUUCAUAAAUCCUGUAUCAUAAUUGAGGCAAAUAGAAUGAUUAUUCUAUAACCCUACCGAUAGUUUCAUUCUUAACAUUCAUAGACAUGAUGCAUGGCAACUAUCCAAUUCUAUUUCAUGUUCUCGAGAAUGGCUCGGUUUAACAAUAAUGUUAAUUUUUGUUUUCUAUUUCAAAAUAACAACGCUGCUUACUAACUCUCAAUUUCAUCGAGACCAAUUUCUCACUCAAACAUGGUCUUGCAUUCUCUAGAAACGUCCUACAAACAAAAAUGAAGAACAAAAACUACAAUAAGGUCUAUGAAAAAGUUACAAAGGAAAAUCUCAAAAACUGAUAUGUAAGUCAUAACAACCUUAAGUCCUGCUUAUCGUGGUUUAAAAUGCAGUAAGGUUUUUCCAAGAGUCCGAGCAACUAGCAUGUAAAUAAGUUAAGUCAACUAAAUUUGCUAUAAAUUUACUCGUAUUAACAUUAUCAUUGUUAUAGACUUGACAACUUCAAAUUUAUCAAUAUAAAAUAUGCUUUAACAAAACGUACCUUGAGGUUCCUCCAACCUUAUUAAAAAAGCAAAUAAUCCAACAAUUUAACAAAUUUAUAGUGCAUAUUAUGUAUAUCAAUUGAUCACAACAAAAUAAGAUCGAACAAAUACCCAUGAGUAAUAUUUAGCCACCAAAUGAAUAAUGAUGAAAACCUGAAAACAAAACCGAGAAAAAAAAGGAAACAAUUCAUCAACAAAACAAAUUUAGGGGACUAAAAAAUUGCUUACCUUAUUACACACUUCAAAAUAUUAAGAAAAGUGGAGGGAAAAAACCAACCAAUAAUCAACAAAUAAACUUCAACACAAAUAGCCACAAAUUUUCUUCUUUAAAGGUAUCACAAAUAAGUCCAUCAGUAAUAACAAAAUAAAAAAGGGCAAUGUGCAAUUGAAUUAUACAGUCGUAAAGCUAUGCUAAAGGCACUAUGAAAUCAAACUUGAGCACUAACAAGAAAAUUUGCAAAACAAAAAUUACUAGACAUCAUUAACUAAAGUACCAGCACAACAAUGAAUGUGUAACCUCCGCAAGAGCAAACCCGAAUGGAGAAGAACAUGAAGAAAUAUAUAAAUAGAAGAAACAUAUGAGUGAUGAUCGGCGAUCAACUCCUCAACCUCUAAUUACAUUUAAAAGAGUGAUGCGAACAUUGUGUGAAAUCCCAAACCUUUGAUGGAUCCCACCAUCACUCUCUUUCUAUCCCCUUCAAAACCUCAUUAUUUUCAAGAGAGGCCUCAAAGCUUCUUCCAAUUAACAUAAAAGAAGAAUGAAAGAGAAGGAGAGAAAGGGAAAGUGGUUCAAAAGCUAUGGAAAAAAAAGUAAAAGAAAAUGGUCUACUCAUUGGCACAUCUUACACAGAUGAUAAUGUUAGGGCAAGGCAAUGAGAGACAGAAUGCUUUUGGAGCCUUCUCCUCUACUUUCGAAGAUUUUAACAAACUAAAAUAUGCAAAUGUUACAAGAAAGAUCUUUGGAGAUUUGAAAUAAUCCAAAAUAAAGAAAAAGGAAAACCCCAAUAUGUACAAAUUUCAGAAUCUAAAACUUGAAAAGUGAUUGAAUGAUGAGAUAUGUUUGUACAAUCAAUUAUAGAGACAGUGAAAUAUUAAAACAAAAAUGAAACGUACCAAGAUAAAAAGAAUAGCAACUAGUAUUAUGACCUUUGUAUGUCUUCAAAAUACAAACAUCAAAAUGAAUCAAGAGAUCUACCACACAAAUAAUGGUAUCAACACAAAUAAAGCAAUUGUUUUAGUAACAAUAUUUGAGUACAAUUAAACUAAGCAUGCUAUUGUCCUUGACAAAUUUACAUUCUUCUAAUCGAACAAAAUCUGACCUUUAAAUAGUGAUAGAAACUGAAGAUGAAAGCAAGUUUAGCUACAACUUCAGACCGUGAUAUAUAUGACGGAACCUAUAAAAAAAAAGAAGAGUACCUAACUAUAUAUACACAGAGGAGAUCUGAUGCUUACUAGCACAUCAGAGGCUCAAUCGAUUUAUAUUUAAUUGAAAAACAAUCCCUAUAUUUUAAUGCAUACACAUUGAAUAGCCCCUGUUUCAAUCCAAUUUACAAAACUACCUCCAUAAAAUUACAUAAUGGGGGAAGUUCGACCGGAUGCACUGUGCUUUACCAGAACCACAUGAAAUUAUUGGAACAUAGUUCAUUCAAUUAACUUUCUAUUCAAUAAUUGAAACAAAUGGAAAGAGGACAAUUGAAUAUUAAAUAAAGAUGGAAUUAAUUGGGAACUCACGGAGUAAUGCGAUUUGUUCGGGGGCUCACCACUGGAGUUGGAAGAGAGACAAGGAUUAGAAAGGAAAGGAAGAGAGCGUCUGAUAAUCCAGCGGAUUCUUUGAUGAGUGGAGUACUAGUAGUAGUAGUGGAGGUUCCAAGGACAUUGAAGUCAAUCCGGUGAGAGUGAGGGAAUCCAGAAGGUUGAGGUUGAAGAGAGUAGAAAUUGCAACCAAAAUCGGUGACGAUGGUGGAAUCGAAAUUGCGAGGGAAGAAGAAAAGAGCAUCACAGUCGAAGUAGAGGAGGAAUCAACACUGGAGAAAGGAGUAAGAUGAGGAGAACCUGCCAUUAAUGGAAGAGGGAGGAAGUGAGAGAGAAAGGAGAGGGAAUUAAUUAAUUAAAGAGAAUUAGGGUUUGAGAAGAGAAAGGGAAAAUGGAGUGUACGAACAAAGAAGAAGAAGAAGAAAUGGAAAGGACGCGCUAAGAGAAGAAGAUGGAGAUGGAUCGUGAAAUGGGUAUGAUAGGGUUUCUUCCUUAAAGAAACGGAAAUUGAGAGAUAGGCCUUAGGGUUUUGAGAAGAGAAAGGAAAAAUGGAGUGUACGAAGAAAUGGAAAGGACGCACUAAGAGAAGAAGAUGGAGAUUGGAUCCGCGACUAAGAGAAGAAGAUGGAGAUGGAUCCGCGAAAUGGGUAUGAUAGGGUUUCUUCCUUACAGAAACGGAAAUUGAGAGAUAGGCCAAAGAAGACAAGAGAGCAAGAGAGAAGGGGGGAGGAGAGGGAGGAGAGGGAGACUUGGCCGUUAGAGAAGAGGAGAAAGAAAUUUUAAAUGAGAGAGACUGUACAUGUAGGGUUUUUAUUAGAUUUUUUUUUUUUUGAAAUCUUGCUUAAUUGGAUUUAGAGAAUUUUGUGUAUUCGGUUCACGACUCGUAUUAGCUGUCCAUUGGUCCAUUGUUUUGUCAUUUUUUUUCAACAAACUAAAUGUUUUAAGCCAUUUACAAAUUAGAUUUCGAUAAAUCGAUAAUCAUAUUUUUUUACAAUAUAGGACUAAAAAAGAUAACUAAUUUAUAUAUAUAUAUAUAUACAUACAACAGUAUUUAGUUAAAUUACAAAAAAAAAUUCUUUUGAAUUUUGUAGUUUGUGUAAAAAAAUAACCUUAAACUUUGAAAUGUUAAAAAAAAUUGUUUUGAACUUUUAAAAAUUAUUCAUAAAUACAUCUACAUACGUAGGAUGAAGGUAUUGGCAUGCUUCUCUAAAAAAACUUUCCAAAAAGAUGUUGUGUGACUUUUGAAAAGAAAAAUUACAAAUGGGGUCGUUUUUAAACAAAUUAGAUAUAUCGAGUUAUAUUUCUUUAAUUUUUUUCCUUUUUUCACAUAUUAUCAAUCACAUCUUACUUUUUUCUUUUUUCUUUGGAACCCUGCAAAAAUAACAAAAACAUUUAUAAUCACAUGACUCAUGUCACUACAUUUUCUAAAUUUUAAAAGUAGUAAAUUUAAAAGUUGAUAACCCUAUGAUUAUCGUUUGAUAGUCAUCUAAUAUCACUAAUUUUGUCAUAUUCGUAAUAUCCAAAUAAGGUUUCUUGGUGAGUCUAGAGUCGAACGUGAGGACUUAUACUAAAAAUAUAUUUAUAUUUUGAAAUGAUCUUAAGGUGAUUAAUAACAUACGCCUAAGAACAAUAGCGGUAUCAUCCACUUGUAAGGGGGGAGGGGAGUCAUCCACUAUAGAUAAGGUCCACUUGUCUCCCUCACCCAACUUCAUAAGGCUGCCAAAAGAGUUAGGCAUAAUCACAUCCACACGUUUACCCUUCUCUCGAACAUAAACCAACUCUCUUUUCUUCCUAAUAACGAGUAAUUUCAUCGAUUACCUACCUCCUUUUCCUUAAUAUGCCUAAUGGGGGAGCUAUUAGUCUUACUUUCCUCCAACUAUUUAAAGUCUAACACCACAUCCACAAGACACAAUUGUCCAUUCCUCCUCUUUGUUUGAAACCACCUUGCUCACAUCCUCCUCUCGAUGAACUUUGUUUUCCACAAUCUUAGGACACUUACCACUAGAAUGCCCAAAAGACCGGCACAAAUUACACCUUCGAGGCUUCCACUCAUAAUUCACAGUCAUAACGAAAUCCUCUCCCCUAAGGUGAAUUGUAAAUUCAGCAAGCAUAGGAGAGUCCACAUUUGAUUCAACACAUACUCAAGCAUGUGACAACCUUCGUCUUUCCUUAGUAGCUAGAUCUAAAGAUAGAGGUUUUCCUAUAGCACUAGCCACAACAGUCAAUCUGACAUCUGUCCAUAACUCCAUUGGAAUCCUACCUAGUUUAAUCCAUAUAGGAACAUAAUAAAAAACAAAGGAUUUAGGGACAAUACCUGGAGUCCAUUUACGGAGGAGCAUACUUUUGCCAGCAAGAUGUCGCGAUCAACGAGAUAGGAUCCAUUCAACAAGUUUUGGGCAUCUGAAUUGGAAACAGAUGAGUCCGUUCUCAAGAAUUGUAAUCGUUGGCAUUUUAAUUUUAUCAACAAUAACAACGAGCUAAACAAAAUCCUCUAUCCAGGACGCACUAAUGAAAACUAAAAUGUAAAAUAAGUACGAAGUAAUUAAUUAAAACAGAAGACAAAAGAAACCCAAAGUAAGUUGACAAAAUGCCCACAAUAAGCUUCAAGAUGAGUGAGAGGGAACACCAAGAGAAACAUGAAUAGCCUUGCUAACUUUUCACUACUAGCCAACUACAUAUUUUUUUACAAUACGUGUUAGGGAAAUCUUUCCCUUUGCAAAAACAGACCAAUAUAUAAUCAAUCAUUGGCUUCUUAUGGGAAAAUACAAAAGCCCUAUACAUGUCUGUUUCAAGCCUGUGUUGAACAACUUUUAAUUCCCUAAGAUAAGGAGAUUUAUCUGAAGGUUCGAGAAUAAUGACAUGUCCUAAACUAACCCACCAUUUCGCAACAGUGAACCAGUUUGAUCGUUAGGGGACAACUUUUGAUAAUAAGCGCACAACCAUGCCCCAAUUCCAAUGUUGCCCAAAAGUAAAGGCCUUUCUUCACAAUGCUCCAUAAAAAAAAGUUCGACUUUCACAUAAAGAUCUUAUUUCUUUUUUAUUGCUCCAAGAGAUCUAAUAGAUCUAUUUUCACCACGCAAAUCCCUUUUGUUAUCAUGGAAAAUGUGUUGGUUGUGCUCAAACCAAAUCUCUGCUAGCAACACUUUUAUCAAAUUAACCCAUAUUUUUUUUAAAAAAAAAGAGGAUAUGAGUCUCACUAUUAUUAAUAUUGAAAAAUGAAGAGACAAAGCUCAAUGUCAUGAGGAUUAUACAAAGAGCAAUAGGAUGGAGGAUCAACAGACGCACCUGGACAUCUCAACUAGGUUGACACCCCCUUAGCGCCCUCAUCACAUCCAAAAAGCGACAACACAAGAUCAAAACCAAAAGCCACAAAUAGAAGGCUUUUUUUGUGUUUGUUUUGCCUUUGGACAUUACUCCUUUGUUAUGGGUUUUAGCUUGGUUGGAUAUGAUGAGGGUGCUAUGGGGGUGUCAACCUAGUUGAGAUGCCAAGGUGCACCCCUGAUCCAUGGUUACAUGUUCAUUGUAUAACUCUCUUGUACUAUGAGCUUUUGUCUAAUUAUUAUUAUUAUUUUAAUAUUAAUAAAGAGGUUGUCUCCUUUUCAAAAAAAAAAAAAAAAAAACAAAACAAAACAAAACAAAACAAAAGCCACAAAUAUAAAACCAAACAAAAUGAUAAAAUAAUAUGUCCAAAACAAAAUCAUAAAUCAUAGGUAGCAGGUCGAGAACAAAGAAGAAUAAGCCUUGAUUGAGCAAAAAAUCCCAACAAAUAUUGAAUGUUUGGAGAAGACGGAACCAACAUUUCGAUACAAAGACAUAGUCAAUUAAAAGGUGCUAAAUAUUUUUCAUGUUAUCAACACAAAUGGGGCAGACAUGAGGUGAGAGGACAUGGGAGGGAAGUUUUCUUUGAAGUACUAAAGCACAGUUUAAUUUUCCAAACAACGUAAUCCAUAUGGGGAUAUUUAUCCAAAGAGUGAGCUAAAUAGCCCAAUGAGUGAUUGUUUUAUAAAACAUCGUUUUGAAAUAAUAAGUAUUUAACAAUUAACUCUUAACAUAAAUGAAAUCAAACUCAAACAACUUAUCUCAAACUUUCCCUUUCAGUUGCUAUACCUAGAAUCGUCGAGACGAAAAACAAUAAACUAGGCAUAGAAGCCCUAUCCCGUGAUACGAUACUUACGAGAUGAAACUCUAGGCAUCAAUUGUGCCCUAUCUCGUUAUAACUACAAUGAGAUGGAAAACUAGGCAUUCGUACAGGCUCUCGUCCCUUGAGAUGGGAAACUAAGCAUCUUUAGAAGUCUUCAUCUCUUAUCUAAUACCAAUGAUGGAAAGCUAGGUAUUUACUGAAUAUCCAAAUCAAAUGACCUCUAUGCACAAGAAAAUCUCUCCCGAAGGGUUGCUAUAUAUCUUAGAAUAUUUUAGGUAUAGACUAAAACAUGCUAAUAUUAUUUUCAAGCUUAAACAUUUUGAAAACUUAGCACAAUCAUGAUUGCUUAUAAUUUUCAUUAGUAAAUUCAUCAAUAAAAACAUGUUUACCAAAAUGUUUCUAAAUUCAUGCUUUGGAAAUACUUUAUAAGUCAGUAUCCUCAAAUAUUCAAACAUCAAAGCAUGCUUGAAACAUUUGAUAGUAAAUUCAUGUUUAGAAAUCAACUUUAAACUCAUUUUUGUCACUUAUAGAGAGUAGCUUGGACCCUUGGCUUAUAAACUUGUUCGAUCUCCUUCAGAUCUAAAAUAAUGAAAAAUAAUGGGAAAUAAUUCCAUUUAAUUCCCGUUGAUCAUAAAAAUAUCAAAACUUUGCUUAAAAUUUCCAAAAACCACAAAAACAGCCCAAAGACAUUAGCUUGCGUACAAAAUAUUGUGGCAGAAGUUGGCAGGCGCGCGUAGGGCUUGCCUUGCCAUGUCUCGUUCUAACCUCAUGUGCAGCGUGUCACAAUCACAACUUUUCAAACACGGAACAGACUAUUGUGCGGCACUUGUUGUAACUCGAUGAACACGUCAGUUGUAUGAAAUUCGAUACGAUGUAGCCUCCCUACAGGUUUUAAGAGAAAUUGGUUUUAUUAAACAUGAGAGAGAAAGGAAAGCAUUGGAAACAUCGUUAAAAAAAACUUUGAAGACUGUCCAUUGCAAAGAGAGCUUAAAUUGCAAAGAGUACCUCUGUGAUGAGAUUGGUUUGUGGAACCAAUUGGGAUGGGAAAAAGUUUAGAGAUAUUUGAGAGAAACUCUUUUCUUUUUGCAAAGAGCAAUAGCGUUAGCCUUAUUUUUUUUUUUUAUUAAUUCAUUUUUUUAAGAAAAUUGUUUUCUUCUAGAUAUUAUAACUCUCUUUCCUUCUAGGAAUAGAAAAUGAAGUAGAAGAGAACCAUGAGAUUCUAUUAAUUUACAAAUAAUUAAAUUAAUAUAUAUUUCAAAUCUACUGAUUAAUUAAACAUUAAUCAAUUAGUUAAUAAUUAAUGAAAUCGAAUUUAAUUAAAUAAUAUUAAACUAUUACUAUUAAUUAAUUCUCCAAUUAACUAAUAACACUAAAUUAUUUAUCUUAUAUUUAACUUAAAUUAAAUUUGAAUCAUAUUCAAAUAUAAGUUUCUCUCAAUAAUUUUAAUAUGAAUCCAAUUCACAUUAAAUUAAUAUUUGAACUCAUUCAAAUAUUUUAUCUCUCAUAAAUUAAUUUUGAAUCAUCCCCAAAGUUAAAUUUAUAUAGUAAAGUUUGAUAAACUUUAUAUUAUAAUGUAUCACUAUACAUUAUACUAAUUCCCAAGUUAAAUUUAAACAUUUUAAAUUACAACCAAUAUAAAUAAAUCUCAUUACCCUUUACGAGCUAGGAAAGGACCUAAUGGACCUACAGAUCAGAAGCUACAACGAUCUAAGAUUAAUUGGCUAAACUCAUUAACCACAUUAAUCAAUAUUCGUUAGCUGUGUGUACACUCCACUAAAGACUCACAACUGAACUCUUCUCACUAAAAAUAUAUUUCUGUGUCCACGGAUAUAGACCAAUAAUAGUAAGUUAGUCCUUCACGAGUGUUUGUAACACCAGUUGGAUCAAUUUACCGCUUUACCCCUAUGUUACCUCUAAUCCUUAAAAACCAGUGCUCCUCUAAUGAACAACUUGUUUAUGGUCCUACUAAUAAACAAAAACCCCUCUCAUGUCAUAGAGAGGGUACGGGCCCUUUGUUCAAGUUUUGGAGACACCAUUUAAGCUAACAUUCAUCUACUUACCCUAAAGUAGGAAAUGAGUGAAUUCCAUUUUGUGCAAUUAUAAUCUCAACUCCCCACUCAGUCUUGUCCCCAAAAUCACUACUACAAAAACAGGCUCUCUUGACGGUUGUAGUUUUCCUCUCUUGACGUUUAUUAAACGUCAAGUAAGAUGUAUUUUUUCUUGACGCUUUUUAAACAUCAAGAAAUAUCUAAUAAUUUUUUGACGUUUAAAAAACGUCAAAAAUGUUUAUGAAUUCAACAUUCUUGACGUUUUUUAAACGUCAAUAAUAUAUAGUUUUCCUCGACGUUUUAAAAACGUCAAGAAAUUUAUAAAAAAUUCUUAACGUUUUUAAUAUGUCGAGAUAAUUCUAAAAAGUUCUUGACAUUUUUAAAAAUGUCAAGAAAUUUAUAAAAAAUUCUUGAUGUUUUUAAAACGUCAAGAUAAUUCUAAAAAAUCAUUGAUGUUUUUAAAAACUUCAAGAAAUUUUAAUUUGUUUUUGACGUUUUAAAAACGUCAAGAAAUUUCUAAAAAAUUAUUGUGUUAAUAUUCUUUUACAAAACGCAACGUUUCAAUUAGAUCACUUCCCCUUUUCUUAAUUAAACCUAAUUCGCCGCGACUUUAUCCCUUCUUCACCAGAAAUCAAAACCGUCGUUCACCUAACCUUCCCUUCGCGUUCAUCUGUGCAUUCAUCUGCGUUCAUUGCCGAAAAAGACUUCCCUUCGCGUUCAUCAGCGUUCACCUUCAUUCAUUUGCGUUCAUCAUCCGUCACCAUUCGUCUGCUUUGCGUUCCCUUCACCUUCGUUGAUUUGCGUCCGUCUGUUCACCGUUCGAAAUGCGUAAACACAUUCUCUUUUCGAAAACAAGUAAACACGUUCACCGUCCUCAUGUUUUUAUGUGAAUAACGUUCAUAAUAUCUUAAUCACAGAUUAAUUGUUGAUUGGCCAUGAACCUUAAUCUUUGCAUGACUAGAGUGGUUAUGAACUUGGAAAGAGAUAAUUAAGGAUCCUUGAGGAGGUUGUUGAAAGAAGUGGACCUAAAAACUUUUAUUUGUUAAUAAAAAGAAAAAUGAACAGAGAUUCAUCUUCGUCAGGGGUCUUGAUGUUUAAUUUAAUUUAAAUUGUGUAUGAAGUUUUAAUUACGAGAAUUUUAAUAUGUUGCAAGAGCACAAUAGCCAAGGUAUAGAGUGAGGGAGAUAAGGUUUAUAUGUCUUAGAGAAUGAAAAGAUGGAAUUUGUGCUAAAGUCAUUAGUGUUCCAAAUACAAUUAUGAAUUGGGUAUAGUUGCAUUCCCCCUUCUGGAUUGCAUAGCACAUAAAUAUACUCUCAUGGAUUGCAUAGCACAUAAAUAUACUGUCAAAAACAAUAACAUAAAACACAAACUUGAUUUAGUUUCAUUCACACUUGUACACCAACAUGUUUAAAGUAAUGAUCAUAUAUUAAAAAUCAUUUUCAAUUUUGGUAAUAUAAAAUGGAAGAAGUGAGACCUUGAGGUUUUGACCACCAAUACUAUCUAACUGAUGAGUUUAUGAUUUUUGUUUCUACUGUGUUCUUUCCUUAAGCUUUAACUUGUUUUAGGGGCAAGAUGGUGAAGGUCUAGUCCACAACCUUUCCCAAGAAUUUAAUGAUGUUUGGGUUGUUGCAGGAAAGAAAGAAUUUAAUGAUGUUUGUUAUUGGACACUGUUUUAUGGUAAUUGGUUGUUAUGGUUUUUAAGUGUGUUUAUAUAUCUUGUGUUAAAAAAUAAUUGCAAAAAGUCGGAAACGUUUGUUAAAGAUUAGGUAUUUUUAAGUUUGUCAUUCCACUUUAAUUCUCACCAGUACUUGCUUAAUGGAAGCCUCUUGUCCAAGACAAUUCGAGUGGAAUAACUCUCGUGACUACCACAACAUUGGGAACUCACCAAAUGUAAGACUAUUCCUUUAUCCUAGCAUUUGAUCUCUCUCUAUAAUUUGGUUUGCAAUCGUAAUGUUGAUAAUUCAACUCCAAUGUUCUUAUUUUCUUAACUCCCAUUCAGUCAGUUAGAAUUAGAACUCAUUUAUUUAUCUUGUUUCCAUAAUUUGGAUUCAAAGAUUCAUUACAAUAAUCUUCUCAACAACAUUCUUGAAAAGGUAUUGAAUUUUCAACUGUGUGACCUUUACACACAAAUUUCUUCAAAGAAAUUUAUAUUCUUUAGAGUUUAGAGCUUUGAAUUCUAGUACAACUUAUAAAGCUUUUGAUACUUGUUAGACUUUUUUGCUUGGUGCGGAUAAAACCUUAUUUACAUUCUUUCUUUCCUGCAUGUUCUCUUUUGAUAUUUGUUAGACUUUUUUGCUUGGUUGUCCUUAGUGUUUUCCUCUUUAGCUGAAAUUUCUCAAUCUUGAAAAAAAUAGAGCUUAAAAUUCAACUUUAACUUUAUUUGAUACUAUCUUAGUCCAUACUUAUUUUGGUAUUUCUUUCCUUUCUCACAAACACAUCUAAGAGGUUGCCUUCACAAUAUGGCAACCUUUUUCAUUGCAAAACAUAUUAGAGGUUGGUUACUUAGUUAGCCUUAUUGGGUAAAUAAUUGACAUUUAGGUACUUUUUAGUUUGUAUAUUUAUAGAUGCCAAAUCGAUAUGUGAAUUUUAAUUGUUGCUUAUUUGAAACAAUGCAACGAUUUGAUAAAAUGUUGCUAUGUGAAUCCAUCUUAAAGUGAUAUAUUAUUUUAUUUUGGUUUAGGUUGUGGAAUCCAAGUUUGUAUUUGAAAUCAAAUUCAUCCAAGAUCAUUGAGUUUCAAAGCUUCUUUAAUUAAGAUUUUGUUUCUUGAACUAGAAUUGUAGUCUUGUGAUUUUUGGAAUAGCAUAGUUGGAUUGGUUUUGUAAUUUUGGGAUUAUCAUAUUAGGUUGGGUUGACUGAAGUAGUGUUUUGUAUAUGACAAUAUAUCGAUCAAACAUGUAAAGUUUUCGAAAUGUUCAUACAUAUAUGAUUAAAUGUUAAUAUAUGUUAAAGUUUUGGAAUUGUACUCGUGCAUAUUUAUGAGAUUGUUGGGCCACACUACAGGAAUUAUAGAGACAAUGCAGGAACAAAAAUAUAAAUAAAUUAUAAUUUAGAAAAAAAAAAUGACUUUCUUGACGAUUUUUAACUGUCAUGAAUAUUUGUAUACUUGACGUUUAUAAACUGUUAAGAAUCGCUAUUCUUGACGUUUUACUAACCGUCAAGAACUUUGACUUUCUUGACGCUGGCUUCAACGACAGUUUUAAAACCGUCAAGAAUAGUGAUUCUUGACAGUUUAAAAACGUCAAGAGAGUCUGUUUUUGUAGUAAGGAAUGAUAAGCUUAUUGAGUCGGCGAUCUAGCCACUCUCACUCGUACAAAUCAAAGGAAAAUCUCUCGCGAACAAGAGUUCAUAAUACACUCAAGAUUAAGACUAAGUUAUCUAGGUCAUCCUAGUGAAAUAGAAACCUAACUAGUUAAUGUAGUAAAUGGAUUAGUAAUAUGCCCCACUAUUAUCACAAUAUUAUGUGAUAGGGCAUGUUCAUGUUUGGAACAACUUCCAAAUUAUGCAAGAACUUCCUCAGCAAAACUGCUUCUUUUGCUGCUUCACAAGUAGCAAUAUACUCAACUUUCAUAAUAGAGUGUGUAAUGAUGCAUGGCUCAGGCUGCUUGAUCAUGCCAAGACAUGCUUCUUGCAUGUCCCAAGCCUAAAUAACCUCUUUCGCUCAAAACACACGCUCAUCUCACCUUGUCAUCCUGGCAAUCAACCCACCCUUGGCCUUGCCUAGAAAUAUGAUUUUUCUACCAUAAACUUAACUUGACUUUGAAGCUUAAAUCAAUAAGAUUCCUUCUACAAACUUACUUAGAAUGUCUUCACUAGCUUACCACAAAGUGUCACUAACAAAUUCCAAAAUACUCUACAUUGUUCAAGUUUUUUUUUUUUUUUUUAUGAAAAUGACCUUUGAGUCUUUCUUCACUUCAAUGCCUUUCUUCCUGGUAGCCUUUCUCCUGAUACUACGCUCAAUUUAGGAGAUUUUCGAAGUAGAGACACCCAAUUAACACAAGUUGAUUGUUAACAUAAUUCGUCCAAAGUUGUACAUAUAGUGAUCCUUGCAUGCUCUUUGGUUGACACUUUUAUUCUCACCUCUUACGCCCAUACUUGCCACUUUCCACCUCAUGCAAGACACUUAUUUGGCAAAACUUAGGUAUCUUGUAUGUUGUCCACUUGUACUCUACCGCACAUCUUACCUCAUAUUGCUUAAGUCAUCCUUGGACGCAUAUCCCAUUUUCUAUGAGGGUUCUUUAGUAAAUUCUUACUGCCAAGAAUGCCUAAGACUUUUUUUUCUCGCCUAAUCUCCCAAACAUCCCUCAAUGCCUUCAACAAACCAUGCCAUCUUGACUAGCAUUUGGUUGAAUUGCCCCAUUGGCCGCAUGGCCUAUGUCCACAUAGCCCACCUCUUUGUUGCAUGACAUUCCUUAUCCACGUUCUAACUUCUUUAGAGUUUCUUGACAUUUCCUAGAUGCUUAGCUUCCUUGCCUAGCGCAUACCCUUGGUCAUAUAGCCUUGUCUUAUAGAGGUUGUCUUGACACCUUUCGGCCAUACCACAUCUCAACCUUUGGCCACCCAACAUGUCUCUUUAGAGGUUCGCUUGAUACUUUUGGCCGCCUAGAGUAUGCAACAUGCCCUAGCCAACACUUAGCCAACUUUCGAACACCCUUUAGGCCUUUCUUUGUUAUGAUGACACUUUUCUUUUGUCAUCUUAAAAAUAUUAACGCAUCUUCCAUAACACUUCAACUAAACUAUCCAAUCUUAAACCAUCUUUCUCCUAACAUCAACCCCUAAUGUCCUAUUGAGUUCUUUAGAUGAAUUAAGGAUUAUUGGGUAUCGGGGUUUACACGCGAGAUGUAAGUCUUCCUCCUUGAAUUACGUAUAGUAGUGUGCGGAGGGAGAGGAAUGUGAUGCAGGUCUUCCUCCUCAACCCUAAGGAAUUCUUCUUCGCUAACAAUGCCCUUUUGAUCGGGUAAGGGCUUGUUCGGUCAGGUUGUGAGGUGAAGGAUGUUGUUAUAAUGAUGCGGGAUUUGGUGGUGAGAGGAUAUGUAAAGCCCCAAAGGUAAAAUAUAUAUAUAUAUUUUAAUUUUUAUAUAUUUUUUAAUAUUAAUUUAAAUAAAAAGAAAAGAAAAAAGAAAAAUUCUUUAUUAUAUAUUUUUUUCUUUUUUCUCUUUUUUUUUUUCUUUUCUUUUUUUUUUCUCUCUUCUCCUUCCUCCCGUGCGCCGCGACCUCCAUUCCCUUCUCCUUCCGUCCGCAGCCCAGCAACCGCCAUCCCGAGACUUCUCUUCUUCCAUUUCUCCUCUCCGUUCAGUCCAAACCCAGCCGGACGUCGCUGCAACCGUCGGCCAGUUCGCGAGGCAGCCGUACGCGUCACCUUGCGGCCGCUGUCCAGAUCUACACCACAAGACCUUCCGCCGCUGCAACCGUUGCUCUUUCGCCGCUGCCUGGUCCAGAUUUGCGUCGCCGUGCACAGCCUCACCGCCGCGGCAACCGUUUCCGCGUCUUGCUCUGUCUCCGUCGAAGCCUGAGCCGCCGUGUGAAGCAGUAACUGCCACGUCCUCCGCUCACAACCGCCGUCCAGAUCCUCGCCGCCGCUCGCAACCGUCGGCCGGUUCAUGUAGUCCUGUCGCACAACCUCCGUUUCCAGCCACCGCCCAUCCCGUUCUCUUUUGUUUCAGCACUGCCCGCGCGACUCUCCGACCGCGUCUGUCUUCACCUCUGUGAAGCCGUUGACGCAUACAUCUUGUGAAGCUCGGUCGCCGAGUCAAAUCGUCGAUCGAUUUUGAGGCAGCCGCCACGUCUCAUUUGGCCGACUGCUGAACGACCCACACUUAGGAUUUUUGCUGUGAGUUUGAUAUUCGUGCAUUGAGGUGUUGGGAGUAACGUUAGGCUCCCUUACAUUCACAACCAGUUUGUGAAUUGUUCAAGGUUCAGUUCGCCAAUAUAUCGGUGAGUUGGAACUUACGUUGAGGAAAGUAAGUGAGAUAUGUAUCGUGAAAGUAAUUGAAUUUUGUGUUGUUAUGCUUAGGAUUGUUUCGAGGACGUUAGUUGAUUAAGGAGCUUCCCUAACUUUGAGGUAAGGGAUUUUCUACUAGACUCACUUAUGACUGUGAAUUGUAUGUGUUAAAUGUAUACUGUGGAUUGACUGAAAAUAUAUAUGAAUGCAUAUGAAUUGAAGUAGACUUUACAUCGAAUGUAUAUCGUGAUUGUCAUGGAAUAUAUAUAUAAGUGUGUGUAUGUGGACAGGACGAAGAUUGUAGAUUGUGUUUGUAUGAGAUGCAGAUGUGAACUUGUGAUUUUCGUUUAGAUUGGGUGUACGUUACGCUAAAGUAUGACUGUGUGCUGGUGAACUGAGGGGUGUGUUGACUGUAUAGUUUGAUUGACUGACGUAUUAGUAUAUUAUUGACAGACAUAUGACUAAAGUAAAAUAAGUUAACUGUUAGGACGUUGAGAGAAAGAACCUUGUGUUUUGAAGUAACUGAAAGAUGGACUGAAUGGAAUGAGGGGAAAAUUGUUAGCUUGUAUUGGAUGUGUACCUUGUAGGUGUCCCACGGGAUCACCAAUUUAUUGUGCACCUUUGGGAGCAUUAGACUGAUAUGUGUUUCU